CUGCUCUUGUCGUCAUUGCUUCUCCUUGCAUUGCCACAAUGUUUCCCUCUUGGAGGUGCACAUUGAUAUGAUCAAGAGGCGCGUCUAGGCUGAUGUAGCUACCGGACUUCAUGUUUACGUAGUUUGAAUAGUUGAACAUGUUGAACCAGGUACCGGAUGGAAAAUAUGCAUUAACUGAAACCGCACCAGAUGUCAGUACUGGUGAUAUCAUUAGCCCCUUACCGAUGAGAAACUGAGAGUCGAUGGAGUAAGUGUUUGUGUCCUCGGGGAAUGAGAAGAAAAGAGGCCGCGCUAUAGGGAUGCCUUUGGUAUGUGCCUCGAACAUUAAUGUGUAGAAGUAUGGUAAGAGCCGGUAGCGUAGUCCAAGCACUUUCUUGGCAGUUGCAGCUACUGAAUCCCAGAUAUAAAGUUCUUGAUGGAUACUGAACUUCAUAGUGUGAUCCCUUGCAAAGGGAUAAAAUGCACCUAGCUACAUUCGACGAGAACUUGACUAUCAGAUAUCAGAAAAGUAUCAUACUUCAAAUUUGAAUUUUUCAUUUGAACAAAAAACUGACAUGCUGUUCCAUAGAGCACAAUCUAUGUUUCCCUGAAUAGAACAUAGAACGACAACAGAACAAUAAAAGAGAAGAAAACCAUUGCUAUAGAUAUCUCCACGGGUUUAAGCCAUACAAAUUAACCUUCUUUUCUAAUACACUUGACAAUAGUAUUUUACUCAAAAAUCUGUAAACAACAUUUUUCAGAGCAUUAUCAUUAACUUGAUAACACUGUUAGCAGAAAGAGUACUCCCUGGACCAGUUGGGUACACUCAUAAUUCUAAGGUCAAGGGGUGCCAGAGGCGGAUCUAGUAUUUAUAUUUAACGAGGUAAGGAUUCUGGGUUUUGGACAGUGACCACAAGUUCAUAUGCAAUAAUAACAGACCAUAUAAUGAGCAUCAAUAUUCAAUAUAUUAUCAAGUUUAGCAUAGACAUAUAACAAGACAGGGUAUUUAUAACUAGUCGUGCCUUCUCUGAUUCAACCUCCUUUUAUUCCUUAAUCUUGACUAAUUCAAUUUGACCCAAGGCAUAGCUAAGAUUUACGGGAUAGGACAUUAGUGUAUCUAAUACUACAUAAUUUAGAUGAGGAUCGCCGUCCCAAUUUGAAGUUUUCCUAGAAGUUUCACAAUUAAAUAAGAAAAAGAAGAACGGUCAUCUAGGCCAUUUUGAACUUGUGGACUGAGAUCAUAAACUUUCAAUAUAUGCAGAAAGGUAUUUCUUUAAAGACGAAAGAACUUGUACCUGAAUCCAACGGCGACAUAAUUCUUCAGUAGUAUUUUCAAAAAAGCCACAUAUAUCAGCUCCAACCAUGGGAAUCCCAAACAAUCCAGAACCCAAAGUGCUGGGAAUAAUAUAAGCCAAGUCAUCCCAAGUGGCUGCAUUAUCUCCCGUCCAAUGUGCUGUGUACUUGCCAGAACCCACAAAGGUUGAUUUGCCAAGUAUAAAUGGCCUUUUGCCAGUAAUAUCGAUUAAAGCAGCAUUGGUCGUUUUAGCUUCCAGAAAUCCGUAGAGGUUAUGAAGAUUGUACUCUUAAGGCAUUUCCAAAAUGCACUGAUGUUGCUGGGACAGUAAUCUCGUUAAUUGGACGUAAGCUUCCAUUGUUACUGAUCUUAUAAGGAGGGUUGUCAAGGGCAGAAAAUGGGGUUGGAGGCGAAGAGAUGAAGUUAGUUAUCUCGUUCAAGUCAAGCCAGAGCCCAUCAACAGGGAGAAGGUCAUGGAAAAUCUUGAUUUCGUUAUUCCAGAAGACUCUGCCUCGGGGAUUUAUGAAAUCAGGAAAGUAUACUUUUCCAGGGAAACCUUCGCCACGAUAAGGGACACCAUUGUGUUUGAUGAAAACGUCCGCUUGCAUCCCUCUCUGGUAUGUCUCAUAUGAGCUAUUUAUGCUGAUCCCUGUGAACAAGUUAUUGAGAUCAUAAAUGAAACAAGGGUAGUGCUCUGAUUAAGUCAUUUAACCGAUUACCUUCGUAAUUUCUAAACUUCUACAUCAACUUAAAGUAUAAAUAUUAACAAAAAAGAGGCAGCUCGGUGCACAAAGCAUCUCGCGGUCACACAAGUUCCGGGAAAGGCUACACCCCAAAGGAGUGUGAUGUAGGUAGCCUACCUGACGCUAAUGAAGCAAGAAGUUGAAUAUGUCAGAACUCACCUGGAUCCAAUAUGACAACAAAUUUCUGGCCAUUGUGGUGAAGUGCAUCGACAAGUUUCUUCAUCUGGUCAAGUGGGAAGUUAAUAGGAUCAAGUGUGAAAUCCUUAUAACCAUCAAUAUAAUCAAUAUCUGUCCACAUGACCUCAAGAGGGAUCUGAGCUUUUGCAUAGCCAGCAACCACAUUCCGAACAUCAGUAAUAUCUUUAUAACCAUUCGGCAUUGCUGAAAUCCUGUGGCCAACAAUUCACAAUAGAUUGCAUGAAAACAAUAUGUCCAUCUAUCUGUCUCAAACCAUAGAUGUACAUAUUGUAGAAAUAAAACACAAUCCUCAUAUUCACAACUAGUCAAAGCUCUAUCCACCCCAUUAUGAGUACUGAAAGAGGUCGGAUCACAUAACGUUAUAUAACCGGGCUCUGCACUAACGAAUGCUUGAGACAACAAGAAACUGUGCAUAUUUUUUAAGUAUCAAACAAAAUUUAAAUGUUAGGGCCAUAUGAAGUUAGUAAACAGAAUAAACACUACGAACCAAUAGGUAAUUCGCUAGCAUAAUUACAUACCAAAAGACCAGUAUGGCAUGGGCGCGGGGCGGCCAAUGAGCUCUGUGUACUGCUCCAUGACCGACUCUGGCACAGGACCAGCAAAGAAGUACAAGUCAAUGACCCCUCCAAUCACCUUGUAGGUAAUUCUGUCACCAGUAUAUACAAUGUCCAUACCAUUGCUAUUGAACAGCAAGACUCCGUGACUGGUCCCCACCCUAGGAUGAGACCUGACAUCCAUGUAAAAAGGGUGGGAACCAUACAAGUUGACGACAACAUUGAGACUAGGAAUAUCAACAUUCCAAAGAGUUAAUGUCUGGUUAUGCUUGACCUUAAAUGUUCUCUUGGUAUGCUCCCCGAGGCCAUAGAUAGAUGACCGAUUAUCUGGCAAUGAAGAGGACAGUUGAAGGUACUGAUCCUUGAAGAUGAGGAAUGUGUCCGGAGAUCCAUUUUUAGGUGAGGUGUCGAAAAGAACGUCUCCUGAGGAACGACGCGUGAUAGUGAAGCCAAAAGGGGUGGUAUUGUAGAGAGUGAAACUAAGGUCAGAAAUGGUGUUUGUGUGGAUGUAAUGCGUGUCUUCGUUAGAAGAGAGCUUUCCUAGGAGGGAGUUUCUGGGGGAUGAAUGUGUUUCACGGGGGAUAAAUUCUUGAGGAACUUCCCAUCUUUGGAAUACCUUUUUUCAAAUUACCUUCAAAUACUACUUUUUUUUUUUUUCAAAUAUCACUCAACUCAUGUACAAACAACUACUUAAAAUUAAGAGAAAAUGCAUCAAAAUUCAAUCAAACUUGUCUGUCCAACUUACUUUAGCACUUAAAUUAAUCUUCUAUUUAUUUACCCCUUAACAUCUUUAAAGUAAAUUAAUUUCAAACCUAAUAUUGACGUGACAUUUUUCUAAAAAAAAGAAAAGAAAAAAAAUGCGUGAAUUAUUUUUAUUUUUUAUUUUAAAAGCCAAAUAAUCUUAUAUAAAAUAUAAUAGAAAAAAAAAAUUCCCCCUUCUUCUUCACCUAUCCCACCCGUCAACACCCCCACCCCACUCCUCCCUUCAAUUGUCAUAUCCACCACCACCACCACUCAUUUCUUGAAUUUGACAACAAAAAAAUAAAAUUUCUUGAUUUGUUGUUGAAUCUACAUUCUGAUUUUGGUCUUUGGGGAUUUAUUAUAAAAUGAAUCAUUUGAUGUAAAUUCACAAAUUUGAAUGCAAGUGCUAAUUAAUUAUGUUUUUUUUUUUAGAAAUUUAUGAUGUUCUAUUUAUCUUGUUCCUAUAAUUUUUUUCAAUCUGGAUCAUUUCAUCUUUGAUUAUGUUCUUUUUUUUGCAGGAUAAUUUGGUAAAAUAAAAUUGGUACUAUAGAAUUAAUUAACUUAUCUAAGUCCUGCAUCUUUUUCUAUGCUGGAAAUGCUUGGUUUGGAUGCUUGGUUGUUGAUUUUAGAGAAUUUAGUAUUGAUUUGAUCGAAUUUAUUAGGUGGGUUAAGUUUUUUAUCACUACUUUAUGAUAUUUUUUUAUGGUGGUAAUGGCGAAAUCUAACGUGUGUGGGCAGGUGUGGCUGUGUGGGGGUGGACAGAGGUGGAUGGGGGGUGCAGGUGUGGCGGUGGACGUGAGGGGGAGGGGAAGGAGGGAUGGUUAUGAAGAAGAUGGAAAAUGGGGGUGGGUAUUUUUAAAAUUUAAAAUAUUUUAUAUAUAUUUAAAAAUAUGUAUAUGUAUAUAUAUAUAUAUAUAUAAAUGUUUAUUAAUAUUAUAUAUAUAUUUAUAGAAAAAAUAUUUAAAAAACACUUUAUUUAUGUUGCUCCGACAUGGAGGUGAUGUGGCGCUGAUGUAUCAAUGAGUGUGAUGCACUCUCUAUUAUGAGAGUGUUAUUAUAUAUUAAGGGGUGAAAUUGUUUUCCUUUAAAGAUGUUAACGGGAUAAAUGAAUAGAAGAUUAGUUUAUGUGCUAAAGUAAGUUGGACAGACAAGUUCAGGAAGAUUUUGAUGCAUUUUCUCUGAAAUUAAUGAAAUUUCAAUAAUUAUAUAAUAUAAAAAUUUAUCAGUAUCAAGAUCAUUACCAAGCAGUAAGGCUGAGAAUUUGAAUAUCAGGUCCAUAAACAGGAGAACCUUUGAUGAGCUGAAGACUAGCUGUCAAUGUCCUACCAGAUGAGUCAACACCUACUGAUCUAACAAUAUAGCCAUAUCCAAUUGGUUCAGAAUUUGUUUUAAGUGCUAAUAAUUGAACCAAUAAAGUGAAAUACAAUAGAAAAUUGGAUAGAACAAUUAUAGGACAAGAUUUUAUAGAUUUAUCAGUACUCAUUGUGAUAAGGAAAAUAUAAUAAUGUCUGAACUUUGUUGUAUGAUAUUAUAUGGGAAAUGGAAGAUACUGUAUGGUCCCACACUCAACUAUAUGUGGCUGCUAAUGGAAGGUGCAGGGGCGGCUAAUGGAACUUUGUUGUAUGAUAUUAUACGGGAAAUGGAAGAUAGUGUAUGGUCCUUUAUUAAAUAGUCCCGCACUCAACUAUAUGUAGCUGCUAAUGGAAGGAACAGGGGCGGCUAAUGAUAUUUUACUAUGGGUCUCAUGCAUGGAAAAUUUUAACAUGGGCGAUGCACAACUAUUAUUAGUUGUAUAAGGGAUUUUUUUAAUUGAUAAUAUAAUAUUCUGUGGGACCCACCACAUCAACUUAGUUGUCCUAUUCAUCCGACCCAUUUUUUCCUUUGCUUUUUAUUUGUCUAUCCUCCUGUCCUUACUCUUACCUCUUCUUCUUCUUCUUUUUUCACAUUUUUUGGAUUUAUCAAUUUUAUACUCCGUUAGUUUUGUUUUGCUCCCUUCAUUUUAUUUUACUUGUCAUAAAUAUUUUAAUUUUAUUUCUAUAUUUAUUUGUCAUUUGGUACUUAUCAAAAAAAAAUAUUUUUUUAUUCUUACUAUUAAUUAUUUUUUAUUCAAAUUAAAAUAUAAACAUCAUUUAAUAGGAAUAUUACGGUUAAGUAGUCAUGUUAUUAAUUAUUUUUCUUAAUCAAUGUGUCAAGUAAUAUUGUGACAAGUAAAAUAAAACGGAGGAAGUAUUUGAUUUGUUGAAAAUAAACAUUCAUUCAUUUAUUUAUUUAUUUAUUUAUUUAUUUAUUUUAACAAGUAAAUAAAUAAAUAUCAUUUUUAAUACUAAUAUCAUAAUUAAAUAACUACAUAAGAUUUUAAUAGUUAAAUUUUCGAAUAUCAGAAAACUUGGAAAUUUUUUGUUAGAAAACUUUGAAUAUAACAUUUUCAGAAAAAAAAAAUAAUUAAAUGAACAAAAAUGAAAUUUAAAAAACUUGUGACUUCCGUCAAUAGGUUCAGCUGAAUGAUAAUUUUUUUUAAAAGAACCUCAUGCUUCUCCAUAAACUUCAAACGUCGUUUCACUAUUUUCUUAUAAGUUCAUUUUUACACAUAAAUUAAAUUGUGUUUGUAUUAGAAGUUUACUCCCUCAGUUCUUCAAUAAGUGAAUUAUUGGAGUAUUUUUAGGGUUCAAAAUAAGUGACUGAUUCACAAUUCAAGGUAGAUUUUGAAUUUUUUUUUAAAAUUUACCUUCUAUUAAAUGUGCAUUGGGAGUGAUGUAUUAUUAUAUAUUAAGGUUUAUAAAUUUGAAAAGGAUAAAAGUGGAAAAACAUGAUAAAUUUAUGUCUUUACUUUUUUUUCUUAACAUGUAUGUCAAGAUUCAACAAUUAACUUAUCAUGAAACGGAGGAAAUAUUUAUCAAACUAAUCUUAUUAUUUAUAUUUUGAAAAUUUAAAUUUGAUUACUAAUAGUUUAUAUAAUUUUUUAGUGAUGAAUACUAAUAAAUUAACAUCAACUUUUUAUUUUUUAAAAUACAUAAAUAAAAAGAAAAAUUAUUUCAGUGGGCCAAAUAAAAAAAUAAAGAGAGUAACAAAAUUGGGUUUUAAAUAGAAAAUAUGUGCAAAAUUAACUAAAAGAUAUAUGAGGAGAUGAGGGGAAGGAAUACAUUUUCUGACCCAACAGGCCCACAAAUACACGUGUCAAUAUAUAAAAGAUGCCUCACACAACUAUUGUUGGUUGUGUUUCACUCAUGUUAAAAUUUUUCCUCAUGCACCACCUAACAUAUUUGCAUGAGACCCUAUUAUUUUGAUACAUAAACUUUGUUGGUCCUAUCUAUCAAAUCAGUUCUUUCUUUCUCCAUAUUCCUUUACCUUUUUUUUUUUAAAUAACUCAUCUUUUUGCUCUUUUGUUUUAGAGUUAAUUUUUAUUUAUUUAUUUAUUUAUUUAUUUAUUUUGUCUUUCUUUAUCUUAGCUUUUUAAUUUUUUUCGUGCUCAUGAAACUAAUCAAAUUAAUGAUCUUUUUAUCUUCCUAAUUCCUACUUGUAGAUAUUUGCAAUCAUAUCAAAUUUAUAUAGUAUUUUUUUGUUUUAAUUUAUUUAUAUAGUCCUUGGGUGUUUCAAGGGGUCUAGCAGGUCGGCAUAAGGGGGACUGGUGGUGGAAUGAAAAAGUUAAAAAGAAAGUGGAGAAAAGAAGGGGGCGUAUGUGAAGUUGAUUGAGAGUAAAGACGAAAAGGGAAAAUGGGGGAAUUGUGAGGUUUACAAAGUAGCAAGGAAAGAGGCUAAGUUAGCAGUUAUGGCUGCUAAGACAGUAGCUUUUGAAAGCUUGUAUGCGAGGUUAGAUGAGAAAGGAUGGGAAAAAAGGUUUUAUAGGCUGGCUAAGGCUAGGGAGAGGAAGGGUUGUGACCUCGAUCAAGUGAAGUGCAUUAAGGGGGAGUGGUAGAGUUUUGGUGGGGGAUGUUCACCUUAAGAAGAGAUAGUAGGAGUAUUUUCAUAGACUUCUAAACGAGGAGGGGGACAGAGGCAUUGUGUUAGGGGAGCUGGAGCGCUCGGAGAAGAGUCGUGAUUUCAGUUACUGUAGACGUUUUAAGGUUGAGAAGGUUAGAUAGGUUAUUCGUAGGAUACAGAGGGGUAGGGUGAUGGAGCCUGACGAGAUUCCGGUGGAUUUUUAAAAGUAUACUGGUGGGGCAGGUUUAAGGUGGUUGAUUGAUUUGUUUAACGUUAUUUUUAAGACGACGAGAAUGCUUGAGGCUUGGAGAUGGAGUAUGAUGAUUCUGUUAUAUAAAAACAAGGGUGACAUUCAUAGUUGCAACAACUAUAGUGGUAUUAAACUGUUGAGUCACACUAUGAAGAUUUUGGGAGAGGAUGGUUGAACAGAAAUUGAGGAGGGUUGUGUCCAUUUUGGAGAAUCAGUUUGGUUUUAUGCCUAGUCAUUCGACGAUAGAAGCAAUCCACCUGGUGAGAAGAUUGGUGGAGCAGUAUAGGAAAAGAAAGAGGGACUUGCACAUAGCGUUCAUCAACCUAGAGAAGGCGUACGACAAAGUCCCUAGGGAGGUUCUUUGGAGUGCUUGGAGGUGAGUGGAGCUUCGGUGGUGUACAUCAAAGCUAUUAAGGACAUGUACGAUGGAGGAAAGACUCGGGUGAGGACGACGGUAGGAGACUUAGGGCAUUUUUCGGUUGAGACAGGUUUGUAUCAGGGAUCGACUCUUAGUCCAUUCCUUUUUGCGUUAGUGAUAGACGUGCUGAUGCAAAGUAUUCAAGGGAAGGUGCCUUGGUGUAUGUUAUUUGCGGAUGAUGUAGAGUUGAUUGAUAAGACGCGGGGAUGUAUGAAUGAGAAAUUGGAGGUUUGAAGGCAAACCCUUGAAUCUAAGGGUUCAGGUUGAGUAGGUCCAAGACGGAGUAUUUUGGAGUGCAAGUUUAGCGACUCGAGUCAGGAGGACGAAGUGACGGGAAGGUUGGAUUUCUAGGAUGUUUGUAAGAGGGAUAGUUUUAAGUAUUUGGAUUCUAUGAUUCAGGGAAAUAACGAGAUUGACGAGGAAGUCUCCAAACAUAUUAGAGUAGGUUAGAUAAAGUGGAGGCUCACCUUGGGAGUGUUGUGUGAUAAGAAGGUACCCCUUAAGCUUAAAGGUAAAUUCUACAGAGUGAUAGUCCGUCCGGCCAUGCUGUACGGAGUGGAGUGUUGGCUAGUCAAGAACUCCCACAUUCAAAGAUUGGAAGUGGCGAAAAUGAGAAUGUUGCAUUGGAUGUGUGGACUCACUAGAGGGGAUAUAUUUAGGAAUGAGACUAUCCGGGAUAAGGUGGGAAUAGAUUUGGUGGAGGACAAAAUACGAGAAAGAAGGUUGAGAUAGUUUGGGCAUGUAAUGAGGAAGGGCACGGAUGCCCCAGUUCGGAGGUGCGAGAGGCUAGCUUUGGAUAGCUUCAGGAGGAGUAGAGGUAGGCUGAAGAAAUACUGGGGGGAGGUAAUUAGACCUGACAUGGAGCAGCUUCAGCUUACUGAGGACAUGACCCUAGACAGGAAGGUGUGGAGGUCGCGGAUUAGGGUAGAAGGAUAAUGUGAGCGUGUGGAUUGUAGCAAGGUGGUAGGAGAGCGCUUGUGUAGCCGGGUUAGUAAUCCUAGGGUUGUGUUCGUGAGUAGGAGCCUUUAGUUAGGAGAGUUUGGGUGUGGUGGGUGUCUUUGGUCUGUGAGUGCAUGUUACUACUAGGUGGGUGUCCUCUUUCUUAUUUCUUAUUUCGAAUUGCUAGUAUUUCGCUUAUUUUAGUAUUUCUCUGAUAUUUAUUUUGUAUUUUAUGUUUAUUAUUUCUUAUCUCGUAUUUCGUUUAUGCUAUCUAUCCUGUUUCAUGUUUCAUUACGAUUUUGAUGUACUAUUCUUUAUCUUGAGCCGGGGGUCUAUUGGAAACAACCUCUCUACUUCUGCGGAGGUAGCGGUAUGAACUGCGUACAUCUUACCCCUCCCCAGACCUCACUUUGUGGGAAUACACUGGGACUAUUGUUGAUAUGUCACUUUUCUAGAAGUUCAUUUCAAAAAGAAUGUCUUUUUUAUUUUCUAUUUUUUUAUUUUAACUGUUUACAUGACAUGUUUAAAAUCACAAAAGUUAAAGAAUACUUGAAUAUAUUUUAUAUUUUUUAAAUUUAAGAUCAAUCAAGAGCCGGUUUGGAUAGGAUUAAAACUAACUUUUUAAUUUAUAUGUUUAAAAGCUGAAAAUAAAUGUUUAGAAAUUAAGAAGAUAAAUGUUUGGAUAAAAGUGUUGAAACUGAAAAGAAGUUGUGGAUGUGCUUGAUAAACAAGGGUUGUUAAACACUUUUUUACUAUCAAAAUGACUUAAAUACUUUUAAAGCUGCUAAUACCAUAAAUAAGUUAAAUUAUAUAUAAUUUUUAAUUCUAAUAAUUCAAAAACAAAGAAAAAUAUGAAGAGAAAACUAGAAGAAAGAGACGGAGAGAAGAGGCAAAGAGAAAAAUAAAGAAAACUAAUAUAUUUAAAGGCUGCAAAUUUAGGGUAUUGUUGAAAUUGAAGAAAAAUAUAAGGAAUAAGAAGGUAAAUGUCUAGGUCAAACUAAAGAGAAUUUUAGUUUAAAAGGUAAAAAAUUGGGGGUACCCGGCGUCUCACUUUUUUUUAAAAGCAAAUUUUAACAUUUUUAAGUACUUUUUAAUUCUACCACACAUCUAAAAAAGUUAAAAGGAAAUUAAAAGUUGAUUUGAUCAGAUUUUAAUCUUAUUCAAACGAACUCUAAAAGUUAUUUUAAUUUAAUUUUUUAUGUCUAUUUAAUGAUAGGGCAACUCUAAAAUUUUAGGAAAAGAGUACUAAAAAAAUUAAAAUCAAUAUUUAGAUUUAUGUAUGUAACGUUCCGAAUCUAGUACCCUGAAUGCUACACGGUGCUCAUGAUCCCGAAGAAUCACAAGCUAACCCAUGACUGAUAUCUGUAUCUGAACACUGCAUAAUAUACUGUAUAAAUACGGAAAUAGUAGGCUGAAACAUGCCAUAAGGUUCAAAACUGAUAAACAUCUGAUAAAACAAUAUCUGAAUAAUAUGGUACGACAAUACUAAAACUGAAACAAUGUCAGAAAACAUCUAGUCUGAAAACACUGUAGUUUGAAAGCCUCUAAACUAUUUGAAUAAGGAGUUGAUGAGACAUGUCUUCAACUAACUCCAACUACUGAAAUAAACUAAAUAAUGAAGAAAUAAAGUAAUGAUCAUGUCCUCGAAGGAUGAGGACUCACUGCUAACUUUGACUGCUAAAACUGGAAUGCUACUGAUGCUCUGGAGCUCGUGCUUCUGAACCUAUGGUAUAGAAUAAAACACCAUAGCGUAAAUGUGUCAGUAAGAUUGAAUGUACUGGUAUACAUGUGAGGUAGGCUGAAUGCAAAGGGUUCAAAUGCAUGAACAAUGCUAACUGACUGUAUAACAUGAACGUGAGAAUACAUGCAUGAAUAAGUGACUGUGACUGAAUUCGUGAUGGUACUGGAUACUGAGUCUGAUUACUGAUAACAUAAGUCACUAAUAACUGAUAUAACUGAUACUGAGUGACUGUAGCUGACAGUCUAGGUUUUGAUGAAACUAACUGAGUUUCGUACUGUUUUGAGUUGAUUGUAUCUGAUAGUCCUUAAAUUUUGAAGAAUUAUCUGAGUUCUAUUACUGAGACUGAGUCUAAAACUGUAGCUGUAGGAAGUAGUCAUCUAAUUGACAUGCCCCAAAUAAAGCAAUAUAGCUAGGUUGGGGUCCAAUUCGUAAUCUCAAUUGGAAGGGUGUCAAUAUCACGCCACUAAUAAAGACAAGCUGUGGGUGACCCUCAUCUGAUAGUGUCCCCAAAAGAAAAUGAUGGAACCCUCAUCUUACAGUGUUUAUCCACCUCAUCAACCCUCAUCUGUCAGUGUUGAUGUCUCAACCUAUACUGGCUAUAUAGUUCUGGAAUGCAAUGAUUGCUUCUAAGGAUAACACCCUCAACUGUCACUGUGUCCUCAUCCUUGGGUUCACUCAGUGCUAAAUCCUACUUCCAUCUGAAUAGACACUAAACAUGAUUAACUAAACUGAACUGGACUGAGUUUAUUGAGUUUCAUUGACUGUUGGAAUACUACUGAGAUUACUGAAUUACUGAGCUUUCUGAGAUUAUUGGGAUUACUGAGUUUACUAAGUUUUCUUGAGUCAUAUGACUAACUGAAUUCUACUGAACAUAACUUGACUGAGGAUAUCGUGAGAACAUGACACUGGCUCUAGACACACAGCUAAAUUAUCGGGUACAAGUAUCCCCAGGACUCGAUAGAAGGAAACUGACAAGGCAUGACAUUCUUGAACACAACCAACAUCAAUAAUCCAUAAUACAAUGAGUUGGGGAUUUCAUGAAGUACAUGGUUAUCAUAAUCUUAUACAUGGUAGGAAUGCAUAUACUCAAUAUCAUAAUUUCAUACUCUAACAUCAUGAGCAUUCCAACAAACAUCUAUAUUGCACAUCAAUAGCAUGGGAGUCAUUCGAACAUAAGGGUAAAACAUGAAUCCUUCACUUAAGUGACAAUUGAGUCAUAUUACAUAAUUUCUAGUCUCUUAGGCAUUUUGUCAAACACUUAAGGUGCAUGACUUAAGGCAUGGAAUAAUCAUCAAAUUAACAUAUCAUAACCAACUAAAAUUCAUGGUUUUCAACUCACAUGCUAACAUAUUUUCAUAAAAACACAUUAAGAUUCCAACUUGAGAAUCAUACAACAACAACCACCACAUGAACAUAAUCACCACAUAGAAUGAAUAUCAUAAUUCAUAGUUUAAAACUUGAUUCUUGGGCUUCAUGGACGAAAGGAAUCCAUGAAUGAACACUAUGCAUACCUAAGAAAGGAAACCUUGAAGGUUCUUGGAGUUCUUGGAUGGAUUUCUUGAGAUUGACCUUGAUUCUCAAGGGCUAGGGUUUUAUUUUCUUGAGAGAGAAUGUUCUUGAUAGUGGGGAAAAAGUGAAUAAUAAGUAGCUAAGGAUGUUUUUAAGGCUUAAAUCCCACAUCUUAGUGGAAUAAAAUCAUGACAAAAGACCCAUUUAACUCUGGACGCGUCUUUUAAUUUUUGUGAAAAUUUUUCGAUCUGAACCCCUGGCGUGAAGCGGCGCUAUAGCUACAUGUCUCUGGAAAGUGAAAACUAAAAAAUUUCAUGGUGGCGCAACGCGGUACAAUCACGUUGCCACCUUGGACGCGACCUGGAAUCUCACCGCGACACGGUGGUAUCGCGUUGGAACACUGAAAAAGGAAAAUUGUGAACUGGGCCUUUGGCGUGACGUGCCACUAUCGCGGAGCAACAAUGGAAAUUGACAAUUUCCGUUUAAGUUGGCUCCGCGAUGCGCUGAUUGCUCAGGUGAUACACUGUCUCACUAAAAAGGUUCAACUCUUUGCCCGGGUGUCGGAUUUGGGCGAAUUUGAUAUCGAUGGAAAGCUUAUUGAAUUUUUCACACAACAAAAAGUAAAAAUCUUAAAAAUUCCAAGUAUAUAAAAGUGUAUUCAUCCUUAAAGCAUUUCUUUGACAUCUUCGGGAUGAAUUUAAGUUAGGUAGAACUACGGGGUAUUACAAUAUAGGACCCACUCCAUUUUUUGAUCCUAUCAACUUUAAAUUUUACUAUACCAGAGAUACCCUUAACAAUAUAAAAUAUGUGAUGAUUCUUAAUUUCUAAAUUUUAGAUAUAAAUUUAAUAAUAUUAAAUCAUAAUAAAUAAUGUCAUAUAGAAUUACGAAAGAUAAAUUUAUUACUUGUGAAAUUUAAUUUUAAAUUUUCAAUAUCCAAAAUUCUUUAUACUAACAAAAAAUUAAGAGAAUAUAAUUAAAAAUAAAUUACCACCAUAGUUGAGUGAAAAAAAAUUAAUUUGUUUAUAAAUACCAAUAAAUAAAAAUUAGGAGGAAAUAAAAACAAAGAAAAAUAAUAAAAACAUCAAUUUAUUUAGUACAGUAACACGAGAAAAAAAAUUGAAGAACAGAAAAAGAAAGAAAAAUUAAAAAAAAAGUAAAUAAAAGUUAACCCCAUAAAAGAAAAAGGAAAAGGAAAAAAGUGAUUUGUCCAAAAAAUGAAAAAAUUAAAUAACUUAGGAAAUAAAAGAAUAUAAAAAUGCAAAUUAAUUUAGGUGGUGGGGCCCACAAAGCUUAUGUGUCAAAAUAAUAGGGACCUCAUGCAAAUAUGAGAUGGUGCAUGAGGCCUAUAGUAAAAUUUUUCAGCCGCCUUAGACCCCCAAAUUUGAGAGGCAUCAUUUUUUAGGAUAAUAUAUUAUAAAUAUUUUUAAAAAAUGAAAAAAUAUUUUUAAUAGAAAAAUUAAGUUAUUUUAGAUAAAAGGAAAGAAUUAUUAAAAGUUCAUAUAUCUAGAGUGUUUUGUCUCAUGAAAGAUUAAAUGUAUUAAUUUAUUAUUUCUUAAAAAGGAAUAAUUUAAAAAAUAAAUUAUAUAAUUUUUAAAAUAAAGUUUAUUAAAAAAAUAUUUUUUUCUUAAAAUUUUAAGGCCUCCGUUUGACUUUCGCCUUAGGCCACCGAUUUUCUUGAGCAGCCCCUGGGAAGGUGGCAAGUAUUUCACGAAUUUAGUCGAGGUGCAUGAAAGUUGAACUAGAUGCCAGCAUUAUAAAAAAAAUAAUUUUUGAAGUUUCAACUAUAGUGUUUCAAAAUUUUCAAGUUUAGUGGUUUUUUAAUGCGGAUUUAAAUUUCAUAUUAUGUGGGAAAUGGAAAACAUUGUAUGGUCCUUCAUUCAAUGGUUACAUACUCAAGUAUCUAUUGGUGGUGGUGGAAGGUGACAAGUAUUAUGUGAAUUUGGUCGAGGAACGUUGUAAGAAAAUCAUUUUUUUACUGUUAACUAAACUAUAGCUAGUAGUGUCUAUGUUACAAAUUCGGACAAGUAUAAGUAUAAUCGUCCAAUAGAUUAUUGUGAAAAUUGAAAGAUGUUGUCUAAUACCUAAACAACAAAUUCACCAACCAAAUUGAAGAAAAUGGAAGGAAAAUGGCAUCGUCUCUAGUUACCAAACAGUUUAUCGGGGCUCCGUUUUCCAGAUUCGGAUCGGUUCAGCUACCAUCCAACUUCUCCUCUUCUAACCUUCAAACUCCUAGCUCACCGAUUGCAGCCUAAACGAGUAGGUGAAACUUUGUGCCCUCCACCUGUUUGUUAAAAUGUUUGAAUGAACAACUUUAGGUUUAUCACCUUUUUCCUUGUUUUUGUGUGAAUUAAGACAUUGGGUUUUAAACUUUCUUACAAUUUUCUUGUUUUGAGAACUAUGGUGUCCGAGUCAGUUUAUGUGCACCUUAAAUAAUUUCGCAUGAUAUCUGUCCACUUCCUACUAGCGAUGGAUAGAUAUCAGGUAACUCUAAAGCUAAAUUUAUGUGAUACCUCUCCUUCAUGUAUAAAUUUGGUGCAAAAAUUUCAAGAACAAGACUAGUAUGGAUGUUUGGCAGGUGGACUGAAUAAGUUACUUCUUUUAAUCUUAUAAUUAUUCAAUUUCAUUAGUAUCUUUAUUUACCUGAUUCAUGCCAACUCUUGCUCAGUAAGGACAAAUCAGGGAUGAAUCUAUAAACAAAAGUAGAUUGUUAUGUCCUUUAAAUCGUAAUUGAAUCGUGAGAGAGAAAUCGAAGAUUCAAUCGAAUAGAAUUGAGAUUUUAUUGAUAAUAGUUCAGUAAAAUUGUUACAAUAGCAUUCACUACUACAAGAUUAUUGCGAACCAAACUCCAUUGAUAAGAAUCUAGCUUUGUAAUCUGUGAUAGUGCGUUAAUGGUGAGGAAGAAUUAGUCGAGGAAGAAGGAAAACGCAAAAAGAACAAGAGCAACAAAAUAACCCUGUCCAAAUCUAUUUAGGCUCCGCUCCACGUGUGUUGGUAUAACCGUUUGGACCUGCUCUAGCUAUCACCCAUCAUUUGGUCGUUCAUCACUUUAAUGAAGGAUCCAUCUUGUCCGUUUAUUUUAUCUCAUUCUAUGGCUUCCACAAGGACACAACCUAAACUGUGCCAUCGAAUCACUUAACAUAUAAUCCUACACUACUUUCCCAAUUCACACUUUCCCAAUUCACACUUUAGGAUCUAACAAUACCCCUCUGAUCAAAUUGACUUUGUCCUCAAGGUCAAGAUUGAGAUGAAAAUGCCAGAAAUUGAUGAUGAAUGUAAUUUCAGUCCGCCCAGGUUUCUUCCUCAGGGCUAAAAUUAGUUCAACAGACCAAAACCUUUACUGCAGAAGUGUUGUUCUCCUUCAUCAUACAACACUGAAGAAUGGCCAAUGGCUGCACAAUGACUAGACCUUCGUCAUCAUAGAUUGGGGCCUUACGAUGUAGUACAACAGAAGGACCAAUGCAAUAUUUCAACUACGAAACAUGGAAAACAAGGUGGAUUAUGGAUCCAGCAGGAAAUUCCAAAUGGUAUGCUACUGUACCAAUUCUCUGUAAGAUCCUGUAGGGUCCAUAUUAGCAAGCACUCAAUUUUAAAUUCCGUCGAAUGACUAAUGUUACUCUGGUGGUAAGACUGGAGUUUGAGAUAGACUAAGUCACCUUCCUAGAGCACACAUUACGAUCUAUUUUGAUCAGCAUAAAAAUUCAUACGUGACUGAGCCUGGAAAAGAUUGUCCUUCAGAGAGUACAAGAGUUAUUGUUAGUGAGUCAAGUACAUCCCAGCCUGGGAUUAGUAGGAUGUAGAAGGGGCCCUAGCGAAAUAUGAGGUGGGGCAAACCCGUAUAAGGCCUGAAAAGAAGUGUAUUGAUAGCAGUAUGGUGGUUAGUAUUGUACCACCACUCAGAUAGUAGUAGAAAGGUGGUCCACUGUUUAGGAUUGUUAGAGGUCAUAGCCCGUAAGUAGAAGUUAAGACAACGAUUUGAACGCUUCAUUUGACCAUCGAUCUGGGGGUGGUAGGAGGUUGAUAGUUUGAGUUGAGUGCCCAUAGAUUUAAAUAUAGUUUGCCAGAAUUAGCUAGUAAUAAUGGGUCACGAUUAGACACGAUACUCUAGGGAAGACCAUGUAGCUUGUAAGUUGAUGUUGGGUGUAUUUAUACACUUUAGUGUUGCUAUCCUAACUUAUUUAGUCUUGUUUUAAGGACAAUUCAUGUUCUUUAUGUGUUGAUAUAAAUAAGCAUCUAAGUGUUCAAGUAUGUAAUUACAAUGUUCAAUGGUGUUUUCAAACAAGUUUGGGUUUAAAUUGAUCAUUUAGAGUCUAGACGAGAAAACUAGUUUACUAGCUUUUGCUAGGUAUUGUUCUAGUUGUUUUCUAUAGAUUCUAGUGGGUGUAUUGAGUUCCUCAGGUUAUUAUUGUGUAAUUAUAUCUGGAACAACUUGUUUGUAAUGUGCAAAGUUCAAUUGGAUCGAGUCAAGAGUCGGAACAAUAAGUUAAAGAUCAAUGUGGGGAAAAAUGACCUUCUGAACCCCUGUACUAUGUCAGUUUUGUAAGUUGGACACUUCUACUUACAUGUUUGUCAUCUGGACCCUUGAACCCAUAAAAAAGCAAUAUUUUGCACCCUUUGACCUUUGACCUUGCCUAUGUGGCAAGGUCAUGGUGACUAAGACAGAGAGUGUAGCCACUCGCCUGGGGUGCGAGUGGGGGUCAUUUUUUGGCCAAUUUUACAUUAAAAUAAUUUUAAAAAAUAAAAAAAUAUUAAAAUUUAAAAAAAUUUCAAAAGGAUCCUUUUUUCCCUCUAUCUUUUUAAAUUUUAAAAUAUUUUAAAAAAUUUAAAAAUAAUUUUAAAAUAUUUUUAAAAAUUUAAAAAUAAUUUAAAUAUAUUUUUAAAAUUUUAAAAAUAAUUUAAAAAUAUUUUUAAAAUUUUAAAAAAAAAUAAAAAAGGGUCCUUUUUUCUCUCCAUUUUUUUUAAUUUAAAAAUAUUUUUAAAAAUAUUUUUAAAAUCAACUUAUUUUCCUCAAAUUUUAAGAAAAAUAACUUUCCUUCAAAAAGUAAGGAAAAUAUUUUUUAAAAUUCUCUUCAACCUCUCUCUCAGGUUGAAAUAUUCAUCAACUCUCAAAAUCAUCCAUUCCUGCCCACUCAAAAAAAAAUAGCAUUUAGCGACGAAAUUUACCGACAGAUUAUUUUCUGUCACUGAUUAGUGACGGAUUAGCGACGGAAGCAUCAAUUUUGUCGCAAGCAUAGAAAGUACCUUUUUAAUUUAUGAUAUAGCAAUAGAUCAAAAACAGGUUUUUUUUCAUCGCCAAAUAUUGACGUAAAAAUUUGGUCCCUUAAUUCCGUGACGGAUUUAGCAACAAAUUAUGUGUAAUCAUUUUAAUAAAUUUGUAGCAAUGAAUUUAGCAACAGAUAUUUGUGUCAGUAUCAUUUAUAAUAUUUUUAUAAAUUUUAUUUAUUACUAGCGAUAGAAUAAUCUGUCACAAGUAUUUAUAAUUAUUAAAAUUAGUAUAUGUUUAUAUUCUCAAAAUAUCUAGGGCGGCAUUCAUUUUAUAAAUUUUUCUUAUUUAAUUAAAUUAAUUUUAAUAUUUAAUUUGGUUAUGUAGAAUUUUAAAAAUGACUUAAAAUUUAAUGUAAUACUUUUUUUUAAAAAAAUGAUGUGACAGAUGAUGUGGCAGACGUGUUAGGCCUGGCAGCUGAUAUGGCAGCUGAUGUAGGGGAGAGUGUGUUACACUCACCAACAAAAGGGUUUAAAAUGUUGCUUUUAGUGGGUUCAGGGUUCAGAUGACAAACAUGCAAGUAGAAGUGUCCAACUUACAAAAUUGACAUAAUACAGGGGUCCAAAAGGUCAUUUUGCCAUCAAUGUGGACAAGCCUAGUCUUAGAUCGUGUUUUAGUUAAUUGCUGUGAAUGUUGUAUUAUUUUAAACUCUAAUAUUUAGUGUUUGAUCAUGUAGGAUGCUUGGUGAUUUAAUUAUGGUGAUAUAUUGAUGAAAUAUAAGCCGAAAACCAAAGGAAAACAAUACCAAAAGGCAAGGGAUGGAAAGAGAAACAUUUAGAAAAAUAUAGGUGUCAAGAGGCAAUUUCUAGUGAGCCUACGCAUUUGGGCCUCGACUGUAACGCCCCAAUUUUCUAAAUUGAAAUGCUACACAGUGCCCAUGACCCUGAAGGACCACAAGCUAACCCAUGACUUAUAUCUGUAACUGAGCACUGAAUAACUAUACUAUAAAAUAUGCGGAAACAUAAUACUGUAAGGCCAUAAGGUUCAAAUCUGAAUAAACAUUUGAUAAAAUAAUAUCUGAAAAUGGUAUAACAAUACCAACAUAAAUCUGAAAUAAUUGUAUGAUAUGCUGUAGUCUGAAAACCUCUAAACUGAACUGAAUAAGGAGUUGAGGAGACAUAUUCCCAACUAACUCCGUCUACUGAAAUAAACUGAAAAAUUGAAAUAGUGAUAUGAAUAAUAACAUAAUUGUCCUCAAAGGAUGAGAACUCACUGUUAAUUACUGCUGCUAGCUGACUUUGAAAUUGCUAAGGGAGCUAUGGAUCCCGUGCGUCCAAACCUAUGGUAUAAGACACUAUAGCGCGAGAAAAAUAUGCGUCAAUACUUUGAAUGUACUGGUAUGCAAGUGAGGUAGGCUGAAUGCAUGGGUUUCAUAUGUAUGAACAAUACUGACUAACAUAAACGUGAGAAUAUAUGGUACUAGUACUGGAUACUGAAUUCUGUGUACUGAUUUACUGACAUCUGAGUUUACUGAAUAAAGGGGAACUGAUGUUUAUUACUGAUAAAGAAAAUAAUUGUUUUUGAUAGUUCUGAUUAUGAAAAACUGAUCUAAUUGAUCGUAUAUAACAGUCCUGAAACUGAGUUCGUGAUAACAUGACUACUGAGUAUGAAUACUGAUGACAUGUAUUUACUGAUAACAUAUCAUGACUGAUAACUGAAUUCUAAUAACUAAUAUAUCUGAUAACAUGAGUUCUGAUAACUGAUAGCAUGAAUGACUGUAUCUGACAGUCCUGAAUCUGAUGGAACUAGCUGAGUUCCGUACUGUAUCUGAGUUAACUGUAUCUGACAGUCCUGAUAUCCUGAAGAACUAUCUGAGUUCUUUUACUGAGACUAAUACUAAAGAUGUGGGAAUUAGUUAUUUAACUGACAUGCCCCAAAUACACUAUAAUAGCUAAGAUGGGGUCCAAUCUCUAUCCUAAUUGGAAGGGUGUCAAUACCGCGCCACUGGUAAAGACAAGUUGUGAGUGACCCUCAUCUGGCAGGUACUCUAAUAAGAACGGUGGGAACCCUCAUCUGACAGGUUAGGCCACCUCAUCUACCCUCAACUGACAGGUAUUGAUGUCUCAACCUAUGCUGGCUACAUAGUUCUGGAACGCAAGGACUGCUUCUAAGAAUCACACCCUCUACUGACAGGUGAGUUCCCAUCCUUGGGUUCAUUUGGUGCUGAAUCCUACUCCCAACUGAAUGACACUGAACUGAUUAUAGUGAACUGAUUUCCUAGUUCAUACUAGAAUUAACUGAGCUGUUACUGAUUGCUCUGUUUAACUGAACUAAAAUGGACUGAGUUUAUUAAGUUCCGAUGACUUGCGAAACACUACUGAAUUCUGUUAACUGACUAAAUGCUACUGAGUUCUGUUUGCUGACUGAUUUUACUGAUGUUUGAACUAAAUACUGAACUAAACUGUACUGAUACUGAGAUUUACUGAAUUUCAUAGAUUGAUGAAAUAUUACUGAGAUUAUGUAGAUUACUGAGUACUGAGUAAAACUUACCUGAUACUGCCUUUACAUGAGUUUUACUGAGUCAUGAGACUGACUAAGUCUACUGAACAUGGCUUGACUGAGAGUAUCGUGAAAACAUGACAUGGCUCUAGGCACCCAACUAUAUUUUUCAGGUACAAGUACCCCCAGGACUCGAUAGAAGGAAAGUGACACAUCAUGAAAAUUCUUGAUCAUAGGACUAUAGUCCGCAAUUCAUAAUACCAUAAGUUGGGGAUUUCAUGAAAGCACUUGAUAAUCAUAAUCUUGUACAUAAAUAGGAAUGUAUCCUAACAUAUCAUAAUUUCACAAUUUUAAUUUCACUUGCAUGACAUGAACUUGUAUACAUGCUAACAUAAUGUAGUUUCAUUACUUAACUUUCAUGAACUAUUUGUCAAACACUUCCAAGACAUAGCAUCAACAUGGAAAUCAUUUAGAUCAUGUAGUAUUAACAUGAAUUCAUUAUUUAGAUCACCAAUGGAUCACAAGGCACAAUCCAUUCACUUGAACAUUUUCACAAACACAUGAAAUACAUGAUUUUAUACUUAGGCAUAUAUAACAUGCUCCCAAUUCAUUACCAUAACCACCAAUUCACAUCUCAAGGUUUUCAACAUAUGAUGGUCAUGAUUCAACACAUAUGGGAAACAUGAAUAUUUUAUUCAUCAAUUAACAUAUAUCAAUAUUAUGGGUAUAACAUCCAACUUGCAAAUCUCAAGAACUCAACAUAAAUUUCAUAUGAAUAAUACCACAAAUAAAUUAGUUUUCAUGAUUCUUGAAAUAACUCAUAGAAUUAAAACUCAAUUUAACAUCAACAACAUGAUUAUAAACAUCCCACAACAAAAUAUUCAUGAUACAUAACUUAAAACUUGAUUCUUGAGCUCCAUGGAUGAAAUGAAUCCAUGAAUGAAUACUAUGCAUACCUUAGAUUGAUUAUCUGUGAAAGUUAACGGUGAAAUUGGCUUGAGCCUAAGAUUCAAUAGUGUCCUUGGAAGUUUGAAAGCGGCAUCCAAUAGAGUCUUGUACAUGGGUGUGUUGUGCACCACACUUAUGUGCAGGAGGCUAUGAGGUGUUUUAGAAAUAGUUUCCCUUAUUCCAUGUCUCAGAUCGUGCUAUAGAAAAGUUUUGUAAGAAAACUCAUGUAGAUUCUCAUCAUGCUACACGCAUGUUAACUCUAUCUUACUUUUAAGGUAAAAGAAUCAGUGAAGCUCAAAGUUCUAGAGAUAAAGUUUUCUUAACUAGUUCCAGCAUACAGUUAUGGGGUUUCCCCAUAUUAAUCCUGCUCUGUUCCAAGUCGUACAUAUUUUAUUCAGGGCCAUGAGAACUCGUUCACUAACCCAAUUUUAAAUAUGCCAUAAGAUCUCUUCUCAUAAUUCUAUGAUAGCAUAGACCUAGAAUUUUUAAGCAUGAACUCAGGAGUUAACAGUGGUAGAGUUGGGAUAGUAUUAUCCAGUUUGAUCAGAUUAUGUAUUCAUGGGGAUAGUUGUACCAUAGUAAAUCAGUAGGCUUGAACAGUGUAAGCUAGAAUUUAAGUUUAUUGAUUUGAAUUGAGUCAAAUUAAUCAUGAAGCAAUGGAUAUGAUAUUAACAGUGUAUGAGGAAACAACAACAAGCAAUGGGUUUAGUAAGGCAAGCAUAUGUUGAACAGAGCGUAAGUAUGUGGUUAUGAUUACAGUUCAGUUCAGAGUUUAGUAAAGUAUUCGCAGACUUAAGAUGAUGGCUUAAAGCUAAGGGGGGUAUGAUAGAUCAAGUACCCGAGUCAGGCUUUCAAACUCUAGCAGUAGUGCUAGUAUGUAUAGAAGAAGCAAUAAGGGAAGACAAUUUCCAACCCAUCCUCAUCUCAGUGCAAAGUUCUGUACUUCAGUCAGCAUGAUGCCUAUGCAUGUUUCACAUCUCAGUUUCAUGAACACAGCUUCUAUUCGUAUGUUUUUCAUAAAUCGUGUGCCAUCCCAGUUUCUAUUAUACGGAUUUCCAUCUCCCUCAGUGUUACAGAUCAUGCCCUACGAAUUUAAAAAUUGCAGACUCAGGUCAUGCAGCUCAUAACUCAUGUACACAUGUCACACUUUAUAGUAUACUCAGUUUCCAUGACUCAUUCCAUGCCCCUACAGAUCAGAUAAGUUUAUACCACAUCAUGUAUAUCCUCAUUUCAAAUCUUUUUGGUAAAUCUAUGCUGUUGAUAUUCUAUUCCUUAAAGUUUUAGUCAUAUGUUAAGUUCAGUUUGUAUCCAUUCAUGCUAUAGAUCUUCCUGAUUUAACCUUUCAGUAAGCUUUCUUUGUGAAAUAGUGUAGUUAUGAGCAUUUGCUUAGUGGGAGAGAAUAAAUGUUUCAUGUUAAGAAAAGGUUGUUGCAUGCUUGUUUUACAUGAGGGUGUAGUUAUGAAGAUAGGCUUGAAUGUCAUGUUAGUAUGUAGUACUUAGAAAUUUGUAAGUUUAGAGUGUGAGAGUGCAUUCAAAUCCUUGACUUAUGUCAGCCUUUAUUAUGCGACUAUCAUAACCCAGUUGUCAUCCCAGUUACAAUUUUAGUACUCGGUGAUUAGUGUUCAGUCUCAGAAUUAAACUCUUCAGUAUCAGUCUAAACCUCAUUUUUAGUAUUCAGUUAUCAAGACCCUUCAGUUAAUUCCAGUAUUAGUCCCAGUUAUAGUGUCAGCUUCAGAUCAUUAUUCAGUUCAGACACACAGUUCAGUUUUAGACCUGCUUGACCAUAGCGUACAGUUAUCAGUUACUCAGUUAUAGAUAUUUCAGUAUCUCAUCCUAUGGAAUGUGUUAAAAUCAUGUAAUACGCUUGGUCCUACAUUUUUAAACAAUAUAGCUUUCAUGAAAUCCAUGCUCAGCUACCUCAUGUUACUCAGUCAGUCCUUUCUCGUAUGCAUAAUACUCUAUGGUCUCAGUCCAGCUAUUCAGACUAAGUACAAUUCAGUCUUGCAUACCCAAUAUUCAGUUACCAGUUAUUCAGUUAAUCAGAUAAGUUAGUAAAUUUAUGCACUUGUAAUCAGCUAAGUUCAUGCAUUAUGUCUCAGUUUCAGAUCCCAGCUAUUAAGUCACAAUUCAGUUCAUAAGUGCCUUGCACACCGCCUUAGUUUUGCUUAGUAUCUCAGCUAAGUCAGUAUUCUUCGAGGGACCUAAAGUCCCAAGGGGGAGAUACCCUAUAUCCCCCGACCUUAUGUGAUUUAAACAUGCCACUUUCUUUUCUCUAGAUGAAUCCAGCUAGAGGAGGGGUUACUUAUAAGCUGACCCUCUAGCUAUAAAUUUUAGUCGUAAUCCAUGUUCUUAAUGGCUCAGUUUAUCCCACUAUACUCUGUCUAUGUCAUGCAUUAUAGACUCAGUUCAACUCAUGUAUCAUGUUCCAAACUAAGUUAUGUUCUCAUAGUUCCGCUCAUGCAUAUUGAGCGAUUAAUCUCAGACUCAUCAGUAUUUUCAGUUCAACGUAACAGUCUUCCUUAAACUUACUCAUUCUCAUGUUCAGAUUUCAGUACCAAACUUGGUAUUUAGUUUCAUGCCCAGUUUUUAGUUAAACUUGGCAUCUUUUACUAUUGCAUAUUCAGUGGCAUGUUCACGAGCCAGUUCAAUCAUAUAAUCAUGCAUCAGAUAUGCAUGAAUUCAGCUUAUCAGUUAUGCACCAGAUAUGUAUUCUCAUUUUGAGAAACUCAGUUCAUCAGAACACUUAGUCCUUCAUUCAUAAAUCAGUUACACAUGCAUCAGAUAUGUAUGUUAGUUUGAUACAAAUUCAGUUUAUCAGUCAUGUAAAUCAUGAAAUCAUGUUUCAGUCAUUCAUAUUCAGUAUAUGCCUCAGUUGGUCUCUUCUCCCCUUCUUAGUAAGUCUCAUUCAAGGACGAAAGUUCCCAAGGGGGAGAUAUUGUAAGACCCCGUAAAAUUCCUAAGUCAAAUUCAGCUCCUUAAGGCUUGAUAAGGAAAUCCAACACUUAGAAGAAUUUUGCUAAGUUUUAGAAACACUUAGUUUCAUCUUAUACCUCCAAACUUUGGAGAUUUAUUUGACGACCUUUCUGACCUCCAUUUUUUUAUUUUCAAGUUGCGUUGUGAUCGGGGAAGUCAAGAGUACAUAUCGAGUUAGUUUUGGAAUUUUUGGAAUCCGUUUAGGGUAUGUUUGGAUUUCAAAACAGAAGCACCAUGCGAUUUGCAUGCGUCACAUGCUCUAUAGCAUGCCCCAGAAGUCUUUUCCACCUAUAUAUAUAUAUAUACAAAAACAUGAGAUUCAGCAUAAUUUAGCAGCAUAUGCUUAAUUUCUCUAAAAAUUUAUCAAGAACAAGUAAGGGUUCAAUUGGGGGUUUCAAGAUUCAAGCCAAUUUCACCGUUAACUUUCGCGGAUAAUCAAUCUAAGGUAUGCAUAGUGUUCAUUCAUGGAUUCUUUUCAUCCAUGGAGCUCAAGAAUCAAGUUUUAAGUUAUGUAUCAUGAAUAUUUUGUUGUGGGAUGUUUAUAAUCAUAUUGUUGAUGUUAAAUUGAGUUUUAAUUCCAUGAGUUAUUUCAAGAAUCAUGAAAACUAAUUUAUUUGUGGUAUUAUUCAUAUGAGAUUUAUGUUGAGUUCUUGGGAUUUGNNNNNNNNNNNNNNNNNNNNNNNNNNNNNNNNNNNNNNNNNNNNNNNNNNNNNNNNNNNNNNNNNNNNNNNNNNNNNNNNNNNNNNNNNNNNNNNNNNNNNNNNNNNNNNNNNNNNNNNNNNNNNNNNNNNNNNNNNNNNNNNNNNNNNNNNNNNNNNNNNNNNNNNNNNNNNNNNNNNNNNNNNNNNNNNNNNNNNNNNNNNNNNNNNNNNNNNNNNNNNNNNNNNNNNNNNNNNNNNNNNNNNNNNNNNNNNNNNNNNNNNNAUGUCAUGCAAGUGAAAUUAAAAUUGUGAAAUUAUGAUAUGUUAGGAUACAUUCCUAUUCAUGUACAAGAUUAUGAUUAUCAAGUGCUUUCAUGAAAUCCCCAACUUAUGGUAUUAUGAAUUGCGGACUUUAGUCCUAUGAUCAAGAAUUUUCAUGAUGUGUUAGUUUCCUUCCAUCGAGUCCUGGGGGUACUUGUACCUGAAAAAUAUAGUUGGGUGCCUAGAGCCAUGUCAUGUUUUCACGAUACUCUUAGUCAAGCCAUGUUCAGUAGACUUAGUCAGUCUCAUGACUCAGGAAAACUCAUGUAAAGGCAGUAUCAGUUUAGUUUUACUCAGUACUCAGUAAUCUAUGUAAUCUCAGUAAUAUUUCGUCAGUCUAUGAAAUUUAGUAAAUCUCAGUAUCAGUACAGUUUAGUUCAGUAUUCAGUUCAGACAUUAGUAAACUCUGUCAGCUAACAGAACUCAAUAUCAUUUAGUCAAUUAACAGAAUUCAGUAUCCAGUACUAGUACCGUUUCAAUUAUAGUUAUUAUGUAUUCAUGCAUGUAUUCUUACGUUCAUGUAAGUCAGUAUUGUUCAUAUAUAUGAACCCCAUGCAUUCAGCCUACCUCACUCGCAUACCAGUACAUUCAAAGUACUGACGCAUACUUUUCUCGCACUAUGGUGUCUUAUACCAUAGGUUUGGACGCACGGGAUCCAUAGCUCCCUAAGCAAUUUCAAAGUCAGCCAACAGCAGUAAUUAACAGUGAGUCCUCAUCCUUCGAGGAUAAUUAUGUUAUUAUUCAUAUCACUAUUUCAGUUUUUAAUUUAUUUCAGUAGACGGAGUUAGUUGGGAACAUGUCCCCUCAACUCCUUAUUCAGUUCAGUUUAGAGGUUUUCAGACUACAACAUGUCAGAUAAUUAUUUCAGAUUUAUGUUGGUAUUAUUAUACCAUUUUUAGAUAUUAUUUUAUCAGAUAUUUAUUCAGAUUUGAACCUUAUGGCCUUACAGUAUUAUGUUUCCUUAUAUUUUACAGUAUGGUUAUUCAGUGCUCAGGUACAGAUAUAAGUCAUGGGUUAGCUUGUGGUCCUUCGGGGUCAUAGGCACCAUGUAGCGUUCUAGUUCAGAAAAUUAGGGCGUUACAGCGACACACCACUCCCUCCACGAGAUAUACAACUCCCCACGCUACUCUAUCCAUGAGAUAUCCAAGGCAUCGUGUGGCUUAUCCCAUAGACAUCCACCAAUGCGACGAAGACCAUUUCCCACACAUGGCUAAUUGGUCUCUUAUAAAUAGGACUUGUUUCACUUAUUCUAAUGAUUUUUGGACGUAUUUAGGAGCUUGAAGAGGCUGUUGCACACGAUUUUUGAGGGUUCAUAUUCUUUAACUAAUAUUUUUAAUGGAUUUAAUCAUGUAUUCAAAUUUUUGGAUUACAAUUAUGUCUAUUAGUGGCUAAAUGUCCCCUUUUUGGGGUUAAGGCCAAGAACAUGUUUGCUAUCGUUAUGAAUUGAGUUUAUUUGGAUUGAUUAUCAUAUUUGAAUGUUUUUUCAUCCUUAUUUUAACUAUUUUAAGGAUUCGCGACCAUUAGAAUAUAUCUAUUGUCGACCUUGUGAUCUCAAGAGGGAAAAUUGGAAGAUAGAACAUGGAGAUGAAUAAAGUAAGGUUUUUAUUCUUUUAUAAAAUAAGGAAUUUGAAUUAGCAUCUAGGAAAGGGAUGGACCUAGAAGCCUUUCUUAGUUCACAUGUAGGAUGGUAGCUUUAAUUACUUAAUUAGAUUAUAACAUCCCCGCUCAACGAUGUAGUUGUAAUGUCCAGUUAGGUAGACGAUUAGAGGUUGGAAGAACAUAAUCAUGCGAUAAACCUUACGAAUCAAUAACCAAGAUAAUCAAUCUAAUGAAUGAAGUUCAAUUUAACGAAUGAAGUUCAAGAUAAGCAACCUUAUGAAUCAAUAAAGUGCCUUAACCCUGGGCUUUCCUCCAUUGAUUGUCUCAAGCCUUUACUUUAUGCACUAUUUAUUUUAAUUUUAGUUUAUCAAUUUCAAAACUCUUUUGAUUACUCUUGCAGUAAGUUAAUUUUAAUAGUGAACUAGAAUUUGAUAGUUGCAUAACACUAGUCCCUGUGGGAUCGAUACUUGGCUUGUGAAAAGGCCACUAUAUUACUUGGUAAGCCACGUACACUUGUGUGUGCGCUUGGACGCAACAUAAACCUCUCAGGAACAAAUCAAUCACAUCUUGAGCAGUGUAGGGAUGUUUAAGUGCUAGAAAAUAUGCGUACUUGGUUAGUCGAUAAACUAAAACCAAGACAACAUUUUUAUGACCUGAAACUAAAAGACCUUCUAUAAAGUCCAUGGCUAUGCUAUGCAAAGGAAGCUCAGGGAUGGGUAAGGGUUGAAGAAGACCGGGGGUGAUGACAUUUUCUGUUUUGGUCUUCUAAUAGGUAUCACAUUUGGAGACCCACUGAAUAAUAUCAGCCAUCAUAUUAGGCCAAUAGAACACCCGCUUGACCUUUUGAUAAGUCUCUUGUUGACCAGAAUGUCCUCCUAUGGGGGAGAUAUAAGGCCUGGAAAAUGUUAAGCCUCAAAUUAGUGCCCUUACCUAUAUAGAUUUUAUGGUCAUACCAGAUAACUCCUUGAGAUAAUAAAUAGUAAGGCUUGGAUCCAGGUAGAGUAAUAAGUUCUGUCAAUAAUUGAGUUGCAACAGGAUCAAGGUCGUAGCUCAAACUCACUUUCUGCAUCCAUGUAGGUUCAACCAAAGAAAUAGCAUAACAUUCAACAGCUUCCUCUCUUUUUCUAGAUAGGGCAGCUGCAACUUUGUUCUCAGUGCCCUUUUUAUACUACACCUCAUAGUCUAAUCCAAAGAGCUUGGUUAAUCCUUUUUGCAAUAGUAUAGUAUGCACCCUUUGCUCUAGAAAAUAUUUCAGGCUAUGGUGGUCAAUUUUUAUGAUGAAGUGAGCCGCUUGGUGGUAAUGUCUCCGUCUGCCAAUAGCCGAUAAAACAUCCAGGAAUUCCUUCUCGUAAGUAGAUAGUCAUAAGUGUUUAGGAGACAAGGCCUUGCUAAAAAAAAAAGAUAAAGGCCUGUUGUCUUGCAUAAGAACAACUCCUAUACCUGUAGAACAUACAUCAGUCUCUACCAUAAAUACCUUGGAAAAAUUGGUUAAAGCUAUAACUGGAGCAGAUAUCAUAGCUUACUUCAGAAGUAGAAAAGCAGUGUCAGCUGAUGUAUCCCAAUGAAAGGCAUUCUUUUUCAGCAAAUUGGUGAGUGGUCUACUGGUUGUUUCAUAAGAUCUAAUAAGCCUCCUAUAGUAACCUCUUAGGCCUAUGAAACCCCUCAAUGCCAACUUGCCAUAACUUCUACCUUAGCAGGGUUAGUAGCCUCCCCUUCUUGUGUGAUAAUGUGACCCAAAUACUCAAUCUUAUCUUGAGCAAAGAACACUUGGAUAGCUUAGCAAACAAUUGUUCUUUCCUCAAGAUUGCAAGUACCUUAUUAAGAUGAAGGACGUAGUCUUGAAGUGAUGCACUAUAGAUUAGUAUAUCGUAAAAGAACACAAGAACAAAUUUCCUUAAGUAGGGGUUGGACGCCUGAUCCAUAAGGGACUGAAAAGUGGCAGGAGCAUUAGUUAAGCCAAAGGGCAGGACCUUGAAUUCGUAGUGCGCUUGAUGUGUUCUAAAUGCAUUUUUAGGAAUGUCCUCAAUACACAUCCUAAUUUGAUUAUAACAAGACUUUAAGUCAAUUUUGGAGUAAAUGCAAGACUCAUUCAGUUCAACCAUCAAAUCAUCCACCAAAGGAAUGGGAAACUUAUCUUUGAUGGUCAUGUUGUUCAAGUUCUAUAGUCUAUGCAAAAUCUCCAACUCUCAUUAUUUUUCUUCACAAGUAACACCGAGGAAGAGAAAAUAGAAUGGUUGGGCUGAAUUAUACCACUAUUAAGCAUUUUACUAACUUGUUUUUCAAUUUCAUUUUUCUGAAAGAAGUUGUAUCUGUAAGGUCUGAUACUAAUAGGAAUUGAAUUUGGUUUUAGGGUAAUGUGGUGAUCAUGGCUUCUAGAAGGUGGCAGUGUCGUGGGCUCAACAAACAUAUUAGGAAAUUCUUGUAACACAAGGCUGACUUCUACAGGUAUUGCAUUUUCUUUUCCAACCUCUAUAGCUGAUAAGGUAAAAAGGUGGGCCCAAACAGUUUGUCCUUUCUUCAGUAACUGUUUGACCCCUUUAACAAACAUACUCUUCAACUCUCCUUGAUGGUAGAUCCCUCUCAAUUCUACCCUCUUACCUAAAUGAGUAACCUGAAUUUUGUAGUCCACAAUAUCCAACAGAACUGGAUUGUGCACCUUCAUCUAAUCACCUCCAAAUACCAUAUUAUUACCACCCAACCUCAGGAGUCUUAUGGACUCUUCAAACUCCACUACAUGAAUUUUCCACUUAAACUUGUGGCAAGUGUGCUAACUCAAGAUGUGAUUUCCAUUAGCUACUAUGACUCUCAUAGGAAUAACUCAAGUAAUAGGACAAUCAUUUUUUUUGCAAUUUCCAGAUCCAAAAAAACUAUGUGUACUACCCGAGUCAACCAAAAUGGUUAGACUGUUCUUCUUAGAUUCCCUUCCCCUUUUAAUCUGAUGGUGUUAAACAUCUCUACACCAUACAAGGCAUUCAAACUUAUGGCUUCAUCCAUAAUUUCCCCUUCUUGCAAUUGAUUUUCCUCUAAUGUCACAUAUUAAAUCUCUUCUUCUUCAGGUAAGUUAGUAGCAGCAGUCAUGGUAUUAAGUUGCUUGGGCUUGCAUUAAUGGCCAACAAAACAUUUCUCUCUACAUCUAUAGCAUAAGACUUAUGCUUUUUGAAGCUCAAAUAGUUUGUUGCUCUGAGUAGUCCCAUUAGCUCUUUCCCCUUUAUUAGUCUGAACUAGGUUGGAAUUUGGAAUUUGGGGGGAAUUGGUUUUCCAUGUUCCCCUUCCCCAACCAUUCUUAUUCUUCUUGAUCAAGGACUCUACCACCUUCUCUUAAUGUCUAGCUUUUUCUACUGCUUGACUCAAGGUAUAUGGGUUCAGCAUCUUGACAGUGUGCCUUAUUUCUUUCUUGAGCCCUUCCAUAAAGAACUUUACAAAAAAUUCCUCAGGGAUAGUAGGGCUUCAAAUCAAAACCUAGGCCUUCAAGUCCUCAAAGCGUUCCAAAUACUCGUUGACAGUCCUAGUUUGUGAAAUUUUCUUGAAUUCCCCAAUUAAAUUGAACUUACUAUUCUCAACAUCUUAGAACCUUUUGCACAAUUCCUCGGAGAACUCUUGCCAAGUGACUCCACCUCUACUCAACUGAUACGAGAAGUACCACGACUCUGCCCUCCCUGUCAAAUGUAGGACUGCUUUAUCUAAUUUUGUAUUGGAUUUGUGAUAUGAUUAUAAUCAUAAUAACUCUCACAUCUAUAUAGCCAUGAACAGGGAUCAUCUACAGAGGUGCCAUCAAAAUAGGGAAACUCGAUUUUGGAGCUGUAAUGAUGAUGUUUGGGUCUCUCCAUCGUCAUAUUUGGGGACAUAUGAUCACCCCAUUUUCUACAACUAGGCGCAUCUACAGCUGAUGGGUGCACUACUGGUGUACUACCCAACACUCUAGGUUGGGUUGGAAGCAUCUUCUCUAACAACACAUCAAAUUUCUUAGUUAGAUCAUCCAGUUUCGCAUCUGUAACCGCUGAUUUUUUAGUUGAUUCUGCCAUGAAUCCUUCUAAUUGAGACUCUAUUUUUCUGCAUUUUCCUCCGUGGGUUUGGCCUUAGUUUCUGUAACCAUCAUUAUUGUGUUUGUGUUGUACCCUCAGGUGCAAAUAGUGGCUCUGAUACCAAUUGUUAUGUCCCUUAAAUCGUAAUUGAAUCGUGAGAGAGAAAUCGAAGAUUCAAUCAAACAGAAUUGGAAUUUUAUUGAUAAUAGUUCAGUACAAUUAUUACAAUAGUAUCUACUACUACAAGAUUACUGCGAAACAAACUCCAUUGAUAAGAUUCCAGCUUUGUAACCUGUGAUAGUGCGUUAAUAAUGAGAAGGAAUUACUCGAGGAAUAAGGAAAAGAGAAAAAGAAAAAGAGAAACAAAAUAACUACCAGUCCAAAUCUGCAUAGGCUCAACUCCACUUGUGUUGAUAUAACCGCUUGGACCUGAUCUAGCUGUCACCCAUCAUCUGGCCGUUCAUCAUUUUAAUGAAGGAUCCAUCUCGUUCGUUUAUUUCGUCUCAUCCCAUAGCUGCCACACGGAUACACGACCUAAGCUUUGCCACCUAAUCACUUAACAUAUAAUCCUACGCUACUUUCUAAAUUCACACUUUAGGAUCUAACAUAGAUAUAUCUAAAUCAACCAAUAAAUUACAAUAGAUGAUAUCUCAAUUCAGUCAAUAUGGCAAAUUCUUUUAUGCCAAAACAAAUCGACAUAUGCAGUAGUAUAUCAAAAUCUGAUCCAUCUUCUUACGCCCAUCCUUCAAUGUUUCAUCAUCAUCACCUUUUUUCAUUAUCUUGUACUUGAAAAGACUAUACACCAUGGUCAUUUAAAAGAAUAUAUUAUAAUCCUCCGUUAAAUCAAGAAAGUGUCCAUAAUAGUUGUACUUAAAGUAAUUCUUCAAUUUUUCAUCUCUCAAUGUCUUUCAAAAACCAUCACAAUAUUUAUUCAUGAUUGAUUUAACAACAAAAUUAUCAAUCAAAUAUGUAGGGUUAUCUAUAGACUUCUUCAAUCGAAACUUGUCAAUACUAAAAGUUUUGAUAAGAUUAUAUUGGACUUUUGAUCUACGUUCAUAAUUGUUCAACGAUGCCUCAACAUCAUCAUCAAUAUUAUCAUCAGCUCAUUCCCCUUCAUCCUCUCUUUCAUUUUCCUCUUCAUCAUUUUCCCCACUUUCAACAUCAUCUCCUUUCUCACUUUUCUUUUCAUCUUCUUCCCCCUCACCCCCUUUUAUCACUUUCUUCAUCAUCUCCAUCCUUACCAUUUCGAUCUUCUUCCUCAUUUUUAUUUUUAUCUUCCUCCUUUAGAUCGAUAGAUCUGUCUUCCUCAUUUUUAUUUUCAUCUUCCUCCUCUAGAUCGAUAGAUCUGUCAACUGAUGCUCUUUCAAUAUCUUCUUCAUUAUCUCUUGCCAUAUCUUCAUUCUUUUUCUAUGGUAACACUUUAUUUGCUUGUGAAAGGACUUGUUCUGCAAGUUCUUCUAAUGUUGUUUCUAAUUUAGCUAUAUUACUUAAUUUAUCAGAAGUUGAUCCACUUUUUUUUUUUUGGGAGCCAUUUUAUCUACAAAUAAGAGAAAAAUAAAAAAAUCAUAAUUGAUUUGUGCACCAUUAAAAAAAAGGUAACAAAUUUAAUAAAUAAAACACAAUAUAAUAAUAUUUUCAACAGAUGACUCAUCUGUUAGAAGAAGAAGAAUAAUAAACCAACAAAUGAUAUAGUUAUUUUCAAUAGAUGCUUAAUGUGUUCCGACAGAUUCUUAUUCUUUGCAACAUAUUACACAUCUGUUGGAUAACAUUUUUAUCAUGCACAUAUAUCAACAAAAAUACCACCACAAACAACAAGCUAUAUCGCACCACUACCAAAAACACCAAGCUAUAUCACCUCUUGAACAACACCAAUGUUUUUACCAAUACAUUAACAACAACAACGAUAAUACCAACACCAACAAAACCAAGAACACCAACAACACCAACAAAACUAAGAACACCAAGAAUAUACCUAGAACAUCAACAACACCAACAAAACAAACAAACUAUUCACCUACAACACCAACAAAUACCAAGUGAAGUGAUCAAUACAACAACACAAAUAACGAGACAAAAUUGUCAGAAUAGGUAUCUCCAAAAAAGUCAAAGUUCAAGUUUCACUAAUUUUACAACAAUACUCAAGAACAAGAACAACAACGCCAUGACCAACAAAACGAAGAACACCAAAAACACAAACAAUACCAACAAAACAAACAACGCCAAGAACACCAACAAAUAUCAAGUAACGUGAUUCAAUACAAUAACACAAACAACAAGACAAAAUUGUCACAACAGAUAUCUCCAAGAAAAGUCAAAAUUAAAGUUCACUAUUUUUACAACAAUGUUCAAAAAUAACAAGAACAACAACAAAAGAAAAUUACAUUUCACUCAGAAAAGAUAUCUCAUUUACGUCAACCAUCAUAUUAAGAGCACAAAUACCACAAAUUGGGAUUUUCUCGGGUUCGUUCUUUUUUUAGCAUCAAAUCUCAAAAUUAUUAGCCCAUACAUGAAGAGAAUACAACUAAAGUUCCCUUUUUCUUCCUUAACUAAAAAGCACAAAUUUUUUGAAAACCAACUAAAAGAGAAGUCUUAACCUGCGAAGAGAUAGAAAUUGACGGCUACAAGGAAAGAAGGAAUGAUGUAGAGGCCGAACUUGAGGUCAUCGGAGGUCGAAGUUCGUCGAUUUAUUGUCAAUGGAGAGCAGCUUUGUUGGGGUCGGUUUUGAGAGAGAGAGAGACAGAGAGAGAAGAGACGUUUGAGGAAAGUGAGAAGUUGAUUGAUUUUGAAAAAAUAAUUGAAAUGAAGUUUUUUUUACUAAAAAUUAAAUAGUUGUGGAUUUUUUGUACUUUUAAAAAGAUUAGAAGUUUUAAAAAUCAUAAUUGAAUUCUCAAUUAACUUAAUAAAAAAUUUAAGUGCCUUUGACCCUUGAUCAAAAUAGUCAUCAAUACUUCAAUGAAGAUUUAUUAUUCAAUUUUCUCGAGUAACUGUAACAUGUCAAGGUUGUCUGAUAGAGCGUAUACAAUAAGCAGUAUUUAUGCAUGCUUAUUCAUGUAUUAAUAGCCCUUGUAUUGCUAAUAUCACAGUUUACUAUGUAUUAGUUGUAUACCGUUAAACUAAUACAUGCAUCGACUGAAGUCCUAACAAAUAAAGGACUAAAUUAUCCCAUAACUAAUACAUCCCCCAAACUACACAUUGAUGAAAAUAUUACAGUUUGAAUUACAUGAACAUAUAUAGCUAAGCUGACCCUUCAUAACUUUAUCAGUUCAUCAAGAAAUAACAACACAUAAAAAUAUGCUUUAUUUUCCAUAUUCUACAAUACUAUGAAGAUAAUAAGAUCCUAAGUUGCGUGGAUUGUUCAGUUUCGAUGCUGCACCCGUGUUGGGUUCUCCAAAAAUGCACUACUUUUGGAUAAUUUGACACGCACUCGUUGACAAUUUUGAAGAGUCCGACCAACAUAGAUAAGAUCAUCAUUGUUCUGAACUUCUCACUGUGGUCCCUUGCAAAGGGAUAAAAUGCACCUAGCUACAUUCGACGAGAACUUGAUUAUCAGAUAUCCGAAAAGUAUCAUACGUCAAAUUUGAAUUUUUCAUUUGAACAAAAAAGGGACAUGCUGUUUCCAUAGAGCACAACCUGUGUUUCACGGAAUAGAACAUAGAAAGACAAUAGAACAAUAAAAGAGCAGAAAAGACACUGUUAAUCUCCACGGGUUUAAGCCAUACAAAUUAACCUUCUUUUCUAAUAUACGUCACAAUAGUAUUUUACCCAAAAAUCCGGAAAAAAAACUCUAAUUACCAUAUGAACUUCAGCUUCUGUCUUAUGAAAACCAACAUAUUGCAGAUCAUUGUUCAUUAACUUGAUAACACUGUUAGCCGGAAAAGUGAAAACCAACAUAUUGUAGAUCAUUGUUCAUUAACUUGAUAACACUGUUAGCAGGAAAAGUAGACUCCCUGGACCAGUUGGGUACUCAUAAUUCUAAGGUCAUGGGGUGCCAGAGGCGGAUCUAGUAUUUAUAUUUAACGAGGUAAGGAUUCUGGGUUUUGGACAGUGACCACAAGUUCAUAUGCAAUAAUAACUGACCAUAUAAUGAGUAUCAGUAUUCAAUAUAUCAUCAAGUUUAGCAUAGACAUAAUAGACAGGGUAUUUCUAACUAGUCGUGCGUUCUUUGAUUCAAUCUCCUUUUGUUCCUUAAUUUCUAGCUAGUCGUGCCUUCUCUGAUUCAAUCUCCUUCUGUUCCUUAAUCUUGACUAAUUCAAUUUGAUCCAAGGCAUAGCUAAGAAUUACGGGAUAGGACAUUAGUAUAUCUAAUAUCCUAUCCCAAUUUGAAGUUUUUUCCUAGAAGUUUCACAUUUAAAUAAGAAAAAGAAGAACGAUCAUAUAGGCCAUUUGGAACUUCUGGACUGAGAUCAUAAACUUUCAAUAUAUGCAGCAAAGUAUUUCUUUAAAGACAAAAGAACUUGUACCUGAAUCCAACUGCGACAUAAUUCUUCAGUAGUAUUUCUAGCAAAGCCACAUAUAUCAGCUCCAACCAUGGGAAUCCCAAACAAUCCAGAACUCAAAAUGCCGGGAAUACUAUAAGCCAAGUCAUCCCAUGUGGCUGCAUUAUCUCCUGUCCAAUGUGCUGUGUACUUGCCAGCACCCACAAAGGUAGAUCUGCUAAGAAUAAAUGGCCUUUUACCAGUAAUAUCGAUGAAAGCAGCAUUGGUCGUUUUAGCUUCCAGGAAUGAGUAGAGGUUGUGAACAUUGUACUCUAAGGCAUUCCCAAAAUGUACUGAUGUUGCUGGGACAGUCUUCUCGUUAAUUGGACAUAAGCUUCCAUUGUUAUUGAUCAUACAAGGAGGGUUGUCAAGGGUAGAAAAUGGGGUUGGAGGAGAAGAGAUGAAGUUAGAUAACUCGUUCAUGUCAAGCCAGAGCCCAUCAACAGGGAGAAGGUCAUGGAAAAUCUUGAUUUCAUUACUCCAGAAGACUCUGGCUCGGGGAUAUAUGAAAUCAGGAUAGUAAACUUUUCCUGGCCAAACUUCGCCACGAUAAGGGACACCAUCGUGUUUGAUAAAAACGUCAGCUUGCAUCCCUCUCUUGUACGUCUCAUAUGAGCUAUUUAUGCUGAUCCCUGUGAACAAGUCAUUGAGAUCAUAAACGAAACAGGAGUAGUGCUUUGAUUAAGUCAUUCAACCCAAUACCUUUGCAAUUUCCAAACUUCUACAUCACCUUAAAGUAUAAAUAUCAACAAAAAAGGGGCAGCUCAGUGCACAAAGCAUCCAGCGUUCACACAAGUUCCUUGAAAAGGCUACACUCCCAAGGAGCGUGAUGUAGGUAGCCUACCUGACGCUAAUGAAGCAAUAAGUAGAAUAUGUCGGAACUCACCUGGAUCCAAUAUGAGAACAAAUUUCUGGCCAUUGUGGUGAAGUGCAUCGACAAGUUUCUUCAUCUGGUCAAGUGGAUAGUUAACAGGAUCAAGUGUGAAAUCCUUAUAACCAUCCAUAUAAUCAAUAUCUGUCCACAUGACCUCAAGAGGGAUCUGAGCUUCAUAGCCAGCAACCACAUUCCGAACUUCAGUAAUAUCUUUAUAACCCCAUCGGCACUGAUGAAAUCCAGUGGCCAACAAUUCACAAUAGAUGUAUAUAUUGUAGAAAGAACACACAAUCCUCAUAUUCACAACUAGUAAAAGCUCUAUCCAUCACAUUAUGAGUACUGAAAGAAGUAGGAUCACAUAAUGUUAUAUAACCGGGCUCUGCAUUAACGAGUACUUAAGACAACAAGAAACUGUGCUCAUUUUUAAGUAUUGAACAAAAUUCAAAAGUUAAGGUCAUAUGAAGUUAGUAAGCAGAAUAAACACUACGAAACAAUAGGUAAUUCGCUAGUAUAAUUACGCACCAAAUGACCAGUAUGGCAUGGGUGCUGGGCGGCCAAUGAGCUCUGUGUACUUCUCCAUGACCAACUCUGGCACAGGACCAGCAAAGAAGUACAAGUCAAUGACCCCUCCAACCACCUUGUAGGUAAUUCUGUCACCAGUAUAUACAACGUCCAUACCAUUGAUAUUGAACAGCAAGAUUCCAUACUGGUCCCCACCCCAGGAUGAGACCUUACAUCCAUGUAAAAAGGGUGGGAACCAUACAAGUUGACGUCAACAUUGCUACUACGAAUAUCAGCAUUCCAAAGAGUUAAUGUUUGGUUAUGCUUGAGCUUUAAUGUUCUCUUGGUAUGCUCCCCGAGGCCAUAAAUAGAUGACCGAUUAGCUGGCAAUGAAGAGGACAGUUGAAGGUACUGAUCCUUGAAGAUGAGGAACGUGUCUGGAGAGUCAUUUUUAGGUGAGGUGUCAAAAAGAACAUCACCUGAGGAACGACGCGUGAUAGUGAAGCCAAAAGGGGUGGUGUUGUGGAGAGUGAAACUAAGGUCAUAAAUGGUAUUUUGUAGAAGUAAUGCGUGUCUUCGGAUGAUGGAAGUGAGGUAGAAGAACGCUUUCCUAGGAGGGAGCUUCGGGGGGAUGAAUGUGUUUCACAGGGGAUAAAUUCUUGAGGAACUUCCCAUCUUUUAUGAUCUGCAUCCAUAAUUCUGACUCUUAAACGAUCUUUUGUCUCAAAGAUGCAGAAUCCAUCAGCAUGUAAACAUGAAAAGGCUAAUCAGUUUGUUUAUAAAGAACACUAUAAUCAAAUUUAAAAGAUGGUUUGACACAAAAUAGAUGAGUCUGUCUGCGGAGGAUGGUGUGUAGGCAACCUUACCCCUCCUACCUUGUGAAGGUAGGAAGGUUGUUCCCCAUCAGUAAAGCCCAUCAAAAUCAAGUAUUGAAAGGUAAUAAUGUAGUAAAGAAGCCAUGAUAUUAAUAAAGGAGAGAAGAACAACAGCAACAACAAAUAAAACAGUUAAUGAAUCAAAGAAAACAGCAGGUAAUAAAAUAAAAAAUAAGAUAGUAGGCAAGUAACAAUAACAAUACUGAUAUGGGACACUAGACAACGCUGGAAUACCUACUAACCUUCUAUCUAGAAAUUUCGUCUUUUUUAUAACGAGUAUAUCUCUUCAUGUGUUUUGGCGUUGUUGGUGAUUUCGGAUAGAUAGUUUAUAGUAUUAAUCUAUGAGUGUCUUUUUUCUUGUAUCAUUCUGUUGUGUGUUUUUAUGUUUUUUGUUUGUUAUACUGGUGUUUUUCCUGAGCCGGGGUAUAUCGGAAACAGCCUCUCUACUUCAUCUGUGAUAGUGGUAUGGACUGCAUACACUUUACCUUCCCCAGAUCCCACUUUGUGAGAAUACACUGGGUAUAUUGUUGUUGUUGUUGUUGUUGUGGAGUAUAUUUCUUCACUAAACUACAAUAAAUUUGCAGUCCAAACACAAAUUCAACUUCCUACAACUCUUUUUCAAAUAAUCUUCAAAUACUACUCUCUUUUUUACAAAUAUCACUUAAUUCAUAUCGAAGCAAUUACUUAGAAUUAAUGAAAUUUCAAUAAAAAGUUAUCAGUAUCAAGAUCAUUACCUAACAGUAAGGCUGAGAUUUUGAAUAUCAGGUCCAAAAACAGAUGAACUUUUGAUGAGCAGUUAAUGUCCUUCCAGAAGAGUCAACACCUACUGAUCUAACAAUAUAGCCAUAUCCAAUUCGUUCAGAAUUUGUUGUAAGGGCUAAUAAUUGAACCAAAAAAGUGAAAUACAAGAGAAAAUUAGAUAGAACAAUAAUAGUACAAGAUUUUAUAGAUUUAUCAAUACUGUGUAUGUUCAUUGUGAUGAGGAAAAUAUAAUACUAUCUAACUUUGUUGUAUGAUAUUAUAUGGGAAAUGGAAGAUAUUGUAUUGUCCUUUAUUCAAUGGUCCAACACUCAACUGUAUGUGGUUUCUAUUGGAAGAUAUAUAGGCUGAGAAAUAGAACUUUGGGGUAUACUUUCGUACUUAAUGGCGUUUGGUUUAUCAAUUGCUUAACCUUUAAACAACUUUUUGGGGAUUAGAGCGAAUAGAAUUUUCACAGCUCUUCUUCAUUUAGCGCGCGACAUGUGGCUGGUGAGCUGUAAUAUGCAGUGUUCUCCACAUGGAAGGUUGGUGUUCAAAAUUUAGUGUUAGCAUUCUGUAUUAAUUGUAUUGUACUAGAAUAUCUUGGUUAAGAACUCAACUGAGAAAACAGUGCUAGAAUAAAUAGGUAUAUAUUCUUUUAACUAUCACCGUAAGUUGGUAUAUUCACAUACAUACCUUAGGUCCGGUGUUUGUCAAGAGUCUUUAGAUUAAUGGAGAUUCGUAUGCCAAGUUAUGAAUAGAUGUACCAUAUAGAGAGAGCAUUUAUAUUAGAUAUUUGCAUGGCAAUGCAUGCUGGUUUGGGGUAUAUUGCAUGUGUCAACAGAGUCUUUCAAGACAGCUUAUUCUCCGUUUAAUUUGAUUACUUAAUCUUUUAAGGCAUAAUACAUGAACAUGUCCAUUAACUUGGCCUCAGAUCACAUUUAUGGCUUCCAACUUUGGUUGUGCACAAGCAGACACUUAAACUUGUAUAAAGUUGAACAAGUAGACACAUAUGUCCUAUGUGGCGUCUACGAGGCCAAUUCUUGUCCUACAUGACGUCUUACAUGUAUUAUGCUACAUAGAACAUGUGUAUCAACUUGUUCAACUUUAUACAAGUUCAAGUGCCAACUUGUGGACAUCCAAAAUUGGAGAUCAUAGAUGUGCUUUGAGGUCAAGUUAAAGAGCAUGUUUAUGUAUCAUGCCAUCUUUUUAACUUGCAGUGAUCUUUUAAAAGGAUAUGCAAGUAACAUGUUACUUAAAAUCAUGGUGACAUGUUCUUCAUAAGCUUUAUAGUCAAAUUUAUUUGACAUAGAUCUUGUGUUUCUCCUAUAACAGUUUAGAAAUAUCAUGUUCCAUGGAUCUCAUUCUAACACCAUCAGAUAACUGUAACUCCUGUGCAUAAAUCACAGUUAUGCAUAUUGGAAAUUGCAAUUGGUGUUAGGAAUGCAGAUGCACAGCUUUAAUAAGUUUGGAAAAGGACCACCAUUAUAUGCCUACUACUUUGCUGCUGCUGAUGAUUGUGAAAUAUCCUACCUACCAUUUGCCAAACCACCAGUAGUAUGGAUAGACGUGUCCCAUUUGAUUUACAUAGCUUAUGAUGACUAUCAUGUAAUAUGGUGAUAAUGUUUCUCUUCCAUACUAUUUUAUUAUAGUUAAAGAAAAGAAAUAUGGGGAAUGCGGAUAACUUGCUUGCAGUUACAAUCAUCAUCAUUAGCAAAGUAGUGCUGACAAUUAUAUAAGCCACAUGUUGAAAACAUAAUGGAAGAUUAUACAAUUUGUGUUAGCCUAUUGACAUAAUAUGUUUUAAUAAUAACAAAUUAAUAAAGGAAAAAUGCAGAAUACACCGAAGAUGGAAUUAAGGCAAGAAGGAUCUUCUCCGGAGCUGAACUUGGAUCCCCAACUACAAGGAGGUCGAAGCUGGAUUUGGAACAACAAUUAUGAGAAGAUCUCAUUAGAUUCCUAAUUAUCGGGAAGUCAAUCCUACUAAAGACAAUCACAGGUCAAAAGUAGAUCUCAUAAGGAACCAUGGAAGGAAGAUCACACCCUCUAUAUGGACAUAUUUGAUAUGAACAUUUAUGUUUGAGAGUCCAUUUUUAAGAAAGGAAAAUCAUACCAUACGAAGGGAUAUAUCUAAUAGGACGUACAAUACAAUGUGAAUCCUCAAUCAAGGAAUCAAUUCAAAUCCUUGAUUGAGAAGAAAUUCCUUGGGUUUAUCUUUUAGAGCAAAGAAGUCGGAUCACAUGAAGGCUAUAAAUAAGAAGAUUAAAGAUUGAAAGCCUAACGCAACUUCACAGGAAAUCCUUAGUGCAUCUCAAUCUUCAAGUCUUCAUAAACCUUUGUAAUUUUCAAGAAAUAAUAGUUUCAAAAAGAGAAAGAUCGAGUCAACGUAGUUAUACCAGUUGAGGCUGUGUCACAAGAUUUGAAUAACAAAAUAAGAUUUGAAAGUUGUUCAAACACUCUGUAACUUGUUUCUCCCAUUGAAAGCUCUAAAGAAAGUCCCUGUAACCCAAGGGGACUGGAGUAGACAUCACAUCAGUGAUUCAAACCAGGAUAAAUCUUUGUGUCUCUUACUUAUUUGCUUCCUUACGUUUUCAACUCUAUUCAGUUUUGCAUAGUAUACUAACCUGCAGGUGAGCGACUAUCAAUGCUGAUCAGUCGACUCAAAUAAAAGUUCUCAAUUCAUAACUCCCUUAACCCCCUCUUGAAUUUCAAUUUGAACUCAUUGUAAAUAAAAAGGUCUAUAAAUAUUCAGCAUUUUGGCCAAAAUGUGUUGUUAUAAAAAAUCUAAAUUUAUUAUUUGGGAAAAAUAUUAUUGAAUCUGCUCUUUGAUCGUCCUCAACUCACUCUUCUAUAUAGUAGAAAAAUCUAGUCGCGAAUGAAAGCUGAACUAAAUGCAACAACAACAACAACAACAAACCCAAUAUAUUUCCACAUCGGGGGGUCUGGGGAAGGGUAGAACGUACGCAGUCCAUACCACUACCUCCAAAGAAGUAGAGAAACUAUUUUCAAUAGACCCCCGGCACAAGAAAAGAACAAUAUACAAGAAAAAAAAAAAACAUCCAAGGCAUGGGACAUAAUAAAAUAACAUAUGCACUACAUCCCCAAAAAUAUUGAACAUUAUCAGAACCAAAGCCCUCCUAACUACUGCCUACUCGCCCACACGGCUUAGCCCUCUAUCCUAAUGUUUUUCAUCCAUAUCUUUCUAUUUAGGAUCAUGUCCUCAGUCAGCUGUAACUGCUCCAUGUCACGUUUAAUCACUUCCCUCCAGUAUUUCUUCGAUCUACCUCUACCCCGCUUGAAGCCAUCCAAGGCCAACCUCUUGCACCUACAAACCGGGGCAUCCGUGCCCCUCCUCAUCACAUGACCAAACCAUCUCAACCUCACUUUCCGCAUUUUAUCCUCCACCGACAACACACCCACCUUCUCCCAACACCGCUAAACUAAAUGCAGCAUUAUAAAAAAAAUAUUUUUUAACUGCUAACUAAACUUCAGCUGGUGUUUCAAAAUCUUGAAGUUUAGAAAUUUUUUAAAGCAAAAUUAAAUUUCAUAUUAUAUGGGAAAUAGAAAAUAUUGUAUGGUACUUUACACUCAACCACCAUGAAUUUGUUUAAUUUAAUCAUGAGUGAAAAAUGCUUUUAGAAGAAAAUUACUUUUUUUAGCUAUGAAAAAAUGCUUAUUCUACUUUCCUUAAAUACUACUUCCAUUGACCAAACAUCUAAUUUUUUAAAAAACUAAACACCAAACAUGAAAGCUGAUCUAAAUAAUAUAAUUAUAAAAAAAGAAUCAAAAUCAAGUUGGCAAUAAGCAAGUGAUUGAUUUCUUUUAAUUUUACUAGCCAAAAAAAGUAUCAUAUAAGUAAAAUUUAAAUAACAAUUAACACAAUCUUAAUAAAGACUUAAAGAUGUUGUCUAAUACCUAAACAACAAACUCACCAACCAAAUUGAAGAAAAGGAAGGAAAAUGGCAUCAUCUCUACUUACCAAACAGUCUAUCGGGGCUUCGUUUUCCAUCUUCGAAUCGGUUCAGCUGCCAUCCAACUUCUCCUCUUCCAAUCUCCAAAUCCAUGGUCACCGAUUACCGCACAAACGACUAAAUAUUAAAUUGAACGGAGUAAUAAAUAAGAAUAAUUUAGUCAAAUUAUCAAUUUAGUUAAUGUUUUUCUUAAGGAACAUGUAAAAUAAAAUAUGACAAGUAUUUCAGAACGGAGAACUGGAAGUUCAGGUAGCCAACCUAAUGAACUACUAAGAUUUCUGAGUCUUGGAAGUUGAUGUUUAUUUCAUACUUUUUUUGUAUCUGUGAUCGUUCCACCAAGUAAGAAAUCACAUGUAAUUUUUUUGUAUGCGUAUGCGAAGUUGGUAAGGAUUAAUACUUCAUUUCUAUUGGGAUCUUUACACAAAAAGUCGAUUUAGUUUACUGUAUACAUUUCUAGUUGGCAUAUAUCAAUGACACAUAUUAUAAAUGAAUUCUACAUAUAAUAUAUAUCGGUUAAUUUAAGUAGUUGAGUAUUCGACUAUUGUGGUUAGUUCGUUACUUCUAUUUCUAUGGCCGGUGAUCAUAAAAACCCCAAUAAAGUUUGAUCUAGGCUGAUCUAUAUGUCCUUUUUGUUGGGUUUUUCAUCACUCUAUUUUGUAAGUCCAACCUAUUGCUCAUGGCCCAACACAACAAUAAUUCAUUUUAUGUAGUAUUCGCGAACUCUGGGAAAAAACGCCACCUAAACAUUUUUAAAUUAUUAAAUGCCUAUAGAAACGAUAAUAACAACAAUUCAGUAUAAUUUCACAAGUGAAAUCUAAAAAGGGGAGAGGCGUAACGGUCCUUAUCCUACCUCUAUGGGGUAGAGAGGUCAAUCCUGAUACGGUGUCGACUCAUCGAAAUCGUUAUUCAAGACAGAUAUAAAAAACAAGAGUAAAAAGUUUUUAAGCACAAUGAAUCCAUCUACUUUUUCUAUCAUCUGGUAUGCGAAACUCAUUUGUUCAACUAUAUCAUAUGCAUUGCAAAGUAGUGUAGGGUCUAUUUAAAGUUUUUUUAAAAAAUACUCCAUAUCAAAAUUUCUUCAAUCCCCUUAUUCAAUCCUGAAGGAUCUAUCUGUCUAUCAAAAAAUUUACACAUACACAUUAGAACAACAAAAGAUUCACGCCACUUAGGGUUUAUUUAAGAAAAAACGGCUCCCUAUAAGAAAGUUUUUCAUUUCAAUAUUCGAAUUUGAAGAAUCUAUCGAUCUACUAACAAGAUUUUAUCACACAAACAUGAGAACAACAUUAAGAAAAUCAAGGGAGCAUACAAAUACUCCAUAUCCCCUUAUUCGAUCUUGAAGGAUAUCUAUCUGUCUACCAGAAAAAUUUCACACAUCACAUCAUAACAAAAGAUUCAUGCCGCCUAGGUUUUAUUUAAGAGAAAACGGUUCCCCAUAAGAAAGUUCUUCAUUUCAGGAUUCGAACCUAAAAAAUCUAUCGAUCUGCUAACAAGAUUUUAUCACACAAACAUGAAAACAACAUUUACAAAAUCAAAGGAGUAUAGAAAUACACAUAAAUAACCAAUCAAAAAGGGAAAACAAAUCAAGUGUACCUACAGAAAACAAGUCUAUAAUUUAUUUUAAAACAGUAAAGAUGAAUCAAUUAAUUUAUUAAAGUUUACCUAUUAUUAGAAGAAUACUCAUACAAUUUUCCUGUACAUGAAUAAACAAUAGUAGCAACUUGAGCAUCACAUAAAAUGGCUAACUCAUUAGCUUUUUUCACUGAUCCUUGUCUCCUUUUGGUGAAGGUAACAUCUCUAUAUUGUGAGUUCUCAAUUUUCUUCAUAUCAAUUUUUCUGCUCACCAUUUUACCUUCCUUUUCAAUAAGUGAAAAAAAAUAAUAAUAAUAAGUCAUUUGUGAUGAGUUUAUGUGUUUAUAUAGAUAUGUUGAAGGAUGGAAAGAAAUUUUAGAAUUUAGGUAAGAAAUUUAGGAAGUUACUCACACACAGUCUUUAUGCCAGAUGGAAUUAUCUUUUCAUGGUUAAGUUGAGUGUGUCUUAGACUUUUCGAAUAUAGCUUAGGAUGUAAACGAUGACUUUUUCCUAUUUUUUAUAAACCAUGACUAACCGACGUGCGCUAACACAAAACUUCUUAACUUAAUCAUGAUAAGAUAAUUCGAUCUGGUAUAAACACUGUGUGCGAGUAAGUUCCUAAAUUUCUUACCUAAAUUCUAAAAUUUCUUUCAAUCCUUCAAGCAUUCAACAUAUCUAUAUAAACACAUAAACUCAUCACAAAUGACUCAUUUUUUUUUUUUCGCAUAUUGAAAAGGAAAGUAAAAUGGUGAGAAGAAAAAUUGAGAUGAAGAAAAUUGAGAACGAUGUUACCUUCACCAAAAGGAGACAAGGAUUAGUGAAAAAAGCUAAUGAGUUAGCCAUUUUUUGUGAUGCUCUAGUUGCUACUAUUGUUUAUUCAUGUACAGGAAAAUUGUAUGAGUAUUCUUCUAAUAAUAGGUAGACUUUAAUAAAUUAAUUGAUUCAUCUUUAUUGUUUUAAAAUAAAUUAUAGACUUGUUGUUUGUAUGUACACUUGAUUUGUUUUUCCUUUUUGAUUGGUUGUUUAUGUGUAUUUCUAUACUCCUUUGAUUUUGUAAACGUUGUUCUCAUGUUUGUGUGAUAAAAUCUUGUUAGUAGAUCGAUAAAUUCUUUAGGUUCGAAUCCUAAAAUGAAGAACUUUCUUAUAGGGAGUUGUUUUCUCUUAAAUAAACCCUGGGUGGCAUGAAUCUUUUGUUGUUAUGAUGUGAUGUGUGAAUUUUUUCUUGUAGACAGAUAGAUCCUUCAAGAUCUAAUAAGGGGAUAUGGAGUAUUUGUAUGCUCCUUUAAUUUUCUUAAUGUUGUUCUGAUGUUUGUGAGAUAAAAUCUUGUUAGUAGAUCAAUAGAUUCGAAUAUUGAAAUGAAGAACUUUCCUAUAGGGAGCCAUUCUCUCUUAAAUAAACCCUAGGCGGCGUGAAUCUUUUUUUGUUAAGAUAUGUAUGCGUAAAGUUUUUUGGUGGACAGAUAGAUCCUUCAGGAUCGACUAAGGGGAUUGGAGAAAUUUUGAUAUGGAGUAUUUUUUUUAAAUAAACUGUAAAUAGACCCUGCGCCAACUUGCGAUACAUAUGAUAUAGUUGUACAAAGGAGUUUCGCAUACCAUAUGGUAGAAAAAGUAGAUGGAUUCAUUGUGACUCUUGUUUUUUAGAUCUGUCUCGAUUAACGUUUUUGAUGAAUCGAGACCCUAUCAGAAUUGACCUCUCCACCCCAUAGAGGUAGGGUAAGCAUUGUGAAUAGUUAACUAAUAAUUAUUUAAACUCUUUUGAGAUUGCUCAUAUUACAUGAAUGAAAGAAUACACGGCUCUCAAAAGGAGUACUCAUUCUUUUAAGUGUAAAUCCAACCAAAUAAUGUGUGUAUUCUAGUUACAACUGAUAAAAAAUUUAACUGGAAAUGUCAUGUAAGAUUUGACUAUGGUAGAAUAGACGAUUCUCAAAAACAUUUUAUAUUUUUGUUCUCAUUUAAGUAAUGGGGGAUUUAUUUGAAGAAAAAAAAUUAUUUAAAAAUGUCAUUAUUAUUAUUAUUAUUUUGGUUUUCUACCGGGUAUUUGGUACCCGUAUUGGAGCCCUGACUAAUCUGAAUCGCGCAUUGCAGAGCCCAUUCUGGGGGUGGCGCUCCCAAAGGGAUUUUCUCCAUACCUAGGGCUCGAACCCGAGACUCCUAGUUAAGGGUGGAGUAGUCCUACCACAACCUAUAUUGAUUAAAAAUAUGUCCUUAUGGAUUUAACAAAAAUACCGAGUUAUCAUUUCAAAAAGUAAGAUUUAAUUAUUUUUCGUAAGAGAGUUAAGAUGGGACAGAACUCAGAGAUAAUUACCCCCUUAAUUAUUAUUUUUUUGGGUGAAAAAAAAGAAAAUCUUAUAAUCACCAACUAAAUAAAUUACAAAACUCAUAGGCACACCACUAAUACUUCUAUGUCUCAUUAGUCGGGGACUAAUCAGAGCAUUCUACUUAUCUACCUCUGUUUAGUAUUAUUUCAGCUGUACAACUUCUAUAAUGGUUUCUAUUCUUUACUGUUUUAUGCCCUAUACCCUGUAUUUACACUCCUCUUUAAUCUGGCCGCAUAUCAUAGCUGAUCGUUGGACUUUGUGAUUCCACAGUGUCUUGUUCCUAGCACUCCAAAUAGCACAUAACAAAGUAGCCAAAACACUAUGUUCAAAGCUUCUACGGAACCUUCAUUUCAAUUUUCUAAAUACUCUUCUCCAUAUGUCAGGAUGAGAUGUUUCUAUUCCAUAUAUACCUACUCACUACAGUAAGUCAUUUAAGAACAUUCGUGACAAUUAGAUGUUUGAGGUCUUAUUCAACAUCAAUACAUACUAUGCAUAACACAUCAUGUCCAUAGUACAUUUUCUGCAUUCUUUUCGGUGUGAGCAAUAUGUAAUGAUCACUAAGCCUACAAAUAAAGCUAUGCUUGGGCACAUUUAGGCCGUUCCAUACCCAUCUCCCCUUAAACUAAGUAAUCUCAUUCAAAUAGCCAUGAAAUUGUAAUAAAAUUCGCUUAUCAUGUUCCAAAAAUGUGGAGGAGGUCAGUCCAAAAAUCUAAAUAACCAAAAAAGUGCUUUAUUUUUGUACUAAAUUUAACUACUUCAGCUAAAUGACAAAUUAAAAUAAAGUUUACACACAACAUAACAUUCGAAACAAUGAUGAUUUAACUUCGCAGUUCUAGUACAACAACUUUGAUGAUAAUUUAACUUUAGCAGUUAUGGAACAAUAACUUUGUAUCUUAGAUGCUUUGGUAAGUGUGCUCUUAAUGUGCUCCUAAUUUUGUAGAAUCCAUUGAACCUUACCCUCUAGAAAAUUAAUAAACCUUAGCUGUGAAUCCAACCACCACGGAGUGUGUUCUAUGACAAAACUUGAAUCCAAACUCUUGUCCACCUUCAGAAAGGAUACUUCCUCAGUUGGCCGAUCUGCCUCAUAUUAGAUUGAACAAUAUACAACAAAACGACAAAUAAUGAAUAUUUUUUAUUUGUGAAUUUUAAUCCAAUUUAAAAGUUAGCUGAAUUACCAAAUGCUAAAUCUUCAUCAUUAUAACACAUUACUGUUCACUCAUAUUUUCACCAAGAGCGACACGUUAUGAUUUCAUAGUUAUCUAUAAUUAAAGAACUGUGACUCUUCUUAAUACUAUUCUUUAAAAUUUACCACAUAUCUCUAUUGUAGUUAAAUGUCAUAUAAGCCAUGAUCACAAGAAUAUACAUGAAUUCUUGUUUAUGUAUAGCUUACUUGUUUGCUAGAAUGAAACAUGAAUUAAGUGAUAAUAACAUUCUAAAACCCAGAAAAUGUUGAAUUCUUAAAUCUAUAGGCGAAUAAAAAAAAACGGAUUAGGUGCUACAUGCACUCCACUACAAGUAAGUUCUCUAGCGGGCUCAUAAAUUUUAGCUAUUACUCUGUUGCAAUUUUGCUACAAUCAAUUUAUAUUGUGGAUGUUCUUGAAAGAGUUCUCUUAAUUUGCUCUUAAGAUUAACUUGCAGAAUCUAUUAUAACUUAAAGUAUACCAAAGUAAUGGACCUCAGUUGUGAGAUGUUUAUUGAUCUGUAUAACAGGAAUAAGAGGUUGAAACAAAAAGAUGAAAGAGAUUUAUGUUCAAUCUUCAACCAACUAACAAUCAUUUCUUUCCUAACAUGUCCUCUAAUUCAUAAGUUGCCUCACUUUCUCAACAUUUCCCCAUAUCCCAAGUACACCUUAAACACUUAGCAACAAUAAAUAUGCGACAGAGAAAGUUGCAAUGAUGGACGACUUGGUAUGUUGUUUUCCUAAUGCAUUGCCCCCUUUUGGUUUCUCUUCUCUCUCACUUUCAUAGUUACUAAUUUGAUGGUUGAUACUAAUUUGAUGGUUAAUCUUUAUUUCUAUUUUUCCACAAAAUUAUAGUAUAUAUUUUUUUUGUUGUUUAUUUAUUUUGAUUGAUUUAAAAUAUUUUACAUCUUCUCUCCUUAAAAUUAAGGAAAAAAUAAUAUUAGUUUUAUCACGUUAAGGUAUAAAUAACUUAAACAUAAAGUACAAUUCUGAUAACUUAUUUUACAUUUUAUGUAGUUUUUAAAUAUGUAAAUUAUUUUUAAAAAAGUUUAAAGAUUGUACUUUUGAACGCGGGAUCAAAAUAAAAAAGUUUAACUUCCUCCAUUUUGUUGUUCAUGUCGAUGUAAAGUUAAACUAUGUCUAGCUCACUCAAAUCAAAUUCGACCCACUUAUAUCUGAUCUGACCGGCUUAUUUUUGAGGUCUUGUUGACGUAUUUAGUUAUUUUUUUUGAAUCCCCUUAAUAUAAAUCCUGGCUCCACCACUGGUAGUUAAUCUCUUCAAUGUUGAGGUAGUUGCUGAAGUUUAUAUAGAUAGCAAUGAUGAGGAUAUUAUAAUGCAACUAUCUUUCUCUGUUCGAAGGUACAUUAAUUGUUUGUUGUUUUACUUACAUAUUUUAUAGCAUACUGAUCAGUGGCGGAUGUAGAGUAGAAGGUGUGGGUUUUCAGGGACCCACACCCGCUACCGUAAGGCUUAAAAUUACAUAGAAAAAUUGCCAAAAGUUUUAAAUAUUAAUAGGUGGGAACCCAUAACUAAACCAAGGGAUAGCUUAGUGGCAGGAAAGGAGCCCUUGGAAACCCACAAGUUUAAAAUUCUGGAUCUGCCUCCUCUGAUACUGAUAUGUUGUCUGCCAAGUCACCAAGGGAGAAAUAUUUCACGGUAAUUUCAAAACUCUCUUUUUAAUGUUUUAAGUUAAUCGCUUCAAUUGUUGUUUUAUUAAUCUUUACGUAAACUCAUUACCUCAAUUAUUGGGCACAUAUAAAGUGCCAAUAUUCAUUUUCACAAACUUCAUAUUUUCAUUUUGUAGGAUUUUAUGGAUGAUAAUGACAUGAUCUCUCCUUCUCUUAAAGAGACCUUGGUAGGAAAAGUAGAUUCGAAUUUGGAUGCAUAUCAUAUGUAAAAGAAGUUGAUAAUGAUCUCAAUGUACAACUCUCAAGUAACAAGGCCGGCAAAGUAGUUAAAAUAUGAGGAAAACGCAGAAAAUAUUUCCUCAAAUAUUAGCUUUUUCUAUUUUAUUUCUAGCACGAUAAAUUCUUUAACAAUAUUUGGCAUCCAAAGUUGCUCGUUUCAUAUAGCGUCUACAACCAUAAGUAACUUCUUUUUGAUCUUAUGUGCAAAUUUGCGUUCAUAUUCGUUAAUCUCAAUUUUAAAAGGGUUAUGUGGUUGUGCAAAAUCUUCAUGACACCAUUCAUUAGAAAGUGAAAUCAUAAAACAUAUUAUUCUCUAACUAGCUCACAAUCAUUGCAGUGACUUGGUGAGAAUGUGUAUAUAUAAAUUUUACUCCUUAGGAGGAAUAUUCGUAACAAAAAAGGUUUGUUGUUCCUUAAAUCACUACAAGUGGAAAAUGCACUCCAGUUGUGAACUAUCACUUUUGAAUUGCAGAGUUGUGACGAUAUAUGAUAUUAUGUUUUUUUUAUCCAAUUUAUUAUUAGAAAAUAAGAAUUUUUAUUUGUCAACACCAUCAACAUAUUUUGCCAUCAAUACUUUUUUCUUAAAAAUUCAUACAGUUAAUGAUUUUUUAUAUCAUGUUUAUGUAAUUUAUUCUUUAUUUCUUUUAAAUAUUGUGUGAGAAACUAAUUGAUGACAAUCUGAAGGUAAUAUUUCAAGAGGUAUCAAUUAUAGUUCAUUAAAAUUUAUUACUUAUGUAUUUGAUAUGAUUUGUUAGGAAUGUUUGGAAAAAAUAUAUUUUCAAUAUUUGAUUACAAGGUACUAACAUAUAUUUAGAGUGAAUAGAGCAUGACUUCUAAAAAGAAUAUAUUUUCAUAUAUUUUGGUUACGUGUAAUUAGAAUGUGAGUGGAAAAAACAUUUAAUUUAAAGACUAAAGAUGUUCAUAGAUUAUAAAGAGUCUAAGUGGAUGUUUAGAUGGACUUAUAUCUUUUGUACUUAUUAUAUGGUUCUUUAUGUCAUAUAAUAUGGAUGUCAGGUGAUAUGUAUAUGUGUGAAAUAUUAGAGAUAAUAGUUAGUAGUCAAGUUGGAUUUGAAGACUAAAACAUUCCUUGUUCAAUUUGGAUUUGAAUACAUACAUAGCUGGCCAACUUGCCAACUUGACAUUUUGCCAACUUGAAGUCCAGUUUGGUGUGAAACUAAGUUUGGUGUCUAUAAAUAGCCACCAUUUGUACAUUUUAUAGAGACAUCAAAGUAAUUACUAAAAUUCUCUUAAGUUCUCUCUGUUAUUUAAGUUUGAUAUUGAUAUUUUGUCUUUAUUUUAUAUCACGUUAUCAGCACGAGACUCUACCGUCUCAAAAUUUGAUGGCUAAGAAAAGAAAAUUGAAUCGAAAGGUGGAGAAGGCGAGAUCGCAAAAACUAUGCGAUCAUCAUGAUUUGGAUUUCACCUUUCUACUAUUUAUGAUUAGAUAAGUAUACUAUUAACUCAUGUUAUUUCAUAAAUUUUGAAAACAAUAUUGAUAAUUACAAAGUGGUGAUAUUGUUAUAGACUCAAAUUUGAGUUUAUUAUACUUUGGCCUAAUAUGUUAUUAGUCGAGGGUGUGAUGAUGGAUUUAAACCUCAUGUCAUUAAGAGGGAAAGACAUUGAAUUAAUAGUCCCGAUGCACCAUGGUGAUAAAUGUUGGGUUCAAGUUUCAUUGAUUUUUGGCCUAAGAUGUCUUUAUAUGGAUAAGACAUUGAGUUUUAAUCUUUAAAUAACAUAUUGAUGAUAUAAUGACUAAGGAAAAAUUUUGUUGAAAAGUCAUGAAAUAUGUCCCAUUGAAUAUGCUCAAUUCCUUGAAGUGAAUGUGAUAGCAUGCAGUGCAUAGUAUGUCUGAAAGAAGACAUGUGAUUGAAUUUAUGAAUAUGAAUAUAGGCAUAACAAGGACAAAACAUUUCAUUACAUUAUAUGUACGUCUCGAUUUGCUCAUGAAGGAGCAAUAUCUUGAAAGAAAUUCUAAGCUAUCAUAAUUUGAUAAGCUUAAGACAUGAUUAUAUAUUUGAUUCUUGGGGAAUGAUAUUAUUUUGAUUAUUAAAAAUAUAGAUCCAUUCCCUGGGGUGAAUGUGAUAGGAGUAACACCUCCAAAAUAGCAAACUUGAAAAAUUAUUCAUGUUCUAGUAAAUUUUAAAUUUACUAUCGCAUGAACGAUUUUGUUAUCUCAAAGAUGUGCACAGAUUAUAGUUUUUCUAAUAACUUACAAAAUUUUCCUAGUAUAAACUGGGGCAGAAAAUUUUGUUUGGUUGUUUCGUCUUCUUUGAUGGCUUGCAGGUUUUCUACAAAGCACAGGUCUAUCCAAGAACGAAAUCUCAUCUCCGGUUAAAAUAUAGAAGAAUGGUCAGUUUGAAGAUAGUUAGAAUCAGCUUUGCAUCCAUAGCGGCCCAAUAUCUCAGGCGACAUCUUUUUAGCUUCUGAUCAGGAGAACAAGCAUCCAAAGUAUUCUAUGAACUGUUCUUUGGUAGAGUAUCAAUGACUCAAUCCAAGUUUCAAGUUCAAGUUUCAAAUAUUAAUUGCAAGAUCAAAUUUUGAGAUCAAGGUACCCACCAGAAGAAGGUGAGGCAAUAACUGAAGAUCCAAGAGGAAGAUCGGAAGCAAGAAGAUCAAGACAAAUAGAAUAGAUAGGAUCUUGUACUUUUAUUUCCAGUUUUAUUUUUUUUGAUGUAAUAAAAAGAGCCACGAACCGGAAACUCGGCGGGACCUCAACUCGACUCUCCAAUUCUUCCACUCAUUUCUACACCCAUUGGAACUAUACGUGACCUGAUUCUCUUAUAACCCGAGACAUGUAGGAUGCCCAAAGCCAGGGUUCGGUCACACCUCUUUCCUACUUAUUUACGUAUUACUUUUGAAUAAAUGGUUGAGCCAAAAAUUAGUCAUGUUCACUUCUUUGCUUGAAAAUUCUCCACAUUUGCAAGCAAAGAGGGGCAUUCUGUAAACACUUAAUUUUUGACCAAAACCUAAUGUUUUACGUCAUUUUUAGUGUUUAAUAUAUAUAUGUAUUUUAUUUUUAGGUCUAAGUUAGAUAUUUCAAUUUUAUCUUAGUUUAAAAAUUUUGAAAACUACAAAAAUAGAGUCACAUUUUAAAUAAGUUUCAUUUUUAGUUUUUAUUUAUUUACUUAUUUAUUUUUAGAAAAAAAAAAUUGUUUCUUCUUUCAAUUUUAAUAAAGAAUGGUGUGAUAUUUCUUAAUCAUAUUCCCAAGACUAGUUAUUAGCUUAUGUUAUACUUUAUUAGUUUUUAAGUAUUUUUAUCUUAUUAAUAAUAAUAAUAAAAAAAAUAAAAAAAAUAAAAAAAUAAAAAAAAACCUAAACAACCAAACCACCCACAAUUCCCCACUCCUAAUUGGCCUCUCCCACUCUCCCACACACACACACGACACAUGCACUAAUACACUACAUGCACACAUGCACACAUGCACACACACUACCUAUAUAUAAUAUACUACAUGCACACAUGCACACAUGCACUAAGACUACUAUAUAUAUAAAACACACACACGGCAAACAGAGGGGGAGAAGAAGAAAACAUAUACAAUACACGGACACUAAGCAAAAAGAAAGAGGAUUGAAAACAACAGGAAAAAAAAAAUCAAGAGCAAAAAAAAAAAAAAAAAAAAAAAAAAAAAAAAAAAAAAAAAGAGCAAAAAAAAAAAAAAACAGAAGAAAGAAAAAAGAAAAAAAAAACGAGAAGAAAAAAAAAGGGAAAGGAAAUAGUUUGUGAAUCGAGUUUUGGGUUUCGUUCGAGUUUUUGGUGACGGUUUCUUGCUUCAUCACUCCGUUCAAUUCAUCACAGGUUCUUAUGCCAUCAUGUAUUAUUUAUGUUAUAAAUUUGUCAUGAAAAAGUAUGAAUGAAAAUGUUCCGAAUAAUUUUUUUUUUAAAUAUUGUAUGAAUGUUCGUUUGCAACAAUCUUUUCUACUGGGUAAUCUAGUAGCCUUAUGCAUGAAGAUAAUCAAUUCGGUCGUUGUAGUCGGACUCUAUUAACCUCUUUAUUUCUCAUAUUUUGUGUAUCCAAUAAAUUUUUUUUUCUACUGUUAUAUUAUCUACAUGUUGUCCUCUAUAUCACUCCCAUUUGUAUGUCUUCUAGUGUGACUCUAUCUUUUAUGUUUUCAAUAGCUAUAUUUGUUUAUAUUGCAAAAUGUAUAUUAUCUAUUUUCCUAUAAUGUGCCAAUGUUAACGUUAUCAUGCAUAAUUGGAUGGGCGUCUUUAGUUACUGUUAAAUCAUCUCUUUGAUCCCUAUGAAUUAAGCCUCUAAAAAUAUUCAUUUAAGAUUAAAAAGGCAACGAAUAAUCUUAAGAUAAUACAUUUUUUUGGCGAGUCUAUAUACUGUUUAUGUAAUUUAUUUAAAUUAUUGAAUAUAAAAAUAUUAAUUGUUUUGUCGGUCAUGAUAGGUUAGAUUGUAAUAUGAUUAAAUCGUUUUACUUAAUAGAUUCUUUUAUUGUAAUUUUAUUGUACUAAUUAAGUAUAAGAAAUUAGGUGAGAUAAAAAAAAGAAAAAAAAGGGGGGGGGGACAUAUUAAGAACACACGUGCAACAGAAAGAAAAGAGAGAGGGGAAAAAUCAAUUGUAAGUGAGUGAAUUUGUAAAAGAAUAAGAUAGGUUUUAAUCUUUAGAAAGUUUAAAGUUUAACAUACAAGUGAAAAUUAACGAUAAGUUGGAAAGCCCUGCUACCGACCAUUCGUUAUAAUAAAUUAACCUACCGUUUAAAGCCGAUUGAAUUGGGUUGGGUAGGUUUUAAACCCAUUAGGUACUUAUUUAGAUUAGGAAAAUAGGGACGGCCCACAAAUGCCAUAAAGGCGCAGGAAACGUGCCAAAAUUUGUGGUGAGGCCGAAAAGUACUACUAUCGGUAAGCCACACGUCAAUAUGAUAAAUAAUUUCAAAAUAAAUUAAAAGCGGGAGGCAAACAACUUUUAGGUUAACAAAUAUUAUAAAUCCUAAAAGAAAAGAAAAUUAAUUUAAGCCGGACGUAAGUCAUUAAAGCGACCGUGCUAAAACCACGGGACUCGAGGGGUGCCUAACACCUUCCCCUCGGUCAACAGAAUUCCUUAUCCGAAUUUCUAGUUCGCAGACGAAAAACAAAAAUUGAAGAGUCAUUUCCUUUUGAAUAGGGAUUCAAGAAGGUGACUUGGAACACCCAAACUCAAUUCCAAGUGGCGACUCUGUAAGUAAAGUAAUCCCUUUUCAAAACGUUACUUUAAUUGGAAAAACCGUUUUCUCCAAAACCAACUCCCUAGCGGGGGUCGGACGCGGUGAAAAACAGGGGGUGUGACAAGGGCCAAAAUGAGUAAGUUUGUUUCUGGGGUGAAUGAUAGUGUGGUCAAUAAGAGCAGAUCCGUAAUGUUGAUUAGUAAGAUGGACAUAGCCAGGAUUAUGAUCUAUGCUCAACAAAUAGAAGACUAGAAUAUUAAGAUCAGAAAGAAGCAUAAUAAAAGAGAAAGGACAGGUAGUUUCAGCUUUGCUCAGCCUAAGUUAGAAGGAGGGAAUCGUUCUCAGUUUUUUCCUUAGUCAUCCUCUCCAGUUCCUUCCUCAACCAGUACUCCAGUGCCAAAAUUUAGAGACGAAAACAGAGAGAGGGUAUCAGGCCCCAGACUUCCGGGCAGUAUUAGCAGUGCCUGCACCAUCCUCCAGCCAGACUUAUGACAAACACCAUUAGGGUAUUUGUAGGGUUGGUAGUGACAUUAUCUUUGGAUGUGGCAAUCCAGGCCACAAAGUCUGAGAUUGUCCUCAGCCAGGUCCUCAGGGUUAGUGUAACUAUUCCCCAGCUCAAUUCGGUCACUCGAAUCAGCAGGGUGCCACCUCCAGUGCUAUUAUUGGGCAACGCCCAAAUAGGCUUUAUGCUCUCUAGUCCUGAUAAGAUCAGGAAAAUUCUCCUGAUGUGGUACUGGUACAUUAUCGAUCUUUCACUUGAAUGUUUAUGCUUUGCUCUAUCCAGGAGAUUCUUUGUCUUUUGUUACUCCUUAUAUAACAGUUGAUUUCGAAGUCAGUCUCGAAAUUGUAGAAGAAACCUUUUCAGUAUGUACUCCAGUGGAUAAAACUAUCAUAGCUUAACGGUUAUACAGGAAUUUUUGGUUAUGAUAUCUCAGAAAGUCACUUUAGUAGAUUUAGUCUAAUUAGAGAUGACUAAUUUUGGUGUUAUUCUAGGCAUGGAUUGGCUUUAUUCCUGCUAUGCCAUAGUCAACUGCAGAAAUAGAAUAGUUCAUUUUCAGUUUCAGGUUUUGAAUGAACUUGUCUUAGAGUUGAAGGGUAGUACUUCAGCUUUCAGGGGUCGGCUUGUCUCCUACCUUCGGGAAAGGAAAAUGAUAUUUAAGGUAUGUGUCGAUCAUCUUAUUCAUGUCAAGGACACUAGUUACAAAAAUCCUAGUCUUGAAUCAAUCCCUGUUGUGAAUGAAUUCUCAAAUGUCUUUCCCAAAGAUCUUCCAGGAAUUCCUCUCGAAAGGGAAAUAGACUUCGGCAUUGACCUUUUUCCAAAUACUUAACCUUUAUCAAUUCCACCAUAUAGAAUGGCACCAACAGAACUCAAGGAAUUAAAAGAUCAUUUGAAGUAUCUCUUAGAUAAGGGAUUCAUCAGACCCAGUGUGUCCCCAUGAGAUGCACUAUAUAGACUUAAAAGAUCAUUUGAAGGAUCUCUUAAAUAAGUGAUUCAUCAGACCUAGUGUGUCCCCAUUGACCUUUUUCCAAAUACUCAACCUAUAUCAAUUCCACCAUAUAGAAUGGCACCAACAUAACUCAAGGAAUUAAAAGAUCAUUUGAAGAAUCUCUUAGAUAAGGGAUUCAUCAGACCCAGUGUGUCCCCAUGAGAUGCACUAGUUAUAUUCGUGUGAAAGAAAGAGGGUUAUCUCAGAAUGUGCAUAGACUAGUGUCAACUCAAUAAAGUCAUGGUCAAGAACAAGUAUCCACUUUCUAGAAUUGAUGGCUUGUUUGACCAACUUAAGGGUGCCAGUAACUAAUCCAAGAUAGACCUCAGAUCCAGCUAUCAUCAACUCAGAGUCAGAGAAUGUGACAUUUUGAAAACAGCUUUCAGGACUAGUUAUGGUCACUUUGAAUUCUUAGUCAUGUCCUUUGGUCUUACUAAUUCCCCAGCAGCUUUCAUGGACUUGAUGAACCAUGUGUUCAAGAAGUACUUGGACAUGUUUGUCAUAGUCUUCAUAGACGACAUCCUUGUCUAUUCUCGCAAUGAGCAUGAUCAUGCAGAACAUCUCAAGACAGUAUUGCAUACUCUCAAAAAUCAUCAUCUAUUCACCAAAUUCAGCAAGUGAGAAUUUUGGCUAAGUUCAGUAGCAUUCCUUGGUCAAAUUAUUUUCGGUGAUGGCAUUAGAGUCGAUCCUCAAAAGACUGAAGCAGUAAGAAACUGGCCUCGCCCUAUCUCUCCAUCUGAUAUUAGGAGUUUCUUGGGUUUGGAUAGCUAUUACAAAUGGUUUGUUGAGGGAUUUUUCUCUAUUGCAUCCCCUAUGUACAGGUUGACUCAGAAGAAAGUCAAGUUUCCAUGGUCAGAUCCUUGCGAGAAGAGUUUUCAGGAGUUGAAGACUCGACUCACCUUAUCUCUAGUUUUGACUCUUUUAGAUGGGUUUGUAGUGUACUGUGAUGCAUCCAGAGUAGGUUUGGGUUGUGUCCUUAUGCAGCAUGGUAAGGUCAUAUCCUACGCCUCCAGAUAGCUUAAACCCUAUGAGAAAAAUUAUCCUACUCAUGAUCUCUAGUUAGCAGCCGUAGUUUAUGCCUUAAAGAUUUGGAGGCACUAUUUAUAUGGGGUUCAUGUAGAUGUAUUCACAGAUCAUAAGAGUCUUUAGUAUGUAUUCUCUCAGAAAGAUCUCAACCUCCGACAAAGAAGGUGGUUAGAGCUCUUGAAAGAUUUCGACAUGAGUGUUCUUUAUCAUCCGGGCAAGGCCAAUAUAGUGGACGACACUCUCAUUAGACUAUCUAUGGGUAGUGUUGCUCAUGCUGAGGACAGUAUGAAGAAGUUAGCUCAGGAAGUUCAUCAACUUGCCAAACUAGGUGUCCUCUUAGUUGAUUUAGCAGAAGGUAAUAUCUGUGUUCAUAGUAGUUAAGAAUCAUCUCUAAUUUACGAGGUGAAGGAAAAGCAAGAUAGAGAUCCCAGUCUAGUCAAGUUGAAAGAGGUAGUUAGAGAUCAAAAAGUAGAGGUUUUCUCCUAAGAGGGAGAUGGAGUUUUGCAUUUUCUAGGUCGUCUGUGUGUUCCAGGUAUAGAUGACUUGAGAUAGCAAAUUUUUGCAGAAGCGCAUGGUAUGCAUUACUCUAUUCAUCCAGGGGAUACUAAGAUGUACCGCGACUUGUGGGAGAUCUAUUGGUGGAGUGGGAUAAAGAGAGUUGUUGCAGAGUUUGUGGCUAAGUGCUCUACAUGUUAGCAGGUUAAGAUAGAGCAUCAGAAGCCUAGUGGGUCCAUGCAGGAGUUUAGUAUUCCUACUUGGAAGUGGGAAAUGUGAACAUGGACUUCGUGAUGGGUUUACCUCAAACUCGUCAUCAGCAUGAUUCACUUUGGGUCAUUAUAGACAGAAUGAACAAAUCCGCUUGUUUCCUUCUAGUCCAUACCUCUUAUUCAGUCGAGGAUUACACCAAACUCUACAUCAAAGAGUUGGUUAUAUUACACGGUGUUCCGUUAUCUAUCGUCUCAAAAAGAGGUACCCAGUUUACCUCUCAUUUCUGGAAAGCAUUCCAAAAGGGUCUUAGUACCCAAGUUCAUCUUAGUACAACCUUUCAUCCUCAGACAAGUGGUCAAGCAGAAAGGACUAUUCAGACUCUAGAAGAUAUGUUUCGAACAUGUGUAAUUGAUUUCAAAGAAAGUUGGGAUGACCACUUAUCUUUGAUUGAGUUUGCAUACAAUAACUACUAUCAUUCUAGUAUUGAAAUGGCUCCAUUAGAAGCUCUCUAUGGUAGGAGAUGUAGUUCUCCAGUCGGUUGGUUCGAAGUUAGUAAGGCCACAGUUAUAUGGCCUGACUUAGUAUUCGAUGCCUUAGAAAAAGUUUAGUUGAUCAGAGAAAGACUUUGGGCUGCUCAGAGACGACAAAAGUUUUAUGCAGAUGUUUUUAGAAAGGAUCUCGAGUUCGAGAUUGGUGACUAUAUAUAUCUAAAGAUCUCUCCCACGAAGGGAGUAAAGAGAUUCAGCAAGAAGGGAAAGCUCAGUCCCCGAUAUGUUGGUCCCUUCAAGAUUCUCAGUCUCUUCAGCAAAGUAGACUAUGAGCUUGAGUUGCCUUCAGAUCUAGCCCCAGUCCAUCCAAUCUUCCAUGUCUCUUUUCUCAAGAAGUGCAUAGGUGACCUAACAGUUGUAGUCCCUAUUCCGAGUGUAGAUAUUCAGAACAUCCUCUCUUUUGAAAAGAUUCCAGUUGAAAUUCUUGACUAUCAGACUCGUAGACUGAGAAACAAAGGAGUCCCUCUAGUCAAAGUUCUUUGGUGGAAUCUGUCCGUUGAGGGAGCUACUUGGGAAGUAAAAUCAGAUAUACAAACCAAGGAUCAUCACCUCUUCUCCGCUAACUCAGACUCAGCUCAAGGUAAUAGUUCUCCUUAAGUUGUUUUAGUUCAUGUUCAAAUUCCCAUUAUAGACUUGGUACUAAGUACCAUUGUAUAUUCAUUCAUGCAUUUAUGUAUCAGUUCAGUCAUAUAGUCAUGCAUCAGAUAUGUAUUCUUAUUGUGAGAAACUCAGUUCAUCAGAACACUCAGUUAUGCAUUCAUGAAUCAGUUACUCAUGCAUCAGAUAUGCAUGUUCAGUGUGAUAUAUCUAGUUUGUCAGCCAUGUCAGUUAUGGAAUCAUGUUUCAGUCGUUCAUGUUCAGUAUGUGCUUCAGUUUAUUGUUUCUCCCCUCUCAGUCAGUUUUAUUUGAGGACGAAUGUUCCCACGGGGGAGAUAUUGUUAGACCCCAUAAAAGUCUAAGUCUAAAUUCAGUUCUGUAAGCUCUUUAAAAGCUCCAACGCUUAGAAUAUUUUAGCUAAGUGUUCAAUACUUAGUCUCAUUUUGAGCCUCCAAACUUCAAGGAUUUAUUUGGUGACCUUCUCGACCUCCAUUUUUCGAUUUUCAAGUUGCGUUGUGAUGGGGCAAGUCAAUAGUACAUCUUGGGUGAGUUUUGGGAUUUUUGGAAUAGCGUAAGGAAAUAUUUGGUUGCUCAAAUCAGUAGCUAUCUGUGAUAGACAGGCGCCGCCUAACUGAAACUGGUGCUCUAAACAAGGCGUCGCCUUGGUUAUGGUGGCCUAAGCAGAGCACCCCCUGGGUAUAGCCCUGGUUCAAUUUUUCCAGCACUACACCUCUGUGUUUUGAAGGGAAAAUGGGUCAUUUUCCACCCAUAUAUAUACCAAUAAACACGUUAUUUAGCCACUUUGAAUCCAAAAUAUACUUUUUUCUCUCAAAAACUCUCAAGAACAAGUUAGUAUUUUUAAUUGGGGAUUCAAAUUCAAGAAAAACUCUCCGUCAAUCUUCAUAUAAUUUCAUACUAAGGUAUGUAAUGUGUUUAUUCAUGGAUUCCUUUCAUCCAUGAAGCUCAAGAAUCCUAUUUUUAAUUAUAACAUAUGAUGUUUAUGAUGUGGGUUGAUUAUGUUCAUGUGAUUAUUGUUGUAUGAUAGUCAAGUUGAAAUCUUUAUGUUUGUUCAUUAAAUUAUGAUAGUAUGUGGGUUUGAAAUCUAUAAGUUUAGUGGAUUCAUGGAGUUUUGAUGUGUUAAUUGAUGAUUAUACCCAUGCCCUAAGUUGUGCAUGUAAGGUAUUUAAUAAAAUGCCUAGUAGAAUAGAAAUCAUGUAUUAUGACAUAAUUGUGACUUAAAUGAUAAAUGCAUGCUAUUUAAUCAUGUUCAACAUGACUCCCAUGAUAUUGUUAUGCAUUGUGAUUGCUUGAUGAAAUAUUCAUGGGAUUAGAAGUAUGAAAUCAUUACAUGUUUAUAUGCAUUCCAAUCCAUGUACAAGAUUAUGAAUACCAAGUACUUCAUGAUAUUCCCCAACUAUUGAAUUAUGAAUUGUGGACUUUAGUUAUGCGUUCAAGAAGUGUCAUGUCUUGUCAGCUUCAUGCUAUCGAGUCCUGGGGGUACUUGUACCCGAUAAUUUAGCUAUGUGCCUAGAGCCAUGUGUUAUGUUUUUAUGAUACUUUCAGUCAAGCCAUGAUCAGUAGAAUUCAGUCAACCUCAGUUAGUUGUGUCCAACAAGAAUAUAGAGAGUGGCAUCAUGGAUGAAACAAAGAGUCAGAAAAUUGAGGGUUUAAAGAAAGAGAAUUUGAGACUGAGACAACAAAUGAUGGAAAUGUACCGAGCUUGGGCCAGUGGGCUGCCUCCACCUUCGUUCCGCACUUUUGACCCUACAAAUACCUUGAGUCUUUCUCCAAAAUUGCAAAGUUAGUUUUCUACUGUUGUUGAUGCACCACAGCAUGCCUCAGAAUCCAUUCCACGUCAAGUACACCUCAACACUUCUACCACUGUUUAUUUAUCUCCUCAGUAUAAUUCUACCACAUUCACAGCACCACAUACCGUCUGUGCUUUUGUUGCUCAACCUUCUACUAAGGCUUCCACUUUGUCUAUCAAUCCAACGAUUGUGCUUCCCCAGUCCACUAGUGACUCCAUGUUCAAUACUGUUGAUGAUCAUUGGUAUACUCUUGAGCCUACAGUUAAGCUAAGUGAACCGCCAAAAUUUCUUACUAAGAAGCCUAGCAUGCCAAAAAAGCCAGAGAAAAUAGUUGGGAAAGUGAAGAGUGUAGAAAAUGAUAUGAAAAAUUCCCCUGGACUUACGAUCUAUGAAGAUGUUUCAUAUAAAAACUAGGGCAUGUCUUCAAGUGUUAACCUUCCUCCCAGCUUUGAGACAUCAAAAUUUGGGGAGCACACAUGCUCGGGGAAAGUUAGUGUUGUAAAACAUUUCAUAAGUGAUCUUGAUCGUGCACUUUCGCAUUGCAUGCUAUGUACUAGAAUUUUCAAGAAUUGAUAUGAUGAAGGCAUUUCAUUCUGUUAUCCAAACACUGUGUCAUCCUUUGUUUACCCCCAUUUGGGCCUUAGUGUUAUUUUCUUUCAUACCCCUCUUUUGGAAUCAAGAUAAGAGUCAACAAAAUUCAAAAAAAUAUGUCGAAAAAGAAAGAAAAGAUGAGUAUCAAGAAAAAUAAAGUCAAAAAAGUCCCAAAGACAAAAGAGUCAACAAAAGAAAAAAAAAUAGAAUCAAGUGAAAAAAUAAGCUGCCAGAACUACGCAUGACCUUAUUCUCCUCUCUUGGGGGUGAGAUACGUAGGCUGACCUACUCAGGGCUCGAUCCAACCAAAUAAACAAUUUAGAGUCACCCAGUCAAAAGAAACUGGGGCAUGAGUUAAUCCUCAUUGUUUGAGUCGAUUUCAAAAGUUGUAAGUCCUACCCCACUUCAAGUGUCGUUUGGGCCCUAUGUCAUCCUUUCUCUCUAACCUUAUCCAAAAACCAAAUUACAACCAAAGAAAGACCUUCAGAUCAAUUUUUGAGAAUGUUAAGGCUAAGCAUGCAAGGGAUAUGAUGAUGCAUUUGGGAACUAUUUGUCUUUCUCAGCAUAGGGAAUCAAGAGAGAAAUAAAAAUGAGAGAAUCUUAUUGGUGAAACCCUUACAGGCACCAUAAGGCGAUGGCAAGUUGAGAGAAAUAAAAAUGAGAGAGUCUUAUUGGUGAAAACCCUCACGGGCACCAUAAGGCGAUAGUGAGCUGAGAGAAAAUAAAAGAAACUUGUUGGCGAAAAUCCUUCAAGGCGCCACUAGCCGAAUGGGGUCUUAAAUGCAAUUACCUAAGAAAGCAACUCAGUUUCAAGGCCAUUAACUCAACAACAAUGGGUAGAAAGUUUGGAUGAAAAGAUCAAGCUGCUUAAUCCAAAGUGCAUGGCAUAAUCAUUAGUUUUGACUGUUAUUUUUAGAUGAAUUUUUUGUUUCUUUGUUUUAAAAGGGGACAUUCAUUAUCUUUUCUUUCUUCUCUUUAUUUUAAUUUUUAACUUUCUUAAGUCAGUUAUCAAAACAAAAAUAUUCAUUCUUUUUUUGUUUCUUGUCUUUGAGUCAAGUCCGUGUCAAAACAAGUGAGAAAAGAUUUCAAAAUUGGCUACCAGCUUCUUUAAUUGCACAAAGCAAGACAAAAGCUAGCACAUGAAAGAGACAUGAUUGUGAGCCCAAAAAAGGCAUGCAGGAAUUUUCGUCAACAGAGAAGUCAGGGAACUCAUGGAAAUACCAAGGUUCAAAGGNNNNNNNNNNNNNNNNNNNNNNNNNNNNNNNNNNNNNNNNNNNNNNNNNNNNNNNNNNNNCAAAGCUAAAUGUGACGGGGGCAGGAGCAAUUGCCUCAAAAGCCAAAGCCACAAACUAGCCACCAUGUUUUUAAAAUCACAAGUUUUCUUUUUAUGUAAUAGGAAUACAUGUUGCAUUCAGAUCAAGGAUUUCAGAGCCUAAACAUCAAAGGCAGUAAUUUCUCACCUCAACAAAUUCAAGAGGCAAGGUUGCUGCACAGGUUUGGCAAUCAAAACCAUGACAAAACUCAUAAUUCAAGAUCUCUAAGAGACGCACUUCCUUGUUUUGAUAAUUCAAACAACAUUGAUAAGGAAACACACUUCCUUGAUUGGGUAAUUUGAAUUUUGCUUCUUAGGUAAUGCACUUCCUAACUUAAAUUUUGAUUCCUAGAAGACGUACCUUUUAGUGGAGUCAUCCCCUUUGAUUCCUAUAAAACGUACCUUUUAAUUGAGUCAUUCCUAUUGAUUCCUAUAAGACGUACCUUUUAGUUGAGUCAUUCCCUUUGAUUUCUAUAAGACGUACCUUUUAGUUGAGUCAUCCCCUUUGACCCCUAGAAGACGUACCUUUUAGUCAAGUCAUUUCCCUUGAUUCCUAGAAGACGUACCUUUUAGUUGAGUCAUUCCCUUUGAUUCCUAAAAGACGUACCUUUUAGUCAAGUCAUCCCCUUUGAACCCUAGAAGACGUACCUUUUAGUCGAGUCAUUUCCCUUGACCCCUAGAAGACAUACCUUUUAGUCGAUUCAUUCCUAUUGAUUCCUACAAGACGUACCUUUUAGUCGAGUCAUUCCCUUUGAUUCCUAUAAGACGUACCUUUUAGUUGAUUCAUCCCCUUUGACCCCUAGAAGACGUACCUUUUAGUCGAGUCAUUCCUAUUGAUUCCUAGAAGACGUACCUUUUAGUUGAGUCAUUCCUAUUGAUUCCUAGAAGACGUACCUUUUAGUCGAGUCAUCCCCUUUGAUUCCUAUAAUACGUACCUUUUAGUUGAGUCAUCCUCUUUCAUUCCUAUAAGACGUACCUUUUAGUCGAGUCAUCCCCUUUGAUUUCGAUAAGACAUACCUUUUAGUCAAGCCAUUCCCUUUGGCCCCUAGAAGACGUACCUUUUAGUCGAGUCAUUUCCUCUGAUUCCUAUAAGACGUAUCUUUUAGUCGAGUCAUCCCCUUUGAUUCCUAUAAGACGUACCUUUUAGUCGAUUCAUCCCCUUGGACCCCUAGAAGACGUACCUUUUAGUCGAGUCAGUCCCUUUGAUUCCUAAAAGACGUACCUUUUAGUUGAGUCAUCCCCUUUGACCCCUAGAAGAUGUACCUUUUAGUCGAGUCAUUUUUCUUGAUUCAUAGAAGACAUACCUUUUAGUCGAGUCAUUCCUAUUGAUUCCUAUAAGACGUACCUUUUAGUCGAGUCAUCCUCUUUGACCCCUAGAAGACGUACCUUCUAGUCGAGUCAUUUUCCUUGAUUCCUAAAAGAUGUACCUUUUAGUCGAGUCAUUCCCUUUGAUUCCUAUAAGACGUAUCUUUUAGUCGAGUCAUCCCCCUGGAUUCCUAUAAGACGUACCUUUUAGUCGAGUCAUCCCCCUUGAUUCCUAAAAGACGUACCUUUUAGUCGAGUCAUUCCAAUUAACUCAUAGAAAUUGCAUUUCUUUAUUUGGGAUAAUUUUCUUUUUACAGUUUUGAUGUAAUUUCAGGAGCAUGCCCGUAGCACAGGGCGAAUAAAUGAAAAACCAAGCAACAAGGUGAAGAAAUUGAAAGCUAAACAAAUUAAAAAAUAGCAAGUCAGGAGCCCGCCUGCAGAACAAGGUGAAGAAAUUGAAAGCAUAGCAACAAGUUGAUGAAAUAGCAAGUCAGGAGCCCGCUUGCAGAACAGGGUGAAGAAAUUGAAGGCAUAGCAACUAGUUGAUAAAAAUAGCAAGUCAGGAGCCCGCCUGCAGAACAGGGUGCAGAAGUUGAAAACAUGGCAACAAGUUGAUGAAAUAGCAAGUCAGGAACCCGCCUAGAGAACAGGAUGAAGAAAUUGAAAGGCAAGCAACAAGUUAAAGAAAUAGCAAGUCAGGAGCCCGCCUGAAAAAUAGGGUGAUGAAACUCAAGUCAAGAGUCCAAAAGAAGCUGUAUAGAUAGGAUUUUUGUAAUUUCGUUUAUGCUUUAACUUGUAAUUUUUAUUUUAAUGUAAUGACAGAGUCGUGGACCGGAACCUUGAUGGAGCCUCACUCGACUCUCCAACCCACUAUAGUCUUUCUCUUUCCAAUCCUUUAAAAUACCCGUGACUUGUUUCUCUCAUAACUUGGGUAGGUAGGAUGUCUUAAGUCAAGGCCCGGUUGUCCUUCUUCCUUCCGUUUCUUUCUUUGAAUAAUGGUCGGGUCAAAAUUUGGUCUCGCUGUCUACUUCUUUGUCUUAAAACACUUCAUGUUUACAUUCAAAGGGGGCAUGAUGUAGACACCUAAUUUCGUCUCUCCUUGAUAUCGUUUUUACCCAUUUUUACUUUAUCCUACCGUGUACCCUCACCUAUUUAAUUAUUCCCCACAAAAAUACAAAAAUAAACAAAAAACAAUACCUCUAACUAAUGUAUCUUAUCCUAACAACCUACCCAAUCAAAAGUUUCCACCUCACUACCCCAAUACCCACCCACGUGACCCCUCACACUAUUACCUACCAUAUAUACAUAUCCCAUUUUCUCAUGCAGAGCGGGAUAUACACAAUCAUCUUCUCCACAACAAAGGGGGGAUCCUUCAUUUUUUUCUUGGUCCAUUAGCACACAAAAAACACAUGAACCUCACACCAAAUACCCUCACAUCAAAUACACACACUCACCAGCUGCCUCUUGAAUACACAGAAUUAGCACACACUCACUGGUACAGAAUUUACAAAUACACAUCCAUUCACAUAAUACGUAUAGCACAGGAGAAGAGACGAUACUCAUCGUAUCCACAGAAAUAAGGGAGAAUUCAUACACCCAUACGCACCGAGAGCGGGAAUUGAACGGAAAGUAGAGAGGGAAAUUGAAAUUGAGCGAAAGAGAGAGUUUGAGAUAUAGACUGAGAAGGAUAAAGGGAGAAAAUGCCACUGUUGUGGUCUAGAGAGAGAGAGCUCUAAAUUCGGUCAGUUCGUCGAAAUACACUCUCACCAGCGACCAAGAUUUUCAUUAGAAAACGACCCAAACGUGCCGAAAAACAGUAGCCAGCAGCCAAAUUAGCUGCAGCAGUCCAUGGGCUGCUCGAAAUUUCACCAGAGACAUGCCAAAACCGAUCAAAACUGUCCCAAACAUUGGAAAACAAAAGUAGGUUUGUCUUUGGGAUUUCGAGAAUCGAGUUCGAGGUCUGUUCGUGGUUCAUGGGUUCACGAGGCUCCAGUCGCGGUUGAAAUUGGUUCAAUUUGAUUGAAUAAAAGUAACAUUGAGGUUCGACGUUGAGGUUCCGUUGGAUGCGGUUCUAUUCAGAAAGAUCAGUUAAUCAAUAAGGCAUUGAGGUCCAUUUCUCAUAUCAUUCUCUAUUCUAUUUUUUGGAAUUCUAGUUUUUGGAAUUCUAGUUUUUUUUAUGGGUGUGAAUAACUUGUUUGUUUAGCGUAUUUGAAUCUUUGUUGUGUAUACGUGGUUGAUGUUGGAUUUGAUAGUCGAAGAAUUGGCUAAUUAGUUUGACAAUUGAAUUGGGGAAGACGGGAAUUAAAAGUUGAUAAAAAAUAAAUAUUAUGUUUUUAUUCAUUGUUGAUGUUGAACAUAAUAUGUCAUCGAGUGGGUAGGCAAACAGUAGGUUCGGGUAGGCAAAUUUAGUAUUGUUGAAUUGUUGUAAUGCUUAGAAUAUUUGUUGAAUGUUUUGUUUAUUGUAUUUGAAAAGUGUAUUUAUUUAACCGGGGAAUGCCCCGAAGAAUUUUGUACGCAAAGGAUGCUCGUGAUCAAGGCCCGAGGCAUCGGGUAAAGCAUAGUUUAGGACUAGUGUAGGUUAUUUCAGUAUUUUUAUUUUGUGACUGUAUAACUCGGACUGGACACUAUAUUUCGGAUCCCUUUGGAUUUUUGUUUGUUUGUUUGAUUAUUUUAUAUGUUUUUGUGUGGUUUGUACAUCGUAGUGUCAAUUUAGCCGAUACGCUCUGCCAAGCGACCGUGGUCAAACCACGGGAUCGAGGGGUUCCUAACACCUUCCCCUCGGUCAACAGAAUUCCUUAGCCGGAAUCUCAGUUCGCAAAACCAGUAUUAAAGAGUCAAAACCAUUUUGAAAAAAGAUAUCCAUGGGUGACUUGGCACACCCGAUUUAUGCCGAGUAGCGACUCUGAGUUUUGAUUGUUAAAAAUAAUCCUUUUUCAAAAUAAAUUUUCAUCUUUUGUCACUUUAAUAAUUAAAACCCUUUCAACCCUUAAAACUUAAUCUUUGGGAGUGAAAAAAAGGGGUGUGACAACAUGCUUUAAAAAUUGAGCCUCUUUGGGUUAAAAUUUAUCAGCCCUUUUCGGAUUAAAAAUAUUGGAUCCCUUUUCAGGGUUAAAAGCGAGCUUUAUUUUCAAAUAUGUGACAGCAAGAUUAUUGAAAUAUGGUUGACAAUCGUCUCUACAUGUAGCUUUUGGACAUAUAUCUUCAUCAUCAUCAAAUUGGUUGCAACUUUGUUCUCAACAUGUCCUCAAUAUGAACCAUCUAAUCAUUGAACCAUUGUCUCUGAUACCACUUGUUGGGUUCGAAAUCGAGAAGGCGCCAUGCGGAUGCUAUUAGUUGCAAACUAUCUUAGUGAUAAUUCAGACGACAAAGAAAAACAUACUAAAAAAUAUAUUAUUGAUGUAAUUUGGUCAAGUGACCUACAUAUUGAAAACUAAUAUCAAAAAAACAUUAAAAACUAUUGAGAGAAAAUCUCUUCCUAAACGAGACUCUUUGAUGACUAAAUUGUGGAUACUACUGUGUUAUGAUAUGAGAAGGGGGUCUUUUAUUUAUAGAUGACCUACAUAUUGAAAACUAAUAUAAAAAAAAACAUUAAAAACUAUUGGGAGAAAAUCUCUCCCUAAACGAGACUAUUUGAUGACUACAUUGUGGAUGCUACUGUGUUAUGAUAUAAGAAGGGGGUCUUUUAUUUAUAGAUGACUAAAACCUUUCCUCCUAGAAAGAGGUUAGCCACAUAUGGAAAAGAAUUAUAUUUUUUCUUUCAGAAAAAGUAAAAGUAAUUAUGGUAACUUUUAUUUUCCUUCUAAGAAAAACUAAAACUUAAUUUUAGUAAGAAAAUCAGGGCAAAAACCUUAACAUCAUCAACAUAUAGUUGGUUCUUUGAUGUGGUCAUCAUUUGAAAAAAUCUCUUUUCUUUGAUGAAAUUAGAAGGGAUGUAAGUUUCUAUCAAGAAGAGAAGAGAGAAACUGAUCUAUGUAAAAGUAACCAUGUAAAGAAAUUGUAUCAGUUUAAAACUUAAAAACCACAAAAAGUUAACAUGUUAUUACGAACUCUAACUCAUCUAUAUAAUUAUUAAAAUUUCAAUUUUAAAAAAUAUGGCAACAUUAAAUCACCGUAGAAUUUGAAUUUAUUAAAAAUUUUAAAAAGGUAAAUAAUAAGUAAUAAAUAAUCUAAAUAUUUGUUGUCCUAAACUACAUGACAGUUUUUUUACAUUCAAAAAGAAUUUAAAACUCCAACUUUGUAGGUGUAGCUUUUUUAAAAAUUGAAUUGGAAAAAGAAGAGUAAAUUAACUGCUGUAACUUCCUAAUUUUGAAAUAUGAUACAUUAUAAGAAAAUACAUAUACACAUACGUUACGAUCUGAAUCGGGGCCCUGGCCAUGACCAGCAUUCCCGAACCGUGAAGGUCCGGGACGCCCACUGUCUAUCUGGUAAUCAUGCACAACAUUCAUAUAAUAAAAUAUAAUGCGGAAAUAGAAAUCUAAUAUGGAAACAUGGUCAGUCUGAAUGUGAUCAUAAUACUGAAAAAUUCAAAUCCAAAAUAUAUCUGGAUAAUAAUAAUGUCUGACUCAGUCUGCGAAAUCUUUAUUAUGAACUAAACAAAACUGUCUGAAAACUGGGACAAGGCCCCCAGUAGACCAAAAUAUGACUAAAGAUAAAUAUCUGAAAGUAAACAGGCCUUCUGGAAUAUAGAAGGCUCACCCCUGCACAAUCUGCUCUGCGAUCUGAAAUAUUUACUAUUUAUCUGAACCCCUAGACUGUGUCUCAAAACCUGGAAGCAGAGGGGGUCAGCACAAAUGUACUGGCACGCGAAGCAAUCCAAAAUAAAGUAUUUGAACAUAUAUAUAAUAGAUGAGAGCAAUUUUCAUCAACACAUCACGUAUAAAAUAGCUUCUGAAAACACAUGGGCAUCAUUCGAAAAUCAUAAGACAUUCUUGUCAAAACAAUUUCUGAUCUUUGUAUUACUUCUGAGUUAGGUGGCACUCCUCUACAAGACUGAUAUUUCACAGGCUAUAUGAAAUCCGCCAUUGACUCGGCGGGGAAGCCCCCAACCCAAGUGUGCCGCAAGGGUUGGAGUGUCUGAGUCUGAUAUGCCACACCGCACUUAAGCCAGUGUAUAAUAAUAUACCCAGAUCGGCAAAUCACGAUUUUGGGCAAUGAGUUGUCUGAACUCACGCCUUCUUCGGGGACCACCUAACAUCUCUUUAUGCCCAAUUUUUAACCUUUUCUGAACAUGUAUCAUUCUGAAAUUUCUUAAUCAUGAAAGUCUGAUAAAAUCUAAUUUCUAAACUAGUCUGUGUCUGUUAUGGCAUUUGUCUGAGUUGGUAUCAUCAUACCAAGACUUNNNNNNNNNNNNNNNNNNNNNNNNNNNNNNNNNNNNNNNNNNNNNNNNNNNNNNNNNNNNNNNNNNNNNNNNNNNNNNNNNNNNNNNNNNNNNNNNNNNNNNAACCCUCUCUUUCGUGUUCAAAAUCGUAUUCCAAACAUAGCAAAGUCAAAGCAUUUCAUAUCAUGAUUUUUCAAGACGUAUUUCAAAAUAAUCUAUAUCAUGUGAAACAUGGGAAAAUUACAUCAAGAGAGGAUUUCAUAUAAAUCGUGCUCUCAAUUCAUAUUUCAAGGAAAAACACAUAUAUACAUAUACAUAUAAUUUUCAAGUCACUUUGGGGGAAAGCCAAAAGGCUAAAGCAAUAUCAUUUAAAGCUUCUAAAACAUGAAUUCAAAAACUCCUUUCUUAAAACAUGAUUUCUAUGCCCAUGAGAAUUUAGGAAAACCUCGCGUACCUCUAUUUAAGAAAUUGAGGGAUGAUCCUUGAAGCCUACGAUGUGGGGAUUCCAAAUCUCCAAUUAUCUUCCAAAACUCACGGUUUGAGUUAUUUAGGAUUUUUGCUUGAAACCCUAAGGGGUGUUCUUGAGAGAAAAUUUGAGAAAAGGAGUAUAUUUUGAUGAAUUGGGGGUUAAAUCUGGUGUUAUACACAAAAUUUGGGUGAGCUAAAAUGACUAAAAUGCCCCUAAAAAAACAAACAAAGUCGUAACUGUCCCUCAGUUGACAAGCUGACAGGCUGAAGUAAAACCAGUAUAACUCCUUACGCAGAUGUUGGAUUUGGAUUAAACUAGUUGCAUUGGAAAGAAGACUCAAAGAGCUUUCAUUUGAUAGGUAGCAGCUCUCCCAGUUCAUUAUAUUCAGAGAGUUAUGAUCGUUUGAAGUUGACCCUAAAAUGCGAAAAACUGGGCAACAGGCUAUGUGUUUUGCUACUGUUUUGAAAUCCAAACGCAGCCUUAUGCAUUCUGAAAAAUUCUGAAACUUAUCCAAGAUGUACUAUGAGCUUUUCCUAUCGUAACACAACUUGAAAAUCUAAAAACGGAGGUCGGAAAGUUUGAAAAGUUGUAUCCCGAAUAUUGCCAGCCAAAAUGACUCUAAGUCCUCAUUACACUUAUAAAAAUUUUCAAGUUUUUAAGUCUAAGAGCACUCUAUUAAAGGCUAAUCCAUGCACGAAUUUUAUGGGGUGUUACAACAUACAUAUUUAUAAAGUCAAUUAAAAAGUAGUGGCUAAUUUCUAUCUAAUUAACUAACUUAUUCCUAUCUAAUUAACUAACUUUUUAAAAGCUAAACAUGUCAUUUUUAUAUGCUGCCACUUGGCUUAAUGAGGAGGCUGCAUCCUCUAUUUUAAUAAUAUAUAGAUAUAGAUACAGAUUGGUAUAUUUUGAAUUAGAAAUAGUUGCAACUGCUUCACUUUAUCCCAAAUAAAAAAAACAAUUAUUUGAUCAUAUAUGUGCAGGAAGUAAAUAGUUUUUCUCUUUAGUCCUCCUCUACACAAGAGACGUCUUUCGCUGUGAUAGCUGCUGUGAAAAUUGUAGCGAGAUUGGAGGAUCUGGACAUAGAUACUAUUGUCAGUCAUGCGCUAUUUGAGAAGAUUCUAUUUGACUGAUAGAAUAGAUAGAAGUAAAGAUGAUGAAAACAUAAUAGGUAUGCAAUUGUGGGAAUUUUUAAAUAGAUGAUUUUUUUUGGCGUUUACUUUUCUUAUGUCUUGGCUCCAUAAUUUAGUGAUGAACAUUAUGUUACACAACACAAAUUAUCAGGUUAAAAAGGUUUCAUCCCUUAGAAUUAGAGCUGUCAAAAUGGAUUGAUCCAACCCAACCCUAGCGGGCUAAGAAUUAAAUGGGUUAGGACAGACUAUCCUUUUAACUAAAGGGACUUUAAAAUAGCGGUCCAACCCUAAGUGGGUCACGAAUUGGGAUGAGUUGACCCUUUAGAAAAAAUAAAAGCAACCCGAAACAUGAUAAACAAAAAUAUUGUAAGUACUAGACUAUCACCAACUUUUAUGGUUUCACUUUAAUAUGUCUCCUACUAGUUUGUAGCAUGUUAUAGGCAUCUUACUAAUACCUUUAAGGGCCGUUAGGCUNNNNNNNNNNNNNNNNNNNNNNNNNNNNNNNNNNNNNNNNNNNNNNGUGUAUAGAUAAUUUCUCUCAUAACUAUGGUGUAAAUGAUGCGAUAAAUAAUACCUCAUCACUAACUAAUACCUCACACCAAACAUGGGAUAAAAUAGUCCUUCAUUUUAUCUCAGACUAUUUAUCCCUUAUACCUCACACCAAAUGAUCCGUUUGUUGCAAUUAGCUCAUAGCAUUUACUAUACUAAGCAAAGAAAUGAUGAUUAGCUACAAAUUUCGUAGAAAAAUUCUAAUAUGGUUAAGAUAUACACAAAGUAUCUACAUAAAAGCAGCAAGAUUAUAACAGAAGAGAACCUAUAUUUGAAGAAGCAAAGGCAACAACUACUAAUCAAUCACGAGUAAAAGCAACUUUUUAAAGUUCACAACUAAAAGCAGCUUAGCAGCCAUUUCAAACACACACUAAGAACUUUAAAAAAAUUAGUAUCAACCAAAGAAUGAAUAAAAAAUAAGUAGCUAGUUAGAAAAGAUUGACAAAAUUCUAAUACCUAAUAAAUAAAUGACCAGCUUAAAAAUACUUAAUAAUUAUUUUUAAUGUCUCAGCCCAUGGGCUGGCCUCUGAGGCUGACGGGUUAGGCCUCUAAGGCUGACGAGCCAAGUGAGGGAGGGAUUAUAAGCCUCGUUUCAAAAUGGGCUGAAAAAGCUUAGCCCAACUCCAAUUAAUUAAAGGGCUAGGUUGGACCGGCUUCACUAACCAAGCCAAUUUUGACAGCUAUACUUAGAAAGGAAAAGUUCAGAAAUAGCAUACUUAUCCCUUUAAUUAUGAGUUUCAUAGCAACAAUUUCAUAAUUACAUAAUAUAGCAAGUUGUAUUUUGUAUUUUUGUAAACUGUUGCUACAAAAAUACAAAAACAUAUGAUUUUUACUGCCCUUAUGGUCAAUAUGUAUUUUGUAUUUUUGCAAACUGUUGCUACAAAAGUACAAAUACAUAUGCUACAAAAUGUAAUUUGAUAAAAGUGUUGCUAUUUUUUAUAAUUUAAUAUUUAAGUAUGCUAUUUUAUGUAUUUUUUCCUACUUAGAAUCCUUCGCUUAUGCAUCAAAUUUCUUUGGAUCUUAUAUGACUUUGAUUCUUAUGAAAAAUGGACUUUUGUUGUUUUAUGUCUGAUCACAAUUUAAAAAUUAUGUUUUAAAUAAGCUAAAAUAUAUAGCAGUAGUAUACAUGCAUCUAUGGAGAGUUUUUACAAAUAUUAAUAGCUGAGUAUGUUAUGAGCGGGUAUCAAACUCUCAAAUAUUAGUGAAAAUAGAAGUUAAUAUGUGUUAUGUGACACGCAAGAAAUUGUAAUAUUUAUAGUGCUUUUCUGCGCAUUGAGUCAUCCAAAGAUAUAUUUUAUUAUGUAUUUGCUUAGAAAAUUUGUAAGUAUUCUUGGGAAUUUAGCUCAUUUACCACAUUAAUAUAUUCAGUUCACGAAUCUUACAUGAACAAAAGAUAAUAAUUGCAAUAGCGAUAUGAAAGGAAAUUUAGUUCUUUUGCACGGGAAUAAUAAGAUACACUAAUCAAUUAAAGAUAUUAGAUAUCUUACUUGAUCAGAAUAUCAAGUAGUGGUAUGUAAUUUUUUUUUAUUUUAACUGUACUUUUUAAUACUAAAAUAUGAUUUUGAACUUCCAUAUAUAUAUAAUGACUAUGCGGUAUUCAUGAAGAUGAAUAUUGUUCUUGAUAGAAUAGUCAUGUUUAAAGUGGUAGUUAAUCUCUUCAAUGUUAAGGUGGUUGUUGCAGUUUAUAUAGAUAGCAAUGAUGAGGAUAUUAUAAUGCAAUUUUCUUUCUUUGUUCGAAGGUACAUUAAUUAUCUGUUGUUUUACUUACAUAUUUUAUAGCAUACUGAUAUUGUUGUUUGCCAAGUCACCAAGGGAGAUAAAGAUUUCGCGGUAAUUUCGAAACUCUCUUUUCAAUGUUUUAAGUUAAUCGCUUCAAUUGUUGUUUUAUUAAUCUUUACGUAAACUCAUUACCACAAUUCUUGGGCACAUAUAAAAUGCACAAUAUUCAUUUUCACAAACUUCAUAUUUUCAUUUUGUAGGAUUGCAUGGAUGAUAAUGACAUGAUCUCUCCUUCUCCUAAAGAGACCUUGGCAGGAAAAGUAGAUUCGAAUUUGGAUACAUAUCAUAUGUAAAAGAAGUUGAUAAUGAUCUCAAUGUACAACUCUCAAGUAACAAGGUCGGCAAAGUGGUUAAAAUAUGAGGAAAACGCAGAAAAUAUUUCCUUAAAUAUUAGCUUUUUCAAUUUUAUUUCUAGCACGAUAAAUUCUUUAACAAUAUUUGGCAUCCAAAGUUGCUAGUUUCAUAUAGCGUCUACAACCAUUAGUGACUUCUUUUUGAUCUUAUGUGCAAAUUUGUAUUCAUAUACAUUAAUCUUAGCUUUAAAAGGGUUAUGUGGUUGUGGAAAAUCUUCUAUGACACCAUUCAUUAGAAAGUGAAAUCAUAAAUCAUAUUAUCCUCUAACUAGCUCACAAUCAUUGCAAUGACUUGGUGAGAAUGUGUAUAUAUAAAUUUUCCUCCUUAGGAGGAAUACUCUCAACAAAAAAAGGCUUGUUGUUCCUUAAAUAACUACAAGUGAAAAAUGCACUUCAAUUGUGAACUAUCACUUUUGAAUUGCAGAGUUGUGACGGUAUAUGGUAUUAUGUCCUUUUUAUCCAAUUUAUUAUCAGAAAAUAAGAAUUUUUAUUUUUCACCACCAUCAACAUAUUUUGCCAUCAAUACUUUUUCUUAAAAAUUCAUGUAGUUAAUGAUUUUUUAUAUCAUGUUUAUAUAAUUUAUUCUUUAUUUCUUUUAAAUACUGUGUGAGAAAUUAAUUGAUGACAAUCAGAAGAUAAUAUUUCAAGAGAUAUCAAUUAUAGUUCAUUAAAAUUUAUUACUUCUGUAUUUGAUAUGAUUUGUUUGGGAUGUCUGGAAAAAAUAUAUUCUCAAUAUUUAAUUACAAGGCACUAACAUUUAGAGUGAAUAGAACAUGACUUCUAAAAAGAAUAUAUUUUCAUAUAUUUUGGUUACAUAUAAUUAGAACGUGAGUGGAAAAAACAUUUAAUUUAGACUAAAGAAGUUCAUAAAUUAUACAGAGUCUAAGUGAAUGUUUAGAUGGACUUGUAUCUUUUGUACUUAUUAUAUGGUUCUUUAUUUAUUUUAAUUUUUUUCUUGCUUAAAAAUGCUUAAAAAAACUUUUUUAUUUUACACAAAAACUUUAAAAGUACUUAUAAAUUAUUUUGACUUAAAAGCCCUUAAAAUAAGUUAAUUUAACUAGAUCCUAAGUUAUGAUAUGCAAUCCACGCAUCGCCCGGUGCUGUACUAAUUUUAUCUUAAAGAAAAAACACCACCAUCAUCUGCUUACUACUUUGUUGCUGAUGAUGAUUGUGAAAUGUCCCUCAAACCAUUUGUCAAAUCACCAGUAGUUAGACUACACAAGCAACAUAUAAGCCACAUGUUGAAAAGAUAGGGAAAAGAACAAAAAUAACACCUAAAACUAAAAUAAUUUCACAAAACUAGCACCUAAAUUUAAAAACCCGGCAAAUAGCCACUAAGGGAUGGGCGCACGUGAGAAGCUGGGAUACAUUUGUCGUUGUUCCACGUAUUCCCCUCAAUUCUACAACACAAUUCGGCCCUUUCCUUUUUGGGUACUGGGCACACUUUUCAUCUUUAAUGGCUUAUGCUUUUUUUUGGCUCCUUAUACUUUUAAUAUAAUACAAUUAUUAAAGAUAUAUAUUUAUAUAUAAUAAUGAUACAGUUUCUAUAUAUAUACAUAUUCUAUAUAAUAAUUAUAGCUUUUUUAUACACAUUUUAUACAAUUUUUAACUACAUUUAUUAUUUAGAUACAUAUUUUAUACGGCAUAGUUUCUACAUGCAUUCUAAAAAUGUAUCAAUCUAGUAUAAGAGAGUAUCAAUUGAGUAUAUGGACACUGCAAGUGUAUCAAUAUAGUAUAAAAGUGUAUUAAUGUGAUAUAAAAGAGUAUCAAUUGGGUAUAGGGACUAAAUGUGCUUGCAUAGAAUUUCCUCUCUUUUUUAAAAAGUGUAUCAAUAUAGUAUAAAAGUGUAUCAAUGUGGUAUAAACGUGUAUCAAUUAAGUAUAGAGACCGCAUCUGCCCAAUUGGCCCAAAUAGCUAAAAAAAAGGAAUUAAAUUGAGCCGACUGGCUAAGGUUAUCGACCUUUUAAAUUAUGGGCCAUUUUUUUUAAAAAAAAAUCACCCCAUGUCCUUUCCCCAAGAUAAAACAUAGUCAAAAAAAAUUAUAAUUGGAUUGAUAGCUUCUCAAAGUCCAGCAAUGAUUGUCUAAGUAACAUGACACUGAAUACAAUACAUAAAUAAAAGAUUAUUGCAUAAAAUUUAUAACAGAAUUAAUACUAAUUAAAUAACUUGAAAAGAAAGUAAGACAAGCACAAGCGAAGAGAAGUUCAUAAAUUUAAUUUACUCAAACUCUAAAAAGAUAAAUGUAGCAAUAAGAAUCAAAGAGAAACAUGGUUCAUCUCUAAAGAUUGUGCAGCAACAACAAAAAAAAAAAGAAUUGAUUUUCUAAAAGUUUAAAUUAUAAAGUGUGCAUUGCUAUAACAUUUUCAAGUUAUGUUGGAUGAUAAUGAACAUCUGUCAUAAAACUAUCAAUUAGAUCAAGCCAAACAUGUCGAUGCAUCAAAUUUUUCAUGCAAAAUAAGAAUUCUCACCUAGCUCUAUAUGUUAAGAGAAAUACAACGACAACAUAUUUAGUGUAUUCUUACAAAGUCAUAUGUGGAGAGAGCAAAUUGUGCGCAGUUCAUAUUACUAUCUCAGGUGAAGUAGAGAGAUUGUUUUCGAUCGACCCCAACUCAAGACAAAUAACAGUAUAACAAACAAAACCCAUAAAAAUAAAUAACAAAAUGGGAUAACACACCGCUAGAUAAUUAAAAAAACAAGACACUGACAAAAUAAUACUAUAAACUAUCUAUUCGAGAUCACAAACACCAUCAGAACACUACGAACAAGAAAUUGUUUCCACUCCAUGUUUUUUAGACUUACUUUUCAAUACAUUCUUAGACAUAUUAAAUUCCCCUUGUAGAUAUAGAAAAAUAAAUAUUUGAAACAGUAAUUCAAAAAAAUAACUUGGUCAACAUGAACCUGUUAUUUUUAAUGUUUUCCGGUACAAUAAUCUAUAUAUAGGCAACAACAACUUCAACCCAAGUUCAUGUCUCAAACAAGAACACUUAUGAAGUUCCUAUACACCUUCAACACAAGAUUAAAAAUGAUCUAUCCAAAAAGUGUGUUAUUUUUCAGAAAUAAGAUGAAAUAGAAACGUAAAGCCAAGUCUCCCAACUUCACGAAGUGUCCUUAAGGAAUAAUUUUCCUCAUUAUACCCGAGGUUAUGGAAUCUUCCUUCCAAGAUAAAAUGACUUUCAAUCCAAUUAUAGUGGUACCUUAAAUAAUUGGAUUCGUCGAACGCACUCAACAACUUAAUGAUCACACAGAGUUUUUGUAUAAAAGAAGUAUGUUUUUGCUGUCAAAAAUUAUGUCUAUACCUAAGGAAUAUAUCAGAUAUUUAUAGCCUUUAAUGUGUCCUCUCAGAAAGAAUACAUUGGUUUAGCAGAAAGGCACCUAUUCAAUACAAACUGAACUUGCGCCCGAACUGCGGCCGCAGGUGACACUGUCCGAAUUCCAGUGAGCAUCUGCGCUGCACCUGGGUCCGCAGGUAAUCAAUGUACGCGCUCAGAUCUCCCAACAGCGUGAAACAGUGUGCCUUUUUACCUUGAAGGGUCGCAUCCCUUCGAGAUGUGUUGCAUAUGCAUUUGCGUGACAUCAAAUGCGCCCGCACUUGAAGAAAAGCAGUUCUAUCAGAUGUUUGGAUUAAAAUUUCACUUGUAAAUAAGUUUCAAAUAUAAUUCGUCUAAAAAGAUAGAUCUCAUCGAUCGAUCAUUUGCCAAAUCCGAAGCCAAGCGAGCGAACGAUGACGACAGUGCAAGGAACAUCCUUUUUCUUACCUCACUAUCCAUGUGGAGUUAGUGUUCCUCAUUAUAAACACUUGAAAUUUCCCUUCUUCCACCAAUGUGAGAGAAUUAGUGAAUUUCCAAUAUAAGAGUACAUUUUUCAUUUUGGUUACAUUUUUCAUUUUGGUUACUCUAUUUUCCUCCACUAUUUUUUCUUCUAUUUUCCAUUCACACACACACACCUUAAACCCAAUAAUCCCCCACAUGAAUGGGGAAUGGAUAUCUUUUGAAGAAUUUACGGACAAGCAUGUGAUCAUUUAGCAGAGACUAAUUGCAUCUGGAUAAGUAGGUUUUCUUUUGAACUUUCCAUAGUGAAAAUAUAUUGGAUGCUCUCGGUCAAUCGGUAGAUUUUAUAUCUUUGAACCGUCGAGCUUUAAUGUACACCUAGACAACACAUGUCACACAACCAGCCUUUUACUAUUUAUGGCUCUCACGGUUUUGUUCUUUCCAAUCAUGAACACGUCCUAGUUUUUGAGAGCUUAGAGAAUAGGCCUUUACUAACAUUCUCCUUGAAGCGGCUUCCACUUCGCCCUCACAUAGGUGAUUUCUAAAUGUUUAAUCCUGUAGAUUAAACUAUUUGGUAAAAUUUGUCAAAUUUAGAUAAUCAUUAAAGACUUUCCACCUUAAGUCUUAUCCUUGUUUACUAAAUAUUGUCUACAUUAUGAGAAUGGGUUGGGUAUAUUGGCAAUGUUGAACCUCUCAAACACAACUUUGUUUAAUCUCUUUGAACCUAGCUCUUGGGAUCUUCUGUAUGCUAGGUAGAGUUACCGUCAUACUGACUUGUCCUAAGCCUUAAACCCAUUCCCUUGGAUGUCCUUUCCACUCCUUCUCUAGAUAGGCCUUUUAUAAGUGGAUCCGACACAUUAUCCUUUGACUUUACAUAGUCAAUAGUGAUAAUUCCACUAGAGAGAAGUUCUCUAAAGGUAUUAUGCCUCUGUCUUAUAUGACGAGAUUUACCGUUGUACAUCAUGCUCCCUACCCUACCUAUUGCCGCUUAGCUACCACAGUAUAUACAUACUAGUGCCACUGAUUUGAGCCAAUAAGGAAUAUCUUUCAAGAAAUUCUAGAGCCAUUUUGCUUCUUCACCAGCUUUAUCUAAUGCGAUAAAUUCAGAUUCCAUUGUAGAGCGAGCAAUACAAGUCUGUUUGGAUGAUUUCCAAGAGACCACUCCUCCACCGAUAGUAGAUACAUAUCCACUUGUGGAUUUUACUUCGUUUGGUCCGGUGAUCCAAUUUGCAUCACUAUAUCCUUCAAGUACCGCGGGAUAUUUAUUAUAAUUCAAAGCAUAGUCUUGAGUGUAUUUAAGAUACCCCAAAACUCUUUUCGUUGCCAUCCAAUGAGUUUUAUUGGGAUUUCUCGUGUACCGACUCAACUUACUAAUAGCACAUGCUAUGUCUGGUCGUGUACAAUUUAUUAUAUGCAUUAAACAUCCCAGCACUCUUGCGUACUCCAAUUGUGGGUCACUUUUGCCUUUAUUCUUUUGAUGUGCAAAGCUUACAUCCAAUGGAGUCUUGGUAAUACCGAAUUCCAUAUACUUGAACUUGUCAAGUAUAUUUUCAAUAUAAUGAGACUGUGAUAAUGCCAACCCUUUUGGAGUUCUAUGAAUUCUUAUUUCUAAGAUCACAUCUGCAACUCCAAGGUCGUUCAUAUCAAACUUGCUCUCAAGCAUUCAUUUCGUUGUAUUUAUGUUAGAAAUGUCUCUACUGAUGAUCAACAUAUCAUCCACAUAUAAACAAACAAUGACUUGAUGAUUGAGAGUGUCUUUAAUGUAGACACACUUAUCGCAUUCAUUUAUCUUGAACCCGUUUUUCAACAUGGUUUGGUCAAACUUCGCAUGCCAUUAUUUAGGUUCUUGCUUUUGUCCAUACACUGACUUAAUAAGUUCACACACCUUAUUCUCUUUUCCUGGAACCACAAAACCCUCAGGAUAUUCCAUGCAAAUUUCUUCUUCUAAUUUUUCAUUUAGGAUUGUUGUUUUCACAUCCAACUGUAGAUAGGCCAAUGGCAAAUAAUAACCAUGGAUAAAAAGAGACGAACUGAGACAAUCUUAGCCAUAGGAGAGAACGAUCACCAUAGUCAAGACCCAAAAUUUGUGUAUAACCCUUGGCCACUAGUCGAGCCUUUAGGUGAUCAAUCUCUUGCUCAUAGGGCAUAACUUGUUUCUUUGAGGCUUAAGUCUUGACUCUAGGGCAAAUGUUAUAGAUCAUAUGCCAAAACGUUGUAGAGUAAGCUAGUUUCAAAUCUUGCCCAAAGGGCAUAACUUGUUUUGCAUCCUGCCUUCAAGGCAAAUUUUAAAGUGUAUCCCGUGAAAUUAUUUACAUUAUAUAUCUUGGGGUGCGGUCCUUCCCCAAAUUCUGUUAAUAUGAUAUAUUUUUACACAUCAAUAUAUAAAAAUAUUUAACAUGCAGUAACUUUCAUAAACAAUCAAUAAGAAGGUAUUGAGUUAAAUACUUCACCAUAAGUUAAAACUUUGAAUAAAUAAGAAGACAUUCGUGCAACUUGUUUUGUUGAAAGUCAAAAGUACUUGUUACUAGCUAAAAUAGGGGAUCAAAGAAUCCAAUUAUAACUAUUUUUUUGAUCUAUCUUCUCGAAUAAAAAGUUAAACUAAUUAUGUUUUUUUAAUUUUUCUUUACGUAUUUUCUUGCAUAUGGAUGAAGGAUUUGAGUGUAGUGACAAUUUGAUCUUUUGGGCCUAGUUCUUUUGCAUCUCAAACAUUUGUAAUUAUUUCUUGAAGAUUCUGUUCUACAAGGAUAUCUGAUUGUUUGACUUAUCCCUAGGAGAACCUUCAUAUCUGAGGGUUUUGUUAUUAGAUCCUUUAUACUAUCUAGAACAAUCCAUGAUGUUGUGCUUCCAACUGGUAGGAUUUCUCCCUGGUAUGUUUGUAUCCAAGAUUGUCUUGAGAACCAAUGAGAACAAUAGCUAGACCUAUUCAUAUUUCUACUGUUUAUCGUUGCAAUUGCAUGGGUGCAUGGUAUCUGGUUGGUUUGAAAUACUAAGCAUUGAAAAGUUAUAUUCUUCAAGUCUACAAUAUAUUCAAAUCUUUCUUCUCUUACUACAAAUCUUGUUGUUUCAGUAGGUUUUACCUACAAAUAAAAUGAUAAAUAAAUGACAACUUAUAUUUGUUGUAAUCUUGAAAGCUAUGCCCAUGAAAGCUCAAGAACAAAAAUAAGCCACAAUGAAAUCACAGAUAUGAACACAUCACUUUCUAGUGAUUUAGUAUAAUAGAGACUAAUUAAUAGUUUAGUUUAACUUAGCAACAAAAAUUAUUCUGUGACAUUCUCUACAGUCAAUUCACAGAAUCUGGGUUCCCAUCAUUAACUCACUGCUACAUAAUAAAGUCACCUGGACGUCCACACAAAAAUAGAGACAUUGAUUAGCGAAAGCAAGUGAUAUCAUUGAUGGCAUCAAGAAGAUGAAGAUAUAUAAAAGAUAACAAGUAUAAAAGAAAUUCUAGCUCUAUUAUAGUGAGACAUACAAAUAUAUAUGUUAUAUGCGUGGUCACGUGUAUGUAAAAUUGUAAGACCCCAAGAAUUUUCUCGUCAUUAAAGCCUUCGAAAUGAGUCAAGUUGAGCUUAACACUUAGAAUUUUUAGCUAAGAGUUUCAACACUUAAUUUUAUUUUGAACCCUUCAUCUUCGUUGAAUUUUUCGUGACCUUCCCGACAUUUGUUUCUUAAAAUUUUUGUUGCGUUGCGAUGAUUAAAGGUCGUAGCAUGUUCUGGAUGAGUUUCGAAAAUUUUAGACAUCGUUUAGGGCGUGUUCGAUUUUCAAACCAGUAGCAUCAUGCGAUAUGCAUGCGUCGUAUGGUCCAGUGCGGUGCUAUGGAGCAUGUGACGCACGCUUCAUUGUGGUGGGAUAGGCAUUAUGGUAUUUUUACACUCCCCUAUGCUCUCUAACACAUGAUUAAAUCCCUAAAAGAACAAAAUAUCAUCACUUUCAUCCAAUUUGACUAAGAACAAAGCUUAGGGUUUCUAUAGAGAAGUCAAGAGAACUCAUGAUUCAGCCGUAGCUUUUCAAAUAUUUUUGGAUAUUCGAAAACCCCGUUUCGAGGGCUACAAGAAGCACCCAACAAUUUCAUGAAUAGAGUUUCCCAGUAGAGAGUUCAUUCAACAUCUCCAAUCUUGAGGUAUGUGGGUUUUUUCAACAAGAACAUUCUUUCGUUCUUGUGCCCAAAGUUUUUUUUAUUUUUACAAAGAUAUAUGAUUUGAUAUGUUUUACUACGAAUUUGAAUAUAUGAAUUUACGACUUAUGAUGUUUUCAUGAGAAUGUUGAUAUGAUUGCAUAUAAAGCUGAAUUUUCAAAUUUCUAACUGAUUAUUUUUAUGCUUAUGACAUAAAAAUUGAAUCUUGAGAAGUUUUAUUGUGAUAUUGAUAUAUGGGUUUUUGGAACUCUAUUUGAGAUUAUUAGUUUAUGAAGUUAUGUGUUAUAAACACCUUGAUAUUUGAAUGAUUUGAAAUGAUGAAGAAUAAUUUGACCUUGGUGGUCGCGGAAGUAUUGUUUUUUUUUUUUGAAACCAAGUGAGAAAAGAAAUUCACUAUUCUUGAAUGAUUAUGAAAGGGGUAGCAUAUUGGCUCCCGUUGUGAAUUGUUAAACUAUUUGUUGUGGAUUUUCUUUUAAAAGAUCUGAGCUAAGUCUGGGAGUAGUCUUUAGCACCGAGCGGGAGGUAUAGCGGUUUGGUACUUCCCUAGAACUACGUGCCCCCAUAGGAUGUGGCUGAUAUAGUGAUCACUAGUUUUUGGAUUGAUGAUUAAGGUCCUACUCUGAUGGCAAGGAUAGGACAGCUCUCCCCAAUGUGGGUUGGACAUUGGACUCGAUGUAGCUCACAUGGUUUAUGUUGGUUAUGAGAAACUCCCAACGUGUGUGUGUGUGUACUCUUUUAUCUAAAACGAAAAUAUAUGUUUUGAAGGAUGGGUUUUGACAAAGUUAUCGUUUCCGAAUGAUUUGAAAUGUUACGUUAUUAGGAGACUGUUUUAGCACUUGAUUUCUCUAUGUGUUUGGAAACGAGAAAGGAGUGAAUUGAGAACUUAUUGAAUGACUCACGUGUUUGGUUUAUAUAUAUCAUUUACUUAUGAUUUUGAUGAUUUAUCUCAAGCUAAGUGAGUCUUUCAUAUCAGCAUGCAUGUCUUUUACAAACCUAUGAUAUUUGUUUUAUUGAAAUUUGCAUACACCCCCAUAUACUCAGUACAUAUUCCAUGGUACUGAUCUACAUGUUCUCAUGUGGGCUACAUUUUCCCUAUAAUGUAGGUUCAAGUGCUCAGUCCAAGGUUUGACAGUGAUUUUUCGAGCACGUUGAUCUACAUCUUCUGUAGUGGUGACUCCUCAUGAUCCGAGGACGUAUGAUUUUCAGACUUUUCAUUUCAUUAUGAGUUGUUCAUUUUAUCUUUUGAGUUCGGGUCAGUUGGGGCUUGCACCAAUGGCUCAUUGAUACACUGUUUAGUAAAGGCUUGUCAGGCUAAAUUUGUCAGCUUUGUCAGAGUUGUCAGAUAGGUCGUAUUUUGUUACUUUCCGCAUUUAUCCAUAUUGCAGUACAAGAUUAUUAAUGAUGUUUAGAUGUUUUGAUUUUAAUGAUCUCAAAAAUAAGCUUGUGAUGGUGUUAGAUGGCUCAAAGGGUUAGCUUGGGGCUACUUGUAGUCUUAAGCACCGUGUGACACUUCGGGACCCGUUUUUGGGGCGUUACAAACUUGGUAUCAGAGCCUAAGGUUUAAGGAGUCCUAGGAAGUCUGACAAGCCGCGUUAAGUAGAUUCUUGAUCAUCGGUGUGUAGCAUGCCAUAUCUAUGAACAAGAGGCUAUAAGAUGUUUUAGGAAAAAGGUUAUCCAUUCUUUCAGUACUUAUAUCGUUCCAGUGAGCGAAAGCUCCAGUCGAAAUCUCAGUUUAAUCUAUAUUCUCCUUUCGUUUCAGAACAUGUCUUCUAGUGAAACUAAUGAGCGAAGUAAUGAAAAUCAUCCAGAUCCUCGGUCCGUUCAGGUAGAUCCCUUGGGCGGGCACGUCUCUCACGCAGAGUUUUGGAGCUGUUUUUACUGCCUUACCUAAUGCAAUAGUUGCUCAGAACAAUUUGCAGGAUGUGGUUCUAUCUAGGCUUUUGACUCGCACUCGGCAGAAUAAGAGAAGAGAGUGUAGGAUAAACAGGGAGCUAGAACCAAUCACUCUAUGUCAAGAUCAAGGGGUAACAAUCGCUCCCAGUACCAUCAGAGAUCCUCAUCACCUGUUCUGCUGUCAGUCCAGGCCCUAAUAUCUAAGUAUAAGGAUGUCAAUCAAGGUAGAGCAUCAAGAGCUAAGUCGCAGAAUCGUAACAAAGGUUUUCUAACUUAUCCGCAUUGCGGAGAAUGUGGUAAGAGCCAUAAGAGAGUGUGUAGAGCAGGUAGUGACGUAUGUUUUGGAUGUGGUAAUCCAGGCCACUAGUUGCGGGAGUGUAGGAUCAUAUCUUAGAAGAGUAAAUAUUUAUGUCAGCAGGGUGCCACUUCUAGUACCAAUAGUGGUCGGGGUCAGAACAAGCUUUAUGCACCUCAGAAUACUAGCACCCUGGCUCCCACAACCUAUCCAUCCCCUGCUCAGGAUAUUUCUUCUAGAACUACUGGCGGUCAGUGCCAGAACAAAUCCUAUGUCUUGCCAUCUCGCCAGGAGCAGGAGGACUCUUUCGAUGUCAUUACUGGUAUGCUCCGUGUAUUUCACAUUGAUGUUUAUGCAUUAUUUGGCCCUCAGUCUAGUUUUCUUAUGUGACCCCUUGGUUGCUGAGAAUUGUGAAGUGAGCUGUGAAGAGAUUCCUGAGCCUAUCCUAGUUUCUACCCCUUUUGGGCAAGUUGUUUAUUGCCAAGAAAGUGUAUGAGAGGUGUCCUGUUAUAGUCCUUCAUAGAGUAAGAUAUGUAUUCUCAAAUCUUUGAGUAUGGUGUGUCAAGCUUCUACCCCUUGAAAUUUUGUUAUCAUUGAGUUCUUGAAAAAUCGAAGUAUAGUGAAGCCGUGUGAGGCCUAUUUCGAUUCACUAGCAACUUGUUGUUCAUCUUAUUUUCUUUGUGCAGGUUAAAAGUUGGGUUUAGCGGUGCAGUGUCAAUAGGGGGGGGGGGGUAAAAGUGAUUUAUAGAAGGUAUGUAUAGCCAAGUAUUUUUGCAUAUGAUCGAGUCAGUAAUGAAGUGAUAUGGUUUGAAGUGUGGAAAGGGUUGUUGAUGGAGUUUGUUGAACUAGAAAAGUAUAGACUAUUGAUGAAAGUACUUAGUGGUUGAGAGAUGUUGAUUUAGAUUUCAAGGGGAAGUUUAGUUGAAACUUAUGGAGCUAUGAAAGAGGUAAUUGGUGAUGAAGUGUAGAGGAAGGAGGUGCUAGCAAGUCAUAAUAAGAUAGACCAUAGAAUUGUUAUUAAUCAUUAUUGUUAUGAGGUUUUAACGGACUAGUGUUUUCAGACGUUUGGCAUGCAAGAAUAUAGUGUGAAGUUGUGGUUAAUUAUAGCUAGGACUAGACACUAAGUUUGAAUAAUAGAGGAUGAGAGAGAUGGAUAUAAUGAGUGAUUUCUUUGCGAUGCUCAUUGGAUGGAGGUGAUCCAGUAGGCUUGAACAGUGUAUGCAAGAGCAUAGGUUUAUUUUGGGUUGUAAUUAAGUAUGAUGUUGUAUGUAUAACGAAGAGGUUCACCCAAGGUGUUGUAGGGCUGUCUUACUCCCAAGUUAAUAAGUGUUUGAGUACUAUAUAAUGAUCUUUGAGGCUAGAGAAAGAUAGAAUGUAACCCAUAAGGUAGUAUUCGGAGUUGGUUUUAUGCCUUCAGGUGUAGUCAUUCAGGAUAAGUUCUAUUAUUCAUUAGUGUUGCUAUAUCCAGGGCUCUAGAGUAAGCGAUUGCAGUUCCGCUAAGAGUUUUUAUACUGGCUCACAACCCUAGAGUGAUGACUUAAUUCUAAGGGGGAAAUGAUAAAGCGAGUAGCCAAAAUCAAGCUUUCAAAUUCUAAUAGAUGUGCCAAGUAAGUUGUAGAAUACCUGAGGGAAUGAAUGAUGCCCGACCCAUGCUUAUUUCUAUAUUUUCAGUCAUCCCAAUACCUACCCAUGCAUCACGUUUUAGUUCCAUUAUCAUAAUUAGCGUUCGUGCGUAUCAUAAAAAAUCGUGUACCCUCUUAGUUCCCAAGAUAAGGAAAUUCCAGUUCAUUCGGCAGUUCAAAUCAUAUUCCAUAAGUUAUGAAGUCCAAAUUCGGGUCAUACAACUCAUGACUCAUGCACUUAAGCUCUGCGGUAUAUUCAGUCCAAGUACUCAAUGAAUACUUUUAUGAUCAGGGAAAUUCGAGUUUGUAUCGUGUAUGUCCUCAGACUAGGCCUCUUUGAUGAAUUAUGAUAUUAAAGACUCUAUUCCUCAAGUCUCAGUCGAGUGUAAAGUUGUACAAAGGAUUUCAUCAUUUUCAGAUCCUCAUGUCCUAAUCUUUUAGUUACCUAUCCUUAGUCAAGAUAGUGGGGACAAACAGUUGUGAUAGGAGGAGAGUAAGCGGUCCUUGUUGAUGAAGAUUAUUGUGUGCUCAUUUUAGCUAAGUUAGUAAGUGUGAAGAAAAGAUUGAGGCCAAGUCUUUGAUACGUGUCAUGGUUAGUUAAAUUUUUAUGUGAUAUAUUUGGGAAUAUUGUUGUGUCUUGUUUCAUGUGUGUGUUCUGAAGAAUUGAAUAGUAGGUGUGAGAAUGUCAUUGGUGGGGUUAUUAGAGGAUAUAAGAAGGAUGCCUGAAGAAUGUUUGUUUAGAAGUGCAUCAUAUAGGCUUGAACGUUAUGAUUGAAUAGCUGGAUGGAUGCACUGCAAGUUAGUAGAUGUCUAGUACGAGGGUGAAUGUGGUUAUUGGAGUGGUAAUGGGAAUUAUACAGGGGGUGAGGAGUUGUAAAGUGCAAGGUAUGUUGUAUUCACAAUUCAGAUUAGUAUUACAGUGCUAUGUGGCGUAGCCAGUAAGUACUUUGUGUUAGGCUUGAAUGUGGUGAGGGAAAUUAGUUCAAUUUAGACAGAAGUAGAGGUAUUUGUGAACGCUCAUGUGAAAAUAAUAAGUUGAAUCCACUGCUAUGGUUAAGGAAAAUAGUAUAGUUGAGGGAGUAUUUGAGGAGUGUUACUAAGCUUGAACGUAGGAGGUUCUAUUUCCUAAGGCUUAGUGAUUUUAUCCUAGCUUAUGCCAUAUAUGUGUUUGUUCCAAGCGAUAGAGUUGUAUCGAUGUUGUGAUGUAUUUUCUCCCUAAUGUUAUUCGACUUUCUUAGAGGGAGUCUUAACGAAACACUCCAUUUGAGUGCGAGCAGUCAGUAUGAUCUAGUCCAUGUAGUCUGUAGUCCAGUUUAACAAUCAAGCAGAUAAGCCCCUAUAGAUUUCCAAUUUUCCAUCUAGUCGUACUACCCCAAAGUUUUGUAAGUAAAGCCAUUCUAUGGGGUAAGAUGCUUGCACCUGUCCAAAUUGAAAACUUGACGCGGUUCAUGCAUCGAGCCUCAGGUUCAUCUUUAGAUAAUCAGUCGUGAUUCAGUUCAUAAGCAUUCAGUGAACGACCUUUGUUUUCCAAGUAUUCUAGUUUAGGAUAGUCUUUCCUUUGAUGAGACCCUCAUUGAGAUCCUUGAUUUUCGAAUCCAAAGACUAAGGAACGAACAUGUUCCCUUGGUCAAAGUGUUGUGGCGAAACCAAUCUGUUGAGGGUGCAACUUGCGAAACCCAGGCGGAUAUGCGAUCCGAGUACCCGAACCUAUUUUUUGCAAGCUCCGAUCAAGCCUAAGGUACCGUUCUUCUCUAAAUCAUCCCUUUUAUGUUCAAAGUUGCAGCAGUUCAGCUGUUACCUAUUUCUGUUCAGCUGUUAGAUCAUGAGUUAUGCACUCCUUGUUGUACCCGGAAUGUAAGAUAAAGCAGAGGUAAGUUUAGCAAAUUGCCUCAGUUGUUUACCCUUCGUUUCUUUUGUAUUCUCAACGUAUCUAGCGUCAUUCGAGGACGAAUGUUCCCAAGGGGGAGAUAAUGUAAGACCCCAAGAAUUUUCUCGUCAUUAAAGCCUUCGAAAUGAGUCAAGUUGAGCUUAACACUUAGACUAUUUAGCUAAGAGUUUCAACACUUAGUUUUAUUUUGAACCCUUCAUCUUCGUUGAAUUUUUCCGUGACCUUCCCGACAUUCGUUUCUUGAAAUUUUUGUUGCGUUGCGAUGGGGCAAGGUCGUAGCAUGUUUCGGGUGAGUUUCGGAAUUUUUGGACAUCGUUUAGGGCGUGUUUGGUUUUCAAACCAGUAGCAUCAUGUGAUAUGCAUACGUCGCAUGGUCCAGUGCGGUGCUAUGGAGCAUGCGACGCACGCUUUAUUGCGGUGGGAUGGAGCAUGCGACGCCUGAUCCAUCGCACGCCUGGAAAAUUUUUCAGCAUUUUGUCCAUCUCAUUAAGGGCAUUAUGGUAUUUUUCCACUCCCCUAUCCUCUCUAAUACGGGAUUAAAUCCCUAAAACACCAAAAUAUCAUCACUUUCAUCCAAUUUGACCAAGAACAAAGCUUAGGGUUUCUAUAGAGAAGCCAAGAGAACUCGUGAUUCAACUGUAGCUUUUCAAAUAUUUUUGGAUAUUCUAAAUCCCCGUUUCGAGGGCUACAAGAAGCACCCAACAAUUUCGUGAAUAGAGUUUCGCAGUAGAGAGUUCAUUCAACAUCUCCAAUCUUGAGGUAUGUGGGAUUUUUCAACAAGAACAUUCUUUCGUUCUUGUGCCCAAAGUUUUUUUUGUUUUUAUAAACAUAUAUGAUUUGAUAUGUUUUACUACGAAUUUGAAUAUAUGAAGUUAUGACUUAUGAUGUUUUCAUGAGAAUGUUGAUAUGGUUGCAUAUAAAUCUGAAUUUUAAGUGAUUAUUUUUAUGCUUAUGACAUAAAAAUUGAAUCUUGAGAAGUUUUAUUGUGAUAUUGAUAUAUGGGUUUUUGAAACUCUAUUUGAGAUUAUUAUUUUGUGAAGUUAUGUGUUAUAAACACCUUGAUAUUUGAAUGAUUUGAAAUGAUGAAGAAUAAUUUGACCUUGGUGGUCGCGGAAGUAUUGUUUUUUUUUAAACCAAGUGAGAAAAGAAAUCCACUAUUCUUGAAUGAUUAUGAAAGGGGUAGCAUAUUGGCUUCCGUUGUGAAUUGUUAAACUAUUUGUUGUGGAUUUUCUUUUAAAAGAUCUAAGCUAAGUCUGGGAGUAGUCUUUAGCACCGAGCGGGAGGUAUAGCGGUUUGGUACUUCCCUAGAACUACGUGCCCCCAUAAGAUAUGGCUGAUAUAGUGAUCACUAGUUUUUGGAUUGAUGAUUAAGGUCCUACUCCGAUGGCAAGGAUAGGACAGCUCUCCCCAACGUGGGUUGGACGUUGAACUCGAUGUAGCUUGUAUGGUUUAUGUCGGUUAUAAGAAACUCCCAACGUGUGUGUGUGUACUCUUUUAUCUAAAAUGAAAAUAUAUGUUUUGAAGGAUGGGUUUUGACAAAGUUAUCGUUUUCGAAUGAUUUGAAAUGUUAUGUUAUAAGGAGACUGUUUUAAAACUUGAUUUCUCUAUGUGUUUGGAAACGAGGAAGGAGUGAAUUGAGAAUUUAUUGAAUGACUCACGUGUUUAGUUUAUAUAUAUCAUUAACUCAUGAUUUUGAUGAUUUAUCUCAAGCUAAGUGAGUCUUUCAUAUCAGCAUGCAUGUCUUUUACAAACCUAUGAUAUUUGUUUUAUUGAAAUUUGCAUACACCCCCAUAUACUCGGUACAUAUUCCAUGGUACUGACUCACAUGUUCGCAUGUGGGCUACAUUUUUCCUAUAAUGUAGGUUCAAGUGCUCAGUCCCAGGUUUGACAAUGAUUUUUCGAGCACGUUGAUCUACAUCUUCUAUAGUGGUGAGUCCUCAUGAUCCGAGGACGUAUGAGUUCCAGACUUUCCGUUUCAUUACGAGUUGUUCAUUUUAUCUUUUGAGUUCGGGUCAGUUAGGGUUUGUCCCAAUGGCUCAUUGAUACACUGUUUAGUAGAGGCUUGUCAAGCUAGAUUUGUCAGAUUUGUCAGAGUUGUCAGAUAGUUCGUAUUUUGUUACUUUCCGCAUUUAUCCAUAUUGCAUUACAAGAUUAUUAAUGAUGUUUAGAUGUUUUGAUUUUAAUGAUCUAAAAAAUAAGCUUGUGAUGGCAUUAGAUGGCUCAAAGGGUUAGCUUGGGUCUACUUGUAGCCUUAAGCACCGUGUGACGCUUCGAAAUCCAUUUUCGGGGCGUUACAAAAAUGCAAGAAUAAGGAGUCAUCUGGUCGCAGAUUACUGUUUGGCAACAGAUUAACUUGGUACUCUUGCCAAAAUGGAUGCUUUGUAUGUUUUUAGAAACUUUUCAUCUUAUUUUUAAGUGGAUCGGGUCAUUUGUUGGGCCUGUCCGAUCAAUGUAUAAUUGUGGAUCUGCUUUGAUUUUUGCAACAUAAAUAAAAUGGUCCAAAUUGGACCAAAAUUUUAUUUUUAAAAAAAACUUGAUGCAGGUUAUCCUUUUGUAAAGAUCAUAUUUUAAUAGUAUGUAGAGGUUAUUCUUCUUAAUUAUCUACUUAUUUUGCUUUGUAUUUCCCUAUUACUAAAAUACAAGUUCUGCCAAACCUUCAGUAUUCUUUCAAUUAUAUAUAUUGAGAGGCAAAUCAGUUGACACAACUAUUUCUAACUAAUCCAUUGCUAACAAAAAACCUUACAACCCAACAAGCAGUAAAAUGAUGACUUAAAAUGACUUAGCAACAUAACAACACACCAAUUUAAAUCUGCAUUUCAUGUGGAUAAAUAAAUAGUUCAAAUGUAACAAAUAGUAGUUCUUCUCCAGGAACAUUAAAGACAGAAAUGUGUCUUUGUAAGACUAAAAGUUUCUGCAGAAAUUACUUACUUUCAAUUUCAAGGCAGCUUAAAUCUUGUAAGUCACCUCCACUUCUGCCCAAUUGUGAUGUCAUGAAAUGUGCCUUGCGUGUCUAUUUUUUUUUUUAUAAAACCAACUUUGUAAUUUGUUCUGAAUGCAAUCAAUUAGUCCCAUUAUUGGCAUUUGCUGUGAUUUUCUCAGUACCGCAUUCAUGGACUCUAUGUUGUUAGUCGAGCAUAUUGUACCUUCUGUUUGUAUGAAAUGAACAUGCCCAUCUUUUUGGUUGUUCUUCUUUCAAGUAGUUUGCCGCAACUUUGUCAACUUUUUCUAUCUCAUCCAUGAAAGUAUCAAAUUCAGUGCAUUUGUAUGCUAUUGCUACAUUGUAGAAGAGUGACAAACUACAUCUGAGAGGUAUCUUUUUAUAAAAUUUUUCUCCAUAUGAUAAAUGCAUAUCCCAUGCUGACACUCUAGAUAGACAUUUGCAAUAGCAUUUACAAUGGCUAUGCGGCGAUCUGAUAGAAUAGACAAUUGUUCACGUACCCCAAUUGUAUUUCUUAACUGAUUGAAGAACCAGUUAUAAGAGUCAUUAAUUUUUUAGUCUGCAAUUCAAAAGCCAAAGGAAAUAUGUUGUUGUUUUCAUCCUUUGACACUGCUAUCACGAGGACAUCACAAUAUUUUUACUUAAAAAAUGUUGCAUCUACCAUUAUUACCGAUCUACAGUUGGUUCAUCCGAUGAUUGAAGCACCAUAAGCAAAAAAUGCAUACUGAAACCUAUGUUGAGCAGAAUAAUAUUAGUAACACUUUGCAUUUGAUGUUUAUAAUCAGUACAAGAAUUUUUUAAUCUAAGUCUUUCCUAUGAGGCAAGAGUUGCAUAUAUGUCAGUAAUCUAAGUAGUGCAAUUAAGGAAUAACCUUUUGCCUCUUGGGAAAAAGUUUUUUAUUUCAACAAUAUAGCAUGUGUUCCUGUUCUCAUCGUCCCUCUUGAUGUUUGUGUACGUACUCGGGUUGUUUUCUUUCAUCAUGUGAAGAUACGAUGGCAACCUGUGUAGUGCUCUUCAGGUGUUCUUCUUAUCACCAUAUACACAUGUUGUAUAGCUCGCCAUCCUUUGUUGUAGGAUAUGAUUAUUCCGUAUUUUUUUUUCAUUUCAUCUACCAUAAAGUUUGGUGUGAUUACAUUACUAGAGUCACGCGCAAGCUCUAGUAUGUAGUCACACAUGAACUUCACUGUCGCUUUCAUAUGGUCGGACAUUAUGAAAUCAACUGGAAACUGUGAGCCUUUCAUAUGUUGUAACCUGAAAGAGCAAAGAUUCGACAAUCUUUAAGGCAUGAAACUACCACACGCAGUUGUCAUCCAAACAUCUAGUGAAUAUGUUGUUGUGCUUGAUUUGAUAACCUUAAACUGGAUGUUGUGUGUAAUUACAAUAUGUGACAUGCACUUCACCAUAUUUUCUUUAUCAAGGAAAAUCGACUUGACGUUUACCUCAUUUAGAGAGGCAUUACGUCUUAGGAAACUAGUUUCGAUAUCGAUUAUCCUCUUCUUUUUUUGCCAUACCUCUUAAUCUCGGAUUGUUGCCCUUCAGCUAUUUCAAUCUCCAACAUUUGUUCAAUACCCAUUAGUUUACUAUUUCUGUCAAUACUUUCAAUUGAUUGCCCUAUAUUAUAUUGCAAGCACAAACCUAAUGAAAAAUGAAACAAAAAAAACUUAGUAACAGUUUAAUUUAGAAUAUACAUCUUUAGCAAGUAAAUUCAUUAAAGAGUAAGGUAGUGUCAACUAUUGCCCAUGUAGAAUAACUUGUUCCUUUGGUGUCUAAGUCUUGCCUCUAUGGAAAGAGUUAUAGAUCAUCUGACAAAUCAUUACAGACUAAGACAGUGUCAACUCUUGUUUAUGGGGCAUAACUUGCUCUUUUGUGAUCUAAAAGUUUUUCCUCUUGGGUAAGAGUUAUAGAUCAUCUAUCAAAUCAUUAAAGACUAAGGCAGUGUCAACUCUUGACCAUGCACUUGUUUUAUUGGUGUCUAAGUCUUGCCUCUAGGACAAGUGUUAUUAAUUAUCUGUCAAAUCAUUACAGACUAUGCCAGUGUCAAAUCUUGCCCAUGGGGCACAACUUAUUCUUUUGUGAUCUAAAAGAUAUAUUUAUAAGCUAAAAAAUAGUUAAGGUAAAAACUAAGGCAGCGUCAAUUCUUGCCCAUGAGGAAAGUGUUAUAGAUUAUUUACUAAAUCCAUUUAAUAUCCAACUGUAGAUAGGCCAAUGGCGAAUAAGAACCAUGGAUAAAAAAAGAUGAAUUGAGACAAUCUUAGCCACAGGAGAGAAGGUAUCAUCAUAGUCAAGACCCAAAAUUUGUGUAUAAUCCUUGGCCACUAGUCGAGCCUUUAGGCGAUCAAUCUCUCCAUCGGGAGCAACCUUCAGUGUAUAUAUCCAAUGACAACCAAUUGUAGACUUAACCGGAGGUAAAGAAUCAAGCUCCCAAGUACCACUAGAGUGUAAGGCAAACAUCUCCUUAACCUUAACUUGUUGCCAGCCUGGAUGAGAAAGUAUUUCUCCUAUAGCCUUAAGAUUAGUCUUAGGAGAUAGGAUAAGGGUUGCAUAGGCAGAAUAGGUCGGUGAUAAACGAUAAUAUCUCAAACAGGUUUAGAUAAGAUGAGGGUUACGAGUAGAGAGAUUACCAUUUUGAGUGGUGAUUGAAGAACACUAUGUAGACAAGUCUCCAGCAAGCAAGGAUUUUGGUGGCAAACGUGAAUCAUCUGGACGUGGAUGAAGAUGAUAAGUCAAUAACGACGGAGGUGCAGCGGUGGAAGAUAGAGCUAUAGAUAGUGAUGUGAAAUGAUAAUCUAUGAUAGGAUGCCCAAAAGAUAGAAAUGAUAGAACCUCUGUUUUACCCUUUUUCGGAUUUUACUUGGCGAGAAGAUAAUUUUGACCUCUUAAGACUAUUUCAAAAUAUUGAAGAAAAUUUUGAAAUAGUUUUAAGAAAAUUCACAGAGUCGCCACUUGAUUUUUAUAGAAAAAUCAAGAAAAAAUUUGAAAGAGUUUCAAAGGUUCAAAAACAGAAAUAAACCUUUAAAACUAGAGAUAAUGGGUAAGGGUUCAAUUAACGCCCUAAGAAGGUUUUUAAGGCACUUAAAAGCGUCCGUUUAAAACGGUGUACCAAAAAGAACUAACUUGGAUAAUUAAAGUGGCUAAUUUUUACAAAGAUUUGGUUUUAUAGAAUAUAUUAAAAUUAUUUAUCAAACAUUUUAAAGAAAUGACACUUACUUAUUGAAAGGAGAAGACAAUUUAUUUGAUUUGAACUAAGAUAUAGUUUUUCGGACUUAAAAGGGAAAUGGAUUUUGCUUUUGUAAAAGAAGAGGAUUAUGAAAUUUAUUUUCAUAUUAUUAAUCGUUAAAAAAAAAGUUGAUUAUAUUAGAUAUAAUACUUUGGAAAACUGUUAAGAGAAUGUUGAAUAAAAAAAUCUUUAUUAAUUAUGACAAGUUGAAAUUUAUAAGAAAAAAAAAAUAGUUUCUUGAGUUUGAAAGGAGUUAUUUUUAAUUCAAAUAGACUAUAUAGUUAUAUUAAGUGAGAAAAUCACGAGUCAACUAAAAUACAUGAUAGAAUAAAAUGAUUACGACUUAGGAGAUUUAUCUAGAUUAAUUAAUUUAAUAUGUUAGUUAGCACAAAAAUAAACAAUACAAGUUACAAAAAAUGAUGCAAAAAAUAAAUUUCGGCCCUCCAUUGGCCCAUUAAUGAAGCUGCCCAGUUUUGGGCUUGAAUUAUGGACCUCAGUCCAUUUUUCUGAAGUGUAUACCAAUUGUAUACCAUCUGUAUUCCUCUGCAUUUUUCUAGUAUAUCUCGUGUAUACCAGCUGCUUUCCAUGGUAUAUUAAUCCAUUUUGUGGAGUUGGUAUGAUCUUGACUCGAUGAAAGUUGGGUUUAGCCCAAUCGAAUACGAGCGAUGGGAGUCCGAGGGACUCGGUGGAGGAGUUCAUGCAUAUAAAAAAAAAUGUAAAAUUAGUAUCCAUACAAAUACAUAGUAAGAAUGAGAAUUAACCGAAAGAAGAAGAAAAAUGAAACCCAAUGCACGUAGUAACGGAGUUACAAGUCAAAUCAGAAAUAAAGGUUAAAAGAUGGACCACACGUCACAACCAACAUUAUCACAUGAUUCAUACAAAAUUUAAUUAAUUAACUCAUACACUACAAGACAUAUAUUUAUAUUCACUUCUCCAUAACUUAAAUCAAUGUAUUACUAAAAAAAAUUACGACGGAUAGUUUCUAGGUAGAACAGCUCAAAAUGAUGAAUGAAUAGUAAAAGUUAUAACCUGUAGUGCAUAAUGAGAAAACAAACAAUAAAAUAUUACUAUCCACUGCUAACUAGCUAAUUAUUUGCCUAACAUUAUAUUACUAUUAUCCACAGCCUACCUUUAACUUAUUCUUUUAGUAAUGAUCCAAUACCCUACUCAGCUUUUCCUUUUCUUCUUUUAAUCAUUUCUAACUUUUAGCACAAAAGGGGGACACAAGAUUCAAAGGUUGAAAUAAUUUUGAAGCCAUAUAGCUGUUAUACAUUUAGCAACACGAGAUCAAUAAAUUCUAACGGACAACUCUUACUAUAAAUGAGAAUAUCUUUCAAUCGGUUUUAUACACAUCAUGAAGAACAACCAACAAACCCACUUCAAUAUAGGCAUUUUCAAUUUCUAUUCCUCAAGUUACCUACAGAAUCAAGGAAAAAUACAGGAAAGAAGAAGAAGGAAAAAAAAACAUUACCUAUUUUGGACAGCUAUACCGGAAAGAACGAGCCUACGAUGAUGGACUUUCCCCACUGAUGUCUCAAUUUUGGUUCGUCAGAAUUUUGACCUUUCGUCGGAAUUGACUUUUUUUUUCUUGUUGAGAGUAUUCUUUGGGUUAAGUAGGAUUAGAAGCAUGUGCUUCCCGAAUCCUCAAUUUCCCCCCCCAAAAUCUUCCUUUCCUUCUGUUUUCAAUGGGUAUUUAUAGAAGAUUUUUGGGACUGAGGAAUUUCUAAUAAAUUUUUGAAAUUUGAAAUUAGGUAACCGUUGGUACUGAGCUGUAGUUGCAGCUAUUGUUGACUGGCGAUGUUUGAAAGUCGUGGUUGAUUGUUGUUUUUGUUGAAAUUAUUGAUAUUAAUGGAGUUGUUGGCUGGAAUUGUUGGUUGUUGUAUGUUAUUGAUAUUGAUGGGGAAAAGAAAGGGAAAAUAGAAUUGAUGAUUUGGUUUGGUUUGGUUUGCAGGAAAAACAAAGGUGAAGUGGUGGGCCGAUGGAGAGUUUGGCUGGUUGUUGGGCUAAAGUUAAGGAUGUUAGUGGUUGGGAAUUGUUGAAGUUGGGUCUGUUGGGCUGGGCAAAAAAUGGCCCAAAAAUGGGAAAGGGAUGUUGAAAAAUAUGAAAAGGAAUGGGUCUGGUUGGGUCAACAAAGGAAUGAACCCAAAUUAAAAAAUUAUAGCUAUUUUGAAUUAAUUGGACAAAGUUGAGAUGAAAUAAAUUCCGAAUUAGUUUCAUGAAUUUCUCAAAUUCAAUAAUUUCAAAAUAAAUAUUAAAUACAACAUAAUUUUAUUUUACUUCUUUUUUUUCUUUCAAAAGAUAAUAAUAGUAAUAAUGAUAAAUAAGAAUUAAGAAACUAAUUAUGUCAUUAAUUUCUUAUUUUCAAACGAUCUUGAGAAAAAUAGAAUAUUUGUAAUUUUUCAAUCUUUUCACUUUGAAUAAAUUCUAAAGAAUUUUCUUUAAUUGAUAAUUAUAUAAUCAUGUAUAAUUAAAUACUAAAUAUAUUAUUUUCACCUAAAUCCAUAAGGCAAGGUUGAAAUUUAUUUUAAAAUAACUUAAAAUAAAUAUUUUAAAACUAUUUAAAAUUGAGAAAUUCAAAAAACUAAUUUGAAAUGUGGAGGGGCAAAAUUAGGUAUCAACAGCUGCCCCCUCCCUUUGGUUAGAGUGGAUGCAAGUAACUCUGGCUAAAGGGAGUUUGACGUCCCCAAUUUUGUCCAACCACAAAUUCGUCCCUUAGAAAGAUUGGUUUUCGCAUGAUUUUUUUUCAUAGUUAUGGACGGACCUAGGUAUUCAGGUUUCCUACAUAUCUCAGGUUGCAUGAGAAUUCAAGCCACUUGUAGUUCAAUAAGCUUGAUUUUAAAGCAUGAUUUUCAAAAAAUUCACAAACUGUUCCGAGUUUUGAAUUUUGGUAAAACUGAAAAGCUGUGGAAUAAGAGAAUUAGGGAAGGUUGGAAUGCAGUCGAGUUUCCUACAUAGAUCCCAGCCUACAUAUCCAGUGAUUCAGGAAAUCACACUACUUGUAGUUUGACUCGAUCGAUAGAAAAGAUAGUCUUUUAUGUUAGACAAUCUUUGUCUUAGGAAUGAGUGACAAAUCUAUCAAGUUAUGAAAAGAGGCUUGCAUUUAUCUCAAUCACGAAUUUGGGGCCCCUUUCACCCGCAAGUAAGAGUUACAUGGGCAUAAUUUCCAAAGCUCUAGGGUUGUUGUCACCUGAUUUUCAAAGAAGUGGAAGACUACCUCUGGUGCGAGUUUAGAAUUUCCCUAGAGGUGAAACUGAGACAAAAAUAUCCUAAAAUACCCACAUGGCUCUAAUAGGGGUGUGGUUUCAUGAUGGUGAAAGUCGUCCUUUGACUCGUGUCCAAAGAGUUUGAAUCCCUCUUCAGACUGUGUCCCAGUUCGCUGCUAAGAAAAAGUUCCACGUUGUGCUGCAUCCUUUUGAGAGAUAUCCUCACCUGUAGUUUUGAUUUGAGAAUUUUAUCCUUUUGGAUGUUCUUGACAAUAACUUAAACAAAUGAUUAGUAGCAAAUGUAGCAUUACACAAAAGUAAAUUGGCGCAAACCUGUUUGAACAUGCUAUGCUGAGAUAGUCGAACCUGUUCUUAAAAAUUGUGUCACUUUGAAUGGGGUGAUGAUCCAACGUAUCUCAUUGAAGGGUGGACAACCCAUUUAAAAUGCAACAUGCCACUUUGAACGGAGUGACGGCCCAACAUGUCUCAUUGAAGGGCGGAUGACCCACUUUGAAUAUAACAUGCCACUUUGAACGGAGUGACGAUCCAACGUGUCUCAUUGAAAGGCGGACGACCAAUUUUGAAUAUAAUAUGUCACUUUGAACGGAGUGACGGUCCAACGUGUCUCAUUGAAGGGCGGACGACCCAUUUUGAAUAUAACAUGCCACUUUGAACGGAGUGACAGUUCACCUUGUCUCAUUGAAAGGCGGACGACUCAUUUUGAAUAUAACAUGUCACUUUGAACGGAGUGACGGUCCAACGUGUCUCAUUGAAGGGCGGACGACCCAUUUUGAAUAUAGCAUGCCACUUUGAACGGAGUGACGGUUCAACUUGUCUCAUUGAAAAACGGACGACUCAUUUUGAAUAUAACAUGCCACUUUGAAUGGAGUGACGUUCCAACGUGUCUCAUUGAAGGACGGACGACCCAUUUGAAUAUAACAUUCCACUUUGAACUGAGUGACGGUCCAACGGGUCUCAUUGAAGGUCGGACGACCCAUUUUGAAUAUAACAUGCCACUUUGAAUGGAGUGACGGUCCAACAUGUCUCAUUAAAGGGCAGACGACCCAUGUUAAAUAUAACAUUCCACUUUGAAUGGAGUGACGGUCCAACGUGUCUCAUUAAAGGGCGGACGACCCAUUUUAAAUAUAACAUUCCACUUUGAACGGAAUGACGAUCCAACGUGUCUCAUUGAAGAACGGACGACCCAUUUUGAAUAUAACAUGCCACUUUGAACGGAGUGACGGUCCAACGUGUCUCAUUGAAGGGCGGACGACCCAUUUUGAAUAUAACAUGCCACUUUGAACUGAGUGAUGGUCCAACGUGUCUCAUUGAAGGGUGGACAACCCAUUUUGAAUAUAACAUGCCACUUUAAAUGGAGUGAUGGUCCAAUGUGUCUCAUUGAAGGGCGGAUGACCCAUUUUAAAUAUAACAUGCCACUUUGAAUGAAGUGAUGGUCAAACGUGUCUCAUUGAAGGGCGGACAACCCAUUUUGAAUAUAACAUGCCACUUUGAACGGCGUAACAGUCCAACGUGUCUCAUUGAAGGGCGGAUGACCCAUUUUGAAUAUAACAUGCCACUUUGAACGGAGUGACGGUCCAACGUGUCUCAUUGAAGGGCGGACAACCCAUUUUGAAUAUAAUAUGCCACUUUGAACGGAGUGACAAUCCAUCAUAUCUCAUAAUCACCUGCACUCAACUUAUUAGUAGCAAACACAAUGUAAGGGCAAUCGUACAUUCCUUGUUUUAGUAUGCCAUACUGGAGUAGGUCGAAAUUCAUGACAUAUAACGUCAAAUGAGGUGAUGUUCCAUAAUAAAAUGUCACUCUGAAGGCAAUGACAGUCCAUAAUAUAAUAAUAGGUCACUCUAAAGGAGGUGACGGUCUAUAACAUAAUAAGAUGUCACUCUGAAAGAGGUGACGGUCCAUCAUAUAACAAUAUAUCACUCUGAAGGAGGUGACAGUCCAUAAUAAUAAUAUGUCACUCUGAAGGAGGUGACGGUCCAUAACACUUUGAAUAAAUCCUAAAGCAUUUUCUUUAAUUGAUAAUUAUAUAAUCAGGUAUAAUUAAAUACUGAAUAUAUUAUUUUCACCUAAAUCCAAAAGGCAAGGUUGAAAUUUAUUUUAAAAUAACUUAAAAUAAAUAUUUUAAAACUAUUUAAAAUUGAGAAAUUCAAAAAACUAAUUUGAAAUGAGGAGGGCCAAAAUUAGGUGUCAACAACCUCAUAAAUGCCUAAUUGUUCAGAAAGAGAGUAUGUAAAGGGUGACCUUCAAAGAAAGUAGCAUCAGCGGACAUAAGGUAUCGCUGAAGGUGAAGUGAGAAGCAUCGAUAUUUUUUUUGUAUCCUGAAUAACCGAGAAAUACACAUUUAAAAGCACGAGGAGCCAAUUUGUCAUUUCCUGGAGUGAGGAUAUGGACAAAGCAUGUGUUCCCAAAGACAUAUUGUGGAAGAGAAAACAAGGUUGACUUGGGAAACAAAAUAGAAUGUGGAACUUGAUUUUGAAUAACAGGGAAAGGCAUAUGGUUAAUCAAAUAAGAAGAGGUGAGCAACUGCAUCCCCCCAAAAUGCAAUGGAACGUUUGCUUGUAUAAGUAAGGUGCGUGCAAUUUCAACAAUAUGCCUAUUUUUUUCUGCUACCCAAUUUUGUUGAGUAGUGUAAGAAUAAGAUGUCUAAUGAAGAAUGCUAAGGGAAGACAUAAACUGUUGAAAUUGAGAGAAUAAUUGUUCAUGUGCAUUAUCUCUACAAAAAGUGUGAAUUAAAACACCAAACUGAUUUUGUAUUCUAUACAAAAAGUUUGAAAUCUGGAAAAUAAUUCAGAACUUAAGAAAAUCCAAGUACACCUUGAGUAAUCAUCAAUAAAAGUAGCAAAAUACUUAAAACUCAACGUAGAACUAACCCUACUAGGACCCAAACAUCUGGAUGAACUAAAGAUUCUCUACACGAUUAUUAGGACGACGUAAAAAAGUAGCUCGGGUUUUCUUUCCCAGUUGACACGACUCGCAAUCUAACUUAGACAGUCUGGAUAAGCUAGGUACCAUCUUAUGAAGUUUAAAUAAACUAGGAUGUCCCAAUCGUCUAUGGAUUAAAUCUAGAGAGUCAGAGACCGAACUAACUAUAGUGGACCUGUGGCAAUUAAGAAAAUAAAACCCAUCAAACUCACACCCUUUUCCAAUCAUCCUUUCCGUACUAAGGUCCUGCAUAAUAAAGAAGUCACUGAAAAAUGAACUAAAUCAAUUUAAGGACAUAGACAAACGACUGAUUAAUAGAAGGUUACGGGGACAAUUAAGGACAAAAAGAACAUUAUUCAGUGUCAAGGAAAGUAAGGGAUUAGAUUGACCAACUCUGAUUGCCCUAGUCUGAUAACUGUUAGCUAAUAUUACAUUGGAAAGGGAUCGAGAGUAAAUAUCACGACCCAACUUUUUAGGUCAUGAUGGUGCCUACCAUAGCCCACCAGUAGGAAAGCCAACCUGUAGUCCGGAACGGCUAGUAACAGACUACUCAAUAUCAUAAGGAAAAGAAUAUGGAAUAUAUGAAAUAAAGAUCAAUACAUAGACGAAUUCCAAAACCUGGUGGUGCCAGUACAAGAGCUUCUAAACAUAAUAAGAGUACAAAAGUGAUAUAUCAAGGAGAAAUAUACUGAUUCAACUUACCUCUGAAUACAACUUAGAGGCUAAUCUAACAUAGGAGAGAGAUAAGUAAUACUCCGAAAGUCAAGAGCUCACUUUAAGUCUCUGAAUCAGGGCUACUCCACACGAUGCACACAUCAACGAUGAUAACCCAUACUAUGAUCUGCAGGCUGCAGAGGUGUAGUAUGAGUACCAAGCGAAUGGUACUCAGUAGGCAAUUGUCAACUGAGCCCCAAGGAUAAAGUGGAUAUAUACAACAUAUAAACAGAAUGGAAACUACAACCAAGCAUCCAUAAAUCAUGUAAUAAGUCAAUGAGAAUAUCAAGGGACAACUAUCUUAUUCAUAUCCAAGAGUCUAACAUAAUAAGACUAAAGAAAUAUCAAGGUGAACUAUCUUAUUCAAGCUACAAGUAUGCCAAUGCUAUACCGUAUAUCCCAGGUCAAUAUACAAAUAAGAGUGAAAGAAGGAUAUAUUAUAAUAUACAAGGCGAGGGAACGACUAUACAAUAUGAAAAAAGAAGGAAGGGAUAUUUGAUAGUGCCAUGUCUUUAUAUAUCUAUAUAUAUAUAUAUAUAUAUAUAUAUAUAUAUANNNNNNNNNNNNGUCCAACGUGUCUCAUUGAAGGGCGGAUGACCCAUUUUGAAUAUAACAUGCCACUUUGAACGGCGUAACAGUCCAACGUGUCUCAUUGAAGGGCGGAUGACCCAUUUUGAAUAUAACAUGCCACUUUGAACGGAGUGACGGUCCAACGUGUCUCAUUGAAGGGCGGACAACCCAUUUUGAAUAUAAUAUGCCACUUUGAACGGAGUGACAAUCCAUCAUAUCUCAUAAUCACCUGCACUCAACUUAUUAGUAGCAAACACAAUGUAAGGGCAAUCGUACAUUCCUUGUUUUAGUAUGCCAUACUGGAGUAGGUCGAAAUUCAUGACAUAUAACGUCAAAUGAGGUGAUGUUCCAUAAUAAAAUGUCACUCUGAAGGCAAUGACAGUCCAUAAUAUAAUAAUAGGUCACUCUAAAGGAGGUGACGGUCUAUAACAUAAUAAGAUGUCACUCUGAAAGAGGUGACGGUCCAUCAUAUAACAAUAUAUCACUCUGAAGGAGGUGACAGUCCAUAAUAAUAAUAUGUCACUCUGAAGGAGGUGACGGUCCAUAACACUUUGAAUAAAUCCUAAAGCAUUUUCUUUAAUUGAUAAUUAUAUAAUCAGGUAUAAUUAAAUACUGAAUAUAUUAUUUUCACCUAAAUCCAAAAGGCAAGGUUGAAAUUUAUUUUAAAAUAACUUAAAAUAAAUAUUUUAAAACUAUUUAAAAUUGAGAAAUUCAAAAAACUAAUUUGAAAUGAGGAGGGCCAAAAUUAGGUGUCAACAACCUCAUAAAUGCCUAAUUGUUCAGAAAGAGAGUAUGUAAAGGGUGACCUUCAAAGAAAGUAGCAUCAGCGGACAUAAGGUAUCGCUGAAGGUGAAGUGAGAAGCAUCGAUAUUUUUUUUGUAUCCUGAAUAACCGAGAAAUACACAUUUAAAAGCACGAGGAGCCAAUUUGUCAUUUCCUGGAGUGAGGAUAUGGACAAAGCAUGUGUUCCCAAAGACAUAUUGUGGAAGAGAAAACAAGGUUGACUUGGGAAACAAAAUAGAAUGUGGAACUUGAUUUUGAAUAACAGGGAAAGGCAUAUGGUUAAUCAAAUAAGAAGAGGUGAGCAACUGCAUCCCCCCAAAAUGCAAUGGAACGUUUGCUUGUAUAAGUAAGGUGCGUGCAAUUUCAACAAUAUGCCUAUUUUUUUCUGCUACCCAAUUUUGUUGAGUAGUGUAAGAAUAAGAUGUCUAAUGAAGAAUGCUAAGGGAAGACAUAAACUGUUGAAAUUGAGAGAAUAAUUGUUCAUGUGCAUUAUCUCUACAAAAAGUGUGAAUUAAAACACCAAACUGAUUUUGUAUUCUAUACAAAAAGUUUGAAAUCUGGAAAAUAAUUCAGAACUUAAGAAAAUCCAAGUACACCUUGAGUAAUCAUCAAUAAAAGUAGCAAAAUACUUAAAACUCAACGUAGAACUAACCCUACUAGGACCCAAACAUCUGGAUGAACUAAAGAUUCUCUACACGAUUAUUAGGACGACGUAAAAAAGUAGCUCGGGUUUUCUUUCCCAGUUGACACGACUCGCAAUCUAACUUAGACAGUCUGGAUAAGCUAGGUACCAUCUUAUGAAGUUUAAAUAAACUAGGAUGUCCCAAUCGUCUAUGGAUUAAAUCUAGAGAGUCAGAGACCGAACUAACUAUAGUGGACCUGUGGCAAUUAAGAAAAUAAAACCCAUCAAACUCACACCCUUUUCCAAUCAUCCUUUCCGUACUAAGGUCCUGCAUAAUAAAGAAGUCACUGAAAAAUGAACUAAAUCAAUUUAAGGACAUAGACAAACGACUGAUUAAUAGAAGGUUACGGGGACAAUUAAGGACAAAAAGAACAUUAUUCAGUGUCAAGGAAAGUAAGGGAUUAGAUUGACCAACUCUGAUUGCCCUAGUCUGAUAACUGUUAGCUAAUAUUACAUUGGAAAGGGAUCGAGAGUAAAUAUCACGACCCAACUUUUUAGGUCAUGAUGGUGCCUACCAUAGCCCACCAGUAGGAAAGCCAACCUGUAGUCCGGAACGGCUAGUAACAGACUACUCAAUAUCAUAAGGAAAAGAAUAUGGAAUAUAUGAAAUAAAGAUCAAUACAUAGACGAAUUCCAAAACCUGGUGGUGCCAGUACAAGAGCUUCUAAACAUAAUAAGAGUACAAAAGUGAUAUAUCAAGGAGAAAUAUACUGAUUCAACUUACCUCUGAAUACAACUUAGAGGCUAAUCUAACAUAGGAGAGAGAUAAGUAAUACUCCGAAAGUCAAGAGCUCACUUUAAGUCUCUGAAUCAGGGCUACUCCACACGAUGCACACAUCAACGAUGAUAACCCAUACUAUGAUCUGCAGGCUGCAGAGGUGUAGUAUGAGUACCAAGCGAAUGGUACUCAGUAGGCAAUUGUCAACUGAGCCCCAAGGAUAAAGUGGAUAUAUACAACAUAUAAACAGAAUGGAAACUACAACCAAGCAUCCAUAAAUCAUGUAAUAAGUCAAUGAGAAUAUCAAGGGACAACUAUCUUAUUCAUAUCCAAGAGUCUAACAUAAUAAGACUAAAGAAAUAUCAAGGUGAACUAUCUUAUUCAAGCUACAAGUAUGCCAAUGCUAUACCGUAUAUCCCAGGUCAAUAUACAAAUAAGAGUGAAAGAAGGAUAUAUUAUAAUAUACAAGGCGAGGGAACGACUAUACAAUAUGAAAAAUGAAGGAAGGGAUAUUUGAUAGUACCAUGGCUUCAUAUAGCUAUAUAUAUAUAUAUAUAUAUAUAUAUAUAUAUAACACUCAAUCCUAACCUAGAUCAUUAUGUUCUCAUUUUAAGACCUCAUUAUAAUACCAUCAUGAUUUAAAUACUGUCAUACUCGGGGAUUUUAAACCAUAUGGCUAGACGUGAAAUACUCAUGCAUAAUAAUGCAAUCAUAAGAUAGGACAGGCCAAAGACAUACCUCAAAUCCUGAUGCCGAAUCAAUAACCAAUCUGUCAUAGAUAGCCAUAAUAAUUAUCAAAACAAUGAUAAUAACAAUAUCAAUAACAAUGUUAAUAACUGACUACUCCAAACAACCAAAUACCUAGACGAGCCUAUGCGUACCCCCACUGCCCAGACUCGGAAGGUUCAAUCAACAUACAACAACACAGACAUAUCCUUCACCCGUAUCUAUGCAACCGUCCUAUAUUGGCUGAUAAAUAUAAGUGUAUACUGGUGAUAGGCGAUGCACAUGCAAGAAAGAAUGCAACGUAUACCAUCAAUAUCACAACUCAUAAUAACUGUCAUCCUUAGGACUAUCAUUAUCAUAAUCAACCUCCGACUUUGUCGGGAAUUAAUAUCAUCUCAAUAGUAUCCUCCGGACUCGAACCAGAUGUCAAUAUCAUCACAAUAUCCUCUGGCCUUGCCGGGUAUCAAUAUUAUCUCAAUAUUAUUCUCCGAACUCUAACCGGGUAUCAAUAUCAUCAUAAUAUCCUCUGGCCUUGCCGGGAAUUAAUAUCAUCUCAAUAGUAUCCUUUGGACUCGAACCGGGUAUCAAUAUCAUCACAAUAUCCUCCGGCCUUGUCGGGUAUCAAUAUCAUCUCAAUAAAAUUCUCUGGACUCGAACCGGGUAUCAAUAUCACCACAAUAUCCUCCGUCCUUACUAGCUAUCAAUAUCAUCUUAACUAUCAACACAUAAAUAUAGGCAUAUAAUAGGUGUACAGACGCAAGCCGAUAUACUCAUAGCCGUAGUCAUAAUAUCGCAAAGAUAACUAUCUUAUCAUUAUAUUCUAUCUGCUCAUGAUUAACUAGCCAAGACUCAUUAUUAUGCCUCUAGUUUACUAGUCAUCACAUGAUCUCUAGUUAUCAAUCUAAACGAUUCUUCAUAUAACCAUUAAUCAUGGAAAAACAACUAACCAUUAAUUAAUAAUUAGCCAAACCUAACAUCUAGUCAAGGUUCACCAUUAAACCAUAAUCGCCAUCUAUUCAUUAUUCAUCAUUUAUCAACUAAACAUCUUUUAUAAUCUAACACCAAUCAAUAUCUAAUACUGUUUACCAACUAAUCCUCAUUAUUAACUAGACCUCGUUAUUAGCUAGUCAGCAUCAGUAACUAGGCAUCAUUAUUAACUAGACAUCAUUAUCACUAGCAUCCCUUAACACCUAGCAAUGUUGACCAUAUUAUCCUCACUUAACAACUAAUCGACAUUAUAACUUGUUAUCAAUAUCCACAUAUCAUUACCAUCGCUAAACCUAACUUCAUAGACACAUAUCAACCCUAAUCGUUAGAUACCAUAUUACUAAGCAAGGCUCAUUAACUAAUGCAUUAGGUUCCUAGCCAUCAAGUGCAAUAGUCAGCUAAUAGACAACUAGUUACCACAUGGCUUAACCUUCUAACAAGAAGAACAACCAUAAGAUCACAUUUUAGCUAUAAUCGCAUUAUUUGUAAUGGUAAAUAAUCAUGAACGUAUCAAACCUAUGCAUGCCAUUAGCAAUAUUCAAUCAGUGGAAUAAUAAGUAUAAUACCUCAUCUUUCUUCGUCCCAUACCAGAGAGAUGUGUAUACAACCAUAUACAUAUUCAUAUUCAUAAAUCGCAAUCACAUCAUUCACAAUGAUAAACACUUCUUGGAUAUUUAAUCAGUACCAUAACACGACCCUUGGCCCAUUAAUUUAUUUAAAAUAAUCACAACAUCAUAAUCAUGGCCUUAGGCCCAUAUACAUUUUCGGAACUCAUAUCAAUAAUCAUAUUAUAAGUCGUAGCAUACCUCUAAUCAUCUCAUAUAUAGAAGACAUCUCACCUAUAGGAGGCAUAAUAUCAAUAAAUAUGUUAUCAUCUUUCACACAAGAGACAUCUCACAUCUAGGAGGUUAAUAUAGAUAGACGUGUAAUUGUCUAUAUGAUAUCAUAUAUCAAUAGGUCAUACGUCAAGACAACGAAGAAUAUCACUUCUCUAGGCUAGUUUACAUAUCUAAAAGGACCAUCAUCUCUAUAGGUCCAACAAUCAUGACUAAAGGAAAUAGCAACUCUAUAAGCAAAAUAUCAAAUCUAAGAGGAAAUAGCAUCUCUAUAGGCCAAUCAUCAUGUAUAAAAGAAAAUAUCAUCUCUAUAGGCCACACAAUGUAUCUAGGAGGAAUAUCAUCUCUAAAUGCCCAAUAUUACUUCCACAAGUAUCAUCAUAACCAUAACUAAAUAGCCAUAAUAGCAUAGCCCUUUCAUUCCGUAACAAAUUUUGUGUCGCACUGGGGACACCAUUUCACAUGAUCUCUCGACCUCGAAAACAUGUUCUUCGACGACAUAUUCUUUCACUUUGUCUCUUUGCUCGACAUCCUAAACUCCCACUUGGAGUGAUUCGAGUUUGUUCCCGUUCAGCCAUUUCUGAAAUAGGAACCAAGAAACAUUUAGAAUGGUUGAACCGCCCAAUGUAACCACUUAUGUUACAUUUUUACCGUAGAAGGCAAAAUUUGUUAUAGAAAAAAAAUAUGGACUAAUUAAGACAAGAGUUAUAUCAAGCCUAAUUAAAUUAUUAAGAGUAAUUAUCAUUAUUUUUAAUAACUCCCAAAAAAAAUUAUAUUACAAUUCAUGAAGAAAUGUGAGAUAUAUAAAAUAGUGGGCCUAGUCCUAACAUUUCUCCAUUUUUAAUUAAUAGGAUUUAAUCCAAAAAUAAAACUUAGUAAAGGAACUUUCCUCCCACUUUAUUUCACUAUGUGUGGACCAAAAUAAAAUAACAAUUAAAGAGGAUAUAUGAUACUCCACCUAAUCCUACACAAGAGCUGUAAAAUCAAUGGAGCAUAUUUUUCUUUCAUUUUCAAGAAGUUAAGAUAUUGAGCCUCUUUCGCAUCUAACAAUUUUCUAUACGGAGAAUUCAAUUCACAAUUUUUUUUUAAUUCAAAAAAAAUAAUCAUGGGUGAACCAAAAAAAAUCAUUGAUCCAUAUCACAUACAAGAAAAAAGAAGAUAAACUUCAGAUUUUCAAUCUGAAUUUGUGGCGCAAAAUUAUCAAUUAUAAUCUUGCUUAUUGCAAUAUCUGUUCUCAUUGUGAUACUUAAGAACAUGCAAUUUUUUAAAAUCAAUGAAAUUAGUAGUAACAAAAAGCAGAAGUUUCAACAGCAACGAUAAUUGUAUGUUCGUUGUACACAGGGCCAUCGACAUCCAUUCAAGUCCAGGUAACAAGAAUUCAAACUUGCUAAAGGAGUUUCCUUUUUUUAUAAGAAAUUAUCAUUCAAACAUGGAAAUUAACCUGUCUCUGAUACAAUUGUUAUUAAUUUUGGAGCAAAAACAACACAUUGUGUACCUUAGAAUUUGCAGCAGAUCUUGAUUCUGCUUUCGAAAAAAGGAUCUGCCCCAAGUCACUUUGAAUCUCUUGGAAUCAAAGUGUGAUUUCAAAAACUAAAUGCCUUUAUGCUCUUAGAUGUUAUGUUAAUGUCAGUAAAAUGAUCACAACACUGUUUUUAUUUUUGUGUUUUGAUUUUCGUCCGUUUUUCUAUCUUUUUGGAAGAAGUAGAUCUUGGAACAUAUAAAGGGAUGUUGACAGUUUCUAUUUGUAACUGUUUCCCCAAAAAAUUCAAAAUUAAUCUUAUCUUCUUUCUUCAGAUAAAAAGAAAGUUUUUCGGGUAGGGUCGGGUAGGGUCGGGUCAAUCCACAUGGAUGGCCCAUGACCCAUAAUCCAACAGACACUGACAAAUUCACACCUCCAUUUCUGAUACUCUCAGAAAGCGCUUGUUUAUCUCUAAAGAAUAAAAGGGAUAAAACAGGACACAUUCUUUUUACAAUAACAACUGAUGUUGUCGUUCAUUUUGGGAUGUCCCAGAAUGUUCAACACACUUGUGUGAGUUGUAUUACAAUCUCAAAAGUUCAAAUUGGAAUUAAAAUUGAUAACACUUAUUUGAUCGUUCAACUAAAUGUUUCUUCUAUUACACUGAUACAGUUCUAGUUAAUUGGUAAAGUUGUGUGCUUAUCAAAUGUAUCACAAUAAUGAGAUAGGAGGAACAAUUUUAAAUAUUGUUAUGAACUCUUUUUAUGUGUUUUCUGUGAACUGAAAUAUGGUUUAGUUCGGUAAGAUAUCUUAUAGUGGUUGAUUUAUAUUGUUUGGAUGAUUCUAUUAGACAUUUCAUGUAUUUCUAGUUAUGGAAGUGCUUUGAAUAGCUAGUAAGAAGACAAGAAAUUUCUAUAUCUAUAACACCCCGAAGUUUUUUCCUAGCUAAAUUUUUGUCCCUAAGGUAUCAAGCAUUGGUUUCUAGAAUAAUUUAUACUUGUUUUCCUGUGGAAUUCCCUAGAUUUCAACUUUUCAUUAAGUAGAUGAUCGAAUAAGUUUUCCGUCAACAUAAGAUUCGUCCAAAAUGGAAACUCGGUAAAGGAGUAUAGUUAAUUUAAGUCCUAGUCGUAAAACACCGUCAUUCCUGUCCUUGACGCGUCGUGGAGAGGGUGCAAAUGAUGAUGGUCAAUUUUCAGUGAGACUCCACGAUGGUGGUACGUCGCAGAGUGGGCCAAAUUCCCAUUCGUCAAUUUUCAGUGAGCCACCGCGAUAGUGGUGCAUCGCGGUGGCCCAUAAGAUCGAGUUCCCAAUUUAAAAUUUUCCAGUUUCAUUUAUAAGUUAACAAGGGUAGUUUGGACUUUUUUCAAUUCUCUUAAAACGUCCAAACAAGAUAUUAAAGACCUCUACAAGCAUAAUAUACGACAUUCUCAAGAUUUCCCUCAAAACAAAAGACCCUAGUUCAUAUACUUCUCUUCCAAGGAACUCAAGAUUCAAUAGUGGGUUUUCGAAACAAAUUGGAGAUCUGAAAUCCCCAAGCCGUAGGCAUCAAGAAGCAUCCUUUAAUUUCUAAAAUAGAGGUAUGUGGGGUUGUCCCAAAUUCCAUGGGCAUGAUUUUUGAAAAAAAUUUACACAAGACUUUACUAUCUAUACAUUUACAUAUGCUUUUACAAGUGGGGUUUUGUUUUAAUACCAAUAACAUGUUUUGUGAUAUGGUUUUGAAAGAAAUAUUGAAAUGUCAUGGGCUUGUUUGCUUGAAUAUAUUUCAAUUGUUGAAUUGUGAACAUGUGAUCUGAAUUUCGAAAGGGUGCAAUGUAUAUGAAUUGUGAAUUCUUUAAAUCCCCCAUGAUAAUGUUUUAUACACUGCACUAUACUUGUGUUUAACCAUCGAGAGCAUGAGUUUUGCAAUUGAUAUGAUAUUACUCAUAAAUGAUAAAGCUUUUUUGAACUAUUACAUGUUGAGAAUCAUUGUUCGUGUGCUUGAUGUGUGUGAAAGUCUUAUAUAUGUGCAUGUUGUAAAUGACAUAAGAAGUUGGAGAAUUGAUGUGACAUUGAUGUCUUGCACAUCAGGGUAUGAUGAUACCCCACAGAGUAUGAUAUAUAUUUUUAUUGAAUCAAGCUUAAAGCUUAACUUUAUGUGAGUUAGGUGGUUACCCGAAGAAAGUACGAGUCAAAUGACUUUAUGCUGGAAAUCGUGAAUUGCCGACACGGGGAACUUGGUACCAUGCUAUGUGACCUUGUGUACCUUAUGUCAUCCCUAUUUGGGACUAAUGGUUGGGAGCCCUGCUUUGUGAUCUUGAGCCCAACUAUGAGACGCGGACUUGAUUGGGAUGGAGACACCCUGUUGUGUGAUCUUGCGUGUUCUUCUCCCCUCACUAAUACUCCAAUCUUGGUGGCAAUCGGGAUUUGGCAGUUGGUGAAAGAUUGUAGGGUGUACCACCUAGCUCAGUAGUGAUACAGUGUUGUUGAAAAUCAUUAUACUAUGCCCAUGUGUUUUCGAACUGUUUUUCGAUAAAGUGUUUCAUAACAGCUCUCAUCUAUGUUAUAUAAAAUAAAAUUUUCAUUUUUAUUUUUGGAUUACUCUGCAUUCCAGUACAUCUGUAUUGACCCCCUCCCCUACCUCUCAGGUUUUGAAGCUCAGUCUAGGGGUCCAGAAAAGCAGUAGAUUUCAUUAGGCAGAGUUGUUGUGUCUAGUUGGUGAGCCUUCUAUAUUUCAGAAGGUCUGUUUAGAUUCAGAAGAUUAUUAUUAGUUUUGUUUUGGUAUAUUGGGGGCCUUGUCCCAGUUUUCAGAUUGUGUUAGUGAUCAUGUAAUAUAGAUUUCGCAGAUGAUUUUUCAGAAGGGUGUUAGAUGAUUUUGGAUUGUCAUUUCUAUUAUCAAAUUCAUAUCAGAUUUAAGACCAUGAGUCCGUUUCUCUAUAUUUUCCGCAUUUCCUUAUUUGUAUAUAAAUAUUGUACAUAAUUAUCAGGUAUAGAAGCGCGCUCGGGCCUUCAUGGUUUGGGAUGCUUAUCACGGCCAAGGCCUUGGUUCGGAUCGUGACAAACUUAGUAUCAGAGCACGGUUCAUGGUCCCAGGGUGUCUGCGAAAUCGCAUCGGGUAGAGUCUUGUUUAUGAGUGUGUAGUGCGCCACACUUAUAAGCAGGAGUCUACUGGGCGUUUUGGAAUAUUUCCCCUCUUUGUGAUUUAGUUCGUGCUUUAGAGUCUGAGUUAGAAUUAUCCCCUAAUCAGUGAUCUGUUGUAUUUCAGAAAAUAGUCAUGCCUCCUCGUCGUUCCAACAACCAGGAUGCUCAGGAUGAUAAAGUCCGCCCUACCCAUGGGAUGCGGACCCGUAAUAGAGCGCACACCCCAGAACCUGUUCUCACUCCGGGAGAACCUCCAGUCCCGACCAGUCCUCAGUCCAUUCACAUGCUUGCACAGCUGGUAGCCGCACAGACUCAGAGGUCGAAGGAUACUAGGUAUACAUCUGUUACUUCGGAGGCUACAGGGUGGGCCAGUUCAUAAAAAUGAACCCGCCUAAAUUUUCUGGCACUAAGGUGGAAGAGGACCCACAGGAGUUCGUGGACGAAAUAAAGAAGAUUUUUAGAGUGAUGCAUAUGGAUCUGGUGGAAAGAGUUGAGUUAGCAGCAUACCAGCUUAAAGAUGUAGCGAACCAAUGGUAUAAUGAGUGGGAAGAGGCGAAGGGUCAGAGUGUUGAGCCUUCAGUUUGGGGCGAGUUUGUGGAAGCUUUUCUUGACAAAUUCUUUCAUCUUGAGUUGAGGAAAGCCAAAACAGAGGAAUUUAUGAAUCUUAUGUAAAAAAAAAGAGUGUCACUCUGAAGUUUAACUAACUGGCCCGUUACGCACCAGAAAUGAUGGGUAGCAUGAGGGCCCAGAUGAGGAAAUUUACAUCCGGCCUUUCAGAUGAUCUACAGCUUGAAUGUCAAGGGGCGAAGCUGAAUAGGGACAUAGACUUUGCCAGGCUGCCAGUCCACAUGCAGCAGGUAGAAGAAAAGAAAAAUAAAAUCACCGAAUCUAAGGAGAAGGAUAGACAGACGACGAGAGCUAGAACAGCGAAUCAGAACCACAGUCAGCCACAGAGUGGUAAUUGGGGAAAUAGGUGGAAAAAGAAGAAGUUUUGGGGUAAUGCGCAGUCUGUAGCUAGCGUGCCAGCACCCAGACCCCCAGUUGAUAGACGAUCGUAGAGUUUUCAAACUAGUCAUGGACCCAGGGCUCAGGAUACCCAUUCACAGGGUAGCAUGGCACAAUCCACCAGAUCUUUUCCCCGUUGUAAUGUCUAUGGGAGGAACCAUCCUAGAAAGUGUUACUUUGAGAAGAGAAAUUGCUAUUCCUGCGGCCAAGUGGGCCAUCUACAGAGAGAUUUCCCUACCUCUGGGGGUAAUGUUGGGGGAGCCAAGUCUCAAGCAAAUUAUUCCAUACCACCACCUCAGAAAGGGGCCACUUCAGCUACCGGGAGCGGUUGCAACCGGUUGUACGCAUUGACCAAACCGCCUCAGCAGAUGUAGUUACUGGUAUGUUAAAAAUCUUUUCCCGUAAUGUUUAUAUGUUACUUGAUCCCGGGUCUACCCUGUCUUAUGUGACCCCGUAUGUGGAUAUUGGUUUUGGGUUUGAGCCCGAUGUAAUUAAUGAACCUUUCUCUGUUUCCACUUCGAUGGGGGUCUCAGUUGUGUCUAGGAGAGUGUACAAGAAUUGUGUUGUGUCUAUUUUUAAUCGGGAUAGAGUGGCAGACCUCAUAGAGCUUGAUAUUGUUGAUUUUGAUGCCAUCUUAGGGAUGGGCUGACUCCAUUACUCUUUCCUUUUCAAAUGAACCUGUGGUAGAAUGGGAGGGGAAUUCUUUAGCACCUAGAGGGCACUUUAUACCCUAUCUUAGAGCUCGUAAGCUCAUUUCCAGGGGUUGUCUAUAUCACCUGAUUCGAGUGAAAGAUUCUAAUGUGGAGAGUCUACCUUUUCAGUCGGUCCCUAUAGUAAGCGAGUUUCCAGAAGUCUUUCCUGAUGAUCUCCCAGGAAUACCACCUGAUAAGGAGAUAAAUUUUGGCAUUGAUUUAUUGCCAGAUACCCAUCCUAUCUCCAUUCCGCCAAAUAGAAUGGUUCUAGUAAAGUUGAAAGAGUUGAAAGAGCAGCUAACAGAUAUUUCAGAUAAAGGUUUUAUCCGUCCUAGUGUUUCUCCAUGGGGUGCACCUGUACUCUUCGUGAGAAAUAAAGAUGGUUCCCUUUGUAUGUGCAUAGAUUACCGCCAGUUGAAUAAGGUCACGAUUAAAAAUAAGUACCCUCUUCCUAGAAUUGAUGAUCUAUUUGACCAACUCCAGGUUGCUAAAUAUUUUUCAAAAAUAGACCUUCGUUCGGGAUAUCAUCAAUUGAAAGUUGGGGAGUCAAAUAUUUUCAAAACGGCUUUCCGAACCAGAUACGAUCAUUCUGAAUUCUUAGUCAUGUUCUUCGAUUUGACUAACGCCUCUGCAACCUUCAUGGAUCUAAUGAAUAGGUCUUCCAUCAGUUUCUAGAUUUGUUGUCAUAGUAUUCAUUGAUGACAUUUUGGUUUAUUCUAAGAGUAAGGAGGACCAUGCCAAUCACCUCUGAAUCAUCCUUCAGACCCUCAAAGAUCAUAGGUUGUAUGCUAAGUUUUCUAAGUGUGAAUUCUGGCUUAAUGCUAUUGAUUUCUUGGGGCAUUUUGUGUCUAGUGAGGGUGUCGUGCCCUAUUUUUACUUGAGGUCAAAACAAGUACGACGUUAUGAACUCUAAAAGAAUGAAAAUUGUACAGAGUCGCCAUCUAAUUUUAAAGAAAAAUAAGGAAAACUUUUUCUUUUUUAUUAAUUAUUUAUUAAUAUGCAUGACUUGUGUUUUAGUCUACGAAAUCAGUUUAGAUUUUAGGUAAGAGUUCAAGUUAUCCCGAAGGGAAGGGGUUAGACACCCUUUAGGGUCCACAAAUAUGGUGCCCGACUAAACUAAAUUUAUCAACGAGGGAGGAGGUAUAAAUAUUUAAAAUAAUGUAAAGUAUGUAUUUAAUUAUAAAAUAAUUCUUUAAGAAUAUAAAUAUUUAAAAUUAUGUAAAGAUAUAUGUAUAUUAAAUAAAUAAAUAAAAUAUUGUUAUAAAACAUGUACAAGAUAUGUAUAAAUAAAAUGUGUAAAUACCUGUGAAAAGUAUUUUAUAAUGCAUGAAAAAAAAAGGUAUUUUAAUGUCAUAAAAAGAAAUAUAUUUACAAGUAAUAUUUUUUUAUUUGAUUAAAGUUAUAAAGAAAAGGAAAUUUAUUUGAGAAGAAAAGACUACAAAAUUUGUAAAUUGCUUAAUUAACUUGACUCUUUUAUUCAAGUGUAAUAAAAUAAUAUAUAUGUUUUGUAAAAGUAUAAACAAAAUUAUAUUAGUAUAUGUAUAAAAAUAAACUAAAUCGAAAUAAGAAAAUUUGUUUUAAGGAAAAGACUAUGUAACAUGUAAAUGUAUGAAUCAUUUGAUAAAGUUAAUUAUUUUAUAUAAAUAUUAACGGUCUAAAUUUUACCUAAAGUAAUGAAAUUAUGUACAAAAACAUUCCCGCCUAACGCUCCAAAAAAUAAAAUUUUUACUAUAUAACAUUUGUACAAAUAUAAAAAUAUAAAAUACAAUAUAAAAUUAAAAGGGCUUCUUUGAACGUAGCUCCCGAUGAGUAUUCCAAAUAACCUGUAUAAACAUUUGUAAAAAUAUUAGUAACGAAUAAAUAAUAAUCAAAAUAAAUCAAACAAGUAUGUGUGUAUAUAAAUAUUUAAAAUAUAUUUUUUUUUGUUAAAAAGUAGGCUCAGGUAAAAUCAUCAUUGCGAAAUGUUUGCUCAAUUAAUUGACCGUCCUAAAUCGUCAGACCAAAAUAUUUAUUUUAUUAUAUAUAUGUAUACAUAAUAGUCCAUCUUUUAUUUACGAAGGCUUAAAAUUAAUAAUAAUUUUUUCAUUCGCCAGUAGUGUAGUAUCUAUUCAUAAUCAAUAUAUAUCCAAAAAUAAAAAUGAGUAACACACAAAAAUUCCACCAAAACCUUUCUCAAACGUGCAAAGACACAAUAAUGGAGUAACAGUGAAAAGUGUAUAUCAUUUUUAACACAAAAUCAGCUAUUGCUUCUUUUACAGCACCCAUUUUUGUUGAAUCAAAAAUCAAGAUUUGUACAGAAAAAAUAUAUGGAAUUAAAAAAAAAAAAAAAAGGUGAAAGAGAACAAGGAGAAUAGGGGCGGCAGAUCUGGGCUCGCAAUGGAGAGAGGGGGUCGGCGAUGGGUCCGGUGGUGAGGGAGAAGGGAUCGAGCGGAAAGGGAGUAGCCGUCGUAGCGUCACCGGCGUGGGUUCGCGGGAAACGGCUGGUCAGCACUGGUGGUUGCAUGCUGACGGCGAUGGUAUGGUUGUUGGUUGGAAUCCGGUGGUGUUCGCCGGAUUUGAGGGUUGUUGUGGCGGUUUACUGGAUCUGUUGCUCGUUGUGGGUGGAUGAUGAUGGUUAGAAGGCGGCGGUGGUACUGGUCGGUGUUGGCUCUCCGGGGAUAUGACUGCCGGAGAACGGAUAAACUGUUAAAAAAAUUUAUUUAUGGAGAAAGUGAAAGCUUAAAUUAAAAAAAAAUUAUGUAGUAGGCAUCCGUGUAUAUACUUUCAUAUGUGUCUUUGUAUUUUGUAGUGUAUGUUUGUGUGUGUUUUUUGUUAAAAAAAGGAGAUCUGAUCCGUGAUAAAAUUUCUUUUUGUUGCAGAAUAAAAAAACAAAUAUAAUCUGAUAUGGGUGUGUAUUGUAAAAAAUGGAGAUCUAUAUGGGUGAAUGUGUGUUUGAAAUUUUCUUUGCUGUGGAAUGAAAAAUGUGAUCUGAUAUGGGUGUCCUGUUGAAGUCCCCUAAUGUCAGAAUAUAUUAAGUGUUUAUAUCUGUUGGAGCGUAUAAUUGUGGUAGGUGGGAAUUUGAAUUAGAAUGAAAUUUUAAAUAUUGCAAAAUCUGACAAAUACCAAAAAUAAGAUUUCUCUUGAUUGCUUUUGUUUUGUAUAGCAUUUAGCAAAUUAAAAAAAUUACUACUUUUUUAUUGAGAUGACAUAAAGAAACUAAAGUUCUUCCUUUUGACUCAAACAUAUUUGAAAGAAGGAUAUAUUUUCUCAAAGCUUAGAACAACAAAUCUUUUUGCUACGUGUAAAGUCUAAAAAUACCUACUAUUAUUAGUCAUACUCAUAUUCCUACUAUUGAUUAUUUGAAUUUUUUUCGAUCUUGAAUUAAUUCUUUUGAGCUUCUAAUUUAAUAGCUAGCUUAAUAUAUAUUAAAUAAUAGUAAAAAAUGUAUGAAAAUUUAAUAUAUAUAUAUAUAUAAUUAAUUUAAUAAAUAUGAGAUUAAAAAAUAAAGUAACAAUGAUCGAUUAAAAAAAAUAAAAAAUAAUAAUAGUAAUAUUGAUAACACAUUAAUAUUAUAUAAUUAGAAAUAAUAGUAUUACACAAAUAAGAACGGUAAAAAAUAAUAAUAAAUUGAAAUAGUGAUGAAAUAUAAAAUAUUUAACUUACUAUUAACUUAGAAGCGCAAGAAAAUGAAUUAAUAGAAAGGAUAAACAACAUUGAGUAUCAAUAAAAAUUAAUGCAACAAGACACCAAAUUAUUAUUGUAUUUGUAUUGAAAUAAUUGAUUCGACUCACCUUUCGCAAACAUGUAGAAACUGAUUUGAAAUUAUGAAAAAAUGUAAAAAAUAUUAAAAGUAUAUAAAAUGUUAAAAAUAUUUAAAAAUGUAAUUAAUUUAUAAAAAUGUGAUGUCAUGAACAUGUGCAAAUGUUUGUGAAAUAAUAAAUUGAUAAGAAUAAGAAAAAUUAUUAAUAAAUUAUAAAGAGUAAAAAAUAUAAAAAUAAAUUGAUAAAAUUCUAAAGUAAGGAUAGAAAUCAAUUUUUAUUAGCAAUUAUAAAAAAUACGUGAAAAUCGUAUUUUGUACCCUUUAACGGUCAGCCUUGCCUGAAGAUGUUAAUUUUUAGCACGGAGAGCAAAAAUUGCGUGUCAACAGAGGGAAUUAAGGUUGAUCCCCAAAAGAUUGAGGCAGUGAGAAAAUGGCCCCGACCCACGACUCCAACCAAUAUUCGGAGCUUCUUGGAUUUGGCAGGGUAUUAUAGAAGGUUCGUAGAUGUAAUAUCCCGGGAAAUUUUUCGUUGAAAUUUUGUGCGUAAACGUGUUGGGUUCUAUAUUCUAGCGUAAAUUAUAAAUUUUUCGUGUGGAAUGUCUUAGAUUAUGACCCACCAUUGCGUAGAGUAUCGAAUAAGCUUUCCAACGAUAUGUGGAUCAUCCAAAACGGACACCCGAGCGACGAGUUAUGAACAUUUCGAUCAAACCGUGAAUAGCAGUAAACAGUAAAACGUGCAGGAAAAAGUACUGAGGCCUGGCGUAUUUUUGCUCCAACUUUAAAUGAUCACAACUCCUUGUACAUAAUGAUCUAGGUGAUCUACUAUAUAUCAACGGAAAGCUCUACGAGUCCUCUUUCUAAUGAAAUUGGUUUCAUCCAAUUUGUCUACCGGAGCAAAAAGCUAUGGUCGAUCUACUUCAGCCUAUCAAAAGCAAAUUUUUGGGUCAACUUCAAACGAUCAUAACUACUUGUACACAAUGAUCUGGGUGAGAUACUAUAUAUCAACGGAAAUCUAUGAGAGUCCUCUUUCUAAUGAAAUUAGUUUCAUCCAAUUUGGAUAUCGAAGUAAAAUGUUAUGGUUGAUCUACUUCAGACUAUCAAAACAGUCCACCAAAGGAUAAAUUCGAGGAUUUUUUUGAUUUUUAGGGGCGUUUUGGUCAUUCCCCCUCACCCAAAAUCCAUCCAAACCCUAUAUUAAAGCCUAUUAGAACAANNNNNNNNNNNNNNNNNNNNNNNNNNNNNNNNNNNNNNNNNNNNNNNNNNNNNNNNNNNNNNNNNNNNNNNNNNNNNNNNNNNNNNNNNNNNNNNNNNNNNNNNNNNNNNNNNNNNNNNNNNNNNNNNNNNNNNNNNNNNNNNNNNNNNNNNNNNNNNNNNNNNNNNNNNNNNNNNNNNNNNNNNNNNNNNNNNNNNNNNNNNNNNNNNNNNNNNNNNNNNNNNNNNNNNNNNNNNNNNNNNNNNNNNNNNNNNNNNNNNNNNNNNNNNNNNNNNNNNNNNNNNNNNNNNNNNNNNNNNNNNNNNNNNNNNNNNNNNNNNNNNNNNNNNNNNNNNNNNNNNNNNNNNNNNNNNNNNNNNNNNNNNNNNNNNNNNNNNNNNNNNNNNNNNNNNNNNNNNNNNNNNNNNNNNNNNNNNNNNNNNNNNNNNNNNNNNNNNNNNNNNNNNNNNNNNNNNNNNNNNNNNNNNNNNNNNNNNNNNNNNNNNNNNNNNNNNNNNNNNNNNNNNNNNNNNNNNNNNNNNNNNNNNNNNNNNNNNNNNNNNNNNNNNNNNNNNNNNNNNNNNNNNNNNNNNNNNNNNNNNNNNNNNNNNNNNNNNNNNNNNNNNNNNNNNNNNNNNNNNNNNNNNNNNNNNNNNNNNNNNNNNNNNNNNNNNNNNNNNNNNNNNNNNNNNNNNNNNNNNNNNNNNNNNNNNNNNNNNNNNNNNNNNNNNNNNNNNNNNNNNNNNNNNNNNNNNNNNNNNNNNNNNNNNNNNNNNNNNNNNNNNNNNNNNNNNNNNNNNNNNNNNNNNNNNNNNNNNNNNNNNNNNNNNNNNNNNNNNNNNNNUGUGUGUGUUUCCUUGUGUCUAUGGUGAAUGGUGAAGUGAUUUGAAAGUGGAAUUGUGAAAGUUAUUCUUUCGAAAGAUUUAAAUGAUAUUUACAUUAUGAGAAUUAAUAUUCUUGAUGAACUGAAAGUGAUUGACAAAUUAUAUGAUGACUCAUAUGUGUUAUUGUACGUAUUUCAUCCUCUCAUGAUUAUGAUGAUUUUCUUCGGGCUAUGUGAGUCUUUCAUACAUCCUGCAUAUUUCUUAUAAAUAUUUAUGAUGAUGAUGUUUAUACAACUGUAUACACCCUCAUAUAUUCGGUUCCUUUCAUGGUACUGACCCACAUCUUCAGAUAUGGGCUGAAUUUUCUCGAAAUAUAGGUUUAGGUGCUCAGUUCCAGGUUCGACAGUGAUUCUUUGGGCACGCUGUUCUAUAUCCUCUAUUGUGGUGAGUCCUCAUAUUCCGAUGACGUGAUGUCUGAUGUUGGUUUCACGAAAUUAUUUACAUUUGAUAACUGAGUAUGAGUCAGUUGGGGGAUGGCUCAAUGGCUCGCUGAUUUUAUUGAUUUUCUUAGAGGCUUGUCGAACUAGUAUAGAUGUUGGGAGUUGACUAAUAAGUCAUAUUUUGUUAUCUUUUUGAAAUUCUUUUAUUCUUGGAUGAUGAUUACUCUGUUGAUAUUUAAGGAUUAUUUAUGGAAACUCCGUUAAUUUGUGUUGAACUGAAUGAAAAUGGCUCAAAGGGUUAGCUUGGGGCUACUCAUAGCCUCAAGUACCGUGUGACGCUUCGGGACCCGUUUUUCGGGGAGUUACAAACUUAGUAUCAGAGCUUAAGGUUUUAAGGUAUCCUAGGGAGUCUGACGAGCCGCGUUAAGUAGAGUCUUGAUCAUCGGUGUGUAGCGUGCCAUAUCUAUGAGGAAGAGGCUACAAGAUGUUUUAGAAAAAAGUAUGAUUCUUUCUUUCAGAAGUCUAUCGUGCUUAAAGUGUCUCUCUCUGCUAUUGAUUCGUGCUCUCCUCUUUCAGAAAUAUGCCUCCACGUCGAGCGAGAAGAAAUAAUAAUGGUCAGCAACCUCAACCUGCUAACCCAUUGAAUGAAAACGUGUCUCAUGCUGAGUUUCGAGCAUCCUUUCAGGCGCUGGCCCAAGCUGUUACUGCAAAUGUUCAAGCUAACUCGGCCCCAACUCCAUAGCAGCAGGGAGGUAAUUCAGCUGCUGCCAGGAUCCGUUACUUCAUGCGGAUGAAUUCGUCGAAAUUCUAUGGGUCCAAGUCUGAUGAGGAUCCAUGAUUAUUUUUAGAGGAGGUGUGGAAGAUUACUCAGGUGAUGCAUGUAUCUGAGGAACAUAAUGUGGAGUUGGCUGAGUAUAGGUUGAAAGACCUUGCUUAUGACUGGGUUGUUGCUUGGAGGAAAGGUAGAGGUGAGGGAGCUAUCCCUACAACUUGGCAAGAGUUCCAGGAUGCAUUCCUAGAUAAGUUUUUGCCUUUGGAGAUGAGGGAAGCGAAGGUGGAAGAGUUUAUGAACUUGCGACAGGGCUCUAUGACUGUUAGGCAGUACCGUCUAAAGUUCAAUUAGUUGGCUAAGUAUGUUUCUGACUUAGUGGCUGAUAAUCGGGCUAGUAUGAGUAAGUUUAUGACUGGAGUCUCUAGUUAUGUGGUUAAGGAGUGUAGGUCUGCUAUGCUGAAUAGUGAGAUGAAUCUUUCUAGGCUGAUGACUCAUGCCCAACAGAUUGAGGCAGACAAGAUUAAGGAGAGAGAUAAGAAUAGGAGAGCUAGGUCCGAGCAGCACAGACAAGGUCAGACUAGAUUGGAGGGAGGGAGUCUCCCUCAGUAUCAGGAUCGUUCGUCUAUGCCAACACCGUCAUCUGCUAGUGCUCCUGUGCCUAGAGGUAGGCAGGAGCAAGGUAGCAGGUCAUAUGCAUCCAGGUCCCAGUACAGUGCUGGCAGUAAGCCAAAUCAUCCCCUAUGUCCUAAGUGUGGUAGGGCUCAUUCGGGUGAGUGUUAGGGUAAGAAGAGGGGCUGUUUACAGUGUGGUGAUGGGUCACAGAGUUAGAGAUUGUCCACAGGAUGGACAAGGGCAUCGUGACUAUCGCCAUCAGUCCCAGACUCAGACUGUUAGUGCUCUAGUUUCAGCGACUCACCCAGCCCCAGCUCAGGGUGCCUCUUCUAGCAAUGCUGGCGGACAGCGCCGAAUAGAUUCUAUGCUUUACCGUCCCACUAGGAAUAGGAGGACUCUUCCGNNNNNNNNNNNNNNNNNNNNNNNNNNNNNNNNNNNNNNNNNNNNNNNNNNNNNNNNNNNNNNNNNNNNNNNNNNNNNNNNNNNNNNNNNNNNNNNNNNNNNNNNNNNNNNNNNNNNNNNNNNNNNNNNNNNNNNNNNNNNNNNNNNNNNNNNNNNNNNNNNNNNNNNNNNNNNNNNNNNNNNNNNNNNNNNNNNNNNNNNNNNNNNNNNNNNNNNNNNNNNNNNNNNNNNNNNNNNNNNNNNNNNNNNNNNNNNNNNNNNNNNNNNNNNNNNNNNNNNNNNNNNNNNNNNNNNNNNNNNNNNNNNNNNNNNNNNNNNNNNNNNNNNNNNNNNNNNNNNNNNNNNNNNNNNNNNNNNNNNNNNNNNNNNNNNNNNNNNNNNNNNNNNNNNNNNNNNNNNNNNNNNNNNNNNNNNNNNNNNNNNNNNNNNNNNNNNNNNNNNNNNNNNNNNNNNNNNNNNNNNNNNNNNNNNNNNNNNNNNNNNNNNNNNNNNNNNNNNNNNNNNNNNNNNNNNNNNNNNNNNNNNNNNNNNNNNNNNNNNNNNNNNNNNNNNNNNNNNNNNNNNNNNNNNNNNNNNNNNNNNNNNNNNNNNNNNNNNNNNNNNNNNNNNNNNNNNNNNNNNNNNNNNNNNNNNNNNNNNNNNNNNNNNNNNNNNNNNNNNNNNNNNNNNNNNNNNNNNNNNNNNNNNNNNNNNNNNNNNNNNNNNNNNNNNNNNNNNNNNNNNNNNNNNNNNNNNNNNNNNNNNNNNNNNNNNNNNNNNNNNNNNNNNNNNNNNNNNNNNNNNNNNNNNNNNNNNNNNNNNNNNNNNNNNNNNNNNNNNNNNNNNNNNNNNNNNNNNNNNNNNNNNNNNNNNNNNNNNNNNNNNNNNNNNNNNNNNNNNNNNNNNNNNNNNNNNNNNNNNNNNNNNNNNNNNNNNNNNNNNNNNNNNNNNNNNNNNNNNNNNNNNNNNNNNNNNNNNNNNNNNNNNNNNNNNNNNNNNNNNNNNNNNNNNNNNNNNNNNNNNNNNNNNNNNNNNNNNNNNNNNNNNNNNNNNNNNNNNNNNNNNNNNNNNNNNNNNNNNNNNNNNNNNNNNNNNNNNNNNNNNNNNNNNNNNNNNNNNNNNNNNNNNNNNNNNNNNNNNNNNNNNNNNNNNNNNNNNNNNNNNNNNNNNNNNNNNNNNNNNNNNNNNNNNNNNNNNNNNNNNNNNNNNNNNNNNNNNNNNNNNNNNNNNNNNNNNNNNNNNNNNNNNNNNNNNNNNNNNNNNNNNNNNNNNNNNNNNNNNNNNNNNNNNNNNNNNNNNNNNNNNNNNNNNNNNNNNNNNNNNNNNNNNNNNNNNNNNNNNNNNNNNNNNNNNNNNNNNNNNNNNNNNNNNNNNNNNNNNNNNNNNNNNNNNNNNNNNNNNNNNNNNNNNNNNNNNNNNNNNNNNNNNNNNNNNNNNNNNNNNNNNNNNNNNNNNNNNNNNNNNNNNNNNNNNNNNNNNNNNNNNNNNNNNNNNNNNNNNNNNNNNNNNNNNNNNNNNNNNNNNNNNNNNNNNNNNNNNNNNNNNNNNNNNNNNNNNNNNNNNNNNNNNNNNNNNNNNNNNAGGGGGGUGAAGAGAUUCGGAAAGAAGGGGAAACUUAGUCCCCGUUAUGUUGGUUACAAAAUUCUUAGCCGUGUUGGUAAGGUAGCUUAUGAGGUCGAGUUGUCUUCCGAGUUGUCCUCUGUUCAUCCAAUAUUCCAUGUCUCCAUGCUUAGAAAGCAUAUUAGCGAUGCUGUGGUAGUGGAUUCCUCUGUGAGUGCUGACAUUCAAGAAAAUCUUUCUUUUGAUGAGAUUCCUGUUGAGAUUCUUGAUUUCAGUGUCCGAAGACUAAGGAACAAAGAAGUUCCCUUGGUCAAGGCGUUGUGGCGAAACCAAUUUAUUGAGGGUGCAACUUGGGAAGCUGAGGCGGAUAUGCGAUCCAAAUACCCGCACCUAUUUUUUGCGGACUCCGAUCAAGCCGAAGGUACCAUUUUUUCCUAAAUCAUGCACUUUUGAUAAAAGUUGCAGCAGUUCAGUUGUCAUUUAUUAUGAGUUCAGCUGUAAUUUCUUGAAUUUAUGCAUUCUAUGUUGCAUUCGGAGUGAGAAAUGAUGUGGUGAUGAGUCUAACGAAUGGUUUUAGAUGUAUGCUCUAUUCCCUAUCUAAUCUUGGCAUGUCUAGUGUCAUUUGAGGACAAUUUUUUCCAAGGGGGGAUGAUGUAAUACCCCAGAAAAUUUUUCGUUGAAAUUUUGUGCGUAAACGUGUUGGGUUCUAUAUUCUAGAAUGAAUUAUAAAUUUUUCGUGCGGAAUUUCUUAGAUUAUGACCCACCAUUGCGUAGAGUAUCGAAUAAGCUUUCCAACGAUAUGUGGAUCAUCCAUAACUGACACCCGAGUGACGAGUUAUGAACAUUCCGAUCGAACCGUGAAUAGUAUUGAACAGUAAAACGUGCAGGAAAAAGUACUGAGGCCUGGCGUAUUUUUCCCCCAACUUUAAAUGACCAUAACUCCUUGUACAUAAUAAUCAAGGUGAUCUAAUAUAUAUCAACGGAAAGCUCUGCGAGUCCUCUUUCCAAUGAAAUUGGUUUUAUCCAAUUUGUCUAUCGGAGCAAAAAGCUAUGGUUGAUCUACUUUAGCCUAUCAAAAGUAAAUUUUUGGGUCAACUUCAGACGAUCAUAACUACUUGUACACAAUGAUCUGGGUGAGAUACUAUAUAUCAACGAAAAUAUAUGAGAUUCCUCUUUCUAAUGAAAUUGGUUUCAUCCAAUUUGGAUAUCGGAGUAAAACGUUAUGGUUGAUCUNNNNNNNNNNNNNNNNNNNNNNNNNNNNNNNNNNNNNNNNNNNNNNNNNNNNNNNNNNNNNNNNNNNNNNNNNNNNNNNNNNNNNNNNNNNNNNNNNNNNNNNNNNNNNNNNNNNNNNNNNNNNNNNNNNNNNNNNNNNNNNNNNNNNNNNNNNNNNNNNNNNNNNNNNNNNNNNNNNNNNNNNNNNNNNNNNNNNNNNNNNNNNNNNNNNNNNNNNNNNNNNNNNNNNNNNNNNNNNNNNNNNNNNNNNNNNNNNNNNNNNNNNNNNNNNNNNNNNNNNNNNNNNNNNNNNNNNNNNNNNNNNNNNNNNNNNNNNNNNNNNNNNNNNNNNNNNNNNNNNNNNNNNNNNNNNNNNNNNNNNNNNNNNNNNNNNNNNNNNNNNNNNNNNNNNNNNNNNNNNNNNNNNNNNNNNNNNNNNNNNNNNNNNNNNNNNNNNNNNNNNNNNNNNNNNNNNNNNNNNNNNNNNNNNNNNNNNNNNNNNNNNNNNNNNNNNNNNNNNNNNNNNNNNNNNNNNNNNNNNNNNNNNNNNNNNNNNNNNNNNNNNNNNNNNNNNNNNNNNNNNNNNNNNNNNNNNNNNNNNNNNNNNNNNNNNNNNNNNNNNNNNNNNNNNNNNNNNNNNNNNNNNNNNNNNNNNNNNNNNNNNNNNNNNNNNNNNNNNNNNNNNNNNNNNNNNNNNNNNNNNNNNNNNNNNNNNNNNNNNNNNNNNNNNNNNNNNNNNNNNNNNNNNNNNNNNNNNNNNNNNNNNNNNNNNNNNNNNNNNNNNNNNNNNNNNNNNNNNNNNNNNNNNNNNNNNNNNNNNNNNNNNNNNNNNNNNNNNNNNNNNNNNNNNNNNNNNNNNNNNNNNNNNNNNNNNNNNNNNNNNNNNNNNNNNNNNNNNNNNNNNNNNNNNNNNNNNNNNNNNNNNNNNNNNNNNNNNNNNNNNNNNNNNNNNNNNNNNNNNNNNNNNNNNNNNNNNNNNNNNNNNNNNNNNNNNNNNNNNNNNNNNNNNNNNNNNNNNNNNNNNNNNNNNNNNNNNNNNNNNNNNNNNNNNNNNNNNNNNNNNNNNNNNNNNNNNNNNNNNNNNNNNNNNNNNNNNNNNNNNNNNNNNNNNNNNNNNNNNNNNNNNNNNNNNNNNNNNNNNNNNNNNNNNNNNNNNNNNNNNNNNNNNNNNNNNNNNNNNNNNNNNNNNNNNNNNNNNNNNNNNNNNNNNNNNNNNNNNNNNNNNNNNNNNNNNNNNNNNNNNNNNNNNNNNNNNNNNNNNNNNNNNNNNNNNNNNNNNNNNNNNNNNNNNNNNNNNNNNNNNNNNNNNNNNNNNNNNNNNNNNNNNNNNNNNNNNNNNNNNNNNNNNNNNNNNNNNNNNNNNNNNNNNNNNNNNNNNNNNNNNNNNNNNNNNNNNNNNNNNNNNNNNNNNNNNNNNNNNNNNNNNCAUACAUCCCCAUAUACUCGGUUCCUUUCCAUGGUACUGACCCACAUGUUCGGAUGUGGGCGGUAUUUUCUCGAAAUAUAGGUUCAGGUGCUCAGUUCCAGGUUCGACAGUGAUUCUUCAGGCACAUUGUUCUACAUCCUCUAUUAUGGUGAUUCCUCAUGUUCUGAGGACAUGAUGUCUAAUGUUGGUUUCAUGAAAUUAUUGACAUUUGACAACUGAGUAUGAGUCUGUUGGGGCAGAUCUCAAUGGCUCAUUGGUUUAAUUGAUUUUCUUAGAGGCUUGUCAGACUAGUAUAGAUGUUGGGAGUUGACUAAUAAGUCGUAUUUUGUUAUCUUUCUGAAAUUCUUUUAUUCUUGGAUGAUGAUUACUCUGUUGAUAUUUGAGGGUUAUUUAUGGAAACCCCAUUGAUUUGUGUUGAACUGAAUGAAAAUGGCUCAAAGGGUUAGUUUGGGGCUACAACCUCAAGCACCGUGUGACGCUCCGGGACCCAUUUUAUGGGGCGUUACAGUAGAGAGUUUUUCUUCUAUAGCUGCUCCGCUUACUAAGCUAACUCAGAAAAAGGUAAAGUUUGUAUGGUCUGACUCAUGUGAGAAUAGUUUUGAGAAGUUGAAAGAUUAAUUAACUAUUGCACCUGUGAUGACUCUUUUAAAAGGUAUAGAAGGUUUUGUUGCAUAUUGUGAUGCGUCUCAAGUGGGACUUGGAUGUGUUCUUAUGCAGCAUGGUAAAGUGGUGGCUUAUGCAUCUAAGCAGAUGAAAGUCCAUGAGCGCAAUUACCCUACCCAUGAUUUGGAGUUAGCGGCUGUGGUGUUUGCACUUAGAAUCUGGAGGCAUUAUCUUUAUGGGGUACAUGUUGAUAUUUUUACUGACCACAAAAGUUUACAGUAUGUUUUCUCGCAGAAAGAAUUGAAUCUCAGGCAGAGGCGAUGGUUAGAACUUUUAAAAGACUAUGACAUGAGCCUGCACUAUCAUUCGGGCAAGGCGAAUGCGGUAGCCGAUGCCCUCAGCAGGUUAUCUAUGGGCAGUCUUUCUCAUAUGGGGAAACAAAAGAGAGAGAUGGUGAAGGAUAUUCACCAACUUGCAAAUCUAGGAGUGCGAGUUUUUAAUUCUGAGGAUGGAGGAGCGGUUGUUCAUGAGAUAGCUAAAUCUUCCUUUUGUGCAGAAGUUAAAGAAAAGCAGGUUAAAGAUCCCAUCUUGAUGCAAAUUAAGAAUGAUGUGGGUUAACAGAAGGUGAUGUCUUUUGAAAUUGGUGGUGAUGGUAUUUUGAGAAAUGAGGGGAGAUUAUGUGUGCCAGAUGUAGAUGGUCUGUGAAAAAGAAUCCUUGAUGAAGCUCAUACUUCGAGGUAUGUUGUUCACCCAGUCUCUACAAAAAUGUAUCAUGAUCUGAAAACCAUUUAUUGGUGGAAUACAUGAAGCGUGAUGUGGCUAACUAUGUUGCUAAGUGUUUGAAUUGUCAACAAGUUAAAGUGGAACAUAUGAGGCCAAGUGGUUCUUCUCAAGAGAUAGCUUUGCCUUUGUGAAAGUGGGAGAUGAUUAAUAUGGAAUUCAUUACAAGACUUUCAAGGUCCCGAAAACUGUAUGAUUUCAUUUGGGUGAUUGUAGAUAGGCUGACCAAGUCAACUCACUUUCUACCUGUCAGGACUAAUUAUUCGGGAGAGGAUUGUGCUAAGCUAUUCAUUGCAGCAAUAGUUCGUUUACAUAAGGCACCUGUGUCCAUCAUAUCUGACCGAGGUACACAGUUUUCUUCAUAGUUUUGGAGAUCGUUUCAAAAGGGCUUAGGUACCCAAGUGAAUUUGAGCACGACUUUCCACCCUCAGACGGAUGGGUAAGCUGAGCGCACUAUCUAGACCCUUGAGGAUAUGUUGAGGGCCUGCGUGAUUGAUUUUAAGGGUAGUUGGGUAAAGAACUUUCCAUUGAUAGAGUUCGCAUAUAAUAACAGUUUUCAUUCUAGUAUUAAGAUGGCACCAUUUGAGGCAUUGUAUGGAAGAAGAUGUAGGUCUCCAAUAGGAUGGUAUAAAGUAGGUGAGAUGCAGAUGUUUGGGCCUAAUCUUGUUUAUCAGGCAAUGGAAGAUGUAAAAGUCAUUAGAGAAUGACUUAAGAUAGCUUAGAGACGUCAGAAAUCCUACUCCGAUGUUAGGAGAAGAGAUCUAGAGUUUGAGCUUGGAUAUUGGGUGUUUCUCAAGGUUUCUCCCAUGAAGGGAGUUAUGCAAUUCGGGAAGAAAGGUAAGCUGAGUCCUCGCUAUGUAGGUCCAUACCAGAUUGUGAGAAGGAUGGGUGGAGUUGCGUAUGAGUUAGAAUUACCUGCCAGUUUGGGUUCUGUUCAUCCAGUAUUUCAUAUAUUUAUGAUAAAGAAGUGUAUUGGAGACCAUUCUUUAGUGUUGUUUGUCGAAGAAAUCAAAGUGAUAGACUCCUUAUCCUAUGAAGAAGAGCCUGUAGAAAUUUCGGAUCACCAAGUUAGAAGAUUAAGGAGCAAAAAGAUAGCCUCAGUUAAAGUGUUGUGGAGAAACCAGAAAAUUGAAGAAGCAACUUAGGAAUCAGAAGUUGACAUAAGAGCUAGAUAAUAAGAGCUAGAUAACCAAACCUUUUUGAUCCAAUGGAUGACGAAAUGGAAGGUACAAUCCUUUCCUUAUCUUUUCUAUGCCUUAUUAUGCUUGAAAUUAUGUUUGUCUGUGUCCCGCGUCAACAUUCGGGGACGAAUGUUCCCAAGGGGGGAUAUUGUAAUACCCCAAAGUUUUUUCCUAGAUAAAUUUUUGUCCCUAAGGUAUCAAGCAUUGGCUUCUAGAAUGAUUUAUACUUGUUUCCCUAUGGAAUUCCCUAGAUUUAUACUUUUCAUUACCUAGAUGAUCAAAUAAGUUUUCCGUCAACAUAAGAUUCAUCCAAAAUGGACACUCGGUGAAGGAGUUAUGAUUAAUUUAAGUCCUAGUCGUAAAACACCGUCAUUCCAGUCCUUGACGCGUCUUGGAGAGGGUGCAAAUGAUGAUGGUCAAUUUUCAGUGAGACUCCACGAUGGUGGCGCAUUGUGGAGUGGGCCAAAUUCCCAUUCGUCAAUUUCCAGUGAGCCACUGCGAUAGUGGCCCGUCGCGGUGGCCAAUAAGAUCGGGUUCCCAGUUUAAAUUUUUCCAGUUUCGUUGAGAAGUUAACAAGGGUAGUUUGGACUUUUUCCAAGUCUCUUAAAACUUCCAAACAAGAGAUUAAAGACCUCUACAAGCAUAAUAUACGACAUUAUCAAGAUUUUCCUCAAAACAAAAAACCCUAGUUCAUAUAUUUCUCUUCCAAGGAACUCAAGAUUCAACCGUGGGUUUUCGAAAUAAAUUGGAGAUCUGAAAUCCCCAAGCCAUAGGCAUCAAGAAGCAUCCUUUAAUUUGUGAAAUAGAGGUACGUGGGGUUGUCCCAAAUUCCAUGGGCAUGAUUUUUGAAAAGAAUUUACACAAGACUUUACUAUUUAUACAUUUACAUAUGCUUUGACAAGUGGGGUUUUGUUUUACUACCAAUAACAUGUUUUGUGAUAUGGUUUUGAAAGAAAUAUUGAAAUUUCAUGGGGUUGUUUGCUUGAAUAUAUUUCAAUUGUUGAAUUGUGAACGUGUGAUCAAAAUUUCGAAAGGGUGCGAUGUAUAUGAAUUGUGAAUUCUUUAAAUCCCCCAUGAUAAUGUUUUAUACUUGUGACGUCCCGUAGUUUUCUUAGCUAAGUCUUAUCCCUAAAGUAGCAGACUUUAGCUUCUAAAAUUAAUUAUAUUCUUUUUCCAGUGGAAUUCCUUAGAUUUCAACUUUUCAUUACGUAGAUGACUGAAUAUGCUUUCUGUCGAUAUAAGAUUCGUCCAAAAUGGACACUCGGUGAAGAAGUUAUGGCUAUUUUUGUGCGAGUCAUAAAACAUCGUCAUUAUGGUAUUUAGCGCAUCGUAGAGAGGGUUUAAUUAGUAAUUGUCAAAUUCCAGUGGGACCUCGCGAUAGUGGUGCAUCGCAGAGGAUCCUAAUUUCCAGUGAGCCACCGCGAUAGUGGCGCAUCGCGGUGGCCCAUAAAAUCAGGCACCAGUUAUAUUUUUACUCUGUAUCAUUAAGGGUAAAAUGGUACUUCUCCAAACCCUUAUCAUCUCUAACACAGGAUUUAAUCCCAAGAACACCAAAGUAAGUUGAUUUUCAUCAAAAUCUCUCAAGAAACUCCAUUAGGGUUUCAAACUAAAAAUCCUCAUAACUAAAGAUUUAACCACGGAUUUUAGAAGAUAAUUGGAGAUUUGGAAUCCUCGCAUCGUCUGCUUCAAGAAGCAUCCGUUAAUUUCUGAAAUAGAGGUACGUGAUUUUUAUCCUAAAAACUACAUGGGCUUAAAACCAUUAAAGCAUGAUUUUAAGAUUUUUAUGCAUGAAUUUCAAAGGGGUUUUGGAAUCUAUGUUCUAAAUUACAUAGUCCGAAUGUUUUAAUGUUACUAUUGUUUUGACCUUGUGGUCCUAUCCCCUAAAUUGAUUUACAUGUAUACGUAUAUGUAUGGGAUUUGAGAUUUAAGAUUUUUUGAGAGUAUAAAUAAUGAACUCCCUCUCGUGUAUUGAAUUAAAGAUAUGAUUUUGUGAUUUAAAAGAUGUUUUCUCAACAUUAUAGCAUUUGAGCAUGAUUUGAAACAGUUGAGAGGGUGUUUCUUGAUAUAAAUGUGUUCUUGUGUUUAUAAGAAAGAAUUGCAUGUGAAUUGAGAAUUUUAACAUGACCACCUUGUACUAUUGAAAUGCUUGACCAAGAUGAGUUCCUUACAUGUGUUUACAUAAGGUUUAAGAAAGAGUUUCUUUGAAUUGAAUUAUUGAAAUGGUCGUCCCAAUGACUCAUGUUUGAAAACAGAGAUUUAUGACAGACUAAUAAUGGCUCAGAGAUGUGACUUUCAAGUCAAUGGUAUGAUUGUUUUGACGAAAUUUUGACUUUUGAAAGAGAGUCGGUACUUAAUUUUGAAAAGGAAUUAAGAAACCUUUAGAGAGUUACUUCAAACGAUUCAAAACAGGAAAAUCAUUUAAGUUAAGAGAUUCUGAGUAAGCAGUUCCUAUUAACGUUUUAGGAAGGUGUUAGGCACCUAAAACGUCCGCUAACUUGCGAUUAUCCGGACUGUUUGAAAAUCAUCUUUUGAUUAACUUCUAAAAGAUUAAUUUGUUGAAAAGUGAUUGAUUUUUAGAAAAAAAAAGAUUUUGUGUACAAACAGUUUUAGACGACCUAAUAGGUAUUUUAACUAAGUCUACACAAAUGAAAUAAGCAAGUAAACACAUAAACGGGGAAAAGGAGGAGCAAGGAAAUGAUUUAGGCCAUUGGGCCCAAACCAACAAAACCCGUCCUAGUCUAAUUGGGUUUUUGACCCAUUUCACCUGUCCUAAUUCUAUGUUUCGAGCCUUUGGCUCGAGUCUUUUUCCACCUGUAUUAAAUUUACAACUUUGACUUCAAGGCCCAAAUGAAUAAAUAAAUCAGUAAAAUAAAUGACAUAAAUAAAUAAUGCUUAAGUAAAUAAAAUGACAAACGAGACUUUCGCGUCUCUUAGCUGCUUCGAGGAUCAACUUUAACCCAUAUUCUUUAUCUUUCGACUCCUUUCUUCGAAAAUAAUCAACUAGAAGAGGUAGGCCUCAUUGGCCUGUCAUGAAAUGCAAUAGAGAGAGAACUGAUUAGAGGUUCGAACACGGUGUCCCGAAUUCAUUUCACAUGUAUCAAAGAAAAUAAUAGAGAUCAAUUAUCUACUUAUGGAAGUGAGGGAGGAAGACAAGAAAUUCAAUGAACUUAUCAGGACAACAUACCAAAUUGAGCAUGAACAGAACCAAAUAAAAAUAAGAGAAAAAUAUCCAAGAUUUUCGACCGAGGCCAAUUCCGGAAUAAGGAAGGAGGUGAAAAUUCAUUCACAUACUUACUGGAUAAAUAAACCCAACAUAACGCUAAGGAAGGGAAUUUUACUUAGAAUUGGUCUACUCCAGUCACAAACCACUCCUAAUAAUAGACAUGCUUCACUAACUCAUAAACGCUAUAAUCCACAUAAUAUAACCCACGCAAGUUCAAUCAAUCAUCAAAGACAAAACUAUUUGAAGCGAAGGUUAUUGAUUGUAUUGUUUUUUUUGUCAAACAAUUGGAAGGUGAGAAAAAGUCAUGGAGUAAAUUAUUCACUUUUUUAUGACAUAAUUAGGCUAAAUUUGUCUAACCGAAUUAACAAGAUAGCACAUUAGAUCACUUUAUUCAAAAAUCAACUAAAUACAUUAUCCUUUAUUAAGUCAUUUUCACUAAUCAUUGCUGCACAAUGAACUCCUCGUGACAUUGUUUUUUGAAUAUGCAACCACUACAACACUGAAACAAAAUAAUAAAAUACAAUAAAGUGAAACACAAUAAGACUCUAAACAAGAACAUCAAAUAUUUGAGCAGCAAAAUCGAUUUUCGCAGAUUACAAUUGGCAACUUCAAAGUAACACAACACUCAAUACACCUAUAUAAGGUUCCAAAACUCUAUGUCAUCGAAUGUAUAAUGCUGUAAAGCAGUAAGUAAUCAGUAGAAAAUGAAGGAUGAAGAUCUCAUGAAGUGGGGUAGACGACCGAAGAAAGAGAAGAGAACAAUACUCACUGCGACUCAAUAAUACCCAUAGGACGAUUCAGAUUAGGAACUUUCAAAUAUGAAAAACAUAUUAUGAAAGUCUUAUUUUUUAGUUCUCAAUUUCGUUAAGCCUCUUAGACAUUGUAAACCAAACAGGCUUACCAAAACGUUUGCUUCAAACUAACUAAACUGAUUUCCAUGAUUUCUCAAAUGACUUCAAAUAAGGAAUGUAAGACUAACAACAACGAGGAAAAUAAGACUUCAUUUCAAAGAUUCAGAGACACACUCCCAAAUAGAAAUGAGAAAAAUAAGACUAAUCAAUAUCCCUGUAAAACUACAGCAGAGAUAACUACUAUUCCAAACCUCCUUUCUAUUCUAACAGAUUCGGGCGGUAUGGUCUUUAAGAGAAACUGGGACUGUCUAAUAAGAUUAUGGAGCCUGCUCUUUGCCCUUUUGGCAUGUGAGGAGCGAAAAAGACUUGAGGGGUAGCUCCACUAGCAGAGAUGCUAGCUCGAUGAUUUAGGCUCCGCUCAAUAAUAAUAUCAAACAAAACACUGUCAAUCAGCAAUUACGACCAAAUAACCUCGGGUUAAGACUAUUAGACACGGUCGAAGAGACAUACUUUAACUAGGCAAUUAGGCUAUUCUAACCACCAACAAUACACAAAAUAAGAGUAUCGAAUCGACACUCUACCAGCAUCUACUUACGGCUAUUGAAGCCAUCUACCAACGAACAGUCCAACACACAAUCAUAUUGAAGACUUAUUCAUGACUGUAGAAGAUCGAGAUGAAGCAGAAGCACUCAAGAACUCAAAAGGAUAGGAUGUUGCCUUUCAGGGAGCAGCAAACGGGACGACGAGCUAUCAGUAAAAACGUCGCUACCAGAAUCUCGCGACGUCGACCACUAAUAGUGCGUCUUCUGGCUUUUCUCUUAAAGAUUUCGAAAACCACUUUCAACUCCCAAAAUUUUUGACCCUUUUUGAUUUUCCCCACCCAAGAAUUUUCAAACAACCAAUUUAGAAAAAAGAUAUUUUUUGAAUUUUGAAAUUCGAGUCUUCCCCCACAGCUCAUUUUCGAACUCAAAUCGUACCCAAUUUUGGAUUUUUUUCCCAAAAAAUAAAAUGGGUGGACCAAUUAAAAAUAGGGUAAAAUGAAUUCCAUUCCAAACCAAUGAAAAAUGACCAGAUAUGUACUAAUUCAUACCGUGAUAUCCGAGAUUUACGGGUUCGGAACGUUGGAGGGACACCUGGUCUCGUCUCUGGAAGAUUCAAAGAUUUCCUAUAAGAAAACAAGAAUGAGAAAGGGAUCUUUAGACCGUUGCUGAACUGGAAAUGGGUUAGGGAUCGAGUUUUUGCCGGGUCGAGUUGUCAUCGUUAUUUUGUCAUCAGUGACGUGUUUGUACACUGGUUUUGGUUGUUUUUUGAGUUUUCUAGUUGAUGGAACUGUUGUUUUAUUUGUUGAGGCAGAUAAAGAAGAAAGGGGUUUGGUCCGGGUUGGAUGGCUAUUGGACUGGGUUAUUGAUUGUUGUUAAAUUGGGUUGGUGGGCUGUUGACAUUAGGGAAUUGGGCCUGGGGUUGUGCUGAUUAAGUUGGGUGUUAAAAUUGGGAUGGAUAGUUUAGAAAAAUAGUUUCAAUUAACAUUUAACCCAUUCUAAUUAAAUUUUGAUCAAAUUAAAGGCUAAUUGGCCAAAUGUAUUGCGAUUGUGGCCAAUUUAAUUUCAAUUUAUGAUCAAAUUUAAUAGAUUGAUUAAAUUGAAUUGAAAUUAAAUACGAACUAAUACUUCUUUUAAUCCCGAGUUUCUUGAUUUAAUAAAACCAAAUAAGUAUUUCUCCAAAUAGAUUAUUUGUGAGAAUAAAUUAUAUUUAAAUCAAGAUUUAACUAUUUAAAUUUAUUUUCCAAAUAAUCCUUAAUUUAAAGUCCAAUUUUGAUGAAAAUGUUCAUUUAAAUGACAUCAUUUAUACAAUCUCGUAUAUGAAAAUACGAAAGAUAUAUAAUUAUCACUUAAAUGAAAAAUUUAGCCCAAAUACCUAUUUUAAAAUGCAUUUAUUUGGAAAAAACAAUUGAUGUAAUUUUAUUUGAAAAUCGAAGAAACUCGAGAUUAAACAUAGUUGCGGAGGAAAAAAAUUAGGUGUCAACAAUGAUGAUACCAUAUGUAUUUAUGCCAUAACAGAUUAUGCUUUCAGAAUAUGUUUUUCAGUCUUUGUUUUCAAAGACUGCAUGUUUUGAUAGAGUUUUAAAAAGAGGCUUAAAGAGGGUUAGUUGAUUACCCGAAGAAGGCAUGAGUUCAAGCAACUCUUAGCCUGAAACCUUGUUUGCCAAUACGGGUAGAUUAUUAUUCUACGCUGGCGACGACCAUAUGGCGUAGUAGAUUUAGAGACUCUGACCCUUGUGGCACACUUGGGUUGGGGGCUUCGCUGCCGAGUUAAUGGCAGUUUCCAUAUAGCCCAUGGAAUUUUCAGAAUUGUUGGGUAUACCACUUAACGCAGAAGUAACAUAGAUUUCUCAGAGUUGUGAUGAUUUUUACAGAGUCUUUUAACAUGCCCAUGUGAAUUCUUACUAUAUUAUACGUUUGUGAAACUGUUUUACAUUGCUCUCAUAUAUAUUGAAUAUAAAAUUGUUAUUUUGGAUUUACUCUGCGUAUCAGUACAAUUAUAUCGACCCCCCUCCUACCAGGUUCUGAGGCUCAGUCUAGGGGUCCAGAUAAGUAGUAGGUAAUUCAGAUAGCUGAUCAGAUUUUGCAGUGGUGAGCCUUUUCUAUUCCAGAAGGCCUGUUUCUUUUCAGAUUAUGUCUCUUAUCACCGUUUUUGUCUACUAGGGGCCUUGUCCCAGUUCAGACAGUUGUCAGAUUUUCAUGUAGUAGAGAUUUCGUAGACUAAGUUAGAUGUUAUUUAGAUAUAGUUGAUUUGCAGUUUCCAUACUUAUGUUACAUUCAGAAUUGACCAUAUUUUUGUAGCAUAUUAUGUUUCCACAUCUUCUUUAUUUAUAUGAAUGUUGUGCAUAACUGCCAGAUCGAGAAGGGUAUUCUGAGCCUUCAUGGUUUGGGAAGUCCGUCACGGCCAGGCCCUAGUUCGGGUCAUGACAAACUUGGUAUCAGAGCACGAUUCAUAGACCCAGGGUGUCUGCAAAAUCGCGUCGGAUAGAGUCUUAUUUAUGGGUGUGUAGCACGCCACACUUAUGAGUAGGAGACUAAUAGGCAUUUAGGAAUGUUUCUCUUCUUUUUGAUUUAGUUCGUGCUUUAGAGUCUAAUCUGUCCCCUGAUCACUGAUCUCUUGCUUUUCAAAACUAGCUAUGCCUUCCCAUCACACCAACGUUAAUGCUCUGGAUGAUGAAGUCCGUCCCACCCAUGGGAUGCGGACUCGUAAUAGAGCUCAUACCCCAGAACCUGUUCCUACUUCGGGAUUACCUUUUGUACUGACCAGUCCUCCCAAAGCUCCCUGGACGGGGGAAAAUCGCACUCAACCUCAUGAAGGAGAAGUGUCUAAUACUGAAUCAGACGGUCCAUUCACAUACUUACACAGCUGGCAGCUGUACAGACUCAGAGGUCAGAGGAUACUGGGUCUGCGUCUGUUAUAUCCAAAGUCACUACAGUGGGCCAGUUCAUAAGGAUAAACCCACCCAAGUUCUCUGGCACUAAGGAAGAAAAGGACCCGUAAGAGUUCGUAGACGAAAUAGAGAAGAUUUUCAAAGUAAUGCAUGUUGAUCAGGUGGAAGGUGUUGAGCUAGAAACAUACCAGCUAAAGGAUGUAGAGAAUCAAUGGUACAAUAAGUGGGAAGAUGCAAAGGGUGACAGUACUGAUCUCACAGUUUGGGACGAGUUCGUGAAAGCUUUUCUUGACUGAUUCUUUCCUCUGGAGUAAAGGGAAGCUAAAGAAGAGGAGUUCAUGAACCUUAAGCAGGGUAAGAUGAGUGGUCAGGAGUAUACUUUAAAGUUUAAUUAGCUGGCCCGUUAUGCUCCUGAGAUGAUGAGUAGUAUGAGGGCCCGAAUGAGGAAGUUUGCUUCCGACCUUUCAGAUAAUCUGGUGCUUGAGUUCCAGGGAGCUAUGAUGAAUAGAGAUAUGGACUUUGCUAGGCUGUCAGUCCAUAUGUAGGAAGUUGAGGAGAAGAAGAAGAAGAUAGCUGAAUCUAGGGAAAGGGACAGGCAGGCAAAGAGGGCCAGAACGACAGACCAGAGUCACAGUCAGCAGCAGAGCGGGAAUUGGGGUAGCAAAUGGCAAAAGAAAAAGAAUUCGGGUAGUGCAUAGUUGGCCGUUAGUUCUCCAGUGUCCAGACCCAUAACUGAGUAGCACACCCAGAAUUUUAAAUCUAGUCAGGGGCCGAGGAUGCAGGGUACGCAGUCGCAGGGAAGUGUAGCUCAAACCUCUCUGUCCUACCCGUAUUGUGGGAGAUACAGGGAGAAUCAUCCAGGGAGAUGUCAGUUUGGCGCUUUGGUGUGUUAUUCAUGUGUCCAGCUAUGCUAUAUCCAGAGAGACUGUCCGGCAACAAAGAGUAAUGUUGGAGGAGCCAAGCCGCAAGCGAAUUCAUCUGCACCACCACCUCAGAAGGGUGCCACUUCAACCAUCGAAAGCGUUCGAAACCAGUUGUAUGCUUUGACCAACCGCCAGGAGGCAUAGGCCUCACCAGAUGUAAUCACUGGUACAUUGCAAAUCUUUUCUCGUGAUGUGUAAGUAUUACUUGAUCCCGGGUCUACCUUGUCUUAUGUGACCCCAUAUGUGGCUGUUGGUUUUGGGUUGAGCCUAAUGUGAUUGCUGAACCUUUUUUGGUUUCCACCCCAGUAGGAGAUUCUGUUAUGGCUAGGAGGGUGUAUAGAAAUUGUGUUAUGUCUAUUUUUAGCUGGGAUACUGAGGCAGACCUCACAGAACUUGAUAUGGUUGAUUUUGAUGCCAUCUUAGGGAUGGACUAGCUCUAUUCAUGUUAUACCACACUGAAUUGUAGGAUCCAAAAAGUCACUUUCUCUUUUUCAAACAAACCAGUUAUAAAAUAGGAGGGCCAUUCUUUAGCACCCAAAGGGAAUUUUAUAUCUUAUCUCAGAGCCCGUAAACUUAUUUCCAAGGGUUGCUUGUACCAUCUUAUUCAGGUUAAAGAUUCUAAUGCCGAAAGUCUUCCUCUUCAGUCUGUCCUCGUAGUGAAUGAAUUCUCGAAAGUUUUUCUAGAUAAUCUCUUAAGAAUUCCACCAAAUAGGGAGAUAGAUUUUGACAUUGAUGUAUUGACAGAUACCCGUCCUAUUUCUGUUCUGCCAUAUAGAAUGGCCCCAGCAGAGUUGAAAGAAUUGAAAGAACAACUAGCAGAUCUUCUAGAGGGGUGCACCUGUAUUUUUCGUACAAAAAAAAGACGGUUCCCUUCGUAUGUGCAUAGAUUACCGCCAGUUGAAUAAGGUCACGAUUAAAAAUAAAUAUCCCCUUCCUAGAAUUGAUGAUCUUUUUUACCAGCUUCAGGGUGCUAAAUGUUUCUCAAGAUAAACCUUCGUUCAGGGUACCAUCAGUUGAAAGUUAGAGAGUCAGACAUUCCCAAAACAACUUUCUGAACCAGAUAUGGCCAUUAUGAAUUCCUAGUCAUGUUCCUUGGAUUGACUAACACCCCGGAAGCCUUCAUGGAUCUUAUGAAUAGGGUCUUCCAUCAGUUUCUAGAUCUGUUUGUCACAGUAUUCAUUGAUGACAUCUUGGUUUACUCUAAGAUCGAGGAAGAUCAUGCCAAUCACCUCCAAAUCAUCCUUCAGAUCCUUAAAGAUCAUAAGUUGUAUGUAAAAUUUUCCAAGUGUGAAUUCUGGUUGAAUGCUAUUGCGUACUUGGGGCAUAUUGUGUCUAGUGAGGGGAUUAAGGUUGACCCCUAAAAGAUUAAGGCAGUGAGAAAAUGGCCCAGACCUACGACUUCAAUCGACAUUCAGAGUUUCUUGGAUUUGCCGGGUUAUUAUAAUAGAUUUUUAGAGAGCUUUUCUUCCAUAGUUGCACCACUUACUAAGUUGACUCAGAAAAAGAUAAAGUUUUUAUGGUCUGACUCUUGUGAGAAUAGUUUUGAGAAGUUGAAAGACAAGUUGACUACUGCCCCUAUUUUGACUCUUUCGAAGGGUACAGAAGGUUUUGUUGUAUACUGUGAUGUAUCCCGAGUGGGACUUGGGUGUGUUCUUAUGUAGCACGGUAAAGUAGUGGCUUAUACAUCUAGGCAGUUGAAGGUGCAUGAGCGGAACUACCCUACUCAUGACUUGGAGUUAGCGGCUGUGGUUUUUGCACUUAAGAUCUGGCGGCACUAUUUGUACGGGGUACAUGUUGAUGUAUUCACUGACCAUAAAAGUUUGCAGUAUGUUUUCUCGUAGAAAGAAUUGAAUCUCAGGCAGAGACGUUGGAUGGAGUUACUAAAGGAUUACGACAUGAGCCUGCACUAUCAUUCGGGUAAGGCAAAUGUGGUAGACGAUGCCCUCAGCAGGUUGUCUAUGGUCAUUCUUUCUUAUGUUAAGGAAAAGAAAAGGGAGAUAGUGAAGGAUAUUCACCGGCUUGCGAAUCUAGGAGUGCGACUCUUAAAUUCCAAAAAUGGGGGAGUAGUGGUUCAUGAGAUAGCAAAAUCUUCCCUUUGUGUUGAAGUUAAAGAGAAGCAGGUUGAAGAUCCCAUCUUAAUGCAGAUCAAGAAAGAUGUGGGUCAACAGAAGGUAAUGUCUUUUGAAAUUUGUGGUGAUGGGAUUUUGAGAUAUCAAGGUAGUUUAUGUGUGCCAGAAGUAGAUGAUUUGCGGAAAAAAAUUCUUGAUGAAGCUCACACUUCGAGGUAUGUUGUUCAUCCUGUUCUACUAAGAUGUACCAUGAUCUGAAAUCUAUAUAUUGGUGGAAUAACAUGAAACGUGAUAUGGCUAACUUUGUUUCUAAGUGUCUGAAUUGCCAACAAGUGAAAGUAGAACAAAUGAGGCCAGGAGGUACUUCCCAAGAGACAACCUUACCUUUGUGGAAGUGGGAGAUGAUUAAUAUGGACUUCGUUAUAGGACUUCCAAAGUCCCAAAAUCAGUAUGAUUCUAUUUGGGUAAUUGUGGAUCGGCUGACCAAAUCAGCCCACUUUCUACCCGUUAGGACUAACUAUUCGGGAGACAACUACACUAAGCUAUUCAUUGCAGAAGUUGUUCGUUUGAAUGGAGCACCUGUGCCUAUCAUAUUUCACUGAGGUACGCAAUUUUCUUCGCAGUUUUGGAGAUCUUUUCAGAAGGGUUUAGGUACCCAAGUGAACCUAAGUACUGCGUUUCAUCCUCAGAUGGAUGGGCAUACUGAAUGCACCAUUCAGACCCUCGAGGAUAUGUUGAGAUCCUGUGUAAUAGACUUCAAGGGUAGUUGGGUGGAUCACUUGCCGCUAAUAGAGUUUGGAUAUAAUAAUAGCUACCAUGCCAGUAUUAAGAUGGCUCCGUUUGAGGCCUUGUAUGGGAGGAGAUAUAGGUCGCCUAUAGGGUGGUAUGAAGUGGGCGAGACCCAGUUUUUUGGGCCUGGCCUUGUUCAUUAGGGAAUGAAGGAUGUGAAAAUUAUUAGAGAACGACUCAAGACAGCUCAGAGUCACCAGAAGUCUUACGCUGAUGUAAGAAGAAGAGACUUAGAGUUUGAGGUUGGUGAUCGGUUAUUUCUUAAAGUUUCUCCUAUGAAGGGAGUCAUGUAAUUUGGGAAGAAAGGUAAGAUGAGUCUUCACUAUAAAGGACCAUACCAGAUUGUGAAAACGAUAGGAGAAGUUGCGUAUUAGUUAGAGUUGCCUGCAAGUUUGGGUUCUGUUCAUCCGAUAUUUCACGUAUCCAUGUUGAAAAAGUGUAUUGGGGACCAUUCAUUAGUAUUGCCUUUUGAAGAAAUAAGAGUGAUAGACUCCUUAUCUUAUGAAGAAGAGCCGGUAGCAAUUUUGGACCACCAAGUGCGGAAGUUCAGAAGCAAGGAGAUAGCCUCAAUUAGAGUAUUGUGGAGAAACCAAAAAAACUAAAGAAGCUACUUGGGAAUCAUAAGAUGAUAUGAGAGAUAGGUACCCAACCUUAUUUGAUCCGGUGGAUGAAAUCAUGAAAGGUAAAAAAAAAUCUUUACCUUAUUCUUCUAUGGCCUUAGUAUGAUUGAAAUCAUUCUUGUCUGUGUCCCGCAUCAAUAUUCAAGGAUGAAUGUUUCCAAUGGGGGAUAUUGUGACAUCCCAAAGUUUUCUUAGCUAAGUCCUGUCCCUAAAGUAGCAGACUUUAGAUUCUACAAUUAAUUAUAUUCUUUUUCCAGUGGAAUUCCUUAGAUUUCAACUUUACAUUACGUAGAUGACUGAAUAAGCUUUCCGUCGAUAUAAGAUUCGUCUAAAAUGGAUACUCGAUGUAGAAGUUAUGGCUAUUUUUGUGCUGGUAGUAAAACAUCGUCAUUCUGGUGUUUAGCGCGUCGCGGAGAGGGUUUAAUUAGCAAUUGUCAAAUUCUAGUGGGACCUCGCGAUAGUGGCGCGUUGCGGAGAAUCCCAAUUUUGCAUUCGUCAAUUUCCAGUGAGCCACCGUGAUAGUGGCACAUCGCGGUGGCCCAUAAAAUCGGGCACCAGUUAUAUUUUUACUCCGUAUCAUUAAGGGUAAAAUGGUACUUCUCCAACCCCUUGUCAUCUCUAACACGGGAUUUAAUCUGAAGAACACCAAAGUAAAUUGAUUUUCAUCAAAAUCUCUCAAGAAAUUCCAUUAGGGUUUCAAACUAAAAAUCCUCAUAACUAAAGAUUUAACUGCGAGUUUUAGAAGAUAAUUGGAGAUUUGGAAUCCUUGCAUCGUAGGCUUCAAGAAGCAUCCGUUAAUUUUUGAAAUAGAGGUACGUGGGGUUUAUCCUAAAAAUUACAUAGGCUUAAAACCACUAGAGCAUGAUUUUAAGAUUUUUGUGCAUGAAUUUCAAAGGGGUUUUGGAAUCUAUGUUUUAAAUUACACACUCUGAAUGUUUUAUUGUUAUUAUUGUUUUGACCUUGUGGUCCUAUUACCUAAAUUGAUUUACAUGUAUACGUAUAUGUAUGGGAUUUGAGAUUUAAGAUUGUUUGAGAGCAUAAAUUAUGAACUCCCUCUCGUGUAUUGAAUUAAAGAUAUGGUUUUGUGAUUUAGAAGAUGUUUUCGCAACAUUAUAGCAUUUGAGCAUAAUUUGAAAUUGUUGAAAGGGUGUUUCUUGAUAUAAAUAUUUUCUUGUGUUUAAGAGAAAGAAUUGCAUGUGAAUUGAGAAUUUUGACAUGACCACCUUGUACUAUUGAAAUGCUUGACCAAGAUGAGUUCCUUGCAAGUGUUUACAUGAGGUUUGAGAAAGAGUUUCUUUGAAUUGAAUUAUUGAAAUAGUGGUCCCAAAGACUCGUGUUUGAAAACAGAGAUUUAUGACAGACUAAUAAUGGAUCAGAGAUGUGACUUGCGAGUCAAUGGUAUGACGAUACCAUAUGUAUUUAUGCCAUAACAGAUUAUGUUUUCAGAAUAUGUUUUUCAGUAUUUCUUUUUAGAGACUGCAUGUUUUAAUAAAGUUUUAAAAAGGGGCUUAAAGAGGGUUAGGUGGUUACCCGAAGAAGCCGUGAGUUCAAGCAACUCUUAGUCUGAAACUGUGUUUGCCGAUACGGGUAGAUUAUUAUUAUACGCUGGCGAUAGCCGUGUGGCGUAGUAGAUUCAGAGACUCUGACCCUUGCGACACACUUGGGUUGGGGGCUUCGCUGCCGAGUUAAUGGCAAUUUUCAUAUAGCCCAUGGAAUUUUCAGAAUUGUAGGGUAUACCACCUAACGCAGAACAUAGAUUUCUCAGAGUUGUGAUGAUUUUUACAAAGUUUUUUAAAAUGCCUAUGUGAAUUCUUACUAUAUUAUACGUUUGUGAAACUGUUUUACAUUGCUCUCAUAUAUAUUGAAUAUAAAUUGUUAUUUUGGAUUUGCUCUGCGUAUCAGUACAAUUGUAUUGACCCCCCCUCCUCCCAGGUUCUGAGACUCAGUCUAGGGGUCCAGAUAAGCAGUAGAUAAUUCAGAUAACCGAUCAGAUUUUGCAGUGGUAAGCCUUUUAUAUUCCAGAAGGCCUGUUUAUUUUCAGAUUAUGUCUCUUAUCACCGUUUUGGUCUACUGGGGGUCUUGUCCUAGUUUCAGACAGUUGUCAGAUUUCCAUGUAGUAGAGAUUUUCUAGACUAAGUCAAAUGUUAUUUAGAUGUAGUUGAUUUGCAGUUUUCAUACUUAUGUUGAAUUCAGAAUUGACCAUGUUUCCGUAGCAGAUUAUGUUUCCGCAUCUUCUUUAUUUAUAUGAAUGUUGUGCAUGACUACUAGAUCGAGAAGGGCGUUCUGGGCCUUCAUGGUUCGGGAAGUCCGUCACGGCCAAGCCCUAGUUCUGGUUGUGACAAUACCCCACACUAUACUUGUGUUAAACCAUCGAGAGCAUGAGUUUUGCAGUUGAUAUAAUAUUACUCAUAAAUGAUAAAGCUUCUUGAACUAUUACUUGUUGAGAAUCAUUGUUCAUGUGCUUGAUGUGUGUGAAAGUCUUAUAUAUGUGCAUGUUGUAAAUGACAGAAGAAGUUGGAGAAUUGAUGUGACACUGAUGACUUGCACAUCGGGGUAUGACGAUACCCCACAAAGUAUGAUAUAUGUUUUGUCUUGAAUCAAAGUUAAAGCUUAACUUUAUGUGAUUUAGGUAGUUACCCGAAGAAAGCACGAGUCAAAUGACUUUAUGCUGGAAACUGUGAAUUACCGACACGGGGAACUUGGUACCAUUCUAUGUGACCUUGUGUACCUUAUAUUGUGUCAUCCCUAUUCGGGAAUAAUGGUUAGGACCCCUGCUUUGUGAUCUUGAGCCCAACCAUGACACGUAGACUUGAUUGGGAUGGAGACGCCCUGCUGUGAUCUUGCGUGUUCUUCUCCCUCACUAAUACUCCAAUCUUGGCUACAACCGGGAUUUGGCAGUUGGUGAAAGAUUGUAGGGUGUACCAGCUAGCUCAGUAGUGAUACAGUGUUGUUGAAAAAUCAUUAUACUAUGCCCAUGUGUUUUCGGAUUGUUUUUCGAUAAAGUGUUUCAUAACAGCUCUCACCUAUGUUACAUAAAAAUAAAAAUUUCAUUUUAUUUUAUUUUUGGAUUACUCUGCGUACCAGUACAUCUGGAUUGACCCCUCCCCUAUCUCUCAGGUUCUGAGGCUCAGUCUAGGGGUCCAGAAAAGCAGUAGAUUUCAUCAAACAGAGUUGUUGUGUCCAGUUGGUGACCCUUCUAUAUUUCAGAAGGCCUGUUUACAUUCAGACAAUUAUUAUUAGUUAUGUUUUGGUCUAUUGGGGGCCUUUUCCUAGUUUUCAAAUUGUGUUAGUGAUCAUGUAGUAGAGAUUUCGCAGACGAUUUUCCAGAAGGGUGUUAGAUGAUUUUGGAUUGUGAUUUCUAUUAUCGAAUUCAUAUCAGAUUUAUGACUAUGAGUUCGUUUAGCUAUAUUUUCCGCAUUUCCUUAUUUGUAUAUGAAUAUUGUGCAUGAUUAUCAAUAUAGAAGGGCGCCCGGGUCUUCGUGGUUCGGGAUGCUCGUCACGGCCAGGGCCUCGGUUCGGGUCGUGACAAUAUCUUAGCUCCGGAAGCUAUAAGGUUACAUUUGCAUUUGAGUUUGUUUUGGUUAAAAAUUGAUCACUUGCUUCGGACAUUGCUAAGGUUCACGAUGAAUUAGUACUUGAGGCUGAUCAUUCUGUUGCAAAGGAAGCUGGAUUGUUGUUGCAGAUGAGCAUGGAAAACGCUGUUUCUCUUCUUGGCAAGGGAUCAUAGCAAGACUAAAUCACUAAAUAAAUGGCUUGACUGGAUUUUAAGUCUUAGUUUAUCUGAGGUUUGUCUUGGGGGAUGCCGUGGAAGAUCCUCUGAUUGACUCAACUUUAGUUAAACCUUUUGAUGGAUGAAAUCAUCUUCUGUUGUUCUUUAUUGCACUUUCUUCCCUCUUGUAGAAUUGAUAUUCGAGUUUGUGCUUAUAUUAGUUCCUAUGGUUUUGUCAGCCAGUUCCACUGCAUGUGAAACUGAAGAUUGGGAGCACAUGGGGAUCGUUGGAGACUUUCCAGGCAAGAGAAUGAAUAGGUUUCUGUAAGUGUGGACAUCUGUUUGUAUAGUUUAAAACUGUCAGUUGCUUCAUGCUGCUGGAAGAAUAUGAACAGUGGUUAUUUUCAGGUAGCCUGAAGAUUGGUUUUGAUAUUGUUAAUGCACUCUAUGCUAUCUUUGUGGCAUUUUAAUUCUGACUAUUAUCUUUAUUUCGGUGAAGCAGUUUUCUCUCAAACAAGACAGUCUAUCUGACAGACUAAGCAAUGAUGUUCACAAGUCAUGCAUCCGUAUGUAACUUCAUGUGAAUUAGCUGCUCGCCAAGAUUAUAAUGUGCUCUUUGUUGGGAUGUCUCAUAAUGUCACAACUUAUGUACAAGCAAAUAUCUGAUUGAUGGAUCAGGUUACUUGAAGGAAGUGAGAAGGACGGAGGAAGGGGCUUUUCUCUUUAUUGGAAAAAUCUGCACUUGUUAGUGCUCUGAUAAUAACUUUCGAACUACAUGAAGUAACCAAUAUUGUGAUGAGGGUGCUCAGAACCAAGGCCCAUAUUCAGUACUUUUGAGAGCAUUAGAUGUCGAGGCUUUUUCCUGAUUGUCUCCCGAGCAUGCUGCUUCACCACAUUGUAAGCCGACAAGCAUCUUAGAGGGGGAAUGUGCUAAAUUAAUGGUGAUAAGUAUUUUACCUCACUCACGUAGACCUCAGAGAAAGCGGAUGCUGAAUAUUGAAGUGUCAAUUAAUGGCAGGGCAAUACCUAUCAUGAGAUCAAAAUAGUUGGUCCAAGUGGUGGAAGGCUUCUAGGUGCUCAAUGCUUGAUGCUUUAGUUUCAAAUCCUACUGGAGCCUUGUGGGGUGACUCAUGCUCUUUAGUUUUGCCAUGAAUGGUUUCAAUGUGGUUUAUUGGUCCCAAAAAAAACCAAUAAAUAAGGGAAAAAUAAAAAUUUAGAGGGAACCAAGGAGCAUAGUAUAAUGACUUUUUCAUUGGCUAAGCCUUCAAAGCUUAGUCGAGGUGUUGACUAGUUUUUCAAUAAUCAGUCACUGCAAAAUCUGUUCUUUAUGGUCCCUGUUUUUUAGUCUUAGAGGUCCUGUUUUUUAGUCUUAGUGGAGUUAUGUUUUACUUGAUCGAAGUUUUUUUUAAUUUUCUGAUUUCCAGUAGUGGGAAUGUUGGUGUUUAUGUCAUGUUACACCACUAGUUGUUAGUUCUUAUAUUUUAGUAUAAGUUGUUGAGGUGUAAGCCUAUAAAAGGGCAGUAGAUCUCUUAUUUUCUCUACAGUUGAAUGAAGAAGAAAAAGCAUUCUUUCUCACUUUGCCUACUUUCUUUUCUAAUACGAGGGCUCGGGACGGAUCUCCUGGAACAUUAUUGUGUUUUAUGGAUUGUUGUGCGAUGGUAUUGAAUGUCUGCUGGUGCUUCUGCUCUAUAUUUCCUGACAUCUAAUGUUUGUGGAAUUGGUUAAUGGUGUUUGAGAAUGUUAAUUGCUGUAUUUUUGCCUCUCUUAUGGAGGAACAGCGUGGGACCUGGAUUAUCCACAUGCUGUCACAUCGGUAACAGAGGAUAGAGAUAGAUCAAUCUAAGGGGGUUGGGGUCUGAAGGCAUGCUACAGUGUAAGCUAAUUUCUUGGCAGUCAAAUUUGGAAUAUAGAGCCCGCCCAGAAAGGCUGUUUUCAUUGCUUGGAAAGACCUCAUCGGUAAGUUACCGUGAUACGAGAUAACUAGGGAAAAUUCAAUUUUGACUUGCAUUUCUCUCGGUUGGUGUUUGUAUUGAAAAGGUGCAUGGAUAAAAAUUCUGGCACUUUGAAUCUGCUUGGUGCUCGACGGAGACAAUUAGAGGAGUUUGAUGGCAAGUGGAAUCCAGAUUAAUUGAAGUCUACUUUUGCUUUAUUUCAGAUUGUUGAUGUUUUUGUACCUAGCAGAGAGAUUGAAUAGUGUAAUGAAGAGAUUGGUAGAAGAACACAGAGAAAAUAAGAGUUACAAGAUUGUCUUGAAACCAUUGAACUAGUAGAAAUAAAAAACAAUGUUGGCUUAGAUCCAGGAUCUUCCCUUAUUAACAUGGUUUUUGAGCUAUAUUUAUUUAAGGAAAUAGAAAAAAAAAGCAAGAUGAGUUAACAUAGAACAUUUCCUUAACCAAUUUCCUCUAUGUGGCAAUUACUUCAUAAUAAAUCCCAGUGGAUGAUUAUUUAUAGCAGUGGUACUUCAUGCAGUGUUCGGCUGCUUGUGUUGUAAACCCAAAUUGAGACAACUGAUCCGUUAAUCUUUUCUUGUUGAAUAAUAUGGAAAACAAGAAGUCAUAAUCUCCAUAACAACAUACAUUCACCAACCAUAUGGACAUCGUUCAUGAUUAAACCUUGAUUAAACACUUAACUAGUACUUGCAUCAGGGCAUGCAUUAUUGCACAAAACAUUGCGAUAAACGGUAUUUACAUCAGGAUAAUACAUUAUUACACAAAGCAUUGCAGCUAUUACAUCAAAGGAGCAGGUGAUGAUCCGACUUUCUCCAUGUUAGCCUUCAGCCAUUUGAAGAACUGCGUUUUGUGAAGGAAACAGGGCAAUUUGAUCAUCCAUAAUAAAAUGGCAAAUAGGCUUAUCUCCGGGCUUAAUAUUGAGCAACUGAAAAACCAAUGCCUUAGGAUUCAUGGAUGCAGUAUCCUCAUGGCAGACUGAUACUGCAUUAACUUUUGUUCCAUCAGCACCCACCAUAGUGACCCUAAAAGCCCUGGUGCUUCCUACAUCAUGGCAAAAGUGUACUGCAUAUGGGUAAGGUACUUUGUGGCAUAUGACACAUUUACCGUUUGCUUUCUCUUUCACUUCUUUGAUAGUAUAUGUUUGCAGCACUGGAGUUUCCUUCUCUACCUCGGUGUGAAUUGCCAAAAUAUUGUUUGUUUCCAAGCGAGAUGAGGCGAAAUCAAUUAUAGAUUCCAAGGAAGUGGCACAAUAUUUUAUCUCUCCAUCAGCUGCGGGCUGUUCACAGAGUUCGACUGUUCUCUUGAUCACUUUAGCAUCUUCUGAAUUGUUGUCAACAGAAAAGUGAUCAAGAAUUUCCUCAAUUCUGUUCGAUGAGAAAGAGAUGGAAUCUACAACUUUGCGAGGCAAAAGGGGAGCUGGAUUGUUGUUUUUGAGCGACUUAAGAUUCACUUUUUUCCCUUGAUGUAAAUCGGUUUCAAAAAAGAAACGUGUAACUAGGUGAUCUUCAUUAAGGUUUUUCAAAGAAACACCAUAAAAGUACACUCCAUAUGGUUGGCUUAAUUGGUGUAAUUUGUGUAGCUCGUUCUUGGAGAAAACGUGAAACCAAUCCCAAGUAAGACCUCCAUAUGGUUGGGACGUUUUCUCUGCCCAAAUAUAAAGAAUAAUCAAAAGAAAAGACCUCAGUGUUAAUUCAAGCAGUUGAACCUUUAUUUGUAAAUAAAGAAAACAUAAAUUCUCAAAACGUUUACAAAGAUCCAUUCCACUAUUCUACAAGAAAAUUUAAAUCAUAUGAGUGAAAAGAUAUUAAUCAAGAUGACUCAUGAACGAAACAACUAAGAUUAAGUAUUCAACAAGUAAAACUAAAUCAUACGAGAAAAAGAAUAUCCAAUAUAUUCUGUCAUUGGAGUACCUUAUGAUGAUGGAGUUAAUAUUAGUUUCAAUAGGGGUAGCAUAAUAGUUUUUAAGUUGAAAAAUUGGAUCUUAGUACUCGCUGGCUUUUUAUUACCCGACCAAAUGCGAGAAAAUUAAUGCUUUGUAAUUUUUUAACUUGGAUCUACAACUAUCGUUUAUGCAUAAAUUUAUUCAGUACAAUCUGAAAUUUUAUAGAUUUAUGUUUAAAAAGUAAGAAUAUAUCGUAAUUAUUCAAUACAAUUUAUUAAAAUCUAAAAAUCACCUUAUUUCUAUCAGUUCAAUUGAUUUUUAAAAAACCACUAACACCACCCGUAAGAAAGAUAUUAUUUUGAAGUAAAUUGACAAAUGAAUCCUCCCCGUUGGGAAUCUUAGUUACCUGAACUCCCACCUUGUUGGUGAGUAUUCGAUUCUCCACAUUAUAAUCUUCUUCCCCUCCCCCAAUUUUUUUUAAAAAAAUCCUCCCCGUUUAUUUUUUAAAAAGGGUUUUAGAAUAGUGACAGACGUUCAUCUAAAUCAUUGAUUAAAGCUACGUACGCAAUUGAAAUCAUUCAUAAUCUGAUGCUUCUUUGUAAUAAUAGUAGCGACCCUUCCCUUUUAAUGAACCUUAAAUAAUACUCCCUCUGUUCCAUUUUAUCCGUCUCAAAUUUCUUAAUUUGGUUUCCCAUUUUAUUUAUUCUUUUUUACUUAUUAAGACAAGACAAUUUUUUUUCUAGAAAAUUUCUUUUUCCCAUAUUUUACCUUUUGCAUUAAUUAUUUUUUAUUUAAAUUAAAAUGUAAACAUCAUUUAAUAGAGAUACUAUGAUAAACUACUCAUGUUAUUUAUUAGUUUUCUUAACAAUUGUGUCAUCUCAAUUUGAGAUUAGUAAAAUGAAACAAAAGGAGUACUAUCUAAAUUAGUUAAGUGUUCUUAAAUAAUACCGAACAUCACGUGAGAAAAAAUAAAAUACUAUUAGCGACAAAAAUAAGGCCACUACCCAACAACAAUAAGAAAGUCAUCAUAUUCACAAGAGGGAAGAACUUAAACUUUAUCCGCUUAACUUACUUUAAUUUUAUGAAUAAUUAUUUAUUUAUUUAAAUAACUUUCAAAUAAAUUAAUACCACUACUUCGUACUGAAAUAAUACAAAAAGCAAAAAAACAAAAGCAUGUAUUUAUAUUUAUAUUUUAUAAUCUAUAUUUAUAAUAUAUUAAAAAUGUGAAUGUCCUUAAAAAUAUUAUUUGAACUGUUUGUCCUUCAUUAAAAGCAUCUGAUUUAAACAAAAUCAUUUUUUACCUAGUUUUUUCAAAUAUUUAAAGUUAAAAAUAAUUAAAUAUAUUUAUGAAAAAAUCUAUUCUUAUUAGAAGUCAUUAAAAUUAAUGACAACUAAUAUUUUUUUAUUAAUUUAAAAAUUCGAAAUGAACUUAAAUUUGAUUUUAAGAAAAUUUAAAAAAAAAUAUAAAAAAUAUAAUAAUAAUAAUAAUCUAUAAUCUAUAUCUAUAGUCUGUAAUAUAUUAAAAGUGUGAAGAACCCUAGAAAUGUCGUUUAAAAUUUUUUCAUUAAAAGUUUUUUCUUUAAUAAAAUUAUUAUUUCACUAUUAGUUUUAAUAUUUACAAUUUACAAAUUAAUAUAGUUAUGAUAAAAUCUUUCCUUAUUAGAAGUCAUCAAAAUUAAUGACAACUAAUAUUUUUUAUAUUAUUUUAAGAAUUCAAAAUCAAUUAAAUUUAAUUUUAAGAAGAUUUGAAAUAGAAAUAAAUAUAAAAAUGUUAGAAUAAGAAAAAUUUAAGAAGCAUCAAAUUUUUAAAAAUCUUAAAUACAUAAUAAGAAUAUAAUCAAUGAUUUUAUAAAAAUUCAACUUUAUAACUAAAAAAAAAAGUUCAAAAUUUAAAAAAUAUCACACCACAAAUAUGAUUCAAGUUGGUGCGUCUUUCGUAGCCUCUGACAGUAAGGGCAAGGAGGUAUUACAUGAUAAAUACAAAAACGAUAAUUCGUCAACUACUUCGAACUUCUAAUGAUGGAAUAUAUAUGUGCUUACACUAAAAUAUAUGUUUAUAUUUACAUUAUUAUAUUAAAGUUUGAAUGAUCUAAAAGUGAUUUGCACUUUUUACACUUCAUUAAAAAUUUUCGCAAUAGAUAAAAAUUAUUUAAUUUUAAAUAAUCAAACGUUAUACAUAUGAAUUCCGUAUGGUUAAACUACUAAUAUAUUACAAGUGUAAGGAGCUUUAAAAAUAUUAUUUAAACGUUUUAUCCUUCAUUAAAAAUUUUGUUUUAAACAAAAUCAUCUUUUCACUAUUUUUCUCUAAUAUUUAAAAAUUAAUUAAAUAUAUUUAUAUAAUAGAACCUUUAUUUGUUGAAAGUCUUUAGAAUUAAUGAUAAUUAAUAUUUUUUCAUUAAAUUUAACUUCAAAAAUAAGAAAAAGUUUUAAACGUAGAAAUAAAAAUAAAAAAAUUAUAUCACAAAUAUGAUUCAAAUUGAAAAAAAAAAUACUGCAUGACAAACGUAAAUAUGAUAUUUAUCAAUCACUUAAAUGUAAAAAUAAUAUUUAUCAAUCAUUUAAAACUUAAAAUAGUAAAAUAUAUAUUUAUUUAACUAAAAUAUAUAUUUAUAUUCACAUUAUUAUAUUAAAAAGUGAUUUAGAGUUUUUUAUAUUUAUUAAGAAUUUCCACAAUAGACAAAAUCAUCUAAUUUAUCAAACGUUAUCAAAGAUUUUUUAAAAAUUUGACUUUAAAAGUAAAAAAAAUUAAAUAUAAAAAAAUUUAAAAUAUAAUCAAACUACAAAUGUAAUUAAAAUUGAUGCGCUUUUUUAAUUUUAGCAGCAAAAAAAAUAUUUACAAUAAAUAAAAUUAUUUAAUUUUUAAAUAAUAAAAAACUAUAGAUGUGAGACAGGUAGAGAGUUAAACUAGUGGAAUGGCCAAUCCUUGGGGUUCAUGGGGAAAGCAAAAGGAUUUGCCUUCAAAGUUUAGGAACACACUUGUUGGUUCCAAUUGAAGAAGCUUGUUGGGAAAAUCAAAGGCUCUAUUAAGGCAACAAAGUAGAAAUCCGUCGUCGCUGUGGUGGUGCAAAGGCAAAAGCAAUGAACCCCAAAGAAGAAAUUCUAAGCAGUAGCAGCAACGUUAGCAAAGAAAAUGAAGAAGCUCCUGAUUUCUCCAGCGAAAUCAGAGAAAACUUCGAUAAAAAAAAUUAUAGUUUCUAAAGUGAAUAAAAUUCAGAUGCAGAAAGUUGUAAAGAACUCAAAAACUGUUACAAUUUGGGUUUAGAAAACAAAGAAAUGAAGAAAUUCGUUGAAUGUAGGCGCUGUUAGAAUCUGUAAAUUGCUUUUACCCAAUGAAUACAUAAAUUCUUCCCUUUUCUCUAAGGGGUGACCUGGGGAUAUUGACGUGACGUGUCAAUGCCAUGCACCUUCCACCGGUAGCUGAUAUAAGACUACUCACUCUCUUUCAAAAACAAUUGACCUACUUUAAUUUAACACAAAAUUUAGUAAAAAAUAAAUAAAUUUUAUAGUCCUAAAUUAAAAUUAUAUUAAAUAUAUCAAAAUAUAUUUUAAUCUUGUGAUUUUAAAAAUAUCACAUGAAAAAUUAAAUUAAAAAUAUUAUCAAAAAAGAGCGAGUCAUUCUUUUUUAAACAAAUUAAAAUAAAAACUAGAUCUUUUUUUUUUAAACAAAAAAAGUAUUAGAUUUAUAUUUAAUAAGAAUUUUGAUUCACUUAAAAGUUAUUUAAAAAUAUAAACAAUCAUCAUAAAAUUAAAGGAUUAAAAUAAACUAAACGAAUAAAUUUAAGCAAAAUUUAUGUCAUUUCUCUAUUCACAAUAAUAUAAUAACAGUAUUUGGAGUUAUUUGGUAUAAGAGAUCGGAUAAGUAAAAUUAUCCGAAGAAAUUAGUUAUUCCACCACUUUUAAGACUAACAAAUAUCUCUAAUCAAAUAGAAGAUAACAUGGUGUCUCAUUUUAUCUCUGAAAUUAUAUUUUUCUAAUUUCCCGUAUCAAAAGACUCCUGCUAGUGGUAAUGUUGAUGAUGACAAAUUAAAAGCUGAGUUUCUAAAGAUUAAUUACCAGAAAUGUGUAGGGCAUCCUUGAUAGGUUUGGGCAUAGGAGUAUUGGGUAGUUUGAUUUUCCAAUACACCUCAGGAGAUAAAUUUGCUGCAUGACUAAUUACGACAAAAACAAGCUAAACACAACAAGAAACAAACAAUUAAUUAAUUGAUAAAUUGUGCUACUUAAUUUAUUUUUAAUUGAAUAUAGGAAAAGAAAAUUUUAUUGUACUCACAGAAAGAAGUGUGAAGAAGUAAUAUUGGUAAAGCAUCGCCAUUAUCUUUGGACACGAGGAAUGUGUAUAUGAAGCAAAACGCUAACCCAUUUAUAGGGGUUGAGCAAGGGCCUUCUUGAAAAUAUGUAGUAGUAAACAUGAAAUGUUAUAGUUAUCGAAUCUUAUUAUUUUACUUUUCUGUUUGACCAUACGUUAUAGUUAGUUUUCUAAUCUAUUUUAUUUUAUUUUUUAUUAAAUAACUAGUCAAAAGGACUAUUUUUUUAAUCAAAAAUAUCAAAAAAACAAUUCAUUUAGAAAAAAAUCAAAAUAGACAAAUCGAUAAGGGGACAACGACUAAAUUUAGGGGUGAGCAUAAAUAAUGUUUCUUUGUUAAUAUUAGGGGUGAGCAUAAAUACCGAAAAAUCAAAAUAUCGAACCGAAUUGAAUUAUUUCGGUUUUUUGGUUUUGAUUCUUCAGUUCAAGUUUUUUUUUUUUUUUUACAAUUUCGAUAUUUCGAUUCGGGUUAUGAAUUUUAGAUUCACAUAAUUUGAUUUUUCAAUUUAAACCAAAAUUUUUAAUACACCUUUUUUUAAUUAUAUAAUAUAUAUAAUAUAAUAAUAUAUAUUUAAAAUUUAACGUUAAAGGCUCGGAAUUUAGAUACAUUGAAUUGAAAUUGAUAUAGUAUUGUAAUUAAAUUGAUAGAAUUUAGAUUCUAAUAUGUUAGUGUACAUAUGUGUAUAUUGUAACAUUGGUCUUGUGAAAGCCACGUAGUGAUCUCAAAUCAAAUGAAACAUAUAUGUAGGCUAAUUGGCUAAGAGAAUUCCUUUUGAUUAUUCCAGAAGUAAAUAUUCCUUUGAGUUUUGAGAGUCUCGUCUUUUCUUUUUUUCAGUGUUAAAGUAUUUAUAGGUUAUAUAUAUUACUCCAAUUUUUAUUAUAGUAAAAAACUUUGGUAUAUUGUAUAGCAUCGUGUACUUUUUUAUUUGAAAGAAAAUAAGAUUGAAAAACCAAAAUAAAAUCGAACCAAAAUUUAUAUAAAUCAAACUGAACCAAGUAAAUUCGGUUCUAUUUUCGGUUCGUAUAAUUUCAAAACCAAAAAUCAAAAGAUCGAGAUAAAAAUAUUAAAUCCAAAUUAAAGUACCGAACGCCUACCCCUAAUAUUAUGCUACUACUUAAUAUUAUGCUACUGAAAUGAUGAAGCAUGUGGGACACCAUUGAUUUAAAGAGGGAUCACUUCAAAUUAUUAAGUGAUGAAAUGAUGAAGCAUGUGGACACCAGUAAGUCUCCAUUUCACGUGCAAAUAGUAAAUAUUUUUUUUUUAAAAAAUGCAAGAUGCAGGAAUAAAUGGCAGCAGCAAGUCUCCAUUUCAAAGGCUAAUCACAUCUGGCAUUCAAAGGCUAGCAUAUCGCAUGCAACAUUACGCGGGAGCCCUGGCGAUUUACAAGUCGCUGUGAACCUAGCGACUUACAAAUUGUUAUAGACCGGCAAUUUGUAAGUUGUUGUACACUUAGUGAUUUAUCUAUUUUGAUUUUUUUCGAAAUUAAUUGUUCUUAUUAAUAUUUUUGAUAAAAAAAUAACCUUUUUGACUUAUGAUUCACGAAAAAACGAGAAAACUUUUAACAUAAUUACUAGCAUACCCCUGACAAGACAAUAAACUUCAAAACGUGUGACUGUCAAGGUGCAGUAGUCGCCACCUGUGUGUCUUCUUUUUUUCCCUGAAAAUAUAUGUACAUCAUCACAUCACAAUCAAAGAUAAUUUCUAUAAAAUUGAAAAUGUGGGCCCUCUUAUUUUUUUUCCCUAGAGAAACUUUUAAAGUUAAGAUGUAAAAUCAUUCAAUUUUUUUUCUUCAGUUAAAUUUAAGAGUGAUAUACUCUUUAUUUAUUUUAUUCAACUAAUUUCUAGCAAAGUAAAGUAAACCAAAAGUAUUCACCAAAAUUAUAAAAAUAAUAUUUUUUUUCAUUCAUAAUUUAGUCUUUUCAAAUAAAUUAGACAUGAAAUUUAAAAAAAUAAAUAAAUUUAAAUUUUAUGAUCUUAAAUUUAAUAUUGUGCGACGGUUUAAAGAUCUUUUAAAUUUUAUACUUUUAAACAGAUUAUGUAUAUCUAGAUUAAGAAAAUGAUGGAUUUAAAAAGAAAAAAAAAGUAUACCUAGAUUAAAGAAAUAAUAAAAUAUGAAAGAGCCAUGUUUUCGACAAAAGUAUGCUUAUAAUUUGUAACACUCUCUCUCUGUAUAUAUAAAAAAAAAUUAAAAAAUUCACUAUGAACAUAAAGGAAACAAAUACUUUUAAGUAUGUAUCAUUUAACCAUGAUCAAAAAAUUUAAAACAAAUAUUUAUCACCUAUAAAAAUCAAACAAUAUUGUAAUAAAUUUCAACAUCAUAUUUCUAAGAUAAAUAAGUAAAUAUAUUUUUACGCUAAAUUUUAUUAUUUUGUGAUAUACUAAAAAUUUGAACAAAGUGAUAAUGAGUGUUAGAUAAAAAUAGCAUUUUAUUGUCAUUCAAUAAGAUGAACUAUUACAUAGGUUUUAUACAUUGAUAGCCCCUUACAUUUCGUAAAUUUUAUUUUGAAACUUAAAUAUGACUCGUUUCAAUUGAACCUAAAUAAAUAAUAAAAUAUUUCAAUUAGGUAUUUUCGAUUAAACUUUAGACAAUAAAUCGCAUGUUCACAAACGUCUAUUUUGAAGGAGAGUAUUGGAGUAACUGGUAAAGUUAUUGACAUGUGAUCAGGAGGUCAAUGAUUCAAGCGUUGAAGACAUUCUCUGACAUAAAUGCAAGGUAAAUAUAUUUCUGCUAAAACGUUAUGAGAAAAAGUUGCAACUAUAAUACUUUUCAUAGUUUGAAAACUUCAGCAUUUCAAUAUUAAAAUAUUGAACUGAUCUAAUUCAAGAUAAUUUUGAAGAUAUGUUAAAUUCACUCUUCAACGAGUACUAUAUUUUAGUAUUAACUAAAUUGACUCUUCAAAGAGUACUAUAUUUUAGUAUUAAGUAAAUUAACUCUCUAAAGAGUACUAUAUUUUAGUACUAUUCCACGGUGUAAUAAUUAUUUUGAAGGUAUCGCUUAAAUUCAUCAUUUUAAAAUUUAUAUUCUAAAUUAAUACUCCUUAAAAUAUAAAUAAAAAAUGAAUGAAUAAUGGUAUAAUGGUCUUUUCAAGAAAAUUAUUAAAAUAGUUUUAUAUAAUAUUUUACGUGAAUCCAAUAUCCCCAACUACAACUCUAUUUAAAUGAAAAACAUUGCUUAAAACUAUAAACUAAGUUUUUAUUAUUAUAUAAAAUCUCAACUACUAAAAGUAAUUAUAAAAAAAAAAAAAUUGACACUUUCUCUCUCCAAACUUCAUAUAUAUAUUUCACCUACCCUUUUCUUAUGCUUAAUGCUUCUCAAAGAACACCUAAAAUCAAGGAACCUCAAUUAAACAAUUGUCAUUUUGAAUUUACAAUUGUGUUCUUCUCAAAUUUCUCAACAUCAGCUUUUCAAUAAAAAAGAAAUCAAAACCGUGGCAUCUCACUCUUCUUUGAUCGGUGCACCCCACUAACCCGUCUCUUUGCCUUCAUCGCUGCUCCGGUGAGAAGCUCCGGCUCCAAUGAAUUGAAGCAAAUCUUAACAGAUCAACAAAUCAUUCGAUCAGUGAGAUCGCACCAACCAUCGUUGUUUCUCCAGCAAGCGAGCCACCAGUCAGCCGCUUUAUCUUCCUUCUUUUCCUUAAUAAAAAAUAUAAUAAGAUCCCAAAAUUUUCUCUCUUUCGACGAGGUUUUAAAAUACUUCAGUGAUUUGAGCAUCGACAGAAUCGCAAUACCGAGUUAAAGACAAGAAAAACUUCAAUACGAGUCAAAUACUUCAAAAUUACAUUUCGAAAUAAGUUGUUAUUUCAACUCAUAGACAUAACUAUGUUAUGUAUAUAGGUGGUUUAAAAAGUGAAGGCAUUAUGCAUUUUAUUUAAAGUUCAAAAAAGUAUACUUUUCUAUUUAAAGUUUAUUUAUUUUAAAGAUAAUUUAAACAUUGCAAAGUUUUUUUAUAUAUUUUAAAUUCGAUGUCCAAUAAAAAUGAUAUAAAUUGAAAUAAAGGGAGACAUAACUUAUAGGAGGAUUUGUAAAUACUCACAUACGUUCCAUAAAAGAUAAAUAAGUGAAAUUGAUUUUGGCCACACAUUUAAUUACAUAACGUAACUAUUACUAUAUUAUAUUAAGAUAAUAAAAAAUAUUCAUAAAUAUUGAAUAAAUGUUCAUCUAUCAAACACAAUAAACGAUUCCUUCAUAAUUCCAAAAAUUCGCAUGAAACAUAUCAUUACAAAUAUUUGUACUAUAUAUAAUUUGUGAAAAUAUAACUAUUCACUAAUAACAUGUUAAAAUUAUUUUAUAUAAUUUAUUUAAAAUAUAAUAUUAACUACCUCAUGUUAAAUUACUACAAUAUAUAUCCAGUUAACUUUUGUUAAUUCUUUUGAUUCUCUUUAUUUGAGACAGUAGAUUUCCUCAUCAAGCAGAUAAAUCACUUAAAAAGAAAUUUCUUACUUAAUUGUCUCCUGAUGUGUAUAAGACAAGACAUAAAGGCAAUCACUUAACGUUAUAAUUCACUAAAACGUUCAUCCGUCCUUAUUUUCAUUUGUUAAAUACCCAUAAAACGAAUUUAAAUGUAUUUAAAAUCAACUUAUGUAUAAAUUAAUAUUUUUUAUUGCUUCGUAUGAUCUAUAAAAUAUUUAAUAAAUAGGUAUUUAUAAUUUUAAUUUAUUCUCUUAUAUAAUUUUUAAAUAAAGUAAAAAAAAAUAGAAUUGGUUAUUUGAUCUAAGAAAUUUGUUUGACUUGAUGUUAAAUAUACACAUUAGAGUAUAUGAUAUUUUAAUGUUAAUUAUGAAAACCUAAAUAAGUUAUAAGCUAUUAUUUGAUGUUAUUAAAAUAAGAAGUUAUAUUUUAUUAUAUAGUGUGAUCUCUAUUAUCAUUAUCUAUUAUAUUUAUUAAAAAUAUUAAUUAAUUUUUUUAAUAAAUUAGUUAAAUAUCAAUAAAUAUAUUUAAAACUGUAAUAUUGGGCCCGAAAUUUGGUGGUUCAGAUAAAAUCACAAUUGAAAAACCUAAAUCGACCGAAGUCAGCGGCUCUUCAAAAUCCUGUAAGUUGUUCAUUUCUUGGUGCUUCAAGUUGAAUUUCAAGUAAUUUAAUGUUAGGUUUGUUGGUUUUUGUAGGUCUUUUAUUUAUGUGUUUUAAGAGAAAAAUUUGCAAGAAAAUAUCUCAGCUAUGUUAACUUUCUAUGUGUGAUUUGUGGAAAGGUAGAUCUAUGAAUUUUGUUUGGGUCAUAUUUGAAUAUUUUUUAGUAAAGCAAAAGGUAAGCUGUUCUCAGAUUUUGUAUUCUGUAUUAUACACAAGUUCCUUUAGUGGGUAUCCAAUUCUUGGAGAAAUUUUUCGUUUUAAUAUCAACAUUGGAUGAUGCCUGCAAACUGUUUGAUGAUAUGCCUAAACCAAUUUUUCUUCUUCAAUAGUUAAAUACUUAUUUAUUGGAUUGAAUAAGAGGGCCAGUAUAAAUUAUGGGUAUGCUUUAUUUUUUUAAUUAAUUGGAAAUUAUUGAAUUCGUCUUUAUUUGUGUACUGAAUUUUUAAUUUGGACCAAAAAGAACUAUGAGUAUGUUGCAUUUGAAAUUUCAAAAUUUCGAAAUUCAAAUUUAGAAUUUUUGACUGUAAAUUCAGUUCAAUAUGCAUAAAUGUGUGAAAUUAGGUUUUGGAACUGGAAGCAUACAUAUUGGUAAAUUAGGUUUUGGAACUGGAAGCAUACAUAUUGGUCGUUAUCGUAUUGUUGGGAUAAAUUAAGUGAAUUGCAGUUGCAUAUAGUUAAUUUCUUCAUAGAUACAUCCAUCUUAAGUUAUUAGGAUAUAGGCGAAGAGACUUCCAUAUAGAUCUCAAAAAAGGCAUCGAAACACUGUGUUAAUCUGAAGUCUGAACUGUGACUGAUUCAUUAUGUUGCACAAUUUUGUCAGAAAUUUUUGCUUAUUCAAUUUACUUGCCAUGAUCUGCUCUUUGUUUUGUGUUGGUUGUAUUUAUUUCACACAUAAAUUAUUUCUAUCUUUAAAGCAUUGCUAAUUAUGAGGUCAAAUUAGAGGUUGGCUUAAGAAUGCACAGAUCAAUACAAUAGAAACUAGGAACUGCGGUAUGGUGACAGAACUCACCAAAUUUUGAACUUGAAGAUGAAGACUAUUAUUAGUCCAUUAGUUACAUUCAUUCUUCCUAUGUUUACCAUUAUUGAAAAAAGUUUUAGAUUAAUAGUGAGUUUUGACUAUUAAAUGGUGAUGAGGGGAGUAUUACUUUUUCCACGAUUGAUAUGAAUAAACAAUAUAACUAUGAGUUUCUUCACUACUUAGUGUAUCCAAUAUCAAACUUUGUGUACAACUGAGAUGGUGACUAUGAAUGUCAUAUUCAUUAUGUGCUUUUCUAUUUAUUGAUGUCAACAGAUAAAAAAAAGGUUACCAUUUUCAGCUCACAACACUAGAAGCUCCAAUACUCUAUGAAAACUAUUUCUAAAAUCAACUUUAGAAGACGUGAGCUAUAUAAAAAACUUUCACGUGAUAAAAAAGACGCAUUUUUAUCGUGUUGACGAUUAAAAAGGCUUGAAUCAAGAAGCCAGUGUGAAGGGAUAUCAUGCUCCCAAACUGGAGUUGAGUUGCAUCCAUAAACAACAUUAACAAUACGUGAGCUGUCUUUAGUUGCUACGAUAGGUUAGAAACAGGAAAAAUAUUAUGUUCUUUUUGUGUCAUUAAUAUAAAAGCAUUUCUCUUUUCCUUUGAUUAUAGUUAGAUGCGAUUUUAUAAUGCUCAACAUUCUGUAAUUCCAACACUAGUUGAUAUGCCCUCCAGUCAUGCCAUGAAGCCUAUCUUUGGCAAAGUAAAAACUAUUAUUGAGUAUUUCACUGUGUUUGAAGUUGGUAAGUUUCAAUAAUAACCUAUUAUAGUAACGACUUUCCCUUUUUAUUAACAAAAUUGCUUUAUACAUUAGGUUCAACGUCUGCUGCGCCUCAUCAACAACACGAUUCACGCGCAUUGGCUAUUGUAGACAAAGGUUUGUCGUGCUUCAUUUUUGUACUAACUUUUGCUGCUAAUCACUACCAAUCGGUAAUACUAUAUGUUACUGUAGCUAAUAUGUAUAAGUGCUUUCUUUAAACUAUUUGUAUAUCAUUUUCUAAUCGUAAAAAUUAUUCUUAUUUCAACAAUAAUUAAUAUAUCUUCCAAUGAUGAAACGAUGCUUAGCUUUGUUUAGGAAAAAGUUUGUAUCAACCAUUACUCUAUCUUUGAACUUGGUAAAUGUCAAUAAUACAAUACCAUAACUUGCUUUGUCUCUUUCUGUAUUUCAACAUACAUUAAUAAAGUGAUUUGUUUAUUAGUUUCAACAUUGACUCCACUUCAUGAACAACCAGACAUCGAGAUAUUGGCUACCACAAACAUAGGUCCAUCUUCUCUCCAAUCUUUUACCAAUAUUUACUACAUUUACUGUUGAUUGCUUUCUGUUACUAAUGUUAUACGUUACUGCAACAAAUAUGCACAGGUUCUAAACUAACAAGAAUCAAUUGGAACUUUUAACAAUUGCCCAACAAUUCGACUAUUUUAAAAAAAGUUUCAAACUAUAAAUAUUGUGGCGCAAAAAAAAAUUGAGUAUGAAUCACCUGCAUUUUGUUGUGGCAAUGGUACAAUUACGUUGACAUCAUAUAGAAUACCUGCUGAAUUUUUGAAUCUCUAUUUAGGAAAUACUGAAGAAUCUGAGCACUUUCGUACUUACCUUAGAAUGUAUAAUAACAUGUUUGCAUUUAAUUCACUUGGAGUGAAAUAUGAUUAAGCCCUAACAAAAAGGGACCGUGGUAUUUAUACCUUUAGCGUACAGAAACAAAUGUAUCACUUUAUUAAUGAUUUGAUUCCAUCAGCUCAACAAUCAAAAAAUUUAUAGUUAUAUUUUUAUGAUGCUAAUACGGAAAGGCAGAAUAGAAUGACUUCAUCAGAUAUACUCAAAGAACCUAUUGUUGAGAAGUUAAUAGAUAUACUAAAGAUAAAUACUUAUUGUGUUUUCUUGAAAUCUCUAAUACAUAUUCCACAAUUAUCAAACUUUUAUAUUGCAUUAAAUUGUGACUCAAAGUUAGAUCAGUGAGUAUACAAUUAACCGAGCGUAUUAGAAGUGGCAACAUUAUGGCUAGAACAAGAAACAACUAAUAAUAAUUUUACACCACAUAUUCAAAUUUAUACUCAAAGUAACAAGAGUCAAUUAGUAAGUUACUACUAUGGAUACUAUGAUCCUUUGAAAUAUCCUCUUUUGUUUCCUUAUGGACAAAAUGGAUGGCAUUGUGGUAUUGAAAAGAUUGUACAACCAAUGCAUAAAUUAAAAAAGAGGAAGAAAGCUUGCUACAAAAAUGAUCAACUUCCAAGUUUAUCUAACAUGCAUUCAAUUGAUGAACUACUUGAAUAUGGAAGCUCUAAUUCUACAAAAAGAAAAAUGAAGAAGGAAUACUGUUUCGUGUCGAGAAUACUAUUGUUAUAAACUUCAAAUGAGAGAUGAUGAGAAAAAUAUUAUUUUACAUUCUGGGAGACCAUUUCAACAAUACUCUGUUGAUGAAUCAUAAAGCUUGAAACUCAGAGGUUAGAUUUUGCUUCUUUAAAUCAAGAUUUAUUUUGAGUUGAUGUGCUACAAGGAAUUGUUGAUAUCCUAAAACUCGGCGAAAGAGUCUUCUAAAAUAAGUUUCCUUCCAUUACGUUUCACAGGUGGUCCAACAGAUAUGCGUAAGCAUUAUAUGGAUGCUAUUGCAUUAGUGCAAUAUUUUGAAAGACCUGAUAUAUUUCUAACUAUGACGUGUAAUCUCUCUUUGCCUGAAAUAAAAAAACAUAUGCUCUUGACUGAUGAAGCUCAAAAUCAACCUAAUUUAGUUAGUCGUGUAUUCAGAGCUAAAGUUGAAGAAAUGAAAACAAAUAUACUAAAAAGAAACAUAUUUGAAAAGAUUGCAGCUUUUAUGUACACUAUAGAAUUUCAAAAGCGUGGAUUAUUGUAAAUCCCCGAAUCUAGUACCCGGAACACUACACGGUGCCAAUGAUCCCGAAGGACCACAAGCUAACUCAUGACUGAUAUCUUUACCUGAGCACUGCAUGAUAUCCAUAUAUAAAUGCAGAAAUAAAGGCUGAUAGGCCAUAAGGUUCAAUACUGCAACAUAACUGAUAAAAAUACAACAUCUGAAUGGGGUAUGAAAUACCCAAAACAACUGAAAUAAACUGUCUGAACAUGAUAGUCUGAAAAGCCUCUAACUGUCUGAAUAAGGAGCUGAUGGGACAUGUCCCCAACUAACUCCAACCACUGAAAUGGACUAAGUAAUGAAAUAAUAAAGAAAUAAUCAUGUCCUCAAAGGAUGAGGACUCACUGCAAAGUCUAACUGUGGAACUGGACUUCUACUGAUGAUCUGGAGCUCGUGCGUUUGAAUCUAUGCUGUAAAGUAUAACACCAUAGCGUAAAUACGUCAGUACGAUUGAAUAUACUGGUAUGCAAGUGAGGUAGGCUAAUGUAAAGGGUUCAAAUACAUGAACAAUGUUAACUAACUGUAUGACAUGAACGUGAGAAUGCAUGCAUGAAUAAGAGACUAUAACUGAAUUCGUGAUAACAUAAUUACUGAGUCUGAUUACUGAUAACAUGAGAUAUUGAUGACUGAUAUAACUAAUACUAAGCGACUGUAUCUGAUAGUCUAGGUUUAAUUGGAACUAGCUGAGUUUCGUACUGUACUGAGUUGACUGUAUCUGACAGUCCUAAAUUCUGUAGAACUAUCUGAGUUUAAAUACUGAGACUGAGAAUAAAACUGUAACUGUGGGAAGUAUUCAUGUAAACGACAUGCCCUAAAUAAGAAAUAUAGCUAAGUUAGGGUUCAAUUUGUAACCCCAAUUGGAAGGGUGUCAAUACUGCACCACUAGUAAUGACAAACUGUGAGUGACCCUCUAUUGGCAGGUACUCGAGUAAGAAUGGUGGGAACCCUCGACUGGUAGGUUAAGCCACCUCAUCAACCCUCAACUGGCAGGUUAGAUGUCUCAACCUACGCUGGCUACGUAGUUCUAUAACACAAGGAUUUCUUCUAAGAAUCACGCCCUCUACUGGCAGGGGAGUUCCCAUCCUGGGGUUCGCUCGGUGCUAAAUCCUACUCCCAUCUGAAUAGACACUGAACAUGAUUAAACUGGACUAAACUGUACUGAGUUCGUGGAGUUUUGUUGACUGAAAAAAUACUAUUGAUAUUACUGAAUUACUGGGCUUUCUGAAUUUCUGAGAUUUAUGAGUUUUUCCUGAGUCAUAUGACUGACUGAGUUUUAUGGAUCAUGGCUUGACUGAGAGUAACUUGAAAACAUGACACUGGAUCUAGGUACAAAGAUAUAUUUUUGGGGUACAAGUACCCCCAGGGCUCGAUAGAAGUAAACUACAAGGCAUAACACUCUUGAAUACAUUAUCAACUUCGAUAAUACAUAAUACGAUAAGUUGGGGAUUUCAUGAAGUACAUGGUUAUCAUGAUUUUGUGCAUGGAUAGGAACAUAUCCAAUCAAGUCAUAUUUUCAUACUCUAAUAUCAUAGAUAUUUCAACUACCAUCAACAAUGCACAAUAGUAUCAUGGAAAUCAUUUGAAUAUACGAGUAAAACAUGUUUUUAAUCAUUGGGUCACAAUUGAGCCUCAAGGCCUAACUUUUAUCCUUUCUGACAUUUUAUCAAACACCUUACAUGCAAAACUUAGCGCAUAGGUGAAUUCAUCAAAUUCACAUCAUAAUCAACUCAAAUCAUGGAUUUCAACUUACGUACUAACAUAAUUACAUGAAAAAUACAUAAAUAUUCGAACUUGGAAAUUAUACAACAAGAUAAACAUGAUUACAAACAACCCACAACAUAAACAUCUUGGCUUUAUAUUUGAAGUAUGGUUCUUGAGCUCUAUGGAUGAAAGGAAUCCAUAAAUCAACACUACACAUACCUUAGAUGGAAAAUUCUUGAAGGUUGAUGGUGGAAUUUCCUUGAAAUUGAAUCCCCAAUUGAUAACCCUAAUGUGUUCUUGAGAGUUUUUGAGAGAAAAGAGUAUAUUUUGGCUUUAAAAUGGCCAAAUCCUGUGUUUAUGAGCUUAUAUAGGGUGGGAAAAAUGACAAUUUUACCCUUAAAUAUGCUGCGCUGGAAGCUGGAAGAUUCGGCAGCGUGCAAUGGAGUGUGCGUUGCAUUCUCUAGUCCUCUGGACUGGAGUGUGCAUCGCAUGCUAUAUCACAUGCUAGGACCUGUGAAAUAGAGCGUGUGUCGUACGCAUAUCGCAUGAUGCUACUGUUUCAAAAUCUAAACAUGCCCUAAACGGAUUCCAAAAAUUUCAAAACUCAUCCCAUAAGUACUAUUGACUUGCCCCAUCAUGACCCAACUUGAAAAUAAAAAACGAAGGUUGGGAAGGUCAUGAAAUAAAUCCCCGAAGUUUGAAGUCUCAAAAUGAGACUAAGUGUUGAACACUUAGCUAAAAUAUUCUAAGUGUUGGGGUUUUUAAAGAGCUUAACAAGCUGAAUUUAUACUUAGACUUUUACGAGGUCUUAUAAUAUCUCCCCUUUGGGAACAUUCGUCCUCGAAUGAGACUGACUAAAAAAGGAGAAAGACAGCUAACGUACAUACUGCACAGGAACAUUGGAACAUGAUUUCAUGACUGACAUGAUUGUUAAGCUGAAUAUAUCAUACUGUACAUACAUAUCUGAUGCAUGAGUAACUAAUUCAGAAUGCAUGACUGAGAUUUCUGAUAACUGAGUUCUCACAAUGAGAAUGCAUGUCUGAUGCAUGAUUAUACGACUGAAUUGAUACAUGAAUCAUGACUGAAUAUGCAACGGUAUUUAGUACCAAGUUUGUAAUGAAAUUCGGACAUGAUAUUGAAUAAGCUUAAGGAGAGCUAUUAUAUUGGGCGGAGUCUGAGUUAGCGAAGAAGAGGUGAGGGUACUUAGUUCGCAUGUCUGCUUCUGCUUCCCAAGUAGCUCCCUCAAUGGACUGAUUCCUCCAAAGAACUUUGACUAGAGGGACUUCCUUGUUUCUCAGUCUACGAGUCUGAUAGUCUAGGAUUUCAAUUGGAAUCUCUUCAUAAGAGAGUCUGUUCUGAAAAUCUAUGCUCUGAAUAGGGACUACAACUGAUGGGUCACCUAUGCACUUCUUGAUCAAAGAUACAUGGAGGACUGGAUAAAUUGAGGGUAGAUCUGAAGGCAACUCAAGCUCAUAAGAUACCUUGCCAAAGCGACUGAGAAUCUUGAAGGGACAGAUAUAUUGGGGACUGAGAUUUUCCUUCUUGACAAAUCUCUUCACUCCCUUCAUGGGAGAGAUUUUUAGAUAAACAUGAUCACCAAUCUCAAACUCGAGAUCCUUUCUACACACAUCUACAUAAGACUUUUGUCAGCUCUGAGCGGCCUGGAGUCUUUCUCAGAUCAAAUGGACUUUCUCUAACGCAUCGAAUACUAAGUCAGGACCUAUGAUUGAGGCCUCACUAACUUCAAACCAACCAACUAGAGAUCUGUACCUUCUACGAUAAAGAGCUUUGAAUUUGGCCAUCUGAGCACUGGAAUGAUAGUUGUUAUAUGUAAACUCAAUCAAAGGCAAGUGGUCAUCCCAACUACCCUUGAAAUCAAUUGCACAUGCUCUUACAUAUCUUCUAAAGUUUGAAUGCUUCUUUUUGCUUGACCAUCUAUUUGAGGAUAAAAGGCUGUACUGAGAUAAACUUGGGUACCAAGACCCUUUUGGCAUGCUUUCAAGAAAUGAGAGGUGAACUAGGUACCUCUGUCUAAGAUAAUAGAUAACGAAACACUGUGCAAUCUGACCAACUCCCUGAUAUAGAGUUUGGCGUAAUCCUCGGCUGAAUAAGAAGUAUGGACUGGAAAAAAAUGAGCUGAUUUGGUCAUCCUAUCAAUAAUGACCCAAACUGAAUCAUACUGAUGAUGAGUACGAGGCAAAUCCAUCACGAAGUCCAUGUUCACUGCUUCCCUUUUUCCAGGUGGGAAUGAUGAACUCCUGCAUGGAACGACUAGGAUUCCGAUGCUCUAUCUUAACUUGCUUCCAUGUAGAGAACUUAACCACAAACUCUGCAAUAUCCCUCUUCAUCCCACUCCACCAAUAGAUCUCCCGCAAGUCACGGUACAUCUUAGUGGCCCCUGGAUGAAUAGAGUAGCGCACCCCAUGCGCUUCUGUAAGAAUUCGCUGCCUUAAGUCAUCUACACCUGGGACACAGAGACGACCCUGACAACGCAAAAUACCAUCUCCCUCUUAGGAGAAAACCUCAACUUUAUGAUCUCUGGCUGACCCUUUUAACUUGACUAGGCUGGGAUCUCUAUCCUGCUUUUCUUUCACCUCGAAAGCUAGAGAUGAUUUUCAACUACUUUGAACCCAUACAUCACCCCCUUUCGUAUCGACUAGACGAAUACGUAAUCUGGUAAGCUAAUGAAAUUCUUGAGCUAAAUUCUUCUUACUAUCCUCAACAUGAGCAACACUACCCAUAGGCAGUCUACUGAGAGCAUCGUCCACUACGUUGGCCUUGCCCAGAUGAUAAAGAACACUCAUGUCGUAAUUUUUCAAGAGCUCUAACCACCUUCUCUGACGAAGAUUGAGAUCUUUAUGGGAGAAUACGUAUUGAAGGAUUUUAUGAUCUAUGAAGACAUAUACAUGAACUCUAUAUAGAUAAUGCCUCCAAAUCUUCAAGGCAAAUACAACGGCUGCUAAUUCAAGAUUAUGAGUAAGGUAAUUCUUCUCAUAAGAUUUAAGCUGUCUGAAGGCGUAGGUUAUGAUAUUAUCAUGUUGGAUGAGGACACAACCCAAACCUACUCUGGAUGCAUCAUAAUACACUACGAACCCAUCUGAACAAUCUGGAAGAGCUAGAGCUGAAGCUGAGGUGAGUCGAAUCUUCAACUCUUGAAAACUUUUUUCCAAGAUUCUGACCACUAAAACUUGACUUUCUUCUGAGUCAAUAUGGACAUAGGGAAUACAAUAGAAUAAAAUCCCUCAAAAAACCAUCUGUUAUAGCCAUCCAGACCCAAGAAACUCCUGAUAUCUAAUGGAGAAAUAGGGUGAGGCCAGUUUCUUACUACUUUAGUCUUUUAGGGAUCUACUCUAAGCCAUCAUCAGAAAUGAUAUGACCAAGAAAUGCUACUAACCUUAGCCUAAAUUUGAACUUACUGAAUUUGGUGAACAACUGAUGAUUUCUAAGAGUCUAAAGUACGAUUUUGAGAUGGUCUGCAUGAUCUUGCUCACUGCGGGAAUAGACUAGGAUGCCAUCUAUGAAGACUAUGAUGAACAUAUCCAAGUACUGCUCGAACAUAUUUCAUCAAGUCCAUGAAGGCUUCUGCGGCAUUGGUAAUACAAAAGUACAUAACUAAGAAUUUUAAUUGACCAUACUGAGUACGAAAAGCUAUUUUUGGAAUAUCACUUUCUCUGACUCUGAGAUGAUGGUAUCCUGAUCUGAAGUCAAUAUUAGAGAAGUAACUCGCAUCCUAAAGUUGGUCAAAUAAAUCAUCGAUUCUGGGAAGUGGAUACCUGUUCUUGAUGGUGACUUUAUUAAGCUGAUGGUAAUCAAUGCACAUUCUGUUAGAACCAUCUUUCUUUCACACAAAUAAGACUGGUGUGCUCAAUGGGGAAAUACUGGGUCUGAUGAAUCCCUUAUCUAGGAUAUCCCUUAGAUUUUCUUUCAAUUCUCUAAGCUCUACUGGUACUAUUCUGUAUGGCAGAAUAGAUAUGGGCUGAGUAUCUGGAAGAAGAUCAAUGCCGAAGUCUAUUUCCCUUUUAGGAGGAAUUUCUAAAAGAUCUUCGAGAAAGAUAUCUAAAUAUUUAUUCACGACUGUGACUGAUUCAAAGUAGAGUUUUGGCACUAGAGUCCUUAACACGAAUAAGAUGAUAGAAACAUCUCGUAGAGAUUAUUUUUCGUGCCUAAAAGUAGAAAACAAGCUGAGCUCUGAAAGCUGAAGUACUACCCCUCCACUCUAAGACAGGUUCAUUUGGAAACUGAAACUGGACAAUUUUGUUUCUACAGUCGAAUGUGUCAUAGCAGGAAAAAAAAAAAAUCCAUGUCGAGAAUGACAUCAAAAUUAGUCAUCUUUAAUUCGACUAAGUCUGCUGAAGUGACUUUCUGAAAUAUCAUAAUCGAAAAGUUCCUGUAUACCCACCAGGCUAUGAUGGUUUUACCCACUGGGGUAAAGACUGAGAAGGUCUCUGCUAAAAUUUUAGGACUAACUCCAAAAUCAACUGCUAUAUAAGGAGUAACAAAAGACAAGGAAGCUCCUGGAUCUAGUAAAGCGUAAACAUACAAGUGAAAGAUUUGUAACAUACUAGUAACCAUAUUAGGCGAAUUUUUCUGAUCUUGCCGGGACUAAAGAGCAUAAAGGUGAUUUGGGCGUUGCCACUGGUAGCAUUGGAGGUGGCACCUUGCUGAUUUGGGUGACUGAACUGAGCUGAGGAAUGGGUAUGCUGAUCCUGAGGGCCUAUCUGAGGACAAUCUCUGACUUUGUGGCAUGGAUUGCCACAUCCAAAACAAUAUCAUUGUCAGCUCUGCAAAUACCCUGAUGGUGCUUGCCACAAGUUGGGCAAAGGAGAUUAGUUCAGGCACUGCUAAUACUACCUUGAGACUUAGAGCCUUCUGCCCUAUCUCUAUUGUCGUCUCUGAAUUUUGGCACUAGAGCACUAGAUAAUGAAGGAGCUGGAACUAAUAACUUAGGUUGAAACUGAGAACAAUUCCCUUCUUUAGACUUAGGCUGAGCAAAGUUGAAACUACCUGACCUUGCUCUCUUAUUCUACUUCUCUCUCAUCUUAAUCUUCUACUCUUCUAUCUAUUGGGCAUGGAUCAUAAAUCUAGCUAUAUUCAUGUCACUAUUCAGCAUCAUAGACUUGGACUCAUUUACCACGCUAUCAUUCACCCUAGAAACAAACUUACUCAUCUUGGUCUUAUUAUCUGCAACUACAUAAGGAUCAUAUCAUGCUAAUUGAGUAAAAUUAAGAGAAUACUCUUUCACCAUCAUGUUGCCCUGCCUGAGGUUGAUAAAUUCCAACACCUUAGCUUUCCUCAACUCUAGGGGAAAGAAUCUAUUAAUAAAAGCAGAGGCAAACUCCUCCCAUUCUACGAACCCUGCAUCAACUGCCCUUUAUGAAUUCCACUACUUAAACCAAGUAUGAGACACAUCCUACAACUGAUAUGCAAUUAGCUCAGCACUCUCACUAGCAGUAACCCCUAUGAUGUCUGUAACCUUAUGCACCUGAUCAAGGAAUUCCUGAGGUUCCUUAUCUGUCUUAGACUUGAAAAAUGAUGGAGGAUUCAUUUGGGUGAAGUCUCGAAUCUUGGCUGCAGCUGAAUUGGCCACUGAGUUGGCUGAAAUGACUACUGGUCAUUUAUUUUGAGUAGAGAUUGACUGAGCAAGAGUAGUAAAUGCAGCAUUGAACUCUGCAUGAGAAACAUAUUCGUCCAAGGGAUUUGCUUGGAUAGACUGAUUUCUUCUCUUGGGAGACAUGUUCUGUAUAGAAGAGGAGAAAUAGAUUAGAUUGAGAGUUGAACUUGAGAUUAUGCUCACAAGCACGACAUGGAUUAGAGUGAGAGUUAAACUUGAGAUUAUGCUCACAGGCACGACAUGAAUACUUAAAGAAGGGAAACUAUUCCUAAAACAUCUUAUAGCCUCCUGCACAUAAAUGUGGCACACAACACACCCAUGUACAAGACUCUACUAGAUACAGCUUUCAGACUUCCUAGGAUAUUAUUGAACCUUAGGCUCUAAUACCAAGUUUGUAACGCCCCGAAUCUAGUACCCGGAAUGCUAUACAGUGCCCAUGAUACUGAAGGACCACAAGCUAACCCAUAACUGAUAUCUAUACCUAAGCACUGAAUGAUAUUUGUAUAAAAAUGUAAAAAUAAUGGCUGAUAGGCCAUAAGGUUCAAUACUACAACAUAACUAAUAAAAACACAAUAUCUGGAUGGGGUAUAAAAUACCCAAAACAACUUAAACAAACUGUCUGAACAUGAUAGUCUGAAUAGCCUCUAACUGUCUGAACAAGGAGAUGAUGAGACAUGUCCCCAACUAAAUCCAACUACUGAAAUGGGCUAAGUAAUGAAAUAAUAAAGAAAUUAUCAUGUCCUCAAAAUAUUAGGACUUACUACAAAGUCUAACUGCAGAAACUGGACUGCUACUGAUGAUUUGAAACUCGUGCAUCUGAACCUAUGGUGUAAAGUAAAACACCAUAGCACAAAUGCAUCAGUACAAUUGAAUGUACUGGUAUGCAAGUGAGGUAGGUAAAUGCAACGGUUUCAAAUGCAUGAACAAUGCUAACUAACUGUAUGACAUGAACAUGAGAAUACAUGGAUGAAUUAAUUAACUAACUAUAUCUGACAAUCUAGGUUUUAAUAGAACUAGCUGAGUUUCAUACUGUAUUGAGUUAACUCUAUCUGACAGUCCUAAAUUUUAUAAAACUAUCUGAGUUCAAAUACUGAGACUGAGACUAAAAUUGUAACUGUGGGAAGUAGUCAUGUAAUCAACAUGCCCCAAAUAAGCAAUAUAGGUAAGUUAGGGUCCAAUCUAUAACCCCAAUUAGAAGGGUGUCAAUACCACGCCACUGGUAAAGACAAGCUGUGAGUGAGAAUGGUGGGAACCCUCAACUGGCAGGUUAAGCCACCUCAUCAACCCUCAACUGGUAGGUUAGAUGACUCAACCUAUGCUGGCUAUGUAUAUCUGGAAUACAAGGAUUUCUUCUAAGAAUCACAUCCUCUACUGGUAGGUGAGUUCCCAUCCUUGGGUUCGCCUAGUGUGAAAUCCUACUCCCAUCUGAAUAGACACUGAACAUGAUUAAACUAGACUGAGUUCAUAGAGUUUUAUUAACUGACAAAAUACUAUUGAUAUUACUGAAUCACUGGGCUUUCUGAAUUUCUGAGAUUUAUGAGUUUUUCCUGAGUCACAUGACUGACUGAGUUCUAUGGAUCAUAGCUUGACUGAGAGUAACUUAAAAACAUGACACUGGCUCUAGGCACACAACUAUAUUUUUUGGUUACAAGUACCGCCAGGACUCGAUAGAAGGAAACUGACAAGGCAUGACACUUUUGAAUACAUGAUCAACAUCGAAAAUACAUAAUACGAUAAGUUAAGUAUUUCAUGAAGUACAUGGUUAUCAUGAUUUUGUGCAUGGAUAGGAGCAUAUCCAAUCAAGUCAUAUUUUCAUACUCUAAUAUCAUCGGCAUUUCAACAACCAUCAACAAUGCAUAAUAGUAUCAUGGAAAUCAUUUGAACAUAAGAGUAAAACAUGCUUUUGAUCAUUGGGUCACAAUUGAACCUCAAGGCCUAACUUCUAUCCUUUUUGACAUUUUAUCAAACACCUUACAUGCACAACUUAGGGCAUAGGUGAAUUCAUCAAAUUCAUAUCAUAAUCAACUCAAAUCAUGGAUUUUAACUUGCAUACUAACAUAAUUACAUGAAAAAUACAUAAAGAUUCCAACCUGGGAAUCAUAAAACAAGAUAAAUAUGAUUACAAACAACCCACAACAUAAACAUCUUGGUUUUAAAUUUGAAAUACAGUUCUUGAGUUCUAUGGAUGAAAGGGAUCCAUAAAUCAACACGACGCAUACCUUAGAUGUAAAAUUCUUGAAGGUUGACAGUGAAAUUUCCUUGAACUUGAAUCUCCAAUUGAAAACCCUAAUGUGUUAUUGAGAGUUUUUGAGAGAAAAGAGUAUAUUUUGGCUUCAAAAUAGCCAAAUCCCGUGUUUAUGGGCUUAUAUAGGGUGGGUAAAAGGACAAAUUUUCCCUCAAAUAUGCUGAGUUGGAAGUUGGAAAAUUUGGUAGCAUGCGAUAGAGAGUGCGUCAUAUGCUCUAGUCCUCCGGACUGAAGCGUGCGUCGCAUGCUAGGACCUGUGAAAGAGAGCGUGUGUCGCAUGCAUAUUGCAUGAUGCUACUGUUUCAAAAUCCAAACAUGUCCUAAACGGAUUGCAAAAAUUUUGAAACUUACCAUAAGUGCUAUUAACUUGCCCCAUCAUGUCACAACUUGAAAAUUGAAAAACGGAGGUCGGGAAGGUCAUGAAAUAAAUCUCCAAAGUUUAAAGGCUCAAAAUGAGACUAAAUGUUGAACACUUAGCUAAAAUAUUCUAAGUUAUGGGGAUUUUAAAGAGCUUAAUGAGCUGAAUCUAUACUUAGACUUUUACGGGGUCUUACAAUUACCUCAUGCUCAUUUUCUUGUUAUACUCAAUGAUGACUAUAAAUUAUUGACUCCUGGGACUUAUGAAAAAUUUGUUUUUGCCGAAAUACCAGAUCCUAAAGUCAAUCCUUACUUAUAUAAACUUGUCAUUAAACAUAUGAUGCGUGGACCUUGUGGUCACUUGAAUCCUACAAAUUUAUGUAUGAAAAAAUAGGAGUGUGUAAAUUUAAGUACCCCAAGAGCUUUGCUGACUAUACAACAAAAGGCCAAAUUGUUUAUCCAAUUUAUAAAAGAAGAAACACUGGUAAGUUUGUGAAAGUUAGAGAGCAUUUGCUAGAUAACUCAUGGGUUGUCUCUUACAAUUCCUAUCUACUAUGCAAAUAUAAUUUUCAUAUAAAUGUUGAAGAUUGUUUUGAUAUUAAACUUUUCAAAUAUAUGUAUAUAAAUUUAUCUGCAAAGGACAUGAUAGAAUUUCAUUUCACUUACAUGAAGAGAACGCAAAUAUAGAAAUAGAUGAGAUUAAAUAAUAUCAAUCAGCUAGAUAGGUAUCUCCACCAGAAGCUAUGUGACAUUUGUUCACAUUUUCUAUCAGUGAAAUAACUCUAAGUAUUUAUCAGUUGCAACUACAACUUGAAGGACAACAAUUUGUUUCAUUUAAAAAAUUGAUAGUAUAGAUAGCAUCUUAAAAAAUUCUAUGCUUAAGAAGACUACGUUAACCGUGUUUUUCUUAAUGAAUCAAAUAAACAAACAUACUAAAGAGCUUAACUUAUUGUAUAAAGAUUUUUCCCAAUACUUUGUGUGGUCAUCUAGCUAUAAAAUGUGGACUCGGCGAAUAUGUGAUAAUAUUAUCAGUCGUGUUGUAACCUGUCAUCAGACAGAAGGAGAAAGAUAUUAUCUUCGAUUAUUGCUAAUGAAUGUAAAAGAACCAAAAUCAUAUAAUGAUCUUCUUAAAGUAAAUAAAAUAUAUUGCAAAACUUUUAGAGAAUCUGCUGAAAAAAGAGGACUAUUACAUUGUGAUAACAACUUAGUUGAAUGUAUGUUAGAAUCUGCAUGUUAUCAAAUGCCUUAUAGUUUCAGACGUUUAUUUGCUACUAUAUUAGUAUAUUGUAACCAUGAUAAUCCAAAAGAAUUAUGGGAACUGUUUAAAGAUUUAAUGUCUAAAGACUUUAAGAAUGUAGGGAACAUCAUAACAUACGUUAUUCACCUAACAAUUUUGACCCAUAUCAAUGAUAUAUUACAUUCUAUGGGACGUGAUAUCAAUAAAUUCAAUCUUGUUCCAGAAACUAUCACCUCUUCGAAAAUCAUAAAUUAAACAAAAGACGUAUAUUUCGAAAGAAAUAUUGUUGUGAGCGCUGAAGAAUUAUUAUUACAUAAAAAGCUAAAUAUAGAACAAAAAAACAUAUAAUACAAACCUUCAAAGAAUAUUUAGCGAUAAACCAGGGGCAUUCUUUACAGAUGGUCCUGGUAGAAGUGGUAAAACAUUCUUAUACUGUGCUUUAUUAGCAACUAUUAGAUCCAAAGGAUUCAUAGCAUUAGCAACAACAACUUUUGGUGUUGCUGCUUCUCUGCUUCUAGGAGGAUGAACGGCCUAUUCAUAUUUUAAAUUUUCAAUUAAUAUUGAUGAAAAAUUCAUUUGUGAUAUCAGCAAACAGAAUUCAUCAGCAUCUUUAAUCCGUGAUGCUAAACUAAUUGUAUGAGAUGAAAUAUCAAUGGAAAAAAAAACAUGAUUGAAGAAUUUGAUUUUCUUUUGAAAGAUAUAAUGGAUUCAAAUGCAUUAUUUGGUGGAAAAGUAACUGUGUUUGGAGGAGAUUUUUGACUAACCCUCCCUGUGGUUCAAUGUGGAAAAAAGGAGACUUCAUUCCAGAAAGUAUAUUAAACUAAAAAAUAUGGAAUCAUCUUAAAAAACUACAUCUAUUAGAAAAUAUGCCCGAAAAAACUGAUCCCUCUUUCUGUGAGUAUCUAAUGUGAAUCGGAAAUGGAAAAGAAAAAACAAAUAUCGAUGAUAAAAUAAAUAUCCCAAGAUGCUUCAAUGUUCCUUACACUACUGAAAAAGAAUCACUAGAUAUUUUAUUCAAAAAAGUAUACCCCAAUUUUCACAGCUCUUUUCAUGAUUCGGCUUUUUUGACUUCUCGUAUUAUUUUAACAACAAAAAAUGACUUUGUUAAUGAAUUAAAAUAUAGACUUAUAAAUCAAUUUCCUCAAGAUGCCAAGACAUUUGUUUCUCUUGAUGAAACUAUUGAACCAAGUGAUCAAAGUCAGUUUGAAGAUUUUUUACAUUCAUUAAAUCCUCCUAGUUUGCCUCCCUAUAAAUUAACGUGAAAGAAAAUUGAUCUAUUAUUUUACUCAAAAAUUUAAAUUCUUGUGAAGGUUUAUACAAUGGUACACGAUUAAUAUGUUGUGAUUUUAAGAAUCGUGUCAUAAGUGCAAAAAUUGUCAGUGGCAAUUUUAAAAAUACACAUGUAUUUAUUUCUAGAAUACCAUUAUUAUCUUCAGAUGAUGAAAAGUUACCCAUUUCAUUUGAAAGAACACAAUUUCCAAUAGACCUAUGUUUUUCUAUGAUAAUAAAUAAAGCUCGAGGACAAACAUUAGAUUAUGUUGGAAUGUAUUUGUGUGAGCCUAUAUUCUCUCAUGGUCAAUUGUAUGUGAAUUUAUUGAGAGUAAAGAAUUCAAACUGUAUAAAAUUAUUAAUACGAUCACCUACGACUGAUAGCAAUGAUAACCAAUCUACAUAUAAUAUAGUGCACGAUGAAAUCAUUCAAAAAGCCUUUCUGUAACAUAAUACCAUUUUCUAUGUUCAGCUAUAUCAUCUAAAUCAGUCUAUAGUAAAUUAAUUGCCCACAAUUAUUACUAUGAUUGCAUUAUCUUAUUUUCGUUCCUCUGUUCAAUUCUCUUCACUACAUAAUGACUGCUUUUGUGAUUUUUGAAUUUUGUACUCUAAUAGUUUCUUGAACUUUUAUUGUAGCUUACAAAAUAUCUUACUAAAGUUCUGGUAAUAAGUAAAACCAAAACUUAAGACUAUUGCAAAAUGUUUCUUCUUGCUAAUAAAAGGUUAUAUCGAUUUUACCUGAAGCUUACUAAUAGAUUAAAGUGUUAUGAGAAUUCUGACGUUGAAAAUUAAUGUUGAUUUCAUUUGUUAACAUUCAAGAUUAGAAAGAAAAAAUGCCACGGUACUAUUGUUGUUGCACAAUUAUUGAUUUCUUUAGGAUGCCAAGUCUUCUAGGUUUCAUGUUUUCAGUAAUACUAUAAUAUUGUUCCUGAUCAAUUUUUUGAAUAAUAGAAUAAAUCAGAAUUCAGAAGUUGUGAAGCUUACAGUAGCACAAUUAUAGUAUAGAUCAGGAUUUGAAUUUAUUUUUCAUCCCUCUCCUGAUAAGGAUCCCACAAUUAGAAUAGGUUUCAAGUUUCUAAAUAAAAAAUAGAGCAUGAUAGGCUUAGAAGGCUCAACAUAUAGCUGUAAAUCUGAAGUUCAUGAGCAAGAUCAUAAUAAUUAAGGUGCAGACUUCAAGAGAGAUGUGUUUAAGAUAAGCUUUAUAGAGGUCCAAUUGGAAAAUGCAUACUUAUAACAUUCUGGUACACUUUUAAUGAUUGUAGAAGUUUACUGUGAUCCUAUGCUCCAGUCUUCAGUGGCUUCAGAAAAGUCUACCUCUUCCAUGGAAGCAAUGUUUUGUUGCUCAAUUGCACUAGCUCACACUUUCAUCCUUCAAUAUGGUAUUUCUUAACUUACAAAGCUAAUAAAUGGAUCCUUGAAACUUCACUUAUUAAUAGAAAAAAUAAAGAAGCUAAGAAAGUAAUUUUUGUAAGUUUUACUCUUUUUGGAGUCCAUAAUUUAAUCAAUAGCUUCUGUUUAGCACGACCAAUAUGGAGAACUUUGAUGCUUAUAUGCGCUGUUUGAUUCUUUAUGUGAGCUUUGAUUCUUAUAUGCGAUGCUUGAUUCUUUAUGAACAUAAAAUAAUGACCAAAAACUUUAGACAAGAUUACAUGCUGGGUGGAGAAAGAUUUGGAAGUGUUUAUGAUGGACAUAUUACUCAAGAUUUAAGGGAAGAAUUCCAACUACCACAGUUGUUAAAAUUCAUAAUGGAGAUAAUAGUUAUGAGGGUCAUAAGGAAUGGCUGGUAAUUAGCCUCAUGAAAAAUUGUCCGUAAGGUUUUCAACUUUUCUGUCUUGUAGGCUGAAGUGAUAUUUCUGGGCCAGCUUUCAAACCCAAAUUUGGUAAAAUUGAUAAGUUACUACUGUGAAGCUGAUCAUCAUGUUCUUAAAUAUGAGUAUAUGGCUCGGGGAAAUAUUGAGAACAAUUUGAUCUCGAGUAAGUGUACUCAGUUCUUUCUAUGUGAUUCUUUAGAUAUUCAUUUUAGUGAUCCAUAGUUAUGGUAAUGGAAGAAUUCUAGAAGACAGUUUCUGUAGACAUACGAGGACAUAACGGAGAGGUUUUUUAAGAGCGUCUUGUGUAAUAUUAGUAAACUAACUUCAACUUUCCAAUGUUUCUCCAUUAAAGAGGUUGGUUCUACUUUUUAUUUUUCUGUAAUACCGUGCCUUUUUCUUAGCUUGAAAUUAUUUGAAGGAUGUUAUAACUUGAUUUGAAAUACAAAUCCUUUAAUUUUUCACAUGUGAUAUUUUUAAGAUUUUCCCUUUCUAUCACGUGAAAAAUUAAAUAAGCUUUCCAUUGAUACCAAUUUCAUCAAAAUCUGGUGUCAGAUGAGGAAGUUAUGGCCAAAAUAUAGAAAGAAGAAAAACCACCCAGGUGCGACGGUGCAGGCGACGGACCAUCGUACAAGAAAUGGACUGUCAACCAUGAUCGUCGCAUUGAGUCAGUGAUAUAACUUUCUGGAAAUAUACAACGGCAAGGUCUGACGGACCGUUGACCCAGAGAUGGACCGUCGUACCCCACCAUCGCUCAUUGGCAGUAAGUCACAAUUCUGUCUCAAUCCGAUGGAGAGGUCCAAUUAAUCAUCGACCCAGCGACGGAUCAUCGCACCCCACUGUCGGAUGACCCGCUUAGUUAUUUUAAGUCACUUUAACAGGGAUAUUUUGAUCAUUUACCACCCGCCUAUAUAUACCCAGUUAUAUCCUGUUUCAGCCAUAUUGUUCAUUAUUAUUUCACGACAACAAAUUAGGGUUUCUCUCAAGGAUCAAUCCCCAAGAACAAGAAAACCUGGGUGCUUAAUUCCAAGCCAAUAAUUCAAGUUUUUCUCCAGAGAACUUUAAGAAAUCACAACCCAGGUAUGCAUAGUGUUCAUUCAUGGACUUCUUUCAUCCAUGAAGCCCAAGAAUCCCUUUUCUAAAUUUAAGAUUAUGGUUUUCUUUAUGAAUUUCAUGAUUGGGCUGCUCUUGUUCAUGUUGAUAAAUGAGAAAUUGAAUUCUGCUCCAUGUUGGGUGAUAAUUUCUAUGAGGGUUUAAUUAUUAUAGGUAUAGAUUCAUGCUACCCUAUGACUAAACCCUUGAAUGAUGAAAUUAUAAUUGAAUCAUGAUGUUUAAUUGUUGAACAAUGAUUUUUACAUGCACUAUGCCUACAAUAUGUUUGAUUAAAUUCCUAGAUGAAGGAAAAGUGCCUAGUUUGAAUUAUACCAUGAAAUCCCCAUGUAUGUAUAAGUUUAUGCCUAUCACAUGUUUGAUGAAAUGCUUUAGUAAAUGUAUUAUGGAUUAUGAUGUUAGUCACGUGUUCAAGUAAGUCAUGCUUUGUCAGUUUCCUUCCAUCGAGUCCUGACGGUACUAGUACCCAAAAUAUUAGUUGUGUGCCUAGAGCCAUAUCAUGUUUUCAUGAUACAGAUACUCUCAAUCGAGCUAUGAAUCCUUAGACUUCAGAUAGUCUUAUGACUCAAGAAAUCUCCAUGAUCUCAUGAACUCAGUUAGUUGUCAGAAAUUAGUAGUAUUCCGUCAGUCAAUGGAAUUCAGUAAUUCAGUCCAUGUUCAGUUCAGUAAGUCAUGUUUAGUGUCCAUUAAUAUGGGAGAAGGAAUUAGUACCGAGUGAACCCAAGGAUGGUAACUCACCUGUUGUAUGAGGGUGUGAUUCUUAGGAGUAAUCCUUGCAUUACAGAACUACAUAGCCAGCAUAGGUUGAGGCAUCAUAGCCUGCUAUAUAAGGGAAGAUGAGGUGGCUUAACCUGUUAUAUGAGGGUUCCCACCAUUCUCACUAGAGUUACCUAUUAUAUGAGGGUUACUCACAUGUUUUCCUUAUCAGUGGAGCGGUAUUGACACCCUUCAAAUUAGGGCACAGAUUUGACCUCAUCUUAGCUAUUUAGCAUAUUAUGGGUAUGUCGGUUAGAUGACUACUUCCCAUAGUUUCAUGUUAUAAAAUCAGGACUAUCAGAUACAGUCAAUCAGUCUUAGUAAAAUAACUCAUAUAGUUAUUCAAAUUUUAGGACUGUCAGAUACAAUUAACUCAGAUACAGUACGAAACUCAGCUAGUUCCAUCAAAUUCAAGACUAAUCAAAUAUAGUCAUUCAUGUUAUCAGUCGUAUAAGUUAUCAAUAUGUCAUGUCAUCAGUAUUCAGAUUCAGUAAUCAUGUAUUCAUGGUAUCAGUGUUAGUUAUUAUGUCUUAUACAUGUAUUCUCACGCUCAUGAUAGUUGGUCAAUUAUUACUAUUUUUCAUUCAUAGGAACCCCGUGCAUUUAGCCUACCUCACAUGCAUACCAGUACAUUGUGUCAUACUGAUGCAUUCGCGCUAUGGUGUCUUAUACCAUAAGUUCAAAGACACGAUCCCCCGAGCAGUAGUAGAUUUCAGUACCAGCAGUUAGAGCUAGAAGUAAGUCCUUAUCUUUCAAGGACAUUAUUAUUAUUUUUUUUAUUAUCUCAUUAAUUAGUUUAUUAGUUAGAGUUAGUUGGGGACAUGUCCCAUCAACUCCUCACUCAGACAGUUUCAGUCAGUAGAGGCUUUCUAGACUAUUAUAUUUCUGACUUCAGUAUUUUCAGUUUUAUUUCGGGUAUUGUAUUACCCCACACAAAUGUUAUAUUAUUUAUGUUAUGUUUUAGAUUGAACCUUAUGGCCUUUCAGUUUAUAUUUUCGCAUUAUUUAGUAAUUUAUGCAGUAUACCAGUACAUAUAUCAGUCAUGGGUUAGAUCGUGGUCCUUCAGGGUCAUGAGCACCGUGUAGCAUUUUGGGUACCGGAUUUGGGACGUUACAAACUUAGUAUCAGAGCCAGGUUCAAUAGAGUCCUAAAAAGUCUGAAAGUCGCAUCUAGUAGAGUCUUGUACGUGGGUAUAUUGCACACCACAUUAUUGUGUAGGAGGCUAUAAGAUGUUUUAGGAAUAGUUUCCCUUCUUUCUCUAUUCAUGUCGUACCAGUGAGCAUAAUCUCAAGUCAAUCUCUCAGUCUAAUCUAUUUCUUCUCCUUAUUUCAGAAUAUGCCUCCCAAGAGAAGAAACCAGGCUGUCCAAGAGGAUCUCUUGGACGAUUAUGUUUCUCAUGUGGAAUGCAGGGCCGCAUUUACUACUCUUACUUAGUCCGUUGCUGCAUAGAAUGAACGACCAACUAUCGUUCUAGCCAAUCCAGUGGCCAAUUUAGCUGCAGUCAGGAUUAGGGACUUCACCCGAAUGAAUCCUCUAACCUUUCUCAUGUUUAAGAUCGAUGAGGACCCUCAAGAAUUCCUAGAUUAGGUACAAAAGGUAACAGAGAUCAUAAGGGUGAAUACUAUUGAGAGUGUUGAGCUAUGCAGGGUCAGUUGAGUAGGAAGAGUUUGCUUCCUUAUUCCUUGACAGAUUCUUUCCCCUAGAGCUUAGAGAAGCUAAGGUUCUAGAAUUCAUCAACCUCAGGUAGGGCAAUAUGACAGUGAAAGAGUUUUCUCUUAAGUUUACUCAAUUAGCCAGAUAUGCCCCUCAUGUGGCUGCAAAUCGUAGGGCAAGGAUGAGUAAGUUCGUGUCAGGGAUGAAUGAUAGCGUGGUUAAUAAGUGCAGAUCCGCCAUAAAGAAUGGCACCAACAGAACUCAAAGAACUGAAAGAACAUUUGAAGAAUCUCUUAGAUAAGGGAUUCAUCAGACCCAGCAUUUCCCCAUGGGGUGCACCAGUCUUAUUUGUGUGCAGGAAAAAUGGUUCUCUCAGAAUGUGCAUUGAUUACCGUCAGCUCAAUAAAGUCACGGUCAAGAACAAGUAUUCUUUUCCCAAAAUCGAUAACUUGUUUGACCAACUUCAGGGUGCUAGCUAUUUUUCCCAAAUAGACCUCAGAUUCGGCUAUCAUCAGCUUAGAGUCAGAGAAUGUGACAUUCUAAAAAUAGCUUUUCGUACUCGGUAUGGUCACUUCGAAUUCUUGGUUAUGUCAUUUGGUCUUACCAAUGCCCAAACCUCUUUCAUGGACUUGAUGAACCGUGUGUUCAAGCAGUACUUGGACAUGCUCGUCAUAGUCUAUAUAGAUGAUAUUAUGGUCUAUUCCCACAGUGAGCAAGAUCAUGCAGACCAUCUCAGAAUUGUACUUCAGACUCUUAGAGAUCAUCAUCUAUUCACCAAAUUCAGUAAGUGCAAAUUUUGACUAAGGUCAGUAGCAUUCCUUGGUCAUAUCGUUUCUAGUGAUGGCAUUAUAGUAGAUCCUCAAAAGACUGAAGCAGUAAGAAACUAGCCUCGCCCUGUCUCUCCCUCAGAUAUCAGGAAUUGUUUGGGUAUGGCUUUCUAUUAUAGAUGGGUUUUUAAAGUAUUUUCUUCUAUUGCAUCCCCUAUGUCCAGAUUUAGUCAGAAGAAAGUCAAGGUUCAGUGGUCAGAUCCUUAUGAGAAUAGUUUUCAGGUUGAAGACUCAACUCACCUCAGCUCAAGUCUUAGCUCUUCCAGAUGGUUUAGAUGGGUUCACAGUAUAUUGUGAUGUGUCUAGAGUAGGUUUGGGUUGUGUCCUCAUGCAGCAUAGUAAGGUCAUAAACUACGCCUCCAGACAACUUAAACCCUAUGAGAAGAAUUAUCAUACUCAUGAACUUAAGUUAGCAGCCGUAGUUUUUUCCUUGAUGAUUUAGAGGCAUCAUGUAUACGGUGUUCAUGUAGAUGUCUUCAUAGAUCAUAAGAGUCUUUAGUAUGUCUUUUCUCAAAAAGAUCUCAAUCUUUAUCAGAGAAGGUGGUUAGAGCUCUUGAAAGAUUACCACAUGAGUGUCCUUUAUUAUCCGGGCAAAGCCAAAGUAGCGGCCGACGCUCUCAGUAGACUGUCUAUGGGUAGUGUUGCCCAUGUGGAGGAUAGUAAGAAGAAGUUAGCUCAGGAUGUCCAUCAGCUUGCCAGACUAUGCGUUGUCUUAGUCAAUUCUUUAGAGGGUGGUGUAAGCGUUCAGAGUAGUUCAGAAUCAUCAUUAGUUUCCCAGGUGAAAGAAAAGCAAGAUAGAGAUCCCAGUCUUGUCAACUGGAAAGAGUCAGUCCAGAAUCAGAAAGUAGAAGUUUUUUCCCAAGGGGGAGGUGGUGUCCUUUGUUGUCAGGGUUGUCUGUGUGUUUCGAGUAUAGAUGACUUAAGGCAGUGAAUUCUUGCAGAAGCGCAUGGUGCGCACUACUCUAUUCAUCCAGGGGUUACUAAGAUGUUCCUCGACUUGUGGGAGAUCUAUUGGUGGAGUGGGAUGAAGAGAGAUAUUGUAGAGUUUGUGGCUAAGUGCUCUUCAUAUCAGUAGGUUAAGAUAAAGCUUCAAAAGCCUAGUGGUCUUAUACAGGAGUUCAUUAUUCUUACUUGGAAGUGGGAAGAAAUGAACAUGGACUUCACGAUGGAUUUUCCUCGAACUCGUCAUCAGCAUGAUUUAGUUUGGGUCAUUGUAGACAGAAUGACCAAAUCAGCUUAUUUUCUUCCAGUUCAUACCUCUUAUUCAGCGGAGGAUUAUGCCAAGCUCUAUAUCAAGGAGUUGGUUAGAUUGCAUAAUGUUUCAUUGUCCAUUAUCUCAGAUAGAGGCACCCAGUUCACUCUCACUUCUGGAAAGCAUUCCAAAAGGGUAUUGGUUCCCAAGUUCAUCUUAGUACGACCUUCCAUCCUCAUACAAAUGGUCAAACAGAGAGGACUAUUCAGACUUUAGAAGAUAUGCUAAAGGCGUGUGCAAUCGAUUUCAAGGAAAGUUGGGAUGAUCACUUGUCUUUGAUUGAGUUUGCAUUCAAUAAUAGCUAUAAUUCCAAUAUUCAGAUGGCUCCAUUCGAAGUUCUAUAUGGUAGGAGAUGUAGAUCUCCAAUUGGUUGGUUCAAAGUUAGUAAGGUCUCAUCCAUAGGGCCUGACUUGGUAUUCGACGCCUUAGAAAAAGUCCAAUUGAUUAGAGAAAGACUCUGGGUUGCUCAGAGCCGACAAAAGUCUUAUACAAAUAUUUGUAGAAAGGAUCUUGAGUUUGAAAUUGGUGACUAUGUGUAUCUAAAGUUCUCUCCCAUGAAGGGAGUGAAGCGGUUCGGCAAGAAAGGAAAGCUCAGUCCUCGAUAUGUCGGUCCCUUCAAGAUUCUCAGUCGAUUCGGCAAGGUAGCUUAUGAGCUCAAAUUUCCUUUAUAUCUAGCCUCAGUUCAUCCAUUCUUCCAUGUAUCAUUGCUCAAGAAGUGCACAGAUGAACCAGCAGUUGUAGUCCCUAUUCAAAGCAAUGAUGUUCAGAACAACCUCUCUUACGAAGAGAUUUCAGUCGAAAUCCUAGACUAUCAGACUCGUAGAUUGAGGAACAAAGUAGUCCCUCUAGUUUAAGUUCUUUGGAAAAAUCAGUCCGUCGAAGGAGAUACUUGGGAAGUAGAAGCAGACAUGUGUACCAAGCACCCUAACCUCUUUCCCGCCAACUCAAAUCAAGCUUAAGGUAACAGUUCUCCUUAAGCUUGCACAUUUUCUUGUUCAGUGUUCAUCACAAACUUGGCAUUAAGUACCAUUGAAUAUUCAGUCAUGAAUUCAUGUAUCAAUUUAGUUAUAUAAUUAUGUAUUAGACAUGUAUUCUCUUUGUGAGAAAACAUAGUUCCUCAGAAUGCUUAGUCACGCAUUCAUAAAUAAGUUACACAUGCAUCAGAUACGCAUGUUCAGCAUGUUAUGUUCAGCUUAUUCGUCAUGUUAGUAAUGAGAUCAUGUUUCAGUCAUUCAUGUUCAAUUCAUGUUCAGCUUUUUGCUUCCUCUCUCAGUCAGUCUCAUUCGAGGACAAAUGUUCUUAAGGGGGAGAUAUUGUAAUACCCGUGCCUUUUUCUUAGCUUGAAAUCAUCUCAAGGAUGUUAGAAAUUGCUUUGAAAUACGAAUACUUUUUUUUUUCACACAUGGUAUUCUUAUGAUUUUCCCUUUCUAUCACGUGGGAAAUUGAAUAACCUUUCCAUCAAUACCAAUUUUAUCAAAAUUCAGCGUCAGAACUGCCCAGGUGCAACGGUGUAGGCGACAGACCAUCGUACAAGCGACGGACCACCGACUAUCACCGUCGUAUCGAGACAGUGAGAUAGCUUUCUGGAAGUGUAUAAUGGCAAGGUUCGAUGGACCGUCGACCUAGUGAUGGACCAUCACACCCCACUGUUUCUUAUUGGCAGUAAGUCUCAGUUCUGUCUCAGUCUGACGGAGAGGUCCGACGAACCGUCGACUCAGAAAUGGAGCAUCGCACCCCAUCUUUCGAUAACCCACUCAGUGAUUUUAAGUUUUUUAAUAGGGGUAUUUUGAUCAUUUACCACCCGCCUAUAUAUACCUAGUUAUAUCUGAUUUCAGCCAUUUUGUUCAUUAUUAUUUCACAACAAAAAAUUAGGGUUUCUCUCAAGGAUCAAUCCCCAAGAACAAGAAACCCUAGGUGCUUAAUUUCAAGCCAAUAAUUCAAGUUUUCCUCCGCAGAACUUCAAGAAAUCAGAACCCAGGUAUGCAUAGUGUUCAUUCAUGGACUCUUUUCGUCCAUGAAGCCAAAGAAUCCCUUUUCUAAAUUUAAGAUUAUGGUUUUCUUUAUGAAUUUCAUGAUUGUUCUGCUCUUGUUCAUGUUGAUAAAUGAGAAAUUAAAUUCUACUCCAUGUUGGGUGAUAAUUUCUAUGUGGGUUUAAUUAUUAUAGAUAUAGAUUCAUGCUACCUUAUGACUAAACCCUUGAAUGAUGAAAUUAUAAUUGAAUUAUGAUGUUUAAUUGUUGAACAAUGAUGUUUACAUGUACUAUGCCUACAAUAUGUUUGAUUAAAUUCCUAGAUGAAGGAAAAGUGCCUAGUUAGCAUUAUACCAUGAAAUCCCCAUGUAUGUACAAGUUUAUGCCUAUCACAUGUUUGAUGAAAUGCUUUAGUAAAUGUAUUAUGGAUUAUGAUGUUAGUCAUGUGUUCAAGUAAGUCAUGCUUUGUCAGUUUCCUUCCAUCAAGUCUUGGGGGUACUUUUACCCGAAACAUUAGUUAUGUGCCUAGAGACAUAUUAUGUUUUCACGAUACAGAUACUCUCAAUCAAGCUAUGAAUCCUUAGACUUUAGAUAGUCUUAUGACUCAAGAAAUCUCCAUGAUCUCAUGAACUCAGUCAGUUGUCAGAUAUCAGUAGUAUUUCGUCAGUCAACAGAAUUUAAUAAUUCAGUCCAUGUUCAGUUCAGUAAAUCAUGUUUAGUAUCCAUUCAGAUGGGAGUAGGAAUUAGCACCGAGUAAACCCAAGGAUAAGAACUCACCUGUUAUAUGAGGGUGUAAUCCUUAGGAGCAAUCCUUGCAUUCCAGAACUAUGUUGCCAACAUAGGUUGAAACGUCAUAGCCUGCUAUAUGAGGGUAGAUGAGAUGGCUUAACCUAUUAUAUAAGGGUUCCCACCGUUCUCACUAGAGUUACCUGUUAUAUAAGGGUUACUCAUAUGUUGCCCUUACCAGUGGCGCGGUAUGACACUUUCAAUCAGGGUACAAAUUGGACCCCAGCUUAGCUAUUAUAGCACAUUUGGGAUAUGUCGGUUAGAUGACUACUUCCCACAGUUUCAUGUUACAAAAUCAGGACUGUCAGAUACAGUCAAUCAGUCUCAGUAAAAGAACUCAGAUAGUUAUCCAUAUUUCAGGACUGUCAGAUACAAUCAACUCAGAUACAGUAUGGAACUCAGAUAGUUCCAUCAGAUUCAGGACUGUUAGAUACAGUCAUUCAUGUUAUCAGUCGUAUCAGUUAUUAGUAUGUCAUGUCAUCAGUAUUUAGAUUUUGUAAUCAUGUAUUCAUGGUAUCAAUAUCAGUUAUUAUGUAUCAUGCAUGUAUUCUCACGCUAAUGAUAGUUGGUCAGUUAUUACUAUUGUUUAUCCAUAUGAACCCCAUGCAUUUAGCCUACCUCACAUGCAUACCAUUAUAUUCAGUCGUACUGACGUAUUCGUUCUAUGGUGUAUUAUACCAUAGGUUUAGAGACACGAGCCCCCAAGCAGUAGUAGAUUUCAUUACCAGCAGUCAGAGCUAGAAGUGAGUCCUCAUCUUUCGAGGACAUGAUGAUUAUUGUUUUUAUUAUCUCAUUGAUUAGCUUAUUAGUUGGAGUUAGUUGGGACAUGUCCCAUCAACUUUUCACUCAGACAGUCUCAGUCAGUAGAGGCUUUCUAGACUAUCAUAUUUCAGACUUCAGUAUUUUCAGUUUUGUUUUGGGUAUUCUAUUACCCCACACAGAUGUUAUACUAUUCAUGUUAUAUUUCAGAUUGAACCUUAUGUCCUUUCAACUCAUGUUUCUGCAUUAUUUAGUAAUUUAUGCAGUAUACAGGUACAAAUAUCAGUCAUGGGUUAGCUUUUGGUCCUUCGGAGUUAUGAGCACCGUGUAGCAUUUCGGGUAACAGAUUCGGAGCGUUACAUUUUCCUAUGCGACUUUUGCUUCAUACAUAUUGUCUCUUUUCAAAUAAUAUAUGUAACAAUGUUAUCCGAACCUUUUAGGAAAAAUCGUGCUGGCUUGGCUCAAAACAAACAAUAUCAUAUUAUGUAAGACCGUCUUCGACUGGAUGAGCCCAACAACUAAGCUGUAUUUGGUGCAAAUAUGCUAACAAAAUCAUAUUAUCAUCCUUGAAUUAUAUCAAAUAGUCCACCAAAUAUUAUUUUUAUUUAUUUAUUAUCACAGCUAAUACCGCUGCUUUAUCCAUAAGCAAUUUGACUCCUAAGUGUGAUGUUUAUAGUUUUGGUGGUGUUCUUCUCGAGCUUCUCAUGGAAUGAAAGUCACCUGACAAAUCCCGACCAGCCCAAGAACAGAACCUUCACAAAGCUACAAUGCUUUUACUUCACCGGUUUAUUUUUAUUUUUAAUAUGCUAGAAAAAUUUAAGUCAGAUUGACUAAUAUGUAAUGUCUUAAAGCAAAUAAGACUUUCUUUAUCUAGAAGGAAAAUAAAUCAAACAACUACAAUAUUUCUUCGAUGAGGCGGAUAUAAAAUUGCACCAAUGCACAUAACGAGCCUUUAAAAAUGAAUUACUUUUGAAAGACCGACACACAUCCGAUGACAUUUUUGAAGACUUCGAGCAAUAUAGGGUUCAACUUAUUUAAGGUUCUUGUAUUGAACUCAUUAUAUUUUAUGGAUUUAGUUUUAACAAUUCUUUACACAUAAAUUUGUAAGAAAUCUCAGUCAUAUAAUGAUUAGAUAGUUAUGUGGUUGGCGAAUUGUGUUCUAGGAAUAUCUUGAUAAACUAUGAUGAAUUUACUUGCUCCCACUGAUCAGUAUUCCUUGUUACUGUAAUUAAUUCAUUCUUGAUUUUUGAAAACUUUUCUUGUAUUUCAGCAUCCUACAAAAGUAGAUUGAUUACAAGGAAACUAAGGAAACAUGCUUUCUACUACGCAGGUAAGGUCUGCAUGUAUCCUACCUUUUCCACAUCCCUCAUAUAAGAUAACACUUGGUAUGUGUCAUACCCCGCAAAAAUUUGCAUUUAAACAUAGCUCGUUUAGCUCCUAAAAGCUCUUUAAAAGGUCCAACACUUAGAAAAUUUUAUCUAAGUGUUCAAUACUUAGUCUCAUUUUUGAACUUCACACUUCGGGGAUUUAUUUGAUGACCUUCCUGACAUCCGUUUUUCAAUUUUCAAGUUGCGUUGCGAUGGGGCAAGUCAAUAGUACAUUUUGGGUGAGUUUUGAAAUUUUUGAAACCCGUUUAGGGCAUGUUUGGAUUUUGAAACAGUAGCAUCAUGCGAUUAGCAUACGACGUGCUCCAUGUCAGGGGUCUAUCAUGCGAUAGAUCAGGCGACGCAUGCUCCUGUGCAGAGGACUAGAGAAUGCGACUCGCGCUCUAUCGCAUGUUGGCAAAUUUUCUGAUACAAGAUUGAACUCACAACAUAGAUUCAACAUAUCUACAAGAUCAACAAUAAUAAAAAAUCAAAGGCCCCACUCAGCUUCUCUAUGUUUUCAAGACAACAACAACAAUAUUCAAUAAAGUAGAUGGAGAAUACAAGAUUACAAGGACUAUAGUGAAUCGAAGAGUCCCCAUACUGCUUCACUAUGUCAACACAUAAACAACAAGAUUACAAAAACAAGGUUACGGGUACAUUAAAAACAAAAAAAAACUACGGAUUCAACAAGAUACAAGAUAAAUAGUUAGACCAAAUAAAGGGACAAUCUUAAGAACCCAAUAAUUGUCACCCUCUUGGAUACUUAAACACUAUCCGCGACACAAACGUAACUCUAAAUUGACACAAGAGGGCCUUUACCUCCUCUAAACACCAACGUUUUAAGCCAAUAUGCAAACACAAGUGAAUCUUCACUUGUGUAGCCCUAGUUUCGGUUGGAGCUUUUGUGAGAGAACUAAAGUGUUGCAAAUGUUACAAAUCUCAAAAAUAUGAUCAACUAAGUGAAUAAAACCCUAAGUGGUUCUAUUCAUAUUACAUUCCCCCAAAGACUUAAAAUGACAAAGGUGCCCUUUCAAUGAAUAAGGCUUCAAGGCCACCCCUUUAGUGCACACAUAAGGGUGGUUUUUGACUUCUCCCACACUUAAUAUCGGGCCUUAUCUCGGUUGCCUUUGACUUACACAAAAAGGGUCCAUCUAUGAGAUCACACUUGUAUCAUCCUCUCCAUCUUGAGAGGAGUUUGACCUCAAACUCAAGCAAUUUUUACCUGCAAGCUCUCCUUUUCGAAUAAUCUUUUAUCGGCUCCUCCCAAGGUUAGGAUAUUCAACCAAGGGUUUCAUAAGAUCAUCAAGCUUGAUCCUUGGGAUUGUAUUUCCUUAAAACUUCACAUAAGAAGAAUAGAUGCUAGUCAAAGUGCUAGCAUCUCGUUUAGUAAGCAUCAAAGGGUCUUUGUGGGAAAAUCCCAUUUCUUGAACUAUCAGCUCCUCCUCUUCUUCAUCAUCCUCACCCUCGGUUUCCUCCUCUAAACCAUCACUAAGAAUGAUUCUCCUUGCCAUAAACAAGGGUACUAAACACUCUCCAUCAACCGGCCAAAUAUCUUCCCGCCUUCAUCUAUUUCUACCUCGGCUUCUUGCUCUCUAUCUUGAGCGUUUUCAUCAAACUCAUUCGAUACAAGUCCCAAUUCCUCACCAAGGUAAUACAAUUUUACUUCCAUAAGGAUUACAUUUCUCUGAUUUGGGCACUCAUUAGCCUUGUGCCCCCACCCUUGACAUUUAAAACAUUGAAAUCCCUUAGGACGAGAAGUAGAAUUUGGUUUACCUUCGUUUCUUGGAUGAUACUUUUGGAAAGCUUUGGUUUUGGUUUGUAUAACCUUGUUCUCAAUUUGUUUGGAAUUGGACGAAUGCUCUUGAUGUUGGUGCCACUCCGAGGAAGGUCCUUGGUGAUUCUUGAGUUUGGAGGCCGAGAGCUCCCUUUCAAUUUCCAAGGCCGCUUGGAAAAUNNNNNNNNNNNNNNNNNNNNNNNNNNNNNNNNNNNNNNNNNNNNNNNNNNNNNNNNNNNNNNNNNNNNNNNNNNNNNNNNNNNNNNNNNNNNNNNNNNNNNNNNNNNNNNNNNNNNNNNNNNNNNNNNNNNNNNNNNNNNNNNNNNNNNNNNNNNNNNNNNNNNNNNNNNNNNNNNNNNNNNNNNNNNNNNNNNNNNNNNNNNNNNNNNNNNNNNNNNNNNNNNNNNNNNNNNNNNNNNNNNNNNNNNNNNNNNNNNNNNNNNNNNNNNNNNNNNNNNNNNNNNNNNNNNNNNNNNNNNNNNNNNNNNNNNNNNNNNNNNNNNNNNNNNNNNNNNNNNNNNNNNNNNNNNNNNNNNNNNNNNNNNNNNNNNNNNNNNNNNNNNNNNNNNNNNNNNNNNNNNNNNNNNNNNNNNNNNNNNNNNNNNNNNNNNNNNNNNNNNNNNNNNNNNNNNNNNNNNNNNNNNNNNNNNNNNNNNNNNNNNNNNNNNNNNNNNNNNNNNNNNNNNNNNNNNNNNNNNNNNNNNNNNNNNNNNNNNNNNNNNNNNNNNNNNNNNNNNNNNNNNNNNNNNNNNNNNNNNNNNNNNNNNNNNNNNNNNNNNNNNNNNNNNNNNNNNNNNNNNNNNNNNNNNNNNNNNNNNNNNNNNNNNNNNNNNNNNNNNNNNNNNNNNNNNNNNNNNNNNNNNNNNNNNNNNNNNNNNNNNNNNNNNNNNNNNNNNNNNNNNNNNNNNNNNNNNNNNNNNNNNNNNNNNNNNNNNNNNNNNNNNNNNNNNNNNNNNNNNNNNNNNNNNNNNNNNNNNNNNNNNNNNNNNNNNNNNNNNNNNNNNNNNNNNNNNNNNNNNNNNNNNNNNNNNNNNNNNNNNNNNNNNNNNNNNNNNNNNNNNNNNNNNNNNNNNNNNNNNNNNNNNNNNNNNNNNNNNNNNNNNNNNNNNNNNNNNNNNNNNNNNNNNNNNNNNNNNNNNNNNNNNNNNNNNNNNNNNNNNNNNNNNNNNNNNNNNNNNNNNNNNNNNNNNNNNNNNNNNNNNNNNNNNNNNNNNNNNNNNNNNNNNNNNNNNNNNNNNNNNNNNNNNNNNNNNNNNNNNNNNNNNNNNNNNNNNNNNNNNNNNNNNNNNNNNNNNNNNNNNNNNNNNNNNNNNNNNNNNNNNNNNNNNNNNNNNNNNNNNNNNNNNNNNNNNNNNNNNNNNNNNNNNNNNNNNNNNNNNNNNNNNNNNNNNNNNNNNNNNNNNNNNNNNNNNNNNNNNNNNNNNNNNNNNNNNNNNNNNNNNNNNNNNNNNNNNNNNNNNNNNNNNNNNNNNNNNNNNNNNNNNNNNNNNNNNNNNNNNNNNNNNNNNNNNNNNNNNNNNNNNNNNNNNNNNNNNNNNNNNNNNNNNNNNNNNNNNNNNNNNNNNNNNNNNNNNNNNNNNNNNNNNNNNNNNNNNNNNNNNNNNNNNNNNNNNNNNNNNNNNNNNNNNNNNNNNNNNNNNNNNNNNNNNNNNNNNNNNNNNNNNNNNNNNNNNNNNNNNNNNNNNNNNNNNNNNNNNNNNNNNNNNNNNNNNNNNNNNNNNNNNNNNNNNNNNNNNNNNNNNNNNNNNNNNNNNNNNNNNNNNNNNNNNNNNNNNNNNNNNNNNNNNNNNNNNNNNNNNNNNNNNNNNNNNNNNNNNNNNNNNNNNNNNNNNNNNNNNNNNNNNNNNNNNNNNNNNNNNNNNNNNNCCCACUCAGCAUGUUUUCAAGACAACAACAACAAUAUUCAAUAAAGUAGAUGGAGAAUACAAGAUUACAAGGACUAUAGUGAAUCGAAGAGUCCCCAUACUGCUUCACUAUGUCAACACAUAAACAACAAGAUUACAAAAACAAGGUUACGGGUACAUUAAAAACAAAAAAAAACUACGGAUUCAACAAGAUACAAGAUAAAUAGUUAGACCAAAUAAAGGGACAAUCUUAAGAACCCAAUAAUUGUCACCCUCUUGGAUACUUAAACACUAUCCGCGACACAAACGUAACUCUAAAUUGACACAAGAGGGCCUUUACCUCCUCUAAACACCAACGUUUUAAGCCAAUAUGCAAACACAAGUGAAUCUUCACUUGUGUAGCCCUAGUUUCGGUUGGAGCUUUUGUGAGAGAACUAAAGUGUUGCAAAUGUUACAAAUCUCAAAAAUAUGAUCAACUAAGUGAAUAAAACCCUAAGUGGUUCUAUUCAUAUUACAUUCCCCCAAAGACUUAAAAUGACAAAGGUGCCCUUUUAAUGAAUAAGGCUUCAAGGCCACCCCUUUAGUGCACACAUAAGGGUGGUUUUUGACUUCUCCCACACUUAAUAUCGGGCCUUAUCUCGGUUGCCUUUGACUUACACAAAAAGGGUCCAUCUAUGAGAUCACACUUGUAUCAUCCUCUCCAUCUUGAGAGGAGUUUGACCUCAAACUCAAGCAAUUUUUACCUGCAAGCUCUCCUUUUCGAAUAAUCUUUUAUCGGCUCCUCCCAAGGUUAGGAUAUUCAACCAAGGGUUUCAUAAGAUCAUCAAGCUUGAUCCUUGGGAUUGUAUUUCCUUAAAACUUCACAUAAGAAGAAUAGAUGCUAGUCAAAGUGCUAGCAUCUCGUUUAGUAAGCAUCAAAGGGUCUUUGUGGGAAAAUCCCAUUUCUUGAACUAUCAGCUCCUCCUCUUCUUCAUCAUCCUCACCCUCGGUUUCCUCCUCUAAACCAUCACUAAGAAUGAUUCUCCUUGCCAUAAACAAGGGUACUAAACACUCUCCAUCAACCGGCCAAAUAUCUUCCCGCCUUCAUCUAUUUCUACCUCGGCUUCUUGCUCUCUAUCUUGAGCGUUUUCAUCAAACUCAUUCGAUACAAGUCCCAAUUCCUCACCAAGGUAAUACAAUUUUACUUCCAUAAGGAUUACAUUUCUCUGAUUUGGGCACUCAUUAGCCUUGUGCCCCCACCCUUGACAUUUAAAACAUUGAAAUCCCUUAGGACGAGAAGUAGAAUUUGGUUUACCUUCGUUUCUUGGAUGAUACUUUUGGAAAGCUUUGGUUUUGGUUUGUAUAACCUUGUUCUCAAUUUGUUUGGAAUUGGACGAAUGCUCUUGAUGUUGGUGCCACUCCGAGGAAGGUCCUUGGUGAUUCUUGAGUUUGGAGGCCGAGAGCUCCCUUUCAAUUUCCAAGGCCGCUUGGAAAAUGCCAUCGAUCGUGUCAAACUUGUGGAGGGUCAUCCAAGAAUCUAUGUCCCUAUUCAACCUGAAUUUGAAUCGUAUAAUAUAAUGGCUCACUUGUUCUCCUCUAUGGUCAAGCUUCAACAUCAAUUGUUGAAAAUCGUCAUAGUAUUCCAUGACACUUUUGUUUCCUUGCCUCAAGUUGUACAACUUGGCAAGAAGUUCUUGUUUGUAGAUCUUGGGUAAGUACCUUUGACGCAUAAGUUACCUCAAUAUAAACCAUGGAGGUGGCCACCCGGCAAUCAACACAUCACCAAAACUCUUCACAUACUCCCUCCAAGUGUUUGCAUACCCCUCAAAGUGAGCGAUUGCAUAACAACUCUUCUUCUCUUCGGUUAGAUCAUUCACUUUGAAUAUCCUAUCACAAGAUGACUCCCAAGAAAGAUAUGCCUCGGGAUCACUCUCAGCCUUGCAAAUCAGAAGACUAACUUUGAUGGAAUUGAGGCUAAGCUCUCAGUUUGGUUACCACCCCUCACUUCUCAACCUAAAUCAGCUUGCCUAACCCUCUCCUCUUCUUCCCUCAAGUAAGCAUCACCAUAACCCCCAUAACCCCCAUGUUGUUCCUCCCUACCAUAACUCUCAAAACGGUUUGGUGGAUUUGGAUUAAGUGGAUUCGAAUUUGGAGGAUAGUAAUGCCUUUGGUUCAAUGGAAUUUGGAUUGGAAAGUGAGGUCUUUGGAUAAGUUGAGGGUUCGGGUUUUGUGGCAUUUGGGUUCCAAAUCCAUCAUGUUGGACUUGGUGAAGUGGAGGGAUGGUUGCUCUAUCAUACUCAUGGUUUUGGGGAAUAUUUGGUGGUUGGCUCGGUGACUUGUUCAUUUGGUGCAAGGCCUUGGGAGUAAUGGUUGGGGAAAUAUUUUGAGUUGUGGAAGGUAAACUCCUUUAACUUUCCACACGUUCUAAUCUCCCACUCAUUGAUGCCACAUCCGUAUCUAAUUUCUCAAGACCCACAUUCAACCUAGCCACAUCUCGGGACAUAGUUUCAAGUCGACCCAAAAUGAAAUUUAUGGCAUUAUUGUCCAUUGUUUGAGCAUUUGAAGCCUCGGGUUCCAUUGUCGUUGUACCGAAAAUAACCCUUCAAGUUUCUUCAAACUCAAGCUCAACAAUGGUGGAUGACUCAAAUUACCUCCAAUUUAGCUCAAAUUCGAACCCUAUACUCCUAUAGUGUUAUAGAACACAAAUCUAACACUAAAAACACAAGAAAAACACAAAAUCAAAAACUCAAAAUUUGACCUAGGGUCAAAAACGGGUUUAGGAUUUUUUUUUUGGGAUUUUUGAUUUUGACACUUCUUUUUGGUUGGGAUUUUCAAUUUCUAAACUCUAAUAGUGUUAGGAAAUAAGGAUCUAACACUAUAAACACACAAAAAUCAAGUUUUUCUUUUUGAAAAAUCCUAAUAACGUGAACAGUAACUUUUUUCUUCUUCUUCUUGUUCUUUUUUACCUUUUUUUUUAUUUUUAAGAUAACAAUCCCAAGACUGAUUUUGUUGGAACAAAAUUAAACCUUGCCUGAUAUCAAAUGAUACAAGAUUGAACACACAACACGGAUUCAAGAGACCUAAAAGAUCAACAAUAAUAGAGAAUCAAAGGCCCCACUUGGCUUCUCUAUGUUCUCAAGACAACAACAAUAAUAUUCAACAGAUGGAGAAUACAAGAUUACAAGGACUAUAGUGAAUCAUAGAGGCCCCACACGGCUUCACUAUGUCAACACAUAAAUAACAAGAUUACAACAACAGGGUUACGGGUACAUUAACAACAAUAAGGAACCACAGAUUCAACAAGAUACAAGAUAAAUAGUUAGACCAAAUGAAGUGACAAUCUUAAGAACCCAAGAAUUGUUACCUCCUUUAAAUACCAACGUUUCAAGCCAAUAUGCAAACACAAGUAAAUCUUUACUUGUCUAGCCAUAGUUUUGGUUGGAGCUCUUGAGAGAGAACUAAAGUGUUGCAAAUGUUACAAAUCUCAAAAAUAUGAUCAACUAAGUGAAUAAAACCCUAAGUGGUUCUAUUUAUAUUACAUUCCCCAAAAGACUUAAAAUGACAAAGGUGCCCUUUCAAUGAAUAAGGCUUCAAGGCCACCCCUUUAGUGCACACAUAUGGGUGGUUUUUGGCUUCUCCCAUACUUAAGCUCGGGCCUUAUGUCAGUUGCCUUUGACAUACACAAAAAGGGUCCAUCUACGAGAUCACACUUGUAUCAUUUUCAAGCUUCCAGCUCAACGUUCUAAGGGAAAAAUAGACCUUUUUCCCCAUACUAUACAUGCUCAUAAACAUGGGAUUAAGGCUCAAAAACACCAAAACAUACACCUUUUCAUAAAAUUCUCUCAAGAACAAGAACAAGGGUUUUAACUUGAAGACCCAAAUCAUCAAAGUUCCUUUAUGUAUCAUCCAAGAAUGAUAUAGCAAGGUAUGCAUUAUGUUGAUUCAUGGGAUCCUUUCUUCCAUGAAGAUCAAGAACCCUAUUUUAAACUAUAUAUCAUUCCGUUCGUGUUAUGACUUGAUUGUUAAUCAUGUUUAUAUGUUGAAUGAUUCCAAGAUGGAACCUUUAUGUGUUUUUAUGGAACUAGGAUGACAUGUUAGUGGAAAUAUAUGGAUUUUGGGUGCUUUGAAUUGUUAAAGUGAUGAAUAUACCUAUGACAUAAAGUGUGCAUGCAAGGUGUUUGAUAAAAUGCCUGGGAGGCGAGAAAUCAUGUUUUCAUGACUCAAUAGAACCUAAAUAACAAGUCCAUGCUCUAUCCUUUAUGACUUAACAUGAAUUCUAUGAUAUUGUUAUGUAUUGUUGUUGUGAUAUGGAGUGCUCAUAAUAUUUGAGAUAUGCAAGUAUUUACAUGUUACAUGUAUUUCCUUCCAUGUAGAAGAUUUUGAGAACUAUGUGUAGUAUGAAAUCCCCAACUUAUGAAAUUAUGAAUUGUGGACUUUAUUCCUAUGAUCUAGUUAGUCAUGUUGUGUUAUUUUCCUUCCAUCUAGUCCUCGGGUACUUGUACCUAAAAAAUAAAGUUGUGUGCCUAGAGCCAGUAUCUUGUUUUGACGAUAUUCUCAGUCAAGCCAUGUUCAGUAGAAUUCAGUCAGUCAUGUGACUCAGGAAAUCUCAGUAAUCUUAUGAACUCAGUGAGUUAUCAGAUAUCAGUAGUAUUCCAUCAGUCAAAGAAAUUCAGUAAACUCAGCCCAUGUAUGGUUCAGUUAAUUAUGUUCAGAGUCUAUUCAGUUAUAGAAGCUUUCUAGACUAGCAUGUUUCAGAUAGUUUAUUUCAGUUGUUUUGGGUAUUUCAUACCCCACUCAAAUAUUAUAUUUUAUCAGUUUUAUUACAGUAUUGAACCUUAUGACCUAUCAGCCUUUAUUUUUGUAUUUAUAAACAUAUAUUAUGCAGUGUACAGGUAUAGAUAUCAGUCAUGGGUUAGCUUAUGGCCCUUCACGGUCAUAGGCACCGUGUAGCAUUCCGAGCACCAGGCUCAGGGUGUUGGAAACUUGGUAUUAGAGCCUAAGGUUUACUAGUAUCCUAGGAAGUCAAAAAGCCCAUCUAGUAGAGUCUUGUACAUGGGUGUGUUGUGCGUCAUAUUUAUGUGUAGGAAGCUAUGAGAUGUUUUGGGAAUAGUUUCCCUUCUUUCAGUAUUUAUGUUUUGCCAGUGAGCAUAAUCUCAAGUUAAACUCUCAGUCUAAUCCGUUUCUCCUCUUAAUUUCAGAACAUGCCUCCAAAGAGAAGAAAUCAGCCAGUCCCUCAGCCCAAAGAUCUUUUGGGAGAACAUGUGUCUCAUGCGGAGUUCAGAGCCGCAUUCCCUACUCUUACUCAGUCAGUUGCCGCUCAGAAUAAAUGACCAACAGUUAUUUUGGCCAACUCAGUAGCCAAUUCAGCUGCAACCAAGAUUUGAGAUUCACCUUAAUAAAUCCUAAAAUAGAUGGACCCUCAAGAAUUUCUUGAUCAGAUUCAGAAGGUAACAGAUAUCAUAGGGGUGACUACUGUUGAGAGUGUUGAGCUAGUCGAAUAUCAGUUACAGGAUGUGGCUCAUACUUUGUUCAAGCAGUGGAAGUCAGAAAGGUUAGAUGAUGCAGGUACUAUAGAGUGGGAGGAGUUUGUCACGGCAUUCUUAGAUAGAUUCUUUCCCUAAGAGCUGAGAGAGGCUAAGGUGCUAGAGUUUAUCAAACUCAGGUAGGUCAAUAUAACGGUGAAAGAUUAUUCUCUUAAGUUUACUCAAUUAUCCAGAUACACCCCUCAUGUGGUUGCAGAUAGAAGAGCCAAAAUGAGUAAGUUCGUUUCAGGGGUGAAUGGUAGUAUGGUAAAUGAGUGCAGAUCCACCAUGCUAAAUAGUGACAUAACAUUAGCCAGGCUUAUGACUCAUGCUCAACAGAUAGGGGAGCAGAAGAUUAGGAUGAGGGAGAGGUAGAACAAGAGAGCAAGGUCAGAUAGUUUCAACUUUGGUCAGCCCAAAUCAGAAGAAGGAAACCGUUCUCAGUUUCGUCCUAAGCCAUCAGUUCUAGUUCCUUCUUUAGCCAGUGCUCUAGCUCCUAAGUUCAGAGAUAGAGCUCCAGGCUCUAAGUCUCAGGGUAGUGUCAGCAAUGCCCGAACAAAUCUCCUAUACCAGACUUAUGGUAAGAACUAAAAGGGUGCUUGUAGACUUGGUAGUGAUAUCUAUUUCGGUUAUGGGAAGUAGGCCACAUAUAACACCCCGAGCCUGGUGCCCAGAAUUGUACACAGUGUUCAUAACCCCAAAGGACCAUAAGCUAACCCAUGACUGAUAUCUGUACCUAUACACUACAUAAUAUAUGUGUAUAAAUGCAAAAACAUGAAAUGAAAGGCCAUAAGGUUCAAUAUCAUACUAAAACAAAUAAAACACAACAUUUUAGUGGGGUAUUGAAUACCCAAAACAACCGAAAUAACUGGCUGAAACAUAGUAGUCUAGAAAGCCUCUAUAACUGAAUAAUCUAAAUAAGGAGUUGAUGGGACAUGUCCCCAACUUACUUUGUCUAGCAAAACUGAACUGAAAUAAUAUAGUAAUAAUCAUGUCCUUAAAGAAUGAGGACUCAGUGCUGAAUACUAGAAUACUACUGCUGAUCUGGAACUCGUGUCUCUGAACCUAUGGUGUAAAAUAAAAAGAAAAUACCAUAGCGCAAAUGUGUCAGUAUGAUUAAAUGUACUGAGUAUGCAUGUGAGGUAGGCUAAAUGAAAGGGUUCACAUGCAUGAUCUUUGCUAACUGACUGUCUAACAUGAACGUGAAAAUACAUGCAGGAAUACGUAACUUAACUGAGAUACUGAUAACAUGAUUACUGAAUUUGAAUACUGAUAACAUGUGUUUACUGAUAACUAAUAUGACUAAUAUAACUGAUAACAUGGGUGACUUUAUCUAAAAGUCUUGAAUCUGAUGGAACUAGCUGAGUUUUGUACUAUAUCUGAGCUGACUGUAUUUAACAGUCCCGAUAUUCUAAAGAACUAUCUAAGUUCUUUUACUGAGAAUGAUACUAAAAUUGUGGGAAGUAGUUAUUUAACUGACAUGCCUAAAAUGCGCUAUAAUAGCUGAGCUGGGGUACAAUCUGUGCCCUGACUAGAAGGGUGUCAAUACCCUGCCACUGAUAAAGACAAGCGGUGGAUAGCCCUCGUCUGACAGUGUCCCUAAAAGAGAAUGAUGGGACCCUCAUCUAACAGUGUUUAUCUACCUCAUCAACCCGUAUCUGAUAGUGUUGAUGUCUUAACCUAUGCUGGAAACAUAGUUUUGGAAUGUAAGAAUGACUUCUCAGAAUCAUACCCCAUCUGAUAGUGUGUGUUCCCAUCCUUGGGUUCACUCGGUGCUAAUUUCUACUCCCAUCUGAAUAGACUCUGAACAUAAUUAACUGAAAUGUACAUGGACUGAGUUUACUGAAUUCCAUUGACUUAAGAAAUACUACUGAUAUCUGAUAACUGACAGAGUACAUGAGAUUACAGAGAUUUCCUGAGUCACAUGACUGACUGAAUUCUACUAAACAUGGAUUGACUGUGAAUAUCGUGAAAAAUGACACUGGCUCUAGGCACACAACUAUAUUUUUUGGGUACAAGUACCCCCAGGACUCGAUGAAAGGAAACUGGCACAAUAUGACUUACUUGAUCAUAGGAAUAAAGUCUACAAUUCAUAAUGUCAUAAGUUAGGGAUUUCAUACUACACAUAGUUCUCAAAAUCUUCUACAUGGAAGGGAAUGCAUGUAAAAUGUAAAUACUUGCAUUGCUCCAAUGUCAUGAGUACUCCAUAUCACAACAACAAUACGUAACAAUAGCAUAGAAUUCAUGUUGAGUCAUAAAGGAUAGAACAUGGACUUGUUAUUUAGGUUUUAUAUAGUCAUGAAAACAUGAUUUCUAGCCUCCUAGGUAUUUAUUAAACACCUUGCAUGGACACUUUAUAGAAUAGGUAUAUUUAUCACUUUAAUAAUUCAAAGCACCCAAAAUCCAUAUAUUUCCACUAACAUGUCAUCCUAAUUCCAUAAAAACACAUAUAGGUUCCAUCUUGAAAUCAUUCAACACAUAAACAUGAUCAACAAUCAAGUCAUAACAUGAAUAUCAUAAUAUAUAGUUUAAAAUAGGGUUCUUGAGAUUCAUGAAAGAAAGGAGUCCAUGAAUUAACACAACGCAUACCUUGCUAUAUGAUUCUUGGAAGAUUCAUGGAGAAACUUUGAUGAUUUGGGUUUUUAAGUUGAAACCCUUGUUAUUGAGAAAAAUUUAUGAAAAGGAGUAUAUUUUGGUGUUUUUGAGCCUUAAUCCCGUGUUUAUGAGUAUAUAUAGUGUGGGAAAAAAGGUCCAUUUUACCCUUAGAAUGCUGAGUGUGAAGCUAGAAAAUUCGCCAACAUGCAAUGUACCGCGCAUCUCAUGCUCUAGUCCUUUGCACUGGAGCAUGCGUCACAUGCUCUAUCGCAUGCUAGGACCCCUGAGAUGGAGCAUGUGUUGCAUGCUAAUUGCAUGAUACUACUAUUUUGAAAUCCAAACAUGCCCUAAACGAAUUUUGAAAAUUCCAAAACUCCCUCAAAAUGUACAAUUGACUUGUCCCAUCAAAACCCAACUUGAAAAUCGAAAAACGAAUGUCGGGAAGGUCGUCAAAUAAAUCCCCAAAAGUGUGCAUGUCAAAAAUGAGACUAAGUGUUGAACACUUAGCUUAAAUUUUCUAAGUCUUGGACCUUCUAAAGAGCUUUUAGGAGCUAAACGAGUUUAAUUUAAAUGCAAAGUUUUGCGAGGUCUUAUAAUACCUCCCCCUUGAGAAAUAUCAUCUUUGAAUGAACUAAAUGUGAUGGGAAAUAAUAAGCUGAACAUGAACUGAACAUGAAUGAAUGAAACGUGAUCUCAUGACUGUCAUGACUGAUAAAUUGAAUAUAUUGUACUAAACAUGCAUAUCUGAUGCAUGAUUAUAUGACUGAAUUGAUACAUGUAUGCAUGACUGAAUAUGCAAUGGUACUUGAUACCAAGUUUAUAAUGACAACAUGAACAUGAAAAUUAAUACCAAGUUUUCGAUGAAUACUGAACAUAAAACUGAAUAAGCUUAAGGAGAACUGUUACCUUGAGCUUGAUCUAAGUUAGCGGAGAAGAGGUGAGGGUACUUGGUAUGCAUGUCUGCUUCUUCUUCCUAAGUAUCUCUCUCAACGAACUGAUUUCGCCAAAGAACCUUGACUAGAGGGACUUUUUUGUUACUCAAUCUACGAGUUUGAUAGUUAAGAAUUUCAACCAGAAUUUCCUCAUAGAAGAGGCUGUUCUGAACAUCAAUACACUGAAUAGGGACAACAACCACUGGGUCACCUAUGCACUUCUUGAAAGAAGAGACAUGAACGACUUGAUGAACUGAGGAUAGAUCUGAAGGAAACUCAAGCUCAUAAGCUACCUUGGCGAAAAGACUGAGAAUUUUGAAGGGAUCGACAUAUCGGGGAUUGAGCUUCCCUUUCUUGAUGAAUCUCUUCACUCCCUUCAUGGGAGAGAUCUUUAGGUAGACUAAAUCACCAAUCUCAUACCUGAGAUCCUUUCUACGCACAUCUGGAUAAGACUUCUGUCGGCUCUGAGCAGCCCGGAGUCUUUCUCUGAUAAACUGGACUUUCUCUAAGGCAUCAAACAAUAAGUCAGGCAUUAUGACUGAGGCCUCACUAACUUUAAACAAAAUAACUGGAGAUCUGAUCUCCUACCAUAGAGAGCUUUAAAAGGAGCCAUAUAAAUACUGGAAUGAUAGCUACAAUUGUAGGCAAACUCAAUCAAAGGCAAGUGGUCAUCCCAAUUACCCUUGAAAUCAAUUGCAUACGUCCUUAUCAUAUCUUCUCGAGUCUGAAUGUUCCUUUCUGCUUGACCAUAUGUCUGAGGAUGAAAGGCUAUACUGAGAUGAACUUGGGUACCAAGACCCUUUUGGAAUGCUUUCUAGAAGUGAGAGGUGAACUGGAUACCUCUGUUUGAGAUAAUAAUAAUGGAACACUGUGCAAUAUGACUAACUCCCUCAUAUAGAGUUUGGCAUAAUCCUUGGUUGAAUAAGAGGUAUGGAAUGGAAGGAAAUGAGCUGACUUGGUCAUUCUAUCUGCAAUGACCAAACUGAAUUAUGUUGAUGAUGAGUUCUAGGCAAACCCGUCACGAAGUCCAUGUUCACUUCUUCCUACUUCCAAGAAGGAAUGGUGAACUCCUGCAUAGAUCCACUAGGCUUCUGGUGCUCUAUCUUAACCUGCUGAUAUGAAGAGCACUUAACCACAAACUAUACAACAUCUCUCUUCAUCCCCCUCCACCAAAAGACUCCCGUAAGUCGCGGUACAUCUUACUUGACCGUGGAUAAAUAGAGUAGCGCGCACCAUGUGCUUCUGCAAGAAUUUGCUGCCCCAAGUUAUCUACACCUAGAGCACACAAACGACCCUAACAAUGAAGAAAACCAUCUCCCCCUUGGGAGAAAACCUCUAUUGAAGAGUCUUAUAAUCUGUGAACACAUCUAUAUGAACUCCGUAUAGAUAAUGCCUCCAAAUCUUUCAGGCAAAAACUAUGGUUGUUAACUCAAGAUCAUGAGUAGGAUAAUUCUUCUCAUAGGGCUUUAACUGUCUGGAUGCGUAGGCUAUAAACUUACCAUGCUGCAUAAGGACACAACCCAAACCUACUUUAGAUGUAUCAAAAUACACUAUGAACCCAUUUGGACCAUCUGGUAAUGCUAAAACUAGAGCUGAGUUGAGUCGAGUCUUUAACUCCUAAAAACUCUUCUUACAAGGAUCUGACCACUGAAACUUGACCUUCUUUUGAGUCAAUCUGCAUAUAGGGGAUAUUAUAGAAGAAAAUCCCUCAAAAAAUCUUCUUUAAUAGCUAGCCAAACCCAAGAAACUCCUGAUAUCUGAUAGAGAUAUGGGGCGAGGCUAGUUUCUUACCGCUUCAGUCUUUUGAGGAUCUACUAUAAUGCCAUCACCAAAAAUAAUAUGACCAAGGAAUUCUACUGGCCUUAGACAAAAUUCGCACUUACUAAAUUUGGUGAAUAACUGGUGAUUUUUGAGAGUCUGAAGAACAAUUCUUAGAUGGUCUGAAUGAUCUUGCUCACUGCGGGAGUAAACAAGGAUGUCAUCUAUAAAGACUAUCACAAACAUGUCCAAGUACUGCUUGAACACCUAAUUCAUCAAGUCUAUGAAAUUCGCAGGGGCAUUGGUAAGUCCAAAGGAUAUGACUAAGAAUUUGAAGUGACUAUAUCGAGUACGAAAAGCUAUCUUCAUGAUGUCACAUUCUCUAACUCUUAGUUGAUGAUAGCAUGAUCUGAGGUCUAUCUUAGAGAAAUAAAAAGCACCCUGAAGUUGGUCAAACAGGUCAUCAGUUCUGGGAAGUGGAUACCUGUUUUUGACCAUGACUUUAUUGAGUUAACGAUAAUCAAUGCACAUCCUAAGAAAACCGUCUUUCUUGCACAUGAAUAAGACUGGUGCGCCCCACGAGAAAAUAUUGGGUCUAAUGAAUCCCUUAUCUAAGAUAUCCUUCAACUGUUCUUUCAGUUAUUUGAGCUUUGCUGGUGCCAUUCUGUAUGGUGGAAUAGAGAUAGGCUGAGUGUCUGGAAAAAGAUUAAUGUCGAAGCCCAUUUCCCUUUCAGGAGAAAUUCCUGGAAGAUCUUCGAGAAAAUAUCUGAAUACUCAUUCACAACUGGGACUGACUCAAGUAUGGGAGUUUUGGAACUAGAGUCCUUAACAUGAAUGAUAUGAUAAACACAUCCCUUAGAUAUCAUUUUCCUUGCUUGAAGGUAGGAAAUAAGCUGAUCUCUGAAAGAUGAAGUACUACUCCUCCACUCUAAGAUGGGCUCAUUCAAAAAUUUAAACUGGACUAUUCUAUUUAUGCAUUCGACUGUGGCAUGGCAGGAAUAAAUCCAAUCCAUGUCGAGAAUGAUAUCAAAAUUAGUCAUCUCUAAUUCGACUAAAUCUGCUGAAGUGACUUUUUGAAAUAUCAUAAUCGGCAGUUUCUGUAUACCUGUCGAGCAAUGAUGGCUUUAUCCACUAGGCUAAAGACUGAAAAGGGCUCUGCUAGAAUUUUAGGGCUGACUCUAAAAUCGCCUGCUAUAUAAGGAGUAACAAAUGACAAGGAUGCACCAGGAUCUAGCAAAGCAUAAAAAUGCACAUGAAAGAUCUGUAACGUACCAGUAACUACAUCAGGAGAAUUUUUUUGAUCUUUUUAAGUCUGGAGAAAUAAAGUCUGUUUAGGCAUUGCCCACUAGUAGCACUGGAAGUGGCACCCUGCUAGUUCAGGUGACCGAAAUGAGAUACGGAAUGGUUAUACUGACCCAGAUAACUCGACUGGGGAUAAUCUCUGAAUCUGUGUCCUAUAUUGCCACAACCAAAACACUAAUCUGACAUAGGGGAUUAGUUAGGGCAUUGCUGACACUGCCCUGAGACUAAGAGCCUGGCGCUCUAUCUCUGAAGUAAUCCAUAUCACAACAAUAAUACACAACAAUAGCAUGGAAUUCAUGUUGAGUCAUAAAGGAUAGAGCAUGGACUUGUUAUUUAGGUUCUAUAGAGUCAUGAAAAUAUGAUUUCUAGCCUCCUAGGACUUUUAUCAAACAUCUUGCAUGCACACUUUACGGCAUAGGUAUAUUCAUCACCUUAACAAUUCAAAGCACCCAAAAUCAAUAUAUUUCAACUAACAUAUCAUCUAAGUUACAUAAAAACACAUAAAGGUUCCAUCUUGAAAUCAUUCAACACAUAAAUAUGAUCAACAAUCAGGUCAUAACAUAAAUAUCAUAAUAUACAGUUUAAAAUAGGGUUCUUGAGCUUCAUGGAAGAAAAGAGUACGUGAAUCAACACAACACAUACCUUGCUAUAUGAUUCUUGAAAGAUUUACGAAGGAACUUUGAUGAUUUGGGACUUCAAGUUGAAACCCUUGUUCUUGUUUUUGAGAGAAAUUUAUGAAAAGAAGUAUAUUUUGAUGUUUUAAGCCUUAAUCUCAUGUUUAUGAGCAUAUAUAGUAUGGGGAAAAAGUCUAUUUUGUCCUUAGAACACUGAGCAGGAAGUUGGAAAAUUCGCCAGCAUGCGAUGGAGUGUGCAUCGCAUGCUCUAGUCCUUCGCACUGGAGCAUGCGUCGCAUGCUUGGACCCCUGAGAUGGAGCAUGCAUCGCAUGUUAAUCACAUGAUGUUACUAUUUUGAUAUACAAACAUCCCUAAACGGAUUUUGAAAAUUCUGAAACUCAACUGAAAUGUACUAUUGACUUGAUCCAUCACAACACAACUUGAAAAUUAAAAAAACGAAUGUCGAGAAGGUCAUUAAAUAAAUCCCUAAAGUGUGUAGGUCAAAAAUGAGACUAAGUAUUGAAUACGUAGCUAAAAUUUUCUAAGUGUUGGACCUUCUAAAGAGCUUUUAGAAGUCAAAUGAUCUGAAUUUAAAUGCAAAGUUUUGUGGGGUCUUACACCACAUAGUCGAGAUUGUCCGCAGUUGGGUUAUCAAGGUCUGCAAAACCAUUCCGCAACUAAUUCCGAUUUCCCAAACCAGUAGGGUGCCAUUUCCAGUAUUACUAGUGGGCAACACCUAAAUUGACUCUAUGCUCUCCAGACCCGAUAGGAUUAGGAAAAUUCUUUUGAUGUAGUUACUGGUACGUUAUCGAUCUUUCAUGUGCAUGUUUACGUUUUGUUAGAUCCAGGUGCAUCCUUGUCUUUUGUUACCCCUUAUAUCAGAGGUGAUUUUGGAGUCAGUUUUGAAAUUCUAGCAGAGCCCCAUUUAGUCUCUACCCCAGUGGGUAAAACCAUCAUAGCUCGGCGGGUAUACAGGAACUGCCCAAUUAUAAUAUUUUAGAAAAUUACUUCAGUAGAUUUAGUCAAUCUAGAGAUUAAUGAUUUUGAUGUCAUUCUCAUCAUGGAUUGGCUUCAUUCCUCUAUACCACAGUCGACUACAGAAAGUGAAUAGUCCAGUUUCAGUUUUCGAAUGAGCCUGUCUUAGAGUGGAAGGGUAGUACUUCAUCUUUCAGAGGUCAUCUUAUUUCCUACCUUCGGGAAAGAAAAAUAAUAUCUAAAGGAUGUGUUUAUCAUCUCGUUCAUGUUAAGGAAUCUAGCUCCAAAACUCCCAGUCUUGAAUCAGUCCCAGUUGUGAAUAAAUAUUCAGAUGUUUUUUGGAAGAUCUUCCAAAAAUUCCACCCAAAAGGGAAAUAGACUUCGGCGUUGAUCUUCUUCCAGAUACUCAGCCUAUAUCUAUUCCGCCAUACAAAAUGUCACCUGCAGAGCUCAAAAAACUGAAAGAACAGUUAAAGGAUCUCUUAGAUAAGGGAUUCAUCAGACCCAAUUUUUCUCCGUGGGGCGCACCAGUCUUAUUCAUGCGCAAGAAAAAAGGUUCUCUCAGAAUGUGCAUAGAUUACCUUCAGCUCAAUAAAGUCAUGGUCAAGAACAGGUAUCCACUUCCUAGUAUCGAUGACUUAUUUUACCAGCUUUCGGGUGCUAGUUAUUUCUCUAAAAUAGACCUCAUAUUCGGCUAUCAUCAGCUCAGAGUUAGAUAAUGUGACAUCUCGAAGACAGUUUUUUUCUCAGUAUGGUCACUUGGAAUUCUUAGUCAUGUCCUUUGGUCUAACCAAUGCCCCAAUAGCUUUCAUGGACUUGAUGAACAGUGUGUUCAAGCAGUACUUGGACAUGUUCAUCAUAGUCUUUAUAGAUGAUAUUCUGGUCUAUUCCCACACUGAGCAUGAUCAUACAGACCAUCUCAGAACAAUACUUUAGACUCUCAGAGAUCAUUAGCUAUUCGCCAAAUUCAGUAAGUGCAAAUUUUUGCUAAGGUCAGAAGCAUUUCUUGGUCAUAUAUUUUUCAGUGAUGGCAUUACAGUAGAUCCUCAAAAGACUGAAGCAGUAAAAAACUGGCCUCGUCCUAUCUCUCCAUUAGAUAUUAGGAGUUUCUUGGGUUUGGAUGGCUAUUACAGAUGGUUUAUUGAGGGAUUUUAUUCUAUUGCAUCCCCUCUGUUUAGAUUGACUCAGAAAAAGGCCAAGUUUCAGUGGUCAAAUCCUUGCGAGAAGACUUUUCAGGAGUUGAAGACUUGACUCACCUCAGCUUCGGUUCUAGUAUUAUCAGACUGACUAGAUGGGUUCGUAGUGUAUUGUGAUGCAUCCAUAGUAGGUUUGGGUUGUGUCCUUAUGCAGCGUAGUAAGGUCAUAGCCUACGCCUCCAGUCAGUUAAAACCCCAUGAAAAGUAUUAUCCUACUCAUGAUCUUAAGUUACCAGCCGUAGUUUUUACCUUAAAGAUUUGGAGGCAUUAUCUCUACAGAGUUUAUGUAGAUGUGUUCACAGAUCAUUAGUCUUUAGUAUGUCUUUUCUCAAAAAGAUCUUAAUCUUCGUUAGAGAAGGAGGUUAGAGCUUUUGAAAGAUUAUGACAUGAGUGUCCUUUAUCAUCUGGAAAAGGGCAAUAUAGUAGCCGACGCUCUCAACAGACUGUCUAUGGGUAGUGUUACUCAUGUUGAGGACAGUAAAAAAAGUUAGCUAAGAAAGUCCAUCAGCUUGCCAGACUAGGCGUUCGCUUAGUCAAUUUUUCAAAGGGUGGUAUAUAUAUGCAGAGUAGUUCGGAAUCAUCUCUCCUUUUUGAGGUAAAAUAAAAGCAAGAUAGAGAUCCUAACCUUGUCAAUUUGAAAGAUUUAGUCAAAGAUUAGAAAGUAGAGGUUUUCUCCCAAGGGGGAGAUGGUGUUCUUCGUUGUCAGGGUCGUCUAUUUGUUCCAGGUGUAUAUAGUGCAUGCUACUCUAUUCAUCUAGGGGCCACUAAGAUGUACUGUGACUUGUGGGAUAUCUAUUGGAGGAGUGGGAUGAAGUGAGAUGUUGGAAAAUUUGUGGCUAAGUGCUCUACAUAUCAGUAGGGUAAGAUAGAACACCACAAGCCUAGUGGAUCCAUGCAGGAGUUCACCAUUCCUACUUAGAAGUGGGAAGAAGUGACCAUGAACUUCGUCAUGGGUUUUUCUCGAAUUCAUCAUCAACAUAAUUCAGUUUGGGUCAUUGUCGACAGAAUGACCAAGUCAGCUCAUUUUUUUCCAAUCCAUACCUCUUAUUCAGCUGAGGAUUACGCCAAACUUUAUAUCAGGGAGUUGGUCAGAUUGCACAAUAUACCAUUAUCUAUAAUCUCAGAUAUAGGUACCCAGUUUAUCUCUUACUUCUGAAAAGCAUUCUAAAUAGGUCUUGGUACCCAACUAUAUCUCAGUACAACCUUUCAUCCUCAGAUAGAAGGUCAAGCAGAAAGGACCAUUCAUACUUUAGAAGGUAUGCUAAGGGCGUGUGCAAUUGAUUUCAAGGGUAGUUGGGAUAACUACUUACCUUUGAUUGAGUUUGCAUACAAUAAUAGUUAUCAUUCCAGUAUUCAGAUGGCUCCGUUUGAAGCUCUCUAUGGUAGGAGAUGCAAAUCUCCAGUUGUUUGGUUUGAAGUUAAUAUGGCCUCAGUCAUAGGGCCUGACUUAGUGUUUGAUGCCUUAGAGAAAGUCUAAUUGAUUAGAGAAAGACUCUGGGCUUCUUAGAGCCGACAGAAAUCUUAUACAGAUAUGCGUAGAAAGGAUCUCAAGUUUGAGAUUGGUGAUUUUGUCUACCUAAAGAUCUCUCCUAUGAAGGGAGUAAAAAGAUUCGGCAAGAAGGGAAAGCUCAGUCCCCAAUAUGUUGUCCCUUCAAGAUUCUCAGUCGAUUCGGCAAGGUUGCUUAUGAGCUCGAGUUGUCUUCAGAUCUAGCCUCAGUUUAUCUAGUCUUUCAUGUCUCUUUUCUCAAGAUAUGCAUAGGUGACCCAUCAGUUCUAGUCCUUAUUUAGAGCAUUGAUGUUUAGAACAGCCUCUCCUAUAAGGAAAUUCUGGUUAAAAUACCUAGACUAUCAGACUCGUAGACUGAGGAAUAAAGAAGUCCCUCUAGUCAAGGCUCUUUGACGAAAUUAGUCUGUUGAGGAAGCUACUUUGGAAGCAGAAGCAUACAUACGAACCAAGUAUCCUCACCUCUUGUCCAUCAAUCCAGAUCAAGUUCAAGGUAACAUUUCUCAUUAAGCUUAUUCAGUGUCAUGUUCAGUAUUCAUCACAAACUCGGUAUUCAGUUUCAUGUUCAUGUUCUCAUAUAAACUUGGUAUCAAGAACCAUUGCAUAUUCUAUCAUACUUACAUGUACCAGUUCAAUCAUAUAAUCAUGAAUCAGAUAUGCAUGUUAAUUACAAUAUAUUCAUUUUAUUUGUCAUGACAGUCAUGAGAUCAUGUUUUAGUCAUUCAUGUUCGACUUACUAUUUCCCCUCUCAGUGAAUUUCAUUCGAGGAUAAAUGUUCUCAAGAAGGAGAUAUUGUAAGACCCCGCAAAACUUUGUGUUUAAAUUUAUCUCGUUUAGCUCCUAAAAGCUCUUUAAAAGGUCUUACACUUAGAAAAUUUUAGCGAAGUGCUCAACACUUAGUCUUAUUUUCAACCUUCACACUUCGGAGAUUUAUUUGAUGACCUUUCCGACAUCCGAUUUUUUAUUUUUAAGUUGUGUUGUGAUGGGGCAAGUCAAUAGUAUAUUUUGGGUGAGUUUUGGAAUUUCCAGAAUUUGUUUAGGGCAUGUUUGAAUUUUGAAACAGUAGAAUCAUGCGAUUAGCAUGCGAUGUAUGCUCCAUCUAAGGGGUCCUAGCAUGCGAUAAAGCAUGUGACGCAUUCUCUAAUUCGGAGGACUAGAGCAUUCAACGCACGCUCCAUCGUAUGCUAGCAAAUUUUCUAGCUUCCAGAUCAGCUUUCUAAGGGAAAAAUAGACCUUUACUCCGUUGUAUAAAAUUCUCUCAAGAACAGGAACAAGGGUUUCAACUUGAAGACCCAAAUCAUCAAAGUACCUCCGUGAAUUUUCCAAGAAUCAUAUAGCAAGGUAUGUGUUGUAUUGGUUCAUGGACUCCUUUCUUCCAUGAAGCUCAAGAACCCUAUUUUAAACUAUAUAUCAUACUAUUCAAGUUAUGACUUGAUUGUUGAUCAUGUUUAUGUGUGGAAUGAUUCCAAAAUGCAACCUUUAGGUGUUUUUAUGGAACUAAGAUGACAUGUUAGUUGAAAUAUAUGGAUUUUGGGUGCUUUGAAUUGUUAAAGUGAUGAAUAUACCUAUGCAAUAAAGUGUGAAUGCAAGGUGUUCGAUCAAAUGUCUGGGAGGCUAGACAUCAUGUUUUCGUGACUCAAUAGAACCUAAAUAACAAGUCCAUGCUCUAUCUUUUAUGAAUCAACAUGAAUUCCAUGCUAUUAUUGUGUAUUGUUUUUGGUAUAGAGUGCUCAUGACAUUGGAGCUAUGCAAGUAUUUACAUGUUAUAUGCAUUCCUUUCUAUGUAGAAGAUUUUGAGAACUAUGUGUAGUAUGAAAUCUCCAACUUAUGACAUUAUGAAUUGUGGACUUUAUUCCUAUGAUCAAGUAAGUCAUGUUGUGUUAGUUUCCUUCCAUCGAGUCCUGGGGGUACUUGUACUCAAAAAAUAUAGUUGUGUGCCUAGUGCUAGUUUCAUGUUUUUAUGAUAUUCUCAGUCAAUCCAUGUUCAGUAGAAUUCAGCAGUCUUGUGACUCAGGAAAUCUCAGUAAUCUCAUGAACUCAGUCAGUUGUCAUAUAUCAAUAGUAUUUCGUCAGUCAAUGGAAUUCUGUAAACUCAUCCCAUGUAUAAUUCAGUUUAUUAUGUUCAGAGUCUAUUCAGUUGGGAUUUGAAAUUAACACUGAGUGAACGCAAGGAUGGGAACACACACUGUCAGAUGAGGGUGUGAUUCUGAGAAGUCAUCCUUGCAUUCCAUAACUAUGUAGCCAGCAUAGGUUGAGACAUCAAAACUGUCAGAUGGGGGUUGAUAUGGUGGAUAAACACUGUCAUAUAAGGGUCCCACCAUUCUCUUUUUGGGACACUGUAGUUGGGAUAACUACUUACCUUUGAUUGAGUUUGCAUACAAUAAUAGUUAUCAUUCCAGUAUUCAGAUGGCUCCGUUUGAAGCUCUCUAUGGUAGGAGAUGCAAAUCUCCAGUUGUUUGGUUUGAAGUUAAUAUGGCCUCAGUCAUAGGGCCUGACUUAGUGUUUGAUGCCUUAGAGAAAGUCUAAUUGAUUAGAGAAAGACUCUGGGCUUCUUAGAGCCGACAGAAAUCUUAUACAGAUAUGCGUAGAAAGGAUCUCAAGUUUGAGAUUGGUGAUUUUGUCUACCUAAAGAUCUCUCCUAUGAAGGGAGUAAAAAGAUUCGGCAAGAAGGGAAAGCUCAGUCCCCAAUAUGUUGUCCCUUCAAGAUUCUCAGUCGAUUCGGCAAGGUUGCUUAUGAGCUCGAGUUGUCUUCAGAUCUAGCCUCAGUUUAUCUAGUCUUUCAUGUCUCUUUUAAGAUAUGCAUAGGUGUCCAAUCAGUUCUAGUCCUUAUUUAGAGCAUUGAUGUUUAGAACAGCCUCUCCUAUAAGGAAAUUCUGGUUAAAAUACCUAGACUAUCAGACUCGUAGACUGAGGAAUAAAGAAGUCCCUCUAGUCAAGGCUCUUUGACGAAAUUAGUCUGUUGAGGAAGCUACUUUGGAAGCAGAAGCAUACAUACGAACCAAGUAUCCUCACCUCUUGUCCAUCAAUCCAGAUCAAGUUCAAGGUAACAUUUCUCAUUAAGCUUAUUCAGUGUCAUGUUCAGUAUUCAUCACAAACUCGGUAUUCAGUUUCAUGUUCAUGUUCUCAUAUAAACUUGGUAUCAAGAACCAUUGCAUAUUCUAUCAUACUUACAUGUACCAGUUCAAUCAUAUAAUCAUGAAUCAGAUAUGCAUGUUAAUUACAAUAUAUUCAUUUUAUUUGUCAUGACAGUCAUGAGAUCAUGUUUUAGUCAUUCAUGUUCGACUUACUAUUUCCCCUCUCAGUGAAUUUCAUUCGAGGAUAAAUGUUCUCAAGAAGGAGAUAUUGUAAGACCCCGCAAAACUUUGUGUUUAAAUUUAUCUCGUUUAGCUCCUAAAAGCUCUUUAAAAGGUCUUACACUUAGAAAAUUUUAGCGAAGUGCUCAACACUUAGUCUUAUUUUCAACCUUCACACUUCGGAGAUUUAUUUGAUGACCUUUCCGACAUCCGAUUUUUUAUUUUUAAGUUGUGUUGUGAUGGGGCAAGUCAAUAGUAUAUUUUGGGUGAGUUUUGGAAUUUCCAGAAUUUGUUUAGGGCAUGUUUGAAUUUUGAAACAGUAGAAUCAUGCGAUUAGCAUGCGAUGUAUGCUCCAUCUAAGGGGUCCUAGCAUGCGAUAAAGCAUGUGACGCAUUCUCUAAUUCGGAGGACUAGAGCAUUCAACGCACGCUCCAUCGUAUGCUAGCAAAUUUUCUAGCUUCCAGAUCAGCUUUCUAAGGGAAAAAUAGACCUUUACUCCGUUGUAUAAAAUUCUCUCAAGAACAGGAACAAGGGUUUCAACUUGAAGACCCAAAUCAUCAAAGUACCUCCGUGAAUUUUCCAAGAAUCAUAUAGCAAGGUAUGUGUUGUAUUGGUUCAUGGACUCCUUUCUUCCAUGAAGCUCAAGAACCCUAUUUUAAACUAUAUAUCAUACUAUUCAAGUUAUGACUUGAUUGUUGAUCAUGUUUAUGUGUGGAAUGAUUCCAAAAUGCAACCUUUAGGUGUUUUUAUGGAACUAAGAUGACAUGUUAGUUGAAAUAUAUGGAUUUUGGGUGCUUUGAAUUGUUAAAGUGAUGAAUAUACCUAUGCAAUAAAGUGUGAAUGCAAGGUGUUCGAUCAAAUGUCUGGGAGGCUAGACAUCAUGUUUUCGUGACUCAAUAGAACCUAAAUAACAAGUCCAUGCUCUAUCUUUUAUGAAUCAACAUGAAUUCCAUGCUAUUAUUGUGUAUUGUUUUUGGUAUAGAGUGCUCAUGACAUUGGAGCUAUGCAAGUAUUUACAUGUUAUAUGCAUUCCUUUCUAUGUAGAAGAUUUUGAGAACUAUGUGUAGUAUGAAAUCUCCAACUUAUGACAUUAUGAAUUGUGGACUUUAUUCCUAUGAUCAAGUAAGUCAUGUUGUGUUAGUUUCCUUCCAUCGAGUCCUGGGGGUACUUGUACUCAAAAAAUAUAGUUGUGUGCCUAGUGCUAGUUUCAUGUUUUUAUGAUAUUCUCAGUCAAUCCAUGUUCAGUAGAAUUCAGCAGUCUUGUGACUCAGGAAAUCUCAGUAAUCUCAUGAACUCAGUCAGUUGUCAUAUAUCAAUAGUAUUUCGUCAGUCAAUGGAAUUCUGUAAACUCAUCCCAUGUAUAAUUCAGUUUAUUAUGUUCAGAGUCUAUUCAGUUGGGAUUUGAAAUUAACACUGAGUGAACGCAAGGAUGGGAACACACACUGUCAGAUGAGGGUGUGAUUCUGAGAAGUCAUCCUUGCAUUCCAUAACUAUGUAGCCAGCAUAGGUUGAGACAUCAAAACUGUCAGAUGGGGGUUGAUAUGGUGGAUAAACACUGUCAUAUAAGGGUCCCACCAUUCUCUUUUUGGGACACUGUCAAAUGAGGGUCACCCACAACUUGUCUUUAUCAGUAGAGUGGUAUUGACACCCUUCCAAUCAGGGCAUAGGUUGGACCCUAGAUAAGCUAUUAUAGCGUAUUUGGGGCAUGUUGGUUAGAUAAAUACUUCCCACAGUCUCAGUCUCAGUCUCAGUAAAAUAAAUCAUAUAGUUCUUCAGAAUAUCAGGACUGUCAGAAACAGUCAACUCAACUGCAGUACGGAACUCAGAUAGUUUUCUCAGAUUCAGGACUGUCAGAUACAAUUACCCAUGCUAUCAGAUAUAUUAGUCAUGUUAGUCAUCAGUACAUACAUGUUAUCAAUACUCACUCAGUAAUUAUGCUAUCAUGAACUCAGUUACAAUUGUUAUGUAUUCAUGCAUGUUUUCUCACGUUUAUGUUAGACAGUCAGAUAGUAUUACUCAUGCAUGUGAACCCUUGCAUUUAACCUACCUCACAUGCAUACUCAGUACAUUUUAUUGUAUUGACGCAUUUGCGCUAUGGCAUUUUCUUUUUUUGUUUUACACCAUAGGUUUAGAGACAUGAGUUUUAGAUCAGCAGAAGCAUUUUAAUAUUUAGCAGUGAGUCCUCAUUCUUUGAGGACAUGAUUAUUACUUUCUUAUUUCUGUUCAUUUUUUCUAGAUGAAGUUAGUUAGGGACAUGGCCCAUCAACUCCUUAUUCAGAUUAUUUAGUUAUAAAGGUUUUCUAGACUACCAGGUUUUAAACAGUUUAUUUCAGUUAUUUUGGGUAUUUCAUACCCCACUCAAAUAUUUUGUUUUAUCAGUUUUAUUAGAGUAUUGAACCUUAUGGCCUAUCAACAUUUAUUUUCAUAUUUAUAUACAUAUAUUAUGCACUAUACAGGUACAGAUAUCAGUCAUGGGUUAGCUUGUGGUCCUUCAGGGUCAUGGAUACCACGUAGCAUUCUGGGCAUCAGGCUCGGGGCAUUGUUUAAACAAAGUCUCAACAUAAUGAAAUUAGGAAUGUCAGAUUAAAUGUUAAGUACAAGGCGACCUUAAUUUUUUUAGCUUAUACAACUUUGAAGCUUUAUAUAUAUGCUCUAGCUGAGAUAAAAAUAACUUCAGUUUUAACACUAUUUCUACCCUAAAAUUGGUCUUUAGUAUCAAUUAUGUAGCCUUUGGAAGUUUUUUGGCUACCUGAUACUAUUAUUUUGUUAUUUUGCAGUACAAGUUGUUUAAAAUAGACCUCUAUGUCUGACCUCUCACCCAGAGAUAUUUUUUAUGUAAGUCCUUAUCAUAUCCAUGAAAGGGUUGUUUUGUCAAGAUCCUUUAAAAUUUAAGGUGCGCAUACAUGGAUGUGGUGCAGAAUCUAACCCUAUAGUCGAUUUCGAGAAUGAUUCCAUGGGAGUUUCUAUUGGUAACAGAACUUCUCCGUGUAGAUCAACAAUAGAGGAGGUUCAAAAUGAGCGGCUGAUAACUACAAUGCUUUGCAAGGAUUCUUGGUCUUUGAUGUUCUUGGUGGUCAUAUUGGUUUUGUAUUGAGUUCAUUGUUACUCAAAUGAUUAUUUGAUGCUUCCUCGCAGGUGAACACCAUACAUAAUCAUGCAUCUCUUAUUUGUAACAACAAGAUUAUUUUUGUGUCUGUCUAUCUGAUUAAUUUCAGGAAUCCACUGCCGUUGUAAAACCUUAUAACAAUGUUUUUUCAAUUUAUUCCCUUUUACAACACACUGAUAUGGUUGUGAUGUUGUAAAAUGAAGCCAUUAUGCUUUCAUCAUAUACCCAUGUGCUGAAAAGGCAGACAAUGAGCAAUUAUUUAUACCUGAGAUAACUAAUGCAGUUUUUUAGCACUCAAGCAUGAUGGAUAAAUGUGACCCAAUGCUUGAUGAAGAGGACGGUUCAAUUUGUUGACUGGUAAAUAUUUUGCACCAAUAACAAGCAUGAACUACUUGCAUCUGAACAAAGUACAAAAAACUUUCUAAUGUGGAUGCAACCGUCUGAUUUUAUUUUUUGGGUUUUGGGGUUUCAACAAGUGCCCAACUGGCUUCAAAAGGCAUUCGUCCACUGGUAUGUUGGAGAAGGCAUAGAAGAGGUAUAGUUUUUUGAAGCCCCUAAAGAUUUACCUGCACUUGAAAUAUGGUGAAGAAUAAUAAUGUAGACCAACAAGAUUGAAGACAGUAUUGCUCUAAUGCCUUUCAUAUGUUUUUGUUGUUAUUUUCAAUCAGUUGUUGUGCACAUGGGAAUUUGACAUUUCUUCCCAUCCACAUCUCUACAUUGUAACUUGACAUUCAUACUAUAGUGAUUGUUCAUAUUAUCAUUUAAUCUCUACAUUGUGACAAUUAAUCAAGAAAAAUAUAAAAGCUUGACUCAACAACUCUGGAUUACCGACUGUGAAGCUACAACUAACGGUUAUAAAUUAUAGCUAUGAUACUAUUAUUGGGCCCGUGCUAGAACAGGCUUCUACAUCUAGUAAUAAGUAUAAAAUGUUAAAUGUCAUACGAUUUGGACUUCUUAAACUAAAUUUUUUUCUUAAAACAUAAAGAGUUCACAAGCAGCGGAAAUUAGCAAAAUUUUUAUAAUUUUUACCAAAUAAGUAAAAAUUUAAAAAUAAAUUGAUAAACAUAAAUAUAUCUAUCUAUUUAUGAAUUCUUUUGCACAAAAUAUAAAUAUAUUUUAAUAUCUAUUUUAUAAAUAAAUAUUUGUAAUUAUAAACUUUAAGUAUAACUAUUUAUAAAAAUUUAAAAUAAUAGUAGCUAGUUAAUAAUAGUACCUAGUUAUUCUUCAAUGGAGCAUGUCUUUUUUUUUCUUUUUGCAAAGUUACAAGUGAUGCGUUUUCUUUUUUAUCAAAUAUAAAUUUAUAAAUCAAAGUUUAUAUUUAAAAAAAUAAAAUUAUGAUUUGGAGCAACUCAUGAAUUUUUAAAAAUUUAGAAUUUGGUUGAAUCGCAUAUUCUAAUACAUCUCAAAUAUUCAUUCAUCCUCGGAAUCUUCUUCAAAUUUGUCUCCAUUGAUGCCCCUCCUUGUGUUCUUUUCUAUGACCACCGGUGAAAAUGAUUAGUCGGCUUUUCUCUUAAGAUUUAUAUGAGAAUGUUCUACUCAGACUAUCAGUAAAGUUCUUAUUACGGUUAAAAAUAAUGAUAUUAGGUGUAUUGAAUUAAAUUUAAUUUUAACUAUUUACCUGAUAAUUGUUGGGAAAGGCAAAGACACAAUCAAAGAGCCCGAAAGGGUAGCAGUGAAAAUACCCAAGUAUAAAUUUUCCUUUUCAACUUGAAUCAAGACGAGAUAAGCAAAUCCAAGCAAAACAAAUAAUAUGGCGGCAAAUAAAUCAAUCACACAAAUACAAUAAGAUAAGAAUAAAGGCAAUCACAUGAGACACCAAAUUUACAUGAAAAACCCUUCGGUAUGAAGAGUAAAAAAAUUAUGGGACCAAAAACUCCACUUUAAUCACCAAUAGUUACAAUAUUGUUCUCCAAAAUGGUCACCAAACAAGUGUCAAACAACAAGCAACAAUACAUACACCACAGUACCAAACACUAGAGAAAUAAAAGAGUGAAAACACCAAAAUGCAGCUGCUAUUAAGGAAUGAAAAACAGGAGCUACAGGCCACCAAAGCUAAAUCCGUCAGUUUCUAAUAAAAAAUUGAGAUGAGAGAAACAAGCUGUCUAAAAAUCAGCUCAAUCGGAUCAGAAACGAAGCAAAAAUCGCAAUUUGAAGUUUACAGUUGUGGCUGGAAGUUUUGGGCCAAAAUUAGCUUUCUGUUCUCUCUUUGGCGAUUGAAAACUCUCUUUUGUGAUGAUGAAAUAAGACCUAAAAUGACCUAUAUAUAUAUAUGCCCCAUAGUAUUGGGCUAUGGGCAAAAGUAGGUUGGUCCAUAUUGGACUUUAUUUAUCCACAUAGGAAGGGAAAAGACCCAUAAACCAACAAUUCUCCCCCUCCCGACUAUGUGGAGGAGACCUCUAUUCCGGCGAUCAUGCAACAAUCUUCAAACUCUUCUCUUGACAAAGUUUUAGUCAUCAUUUCGGAACCAUUAUCAUCCGUAUGAAUCUUCUCAAGUUCAAGCAACUUAGAAUCCAACACAUCCCGAAUCGAAUGAUAUCUCACAUCAAUGUGUUUAUAUAGACCAUGAAAUGUAGAAUUCUUGCCAUGAUGUAUAGCACUUUGAUUGUCGUAAUAAAGCACAUACCUCUCUUGAGUAACACCAAAAAAUUAUAACACCUAUUGAAUCUUGAGUAUUUAACACCUUAUCAUGACCUAACCCUAGAUCCCAUAAUCCAGGUUAAAGGUGUUUAGCCACUCAUGAUGCAAGAAACAAGUACACAAAAUGAAUUCAUAGUUGAUAAGAUAAACUUACAAUGAUAAUGAAGAUCAAAAAGUAUAACUUGAAUUGAUGCACAAGGCAAAACUCCCAAAAUAUUGGUUUUUAGAGAGAGAGAGAAAAGUAUCAUAUGGUUCCGGAAUAAUGAUAAGUCAAUGAGUCAAUGAUUCAAUGAUAAUAGAAAACCCUAAAACAAGGCUUUAAAUAGUUAACCCUAAAUAAGGAAACAAAAUAGAAGUUUCAGCUUUUUCUCAGAAUAAAUGACAGCGUCCGUGAUGGCUUAUCACAAUUCUGAAGGCCUAUCACGAAUGUCAUCAGCUUCUCUGCUCUUUUAGCUUCUGCUGUCUAAGGUUGACGACGAUGGUAAUGCCUUAUCACCAACAUAACGACAUGUCAUGGAUGUCGUCACAAAACUUUCUUCAACUUCCAUCUUCUGUUUAAGGUUGACGGCAUCCUUGACAACUUAUCAUCAGGCUAACAACGUGUCAUGGAUGUCGUCAGCCACACUUGUUUUUUAUUUUGCUUCACUUUUCAGCCUUUUAGCUUCCUUUAUUAGUGAUUCUGCUUCAUUUCUAUCUUUUCUGCAAAAUCAAAGUAAACUACUCAAAAACAACUAAAAUUGCUCAAGACCUUGCAAUUAUUUAGAGUUAAAAGCUUCAAAUAUGUUAGCAUAGGCUCACACAUCAACACCCUCAACUUAAACAAUUGCUUGUCCUCAAGCAACAAUAACAUAACUAAGAGUAUACAAAGUACAAUUUGGCAGCUAACUACUCAUAUCAGUUCAAAAUACAUGCACCAUCUCCAAGGUCAGUCAAAUUAAGAGCACUGUGUCUAUUAUUGAAAACACUCAUGCAACUCACAAGGAUCAAGAUAUGGAAAAAAUUUAAGAAAUAACAACCCAGCACAUACCCAAAUCACACUAUCCGAACAAGUUAGUGAUUAGCAACAUACCUAGUGUGCCCUCUCAACAAAGAAAUCCAUUUUUCACUCAUAUUAGAAUUCACAUACAUAAAUACAGGGAUAAAUACAAGACUCAUUCUCAGAAUGAAUUUCCAAACAUUGCGUGUUAAAUGCCAUAGACUUGCCCUUAUAGUCAGUACCCAAGUCUUCAGCCAGGUCAGUUAGGAUCACUAUAGGGAUUUUCUUAAACUUAUAAUCUAAGCCAGGGGCUGGUAUGAUAUCCAUGGAUAUUUCAGAGUGACUAUGCCUCCUUGACACUACAUUAAACUAUCGGGGUUUCAACUCUUAACCUUCUUUUCUUCCCUCUUUUAUUGAUCAUGCAUGCUCAAGAUGGUGCGGCCUUUUCAAUUAUCAGAUUAUCUUUUUAUCAUCUUUUACACAGCAUUCUCUUUUCUUUUUUCAUUUUUCCCGUACCUAAAUUUCAUUUAUUUUCCUUAGUCUACCUCUCUUCAUACGUAUUUCGCAUCAUGCACCCCUAUAAUAGCCACCCUCAACUUAGGUUGUUUGCCUAAGUCAAGGUGCAAGUGUCCAAGGAGGACCAAGGCCAAGACAGGUUCAUUGUGAUGUGAACGAGAAGGUGAGAUAUGUUAAAAAAAGAAAUAGACUAAUUAAGCUCAAAAAGGGAUCAAGGGAUACUAUGCACAUAGGGAAGGUCAUUUUGGCUAAAAGUGGAUUAAUCAGCAAAAACGGCCUAUGAUCCUUUCCUAACUCCUAUCCUAUGACCAAGGCAAGACUAACAGGGCAAGUUCUAAAUUCAACAUACAACGGGAACUGAGUAAGACCUUACACACAUGGCACAAAAUAUUUUGCAUAUCACUACUUAUCUGGUUCAUGCACUUAUUUAAUUCAGGUCAUUCUGUUGCCAUACUAAUGCCACAACAAGAUACACCAUGGUCAUAAAUGGAUGCAAUUCACACAAUACAUAAUAUCCCAGCCAAAUGGAGAGGUAAUCAAAAAUCACAAAAUAAGAUAACUACCUCAAGUACUUGUACUACUCCUAGUUAUCUAUAGAAUAUGCUACAACAAUAACCUACCCUACACCCUUAACUUAAAAUAAAAAAUAAAUUGCCCUAAGGGUUAGGGUAUACCUGAAGACAAUUAAGCACAUGGAUCCUGGGUCUCCGACCCUGCUAAUGCAUCAUCUGAUAUCUUCUUCCCACCAGGAGCAUUUGGCUUUACGGUGGUUGGAGCCCUGUUAGAUGAAGCACCAGCAGACUUAGCUCAGAUGGCUGCCUCUCAUUUCUUAGUAUCAGCCAGGGAUGCGAAUCUUUCUUUAUUCAACUCCUCCUUUUUGGCCUUAUUUUUUUCCUUCAUUUUCACUCUUCUUUCAUCCUUACUGUUUGAUUCUUCUCUCUUAUCUUUGCCCAUCUUUCCCCUUUUUCUUUUUUUCUUUGGGGAAUCUUCAGUGAGGUCAAAUAUUGGGAUUUUGUCCUUAGAUUUUUCCACAGCCGGACCUAUUGGCAUCAUAAGUUGGUGUGCUGUAAUACCCCAACAUCUACCUUUACCUUAUCCAAUAUCGCUCUGAAAUUAGCAAGAUCAUCCCCUGUCAUUUUUUUUACCCGGGCAUCAAAUCUGUUCUCCAAAUCUGUAACCUAUCCCGACAAAGUCUCAAUAGGAUCAAGGGCAUCCUUCAUUCUUUUGUCUACUGCAGUAGUAAACUAUUUGGAAAAAGCAUAUAGAUGUGCCUCACACCACUUGGCUUGCUUAGCCACUUUUCUAAUAUCAAUCGGAUAGAAUGUAAACCCUGCUGCUGCUGUAGGAACUGAGGGAUUUGGCUCUCCUCAGGCACUGAACCUGCUUGUGCUGAAGAAGUUGGUGGAACCAUCUCAAAAUCUUGCACCUCCACAUGAGGUGCUACACCGACAUUUGUGAAUGGAGGGUUUGCUUCUAUCUCUGCACCUCUAUCAAGUCUCAAUCUUGGAUGAUUAUGAUCAAAUCGUAUAGGGUUAUGAGUUUUUUGGGCAUGAACAUCUUCAUCAACUCCUGCAAUCUUUGGCACCCUAGCAGCUCGGCACAACUUUGUGAUAAUACAAGGAAAAGGAUAAGCAGUGUCGGUUCUUAGCAUCUUAAUCUUUAUGUCAUCAGUAAUAAUUUCUCCAAAGUUCAAGAGAAGCUGCUGCACCAUGCUUUAUACCAAAAUAGCCUAAUCAUCACCCAAAAUAUUAUCCCCAUCAGUAGGCAUCAACCAUACGCGCACUAUACCCCACCAAAAGUUUGCCUCUUGCAUCAGAGAGGACUUACAGAUUCUCUCAUUUGGGUUUAUCACCCAUGUUGGUUCACCUUCAACUAUGAUGUUUGCCAACCACAGAUGUUGUUUGUCCUGAUUCUUAAUUCGAGCAUAGACUGAUGGUGCGGUGUCCUGAGGAGUGAAGUCGGGCCCAUGUAAGAAUCUGUUGAUAGUUCUGAUCGAAACAUCAAUUCUUAUGCCCCUCACCUGAACUCUAUCCAACAGGGGCUGGUCUACUACUUUUUUACCUGACCUGCACAUAUUUUCUAACUGAUCUUGGUAGUUCGUGUAGAACUCCCGGACCAAUAAAAGGCAAAAUGAUCCUUCUCUUUGCUAGUCCACCCAAGCCAUAAUCUUUGAACUUCUGUUCCACUUUCGGGUACUUGCUCAACCCCUUUGUGAUAAUCAUUAUUUCUUCCUAAAUCGGCCUCUUAGCAUUCUUUCUAUCAAUUCUUCGAUGCCCAAUGGUGUAGAUGUCCUCUGCUGUAGGGAUCUGCCAUUUAGCGUUGUCUCUCACUUCAGUGUUCUUACAUUUGAUAAGAGUUCCUCGAGGUGGAGACUCUUCAUUAUUUUGUUCCUCAGUGGAUGGGGACCCAGAUGUUGUUUUCUCAGACUCAGACUCCCCAGACCCCUCCUAUUUUUCUUCUUCAGAGUCAGCAUGCUCAGACUCAUGCUAUUCAGAACCCCCUUUCUCAGAAGCAGUAUGUUUAGACCCGACCCCUCCUACUAAGAAGCUAUUGUCAUCUCAGUGUCAUCAUUGUCCUCUACCUCAACUGAUGGGGGUGGUGAAGGUUUCUUCGAACUUUGUUUCUUCUUUUGCUUUCUGAGUAGGGGUACCUCCUUUUCGUAAUCAGAUUCCUCGUCGAUGAGGUUACGACGUACACUUUCUUUGGUUGCUUUAUUUGGUGUCAUGGGACUCUUUCUUUUUGGUUCCAUUGUAAAGUUCCUGGAGACAAUAGAAGAACAUUAGUUAGCCUUCAAAAGCACAAACAUAAAUACAUUAAUCAUUUAAGCUCAUUCAUGUUUCAGGCUCUAGGUGUGACGACAAUUCUUGAUAAGCUGUCACGACUGUGAUAGCUUAUCAUAGUUUUCGUCAACCUCAGAUAGAACCCACACAAUUUUACCAACUUUUGACGACAUUAUUGACAAGCCGUCACAAUUGUAAUAUCCUAUCAAGAAUGUCGUCAACUCUAAACAGAAACUACUUUAUUUUUGUCAUCCUUUGACGACAUUCCUGAUAAGCCGUCAUGUUUGUGAUAGCCUAUCAUGAAUGUCGUCAGCUCUUAUCAGAACCCACUUUUGAUUUUAACUAAAUUUUUGGUCCCCAUUAUUUCUCAAGAUCCGCUUGAAUUCUGAUUUGUGUGCUAUCUUUUCAAACCUUGGGCCUGCACAGCAAAUCCUAGGCGCAAUUUUAUCUCCUUCUCCAAGUUGAACUUGGUUCAAGCAUCUUGGGGACCAUCCAUCAUUCUCCACAAGAACAGAAGAGUUAAAGUAGAGUAUACCUGAUGGAGCCCUUAAACUAAUGUCAUGCACAAGGGGAAGUGUGAAAUAGGAACAAUUUCUUGAUUGUGAAGUGCAAACCCACACACAAGGGAAUUUGUUUUCUUGGAGUGUUUUGCAAAGAGUAGGAAAUAAUUUAACUAAGGAAAUAAAUAAACUAAGGAAAUUAAAUAAAACUAGUGGAAAUUUGAAAAGGUUUCACAGCUGGGCUGGGUCGGAUAUACUUUAACUGGGCCCAGAAAUUAGCUUUUAAGGCUUUAGGUUGACGAUGAUUUAUGAUGGAUUAUCACGAGUGUGAUAUCCCAUCAUGAACGUCGUCACCCUUAAGUAGAGAAUGCUUCAUGCUUGGCCUAUCUGAUGACAAUUAUGAUAGCUUAUCACAGUUGUGACGGCUUGUCAAGGAUGUCGUCAUGACCUUUCAGCUGACCUUCUCCUUUUUCCACCUUCUCUAUACUGAAUCCUAAUUCUAAAAAAAUAAAAACACUUGCUUAAACAUAAAAACUUUUGGUUGCCUCCUAAUAGCACCUGAUUUACUGUCGCAACACGACUUGGUUAUCUUGACUACUCAGACUUCACCAAGACCACUAGUUGAUACCCCUUUUCCAUCAUCAUAGAUGACGUCAACAAUUGAGAAAACACUCAUCUCAUGUUUUUGAGUCAUGGAUGAGUGUAUUUUGAAGCGUGCUUCUUUGUCAUUGAACCUGAACUUCAGCUCAUUCAACUCCAUGUCUACUAGCACUCUCUCGGUUGUCAGUAAUGGCCUACCCAAGAUGAUGGGCACUUCAAAAUCUACCUCGCAAUCUAAGACCAAAAAAUCAGCAGGCAAAAUAAAAUUAGCUACCUUCACCAAAAUAUCGUGCAGUAUGCCCACAGGUAGCUUCACAGAUCUAUCUACCAUUACCGACCUCAUAUUCAUUGGGGUAGAAUCCCCAGACCCAAUUUUUUGUACACAACCAAUGGCAUUAAAUUUAUACUGGGUCCCAGAUCGCAUAGUGCUUUUGUGAACUUCAGGGGGCCAAUAGUACAUGAGAUGGUGAACGCUCUCGGAUCUGCCUUUUUCUACGUUAAAGACCUUGUAGAAAUAGCGCCGUAAUGGAGGAGAUUAUCCUCCGGCUUAUGUCUAACCUUCCGCUUCUUGGUUAUAAGGUCUUUCAUGAACUUUGCGUAGCCUAGCAUUUUCUCAAGUGACUCAACCAAAGGCACAUUAAUUGUCAAUUGCUUGAGCAUUUCCAUGAACAUGCUGAAUAUUACAUCAUCAACCUUUUUCUUCAAUCAUUGAGGAAAGGAAGGUGGUGGUCUAGGGAUAGUUUUCAACACCACUUCCUCUUCCUUAUCCUUUUCUUUCUCCGAAACAUCAACAGAACUAUCCAGCUUCUCAGACUCCACUUGACAACUUUCUUCAGAUUCAUCAACAAUUACCUCAUUAUCUACAAAUUUGCCCACCGAAGGGACAAGUAAUAUUUUACCACUCUGAGUGGUAAUAGCCAUACAUGAUCCAUCAUUCCGCGGAUUCUGAACCGUAUCACUUUGUAAAGAACCAUUUUUUUCUGAUUCAGUUUAGCGGAAAGUUGGCUCAUCUGUUGAUCUAACUGCUUGAUAGAAGCAGAGUAUGAACUAACCAACAAACUCAGGGUAGAGAAUUCACUCUUUAUAGUAGUUACCCCCAAGUUGGUAGCCUCAACUCCCUUCAACAACUUUUUCAUCAUGUCCUACUUGGACAUUUUUCCAGAGCUAGUUGUUGCAACAUCCCAACUUCCAGGAGGAAAAUAUAAACCACUCCUAUCAUUAUUGCUUCUCCAGUGUCCCUGCUCCCUAUCUUUAUAAUCUAGCUUGUCAUAAAAGUUCCGACCUUGGUUCCCUUGGCUAUUUCCUUAGAAACCCCUCUGAUUACUCACAUAGUUUGCCUCCUCAUCAGCAUUCGUAGCAAUAGUACCCUGAGAUUCCAUAGCCUUAACUUUUUCUAUCUUGCCUGACAGCAAGUGCUUGGUCAGCAAAUCCAUUUGUGUCUUCAAGUGGGCCAUGUCCUGGUAUCACUUUUCAUCCCUUUUGUGCUACUCCGCAGUCAUACCACCAGAAAUAGUCAGGCUAGCCACCACAGAAACCCUGGUGUGCUAAGCCCAACUCUUCUUUGUCAUUUUAUUCAGCAUGUCUGAAGCAUCUAAAAAGAGAGGUCACUGAACGAACCACCUGCAAUAUUGUCUAUAAUUGGCUUUGUCACAGAGUUAAAAGCUCUGUACAAAGUCUCCAUCAAGUGCAAGUCGACAUAUUAUUGUUCGGAUAUUGUGCCAGCUUCUUCUUAAACCUCUCCCAGGUUUCGUGCAAUGCUUCAGUAGGGAGCUACCUAAAAUUACUCAUUUCGUCCCUCAAUUGUACCCUCUUGGAGGGUGGAAAGAAUCGUUCUAGGAACACCACUUUCAACUGUCUCCAGUUGGUUAUAGAAUCGGGUUCUAGCUCAUUUAACCACAUUGUUGCCUCUCUAGAUAGAGACAAUGGAAAUAAUCUCAACCUGAUCGCAUUCUAGCUUACUCCCGAUUUGUCAAAAGAUUUUCAAAUGGUGAUAAAGUUCACCAAAUGCAUGUUCGUGUCAUCACCAGGCAAGCCUCUAAACAACCCCUUCAGAUUUAGGAGUUGGAUUAUGGUACUUGUUAUACUAUUUGCAACCAACAAACGUUAAUUAUAAUCUCAGAAUUACCAAGAAAUCCUAACACCUAUUGAAUCUUAAAUAUUUAACACCUUAUCAUGACCUAGCCCUAGAUCUCAUAAUCCAGGUUAAAGGUGUUUAGCCACUCAUGAUGCAAGAAACAAGUACACAAAUUGAAUUCAUGGUUGAUAAGAUGAACUUACAGUGAUAAUGAAGAUGAAAAAGUAUAACUUGAAUUGAUGCACAAGGGAAAACUCCCAAAAUAUUGGUUUUUAGAGAGAGAGAGAAAAGUAUCAUAUGGUUCCAGAAUAAUGAUAAGUUAAUGAGUCAAUGAUUCAAUGAUAAUAGAAAACCCUAAAACAAGGCUUUAAAUAUUAACCCUAAAUAAAGAAACAAAAUAAAAGUUUUAGCUUUUUCUCAAAAUAAAUGACGGCAUCCGUGACGGCUUAUCACAAUUCUUACGGCCUAUCACAAAUAUCGUCAGCUUCUCUGCACUUUCAGCUUCUUCUGUCUAAGGUUGACGAUGAUUGUGAAACCUUAUUACCAACAUGACGACGUGUCAUGGAUUUUAUCACAAAACUUUCUUCAACUUCCAUCUUCUAUUUAAGGUUGACGGCAUCCUUGACAUCUUAUCACCAGGCUGACGACGUGUCAUGGAUGUCGUCCGCCAUACUUGUUUUUUAUUUUGCUUCACUUUUCAGCCUUUUUGCUUCCUUUAUUAGUGGUUCCCCUUCAUUUCUACCUUUUCUGCAAAAUCAAAGUAAACUAAUCAAAAACAACUAAAGUUUCUCAAGACCUUACAAUUAUUUAGAGUUAAAAGCUUCAAAUGUGCUAGCAUAGGCUCACACAUCAUAGUCAAAGAAACUAGAUCAACAUCAACUAGGUUCUCACUACUCUGACAAUCAAACUGCUUAGCUUUGUGAAAAUCCUCAAUUGUUUGUUCUUCAAAGAACACAACAUCAGGACUUCUAACAAGUUUCUUCUCAACUGGAUCAUAGAAACGAUAGCCAAAUUCAUCUUGACCAUAACCAAUGAAGAUACACUGCAUAGUUUUAAAAUCCAACUUUGACCUCUCAUCUUUAGAAAUAUGUACAAAAGUUUUACACCUAAAGACUCUAAGAUAAUCAUAAGAAACAUUAUUUCCAGACCAAAUGUAACUCCCCAAAACUAGGUCCUGAGAUGUCACACCGUGAUUAAGGCUACAAGUAGCCCCAAGAUAACCAUUUGAGCCUGCUACUACUUCUAAAUUCUUAAAUCAGGAUACUGAGUCUAACUGAGAUAUAUCUAAUCAUAGUCCAACUUAAAUAUGAAAGAGUACUAUGAAUGUAACAAAAUACUGAAUGUCUAAACACACUGACCAUCUAGUCUAACAAAGCCUCUAUUACUUCAUAAACUAGAGAGCCAUUGGGACAGAUCCCCAACAGACUCGAACUAAUUUGAAAAUAGUAAAACAUAUGCUAAAGAUACAAAAAUAUCCAAAGAUAUGUCCUCAAAUUAUGAGGACUCACCACUGCUGAGAUGUAGAUGAAAGUGAUAGGAAAUCACUGAUGAGGCUGGGACUGAACACCUGAACCUACAUUAUAAAAAAAUUUAGCACACAGACAAGUAUAUGAAUCAGUACCUUGAGAAUGUACUGAGUAUAUGUGGGUGUAUUCAUUUGUAUAAAACAAUAUCACAAUUCUUUACAAAAAAUAUAUAUGCAAAUACAGAUGACUCACAUAGCUUGAGUAAAGCCUUCAUAAAUCAUGAAUAGGAAGUAUGUAAGUAGGUCACGUGGGUCAUUUCACUCAGUUCUAAUACUUGUAUUAUUUCUUUGUUCUCAAACUUGUAAUUUAAUGAGACCUUAAAAUAUCAACUUCCAAGAUGUACAUGAUGUGUGAGCAAAAGCUAACACAUUUAAUGUUUUUUGGCUCAAAACAAUUACGAAAUCUUCAAAAACUUUUGUUAUUUUAAUGUGUUUUCUAGCAAAUUUGCAGAAAAAGGUAAAAAGACAGAAAAUAAACAACAUCAGAGCAAAAGAGUUAAAAACUGAGCAAAAAGGAGAAGGAGGCAUGGCUGAUGACAUCACUGAUAAGUCGUCAACCUUGUAAUAGGCUAUCAAAAGCGGCGUCAUCCUUAACCAAAAACUUGAGCCUAAGAGGAAUUUUAGAUGACGUUGGUGAUAAGGCGUCAAGAUGGUGAUAAGGCAUCAUGAAGGGCGUCAGCCUGAACCAGAGAAUUAAGCUUAAUGAAGAAAGCUGACGACGUUUGUGAUACGCCGUCAGAUCGGUGAUGUGGCGUUAGCUAAAUCAUCAGCCUAAGACAAAUUUUAAAGGAAACUAGAGCAUUUAUGAUGCCAUCCGUGAUAAGGCAUCACGCUCCUGACGUGGCGUCAGCGACAGCGUCACCUAAUCCGAGAUUUAAUUUGAUUUGUUAUUUUAUUUCCAUAAUUAGGGUUAAGUAUAAAUAGGAGUUUUUAGGGUUUUAUUAAACAUCUUUUGAGCAAUCUUCCUAAACUUUUAUUCAAUCUUCUUUAAUCCUUGAAACUCUUAAUCUUUUUGGGAACACUUAUCAACUAAUUGUGGAUAUUUAUUUUUUGUGAUUGAAUUGAAGGAACGACUUGUUGUUUUUCAUACAUUCUUAAGUUUACUUAUAUUAUUAUGAAUUCAACUUGUUCUUUCGUUCAUCAAAUCAUGAGCGGCUAAUUCUAUUAGCCGGAGUUAUGGGAUCCAUGGAUUAGGGUUUGACAUAAUGCUAGGUGUUUAAUAGAUUUAAAGAAUAGUAGAACAUCUUGAAAUUCUGUUGUUUAACUGAAAUCUAGUGGUUGCAAACAUUAGAUUAUGCCUUAGGUUUUAUUUACUUCUAACGGAGAAAUAGACUAGAGGUCGUGAAUUAUCAACAAGGACUCGGGAGCUACCAACCCAUGUUGAACAUAGCUUUGGUUUUCCAUUUAGAUUGAGUACAAAUACUAAAAUACUAAAAGUGAAAAUUCAUUUAUUGUUCAACUUAAACCCCCAUUUUCGAAAACAUUAAACUACCAGUAAAGUAUUUCGUAAAUAAAUUAAAGUUCACACCCUAUUCCCUGUGGUAUUUGACCCCAACCUAGUUGGUUUUUAUAUUGACAACGAUCACUUACACCCAUUCAAGAGUGUAAUUUAAGCGUUAUCAAAAAUGGCGCCGUUGCCGGGGAAUACGAUUGUAGACUAAAAUUUUGUGCGCAAAAAUUUACUGAUAGUUAAGUUUCCUUGAUUUACGUUUAUUUGUUUUUUUGUUACUUUUAGGUACUAUGUUGUUUAUACGAAAAAUGAGAAUUUUCGGAGAACCACUAUUACCAAUCAACCCGGAACCUCAACUGAUAGGGAGAAUGGCAGAACAACAGGAAGAAGAAAGACUAGUUGCUUUAGCCAGGGCUCAAGUAAAUGUGCAAAAUUUGGGUCAACAAGCAUGUCAUCAAACCCUGAUGAUGAAGACUUAGAUGAUGAGGAAUUUCUGAAUCCUCAAAACCCAAGGCGAGCGGAGCAAGUUGCUGCACCAGUGCAGCAAAACAUCAACAAAAAUCAUCCAGUCUGAGGAAGAUAUCGUCAAAAUCCUAUGCAAUAUGAGUUAGAUGAAGAUGAUGAAGGAAUGGACGAAGCUGGUGCAACGGGUGCUAUCAUUCUGCCACCGUUGGCACUAGGUGCGAAAUUCAGCAUAACAAGUACCAUGAUCCAACUCUUGAAUCUAAAGGGGUUGUUUGGAGGCUUGCUCGGUGAUGAUCCAAACAUGCAUUUGGUGAACUUUAUCACCAUUUACAAAUCCUUUGACAAUCUGAGAGUGAGCCAGAAUGCGAUCAGGCUGAGAUUGUUUCCUUUGUCUCUGUCUGGGGAGGUAACAAUGUGGAUAAAUAAGUUAGAGCCUGAUUCUACAACCAACUAGAGACAGUUGAAAUAUGUGUUCCUAGAAUGAUUCUUUCCACCCUCCAGAAGGGUACAGUUGAGGGACGAAUUAGCAACUUCAGACAGCUUCCGACUGAAGAACUGCACGAAACCUGGGAAAGAUUUAAGAAAAAACUUGCACAGUGUCUGAACCAUAAUAUGACGGAUUUGCACUUGAUGGAGACUUUGUACAGAGCUUUUAACUCUGUGAUGAAUCCUAUUAUUUACAAUGCUACAGGUGGUUUGUUUAUUGACCUCUCUUUUCUAGAUCCUUCUGACAUGCUGAAUAGAAUGACCAAGCUGAGUCGGGCUUGGCGCACUAGGGAUUCUGUAAUGGCUAGCCUGACUAUUACUGGUGGUAUUAUUGCAGAGUAGAAUAGAAAGGAUGAGGAUCGAGAUCAACACAUAGCCUAUUUCAAGAUGCAGAUGGACUUGCUGGCAAAACACUUUCUAUUCGAUAAGACUGAAAUGGUUAAGGCUGUGGAAUCUCAGGGUGCUGUGUCUGUAGGUGUUAAUGCUGAGGCAAAUAAUAUGAGUAAUCAGGGAGAUUUCCAAGGCAAUAGCCAAGGGAACCAAGGUUUUACUUUUUAUUACAAGCUUGAUUAUAAAGAUAAGGAGCAGGGACAUUGGAGAAAUAAUAAUGACAGGAGUGGUUUGUAUAUUUCUCCUAAAAGUGGGGAUGCUGCGACAACUAGUUCUGGUAAGAUGUCCAUGGAGGACAUGAUGGAAAAGUUUUUGAAGGGAGUUGAGGCAACCAACUCAGGGGUAACUAAUAUGAAAAGUGAGUUUUCUACCCUCAGUCAGUUGGUUAGCUCACACUCUGCUUUUAUUAAGCAGUUAAAGCAGCAGAUGAGACAACUUUUGGCUACUCUGAACCAUAGAAAAGAUGGUACUUUACCUAGUGAUAUGGUUUAGAACCCAUAGACUAAUGGCUCUUGUAUGGCGAUUACCACUCAGAGUGGUAAGAUGUUAUUUGGCCCUUCUAUGGGCAAAGCUGUGGAAAAGGAUAUGAGUGUUGAUGAAUCAGAAGGAAGCAAUCUAGUAGAGUCUGAGAAGCUAGAUGGCUUUGUUGACAUUUCAGAGAAAGAAGAUGAAAAUAAAGGGGAUGUGGUAUUGAAACAAAUGCCAAGACCACCACCUUCAUUUCCCCAGAGAUUGAAAAAGAAAAAAGAUAAUGAGAAAUUUAGCAAGUUCAUGGAAAUACUAAAAUAACUGACAGUGAAUGUGCCAUUGAUGGAGGCAUUUGAUCAAAUGCCAAACUAUGCUAAAUUUAUGAAGGAAUUGCUAACAAAGAAGUGGAAGGUAAUCUGUGAGCUGGUGGGCAACAUCCAUCAUUGUGGUGUUGUUUCUUCACAAUCCUUAGUGCAGAAAAAGCCUGACCCUGGAGCAUUUACUGUACCAUGCACAGUUGGAUCCAUGAAGUUUACCAAAGCUUUAUGUGAAUUAGGAGCAACUAUUAAUUUGAUGCCACUUGAUAUCUACAAGAAGCUUGGAUUGGGGAAGCCUAUCCCCACAACGAUGCAUCUUGUUAUGGCAGACAGAUCAGUGAAACGACCAGUUGGUAUAUUGAAUUAUGUGCCAGUAUAAGUGGAUGACUUUAUUUUGCCUGCAGAUUUUGUGAUAUUGGAUUGUGAUGUUGGUUUUGAGGUACCCAUCUUUUUGGAUAGACCGUUAUUAGCCACGGGAAGAGUAUUAGUUGAUAUGGAGCUCAAUGAGCUCAAAUUUAGGUAUGGAAAAAAGGAGGCCAAAUUCAAAAUGUAACCUCCUAUGAAACAGUUGGAGGAGAUGAAUAUCUUCUCGGUCGUUGAUGUAUUCCAGGAAAAUAGUAAUGAGGUAGUGAUAUGACAUCUUGACGAAGUUUGAAUAGUCGAGAUAAACAAGUCGUGCUGCGAUACUAAAUUAGGCGCCUUUGGGAGGCAACCCAAAAUUUUAUUUUCAUGCAUUUUGUUUUAUUAAUUUAGGUAGUAAUAAAAAGGAACUGAAGAGGUACAAAGAAGUCAAGGUAAAAACUGAAGAAAGCGAGCCAAGCGGUCUUGACGACAUUCGUGAUAGGCUAUCACAACUCAAAAAGAAGAAACUUGAGUUCAAGUGUAACAACAUGGAAAUCGGAAAUUAGGGUUAAGUUGUGCCUAAAUUACAAAAAUUUAAAACCCCAAGUACAAAAGCAAAAAUUCCAUGUGGUUAUACGAAGAAUUUGGUCCCAAAAUUUAGAAUGCAAACUAAGUGGGAAAAAUGCUGAGCUAACGACGUUGCUGAUAGGCUAUCACUAGCGUGACGCCUUAUCAGCUUAUGUCGUCAAAAAAUUAGAAAAAGGGAGCAUUCACUGUUUACGGCGGACGAUCUACCUGAUAGGCUAUCACAACUGUGAUGCCUUAUCAGGAAUGUCAUCAUAAGCUUGAAAGAAGUAUUCCAAUUCUAUUUAAGACUGAUGACAUUGUUGAUAGGUUAUCAUAAAUGUGACGCCUAAUCAGCCAUGUCGUCUCACAAUGAUGAUAAUGCUAAGUGAACUUGAAAAGCAUGUUUUGACUGUUAUACCUUCAUUAUUAACUUAUGUUUGUAUUAUGGUCCAGGAAUACUCUAAUGGCACCUAAAAGAAAGAAUCCUAACACUCCAAAGAAAGCUGCCAAGCCCAAGGUGGUUUGCAAGCUUAUUGAUGAAGACUCUGAUUAUGAAGAUGAAGAACCACUGCUCCGGUGGAGGAGAAAUAAACCCAGUCCAAAGGCACCUCCUCCACCUAAACCUAUCGCGGUGGAGGAUAGUGAUGACACUGACACCACCAUCCUAGCUGAGACUGAAUAUUCUGAGCAAGAGGGUUCUAAGAAAACUGAGUCUGAACAGCCUAAGUCUGAGAAGGCUAAAUCUGAAGAAUCAGAGGUAAAAGAUGUUAAGUCUGACAAAUCUGAUUUUGAGGAACCAUUCUCUAAAACUCCCUCGGCUGAGAAUCAAGUUGAGAAGGAACCCUCAGCUCAGGGAACUUUGAUAAAAUGUAAGAAUCCUGAGAUUCGAGAGAAUGCUUGAUGGCAGAUCCCUGAAGCAGAGGACAUCUUCCUCAAGGAUAUGAUUAGAACAAAAAGAAAAUCUGUUAGUAUCUCAAGAGAAAAGAGUCAUCAUCACAGAAUUUCCUGGGUAUCCUGCAGUUGAGAAGAAAUUCAGAGAUUAUGGGCUAGGAUGGACUGCUAAGGGAGGUGAACCAUGUUGUCCUACAUUAGUUCGGGAGUUCUAUGCGAACUACCAGGCUAGAUUAGAGAGCAUGUGUAAGAAUGGAGAGACCACAGCAGACCAGCCUUUGCUAACCAGAGUUCCAGUUCGUGGGUUAAAUAUAGAUAUUUCUGAUACGACUAUCAACAGAUUUCUACAUGGACCCAACUUCAUUCCUCAGGUCACAAAUCCUACAUUCUACCAUCGUCUGAAGAGUAAGGAUGACUAGCGUCCUUGGUUAGCUACACUUAUAGCUGAGGGAGAUCCUUUAUGGCUGAACCAACCUAGUGAGCGUAUCUACAAGACUUCUUUGACUUAAGAGGAAAAAUUCUGGUGAGGUGUUGUGUGCACCUAUUUAAUGCCAACCGAUGGAGCUAAUAUUCUGGGUGAUGAUCGAGCGAUAUUGGUCACAUGUCUUGUGUCCAACCUGAAGCUAAAUUUUGGAGAGAUCAUUGCUGAAGUGAUCAAGAUUCGGGUAACAAGGUCUGACACUGCUUACCCAUUCCCUUGUCUUAUUACCAGGCUAUGCAUAGAGGCAAGGGUACCAUAUAUUGCUGGGAUUGAUGAUACGUUGUAUACCACUAAGACCCACAACCCUAUUUGCUAUGAGGAAAAUCAGCCAAGGCUGACACUUGAUAGAGGGGUAAGGGUUGAGGUGAACCCAUCAGUUGCAGGCCCUAGUUCAGUAUCUAAAGUAAAUGUGCAAGCUUCUGAGGCUGUACAGACAGGCUCAGUUACUGAGGAUUAUCCAGUUCCAUUAGUUCCUAUAGCACCAGCAAAAGCUUCAUCCCAGUCUAUUGAUAUAAAAAAAGUGGCCAAACAGGCCAGAUGGUGUGACAUGAAGCUAUGUGCCUUUGUUGAGCAGUUUGUUGCUGCUGUAGAUAAGAGAAUCAAGGCUACUCUUGAGCCCUUUGCUUCUUUUCCUGCACGGGUUGCAGAUCUGGAGAACCAUUUUGAGAAAGGGCACAAGAGUUGACUGGAGUAGAGCUUGCUGAAUUCAGAGUGGCCCUAGAGAAGGUAAAAUUUAAUAUGGUAGUGGUAUAGUAGCACCAGUUUAUGAUGCCUGCAGGGCAGUCAGCUGAAGAAUCUAAAGAUGAACCCUCAAUCCUUGAUCUCACUGCGGAGCCAGUGAAAAAGAAAUAGAAAAAAGACAAAGAAACUAAAAAAGGUAAGAGAAAGAGAUAAGAAGAUGAUAAGAAUGAGAGCAAAGCAGAGAAAAAGGCAAAGAAGAAGAAGAAAACAGAGAAGACACUAUAGGACGAUGAUGAGCUAACAGAACAAGAGAAGGUGGGUCUGAAAAAAAUAAUGAAAGCAUCCCGAGAGGACAACUAGAAAUGGGAAGAAGCACUGUGAGCGAGGGCUAUAGCAGCCUCAUCUAGCAGAGCAGCUGAACCGAAGCACAGAGAAGCUCUUGAUGAGGAUGACACUGCUGCAGGGUUAAGGACCCAUGAUUUGAGACUUGAUUGACUCCAGGUACACCCUAACCCUUAGUUUCAUUUUGUUUAAAUUUAAGUUGAGGGUGUAUGGUAGUAUGUUGUUAUAGCAUAUUCUGUAAAUAACUAAGAGUAGUGCAAUUUCUGUAGGCAGUUAAUUGAUUUUGUGAUUUUGAAUACCUCUCCGAAGGUUUGUUUUGCAUGACUGUGUGAAUUGCAUCUUAGUGUGAACACUGUGCAUCUCAUCAUGGCAUUCAUUUAGUUACUUGAUCAUCACUACUGAACAAUUGCAUGAACCAAAUAGGUAGUAGCCAGUGAUAUUGCUUAUGUGCCAUGUAUGUGUGAGAAUAUACCGAGUUCUCUUUUUGUAUUGCCAAAUCUAGAACUUUCCCGGUUUGUCUUACCGUAGUUGAAAGAUAGGGGUUAGGAAAAGAUCAUAGGCCAUUUUUGAAUUUCAGUCACAGUUAGCCUAAAUGACCUUUCUGUAAUGCCUGAUAUCCCUUGAUCCCUGUUUGAGCCUUAAUUGACCAUUUUCUUUCUAUCAUACAUAUCACCUUCCCCUUUUUAAUCAUAAUGAACCUAUUUUGGCCCUAGUCCUCCUUGGACACUAUGCACCUUGACUUAGGCAAAUAACUUAAGUUGAGGGUGGCUAUCAUAGGGGUGCGUGAUAUAAAUUGGGAAUGAAGAAGGGUUGAGUAAAAUAAAAAGAAUAAGUGAGCAAGAAAUAGAUGACUGGGGUGUUGGUGAAAACAGAGUUAAAAGGGGACAUUUGUUGAAUCAAAAGAAAAAAAAACACCCAGUCUGAAUAUGUGAUAAAGGGAAAAAGAAAAGAAAAAAAAAGAGUAAAAAAAAGAGGUUAACAAGUAGACCCCACAAGUUUGGUAGUGCCAAGGAGGGCAGUAUCUCUAAAUGCCAUGUAAUUCCAUACCAUCCCCUAGCCUACGUUACAAGCCAAAGAAAGCCCUAUAGUGAUCCUAGCUUACCGGUCCAGCCACUUUGGUAAUGACGAUAAGGGCAAGCAUAUGGUAUUUGGCAUACACUGGUUGAACUUCAUUCUGAGAGUGAGUGUUUUAUGAUCAUCCCCGUGCUUAUAUUUUGACUUUUUAUGAGAGAGAAAGGGGAAUUUCCUUAUUGUGAGGGCACACUAGUAUUUUUCUAGGUUGCUUACUUGUUUUGGGGUAGUGACAUAUUGAUACAUGUAUAAUUGAUGGUAUUUAUCUGCUGCCAUAGCCAGAAUCCUUUGUGUUAUACUGCUGCUUUUCAAAUGAUCUAUACAGUUAGUUUUAAAGUAGUUAACCUUGGAGAUGGUGACUGAGUUUUGAGCAAAAAUGGUUGUUGAUUGCUGAAUGAGUUGUAGACUCUCUUAGUUGUUUUGUUGCUUGAGGACAAGCAACUGUUUUAAGUUGAGGGUGUUGAUGAGUGAGAAAAAGCUAACACAUUUAAUGCUUUUUGGCUCAAAACAAUUGUGAAAUCUUUAGCAACUUUUGUUGCUUUAAUGUGUUUUCUAGUGAAUUUGCAGAAAAAGGUAAAAAGAUGGAAAAUAAACAACAUCGGAGCAAAAAAGUUGAAAACUGAGCAAAAAGGAGAAGGAGGCAUGGCUGACGACAUCGUUCAUAAGUUGUCAGCCUUGUGAUAGGCUAUCAGAAGUGGUGUUAGCCUUAACCAAAAACUUGAGCCUGAGAAGAAGUUCUGAUGACGUUGGUAAUAAGGCGUCAAGAUGGUGAUAAGGCGUCACGAAGGGCAUCAUCCUUAACCAGAGAAUUGAGCUUGAUGAAGAAAUCUGACGAAGUUGGUGAUACAUCGUCAGAUCGGUGAUGUGGCAUCAGCUAAAUCAUCAGCCUAAGACAAAUUUUGAAGGAAACUAGAGCAUUUAUGACGCCAUCCGUGAUAAGGCGUCAGUCUCCUGACGUGGCGUCAGCGACGGCGUCACCUAAUCCGAGAUUUAAUUUGAUCUGUUAUUUUAUUUCCAUAAUUAGGGUUAAGUAUAAAUAGGAGUUUUUAGGGUUUUAUUAAACAUCUUUUGGGCAAUCUUCCUAAAAUUUUAUUCAAUCUUCUUUAAUCCUUGAAACUCUUAAUCUUCUUGGGAACACUUAUCAACUAAUUGUUGAUAUUUAUUUUUUGUGAUGCAAUUGAAGGAACGACUUGUUGUUUUUCAUACAUUCAUAAGUUUACUUAUAUUAUUAUGAAUUCAACUUGUUCUUUCGUUCAUCAAAUCAUGAGCGGCUAAUUCCAUUAGCCGGAGUUAUAGGAUGUAUGGAUUAUGAUUUGACAUGAUGCUAGGUGUUUAAUAGAUUUAAAGAAUAGUAGAACAUCUUGAAAUUCUAUUGUUUUAACUGAAAUCUAGUGGUUUCAAACAUUAGAUUAUGUCUUAGGUUUUAUUUGCUUCUAACGGAGAAAUAGACUAGAGGUCGUGAAUUAUCAACAGGGACUCGGGAGCUACCAACCUUCUGUUUAAUGAUUAAUGCUGUAACUGGAUUAAUCUACAUGAGAUAACAUCCUAUUGGAAAUAAAUUAGUUAUUUAAGUUCGAGAGAAUUAGAUAAUAAAUUGUCUGGUGAGGUCGAGAGAUAAGUCAGAUAGUAUAGUCGUCAGGGAUAUUCUGUUGUUCCUACUUACUUCGAGAAUCUCAAGCAUUACCUAGUAUCUGUCAAUUCCCAAAACCCAUGGUGGACAUAACUCUGGUUUUCCAUUUAGAUUGAGUACAAACACUAAAAUACUGAAAGUGAAAAUUCAUUCAUUGUUAACUUAAACCCCCAUUUUUGGAAACAUUAAACUACCAGUAAAGUAUUUCAUAAACAAAUUAAAGUUCAUAGCCUAUUCCCUGUGGGAUUCGACCCCAACCUAGUUGGGUUUUAUAUUGACAACGAUCGCUUACACCCAUUCAAGAGUGUAAUUUGAGCGUUAAUGUGAGAGUUUCACAAUACAUAUACUUUCAAACUCAUACUUUCACAUUAAGUAGGAUAAAACCUCCUUAAAACUCAAAGACUUAAGACUUUAGAAACUUUAAGACUUGGAUGCUUAGAAACUUGGGAGCUUUUUCUAACCGACAUAAACUAUGUGAGCUAAAUGGAGUCCAACGUCUUGCCCACGUUGGAGAAAGUUGUUCUAUCCUUGUCCUUGGAUUAGAAACUUUUCCUUGUAGUGAUCACUAACUUAACCCACUUAGGGUGAAUCAGAAACCUACGGGGGAACGUAGUUCUGGGGCAUGUGAACUUGGAAUCAAGCCCAACUCAGUGCUAAAUACUACUCUCUGACUUAGCUCAAAACUUGUAAGAAAAUCCACCUUAAGCAGCUCAAAGAUAUAUAUUGGGGCCAAUCAUGCCACCCUUUAACUUAAACAACAUUAAGUGGAUUCCUUUCUUAGCUUAGACUCAAAAUCAACUCCUUUCUUUAAACUUUGAUAGAUUAUCUUUAACAAGUAUCAAAACUUCAAUGACAUGGAGAUAUCAAUACCAUUCUCGAAAUACUAUGGAAUAUGUCAAAAUUCAUUCUUGGACCUUAAGACAUGCAUACAUAUUCAAGAAAUCUCAAUUCAAAAUAAGGGUAAUUCAUGACUUCAACCUUAAAAGUAUUCAAAAAUCAAUCAUUAAAUGAAUAUGCAAUCCAUGAUAUUAAUUCUCAAUUCAAAAUAAUAAAAUAGGUGAGAUAUCAUAUAAUUCAUGACUUGAACAAAUCCAUAAUCUCAUAUACUUGAAAUAUAGCAAUUUAAGCAUAGUUCAUCUUAAAAAUAUUAAAAUCUUUAAGAAAAUCAAAAACUUUGGGCACAAGAAAGAAAGGGUGUUCUUGUUCAAACCCCACAUACCUUAAACUUGAAGAUUUGGAUGAACUCUUAACCUCGGAGUGGUAUAUGCGAAGUUAUUGGGUGUAUCUUGUAGCCCUCGCAACGGGGAAUUCGAAUAUGGAAGAAUUAUGGAAAUUCCACAGUUGAAUAUUAAGAUAUUUUCAUUUUUAGAUUGAAACCCUAAGGAAUGUUAUUGGUGAAUUUUGAUGAAAGUGGAUGUAUUUUGGUGUUUUAGGGAAUAAAUCCCUUGUUAGAGUUGAUAAGGGGAUUGAAAAUACCAAGAUUACCCUUAAUGAGAUGGGUUAAAUGCUGAAUUUCCCAGGUGCGCGCAGCAAAGCAUGCAUCGCAUGCUCUAUCCCACCGGAUUGGAGCAUGUGUCGCAUGCUUCGUCGCAUGGUGCCAGGUUGAGAUGGACCAUGGGACGCAUGCAAAUCGCAUGAUGCUCUGUUUUUGAAAUCCAAGCGCGCCCUAAACGAGGUCCAAAAAUUUUGAAACUCACCCGAGAUAUACUAUAGACUUGCCCCAUCGCAACGCAAUAAAAAAAUCAAUAAAUGGAGGUCGAGAAGGUCACGAAAUAAUUCAUCGAAGUUUCAAAGGCUCAAAAUAAACUAAGUGUUGGACACUUAGCUAAAAUUCUAAGUGUAAAACUUCUUGUGACUCAUUUUUGAAAGCUUUAAUGAUGAGGAAACUUUGCGGGGUCGUACAAUAUCUCCCCUUUGGGAACAAUAAUUUGGAGAAUGCAAUAACUUAUAAUAAGAAUGGAUUUAUAGCAGCAACUUUGACUAGAAAAAGGCUGAAUUAAGAAAGAAUGGUACCUUCAACUUGAUCUGAACUUGUGGAGAAAAGGUGCGGGUACUUGGCUCGCAUGUCUGCUUCUGCUUUCCAAGUAGCCCCUUAAUUGACUGAUUUUGCCACAAUACUUUGACCAAGGUAAGUUCUUUGUUCCUUAGUCUACGGACUUGAUGAUCUAGAAUCUCUACCGAAGCCUCUUCAAAAGAAAGACUAGUUCAAAUAUCAGUGCUCUCUGAAGAAUCUACUACCAUAGAGUUACCAAUGUUCUUCCUAAGCAUGGAAACAUGAAAGACAGGAUAAAUAACUGACAGUUCCGCAGGUAACUCAACUUCAUAGGGUACUCACCCAACACAACUUCGGAUCCUGUAGGGGCCAACAUACCGGGGACUGAGCUUCCCUUUUUUCCAAACCUUUUCAUCCCUUUUAUGGUGAAAUCUUCAGAUAUACUAAAUCAUUAACUUUAAACUCAAGGUCUCUUCUCCUCACAUCGGCAUAAGACUUCUGAUGACUUUGAGCUAUUUUUAACCUCCCUCUAAUCAGCUUAACCUUCUCCAUAGCCUUGAAUACUACAUCAGGUCUAGUUAAAGAAGCUUCACCCACUUCAAACCAACCUAUGGGUGAUCUAUAUCUCCUACCAUAGAAAGCCUCAGAUGGUGCCAUCUGGAUGCUAGAGUGAUAACUAUUGUUAUACGCAAACUCAAUAAGUGGCAAAUGGUCAUCCCAACUACCUUUGAAAUCAAGAGCACAUGCUCUCAACAAAUCCUUUAAGGUUUGGAUAGUUCUCUCGGCCUGACCAUCGGUCUGCAGAUGAAAAGCGGAACUCAAAUGAACUUGGGUACCAAGACCCUUCUGAAAAGCCCUCCAAAAUUGCGAAGUAAAUUGAGUACCCCUAUCUGAAAUAAUAGACACAGGAACUCCAUACAGCCUGACUAACUCCUAAAUAUAUAGUCUAGCAUAAUCGUCAGCAGUAUAAGAUGUAUGAACGGGCAAGAAAUAUGAUAACUUGGUCAACCUAUCCAUAACAACCCAAAUCAAAUCAUGAUGACGCCGACAGAGAGGUAAACCAGUCAUGAAAUCCAUAUUCACCUCUUUCCACUUCCAAGUGGGUAUACUAAACUCUUGCAUCAUACCACCAGGUCUUUGGUUCUCUACCUUAACCUGUUGGCAUGUUGCAUAUUUUUCUACAAAUACUGCUAUAUCCUUCUUCAUACAACUCUACUAACAGAUUUCACAUAAAUUGCGGUACAUCUUGGUAGCAUCAGGAUGAAUGAAAUAUCGCGCGUCAUGUGCUUCAGCCAUAAUUCUUUGCCUCAGAUCAUCAAUAUCAGGAAUGCAUGGUCUACCCUAAAAUCUCAGCACACCAUCUCCCUUUUGGGAGAAAACCUCCAUUUUUUGGUCCUUGGCACACUCCUUCAGUCUGACUAAACUAGCAUCUAAGUCAUGCUUCUCCUUCACUUCCUAAACUAAAGAGGAUUUGGAACUACUCUGCACUAACAUACUCCCUUCAGCGAAAUCAAGCAACCUAACACCUAAUCUAGCCAAACAAUGCACAUCACGAGCUAACUCCUUCUUACCUACCUCUACAUGUAAAACACUACCUAUAGACAACCUGCUAAGGGAAUUUUCCACUACAUUAGCCUUGCCCGGAUGAUACAGCACACUCAUAUCAUAGUCUUUUAAUAAUUAUAACCACCUCAUCUAUCUAAGAUUCAACUUCUUCUUAGUCAACACAUACUACAGUUUUUUGUGAUCAGUGAAAACAUCAACAUACAUACCAUACAAAUAAUAUCUCCAGAUUUUCAGGGCAAACACUACAGCAGCUAACUCAAGAUCAUGAGUUGGGUAAUUCUUCUCAUGAGGUUUCAACUGUCUGGAGGCAUAAGCUAUAAGUUUACCUCUCUGCAUCAACACACAACCCAAACCAACUAUAAAAUUAUCACAAUACACCAUAAAACCAUCCAUACCAUCAAGCAAAGUCAACACAGUAGCUGAAGUAAGUCGAGUCUUCAACUUCUAAAAACUCUUCUCACAGGAAUCUGAUCAAAGGAACUUAACUUUAUUUUUGGGUCAACCAGGACAUGGGAGACGCAAUAGAAGAGAAACCUUUAAUAAAACGGUGGUAAUAGCCAAUUAGACACAAGAAACUCCUAAUAUCAGAUGGAGAAAUAGGUCUAGUCCAAUUUCUUACAACUUUUCUCUUUUAGGGAUCAACUCUAAUGCCUUCGGCUGUAAUAAUAUAACCUAAAAGAGCUAUGGACCUUAGCCAAAACUCAUACUUACUGAAUUUGACGAACAACUGGUGAUCUCAAAGAGUUUGCAAGACAAUUCUAAGGUGAUCUACAUGGUCACCCUCACUUCGGGAAUACACAAGGAUAUCAUCUAUAAGUACUAUAACAAAUAUGUCUAAAUAUUAUUUGAACACUCGAUUCAUGAGGUCCAUGAAAGCUGCUGGAGCAUUAGUUAGUAGUUAACCCAAAGGACAUAACAAGAAACUCAAAUUGAUCAUAGCGGGUUCGAAAGGCUAUCUUUGGAAUAUCACAUCCUCUCACUUUAAUUUGGUGAUAGCCGGAUCUAAGGUCUAUUGUAGAGAAGUAACUUGCACCUUGCAACUGAACAAAUAAAUCAUCAAUCCUAGGAAGAGGGUACUUAUUCUUGAUAGUGACCUUAUUAAGCUGAUGAUAGUUAAUGCGCAUACGCAAAGAACCAUUCCUCUUCCGCAUGAAUAGAACAGGUGCACCCCAAGGAGAGACACUAGGCCUUAUAAAACCUUUAUGUAAAAUAUAUUUGAGUUGCUUUUUCAACUCCUAAGCUCUAUAGGUGCCAUACGAUAGGGAGGAAUAGAAAUAGGCUGUGUGUCAGGAAGAAUAUCAAUCCCAAACUCUAUCUCUCUAUCGAGAGGUACCCCUGGGAGAUCUUCUGAAAAAACAUCAGGAACCGAAUUUACAAUGUUAACUGACUACAUAGUUGGAGCCUCAAACUUAGUGUCUUUAACUCUAACUAAGUGGUGGAUAAAACCUUUGUAUAUAAGUUUUUUGGCUUUUAGAUAUAAGAUAAAAUGACUCUUGGGAGAUACUGAACUCCUUGACCACUCAAAAAUUGGUUCAUCAGGAAACUGAAACUUGACUACAUGGGUACGACAAUCUAUAGAUGCAUAGCAAGAGUGAAGGCAGUCCAUACCUAGAAUAACCUCAAAAUCAACCAUAUCCAACUCUAUUAAAUCAACAAGUAUGACUCUAUGAACAAUAGUAACAGGACAAUUCUUAGACACUUGUUUAGCAAUGACUGACUCCCCUACUAGAGUAGAAACUAGGAAAGGCUCGGGAAUCUUUUCGAGAUUUAUUUCAAAGUUCACAGCAACAAGUGGGGUCACAUAAUAAAAGCUUGACCUGGGGUCCAAUAACAUAUAAACAUCAAAGUGAAAAACACAGAGCAUACCAGUAAUAAUAUCGGGAGAAUUAUCCUGCUCAUGACGGGAAGGUAAGGCAUACAAUCUGUUCUGGCUCUGACCGCCAGUAGUACUGGAUAAAGCUCCUUGAGGAGAAGCUGGAUGACCUACAGUAGCUGGUGCACUGGUGGCCUGUGUCUGAGGUCGGGCAUCUUUGUUCACCUGCCUGGCAUAUGGACAAUCUCAAAGUUUAUAACCUAUCUUACCAUAACCAAAACAACCACGCUGCUCUGCCAAACACUCGCCUGGAUGGGUCCUUCUACACUUAGCACAAGGAGGGUAAGUGUAACACCCCGUAACAUUUGUGCAUGUUUAUCUCCUGAUGGAAUGCUCAAAGAGUUGAAAAGACUAGAAAUUUUUCUAAGUGUCGAGGGACUUAGUCUUAUUUUGAGCUUCCUAUUUUUUAUUAAUUUCUUUUCGACCUUCCCGACUUUGAUAAUUUAUAUUUAGCCAAUCCUUGAUUCAGAAGGUAAGCAGGUAUUCCCGAAUGAGUUUUAAAUUUUUUGGAGAGUGCUUAGACAUCAUUUGGUGUUCCAAAAUAGUGGACCAACGCAAUCUUGGCACGCCGUGUCCCCACCGCGUUGGUCAAAUUUUGUUCAGGAAAUGCCAGGGGAAAUACUAAGGCUUGAUGCGAUGGUGGAGCGACUCAUCGAGUAUCACUUUGGUCAACCGACGCACCGCGUCGCCUGCAAUGUCGAUGCCCAGUUAUUUCAGCUUUAAAAAAAAUUGCAUCUUAAAGGGCAUUUGGGUAAUUUUUCCCUUAUUCUAAUACGCCCAAACACGGGAUUUUUAUCCCAAGUGACUACUUUACUCACUUCUUCAUCAAAAUCCACCAAGAACACUCCCAAGGGUUUCAAACUAGAAACCUAAAAUAACUCAAGAUUCAACAGAGGGUUUUCAAAAAUGAUUGAAGAUUUGGAAUUCCCAAUCUGCAAGCUUCGAGAAUUUACUAUUAUCUUUCGAGGUUAAGGCACACGGGGUUUUCCUAAAAAUCUCAUGGGCAUAGAAAUCAUGAUUUUUAAGAAAGGGGUUUUUAGAUUUAUGAAUAUAAUCAUGUUUUAGAAUAUUUGAUGGAAUUAUUUUGGUCUUUAGGCCUUCCCCCAAAUUGAUUUGAAAUUAUAUAUAUAUAUAUUUAAGCAUGUGUUUUAAGGUUGAUGAUUGAAUUGAGAGCAUGACUCAUGAAAAAUCUUUGAAAUGCAUCUUGAAAAUCCUUGAUUUAUGAAUGAUUUGGUUAUAAAUUUUGAAUUCAAAAGAGAUGGUUUUUUGUAUUGAUAAAUGCUGAAUGUACAUAAAAUGAAAGAGUGCAUGGUUUUUUCCAAAAGCACAUGACCGCCUUAUAUUUAAAGGAUUCAUGUAUAAUUUUGACUUAUGGUUCAGAACAUGAAAUCUUUUAUACUGUUUGCAUGUUUUGGUGGUCUAAACUAUGUUUUAAUGAAAGAUCAUACUUAUUGCAUUAUGGCUCAAAAAUAGGACUUGCAAGUCUUGGUGUGAUGACACCAAUUCAGAUUAUUCCAUGAUAAUUCAGAAUAGAAUAGAAUGCAUGUUUGAAAUCAGACUUUUCAUAUAUUGAAACUAGAAAUAUGCAUGAUUCAAAACAGGAUAAAAUUGGGCAUAAAGAGAGUCUAGGUGGUUCCCCGAAGAAGGCAUGAUUUUAGACAAAUCAUUGCCCAAAAACGUGAUUUGCCGAUCUGGAUAUAUAUAUUACGCUGGCCUAGAGCCCUGUGGCGUAUCAGACUCAGGAACUCCAACCCUUGUGGCACACUUGGGUUGGGGGCUUCGCCGCUGAGUCAAUGGCGGAUACCAUCUAGCAUGUGGAAUAUCAGACUUAUAGGGGAGUGCCACCUAACUCAGAAGUAAUAUGCAGAUCAGAAUUUGCAUUGAUAGAAAGAUUACAUAUUUUCAAAAAGUGCCCAUGUGUUUUGAAAAUGUAAGGUCCCACAAAGUUCUCUUGUAGUCUAAACCUUAGGGCGUAUCGAGUGAGACGUGAUCCCGACCCUAAAAGAUUAAGAAGUGUCUUCCUAAGUGAGUAACAUGUUAACCAUUUAGAAUUUCCCUAAUUUUCACUUUUUAUCACAUGGGAAAUUUGAUAAUCUUUCCAUCGAUAUAAGAUUUGCCCAAAUCGGACACUCGGGUAAGAAGUUAUGGCUAAUUUAAGCCUUCGUUGUAAAACUACAUCGUUUAAGAGCCUACCGCAUCGCGGAGAGGAUGCAUUUAGCAAUUGUCAAUUUCCAAUAGGACUCCAUGAUUGUGGAACAUCGCAUAGGAUUCCCAGGUCCCAACCAGUUGGAAAUUUCAAUGGCGCCACAUCGCGGAGGAUGCCAUUUUCCCAAUUAUCAUUUUCCAGUAAGCCAGCGCGAUUAGUGGUGCGUCGCAGAGGCCAACAAAAUUGGGUUCCAAUUUAAUUUUUCCAGUUUCACACAGGCAUUUAAAAAGGACAUUUUGGAGCUUUUCCACGCCUAUAAAAUCAUGAAAACACUAUAUCAAAGCCAUUUACAAGCAUCCUAUAAGGGUUUUAUCAAGUAUUCUCUCAACACAAACCCUAAAUACUCAAAACCUCUUCCAAGAAUAUCAAGAAUCCACCAUGGAUUUUCUAAAUUGAGUCAAGAUUUCAGGUUCCCAAGUCAAGGACCUCAAGAACCUUCAUUCUAUAGCAAGAAUAGAGUUCCAAAAGUAAGAGUUCAUCCAAAACUUCUAACUCAAGGUAUGUGGGGUUUUAAACAAGGGUAACCCUUUCACCCUUGUGACCAAAAGGCAAUUUACAUCAUGAUUUUGUUGAAAAUUUAUGAGGUUUUUACAUGAAUUUGAAUUGGAGUUUUCACCCAUUAUGAUUAAAUGCAUUAUUUGAUAUUUCCCAUGAUUUAUGAGUCAAAUAGCAUAAUUUCUACAUGUUUUAUUGAGAAAUUGAAGCUGGGUAUAAACCCAUGAUUUUACUCCUUGAGAAGCUAAUAUUUGCAAUGUUUGAAAUGUUGAAGCAUAUGACUAUAUUCAGAUUUUGAUGUAAAUUGUUGAAAUUCCCAGAUCUCCAUAUGAUUUAUGAAUCUAUAUGCUAUAUAUUAAGCUUUUGAUAAGCUUUAACUUGAGAUUGAAUUAUAGGUUAGUAAGCCCUAUUUGAGACUUGUGAAUUUAUGAACUCUUGUGCUACAAGCACCCAUGUUUUGAGUAUUCUGAGAUGAUUGAGAAAGGAAUUGACCUAAUGGUCCUUGAGCUUUGAAAUCCACUCUGCUAUAUGCGAUUAUCAAUUUGAUUAUUGGGUUCGUAGUGAACCAUAUGAUUAUUCUAAAAGUGAAUUUUUAUGAGAUGAGUACAGGCAAUCUAAAGGGAGUAGUAUUUAGCACCGAGUGGGUAAGUUACUACAGUUUCUAACCCCAGAAACUAUAUGCCACCAUAGGAUGUGAGCCUGAGGCUGAUUAUAUUAUGAUUAUGAGUGGGCCCGAGGAUGAGUUUCAUUUAGUGAUCACUAGACUUGGGUUAUACUCCUUGGCAAGAGUAUGACGCUCCUCCCCAACGUGGGGUCUCUUCCUUAAGAGGACAAAACGUUGGACUCCAUAUAGCUCGCAUGGUUUAUGUUGGUUACGAGAACCUUUCUUACCUUUCGAACUUCAAAAUUAAAUACUUAUUUUCCUUCCCUAUAAGUUAUUUUCCUAAAUGGUUGAAUUGAAAAGAUAUUCCCUAAUCAAGGUGUUGAUUUGAGAUAAGAUAUUUUCCUAAAGUGAAUGAAAUGCCUCCAAGUAUGUUUCAAGUUUUAUAAUUUUGAAUUCCAAGCAUAUGAGUUUCUAAAUGAUUGUGAAGUGUUGAGCAUUGAAGAAGUUUUACUCUCUUGAGAUAUAUGCAUGACUUGAAAGUAUUGUUUGAAAUCCCUUAGCCUUUAGGCAUUGAGAGUAAGAGAAGGUUUUCGAUUUUGAAGUUAAACAAUAAUGACUCACGAGAUUGUGUUACAUACUUCAUUCUACAUAACUUAUGAGCUUUAUAUAUUUUAUACUUGUUCAAGCCAUGUGAGUCAUCUCAUUAUGCAUACAUUAUUUGAUUGAAGAAAAUUAUUACUACUUUAUACAUAUGCAUUCACCCCCGCAUACUCAGUACAUUCCAAAGUACUGAUUCACAUAUAUGUCUAUGUGCUACAUUAUCUUAUAAUGUAGGUUCAGGUGCUUAGUCUCAGCCUCACUCAUAAUUCUUCGAGUACCGAUCUUUAGAUGUUUCAGUGUUUCGAGAGACUAUGUUUUAUCUCCAGUACAUUUUGAGUCAGUUGGGGACCUGUCCCAAUGGCUCUCUAUAGUUUGAUUUGUAGAGGCUUUGUCAGACUAGUAUCAAACUUGUGAUGUGUCGAGGGUUCGAUAUUGUAGUUUUAUUGAGAUUUCUCUAUAUUGUGGUCAUAUGGACCGAGUAUCUUUUAUAUACAUCCUUUAAUUAGAUAUAACUAUGUGAGUAUUGAGUCUAUUCCUAUCUUGAUUUGGGUGACAUUGGGUAGAGACCGACUUUAAGGGUUAACUUAGGGAUACUUGUAGCCCUAAGCACCGUGUGACAUCCCGGGAGGCGCUUUCAGGUCGUUACAAAAAACAACUUGAUGUGAAAUGCUUUGACAAAGUUGCUCUCAACUAUUUUGUUUAUAUAAAAGAUUUAUUUUGGAUUACUUUGCGUACCAGUACAUCUGUAUUGACCCCCUCCUCCCUCCAGGUUCUGAGGCUCAGUCUAGGGGUCCAAAAAAGCAGUAGAGUUUGUCAAACAGAGUUGCAGGUGUCUAGUUGGUGAGCCUUUUUUAUUCCAGAAGUCCUGUAUUUUUAGAUUAUGUCAUUUAUUUCUGUUUUGGUCUACUGGGGGCCUUGUCCCAGUUUCAAACAGUGGUCAGAUUUUCAUAUAGUAGAGAUUUUGCAGACUAAGUCAAAUGUUAUUUAGAUGUCGUUGAUUUAUAGUUUUAUAUAAUUAUGUUGAAUUCAGCAUUGACCAUGUGUCCAUAUUAGAUUAUGUUUUUCGCAUUUUCUUUUGUAUAUGAAUAUUGUGCAUGAUUACCAAAUAGAGAAGGGCGUCCCAGGCUGUUCAUGGUUCGGGAUGUCCAUUACGGCCAGGGCCCUAGUUUGGGUCGUUAAAAACUUAGUAUCAGAGCAUGAUUCAUGGUCCCAGGGUGUCUGCAAAAUCGCGUCUAGUAGAGUCUUCUUUAUGGGUGUGUAGCGUGCCACACUUAUAAGUAGGAGGCUACUAGGCGUUUAGGAAAUGUCUUCCCUCUUUGUGAUAUAGUUCGUGCUUUAGAGUCUGAAUUAGAAUUAUCCCCUAAAUAGUAAUCUAUUGUAUUUCAGAAAUAGUCAUGCCUCCACGUCAUUCCAACAACCAGGAUACUUAGGAUAAUGAAGUCCGCCCCACCCAUGGGAUGCGAACCCAUAAUAAAGCGGACACUCCAGAACCUGUUCCUACUCCAGGAGUACCUCCAGUCCCGACCAGUCUACCUCGGGCUCUACAGACCAAUGUUAAUCAUCCCCAGUCUUCUCAGUGGGACAUAUCAAACGCAGAAUUUAGGCAGUCCAUUCACAUAUUUGCACAGCUGGUAGCCACACAGACUCAAAGGUUAGAAGAAACUAGGUCUACAUCUGUCACUUCUGAGGAUACUAGGGUGGGCCAGUUCAUGAGGAUUAACCCACCUAAAUUCUCAUGCACUAAGGUAGAAGAGGACCCGUAGGAGUUGGUUGAUGAAAUGGAGAAAAUUUUUAGAGUAAUGCAUGUGGAUCAAGUGGAAGGGGUUGAGUUGGAAGCGUACCAACUUAAAGAUGUAGAGAACCAAUGGUAUAAUGAGUGGGAAGAGGCAAAGGGUGAGAGUGUUGAGCCUAUAAUUUGGGAUGAGUUUGUGGGAGAUUUUCUUGACCAAUUCUUUCCUCUAGAGCUGAGGGAAGCUAAAGUAGAGGAGUUCAUGAACCUUAAGCAGGGUAAGAUGAGUGUUCAGGAGUAUACUUUAAAGUUUAAUCAGUUGGCCCGUUAUGCUCCUGAGAUAACGAGUAGUAUGAGGGCCCGAAUUAGGAAGUUUGCUUUUGUCCUUUCGGAUAAUCUGGUACUUGAGUGUUAGGGGGAUAUGCUGAAUAGGGAUAUGGAAUUUGCUAGGCUGAUAGUCCACAUGCAUCAGGUAGAAAAGAAGAAAAAUAAAAUUUCUGAAUCUAGAGAGAAGGACAGGCAAGCAAAGAGAGCAAGAACAGCAGAAUCGAACCACAACCAGCCACAGAGUAGUAACUGGGUUAGUAGAUGGCAAAAGAAGAAGUUUUGGAGUAACGCACAGUCUGCAGCUCACGCCCCAGCGCCCAGACCCCCAGUUGAUAGACAAUUUCAGAGUUUUCAUACUAGUCAUGGACCCAGAGCUCAGGAUACUCAGUCAUUGGGCAGAGUGGCUCAGCAGCAUCGUACUUUUCCAUGGAGCAAGACUUGUGGUAUACAUCAUCUGGGAAGGUUUCAGUUAGGCUCAUCGGUGUGUUAUUCACGCGGUCAGACAGGCCACUUCCAAAGAGAUUAUCCCUCCACUAGGAGGAAUAUUAGUGGAGCUAAGUCUCAGGCAAACUUUUCUACACCACCGCCGCCCCAAAAGGGCACCACUUGAGCUGUCGGGAGUGGUCUCAAUUGGGUGUAUGCUUUGACUAAUCUCCAGGAGGUGGAAGCUUCACUAGAUGUAAUCACCGGUAUGUUACAAAUCUUUUCCCGUGAUGUAUAUGUGUUGCUUGAUCUCGAGUCUACUUUAUCUUCUGUGACCCCAUAUGUGACUGUUGGUUUGGGUUUGAGCCGAUGUGAUUGUUGAACCCUUCUCUGUCUCCACUCCGGUGGGUAAUUCUGUUGUGGCUAGGAGGGUGUACAAAAAUUGUGCUAUGUCUAUUCAUAGUAGGGAUACUGUGGUAGACCUCAUAGAACUUGAUAUAGUUGUUUUUUAUGCUAUCCUAGGGAUGGACUAGCUCCAUCAAUGUCAUGUCACACUAGACUGUAGGACCCAAAAGGUUACCUUUUCUUUUCCAAAUGAGCCAACAAUAGAGUGGGAGGGGCACUUUUAGCACCUAAAGGGCACUUCAUAUCUUAUCUCAAAGCCCGUAAACUUAUUUCCAAGGAUUGCUUGUAUCAUCUUAUUCGGGUUAAAGAUUCUAACGCUGAAAGUUUUCUUCUUCAAUCUGUCCCUGUAGUAAAUGAAUUUUCAGAAGUUUUCCCAGAUGAUCUCCCAAGAAUUCCACUUGAUGUAGAGAUAGAUUUUGACAUUGAUGUGUUGCCAGAUACCCAUCCUAUUUUAAUUCCUCCAUGUAGAAUAGCUCCUACAAAGCUAAAAAAUUUGAAGAAACAUCUAGAAGAUCUCUUAGAAAAAGGUUUUAUCAGACCUAAUGUAUCUCCCUAAGGUGCACUUGUACUCUUUGUGCGAAAGAAAGAUGGUUCCCUGUAUAUGUGCAUAGAUUACCGUCAGCUGAAUAAGGUUACGAUUAAAAAUAAAUAUCCUAUUCCUAGGAUUCAUAACCUCUUUGACCAAAUUCAAGGUGCUAAGUACUUUUCUAAAAUAGACCUUCAUUCGGGGUAUUAUCAGUUGAAAGUUGGGGGAUCAGACAUUCCUAAAACAGCCUUCCGAACCAGAUUUGGUCAUUAUGAAUUCUUAUUCAUGUCCUUUGGGUUGACUAAUGCUCCUGUAGCUUUCAUGGACCUAAUGAAUAGGGUCUUUUAUCAGUUCCUAGACCUGUUUGUCAUAGUUUUUAUUGAUGACAUCUUGAUUUACUCCAAAAGUGAGGAGGACUAUGCCAAUCACUUCUGAAUAAUUCUUCAGACUCUCAAAGACCAUAAGUUGUAUGUGAAAUUGUCCAAGUAUGAAUUCUGGCUGAAUGCUAUUACUUUCUUAGGGCAUAUUGUGUCUAGUGAGGGGAUUCGGGUUGAUCCCCAAAAGGUUAAGGCAGUGAGAAAUGGCCCAAACCCAUGACUCCAACUGACAUACGAAAAUUUUUGGGUUUGGCGGGUUAUUAUAAAAGGUUCGUAGAGAUUUUUCUUCCAUAGUUACACCACUUACUAUGUUGGCUCAGAAAAAGGUGAAGUUUUUAUGGUCUGACUCUUCUGAAAAUAGUUUUGAGAAGUUGAAAGACAAGUUGACUACUUCUCCUAUUUUGACUCUUCCAGAAAGUACAGAGGGUUUUGUUGUGUAUUGUGAUGCGUCCUGAGUGGGACUUGGUUGUGUACUUAUGUAGCAUGGUAAGGUAGUAGCAUAUGCAUCUCGAUAAUUGAAGGUGUAUGAGUGGAACUACCCCACUCAUGACUUGGAGUUAGCGACUGCAGUUUUUGCACUUAAGAUCUGGCGACACUGUUUAUAUGGUGUACAUAUUGAUAUAUUCACUGACCAUAAGAGAUUGUAGUAUGUUUUCUAGCAGAAAGAACUAAACCUCAGGCAGAGGCGUUGGAUGGAACUUUUGAAAGACUAUGACAUGAGCCUUCACUAUCAUUCGGGUAAGGCGAAUGUUGUAGCUGACGCCCUCAGCAAAUUGUUUAUGGGUAGUCUUUCUCAUAUUGAUGAGGCGAAAAGAGAGAUGGUGAAAGAUAUUCACCGGCUUGCAAAUCUAGGAGUGCGACUUUUGGAUUUAGAAGAUGGGGGAGUAGUUGUUCAUGCGAUAGAUAAAUCUUCCCUUUGUGCAGAAGUUUAGGAGAAGCAGGUUGAAGAUCCCAUCUUGAUGCAGAUUAAGAAAGAUAUGGGUCAUCACAAGGUGAUGUCCUUUAAAAUUGGUGGUGAUGGUAUUUUGAGGUACCGGGGUAGAUUAUGUGUACUAGAUGUUGAUGGUUUAUGGAAGAGAAUCCUUGAUGAAGCUCACACAUCGAGGUACGUUGUUCACCCAGGCUCUACUAAGAUGUACCAUGAUCUGAAAACAUGUAUUGGUGGAAUAAUAUGAAGCGUGAUGUGGCUAACUUUGUGUCCAAGUGUUUGAAUUGCCAACAAGUGAAAGUAGAGCAUAUGAGGCCAGGUGGUUCUUCCCAAGAGAUAGCUUUUCCCUUGUGGAAGUGGGAGAUGAUUAAUAUGGACUUCAUUACAGGACUUCUGAGGUCUCGAAACCAGUAUGAUUCCAUUUGGGUAAUUAUAGCUAGACUGACCAAGUCAGCCUACUUUCUGCCUGUUAGGACUAACUAUUUGGGAAAGGAUUAUGCUAAACUAUUCAUUACAGAGAUAGUUCAUUUGCAUGGGGCACCAGUAUCAAUCAUAUCCGACCGAGGUACACAAUUUUCUUCCCAUUUUUAGAGAUCUUUUUAGAAAGGUUUAGGUACCCAAGAGAUCCUAAGCACUGCUUUUCACCCCCAGACUGAUAGGCAGGCUGAGCGCACCAUUCAGACCCUUGAGAAUAUUUUAAGGGCCUGCGUGAUUAAUUUUAAAGGUAGUUGGGUAGAGAACUUGUCACUAAUAGAUUUUACAUAUAAUAACAGUUUUCAUUCCAGUAUUAAGAUGGCACCAUUUGAGGCAUUGUAUGGGAGAAGAUGUAGCUCACCAAUAGGGUGGUAUGAAGUGGGUGAGAUGCAGAUGAUUGGGCCUAAUCAUGUUUAUCAGGCGAUGAAAGAUAUGAAACUUAUAAAGGAACGACUUAAGAUAGCUCAGAGUCAUCAUAAAUCUUACGCCGAUGUUAGGAGAAGAUAUUUAGAGUUUGAGGUUGGAGAUUGAGUAUUUCUAAAAGUGUCUCCUAUGAAGGGAGUCAUGCGAUUCAGGAAGAAGAGUAAGUUGAGUCCUCGCUAUAUAGGGCCAUAUCAGAUUUUAAGGAGGGUAGGUACAGUUAUGUAUGAGUUAGAUUUGCCUGCCAGUUUGGGUUCUGUCAAUCCGAUCUUCCAUAUUUCCAUGUUGAAGAAAUGUAUCGGAGACCAUUCUUUAGUAUUUCCUGUUGAGGAGGUCAAGGUAACGGACUCCUUGUCUUAUGAAGAAGAGCCUAUAGAAAUCUUCGAUCGACAAGUCCAAAAAUUGAGGAACAAAGAGCUAGCCUCAGUUAAGGUAUUGUGAAGGAAUUAGAAAGUUGAAGAAGCAACUUGGGAAUAAGAAUAUGGCAUGAGAGAUAGAUACCCAGACUUAUUUGAUCCGGUGAAUGAUGAAACGGGAGGUACGAAACCUUGUCUUAUUCUUCUAUAUCUUAGUAUGCUUGAAUCGUGCUUGUCUGUGUUCCGCAUUAUUAUUCGUGGAUGAAUGAUCCCAAGGGGGGAUAAUGUAAAACCUCGUAACAUUUGUGCAUGGUUAGCUCCUGAUGGAAUGCUCAAAAAGUCGAAAGACUAGAAAUUUUUUAAGUGUCAAGGGACUUAGUCUUAUUUUGAGCUUCCUAUUAUUUUAUGAAUUUCUUUUCGACCUUCCCGACCUUUGAUAAUUGAUAUUUAGAUAAUUCUUGAUCCAGAAGGUAAAUAGGUGUUCCCGGAUAAGUUUCAGAUUUUUCGAAGUGCGCUUAGACAUCGUUUGGUAUUCCAAAAUAGUGGACCAACGCGAUCUUGGCGCGCCGCGUCGCCCACCGCGUUGGUCAAAUUUUGUGUAGGCAAUGCCAGGGAAAAAUACUGAGGCUCGACACGAUGGUGGAGCGACGCGUCGAGUAUCGCGUUGGUCAACUAACGUGUCGCCUGCAGUGUCGAUGCCUAGUUAUUUCAGCUUUAAAAAAAUCCACGUCUUAAAGGGAAUUUGGGUAAUUUUUCCCUUAUUCUAAUAUGCCCAAACACGGGAUUUUUAUCCCAAGAGACCACUUUACUCACUUCUUCAUCAAAAUCCACCAAGAACACUCCCAAGGGUCUCAAACAAGAAACCCAAAAUAACUCAAGAUUCAACCGUGGAUUUUUAAAAGCGAUUGAAGAUUUGGAAUCCCCAAUCCGUAAGUUUCGAGAAUUUUCUAUUAUCUUUCGAGGUUAAGAUACGCGCGGUUUUCCUAAAAAUCUCAUGGGCAUAGAAAUCGUGAUGUUUAAGAAAGGGGUUUUUAGCUUUUUGAAUAUAAUCAUGUUUUAGAAUAUUUGAUGGAAUUGUUUUAGUCUUUAGGCCUUCCCCCAAAUUUAUUUGAAAUUAUAUAUAUAUAUAUAUAUAUGUGUGUGUGUGUGUGUGUGUGUAAGCAUGUAUUUUAAGAUUGAUGAUUCAAUUGAGAGCAUGACUCACAUGAAAUCCCCCUCUUGAUUUGAUUGUUUCCAUGUUUCGCAUGAUAUGAAUUAUUUUGAAAUGCAUCUUGAAAAGCCUUGAUUUAUGAACGAUUUGGUUAUGAAUCUUGAAUUCAAAAGAGAGGGUUGUUUGUAUUGAUAAAUGCUGAAUGUACAUAUAAUGAAAGAGUGCAUGGUUUUGCCAAAAGCACAUGACCACCUUAUGUUUGAAGUAUUCGUGCAUAAUUUUGACUUAUGGUUCAGAACAUGAAAUCUUUUAUACUGUUUGCAUGUUUUGGUAGUCUAAACUAUGUUUUAAUGAAAGAUCAUGCUUAUUGCAUUAUGGCUCAGAAAUAGGACUUGCAAGUCUUGGUGUGACGACACCAAUUUAGAUUAUGCCAUGAUAAUUCAGAACAGAAUAGAAUCCAUGUUUGAAAUCAGACUUUUCAGAUGUUGAAACUAGAAACAUGCAUGAUUCAGAACAGGAUAAAAUUAGGUAUAAAGAGAGUUUAGGUGGUUUUCCAAAGAAGGCAUGAGUUCAGAAAACUUAUUGCCUAAAAUCGUGAUUUGCCGAUCCGGGUAUAUAUAUUACGCUGGCCUAAAGCCCUGUGGCGUAUUAGACUCAGGAACUCCAACCCUUGUGGCACACUUGGGUUGGGGGCUUCCCCGGCGAUUCAAUGGCGGAUUCCAUAUAGCCCAUGGAAUAUCAGACUUGUAGGGGAGUGCCACCUAACUCAGAAGUAAUACGCAGAUCAGAAUUUGCAUUGACAGAAAGGUUACAUAUUUUCAGAAAGUACCCAUAUGUUUUGAAAACCACUUGAUGUGAAAUGUUUUGACAAAGUUGCUCUCAACUAUUCUAUUUAUAUAAAAAAUUUAUUUUUUAUUACUUUGCAUACCAGUACAUCUGUAUUGACCCCUUCUUCUCCCUCCAGAUUCUGAGGCUCAGUCUAGGGGUCCAGAAAAGCAGUAGAGUUUAUCAAACAAAGUUGCAGGUGUCCAGUUGGUGAGCCUUCUUUAUUUCAGAAGGCCUGUCUUUUCAGAUUAUGUCAUUUAUUUCCAUUUUGGUCUACUGGGGGCCUUGUCCCAGUUUCAAACAGUGGUCAGAUUUUCAUGUAAUAGAGAUUUCACAGACUGAGUUAGAUGUUAUUUAGAUAUCAUUGAUUUACAGUUUCUAUACUUAUGUUGAAUUCAGCAUUGACCAUGUUUUCAUAUCAUAUUAUGUUUUCCGCAUUUUUUUUAUAUAUGACUGUUGUGCAUGAUUACCAGAUAGAGAAGGGCAUCCCGGGCCGUUCAUGGUUUGGGAUGUCCAUCACGGCCACCGACCUGGUUCGGGUCAUGAAAGUGAGACCUGGACAUAGAAGGCUUGUUUCCCUGCUCUUGCCUACCUCUGGGCGCUAGCUGACGAAGGUAAGGGCAUGGAUGAACGGCUCUAAAACUGAGACGAUUUCCCCCAUGGGACCUGGUCUGACCAUACUCCUUAUGCUAGGAUCUAGCACUCUUGUUACCCCUCACUCUAACCCUCUUCCUUAUCUUAUCCGCCUUUAUCUGUUGUGCAUGAAUCAUCAUCCUAGCCAAAUCCAUAUCCCUGUUUAGCAUAGCAGUUCUAUACUCUUUCAACACCAACCCAGAUACACCUGUCAUGAACUUGCUCAUACUAGUACGGGUGUCAGCAAUCAAGUCUGGAGCAUAUUUGGCUAGCUGGUUUAACUUCAGACAGUACUCCUUAACAGUCAUGGAGCCUUGUCUCAAGUUUAUAAAUACCUCUAUUUUCGCCUCUCUCAUCUCUAGUGGAAAGAACUUUUCCAAGAAUGCAUCUUGGAAUACCUGCCAAGUCAUAGGGGUAUCGUCUUCCCCUCUACUCUUCUUCCAUGCUAAAACCCAAUCAUAAGCAAUGUCUUUCAACCUAUAAGAUGCCAUCUCAACACUUUCUUCGUUAUAGAUAUGCAUGACCUUAGUGAUCUUUCUUACCCCCUUAAGAUAUAACUGCGGGUUCUCUCCUGUCUUAGACCCAUAGAACUCUGAUAGAUUCAUCCGCAUGAAAUCAUGAAUCCUAGCAGUAGCUAAAUCACCUCUUUACUGCUGCGGAGCUAUAGCCUGGUUAUUGGCCUGAACAUUCGUAGUGACUGCCUGGGCUAACGCCUGAAAGGCCGCCCGAAACUUAGGAUGAGACAGUCUCAUUCAAGGGAUCAACAGGUGGGGUUUGCUCAUUAUUGUUUCUGUGGGCUUGUCGAGGAGGCAUUUUCACUGUCAUAAGAGAAAGCACAAAUUAAGAGCAGAGAGGGACACAACUUUGAGCAUGAUAGACUCCAAAAGAAAGAGAUGACUUUUUCCUAAAACAUUUCAUAGCCUCUUACUCAUAGACGUGGCGUGCUAUAAACCGAUGAUCAAGACUCUACUUAACAUGGCUUGUCAGACUCCCUAGGACUCUUUAAACCUUAGACUCUAAUACCAAGUUUGUAACGCUCCGAAAUCGGGUCCCGAGACGUCACACGGUGCUUAAGGCUACAAGUAGCCCCAAGCUAACCUUUUGAGCCUACUACAACUUCUAAAUGCUUAAAUCAGGAUAUUGAGUCUAACUGAGACAUAUCAAAUCAUAGUCCAACUGAACUAUAAAAGAGUACUAUGAAUGGAACAAAAUACUAAAUGUCUAAACACACUGACCAUCUAGUCUGACAAAGCCUCUAUUACUCCAUAAACUAGAGAGCCAUUGGGACAGAUCCCCAACUGACUCGAACUGAACUGAAAAUAGUAAAAUAUAUGCUAAAAAUACUGAAAUGUUUGAAGAUAUGUCCUCAAAUUAUGAGGACUCACCACUGCUGAGAUGUAGAUGAAAGUGCUCAAAAAUCACUGAUGAGGCUAGGAUUGAGCACCUGAACCGACAUUACAAAAAAAUAUAGCACACAGAUAAGUAUGUGGAUCUGUACCUUGGGAAUGUACUGAGUAUAUGGGGGUGUAUGCAUUUGUAUAAAACAAUAUCAUAAUUCUUUACAGAAAAUAUGCAUGCAAAUAUAGAUGACUCACAUAGCUUGAGUAAGGCCCUCAUAAAUCAUGCAUAGGAAGUAUGUAAGUAAGUAACGUGGGUCAUUUCAUUCUAUUCUAAUACUUGUAUUCUUUCUUUGUUCUCAAACUUGUAAUUCAAUAGGACCUUAAAAUAUCAACUUACAAGAUGUACACUUUAGUCUUUGGAAACUUAAGAAGACUUAGGACAUAGUUUUCACAAUACAUAUACUUUGAAACUCAUAGUUUCAUAUUAAGUAGGAUAAAACCUCUUUAAAACUAAAAUACUUAAGACUUUAGAAACUUUAAGACUUGGGACGCUUAGAAACUUGGGAGAUUCUUCUAACUGACAUAAACCGUGUAAGCUAUAUGGAGUCAAACAUCUUGCCCACGUAGGGGAGAGUUGUUCUAUCCUUGCCAUCAGAGUAGAACCUUUUCUUUGUAGUGAUCACUAACUUAACCCACUUGGGGUGAAUCAAAAACCUACAGGGGCACAUAGUUCUAGGGAAUGAGACCUUGGAAUCAUGCCCAACUUGGUGCUAAAUACUACUCUCUGACUUAGCUCAGAACUUGUAAGAAAAUCCACCUUAAAUUGUUCAAAGAUAUAUAAUGGGGCCAAUCAUACCACCCUUUAACUUAAACUACAUUGAGUGGAUUCCUAUCAUAGCUUAGACUCAAAAUCAACUCAUUUCUUUAAACUUUGAUAGACUAUCUUUAACAAGUUUCAAAACUUUAAUGACAUGGAGAUAUCAAUACCAUUCUCAAAAUACUUUGGUAAUGAAUGUCAAAAUUCAUUCUUGGACCUUAAAGCAUGCAUAGAUAUUCAAGAAAUCUCAAUUCAAAAUAAGGGUAAUUCAUGACUUCAACCUUAAGAGUAUUCAAAACAUUAAUCAUUAAAUGAAUAUGCAAUCCAUGAUAUUAAUUCUCAAUUCAAAAUAAUAACAUAGGUGAGAUAUCAUAUAAUUCGUGACUUGAACAAAUCCAUAAUCUCAUAUACUUGAAAUAUAGCAAUUUAAGUAUAGUUCAUCUUAAAAAUAUUAAAAUCUUUAAGAAAAUAAAAAACUUUGGGCAUAAGAACGAAAGGGUGGUCUUGUUCAAACCCCACAUACCUUAAAAUUGAAGAUUUGGAUGAACUCUUAACCUCGGAGUACUAUUCACAAAGUUAUUGGGUGUCUCUUGUAGACCUCGCAACGGGAAAUUCGAUUAUGGAAGAAUUAUGGAAAUUCCAUGGUUGAAUCUUAAGAUGUUUUGAUUUUUAAAUUGAAAACCUAAGGAAUGUUCUUGGUGAUUUUGAUGAAAGUGGAUGUAUUUUGGUGUUUUAGGGAUUAAAUCCCAUGUUAGAGUUGAUAAGGGGAUGGAAAAUAUCAAGAUUACCCUUAAUGAGAUGGGUUAAAAUGCUGAAUUUCCCAGGUGCGCGCAACAGAGCAUCCGUUGCAUGCUCUAUCCCAAAAUAAACUAAGUGUUGGACACAUAGCUAAAAUUCUAAGUGUAAAACUUCUUGUGACUCAUUUUUGAAAGCUUUAACGAUGAUGAAACUUUGCGGGGUCUUACACCAAACCAUGUCAGGGACAUCACCAUUCAAAGCAAUAGUAGGAGAUAAAUUGAUAACAUAAGCAGCAGUAUUAAGUGUUUCUACCCAAAAUGAAUCUGGUAGCUUAGUAUCUGAAGGCAUACAUCUAGCCCUCUGAACUAGAGUUCUGUUUAUCCUCUCUGCUAAUCCAUUCAAUUGGAGAGUUUUUGGAGGAUUUUUCUGAUGCCGAAUACCCUGCUCUAUGUAAAAUUAAUCAAAGUGACCAAUAUACUCACCACCAUUAUCUGAACGAAUGCAUUUUAAUUUCUUCCCUAUCUGUCUCUCAACCAAGACCUGAAAACCCUUGAACAUAUUAAGUACUUGAUCCUUGGACUUCAAAGGAAAUACUCAGAGUUUACAAGAAUGAUCAUCAAUAAAAUUCACAAAGUAAAGUGCACCACCAAAUAACUUACUUUAAAAGGACCACACAAAUCGGAAUACACCAACUCCAGCAAAUCAAGCUUUCUUGAAGGCAGAUAACUAUGCAGAGAAACUCUUUUCUGUUUACCGGCUAAGCAAUGAAUACACUUCUUCAACUUUACUUUUUUCACUCCACAAAGCAAUUUUUCUAAGCCAAACUAUCAAUUCCCUUCUCACUCAUAUGACUCAAUCCUCUAUGCCACAACUCUGAUAAAGUAUCAUUCUCCACCAAGUUUAUCAAGCCUCUAGAAGUAGAGCCCUAAAAUACGUACAAGUUAGAAAACUUGUUACCUCUAGCCACAAUCAUCGAACCUCUAGUAAGCUUCCACUGGCCAGCACCAAGGGUGUUAACAUAACCCUCAUCUUCAAGGCUUCCACAGAAAUCAAAUUCAGGCAAACAUCUGGAGCAUACAUAACAUUAUUGAGAACUAGUUUGGAACCAUUGUUACUUUUCAAACAAACAGUGUCAAUGCCAAGUACUUUAACUUUAUCAUUAUUACGUAUUUUCAACAUCCCAAAAUUACCUAAAGUAUACAAAGAAAAUGAUUCCUUCUUUCAUGUAACAUGAGAAGUAGCACCAGUAUCCACAAACCAGCUAGACUCAUCACGAACAAUAUUAAUGGCAUUCCCACCACAAGUAACAAGAACAUCAUCAUUAGAAAUAACAGCAACACGAUUUUUAUUAUCGCCUUCUUUUUUUUCGUCUCAUAUCUCUCUUAUGCUUGUAACAAUAUUUCAUGAUAUGCCCCCUGAUGUGUGAGCAGAUGCUAACAUAUUUUAGGCUUUUAACUAAGAAUAAUUGCAAAGUCUUAAGAAACUUUUGUCAUUUUUUAUUGUUUUCUGUUGACAUUGCAGUAAAAGUCAAGAUACAAGAAAACCAGCAAUAAUGAAAAUAAAAGAGUUGAUUUUUGAGCAAGUGGAGAGUAAAGUAUAGCUGACGACUUGUUUGAUAAGUCGUCAGCCUUGUGAUAAGCUAUCAGAGUCAUCGUCCGUCUUAGACAGAGAAUGGCCUUCAACUAUAAUUCGUAAUAACAUUUGUGAUAGGCCGUCAGAAGUAUGAUAAGCCAUCAAAUUCGUCGUCAGCCUUAGAUAGAACAUGGGAGCUGAGGUGGAGAGGUGACGACAUUGUCUGAUAUGCCAUCACAGUUUUGAUAAGCUGUAAGGAUUCACCGUCAGCCUUAAGCAGAAAUUAUCAAAAUUGAAGAGGAGCUGACGACAUCUGUGAUAAGUCGUCAGCCUCCUGAUAAGGCGUCACACAUGUCGUCACCUAAUCUGAGAAAAAUACUGCACUCUGUGAUUUUAUUUCCAUAAUUAGGCUGAAGUAUUUAAAUCAUAGUUUAGGGGUUUUUAAUCAUAAUGGUGAACCUAUUUUUGGAACGCAUGUAUUUUUUAUUAUUUUCUCUCUAGUUUUUGUCUUUAACAAAACAAUUAACUUUAAAGAGAUUGUCAUCAAUAUUUUGGAAUUUCUACUGUGAUAUAAUCUGAGAAUCACUCGUUGUUAUUCAUAUUACUGGAAGUUCAUCUUUCAAAUUACGAAUUCAACUGGUUGUAUUGAUUAUUACAUUAUGAGUGGCUAAAUCCCUUUAACCCGAAUUAUGGGAUCUAUGGGUUAGGUCUUGGUAAGUUACUAAGUGUUCAAGAUUCUAAAGGUAAUAGGACUCCUUGAUAAUUCCAAGGUUUUAAUUAUUGUCUAUUGGUUGCAAACGAUAGAUAGCACUUGCUUUGAUUUGCUUGAGAUAAGAAAUCAACUAUAGUAGGAAAUGAAUUAUUGAUAGGGACUUGGAAGCACUAAACUUUCAUUUAAUAAUUGACGUUGUAACAAGGUUAAUUAACCUAAAGUGAGGUCUGGUUAGUGAAUAUAAAUUCCCUAAGUCCGAGAAGAUUAGGUAAUUAAAUGCUUAAGUAGGUCGAGAAACAUUUAGGCAUAACUUCAAUAAAGACAAUCUGUUAUUCCUACCAAUCGUGAGAACCUUGAAUCACUAUUAGCAUCUAUCAAGCACCCAAACCCAUAGUGAACAUAAUUCUGGUUUUCCAUAUACAUUGAUCACAAAUAUUGAAAUCGAAGUCUGAAAUAAUUACUCGCUAAUUCUCAUAACCCCCAUUUUAUCUUUUUGUAUCAUUUAUUUGAAUUUAACUUGUAGCUGUAGUUUCAAAUUUGUUUAAUCACCACUCACAUUGUUCCCUGUGGAUUCGACCCCGACUCCAAAGUUGGGUAAAUAUAUUGACGACGACCACCUUGCACUAAAUUGAUGUGUAAGUUGAGCGUUAUCAAAAAUGGAGCCAUUGCCGGAGAACAAUUUGGUGUAUUAAGUUGGUUUGGAAUUUUAGCCUACUUGCUUAAAUUCAAACUUGUAAAUAUUUUUUUUAGUUUUCUUUUAUUUCUUGUGUUAGGUAGAUUUUUAUUUUAUAUUUUAGUUUACUUAUUACUAUGGCAUCGUGGAAUGAACAUGAGCUUGGUGGUUUGAAAUCUUAUCUAGAUGAUCCAUGUCUAUAGUGUGAUGGACCUCACUUUUGGCAAGAUUGUAUAUAUGCUCCCCGGAGAGAGAUGUGUGCACUAUCUCCAUCCUACCGGGAGUAUAAGUGUUCUUUAUGUGGUGGUCAAGAUGGACAUUGGAGUAAUUGCCCAAAUGCCCCCUCCCCCCGGUAUGCUAACCCAAAUUCGAGUUCUUCUUAUGAUUUUAAUAGGUCUUAUGGACAAGAGCAGGAAGAACGAAGCACCGAAAAGAGUCACUUCGAAGCUAUGCUUCAAUAAAUAUUGGAUAGCCAGGAAGAAAUGCUUCAAGAAAUAAGGGUACAUAAAGAGGAAAAAAAGGAUAGAGGAGAUGGAUAUCGAGGUAAAUCAUUCUAAGCACUCUUCUACAUUAUACUUAGAUGAUAUCUUGUCUGUGAAAUCAUUUAACAUAAUGAAAGAAUGUGAAAAUGAGGAGCAAGAAACCUAUAUUGAUGUUAAGCUUGAGGUUGAGCAACCCUCGGUGAUUUCCCAACCACCCGAACCAUUCAUGAACGAAGAUGCCAAAGAUGAGGAAAUGGUACUGGAAUUAAAUGAAGAAAUCAAUCACAAUCCUUGUGAAGACUCUAGUCCAUUUUGGAGUAAAGAUACUAAUAGGGAUGCUACUCUAGAAUUGAGAUUUAGUCCUCAUUCGAACCACUUUUCAACAUUAUGCUUGGUGGAUAUGAUGAAAGUUGAAUCACCCAAGCAAAUGAUGAAUUUUGAAAAUGAGGAGGAAAAUUCUUACAUUUUGGAGUUUAUCUUUCCAAAAGGGUAUACUACAACCCCAAUCUUGAAAUCUAAGAAGCUUAAAGAUCGAUGUCCAUUUAGUAUCUUUUUAAGAUCCUUACUAUUGCCCAAUGAGCUCGAACGAAAGUUCAAUCUAAAAUUGGGCAAGCAGCUCAAGUCUUCGAAGUGGCGUGGUAAACCAUUCCUUAUCAUGCCCUCAUAUUUGCCCAACGAACCUAAGAGAUGUAAAGAUCGAAAUAUGGGACUAUAAUUCAAAUCAUCUAAAUAGAGGGAUAAAGGAUUACUAAAUGAUGUCGUGUAGCGACACUAAAUUAGGCAUUUCUUGGGAGGCAACCCAAUGUAUUUUGUUAUUUGUAUUCAUCUUAUGUGAUUGACAUCAGAUCUUCACACCCAUGGUGCCAUAGGUAUGUUUCUAACUCUCUUGUUUUGGUUCAAAACAUUGGAUAUAUUUCAUGAAUUUAAAUUGAGGGUGGGGCUACUUGUGGAUGUUGAUGUCCACUUGGGGUUUUUGUUGUCGUGCCUCUUUUUUUCGGAGUCUUGUUCCUAUUAGAGCCGGCAUGUUUAGGCGUAUUGUGUUUUAUUUUGUGAUGUGUUAUGGUUAACUGGGAGAAAAAUAAGUAUCUAGGGUAGUUGACAUAUUUUUAUUUAUUUUUCUUGGAAUGAUAAAUACCUCUCCAAUUGUCUAUCUGGAAACUGUGUGAUAUGCAUCUAUAUGUGACUGUUGUGAAUCUUUUUAUGACAGUAGUACUAGGGACUUGAUAAUCACUGCUAACAAUUGCAUGAACCAAAUAGGUAGUAGCUUGUGAUAUACCUUUGUUCCAAGUGUGUGUGAGAUACUACCUAGUUCGCGUUGUGUGUUAAAUUCAGAACUUGACGUUGGUCUUGCCUUGGUUGUAGGAUAGCGGUUAGGAAAGGAACAUAGGUUGUUGUUGAUAUUAGUCCACUUUUAGCCUAAAUGACCUUCCAUGUGUGAAUAAUAUCCCUUGAUCCUGAUUUUGAGCCUGUAUGCCUAUUUCUCUUGUUAAACUUGUCACCUUCCCAUUUGUAUCACAAUGAACCUGUUUUGGCCCUGGUCCUCCUUGGACAUUGUGCACUUUGACUUAGAAAAAUAGCCUAAGUUGAGGGUGGCUAUCAUAGGGGUGUGAUGUAAAAUGAGUAUGAAUAAAGGUAGAAUAAAUUAAAAGAGUAAAAAGCUGGGUGCGGUGGAAAAGAACAAGAAAAGAAAAAUUGUGAAAAAUAAAGUGAUUAUAGAAAAGAUCGUACCCAUCCUGAAUAAGUGUGAUCAAGAAAAGAAAAGAAAAGAAAAAGGCUAAUGAGUGAGACCCCAAAAGCUAGUGUAGUGUCAAGGAGGCUUAGUCACUUCAAAUAUCAUCGAGUAUCAUACCAGCCCCUAGCCUACAUUACAAGCAAAAGAGAAGACCUAUAGUGAUCCUAGCAGACCUGUCUGAAGCUCUUGGUAAUGAAAAUAAGGGCAAGCCUAUGGUAUUCGGCAUACAUUGAUUGGAACUUCAUUCUGAGAGUGAGUAUCUUGUGAUUGUCCCCAUGGUUACAUAUGUGAUGUCUGAUAUAAGUGAAGUGGGACUUCUUUGUAGUGAGAGCACACUGGUUACGUUGUUAGUUGCUAACUUGUUUGGAUAAUGUAAUCUUGGUACAUGCAUGGUUGUUGUUGCUGAAUUGAUGCCAUAUCUUGAUUCAUGUGUGUCGCAUUGUUGUUCUUCAAUAAUAUACAUAGUUGUUUUUAAAUUGAUUUACCUUGGAUAUGGUGAAGAUGUUUUGAGAUAAUGUGGAUGGUUGACUGUCGAAUGUACUUUGUAUACUCUUGGUUGUGUUUUAGUUGCUUGAGGACAAGCAAUUGGUUUAAGUUGAGGGAAUUGAUGUGUGAGCAGAUGCUAACCCAUUUGAGGCUUUUAACUAAGAAUAAUUGCAAAGUCUUAAGCAACUUUUGUCAUUUUUGAUUGUUUUCUGUUGAUAUUGCAGUAAAAGUCAAGAUGCAAGAAAACCAGCAAUAAUGAAAAUAAAAGAGUUGAUUUUUUAGCAAGUGGAGAGUGAAGUAUAGCUGACAACUUGUCUGAUAAAUUGUCAGCCUUGUGAUAAGCUAUUAGAGUCAUCGCCAGGCUUAGACAGAGAAUGGUGUUCAGCUGGAAUUCGUAAUGACAUUUGUGAUAGGCCGUUAGAAGUGUGAUAAGCCGUCAGAUUCGCCGUCAGCCUUAGACAGAACAUGGGAGCUGAGGUGAAGAGGUGACUACAUUGUCUAAUAUGUCGUCACAUUUUGAUAAGCUGUAAGGAUUCACCGUCAGCCUUAAGCAGAAAUUGUCAAAAUUGAAGAGGAGCUGACGGCAUCUGUGAUAAGUCGUCAGCCUCCUGAUAAGGCGUCACACAUGUCGUCACCUAAUCUGAGAAAAAUACUGCACUCUGUGAUUUUGUUUCCAUAAUUCGGUUGAAGUAUUUAAAGCAUAGUUUAGGGUUUUCUAAGCAUAAUGGUGAACCUAUUUUUGGAACGUAUGUAUUUUUUGUUAUUUUCUCUCUAGCUUUUGGCUUUAACAAAACAAUUAACUUUGAAGAAAUUGUCAUCAAUAUUUUGGGAUUUCUACUGUGAUAUAAUCUGAGAAUCACUCGUUGUUAUUCAUAUUGCUGUAAUUUCAUCUUUCAAAUUAUGAAUUCAACUGGUUGUAUUGAUUAUUACAUUAUGAGUGGCUAAAUCCCUUUAACCCGAAUUAUGGGAUCUAUAGGUUAGAUCUUGGUAAGUUGCUAAGUGUUCAAGAUUCUAAAGGUAAUAGGACUCCUUGAUAAUUCCGAGGUUUUAAUUAUUGUCUAUUGGUUUCAAACGAUAGAUAGCACCUGCUUUGAUUUGCUUGAGAUAAGAAAUCAACUAUAGUAGGAAGUGAAUUAUUGACAGGGACUCGGAAACACUAAACUUUCAUUUAAUAAUUGACGCUGUAACAAGGUUAAUUAACCUAAGGUGAAGUCUGGUUAGUGAAUAUAAAUUCUCUAAGUCCGAGAUGAUUAGGUAAUUAAAUGCUUAAGUAGGUCGAGAGACAUUUAGGCAUAACUUCAAUAAAGACAAUCUGUUGUUCUUACCAAUCGUGAGAAUCUUGAAUCACUAUUAGCAUCUGUCAAGUACCCAAACCCAUAGUGAACAUAAUUCUGGUUUUUCCAUUUAUAUUGAUCACAAAUAUUGAAACUGAAUUCUGAAAUAAUUACUCGCUAAUUCUCAUAACCCUCAUUUUAUCUUCUCAUAUCAUUUGUUUGAAUUUAACUUGUAACUAUAGUUUCAAAUUGGUUUAAUCGCCACUCACAUUGUUCCCUGUGGAUUUGACCCUGACUUCAAAGUUGGGUAAAUCUAUUGACGACGACCGUCUUACACUAAAUAGACGUGUAAGUUGAGAGCUAUCACCCUCUUUUGUUGUAAUAUUCACAUGUAACAUUCUUGAAUUUGGACCUUGACUUGCUUUUACUUUUAUCUCUAUCAUCGGAACCUCUAGACUUAUUUCUCCACCUCUCUUCUGUAACCAAAACAUCAGAGUAUGAAGAUGAAGAAGAUGAGGCCUGAGAUCUUCUUCUUAUUUCUUCAUUCAAGACACCACUCUUAACAUAUUCCAUAGUCACAAUACCACAGGGAGCAGAAUUAGUCAAAGAAACUCGAAGAGUUUCCCAAGAGUCAGGUAGAGUAUUAAGAAGCCAAAGCCCCUGAAUUUCUUCAUCGAAAUUUACACCCAUUCCGGAUAGUUGGUCAAGCACACCUUGAAAAUUAUUUAUAUGAUCAGAAGUAGGACUGCCCUCUUUAUACAUUAUAUUCAUCAAUUUCUUAAGCAGGAACAACUUGUUAUUGCUAGUUUUCGAAGUAUAAAGUGUCUUGAGCUUGUCCCACAAACUUCUGGCAUGUGUCUUAUUCACAAUGUGAUUUCUGACAUUAUCUUCAACCCAUUGUCUGAUAUAGCCACAAAUCUGUUAGUGCUCAAAUUCCUAAUCCUCAUCUAUCAUGGAUUGAGGUUUACUAGAUGCAAACACAGGUAAAUGCAUUUUCUUGACAAAGAGAAGAUCUUUCAUCUUGUAUUUCCAAGUAUGAUAGUUACUAUCAUUCAAACACACCAUCUUGCUCAUAGUUGACUCUAUCAUUCAAAUCAAUAAUCAAUAACAACCAACGCUCUGAUACCACUUUGUUGGGAAAGGCAAGGGCACAAUCAAAGAGCCCAACAGGGUAGCAGCAAAAAUACCCAAGUUUAAACUUUUCAUUUCAACUUGAACCAAGAGGAGAUAAGCAAAUUCAAGAAAAAUAAAUAAUAUGGCAGAAAAUAAAUCAAUCAUACAAAUACGAUAAGAUAAGAAUAAAGGCAAUCACACAAGACACCAAAUUUACGUGGAAAACCCUUCGGUGUGAAGAGUAAAAAACCUUGGAACCAAAAACUUCACUAUAAUCACCAAGAGUUACAAUAUUGUUCUCCAAAAUGGCCACCAAACGAGUGCCAAAAAACAAGCAACAAUACAUAAACUACAGCACCAAACACUAGAGAAAUAAAGGAGCGAAAGCACUAAAAUGCAACUGUUGUUCGGGAAUGAAAAACAAGAGCUACAGGCUACCAAAUCCAACUCCGUCAAUUCCUAAUCAAAGAUUGAGAUGAGAGGAAAAAGCUAUCCAAAAAUCAGUUUAAUCAGACAAGAAAUGGAGUAAAACUCACAAUUUGAAAUUGACAGCUAUGUCUGAAAUUUUUGGGCGAAAAUCAGCUUUCUUUUCUUUCUUUGACUGCUGAAAACUCUCUUUUGUGGUGAUAAAAUAAAACCUAUAUAUAUAUAUAUAUAUAUAUAUCCCAAUAGUAUUGAGUCUAUGGGCAAAAGUGGAUUUGUCUAUAUGGGGCUUUAUUUAUCCAAAUAUAAGGAAAAAGACCCAUAACCCAAUAAUAAUUUCAAUUGUCUUUUUAAUGUAGGUCUCUUUUAUCGUAUUUAUACUUAUACACCAUUAUACAUACGUUAAUCAAUACACAAAAUACGAUUUGCUCUCUCAAAUCCUUUCAGGCUAGUCUCCUAUGAUGUGAAGACUCAGAAGACGACGUGUCAAUUUCUAUCAUUCAUGCUUUAGGGAAAACACAUAUAAGGAGAGCUGUCAAGUUUUUCUAUAUAAUAGAAGAGGUGGUUUCGACCACCUCUUCAUUUACUAUAUUACCCCCCAAAUCAUUUACUAUAUUACAUCUUAAUUGCUCCGUAAUUUAUUAUAUUACUCCUAAUUAAUUAUUACAAGUCAUUUAUAUAUUAGAAUUAAUAAUAUUUUAUUAUUAUAUUAACUCUAAUUAAUUAUUAUAAUUCAUUAUAUAUUAGAAUUAAUAAUAUUUAAUUAAAAAAUAGAUAUUUANNNNNNNNNNNNNNNNNNNNNNNNNNNNNNNNNNNNNNNNNNNNNNNNNNNNNNNNNNNNNNNNNNNNNNNNNNNNNNNNNNNNNNNNNNNNNNNNNNNNNNNNNNNNNNNNNNNNNNNNNNNNNNNNNNNNNNNNNNNNNNNNNNNNNNNNNNNNNNNNNNNNNNNNNNNNNNNNNNNNNNNNNNNNNNNNNNNNNNNNNNNNNNNNNNNNNNNNNNNNNNNNNNNNNNNNNNNNNNNCCCUAAUUAAUUAUUAUAAAUUAUUUAUAUAUUAGAAUUAAUAAUAUUUAAUUAAAAAAAUAGAUAUUUAUAACGUAUGUUUCAGCUUCUUUAACCACAAUUUUACUAUAUCAUCCCUAAUUAAUUAUUAUAAGUCAUUUAUGUAUUAAAAAACUAAUUUCUAUUAUAUAGAAGAGAUGGUUUCAAACACCUCUUACAAUUAUCUAUAUAAUAGAAGAGGUGGUUUCGACCACCUCUUCAUUUACUAUAUUACCCCCCAAAUCAUUUACUCUAUUACAUCUUAAUUGCUCCGUAAUUUAUUAUAUUAUUCUUAAUUAAUUAUAUUACAAGUCAUUCAUGUAUUAAAAUUAAUAAUAUUUUCUUAUUACAUAACCCCUAAUUAAUUAUUAUAAUUCAUUAUAUAUUAGAAUUAAUAAUAGUUAAUUAAAAAAUAGAUAUUUAUAACUUUUGUUUCAGCUGCUUUAAUCGUAUGUUACACCCUAAUUGCUCCGUGAUUUACUAUAUUAUCCCUAAUUAUUUAUUACAAGUCAUUUAUAUAUUAGAAUUAAUAAUAUUUUUAUUAUAUUACCCCUAAUUAAUUAUUAUAAAUUAUUUAUAUAUUAGAAUUAAUAAUAUUUAACUAAAAAGAUAGAUAUUUAUAACGUUUGUUUCAGCUGCUUUAACCGUAACUUUACUAUAUCAUGCCUAAUUAAUUAUUAUAAGUCAUUUAUGUAUUAAAAAAUUAAUUUCUAUUAUAUAGAAGAUGUGAUUUCAACCACCUCUUACAAUUAUCUAUAUAAUAUCUCUUACAAUUAUCUAUAUAAUAGAAGAGGUGAUUUUGACCACCUCUUCAUUUACUAUAUUACCCCAAAUCAUUUUCUAUAUUACAUCUUAAUUGCUCCGUAAUUUAUUAUAUUACUCCUAAUUAAUCAUUACAAGUCAUUUAUAUAUUAUAAUUAAUAAUAUUUUAUUAUUACAUUACCUCUAAUUAAUUAUUAUAAUUCAUUAUAUAUUAGAAUUAAUAAUAUUUAAUUAAAAAAAUAGAUAUUUAUAACAUUUGCUUCAGCUGCUUUAACCGUAUAUUACACCCUAAUUGCUCCGUAAUUUACUAUACUAUCCCUAAUUAAUUAUUAUAAGUCAUUUAUAUAUUAGAAUUAAUAAUAUUCUUUAUUAUACUACCCCUAAUUAAUUAUUAUAAGUUAUCUAUAUUAGAAUUAAUAAUAUUUAAUUAAAAAAUAGAUAUUUAUAACCUUUGUUUCAGCUGCUUUAACCGUAAUUUUACUAUAUUAUCCCUAAUUAAUUAUUAUAAGUCAUUUAUGUAUUAAAAAAAUUAAUUUAUAUUAUAUAAAAGAGGUGGUUUCGACCACCUCUUACAAUUACCAAACAACUAACUACUUCCACUUAAUUACAUAUCAUGCCCCUAUAUAUGAUAAUUUUAUUGUUUCAUCAUAAUGGUUUAAAUAUUUAAUGUAUUCUAUUAAUUUAUAUUUAUUAACUAUAACUACAUAUUGAAAGUAAAUUUUAUUUAUUUAUUUAAUUGUGUAUCAUGUUCAAAACUAAUUUGUUACCACAAAUCACAAUAAUUAAUAACUUAAAAUAUUUAAAAGACAUACAGAAAUUUUAUUGACUCUUACCAAAAAAAAACCCUCUACUCCCACUUAAUUACAUAUCAUGCCCCAAUAUAUAAUAAUUCUAUUGUUUCANNNNNNNNNNNNNNNNNNNNNNNNNNNNNNNNNNNNNNNNNNNNNNNNNNNNNNNNNNNNNNNNNNNNNNNNNNNNNNNNNNNNNNNNNNNNNNNNNNNNNNNNNNNNNNNNNNNNNNNNNNNNNNNNNNNNNNNNNNNNNNNNNNNNNNNNNNNNNNNNNNNNNNNNNNNNNNNNNNNNNNNNNNNNNNNNNNNNNNNNNNNNNNNNNNNNNNNNNNNNNNNNNNNNNNNNNNNNNNNNNNNNNNNNNNNNNNNNNNNNNNNNNNNNNNNNNNNNNNNNNNNNNNNNNNNNNNNNNNNNNNNNNNNNNNNNNNNNNNNNNNNNNNNNNNNNNNNNNNNNNNNNNNNNNNNNNNNNNNNNNNNNNNNNNNNNNNNNNNNNNNNNNNNNNNNNNNNNNNNNNNNNNNNNNNNNNNNNNNNNNNNNNNNNNNNNNNNNNNNNNNNNNNNNNNNNNNNNNNNNNNNNNNNNNNNNNNNNNNNNNNNNNNNNNGCAUAAAUCAUGACAAAAUAAAAAAUUAUUUUAAUUAAUUGCAACUAAAUAUUUAAAAUAAAUCAAUUUUAUUAUUUUAAUUGACUUAUAUAUAGAAAAUUGAUCUUUUUUUUAAUUUAUUUAUUUUAGUAAAUUUAAAUUUUAAAAUUAUUUAUUUCUUAUAUAGAAAUACUAAUGUUUAAACUUAACUUAAAAUUUUUAAAGUAAAAAAUUAAUAAAUUUAAUUUAAUAAAAUAAAUUUCUAAUGAAUAUUUUCUUAGAAUUUGUGUUGGGUCAAUAUGUAUCAAGUUUAAAAAAAAUAAAAAAAAUAUAUAGUAAAAUUUUAUUAUUGUGAAAGAUCAAUAUAAUGCACUAUCCAAUAAUGUUUAAUAAUAUCAUAUUUUGCAUAUGCAAAUAUAGCAUUCCGUAUUUAAUUACUAUUUUGGUGAAUUAUAGAUGAUUACUAUUGGAUAUGAUAAAAUUAUAUUAAUUUUUAUAGUAAUAAGAUAAUCAGUCGCUCUUAAUUAAUUAUUAUGAGUCAUCUAGGUAUUAUAAAAAUAAAUAAUAUUUAAUGAAAAAUAAAAUUGACAUAAAAUCGAAAUUAAUCUUAAUGUUUUAAAUUAAAUUUUCUUCUUUCAAACGAUGAUUUUACUAUAUCACUCCUUAUUAUAAGUCAUUUAUGUAUUAGAAAAAUAAGAAUAAUAAAAUGAUAUGUCAAUAUAAAAUAUUUGAUUUACUAUUAAAAUUAUAUUAGUGCCACAUAAAUUGGGACGGGAUAGAAGAAGAUAUAAAGCAACAUAUAUUAUUUGAAAAUAAAAUAAAAAGUACUGUAAAUAACAAUAAUUAAAAAAUAAAUUGACUGAUUUCUGCUUCAGCUGCUUCAGUCGUGAUUUUACUAUAUCACCCCUAAUUAAUUAUUAUGGUCAUUUAAGCAUCGUGCCACAUAAGUUGAGAUAGAAAAAAUAUUAUAAAUCACAAUGAUAAAAAAUUUAAAUUUUAAAAAAAAUAUAAUUGGCUAUUGUCGACACAAAGCUCUGGACAAGGAGAGUAGCAUAUAUUAUUAAAAAAUUACAUAAAAAGUAUUAUAAAUUACAAUUGUUAACAACUAAAAUAUCUAAAAAAAAAUUAAUAUGUUAUAUAUUUCAAAAAAAUUACAUAAAAAAUACUAGAAAUCACAAUAAUCAACAACUUAAAAAAUUUAAAAGAUAUAAAAUAUUUGGUCGGUUCUUGAAAUUAUAUUAGUAUCACUGAAAUUGGAAUAUAAGAAAAGUAUUAUAAAUCAAAAUAAUUAAAAACAUAAAUUAUUUUUAAAAUAUAAUUAACUAUCAAUGCCACAAAAAUUUGGACAAGAAAAAUAAUGUAUAUUAAUUUGAAAAAUACAUAAAAAAAUAUUAUAAAUUACAAUAGUUAACAACUUAAAUUAUCUAAAUACAUAUUAAAAUAACAUAUGUUGAACUCAUGCUAGAUUUUUGGAUGAAUCCUAGAAAACAUAUGCAAUCCAUUUAUUAAAAAAAUUUAUUUAUAUAUAUCAAGAUUGAAAAGACAAAUAAAUAUCUUAAUGUUGGGCUCAUGCUGACACGGGUCAUGCUUCUCUAGUAUCCUUAUAAGGAGAGCUUAUUAGAGAGCUUAUUAGUUAGUUCUCCUAUAUAAGCAGCUAAAGCAGGUUGCUGAGGUCAAUAUAUCUGCUUUAACUGCUUCAAUCGUGAUUUUAUUAUAUUAUUUUUAAUUAAUUAUUAUAAGAUAUUUAUGUAUUGAAAAAUUAAUAAUAUUUAAUAAAAAAUUUAAAAUGAAUAUUUAUGACAUGAUUAAUUCAGUUACUUCAAUCGUAAUUUUACUAUACCACCCAUAAUUAAUUAUUAUAAAUUAUUUAAGUGUUAAAAAAUUAAUAAUAUUUAAUGAAAAGACAAAAUAGAUAUAAAAUUGUAAAUUACCUUUUUGAUAUUUUAAGUUAACUUGAUAUUUUAUAUGGAACCACUUUAAAAAAAAAUCACAAGUAUUUUUUAUAAUAAUUUUAUUAUGUCACUUCUAAUUAGUAGAAUAGAAGAAAACAUUAUAAAUUAUAAUAAUUUAAAAAUUAAAUUAUUUAAAUAUUUAAUUUACUAUCAAUGACACAAAAGUUUGAACAACUUAAAAUAUUAUUAUAUAAAUUUCAUUAAUCUAAAUACAAUAAUAUAUACCUAAUUUAAAAUUUAUUAAUUAAAUAAAUAAAAAAUUUAAUUAAAUAAUAAAAUUAUAUAUUACGUAGAAUUUUUAAAAAUUAACAUUGAGCGUGCUACUAAUCAUAAUUAUCAUUAAUCUAAAUACAGUAAUAUAUACCUAAUUUAAAAUUUAUUAAUUAAAUAAAUAAAAAAUUUAAUUAAAUAAUAAAAUUAUAUAUUACGUAGAAUUUUUAAAAAUUAACAUUGAGCGUGCUACUAAUCAUAAUUAAGUGGUAAAAUAGAGAGUUGGACCAUUGAAACUAUACGUCUUGACAAUAUGCAUGUGUGGAGACAGACAAGGAAAGCGCGCUAAACAUAUAGGGGUCGUUUGGUUUGGAAAUUAUUAUCCAGGGUUAACUAAUUAUUUCGGGAUAAAAUAAAAGAAUAUAUUUUCCUUUGUUUGGUUGAAGGGAUUAAUCCAAUGAGGAUAACUUAUUCCACCAUUUUUUCCUUAGUCCCGGGAUAACUUAUCCCAUAUACAUGGUGGGAUAAGUCAUCCCGGAUAAUUCCGGUAUAAUUAAUCUCGAUAUUAAUUAUUCCGGGAUAAUAAUUUUCAAAUCAAACGACCCCAUAGAGUAUCUAUUUUCUCUGAGACGAAGCUUCUAAGCUCAUAAAAUUCUUGUAACUUGCUAAGUAAUUUAUCUCUAUUUUUUUUUUAAAUUAUAAAAUAAAAUUACAUAUUUAAUUUCAAAUUCACGUCACGUAUUUUUGUUAUAUAAAAUUGGAAAUAAAGAAGCGGUGGAAAAUGAUGCCAUGUCAAAAUCGACCCAUCUACUCACUCAAAGUGAUAAAUAUCAAACAUACAAAGUAGCUACAUGACAAAGUACUAUAUGCCCUUCUAUGAGUGAUGAAAUAUCAACUUAUUUUUUUUAAACUAUAUAUAAAAUUCUUGUAACUUGCUAAGUAAUUUAUCUCGUAUUUUUUUAUUUUUAAAUUAUAAAAUAAAAUUACAUAUUUAAUGUCAACUUCACGUCACAUAUUUUUGUUAUAUAAAAGUUGAAAUAAAGAAGCAGUGGAAAAUGAUGCCAUGUCAAAAUCGACCCAUCUACUACUCACUCAAAGUGAUAAAUAUCAAACAUACAAAGUAGCUGGAGAAAAUUGAAGGAAAAAUAUUUUUUAAGUCUUGAAUGAAAGAUUGGUGACAUUGACUAACAAAUAGGGUCAAAUAUCAUUAGAAAACUUGAUUAAGUUAAUUAUGAAUUUGAUUAAUAUUUUUAAAAUUUUCAAAUCUUUUCAAAAAUACAAAUCAACUCAACUCACACCCCUCUUCAAUCCAAAUCAACCACUCUCUCAUCUCUCUCGACAGCUUCUCUCAACUCUUUCCAACCAACAGUUCUGCCAAAUUUCUCCCUUCAACCCCCGACGACUUCUACCUCUAGCGACUAAUAGUUGGGCUUCGAGUUCCUCUCUUUUCUCCCUUCAACCCCUGGCAACUUCUAUCUCUGGCGACAAAUAGUUGGGCUUUGAAUUCCCCUCUUCAAUUCAAAUCAACCUGUCUCUCAUCCCUCUCUCGACAACUUCUCUCAACUCUCUCCCAACCAACUGUUCUACAAAUUUCUCAUUUCAAUCCUCGGCGACUUCAACAUCCGACUACAAAUAGUUGGGCUUCGAGUUUCUUUUCGACUUCAGCCUUCAAUCGACGUGACAGCCUUGCUCUCCGGCCACAACAGCUUCGAUCUUCGUUCCUAUUUUUCUUUCACAGGAAAAAAUUUAUGGCAUUUUUAGUUUUGAAGAAAACGAGGAACUUGAGUCAACUUCUCUUAUAGUAUUGGUUAACAAUUUCAAUAUUUGUUGCAUUAAUUUGAAAUGCGGUCUGAAUAAAAUCCUGAUUUCUGGUAUUUCUUCUCUUCUCUUUUCUAAGUGCGAAAAUUUGGGUUGAUUUGUUCUGUUCUUGUUCUUGGUAAAAAUGGUGAAAUUACAAUUUUUUUGUUCGUGCUACUGUUUUUUGUUUUCUCUGACAGAUUACCCAUUUGGUGCAAUAUAUUAACCAUCUGAUGCAAUAAAUUUAUCAUAUGAUGCAACAGAUCAAUCAUCUGAUGCACCAGAGGAACCAUCAGAUUAUAAUUCUGAUGCAACAGAUUAACUAUCUGGUGCAACAGAUUUACCAUAUUUUGCAACAGAUUAAGCAUCGGAUAAAAAAUUUGAUGCAACUAAUUAACCAUCUGGUGCAAUGGAAGAACCAUCAGAUUAAUGAUCCGAUGCAACAGAUAAACCUCUUGUUGGAUAAAAUCCUAUCAACUCUUCUAACAGGAAAUGUCCAAGACUUGAUUUUUCCAACUGAUCAUUCAUCUGCCGCGAUAGACAACCCUAUGUUGGAAGAAAUCUAAACAAUAUUGACCAUUGAUAACUUUUCCAACAGAUCACUCAUGUGUUGUAACAGAUGUGUGACCUGUUGCACAGACCAUUCAUCUUUCUCAAUAGAUGAGUGAUAUAUUUUAAUUAUUGCAACAGAUUACUCAGCAGUUGUUGUAGGUUAGUUAGCUACUCUGAUAGAUCACUCAUAUGUUGUAACAGAUAUGUGAUCUGUUGCACAAACCAUUCAUCUUUCUCAACAGAUGAGUGAUAUGUUUAGUAUUGUUGCAAUAGAUUACUCAGUCGUUUCUACAAAUUAUUUAACUAUUUCAAUAGAUCACUCACAUGUUUUAAUAGAUGAUGUCACAACAAAUGUGUGAUCUGUUGCACAGACCAUUCAUCUGUCUUAAAAAAUGAGUGAUAUGUUUUGUACUGUUGCAGAAGAUUACUCAUCCGCUGCAACAGUUUGGUUAUAUGCUGCGACAGAUAUACUACCUAGUGAAACAGAUCCCCGAUCUGCUGCAAUUGUUAUUUUACUGAUUUGCUUGUUUGAUUUACUGUUAUCCUUUUUUAACGAUGCAUUAAUCAACUAUAAUAUAUUUUUUUAUAUUCCUAUUAAUUUUAGAUAAUAUGGUUUCCAAAAAAACAUAAACCGAAUCAAGUCCAAGUAAAGGAACAAGUAAAGCAGCUAGGCUACAUCCACCACUCUAUGAGCUUUCUUUUCAAGCGUUAUUUUAAUCGAGAGCAGAAUAUGAUGAACACGGGGAGGAGGAAUGUUUCAAAAGAGAUGAUGCAGAUGCUAAUAGCCCUUCCUCCGAAGAGCUGGUCAAAGCCUUCAGCAUUGAUCGUUAUCCAGUGAGAAUGCAGUGCGAUGGUACCGCAGAUUUAACGGGUGAUUUCGUGGUUAAGUCAGCCAUGGGAAAAUCUUUCGACGCCUUCAGAAAAAUACUUCGAGAACAAAAAUUGGAUGCUUAUUUUAGGGACAUCCACUUUGGGAAAUAUCUUAAUUUAUCGGAGGACAACAAUGCUUGUUUCCAAAUAAAAAUGGUAUAUGAACUUCCCAAGCGUAGGUUUAUGUAUGAAAACAAAGAUAAGAUGGAUGAAGUGUGGAUAAAUUAUUGUGACAUGCCUGUUUUUUUUUUGUUGGGAGGAGUUUGUCAUAGUUACUGGACUAAAAUAUUAUCCUCCUUCUCAAGUUAUACCUAUUCUAACCCAAAAAAAAAAUACCCCGCACACCUAAAAAAAGGUAAAGACAAGUCGUGUGAUCGUGAUGACCUGGUUUCCAUUGUUGGUCCAAGCUUCAAAAAUAAAAAUUUGAUAGAAUCGUUGAAAGGUAAAGGACUUUCAAAGAAGCACAAGCAGUCAUUGUGUUUGAUUUGGUUUGUACAUAAUAUUCUUUGGGCGAGAGACGUUAACAACAACAUAAGCCUCAGUAUAAUAAAACUCUCUGAGGAAUGUGACGUGUUUAACAGCUAUCCUUGGGGGUAUGAAAGCUUCAAAAUGACUGUCAAAUAAUUGUUGAAUCUGUUAGCGCCAAAGACAGUUAACUUAUAUGGCUUCCCAUGGGCUUUCAUGGUAAAUGUUUCUUUCUUCUAUUAUGAUAUCAUUCAUUUUUUCACUUAAUAAUGGCUUUGAUUUAUUGGCAUUAUUUUAUAAGCUUGGGCGUUAGAAGCCAUUCCUUAUUUGAGACAACAAGUGAACUACCCAGGAAGGAGUUUCCUGUCCAGGAAUCUUAACAUGGUUGUCGAUCAAAACUGACAAAAAUGCAAAAUUUCUUGAUCUCUUCAACCCCCCGAAGGAUCAAGUAAGUAUAAUUAUAAUUAAUUUUUUCUUUUAAUUAAUGAUUUUUUUGAAUGAUUUAAUCAUCAUUUUAAUAAAUGUAAUGAUUUAUGUUAGAUUGUGCAUCCGUCGCUAGUUCUGACCAAUCGAGAGUUGAAGAUACCAUUUUUUCUUACUUUAUGGUCUGUGCAAACUUUAUCGGACCCUAAGUUCAUCGACAGAAUAAAAAUGGAAUUGUUUGGAGCAACAGCCAUUACAAAAAAAAUAAUUUUGGACGUGGGCUUGUUGUUGAUGAUGGUCUCAGUGGUGAUGGAGCUGUUGGUGGUGGUAGUGGUGCUUUCGUUGGUGCUAAUGAUGCUCCUCGUACAGUAUUUAAAGCAAACCAUUAUGAGUAUGAUCAUACUGGUUAUACAGAUUUUGCCUCUCCCAACAAAUGUUCUGAAUGCAAAUGUCAAGGCUGCAGGGCGAAACAUGAUGUAGUGAUUAAUGCUAUUAAUGCAAUAACUUCUUAUGUUAAGGAAUUGAUAUCUAAGAGGGGUCUCAUUCCAUCAAAGAGGACUUUAUUUCUAUCCACUCUAUUAGAGGUUAGGGCUAAGAGGAGAAGGAGAGUGAUUUUCAGGGCAUUAUUAAGCAUCCAAAAAAGUGAAAUUGCAACUCCUCUGUAUGUGUGUUGCACUGAGCAACGUACAAUGUCCAAAGGAGAGCAGCACGAGCUGAAGAAGGUGAAUAUAUUAUAUGUCUUCCAACUGAAAAAACAAACAGACACAUAUCUGUUUCAAUAGAUGACAGAUCUGCUGAAAAUUAUCAAACAGAUAUGUACAUCUAUUGCAACAAUUGACUAACCUGUUGCACCAGAUAAAGUAUCUGGUGCAACAUAUGUAUCAUCUAUUUUAGCAAAUCAAACAACUCUUCGUACUGCUUUUAUUGUACCAACAGAUGAUCUAUCUGCUGCAACAGAUGAUUCAUAUGUUGCAACAGAUGGUUCAUCCGUUGGAAAUUAUCAUACAAGGUCUUCCUCAUCUAGAAAUUUAUCCUAAUAGUUGAUUCAUUGUUGCAACAAAAAUAUAAUCUGUUUGGGAUAAGUUAAAGCGGGAGAAAGACCUAUUUGAUUUGCUAGAAGAGAUGAGUUUUCCUUUUUUGUUUUGUUGUAUCUCCGUGAUUAGCAUUAACCAAUUCUGGAUUUCCAGGUGGAUGUAGAAGAAGCUACUGCUGAACAGUAUUGACAAUAUGCUACUCUUUUUAUGGAAAUACGGAGAACAGAAAGCGCAAAAAUCGUACGUAAGCGACAAUAAAGAUCCACGACGAGCAAAGCAGAAUUCCAUAGCACCGGAUGAAGAACAACUUAUCCAUACUGAGUAGAUCUUUAUAGCUUGAGUCUGUCAAAGUAAUCCUUGGCAGUAUACUUAAAUUGUUGUUGAUGUAUUUAUUGAGAUUUGUACCCAUAACAAUUUUUUUACAUUUUAUUUAUUCGUUGACUUAUUUCAGCUAAUUUAUGAAGGCUUCGAUUUAUUUUAUUUUGUCUACGAAUUUUAUUUAUUCCUUAGAUUUGAACUUAUUAAUUGAAAAGAAAUACUAGAUUUAAAUAUUGCAACAGAUAAUGUAUCUAUUGCAACAGAAGACACAUCUAUUGGAAAAAUCAAACAAAUUUAAACAUAUGUUGCAAGAGGUAGAUAAUCUGUUGGAAUUUAUCAAAUAGAUCUUCCCACUAUUGCAACAUACGGACUUAGAUAGAAACAUCGAGAUAAUGCAACAGAUGACCAACCUAUUGCAAAAGAUAAACUAUAUGUCAGGACAGGUAAAAUAAUUGUUACAACGGAUGGAGAAUUUGUUGCAUUAUAAAAAUUCAACUUUCGUUGAACAUAAAAAAUUGCCACUACGUGUAAAAAGGUUAAAGUGAAUUGAAUUGAAAUUCAAAAGGCGGAACCCAUCGACGGUGUUCAUUUCAAACACCCAAAAUAAAAUAGGCAUCAAGUACACAGUGUUCAUUUAGAACACGUAAAAUAAAAUAGGCAUCAAAUGUGUCAGCCUGGCACAUUUUGCUGACUUGCCGUCACUUAGCCCACAACGGAUUUCAUCGUCAUCUUAUUUUAUCUAUCCAAAAUCUUCAAAUUAUUUCUUUCAUUUUUUCCAACUGAGCUUGACAAUGUCGAGUGCAUCUUCCACUAUUUUUUGUGAUAAAGAUUUUUGAUAUUGUAAGUGCGUUUAUGAAGCUAUGUUAAAGACUUCUUGGACUCAACAAAAUCCGGAUUGUAGGUUUUUUACUUGUAAGAUUUCGAAGGUAAUAUUUUUUUAUUUAAUUAGUUGAUUAAUUAUUGACUUGUAAUUAUUUUGUAAUUGUGUUCUGUUUUUUAUAGAAAUUGGGUGGAUGCGAUUACUUUGAUUGGUAUGAAGAACGACACCCUUCACAAGCAAAUCAUGUAAUUUGGGGUUUGUUGAACAAAGUCAAGGCUUCUGAAGAGAAACAAAAUCGAGCAAGAAGAUACUACAUUGUUGUUGUUAUUGCUACUGGUUUGGUGUUGUUGGAAACAUCGAUAUUCAAGCCUAAUUGCUGAAAUUUUUAUGGUGGUGUGUGUAUUUGCUACUGGUUUGGUGUUGUCGAGCACAUGGAUAUUCAAGCGUAACUGUUGGAAAAUAUCAAAAAGAUUUAGGCAUAUGUUGUAAAAUUUAGGUCAUCUGUUGGAAAUUAUCAAACAGGUCUUCCCACUGUUGCAACAGAUUAGACUUAGAUUAUUUGAUUAUUCAUAGAAAUAACAUCAGUGUAAUGCAACAAUGACCAACCUAUUGCAACAGAUAAACUAUCUGCCAGAACGGAUUAAAUAUAUUUUAUAACAAAUUGACGAUCUAUUACAUUAUUAAAAACUCAACUUUCAUCAGAAAAAAAUUAUUGCCACUACAUGUACAUGUAAUAAAGUGAAGGGUGACUUGAAAUUAAAAAUUUCUAUUUCACAGGAUCUUCUAUAUACACAGGCUUCAAGCGUCCAGUUAGUACCCCUUAAGCCCAGACCUCUUGCAAGUUUUCCACAGCAUUGUCACAUGGAAAAUUCGUUGGCUCGGCUAUUUCUGUGCCGUUCAGCAAACAUUCAUUGUAUGCAAGAGCGUACGAGCCGCUCGCUUUAGCGGCAUCAUCUUUUGGAAGGAUCAUUCCCUUGUUUCGACCUUUAAAAUUCUGUGAUUUCUUCAUCAACACUUCCUUUGGCAAAUGAUUCAUCAAUUUACUUUCCCUCAACAAGAUAGGCAACAACACCAUCAGUGGCUCCAGUGGGAGAAAAAAUCGAAAUCAUUGAUGAGAGGUACGUUAGAGUCAUAAACAUUGAUCUUUCCCCCCUUAAGUAGUAUCUCAAUAUCCCGAUAAUGCAUGUCGUUCAUGCUAAUGACUACAAAAAUCCUUUUUGCCUCAGUCCAUCUCUUGUCGUGUAGAUUUGUCCUAUCCCCUCUAACAUAUUUUAUCAUUUCUUCUUCAUACAAGACCAACGUAGGAACUCGGAAAUCAAGUCCCACGCCAAGGGCGGAUGCCUCCCCAUUGAGUUGAUCGUACCUAUCCUUGAGCUUCUUGCAGAAGUCGAGGUCCAUUAUCUUAUCAGCAGCGUCAUAAGCUUCCCGAUACGUUAAUUGUCUUUUCCUCAUGAGGCAGAGAAUUAUGUCAACAUUUGUGAUAUAAGAAUUCAAUUUUUAAAUAGGUUAGUAAUUGUAAAGAUGCAACAGAUGGUCCAUCUGUUGCAUAAGAUUCUCUGAAUCAAUAAUCCAAUACAACUUAUGCAACAGAUGGAUAAUAAGUUGUAACAGAACCACUACCAGUUGCAUCAGUAUACCCAGUUGUUGCAACAGAUGUGAAAUCUGUUGCGUAGAUAUUUCUUCAUGGGGUAGAUUAGAAGGGAUAGUUUAGGAAAAGUAAACUUGCCUUGUCGUCGUACGGCAUACGCAUAGCAGUCAUAGUUUGGAAGUAUUAGGGGGAAAAGGGAGUCCUGGCGUAAUCUGGUGCGCCUGGAUAGGCAUUCUUGGCCUGUCGCAGAUCCAUCUUCUCUUCGGCGCCAAGUUUCGCGUAUAUGUCCACUUUCUUAACUGGCCCAUGAACUUCAACAACUUUUCGAGAGGGAGGAAUUGCAAUUUCUUUUGAUUUUUGACCGGAGAGUACAUCUCUAAUUGCUCUUUUCCUUCUCCUAACCAACAAUGUAGGAGUGUGCGGCUGCCUCACCUUCUUGGAUGGUAUGACACACCUCUUGGAUUUGAAUUCCUCGAUAGCUUUAGAGAUAGCCUCUACUUUUUCAAAGAGUUUAUCCUGUCUGUCCUUGCACUCUUCGCAUUCGUAACGAGAACACGAGGGUGAAGAGAGGUGAGAGGGACCUGUGUAAGGGAGAAAAAGGGUUUUUUCAAACAUAUUUAUUCUUUCUUGAGCAUCAACAUACUCAUCGUCACGAGUGGUAGCAGCAUCUGCAUGCCUGUCACCAACACCAACAACUCCACCAGAAGAAGCACCCGGAUCUGCCUUAGUAAAAGGUUGGUCAUGAAGAACCUUAACAUUAGGCUGACCUUUCCUAACUGCUCUUCUUAUGGCUAUUGUUCCAGCCAAUUCCUUCUUUAUUAACUCCACCGUUAGGUCUGCUAUAGUAUCAAUAUGACCUAGAGUAAUAUAAGAAGUCAUCACCAACUCCUCCUCAGUAGGCACGAUCCAUGGAUGCACAACCAAUAAAAAAGGAAAAAAAAGACAGAUAUAUUUAAAUCAUAUAAUAUAAUAAUUUUCACAGUUGGGCUACAUUUAAAAAAAAAGACCCAUUUGUUGCAUAGUUUGCAAUAUAUGGCUAAAAUCCAUUUGAGUCUGGUUUAGAGAAACAGAGCAACACAAGGAUAAUUUGAUGCAAAAUAUCAAUCAUUUGUUACAAUAGUUGCACAAGACAAGUAAUCUAUUAUGCAACAGAUGAUCUGUACGUCACUACAGAUGAACAAUAUAUUAUCAGAUUACACAUCUGUUGCAUAAUUUGCAGUAGAUAGUUAAUUUUUUAGGAGUCGAGUUCAGAGAACCAAAGCAACAAAUGGGUAAUCUAAUGCAAUAUAUACCCUGUCGCAAUAGAUGUCCCAUCUAGUACAUCAGAUAUAACAUCUGUUGCACCAGAUAUAACAUCUGUUCAAUAUCUUUCUUUGAGUAGAAUUAUUUUACUUAAAGAAGACGUAAUGCAUCAUCCGGAGGGUUAAAGAGAUCAGCUUCCUUAAUAUUGGUGCUGCUCUUUGCAGCCAACCACCUAAACAUCCUUGGAUGAGAAACCUCAUUCGGGUAUUCCAUUAACUACUUUCGGAGGAGAGGAAUGGCUUCAAAUGUCCAAGCCUAAAAAACAUAAACAAGAAGCAAUCAAAAAUAAGUCAUAAUAACUAUAUUCAAUAAAAAUUAAUGGAUGAGUAAAAUUAGUGAUUAAUUUUACCAUGAAAGCCCAAGAAAAGCCGUAUAAUGUGGGCGUCCCUGAGGAUAGCUUUGUCAGCAAAUAUUGGACAGUCAAGUAGAAGUUGUCAUACCCCCAGGGAUAAUUGUUGAAUUUAUCAAAAUCCUCAGCACGCGCCAACAAAUCAUCUUCUAUGACCUUGUUGCCAUAUCUUACCAAUAUAACCUAACGGGCAAACCAAACUAAGCACAAUUGCUUCUUGUACUGCUCUGGUAUGUUUUUAUCCUCGAGAUCUGUCAAUAAAUUAAAUGUUUUGUAGCCACGUUGAGCAAUGUAGAACAAACCAUCUAUUUUUUCCUUGCAUUUUCUUGCCUUGGAUAUUUUGUAGAGUGGUGGUCCUUCUGGAUGAUGGCAUCUCAAGCCCGUCACUAUGGCAAACUCUUGCAAGCCAAAACAAACAGGCAUGCCACAGUAGUUGAUCCAGAUUUCAUCUAUCUUCUUUUUUCCCCCUCCUUCUAAUCUUUAUCAGCCCCCGUGUACUUGAUCCUGCGCUUGAGAAGACCAUAUACCAUCGUCAUAGGGAAACGGAUACGGGCAGAGGGGUCCUUAGGCAGCUCAAGAAAGCAUCCAAAGCAUCUCUUCUUAAAAAGUACGCCUAUGUUUUCAUUCUUUAUAAUUUUCAUAAAAUGUUCAAAAAAUUUCCCCAUCUGACAUUUAAGUACAAUUUGACCUGUUAGUUGUUUUCCAUCUGGGCCAUUUAUCGGCAUCGCAACUUGAAACCUGUCAAUACUAAAAGUUUUGACAGGAUCAUACUGGGAUGUCGAUAUUAAUUCACGCCCCAUCGGUGAUCCAUUAUUAUUAUGUUGAUGAUAAUCCUCUUUCUCUUUCUCACUCUCCAAUUCCUCCUCUUUCUCACUUUCAUUUUCUUCAUCACCAUCUACAGACCCUUGUCCACCUCCCUCAACAUUGUUUUCAUAUCUCUCCUCAACUUCACUUUUUCUUGAUUGAGAUUGUUCAGGAAGCUCCUUUGAAUCCCUCUAUACUGUAGCUUUUUUUGGGUGGUCAAACGUUGAUCCACUUUCACUUUCUUUUCUUUUGGGAGACAUGUUUUACCUACAGACAAAGAAAAACAAAAAUUACAUUACAAUUGAUGUAUGCAUAGAUUUUAAAAAAUACAUUACAAAUACCACGAAUACCGACAUACCAACAGCCACCACUAAAAACACCACCAACCAAUGCCAACAAAUAAAAACCACGAAUACUGACCCCACCAACAGCCACUACAAACAACACCAACCAAUGCCACCACCAGUGCCACCACGAUGAUCACAAAUACCACCACCACCACAAACACCAUCAAUAAUACCACGAUAGUCAACGAAACACUGCGACGAAAACUAGGGAUUUCUCGAGUUCUUCCUACGAUUUUACCAUAAGAACUCAAAAUUGUAAACUCAUUCUCGAAGAUAAUACAACUAAAAGUUUUAUUUUUCAUUAUUAACUUAAAAGCCCUUAUUUUUUAGAAAAAAAUAACAAAUAUAGAGCUCUUUUCGAAAUCUGUUGCCUACGAAGACAAAGAAAAUGAUUGAUACAAGCAAGAAUAAAGUUAAAAAUAACAACUAUGUGGUCGAAAAUAAGAAGAAAAGCGAUCUGUUGUGGAGGGUUGAGCAAAUUUGUUGAGUAGUUGUUGUCUGUACUAUAUUGUUGAGUGAGAAUGAGAGAGAAAGAGCGAGACCUUGAGAUUUGAAAUGAUGAAACAUUUUGUAUGGGUUGAUUUGUAUAUUGGAAAAGAAUGACAAGUAGUUUUGAAAAUGUUAAUUUGGUCCGAAUUGAUCUUAAUUAUUUUUAAAAUUAUAAAAUAUAUGCGUAACUUUUAACCCUCUCAUCAUGAAAUUGCCAAAAGGGUAAUUUAAUUGAAACUGUAUAAAAACAGUUGAAGUUGUAGUUGACCGAGUACUCUAGUUAAUCCUAUGAAAACUCACCCCUGGUCCUAGAAUAAUUAAUUUAGGUACUAUUAGUCUAACAUAUGAACUCAAUUGAAAUUGUAAAAAAACAAAUGUUCAACAUGUUGCAUCAGAUUUUCAUCUAUUGUAAAUUAUCAAUCAGAUUAAAUAACAAUAGCUAACGAAUCUGUUGUAAAUUAUCAAAUAGAUUAAGUCAUCUGUUACGACGAUUACCUAUCUAUUGUAAUUUUCAAAUGAAUUAUCAUAUGUCGCAACAGAUUAUCCAUAUGUUGUAAAUUAUCAAAUAGGCGUUGCCAUCUGUUGUGGCUGACCCUAUGAGAACUCACCCCUAGUUCUAAAUUAAUCGAUAGUUUACCCUAUGAGAACUCACCCCUAGUCCCAGAUUAUUCAACCAAGGUAUUAGUACCCUAGUCCUAGAUUAAUCAAUUAAGGUAUUAGUCUAACAUAUGAGGUAGUAAGCAUCGGUUCGGCUCAGAGUUAUCGAUCGACGACUCUGGUCGGGAGGAACACAGUACCGUCUUAUCAUGCAAUUAUCAAAAGACUCAAUUGAAGUUGUAGUUGACCCUAUGAUAACUCACAUUCAAUUAAGGUAUUAGUCUAACAUAUGAACUAAAUUGAAUUAUAUAUAAACAAUGUUCAACCUAUUGUAACAGAUGUAUUUUUUGUUGGAUCAAAUCAAACAGAUUAUGUUAUCUGUUGCAACAUAUUACGCAUCUGUUGUAAACUAUCAAACAAAUUACGUCAUUUGUUGCGACAGAUCACGAAUCUGUUGUAAACUAUCAAAUUGAUUUAAUUAUCUGUUACGACAAAUUACUCAUCUGUUGUAAAUUAUCAAAUGGAUUAAGUCAUAGAUUGCAAUAGAUUACCCAUCUGUUGUAAAUUAUCAAAUAGGCAUGGUCAUCUAUUGUAGUUGACAUUAUGAGAACUCACCCCUAGUCCUAUAUUAAUCAAUUAAGGUAUUAGUUGAACAUAUGAGGUAAUAAUAAUUGGUUUGGCUCAUAGUGAUUGAUCGACGACUCUUGUCGGGAGGAACGCAGUACCAUCUCAUCAUGUAAUUGCCAAAAGACUUAAUUGAAGUUGUAGUUGACCCUAUAAGAACUCAUCCCUAGUCCCAAAUUAUUCAAUUAGGGUAUUAGUACCCUAGUCCUAGAUUAAUCAAUUAAGGUAUUAGUCUAACAUAUGAGCCAGUAAGAAUCGGUUCGGCUCAGAGUUAUCGAUCGAUGACUCUGGUCGAGAGGAAUGCAGUACUGUCUUAUCAUGCAAUUGCCAAAAUACUCAAUUAAAGUUGUAGUUGACCCUAUGAGAACUCACCCUUAGUCCCAGAUUAUUCAAUAAAGGUAUUAGUACCCUAGUCCUAGAUUAAUCAAUUAAGGUAUUAGUCUAACAUAUGAGGUAGUAAGAAUCGGUGCGGCUCAGAGUGAUCGAUCGACGAAUCUGGUUGGGAGGAACGCAAUACCUUCUCAUCAAACAAUUGCCAAAAGACUCAAUUAAAGUUGUAUUUGACCCUAUGAUAACUCACAUUCAAUUAAGGUAUUAGUCUAACAUAUGAACUCAAUUGAAAUUAUAUAUAAACAAAUGUUCAACCUGUUGCAACAGAUGUCUUUUCUGUUGGAUUAAAUCAAACAGAUUGGUAAUCUGUUGCAACAUAUUGCGCAUCUGUUGUAAACUAUCAAAUAGAUUACGUUAUUUGUUGUGAAAGAUCACAAAUCUAUUCUAAACUAUCAAACAGAUUAAGUCAUUUGUUGUACUUAAAUGUUUUAAGAUCCUUUUUUUAAAGCAAUUUAGGUAUUUUCUGUCCGAUAUAAAAUAGUUAAAAUACUAUGGCGGUAAAAACUAUUACUCGGCACUACUUGGAUAACUCAAAAAUCUCCUGACUGAGUAGUCUUAUCUGGUCUUUUCAACUUCACCAUCUCCUCGUGCCCCUCAAAAGUUAUUAAUGAAUAUUUAAAACCCUCCAUAUCUAGAACUCUCUCUCCUUCAGCCAUAAAGUAGUCUAGACUCAACUUAUCACUCUUCUUUAUUGUUUAGUCUCAAUUAUCUUUAUUGUUUCCUUUUUUCUCUCUUUUCUCUCUUUUUUCAGAUGAGAAUCCUUUAGGAUCUCAACCAAUCAAUAUGUUUUCUCGAUUGAACUGGAUGUUCUGAUCCGUUUGCUUUUUUGACAUUGCAGGUAUGGUUCACUGUUGCUCUUUUCAUCUCAUCUUUUUCUUUGUAUGUCAUUUAAAUUAGAUAUUUACAUCGGCUGCUAUUAAUGAUUUACCCAUUACCAGUUUCCUAUUUAUUGAGAAAAUUAAAGGAAAGGUGACUUUUAAGUCUUGAAUGAAUGAACCGUUGUUUUUUUAAAUAUGCAAAAAAAAGUCAUCUAUUGGGAGAACUUAAAAAGCCUUGUUGUCAGUAUAGUUUUUUUAUGUCUUUUGUUUGGUACUUUGGUAUUGUUGUUGUUGGGGGUGGUGGUUGUGUUGGAACAUGUGAUAUUUGUGUUGUGGAUGGUGUUAGAACAUAUGGUGUUGUUUUGUUUCUUUGUUGUUGAUGCUAUUGGUGGUGGUGUUACGACAGUUUUAUCAAUUGUUGUAACUGAUGAAUUAUCUAUUGGAACAGAUAGAGCAACUAUUUGAAGAAAUCAAACCAGUAGCAAAAAGACAGGUUUGAUUUAUUCUAACAGAUAACCAUCUGUUGCAACAUGUCAUCCAUUCUUUGCAACGAUGCCUCAUCAGUUGAACAAAUGGGUAGUCUGUAUCAUAUUAGUCAUCUGUUGGUUCACUCAAUUUUGUGUUACCCUUUUGUAAUGUUUUUUUUGUUCUUCUGUUGUUUGACAUUAAAUGUAUUUCUCUUGUUUGCAGACAAAAGGAAGUGAAAUUAGAUCCACUUUGCCCGGCCAGCAUUAAAGGCUAGAGUAAAGAUGGUUUCAAAGGAAUAAGAUGCUUGCAGAUGGAACCACUUCAUAUGUGGGAGGUAUGUAUUACUGAUCAACCUAUCAUGAAAACACACAUCCAGGACAAUGAUUUUGUGAAUGUUUGUUCUUUACCUAUUAGGCAUUAAUCCUUCAAACAAGAUAUGGCAUUUUACAGUUAAGAUUGUUAGGUUCGAACUGCUAAGGCUGAGGGACCAAGUCGGUGGUGUCGAUACCCCAUUACAAUUUAAUGAUGGUUUAUGCUUAUAUUUUUGUGUCAAGUUUGGGGAAGGGUUCAAGGUUUUGGCGGCAGUAUAAAUAUCUAAUAGUGAUUGGACCAAUUUUAAUGGCGCAAUAGACUUUUUGAAAGGCCUUCGAAGCCUCGCACUACAACAAACAAUGAUGGAUCUAAUAGAAAUUUUCCUGGUCCAAAUUUAUAUGGAUGGGUUGUUGGAGGAGACUAUUAUACAGCAGAAGGUGUUUGGAAGAAAACCUGUGCUAGAAGAGGGAGGUUGAGAAGGUCAUAUAUCAUCUCAGUCCUUGUUUAAGAGGAUACAUCGGGUGGGAAGGAAAGUGUAGCAAAAUUAGCUUAUGAAAUUGACACGAAAAAUAAAAAAACUGGAUGAGCUGCGAAUAUGAAAGUGUAUCCAAAAAUGAAAAUUCGUCAGUCAUUGAAGAAAAGGAAGAAUGGUCAAGAGGAAUUGAGCUGGUCACUUUGCUAGAGACUGCAACUAGCGAGCGCGGCCUCAAUGAAGACCCACAAAAUACAGGUCUAGAACUCUAAGGAAGCAGCUUCGCGAGCAUGGAAGGUGGUAAGAUUGUCGGUCUGAAUUGACAUGUAGGUUUCAAUUUUGACCGACAAUAUUACCACCUUCCAUAAUCGCUAAGCAUUUUACUUGGAGUUCUGGUCCUGCACUUUGUGAGGGUCUUCAUUGAGGCUUUGCUCGCUAGUUGCAUUCUCGAGCAAAGUGUCCAGUUCCAGUCCUAUUGACCAUUCUUCUUUUUUUUCAUCGACUGGCGAAUUUUUAUAUUUUGAUACACUUCCACAUUUGAAGCUCAUCCAGUUUUUUCAUUUCUCGUGUGAAUUUCAUUGGCGAAUUUUGCUACACUUUCCUUCCUACCCUGUUUUCCUCUUAAAAAAGGUCUGAAAUGAUAUAUGGCCUUCUCCACCUCCCCCUUCGUACACAGGUAUUCUCCCAAGUACCUUCUACUGCAAAAGAGUCUCCUCCAGCAAUUCAUUUAUAUAAAUUUUGACCAGGGAAUUUCUAUUGGUUCUAUCGGUUUUUGUUGCAUUGUGAGGCUUCGGAGGCCUUUCAAGAAGUCUAUUGUGCCACUAAAACCGGUCCAAUCACUAUUGGAUAUUUACACUGCCUACAAAAAUUUGAACCCUUCCCCAAACUUGACACAAAAACAUGAGCAUGAAUCAUUAUUAAAUUGUAACGGGGUAUCGACACCACCAUCUUGGAACCCUUCGGCCUUAUCAGUUCGCACCUAUCAAACUAAACUGUACAAUGCAGGAUCUUUUUUGAAGGAUUAGUGUCUAAUCGGUAAAAACUUGCAUUCACAAAAUCAUUGCACUUUAUGUGUGUCUUUAUGGUAGCCUAAUCAAUAAUAUACAUAACUCGCACGCAUGAAAAUGGGAUCCAUUGCACCUAGAUAAUUCAUAUGUUGCAACAAAUGGUAAAUCUGUUGUGAUAGACCAGACUAUUUUUUUUAUUUAUUUGCACGCAUGUGAUUACUUCUUGCUAAAAAUGUUUGUUUCAAUUUAGUUUUCCUAUUUAUAAAAUCAAGAGAAUUUUAUUAUAUUCUUCCAAGAUUACCCCUAUUAUUAAAUGACUACAUAAAGUAUAUUAUUCACAUUUAUACUUUCAAAUCAUAAUUAAUAAGGCCAAUUUGGUAAAAUAAUCACCUAAUUUAUAUUUUUAUUAAUUGGUGUGCCAAGCCCAUAGGGCCCAACUAAUACGAAACGGAUGGACUAUUAAAAAAAGGUGAAGAGUCGUGACUUUUCAUCUAACACAUUCAAAAUAGCUAAUGAACCGAAUACUCCAUUUGUUGAAACUGAUGAAUCAGCUAUUAGAAGAUAUCAAAACAUCUACUCCAACAUAUACUGUCCAUUUGUCGCAACAAAUAAUACAUAAGUUGCAUCAGAUGUCUUAUCUGUUGCAUAUAUAAACCAUAUAUUGCAACAGAUGGUAAAUUUAUUUUGAUAGCCGUCUGUUGCACAUUCAAUCCAUUUAUUGCAACAGAUGCUAAAUCUAUUAAAAAUGAUGGACGAUCUAUUGCAACAGCUCAAUAAUAACGGCUUUUGUCGAGUCUCAAACCACUAUGAAAAGGUGAGAAGUAAUUAAUGUAAAAGAAAAAGUCGCGACUUUUCACAGAAAAUAAAAUGCCACCAGUUUGAAUGUAAUUAAUACAAUGGAGCUGAACAGUCCUGCCUUUUGUCUUGACACGUCUAGAUUCAAUCCUCUAUAAAUAGGUCCCUCCUUAAUCUUCAUUCAACUCUAUUUAUUUCUUGCAAUUUUUCCAUUCGUGUGACAUCUUCAACCACUUCUCUUCAAAGAGCAUAUCUCUUUCUCGUUGAGGUAAGUUUUUUUCUGGUGUAAAUUUACCAGUUGGUCGUAGACGUUGUAUUACAUUUUGGACUUUUUUCUUUACAUUUGUUAAUUCAUGCGUGUUCUAGAUAUGGAGAUCCUUUUCUAGACAUUGUUAUUGUACGCGAUACAAUGCAGGAACUUCAAAGGCAGGUUAAUGACCUGCGAAGCGAGUUGGUCGCUGUGAGAGCGACGAUGUUCAGAGAGAUACAUAGGCUGAUGAGAGCCCUGUUCCUGCGAGUUGAUUGGCUGGCUGCCAUUAAUGAUGAUGAUGAUGAUAAUAAUAAUUAGAAUGUAUUUUUUCUUUUAGCGUAUGUAUUUUUAUUUUUCUAUAUCGGAUCUAUACCUAAUAUAUUUUAUUUUUCGUUUAAGAAAAAUUUACUUUUAGUCAGACUUUGGCAUUUUAAUUCUUAUUCAAUAUUCAUUCUGUCUACUUCUUCUAAUCUAAUACAUGUUAACAUGUCGACGGCUGGAGGCAAUGUUGAAUCCAGUAGCACUAGCAAUUUUGACUUUUGAGUUCUUUCAACAGAUGGACCAUGUGUUAGAACCGAUUGGUCAUCUGUUAGGUUUGUAUCAAUAGAUUAUCCAUCUAUUUCGACAGAUUUGUCAUCUGUUGGAGGAAAGUAUUCCAGUUGUUUAUGCAACUGUUGAGAAUAAUUGUGGUCUGCUGUAUUAUUUAGUUCAUGUUUUGCCUCUUUUUAUUGAUGCACAAGUUAUUUAAAAAAAAAGAUAUUUUAUAUAUAAUAAAUGAUAACAUUAGGUUCACAACAAUGAGUUAAAUAUAUAAAAGUUCACAACAAACAAACAAACAACAACACAAGUUUUUGCAAUUACAACAAUCAUGAUGGAUUAUGAUUCGGGCAUGUAGUUCUUUUGUGGCCAGCGCACUUACAUAUGGAGAACUUGUUUCUUCUUGAUGAAAAUAAUUCUUUAACUCCACGCCUCCUCUAAUAUGGCUUUCUUCCCGGUUUGAUAGUGCUCGGGUCAAUAUAUGGGGGAGGUAUUAAUCUCCCCAUAAGCUCUACUGGAAUAACCAAAGAUUCUUCGGGAGGCACCGGAGUAAUAUGCCCACUAUAUGCCAUUUUAUAUUUUUCCACCGAAUAAUAUUGGGAGGAGUGCUCAUAAACUUCAGGUCCAUAUUUAUGACCGUAUUGAGCUCGAAGGGCUGCCAUAACAUGUGGACAAGGUAUUUUGUCCAAGUCAAAAACUCUACACGUACAAGAUCUUUUUUGAAGAUCGAUCGUGGAAGCAUCACCAUGACGGUGAUAUGAAAUUUGUAAUCUACUAUUUUAUGAGAGAAUAACCUAUUCCCCAAACUGAUGUUCGUUGAUAUUUUCUUUUCGAUUUCGAGAACAAAUUGGGUUCUUUUUCUGGGCACUUGAACUGUACACGCCUUUCGUUAAAAAAAUUGCUAUACUUCUCGCUUAUUUUUUCAAACAUAGCCUUGAUGGAAAAUUCUCUUUCAUCGCCAAAUAAUGAAUUUACCAAUUCAGCUAUGUUUAAUGUCAUAAUAUUGUACCUAUAGAAAAGAAUCACUUAGUACGACAUCAUACUAAACUUGUAAAUCAAACAAGACAUUAAAUUCAUAAGAAUGUACCUAUUUGCUGGACAGAAUACCUGGCUCCAUCUCUCGAAACCGACACGUGCGAGAAAUUCUACUACCUUGGGAUUCACAUCUGCUAUUUAAUUGAAAUGGUCUAAAAACUCCUCUCAACUAUAUGCUUUAGCUGCUCUAUAAAAAAGGGUGACGACCCUUUCGUUGUGAUAGUUGUUUCGAAUGUUCUCUCCAAGAUGCCUGAUGCAACAACCAAAGUAAGCUGAAGUGAAGAAAAGUGAACCCGUCUUUGGAAUACUUGGAUGCCUAUCCGAUACAAAACACAACUCUUUAGUAUCUUCAACGCAGCAUCGCAGUUGUUCAAAAAAAUCCAUAAGAGGCAUCACAUUCCUUGUCCGCUACACAAAAAGCGACAGGAAAGAUGUGAUUCUCCACAUCCUACGCCACCGCCGCUAGCAGAAAUCUAUUAUAACUGCUCCUCAAGAAGGUACCAUCGAUGACUAUGCCUUUUCUCAAAUGUCAAAAACUUGAAUCCAAGCACCAUAGGAUACAAAAAAGUACUUGAACCUUCCGUUUUCAUCCAGAUACAAUGUUGUCUUACUUUCGGUAUUUGUGGACUCAAUCAUGUAACGGUAAGCAUCCAAGACUUCAUACCCAUUCUCGAGUGUCUCCCUAACCAGGUCCAUGGCAAUCCCCAUGGUCGUAUAUACCUUCGAAUAACUGACCAGGACACCCAAAUCCAUAAGGAGUUGAUUGUCCAUAAGCCUUGUUGAAGGGCCUUUGCCAUCGGGGAACCUACUCCUGAAAUAUUCAUCAAGGACCUUUGUCGUGGUGUGACAAUUUUGACCCGAUAUGUGCUCCGAACCACAUGUGUGAUGCUUUUCAUGUUUAUAAAUGAUGAAUCUGUCAGAACUUGCGUACUUCACCACUCUCAACCACCACUUGCAGUUCGAAUUAGCACAUUUGAAGCAAAAGACAUUGCUCGAAUUAAUCACCUUUUUUAUUCUGAAAUCUUUUUUCAAGCAACAAAUAAACAAAGUGUUAGAUAGUUCAUUCUUGUCCUUGAAUGACAUUCUAAUAAAAAAGUUGGUACCGUCGUCUUGAAGAUUUUCAGACUGUGUCGAUUGAGAAGAACUGCACAUUGUAUUGGUCACAUCAACGGGCGUAGGUGUUUGAUCAUCAUCUAGAAUAUUUAUGUCUAGAUCAUCCAACCUAUUAUCAAAGAAGUCUUCUUUUUCUUUUUCUUCUUCUACGUUCUGGUUCUCAUUCUCUCUCAUCUUUUUAACCAUGUACACCUUUGAAUCACUUAGAUAAGCACGCAACCUGAUCUGUUAUCUUGAAAGGCAGUACCCUCUGAUUUUCAAAGGAGCUGUGCAUGUAGCUGAUGGCUAAUCUUUCUGUUGACAGUUCAAUCCUCAAAGGCUGAUAAUUAAGUUCACAAAAUCAUCAUACGAAACAUCAUUUUGGACUGUCAUAGUUAUCAUAUCUAGCAUUUCACCCUCCUUCCAACGCCAUACAUAUCGAUUGCUCUUCUCAACCCAUUGACCAUGACAAUCCACCUCUAUUGUUAUUGAUCCCUCCAUUAGCGGUACCUAAAUAAAGUCAUUUGUUCAAAAAAGUUGAUAAUGAUUUCAUAGUUUCAUGAAUGAAUCCCAACAGAUGUGUUAUCUGUUGCAACAAGUAAGUGAUGAGCCGCAACAGAUUCUUACCUGUUGGGAUUCAUGUUACGCUCCUGAAUAUCUGUUGCAAUAGAUGAAGCGUCUGUUGGAAUUGAUGUUAUAGUAAUAAAUCAGCUUUGAAGCUGAUUCCAACAGAUGAGUAGUAGUGGUAGUGGUGGUAGUGGUAGUGGUAGUAGCGGUGGUGGUGGUAGUGGUAGUAGUGGUGGUAGUAGUAGUAGUAGUGGUGGUGGUGGUGGUGGUAGUGGUGGUAGUGAUGGUAGUGGUGGUAGUAGUGGUGGUAGUGGUGGUAGUGAUGGUAGUAGUGGUGGUGGUGGUAGUAGUGGUAGUGGUGGUGGUGGUGGUGGUAGUGGUGGUAGUAGUAGUGGUAGUAGUAGUGGCAGUGGUAGUAGUAGUGGCAGUGGUAGUAAUAGUAGUAGUGGUAGUAGUAGUAGUAGUGAUAGUAGUAGUAGUAGUGGUGGUAGUAAUGGUGGUGGUGGUGGUGACGGUGGUGGUGAUGGUGGCGGUGGCGGUGGCGGCGGCAACGGUAGUAGUAGUAGCAGUAGUAGCAGUAGCAAUAACAGUAGUAGCAGUAGCAGUAGUAGCAGUAGCAAUAUUAGUACUAUUAUUACUAUUACUAUUACUACUACUACUAUUAUUAUUAUUAUUACUUUUUUUACUAUUAUUAUUAUUAUUAUUACUACUACUACUACUACUAUUUUACUAUUACUACUAUAUAUAAGUGAAGGUUGGGGUGUCUACCAAGCGUAUCUCGGUAAUUUUAGCCACCACAACUUUUACUUAUAUAUAGUAGUAAAUAAAAUGGUUACACAUGCAUAUGAUUUUUCCUUAUAUUUAUUGAUUCUGUCAUCAUUUUUAUGGUGCAAUAAAAUGGUUAUACAUGCAUAUUAUUUUUUCUUAUAUUUAUUAGUUUUCUCUUCAUAUAUUAUUUUAAAAAUAUUUAUCUUUAGACUUUAAUUUUUUAUAAAUAUCUUUUUGUUCUUUAUUAAAUGACUAUCAAAGAUAUUUUGAUAAUUUUAGGGUGCAAUAAAAUGGUUACAUAUGCAUAUAAUUUUUUCUUAUAUUUAUUAGUUUUGUCUUCAUGUAUAAUUUGGGGUGACUACCAAGUGUAUUUCGCUAAUUUUAGUCACCCCAACUUUCACUUAUAUAUAGUAGUAAAACUAAAUAAAAUGGUUACACAUGCAUAUUGUUUUUUUCUUAUAUUUAUUAGUUUUGUCCUCAUUUUUAUGAUGCAAUAAAAUGGUUACACAUCCAUAUUGAUUUUUCUUUAUAUUUAUUAGUUUUGUCCUUAUUAUUAUUUUAAUAAUAUUUUUAUUUAGACCUUUGUAAUUGAAUUAUACAUGAUACUAUAUUUUUAUAAAUAUCUUUUUGUUGCUUAUUAAAUGACUACCAAGGGUAUUUCGAUAAUUUUAUGGUGCAAUAAAAUGGUUACACAUGCAUAUUACUUUUUUCUUAUAUUUAUUAGUUUUUUUCUCAUUUUUAUGAUGCAAUAAAAUGGUUAUACAUGCAUAUUGCUUUUUUUCUUAUAUUUAUUAUUUUUGUUCUCAUUAUUAUUUUAAUAAUAUUUUAUUUAGACCUUUUUAAUUGAAUUAUACUUGAUACUAUUUUUAUAUAAAUAUUUUUUUGUUCCUUAUUAAAUGACUACCAAGGGUAUUUCAAUAAUUUUAUGGUGCAAUAAAAUGGUUACACAUGGAUAUUUCUUUUUCUUUAUAUUUAUUAUUUUUGUCCUCAUUUUUAUAGUACAAUAAAAUGGUUACAUAUGCGUAUUGGUUUUUUCUUAUAUUUAUUAGUUUUAUCCUCAUUAUUUAUUUUAAUAAUAUUUUUAUUUAAACCUUUGUAAUUGAAUUAUACAUGGUACUAUUUAUUUAUAAAUAUCUUUUUGUUCCUUAUUAAAUGACCAUCAAGUGUAUUUCGAUAAUUUUAUGUUGUAAUAAAAUGAUUACACAUGCUUAUUGACUUUUUCUUAUGUUUAUUAGUUUUGUCCUCAUUUAUUAUUUAAAUAAUAGUUUUAUUUAGACCUUUAUAAUUGAAUUAUACAGAAUAUUAAUUUUUUAUAAAAAUAAAUUUUUUGCUUAUUAAAUUAUUUAUUUUUAAUACCCUAAGGGUAUUUUGAUAAUUUUAUGGUGCAAUAAAAUGGUUACACACGCAUAUUAUUUUUUCUUUAUAUUUAUUAGUUAUAUCUUCAUUUUUAUGGUGCAAUAAAAUGAUUACACAUGCAUAUUUUUUUCCUUAUAUUUAUUAAUUUUGUCCUUGUAUAUUAUUUUAAUAAUAUUUUUAUUUAGACCUUUGUAAUUGAAUUAUACAUGGUAGUAUUUUUUUAUAAAUAUCUUUUUGUUCCUUAUUAAAUGACUACCAAAGGUAUUUUGAUAAUUUUAUGGUACAGUAAAUAUUUUGAAAUCGACGUAUGUUUCCUGAACUUAUAUAUUUGAAACUUUCAAAUGAGACGUGCAUCAUGUACUUUUCCAGGAAUGUCCAAACGAAAGAUACGUCGCCUACUAUAGUUGCAACAAUCUAGCUAGAUUUUUAUCCACUUAUAUUUACUUUUGUAUUGGUUGGAUCAGUCUAACAAGCUCAAUUUUUUUUCACAUUGAAUAUAUAUAUUAUGUUAACAUCGGUUCAUUAUACUACAUUUCUUUUCUUUUACUCCUAUACUAAACAAAUAAAACAAGUAGGAAAUAAUCUUUCCUAAAAUUGGAUCUCUUUUGCAUAUUACGGGGUGAGAGUACAUCGGUAAUAGUAGGGGAGCGCUCCUCUAUACAGGGGCAGAUGUAGAGUACGGAGUGCGGGUUUUCGGGAACCCAGUAACUUUCGUACGGUUCUCGAAUUUAUAUUGAAAAAACUAGUAAAUAUAUAAGAAUUAUAGGUUGGAACCCACAAACAAAGUGUGUUAUUGGUGUAUUGAUAAAGAAUUAUAAGUUGGGAACCCACAAUCUUUAAAUUCUAGAUCCACCUCUGCCUCUCUGUCUGGAGUUUCUUGUUUGUGGCUAGAGGUGGUAGUUUAUUUUGCCUGUACUAGUUUAUAUGCACUUAUCUUUGGUAUUUGUUAUACUGUUAGUUUGUCUUGCAUACCAUACUAGUUUAUAUGUACUUAUCUUUUGUGUUUGUUAUACUGUUAUCGAUUCUAAGUCGAGGGUCUAUCGAAAACAACAUCUCUACUUCUCUUGAGGUAGUGGUAUGAUCUGCGUACACUCUAUCCUCCCCAGGCCCCACUAGGUGGAAAUACACUGAAUAUAUUAUUGUUAUUGUUUUAAUGUUGUCAAAAUGUCUGUGCCUUACACGAACACGAAUAUCUGAUAUUUAUAUAAUUAGAUUAUUCGUCGAGAAAUAAUUGAGAUGCAUUAAUUAGUAAAAUUGACAUUUGACAUAACAACUUAAAUUAGAUCUAAAUGGUCUUUUCACAGUCCAUAUAGGAUAAACUCAAUUUAUCAUGACAUAUUUGGUCUACAAUGAAGGGAAGUUAAGGUCACGAGUUUAAGUCAUGAAAUUUUUUUUUUUAGAAAUGUAAAGUAAGGUUGCAUAUAAUAAUUUUUUAUUAUUUAAUUUUUUUUUAAUUUUAUUUUAUAAAUUUCAUGGAUAGCGAAAGCUUUAAUCCAUCAAAAUAUUUUUGAUAUUUGAUUUACAACAAAACAUGGAAGUGAAUGACAGUGAGAGGGAUCUGUCAUUAAAUUAUUGGAAACUAGACAGCAAUUGGUUAAUGGCAAAACCAAAUUUCUGGUUUCAUCUUUAAAAAAAGAUUGAUAUAAUCUGUGGUCCUUUUUGUUCUUAGAAGUUAUGGAUUUGGCCUUUGAACAAACUUUACUUUAUGCUUUUGUCUUUUUUUAGGGUAUGUGCCAAAAUAUAUUAAUGCCUAAGAAAUACUAUUAAGGGCUUUUUUUUUUGGUAAACAAUACUUUUAAGGGUUAAGAUUAGAUUACACGAUUUUCAAUCGUACGAAAUGAAAAAACUGAGAACGAAAAAUCAACUAAUAAUAAAGAAUGUGUUUCAUUUUAUUUAAAUCAUAUUGAUGUGACAUCUUCUUAAGAAAGUAUUUAUAGGUUAUUUUACUAACUUAGAAGUUGUUUGGAAUUGCUCUCAGAAAAUUAUUUAUUUGAAAAACACUUUUAUAGAAUAGAUUUCAAAAAAGUGCUUUUGAAAAAUAAAUUAUGUUUGAUAUAUUCAUUUGAAAAAUGCUUUUGACAAACAAAUUGUAUUUGGAUAGUUUUUUUCAAGAGGUGUUUUUGAGAGAUAAAUGACCAAAAAGACAUAUAUUGAUAGAGUUUUACUACUAAAAUUAUUUUAUAGAAAAAAAUUAUUUUAAAUAUCUGUUAUAGUAUUUUUAAUUAAAUUUUUGCUUUUAUGUAAUUAAAAAGUUCGUACUAUAAAAUUUUUAAUUGAUAUUUAUAUAAAUACAUACAUUAAAAAAUAUUAAAUAAUGACAUAUUACAUAAAUAAUAAUUAUUACUUAAAAACAUCAAACAAAAAUGAAUUUAAAAAUUAUUUCAUAAAUUAAAUCACUACAUAUGAAAAUUUUUAUCACAAAACUAAGUAGUCUUUCAUACAUCACAAAAAUUCUCAAUGAUUUCAUUCCUAAUUUUAUCACGCAAUGUCACCAUUCUUAUACAAAAUUUGUCUUAUAUUUCUGAAGAUAUAUCAGAAGGUUCAUCUCAUACUGCGAUCUUUGUGAUGAUUUCUUUGUUAACAUAAGAGUUAAAGUUUUUGACAGUGGUAGAGUGUUGUUGUGUGAAAUUAUCUAUAGCCUAAGUAGUUAUAACAAGAUGAACUUGAUUAUCGACUUUAAAAGAUGGACGGUAUCAAGUGUAGGAGAGCAAAUCUAUUUUUUUAAACUCCAAAUAUUCUUUCAUUUUUACAUGUCAAACUAGAGUGAAAGAAAUUAAGAGUCUUAUUUGAAUUAUGAAGUUAGAAUUGCGUCUAAAAUCAGAGAGAUGAUAACGCUCCUCUUUAUAACCAAUCAUUGUAGGAUAAUUCGAGUCCACCAAAUAAUAUUUAUCUACAUCAAUCUAAAGAAUUAAUUAACUAAUAUAAAAUAAUUAAUUUAUAAAAUAAUACAAAACAUAAUCAAACUUAUAUAUGUGUGUGUAAGUGAUAGGUAUAUUUUCGGAGUGAAAAUUAUUUUCACCCCCAACUUUACUUUAAAAAUCAAAUCCCCCCCUUAUGUAAUACCUCUUUAUAUUUAUAUAAUAUAUAUUUUUAACCUAGGUAUUUAUAGUCUUUUAUUUAAGUUUAUUAACAUUAAAGGAAAAUAAUACUUUAUAUAAAUUUGUCACAAAAUUUAAUUUUACUUUUUUAAGUUUGUUAUUUCAAUAUUAUAUGUAUUAGAGAGUUAUUUGGUGUGAAGUGUAAUUAUAAUAAUUUGAGGAUAAAAAUCAUGAUUAUUUUAUUUUGCAUUUAGUUAGAGGUAUUAAUUAGUCUCAGAAUUAUUUAUUUCACCAUUUAUACCACAAUGAUAAAAAAAAAAUUAUUACAUAUAUAUAUAUUGGUGCAACUUAUUUCGGGAUAACUAAUCCCUGAAUAACUUGUUUCUAACCAAGUCACCCUUAAGUUGUAUAUAUAUGUAUGGACAUGCAUGCGUGUAUAUAUUUUUGCAUUUCUCUUAUUACAUUCGUUUCAUGUUACUUGAUUUUAUUGGCAUGACACAAUCCUUAAGAAAUUUUUAUAUAGAGGUGCAUUUUACUUAAUUAACCUUAUUAAUGAUAUUUUAAAAUUUAAAUUUGCCUAUACUACUACUUUAUGUAAUUAUUUAAUACUAAGGAUAAAAAACAUAAUACAAUUCUUUUGAUUUCAUAAAUUAGACAAGUAAAUUAAAACAAUUAUUUUUAGUAUAAGAGUCAAGUGAUAAGAAACGAUAUUAUAAAUAAAUAAGAUGUGAUCGUCAUUAAUAGAGUAUUACAUAAAUUAUAAUUUAUUGAAAUAAAUAUAAUCUUUAAAUCUUCGGCCUUAUUUUUAUUCGUUAUUUUAUAUUUUUUGCAUUGAAAUAUGUUUAUAAAGUUAAUACUACUUAUUAUUUUCACUUGUAAAAUAAAUAUUAGAACUUUAAUUAUUAUUAAUAAAAUUAAUUUUCUUAUUAUGUUAAUUUACUUCAUUAUAGAUCAUCAUUAAUUUAUGUACUUAAUUGAGUAUUUCUCAGUUUUCUUGUCCAGUAGAUAAUGUUCAUGUUUUAUAAAAUAUUUGUUACAUGAUUUUUUAAAAAAAAAAAUGUGAUGAUUUUAAAGAAGCGAAAAAAAAAGGUUUGAUGAUAAGUGGGUAUAAUAGGCAUUUUGAAAAUUUAAUUAGGAUAUAUGGAGAAAUAUGACUAUUGUUCAAAGUUGAGGGCGGAGUUUGAUUUUUAAAGCAAAGUUGGAUGAGGAAAAUGAUUUUCACCCAAUAUUUUUGCCAUAAAAAAAUAUUUUUUUACUUCUUUUCAAAAACAAAAAAAUUACUUCUGUUUCUUUUUAAAAGACAAGUUUAUCAAACACUUAUUUUUUUAAAUUUCUUUUUUUUUUUUUGAGAAAAAUUUUUUCCAAACAAACACUUAAUCAAUAUAAAUUAUGCUUUAUAUGUCUAAAUUUGAAUAUAUUCUAUGUAGUUAUUGAUGGAAGUAUUACCAGAAGAAUAAUGAUAAUUUCUCUUGAAUUCAUAAAUUAAACAAGUAGAUUGAAAUAAAUAUUUUUAUUUAGAGACCUAAUAAAAUGAUAAGAAGGAAUAUCUUUAAGAUUUGAGGUUAGAAAUAUCUUUAAGAUUUCAGAUUAUACUCAUAAUUAGUAGAUAUUUAGAUAAUUGACCUACCACCUUCUCUUAUUAUUGCUAUACUUAUAAUAAGAAAAAUUACAUAUAUACAAGUUAACUUUAUCUUAUUACAUAAAAUUUCAUAUUGAAAAAGAAAUUACAAAAAUCCCAAAGUAAUUACUUAAAACCCUUAAAUUUGCUGUUGCUCUUUCACCCCCUUCAUACAUAUAAAAAUAUCAUAUUUUGCUCCUAUUUUAGUGCAUCAAUUUUUGCUUUAUAUAUGUACUGAUUUAUUUAUGCCUACAAUCAAACUAAUGUAAUGUUACAAUAACACUUGAAUAUUCAAAACACGAUUGAUGUAUACUUUCAAUCACGUAAUAAAGAAAAUUGAAUCAUUCUUUUUCCUUAUUUAUCGUGUAACUAAUGUAAUGUUACAAUAGCACUAAUUUUUCUUUAAAACUGUUAUAAUCUUGUAGAUAAUUAAUGUAUAAGGUGAGUAUUUUAUAUGUAUAGUGUGAUAUUAUACAUUUUGGAAGAUUAUAUUUUAAUGUAUAAGUUAUAAUAUAUCAGGCAUUAUACAUUAGUUAUUUUUGAAAGACUAAGGUAUAAUAUAAUUUUUCUGCCAUAUAUUUCAUUAUGUUAUACAUUAAGAAAUUCUUAUUACAUUUAAGAGGCAUUUUAUGUAUUAUUUGGUAUUGUACAAUUAGAAAGUAUUACUAUUGUAUAAUGUUACAUUAUACCUUUUGAUAAGGAUACAAAAGUAUACAUGUUUAAUGUUAAUACUUAAAUGUAUAGUAUGACAUUAUACAUUACUGCAUAUUAUUUUUUAAAUGUAUAAUGUGCCCACAUAUAUGUGCAACUGUUGUAUAAUGUUAUCUUUAAUACGUAUCAGUUUGAUGCUAUCUUUUUCUCUCUUAAUUUAAGUUUGCUUUUAUUUUUUCAGGGCAUGAAAUAUCGUAUUGACAAAUUUCAAAAAUUGUUUAUUCAACUCCAUGUAAACCCUCACUCUAUUGUAAUUCCUUAUGAUAAUUGGAGAAGAAUUACCUUCAACAAUGUAUUUUUCUUCUAUUUUUAUACGAAUUUCGUCAAUAUUAAAUUCCAUCGCGAUCGUAGCAAUCAAUUUAAAUAGGUUAUACUUUCUGAAACAAUAAUUGCAUCACUUUUAUAAGAUUGAUAAAUAGUUUUUGACUCCUAAAUAUCUGAAUGACGGAACAAUAUGAGGAUGUUCAUAUUGAUAUUUUUGAGAAUUGAAGAAAGCAGUUGAUGAUUUUUUUUUCUUCAGAACAAAUUCAACAAAGAAGAAAAUUUACUGUGAUGUUUUAGAAUUUUUUGAAUUUGAAUUUCAGUUACUAUAUUUAAUAAUACACCACAUAAUGAUAAAUAAUUAAUGACAUUAAUUAAGAAAGAGAAAGAUAGUAUCAAAUUUCUCUUUCCGUAAAUAUAGGCUAAUCAUUUUUCUCAUACAUUCCAGCAAUGUAUGAGAGACGACCUAAUGUAUAAGUAUAUUUUUCAAUUUCAGGAGAGAGAAAGACAGCCAAAAUUUUAAGUAAUUAUUUUCACUAGGGAAUAGAUUUAUGUGAUCUAUACAUAAUAGUAAUCAAAAAUCAUAAUAAUACUAUUUUCAAAUAAAAGUCCAAAUCUAGUACAUGUAUAAAAUGGAAUAAGAUAAAAUUAAUAGCCAUCACAAAAAAAAUUAUAUAAUAUAAUUAUUAUAUGUAUGUAUGUAUUAUUUUAUUUAUAUAUUAUCAUUUUUAUCUUUAUUUAUUAUUUAAUGAUUAUUUUUAUUUAGACUUUUAUAAUUGAAUUAGUUGAAAAAAAAUUAAUCUUUAUCUUGAAUUUGUAAGGUAAUACUUAUUUUGUGAUAAAAGGAGUGUCAAAGCUUUUCGGACUCUUAUAAAAUUUUAUUUGAAUUAUAAAUCAUAGUUCAUAAACAAUAUAUCUAAAUAUUGUAAGCCAUCAAAUUAAUAAAUUAUAUAUUUUCAUGUUUCUUUUAUUAAUAAAUACAUAUAAUUUUGAAAAGAUUAUUGAUCCAAUAAAUUAAUUAUAGUAGUGACUAGCUAUUAUUUGAUGACAAUAUUUUUACUUUAAAUACGAGUCUAAAAUUUAAAAUUAUAGAUUUUUGUUUUUUGAAAAAUAUAAACUUAUGGACUAAUGUUUUUUUCAAAAAAUUGAAAUCAUAAUAUGUUGUCAACAAUGGCGAUAACAUAAAGUAUAUAAAUGUUAGUACAAUAUUAUAAGACAUAAAGCAUUAUAAAUAGGCUUUGUAAUUAUUGAAUUAUUAUUGCGAUAACUUAAUGCAUCAAAAGCAAGGAGAAAAAAUUACAAGUUGAAUUUUUAAUGUUAGUUUUAGGCUCGAAUUUAGCACAGGUCGAAUAGCACUAGUACCAUUUAUAUGAAAGGAUAAUUUUGUUAGCAGGAAAACGGUCAAAUUUAUAUCUCUAUUUUCAAAAAUUGAUUAAAUGUAUUGUUCAUUAUAUUUUAGAGCUAAAUUUACCGAUGUUACAGUUUGGGAUUAAUUUUAUCCCACAACUUUGAAAAAUUAGUUAAAUAUAUUUUUCGUUAUAUUUUGGGGUCAAAUUUAUCAAAUCUAUCCUCGUCCUUAAUUUUUUUUUCACAUGUAUUCUUUUUUUAAUAGAAAAACUUAAAUUAAUAUUAAAUGUCUCAUUUUAUAAAAAUAAAAUACAGUCUAAUAUAACCUGUAUGAUUCGGCUCUAGCCACAAAAAGACACAAAUAAAUAUACACUCCUCAGUUCUGUUGGUCAAAUUUUUUCAACGAGAUUAAGUCGUUGGAUAUUUAUGAGUGCAUAACUCAUAAAAACUGAAUAUGCAUCAGUACAAACACAAACAAAUAUACUCCUCCCUUAGUUCAUAGAUCCGUAUUAGUGCAGAGCUCAUGAUAAAUGACAUUUGAUGAUCAAAUGCAAUAGAUUAGAUUCGUUGAAUAUUUUUAUGGAUGAUUGAGUUAAGAGGUUUUCCUAAGUGUCAAUCGUGACAUUUCGUCAUUCUUAUGUCUUUAUAUACAAUUUAAAUCUAUACACAAAUAUUUUAUCAUGUCAUUAGCCUAGCAAAUUUCUCAUUCUAGAAUAUAGAUGCACAUAAAAUUACAUACUAAAAUUUAAAAUUUGAAUAUAAUUGAACAGGAGCAGAGUUUGUAAUAGUCAUUUUUUCUAGUUUCAUACUUGUGUAUUAUCUAAUUCCAUUUCACUUUUUGUUCAUUUAUAAACAUCUACCAGCACUGCAUAUUGAAAAAAAAAAGUAUAUUUGUUCGUUGAAAAAAUUGAAUCAAUAAAACUGAGGAAAAAGUUUAUGUAUUUAUGUAUUUUUAUGAACCGGAUUGGCUGAAUUAGAUUAGAAUAUUUUUUUUUAAAAAAGAUCAUUUAAUAUUGAUUUGAAUUCUUUUGUUGUCACAGGAGUACAUGUAAAAAGUUUGUUGACAACGAAAAUAAAUAUAAUUUUAAAAUAUAAUAUUAAGGAUAAAUUUAAUCUCACUAUAUAAUGAAGAAUAUAUUUAACCAAUUUUUAAAAAUAAAGGAAUAAAUUUAGCUCCAAGAGAUAACAAUGAGGAAAACUUUGAAUUCAAAAUAUUAGGAAGAAUAUGUUUAAUCAAUUCUUCAUACCGGGUAAAUUUGACCCUUUUGAUUUCAUUAAAACAUCAAAAGUGGAAAGAUUACUUGCUAAUAAGAAGGAAAACAGUCAGCAGGGCGUCAGCAUGCCUGACCUGAUUCAGUUUGUUGCUUCAUAAUUUUAUUAUAUUAUUUAUAAUUAAUUAUUAUAAGUUGUUUAUGUAUUUAAAAAAUUAAUAAUAUUUAAUAAAAAUAAAAUAAAUAUUUAUGAAAUGUAUAUCUCAGUUGCUUCAAUUAUAGUUUACUAAAUAUUAUCCCUAAUUAAUUAUUAUGAGUCAUCAAAGUAUUAAAAAAUUAAUAAUAUUUAAUAAAAAAUAAAAUAACUAUAAAAUAAUAAAUUAACUCUUGAUGUUCUAAAUUAACUUGAUGUCUUUAUAAGACCUACUUAAAUUUUUUUCAUAAUAUUUUUUAUAGUAAUUUUGAUAUCACUUCUAAUAAGUUGUUCUGAAUUAUUACCCCUAAUUAGUAAUUUUACUAAUAUCACCCCUAAUUAAUUAUUAUGGUCAUCUAAGCAUUAUUCCACUUAAAUUAGAAUAUAAGAAAAAGUAUAUUAUAAAUUACAAUAAUUUAAAAUUUCAAUUAUUUAAAAAGCAUAAUUGACUAUCAAUGCCACAAAAGUUUGGACAAAAAGAGUAACAUAUAUUAUUUGAAAAUUACAUAAAAAUUAUUAUAAAUUACAAUAAUUAAUAUUUUAAAAAAUUAAUAUUUAUAUAUUUUAAAAAAUAUGUAAAAACUAUUAUAAAUUACAAUAAUUAGCAACUUAAAAAGUUUAAAAGAUAUUAAAUAUUUGAUUAACUAUCGAAAUUAUAUCAAUGUCACUUAAAUUAAAAUAGAAGAAAAUAUUAUAAAUCACAAUAAUUAAAAAAACUUAAAUCAUUUUUAAAAUAUAAUUGACAAUCAAUGCCACAAAAGUUUGAACAGGGAGAGUAAUGUAUAUUAUUCAAAAAUUACAUAAAAAAUAUUAUAAAUUACAAUAGUUAAUAGCAUAAAGUAUCUAACAAUUAUAUUGAAAAUAUGAUUGAUUAUCUUAAUCUAUUUGUGUCGAAUAAAUUGAGACAAAAAAAAACAUAUACUGAGCCCGUAUUAUAUGAAAAAUAGUAAUAUAGACUCAUCGAAUUUUUCUUUUCAAACUCUUUACUAAUUUAUAUAUUUGUAGAGUUUAAUUUUGAUAGUGAAUUAAUUUUUUAAAUAAAAUUAGAUAUUUGGAUAAUAAAUCAUAAUAAUUGAUAACUUAAAAUAUUUUAAGAAUAUAUGCAAAAAUUACUUUAAAAAAUAAAUUUAUUUAAAUUUUAAAAUUUAAAAAAUUACAACAUUAAUUGAUAUAAUUAUUAUUAUAAUAUUAAUUUAGAAUAAAUAUUGAUACUAUGCUUCCCACGAACUUCUCGUGGUGAGUAUUAAUUUUUAAGAGGAAAAUUUGAUCACAUGGAUCUUUUAUCUUAGUGAAAUUCUUUUUCUUUUAUGAAAUUUGUAGUUAGAUCGAUGACAAAUCUUUUUUUGUAAAUGGAGUGACUUUUUCUUUUAUUGAAGCCGGCGUCUCGCUUCCAAAAGAGAAAUUAGAUGACAAAAUACAAUCUCAUAGGAUGGUGAAGUAUGUAGCCUAAAACUUCAUGAGCCCUAGGUACCAACUUUUAGAUGAAGAAUAUGUAUGUUCAAAUAAUGAACUAGGUUUGUACCAAAGAACAAAUAGAUGGAAUUGAAUAAGAGCUCCUGUUCUUUAAUCGUGUGAUUAGAUUAGGUUUAUAACAAAUAAUGAGCUUAGGUAUCCAUUUAUAGUGUAAUAAAAUAUUCUUUAAUGUUGUGAUUAGGUUAAAUUUAUAACAAAUAAUGAAUUUAGGUUUUCGUUUAGAAUGUUCUAUAUGAUUUUAAAUAUGCCACAUUACUUUAAAUAUAUCGCGUAAAAAAAUUAAAACAAAAAAAAAAUUAUUUUGCUUAAAAGGAAAUUAAGGCAUGUUCGUUCAUUUUAAGGCAUGUUCGUUCAUUUUAGAGCUGAGAUAUGUACACACACUCUCUCUCUCUUAAAAAUGUUUGUCCUUUUUUACUUGUUGGUGUAAGUUUCUAUUUUAUUUUUAAAAAAGACUAAGGGAUCGUUUGACCAUAAAUUUCUUUUCCUUUUUUUCCAGAGAUUUUUCUCACUUUUUUCAUUUUUUCAAAAUAUGUGGUGUUUGACCAUGAAAAUUUGAAAAAUUAUUUCGAAGUUGAAUUCAAAAAGUUAAAAUAACUUUUUAUUGUUUUCACAAUUUUUCACUUUCAUUUUCAACUUUCAUUAUUAUUAGAUAUAACUCAGUCUUUAAAUUUUUACACAAAUCCCUCUUAUAACUACAACCAACCACUAAGAAAAUAAUUAUUAUUUGUUUUCUAUAACAUCAUUUUUAAUUAUUACAGAUAUUCUAAUUUCUUUUCUUCUUUUAAUCCAAAAUUUACUAACGUGAAGUAAAAAAUAAUAAAUGACAAUCUAUGAAGGAAAUAUAUCAACUUUUGUUUUGAAUGAACUAUAUUAUAGAAAUAUAAGGCCCGGUACAUUAUGUUAUUUAAAAAAUGAGAAAUUUAAUAUUUUUUUUCUUGUCAUUCUAAUUUUUUGUAUAUGUCAUAUAAUGAUUAUGAUGAUUUUAAUAAAUUAUUAAAAAGUGGUCAAUAAAGUCGCAUAUCAAACAGAACGUAACGAUCCAUAUUGACGAUACCUUAGUUUGGUUUUAUGAAUUUUGAACAGAGACGAGUGUGAUAAUUAGCUUUGUUUUGCGGAGAAAUUUUGACUUUUUGAGAAGAGUCGCCACUUAAUUUUUGAAAAGGAAUUAAGAAACCUUUAUCAAAUAUUUUAAAUGAUUCAAAACAAAGAAAUCGUUUUAAGUUAGAGAUUCUAGAUAAGCGGUUCCUAUUAACAUUUUAGGAAGGUGUUAGGCACCUAAAACGUCCGCUAACUUGCGGUUAUCCGGACUGUUUGAAAAUCGUCCUUUGAUUAACUUCGAAAAGAUUAAUUUGUUGAAAUAGUGAUUUAAUUUUUUCAAAAAAAAAAAAAGAUGUGUAAAAUAGAUUUAGGCGACUUAGUAGGGAUUUUAACUAAGUCUAAACAAAACUAAUAAACAAAUAAAUACAUAAAAGGGGAAGGGAGGAGAAAGUAAAGGAUUUAGGCCAUUAGGCCCAAAUCAACGAGACUUGUCCUAGUCUAGUUGGGCUUCCAACCCAUUUCACCUGUCCUAAACUAUUUUUCGAGCCUUUGGCUCGAGUUUUGCUCCACCUGUAUUAAAUACAACUUUGGCUUCGAGGCCGAAAUGAAUGAAUAAAUAAAUGACUAAAUUAAUAAAUAAAAAGAAGACAAUAAUAAAAAUUGAGACUUUUCAAGUCUUUUAGUGACCUCAUCAAUGAGUUUUGACCCAUUUUCCUUCUUUGUCUAUCUUCUAGCACCCGCACGCCAUGUAAUGGACCUUGGGUUUAAAUUUCGAACUUGACUCGAAGGGGUGAACCUCAUUUACCCAUUACGAAAUGCAGGAGGAGAGGAGUCCAUUUGGACUCGAGAUAUUUUAUUUUGUUUUGCAUGCAAAGAAAAAAUAAAGAAAUUAAUAUAUGUUCAAGGCAUAAAAGUGACAUAUUUCAAAGUAAAAGAAACUAUCAAAAACCAAUUUUUGAAUAAGAAGAAUAAGCACACUUGCACAAGAAUGAAAGUCAACAAAUAAAAAAUGCAAAGCAAAAGUUUCACAAUCAUACUAUGCAUGAGUCAAAAAUAUCCAAAUAAUUUUAUUUAGCUGNNNNNNNNNNNNNNNNNNNNNNNNNNNNNNNNNNNNNNNNNNNNNNNNNNNNNNNNNNNNNNNNNNNNNNNNNNNNNNNNNNNNNNNNNNNNNNNNNNNNNNNNNNNNNNNNNNNNNNNNNNNNNNNNNNNNNNNNNNNNNNNNNNNNNNNNNNNNNNNNNNNNNNNNNNNNNNNNNNNNNNNNNNNNNNNNNNNNNNNNNNNNNNNNNNNNNNNNNNNNNNNNNNNNNNNNNNNNNNNNNNNNNNNNNNNNNNNNNNNNNNNNNNNNNNNNNNNNNNNNNNNNNNNNNNNNNNNNNNNNNNNNNNNNNNNNNNNNNNNNNNNNNNNNNNNNUAAGAAAAGAGAAACAAUCAAUAUUAUCUAUUCUUUUCAACAUAAAGGAAAUAACUUUACAUGCUAAAAACAAAUAUAUCUACCAACAAUAAGUUUAAACAAGACAUGAGUAUCGUUUUUCAAGUAAAGAUCUAAAUUUUAUUCAAAUAAUCAAAGAAUAAGGUGAAAAAGCAAAACAUUCAACAUUAACUAUUCUUCUAAACAUAAAGAAAAUAACUUUACAUACUAAGAACAAAUGUAUCCAACAACAAUGAGUUUAAAAAAAGCAUAAAUACAUCUUUUAAGCAAAGAUUGAAACUUUAUCCAAAAUAAUCAAAGAAUGAAGUCAAAAAAGACACAUACAACUAUAGCUAGCUCAUUUUUAUAUCAUGAACAUGAAGAUAAUUAGAAUAUCGACACCACAAUGUCCUAGGGCCUUCAAGUCCAUUUACAACAUACAAUCCCAACAAAUAAAAUUAUAUCUACGAACUACGAAGAAGAAAAGAAAAGAAGAAAAAAGAUGAAGAAAAAAACGAUAAUAAAAACUAAAAUAAUAAAAAAAGAAAAAAGAAGGCGUGUUUACCUUUUGGGGGCAGCAAGACGAGACUACGAGCUUCGUUAGAAUCAACCACCACUGAAAAACAUCGCCGACAACUCAAAAAUUUUGAUUAGCCGAUCAACUUUAUGAAACAAAAAAUUUUUACUAAAUAAAAAUAACUAUUUUUGCUCAAAAGGAUUUUUUCACCUUUCUAGCCUUUUUUUUUUCUUCCUUCUCCCCUCCUCUCUCUACCAAAGUAGUGGUAGUAUUUAUAGGAGAGAAUAUUCAGUAGUACGAGUUAGCAGUGAGUCCUCAUCCUCUAAGGAUAUGAUUAUUAUUUUAUCAUUUCAGUCUUUCAGUACUUAGUUUAUUUCAGUAGUUGGAGUUAGUUGGGGACAUAUCCCAUCAACUCCUUAUUCAAAAAGUUAAAGGUUUUUUAGACUAUCAUGUUUCAGAUAGUUUAUUUCUAUUGUUUUAGAUAUUUCAUAGCCCACCCAGAUGUUAUGUUUUAUCAAAUUUGAACCUUAUGGCCUUUCAGCCUUUAUUUCUGCAUUUAUUAAGUAUAAUAUGCAAGGUACAUGUACAAAUAUCAGUUAUGGGUUAACUUGUGAUCCUUUUUGGUCAUGGGUACCGUUUGUCAUCUUGAUUUCAGAACAUGCCUCCCAAGAGAAGAAAUCAGCCUGUCCAAGAAGAUCCCUUGGAUGAACAUGUUUCUUAUGCAGAGUUUAGAGCUGCAUUCACUACUCUUGCUCAGUCAGUUGCUGCUUAGAAUGAACGACCAACUAUCAUUCCGGCCAACCUAGUGGCCAAUUCAGUUGCAUCCAGGAUUUGGGACUUCACCCAAAUGAAUCUUCCAUCCUUUUUAGGGUCUAAGUCAGAUGAGGACCCUCAGGAAUUCCUUGACCAAGUGCUGAAGGUUACAUACAUCAUGGGGGUGACUACAGUUGAGAUUGCUGAGGUAGCUGCAUAUCAGUUACAGGAUGUGGCUCAUACUUGGUACAAGCAGUGGAAGUCAGAAAGAAAAGUUGAUGCAGGGUCCAUAUAAUGGGAGGAGUUUGCCUCUACUUUUCUGGAUAGAUUCUUUCCCCGAGAGCUGAGGGAAGCUAAGGUGUUGGAGUUUAUCAAUCUUAGGCAGGGCAACAUGAUGUUGAAAGAGUAUUCUCUUUAGUCUACUCAACUAGCCAGAUAUGAUCUUCAUGUAGUUAUAGAUAACAGGGCUAAGAUGAGUAAGUUUGUUUCUGGGGUGAAUAAUAGCGUGGUGAAUGAGUGUAGGUCUGUGGUGAUAAAUAGAGAAAAAGCAUUUAGGGGUGUUUUUGGAAUGUAAAAAUUAAAGAUAUGGUGAGGUGGAAGAUAAUGUGGGGGAAAAAUAGUACAGUGUAGUGCAAUCUUUGAAUUUCAAAAUUGGAAAAGGACAAAGUUGGGGGAAUAGUACAAUUUGAAUUUAUUUUUUGGUGAAAUUGGGUAAAAGUUAUGAGAGUUCUUGAGAAUUUUGGGUUAUUUAAAAUAUAACCCCAAUUGAAAUUUAAAAUUUAGCCUUAUUUAUUUUGACCAAAUUAAAAAUUAAUUGACGAAUUGCAUUGCAAUUAUGACCAAUUUUAAAUUAUGGUCAAAUCUAAUAGAUUGACUAAAUUAAAUUAAAUUCUAUACGAAUUAAUACCUUUUUUUUUAUCCCGAGCUUUUUAAUUUAAUAAAAUGAAUGCAUAUUUAUCCAAAUAAAUUAUUUUUGAGAAUAAAUUAUAUUUAAAUUAAGAUUUUAAUCAUUUGAAUUUAUUUUCAAGAUAAGGCUUAAUUAAAUCCGAUAUUUUGUAAAAUAAAUAUUUAAGUAACAAAUUAUAUAAUCUCGUAUAACUGAACACGAUAGUAUAUAAUCGCUACUUAAAAUGACAAAAUCACGUUCGAAAAAUAUUUUAAGUUUUUUUUUUUUUAUUUGGAUGAAAUAAUUAUUUUGGUUUGUUAAAAACUGAAGAAACUCAGGAUUAAAUUUAGUCGCGGAGGGCAAAAAUUAGGUGUCAACAAGCUUAACAAAAGUUUGUUCUCUUUAUAAAAAAAAAACAAAUUCAAGUAAAUCAAUAUCAUCAAUAAACAAAAAUAAAAAAUUAGCACUAAUCUAUUCAUAAAUAAUUCAUUCGUAAAUUUUUUAAAAAAGACCAAAUUCAAUAAAAUUAUUAAUUUAAGUGAAAGUAGUUAAGAAUUUUCAUCAACAAAUUUAAGAAUAUAUAAAAUAUAUUUAUAUUCAUCCAUCAUAUUUAUCAAAAUAUAUUUUCUCUAUUCAACCGAUUAUGAUUGGAUAAACUUAUUUAGCUCGUACUUGUAAUAUUUUUAUUCAACCGUAUGUUAGUAGGUAAAAGUAGUUGAGUGAUUUUGAUAAUUUUUAAAAGUUGAGGGCAUAAAAUCAUAUUUAAAAAAGAUUUUUCAAAAAUCUAAUUUUUUUUUUCAAAAAGACAUGACCAAACACAACUCCAACUUGAACAUCAUCUUCAACUCCAACUUAAAAAAAAAGUAAUUUUUAUGGCCAAACGACUAGUAAAUGUAUUUAUACACUACUCUAUUGAGGAAAGCUAAAAAAUUUUGGUACUGCAAUCUUUUUUCCAACUUUUAAUUACAAAAGAAAAAAACUAAAUUAGCCUGAGUUAGCUUAAGGAAUAGUCAUAGACGGAUUCAGAAUUUUAAAUUUAUGGGUUCCAAGCAUAAUACAAAAAAACUGUGUCCAAAGAGAUUCGAACCCGCAUUGGAGGAACAAAAGUACAAAUGGAUUCCCUCUGAGAUAUCCAUCAAUUUUUGUAUAGAUUCCCACCUUUAAAUAUUUAUACCUUUUAAUAAUAUUUCUCAUUUAAUUAAAUAUCUUACAGCAGCGGUUGUGGAUUUUCGGGAACUCACACCCGCUGCCGUAGAUCUGCCUCUGGCAAAAGUGAACUUUAUUGUUUAAAAUAGGAAAAAUGUUGUCGGGAAUAACUAAUAAGGAUAAAAAUACGUCAAUACAUAUAAUAUUUAUUGGUAGGUAAAAAUACGUAAGGUACUAUUUUUAAAAAUUAUUUCAAUAAUAUAAAAUAUCUUCUCAAAAUUAAUCUACGUCUUGUCCAUAAAAACAGCAAGCACACUCAUUACAUUGCCAGAUUGCCUUACUGAUGAUAUCAGCGAUAUGAUAUUAGAGAGGUGAGUCGGUGGAGAAAUAAAGAGAAAGAGCAAAAUUCAUGAUUCAUCAUGUUCAUAAUUAGACAAGUGUAAUGACACUUGGUUCAAUACUAUUAAAAAAAUUGGGAUCACAUAGGAUUGGGCAGGAGACCACGUGUAAAAGGCUUUGCUUUACUUGUCAACAAUCUUCUAAAAUUUCAUGACAUAAAGACUAUUGUCUUAUUUGGUGGAUCCCAAUUUCCAAUAUCCAACUAGUACCCGUGCUAUUGCUUUUCCAAUCCGAAUAUUUAGUAAGUAAUACAUAUUUUUUUUUAUUUUCUUUUCAAUCAAGUUUUAAAAGAGUGGUAUUUUUUCCAUUUUAGCAAUUUUUUAAAUUUAAAUUUUUUCAUAUUAUAUAUUUAAUGCCACAAGAAUAUUAACGCAUGUGACAUAUAUUUAAUUUAAAUUUAUAAGAUUAAUUUUUUUUAACUUUCUUAAAUUUCGUAUCAAAUAAAAAAAUAAAUCAAAUAAAUUGAAACUAGAAAAUAUUAGACAAUUUUAAGGUGAAAUAAUAUAUUUCUUUUUCUCCGCUCCAUUCAAACUCAUAUGAUAAAGACUUUAACCAAUUUUAACAUGUGUUUCACCAAACUCGUAUGAUUAAGACUUGCUACAAAUUUCUAUAUAUACAAAGACAUCAAAAUUAGAAGUAAUUUAAAAAAAGUAAAGAGCUGAUUGACUUUCAGCGUAUGCAACGAAAUAGUAUAAAUACAUGUAAAAAAAAUUAAUUAGUAUUUUUAUGAAUAAAACAAUCACAAAAUAUUUUCUUCAGCUAAAUAAAAUCUAAAUUUGAAAAUGAUUAACAAUAUAAAAAGAAGAAGAAAACUUAUACUGAUAUAUGUAAAGAAGAAGAAAACUUAUACUGAUAUAUGUAAAGAAGAAGAAAACUUAUACUGAUAUAUGUGCAGUGAAGGAAUGUAUGUAUAUAUAAGAGAUUAUAAAACUGAAUAUUCAUGCAUAUUAAAAUUUCGUUAGAAAGAUAAGAUUCUAAAAUAUCAUAAUUAUCUUAUAAUUUACAUAUUUUAAGUUUGCAAAAAGAUAUAUUUCAAGUUAAUGACACUAAUUAGGAGUUUUAUAUAAUAAAAAUAAAUAAAAUAUUUUUUUAAAAAAUUAAUGGUAUUAUUCUAAAAUAUUAGUACUAAAUUGUUUUAGCCUUUCCAUAUAUUUUUUCCUUUUUUUUUUUUUUUAUCAUUUUUAUUAAAUAAUAAAUUAAUUUGUUUUAAAUAUUAUAUAAUACUUCUCUAUUAUUAUAUUUAUUACUACGUCAUAUCCUACGUACUGCUACUUCUUCUACUAAUUGUUAUUACUUCUUCUCCUACAUAACGUAUUACAACUAUUACUAAUUAAUAUUAUUAUUUGAAUAAUACUUUUACCAUUUCAUUAAUUUGUGAAUAGAUUAUAUUUAAAUAUAUUUUAUAAUUUUUAUAUUUUAAAAAAGAUAAGUUUGGAAUAGUAAAAGUCUAUUAGUCUAUUAGAAUACUUUAAUUAUGAUUUUUUUUAAAAAGUAAUGUUUUUUUUUUUAAAAAAGGAGUAAUGUAUUUCAAAUUCAAGAAUCUAAAAUUUGUUAGAAUCUUAGAAAAAUAAGAUUCUAAAAUGCCAGGAUUAUUUUUAGUUUAAAUAUUUUGAGUUUGCAAAAAAAUAUAUUUGAAAUUAAUGCUACCAAUUAAGAGUUUUCUAUAAUAGGAAUAAAUAAAAUAAAAAAAUUCUUUAAAUUAAUAAUAUUGAUUUUAAAAUAUUAGUAUCAGCAUAUUUUAACCUUUCGUUCUCUUUUAUCCCUUUUUAUUACAAAAUAAAUUAAUUUGUUUUAAAUCUUAUAUAAUUCUUCUCCACUAUUAUUGUUUUUACUAUUAUUAUUAUAAUUAUAAUUAUUAUUAUUAUUAUUUUGAUAAAGUAGAGAUGCAUUAAUAUGGUAAAACAAAGGGAGAGAGCUCAAUCCGGCUCAAGUAUAAAAAGAGUUUGACGCCUUGUGUUCGGCUGCACAUUAGAGAUAGUUCUAGGGAAGGUCUUGCCUUCCAUAUUGUCCCAUAAAGUAUGGACAACAAAAGGGGAAGGGGAAUUAUUAUUAUUAUUAUUAUCCUAUACGUACGUACUACUGUUACUAUUGUUUCUACCACUAUUAUUAAUUAUUAUUAGUGUUAUUAUUUUAGUAAUUUUUUAUCUUUCCAUAAUAUGUAAAUAAUGUAUUUCAAAUUCAAAUAAUUAAUCUUUCAAUUCAAAACUUUUAUUAUAACAUUUUUUAACUUUAUCCUAAAAAUUGCUAUGCGACUUUUUAAUAUCUUGCCACUUGACUUCUUGUGUUGCUUUUAAUUUUGCGCAUAUAUAUAGAGAGAGAGAUAGAUUUUUAAAAAUAUUUUAAUGUAUUAACAAUCUCUACUUGUAGUAAAUUGAAUAAUUAAAACAAAUUUAUAUAUUAAAAGCCACACAACAAAUAUAUAAAUUACUCGAUAGUUUAUUUUUUAAAUAGUUGCACUUCCACGACUACAAAAAAUGUGAUUUUUGUGGGACUAAGUUGGGGGUUUGGACUACAGGUGACAAAAGACUCUCAAAAUGAGGUGUGUGUGACACAAGUCUUAAUUAUUGAGUGGAGGUGACAAUUACUUUAUUAUGGAUUAAGAAAGUUGAGAAAGUUUGAAAAUAGCCCACAAGUUUUUUAAAUUUACACUUUGAUCCAAAUGUUUACCUAUAUAAUGAAAAAUGGAGGAAAAAAGGUGUCUUUCUCUCUCUUCUCAUCCAUUAUUGUUUUCUCUCUCUUAGCGAUUUUUGUUAUUCAUUGUUGCUGCUGCUUUAUUCAUCCUCUUCUGCUUCAUUAUCAUCAUCUUCUACUUCAUUAUCAUCUUCAUCUUCUUCUAGUUGACCAUUUGUUAUUGUUAUUGUUACCGCUACUAUUGCUAUUUGAUAAAUUUCUUAGGUCAAAUUUUGUUUCGAACAUCACUUUCCACUUUUGGCAUUACUUCAUAAGGAGACCUUGGUAAGUCAAAUUAUGAUUUUUAGUUGAAUUUGUCAUCUGGGUAACUGUUAUUGUGUUGUUUUUUUCCAGCAACGGAUAGAACUCGAUCAUGAAUCCAAUAUAAGAUCCAUCUGUUUAAACAGAUAAAUCAUCUGUUGCGACAGAUGAGACAUCUAUUUCAAUGGAAGACUGAUAUAUUGGAUUUAUGUUUAAACAGAUGGGUCAUCUGUUGCAACAUAUGACCCAUCUGUUGCAACAGAUUAGUUAUCUGGUGCGACAUGAUAAAUAUCUAUUUCAAUAGGGUAAAUAUCUGUUAUAACAGAUUAAUAUCCUAUUGCAACAGGUUAGUCAUCUGUCGUAACAAGUUAAUUAUCUGUUGCAACAUGUUACUCAUCUGUUAGAAUCAGCUUCAAAGUUGAUUUAGUACUGUAACAUCAAUCCCAACAGGCGCUUCAUCUGUUGCAACAGAUAUUCAGGAGUGUAAUAAGAAUCCCAACAGGUAAGUAAUCUGGUGCGACUGAUCACUUACUUGUUGCAACAUAUUGCACAUCUGUUGGGAUUCAUUUACGGCACUAUGAAAUCACUAUCAAAUUUUUUUAACAAAUGCCUUUAUUUAGGUAUCACUAAUGGAGGGAUCAAUAACAAUAGGGGUGGAUUGUCAUGGCUAAUGCACCGAGAAGAGCAAUCGAUAUGUAUGGCGUUGGAAGGAGUGCAAAAUUCUAGAGAUGAUAACUAUGACAAUCCAAAGUGAUGUUUCGUAUGAUGAUUUUGUGAACUUAAUCAUCAGCUUUUCUAGACUGAAUUGUCAACUGGAAGAACUCGCCAUCAGCUACAUGCACAGCUCCUUUGAAAAUCAGAGGGUACUACCUUUCAAGAUAACCGAUCAGGUCGGUGUUAAGGGUGUACAUGGUUGAAAAUACGAGAGAGAAUGAGAACCAGAAUGUAGAAGAACAACAACAACAAGACUUCUUUGAUGAUAGGUUGGAUGAUCUAGACAUGAAUAUUCCAGAUGAUGAUCAAACACCUACGCCCGUUGAUGCAACCGAUACGAUGUGCAGUUCUUCUUAAUCGACACUGUCUAGAAAUCUUAAAGACGACGGGACCAACUUUUUUUAUUGAAAUAUCAUUCAAGGACAAGAAUGAACUAUUUAACGCUUUGUUUUAUUUCUUGCUUGAAAAAAGAUUUCAGAAUAAAAAUAGUGAUUAAUUCGAGCAAUGUCUUUUGCUUCAAAUGUGCUAAUUAGAACUGCAAGUGGUGGUUGAGAUCGGUGAAGUAUGCAAGUUCUGAUAGAUUUGUCAUUCAUAAACACGAAAAGCAUCACACAUGUGGUUCGGAGCACAUCUCGGGCCAAAAUCCUCACGCCACAGCAAAGGUCCUCGGUGAAUAUUCCAGGAGUAGUUUUCCCGAUGGCAAAGACCCUUCAGCAAGGGUUAUGGUCAAUCAACUCCUUACGAAUUUGGGUGUCCUGGUCAGUUUUUGGAAGAUAUAUAUGGCCAUGGGAUUGCCAAGGACCUGGUUAGGGGUACACUAGAGCAUUGGUAUACAGUCCUGGAUGCCUACCAUUACAUGUUGAGUCCACAAAUCUCGAAAGUAAGACGAUACUAUAUCCGGAUAAAAAUGGAAGGUUCAAGUACUUUUUGGUAUCCUAUGGUGCUUGGAUUCAAGGUUUUCAGCAUUUGAGGAAAGGCAUAGCCUUCAACGGUACCUUCUUGAGGAGCAGGUAUAAUGGAGUUCUGCUAGCGGCGGCGGCGCAGGAUGCGGAGAAUCACAUCUUUCCUGUCGCUUUUUAUGUAGCGGACAAGGAAUGUGAUGCCUCUUAUGAUUUUUUUCAAACAACUGCGAAGCUGCGUUGAGGAUACCGAAGAGUUGUGUUUUGUAUCGGAUAGACAUUCAAGUAUUCCAAAGAUGGGUUCACGUUUCCUCACUUCAGCUUACUUUAAUUGUUGCAUCAGGCAUCUUCGAGAGAACAUUUGAAACAACUAUCACAACGAAAGGGUCGUUACCCUUUUUUAUAGAGUAGCUAAAUCAUAUAGUAGAGAGGAGUUUUUAGACCAUUUCAAUCAAAUAGAGGAUGUGAAUCCCAAGGUAGAAGAAUUUCUCACGCGUGUCGAUUUUAAGAGAUGGAUCCGGGCAUUCUCUCCAGCAGAUAGGUACAUUCUUAUGAAUUUAAUGUCUUGUUUGAUUUACAAGUUUAGUAUGAUGUAGUACUAAGUGAUUCUUUUGUAUAGGUACAAUAUUAUGACAUCAAACAUAGCUGAAUCGGUGAAUUCAUUUUUUGACGAUGAUAGAGAAUUUUUCAUCAAGGCUAUGUUGGAAAAAAUAAGCAAGAAGUAUAGCGGAUUUUUUAACGAAAGGCGUGUGCAGUUUGAGUGCCCAGAAAAAAACCCAAUUUAUUCUUGAAAUCGAAAAAAUAAUAUAAACGAACGUCAGUUUGGAGAAUAGGUUAUUCUCUCAUAAAAUAGCAGAUUACAAAUUCAGUAUCACCGAUUAUGGUGAUGCUGCUAGGGUCGAUCUUCAAACAAGAUCUUGUACGUGUAGAGUUUUUGACUUAGACAAAAUACCUUGUCCACAUGCUAUGACAGCACUUCGAGCUCAAUACGGUCAUAAAUAUGGAACUGAAGUGUAUGGGCACUCCUCUCAAUAUUAUUCGGCAGAAAAAUAUGAAAUGACAUAUAAUGGGCAUGUUACUCCGGUGCCUCCCAAAGAAUCUUGGGUUGUUCCUGCAGAGCUUAUAGGGAGAUUAAUACCUCCUCCAUAUAUUGACCCAAGUACUAUCAAACCGGAAAGAAAGACAUAUAAGAGGAGGCAUGGAGUUGGAGAAUCAUUUUCAUCAAGAAGAAAUAAGUGCUCCAUAUGUAAGUGCGUUGGCCACAAAAGAACUACAUGCUCGAAUCGUAAUCCACCAUGAUCGUUGUAAUUGCAGAAACUUGUGUUGUUGUCUGUUUGUUUUGGACUUUUAUAUAUUUAACUUAUUGUUGUGAACCUAAUGUUAUCAUUUAUUAUAUAUAAAAUAUCUUUUUUAAUAACUUGUGCAUCAAUAAAAAGAGGCAAAACAUGAACUAAGUAAUACAGCAGACCACAAUUAUUCUCAACAGUUCCAUCAAACUGGAAUAUUUUACUCCAACCCAUGAUAAAUAAAUCUAUUGAAACAGAUGGAUAAUCUGUUGACAGAAACCCAACAGAUGACCAAUCUGUUCCAACACAUGAUCCAUCUGUUGAAAGAACUCAAAAGCCAAAAUUGUUAGUGCUACUAGUUCAACGCAGCUUCUUGCCUCCAACCGUCGACAUGUUAACAUGUAUGUAUGUUUAGAAGAAAUAGACAGAAUGAAAAUUGAAUAAGAACUAAAACGCCAAAGUCAACUAAAAUUAAAUUUUUCAUUAAACAAAAAAUAAAAUACAUUAGGUAUAGAUCCGAUAUAGAAAAAUGAAAACACAUAGGCUAGAAGAAAAAACACAUUCUAAUUAUCAUCAUCAUCAUUAAUGACAGCCGGCCAAUCAACUCACAGCAGCAGGGCCCUCAUCAGCCUCUGCAUCUCUCUGAAUAUCGUCUCUCUCACAGCGACCAACUCCCUCCGCAGGUCAUUAACCUGCCUCUGAAGUUCCCACAAUAUGUCACGUAGAAUAGCAAUGUCUAAAACAGGAUCAACCAUAUCUAGAACCUUUUUUUCGUACAAGUACUGAGAUGAUAUAUGGCCUUCUCAACCUCCUUCUUCUCGUACAAGUAUUCUCCCAAGCACCUUUUUUUGUAUAAUAGUCUCCUCUAAUAACCCAUCCAUAUAAAUUUGGACCAGGGGAAUUUCUAUUAGUUCUACCGUUAUUUGCUGCAGUGUGGGGCCUUGAAGGCCUUUCAACAAAUCCUUGAGCCAUUAAAACUGGUCUAAUCACUAUUGGAUAUUUACACUGCCACCAUAAACUAGAACCCUUCCUCAAACUUGACACAAAAAUAUGAGCAUAAACCUUCAUUAAAUUAAAAUAGGGAUCAACACCACCGUCUCGAUCCCUCAGUCUUACCAGUUCGAACUUAACAAUCUUAACUGUAAAAUGCCAUAUCUUGUUUGAAGGAGUAACGCCUAAUAGGUAAAGAACAAACAUUCAUAAAAUCAUUAUACUGGAUGUGUAUUUUCAUGAUAGGUUGAUCCGUAAUACAUACCUCCUAUAUAUGAAGUGGUUCCAUCUGCAAACAACUUAUUCCUCCGAACCCAUAUUUACUCUAGCCUUUAAUGCUGGUCGGGCGAAAGUGGAUCUAGUUUCACUUUCUUUUAUCUGCAAACAAGAAAAAUGCAUUUGAUGUCAAACAAGAGAAGAACAAAAAGAAUGUUACAAAAGGAUAACACAAAAUUGAGUAAAUCAAUAAAUGGCCAAUCUGAUGCAACAGAUUAUCCAUCAGUUCAACCGAUAAGGAAUCUGUUCAACCGAUAACGUUACUACUAGCUUGAUUUCUUCAAACAGUUGCUCCGUCUGUACAAAAGGGUAACACAAAUUUAAGUGAAUCAACAGAUGACCAAUAUGAUCUAAUAGAUUACCCAUCUGUUCAAUCGAUGAGGCAUCGUUGCAAUAGAUGGAUGACAUAUUACAACAGAUGGGUCAUCUAUUGGAAUAAAUCAAAUCGGCAUUGCUACUGGUUUGAUUUCUUCAAACAGUUGCUCCGUCUGUUCCAACAGCUGAUUCAUCAGUUGCAAAAGUUGAAGAAACUAUUGCAACACCACCACAAUAUUAACAACAAAGAAACAACACCAUAUGUUCCAACAACAUCCACAACAUAAACGUUACGUGUUCCAACACGACCAGUACCCCCAAUAACAACAUCACCAAAGUACCAAACAAAAGACAUAAAAAAGCUAUACUAACAACAAGGCUUUUUAAGUUCUCCCAACAGAUGAUUUUUUUCGCAUACUUUAAUAAAAAAAAUGGUUCAUUCAUUCAAGACUUAAAAGUCACCUUUCCUUCAAUUUUCUCAAUAAAUUGAAAACUGGUUAUGUGUAAAUUAUUAAUAGCAAAAGGUGUAAAUAUCUAAUUUAAAUAACAUACAAAAAAGAAGAUGAGAUGGAAAGAACAAUAGUGAACCGUACCUACAAUAUCAAAAAAGCAAAGGGAUCAAAACUACUAGUUCACUCGAGACAAGAUAUUGAUUGGUUGAGAUCCAAAAAGAUCCUCAUAAGAAAGAAGAGAGAAAAGAGAGGAAAAAAGAAAAGAAAGAGAAUUGAGAAUAAAGAAAAGUGAUAGAUGAUUGAAUCUUACUUUAUGGCUGAAGGAGAGAGUAUCUAGAUAUGGGCUUUAAAUAUUCAUUAAUAACUUUUGAGGGGCACGAGGAGACAAUGAUAUUGAAAAGACCAGAUAAAACUACUCACUCAGGAGAUUUUUGAGUUAUCCAAGUAGUAUGGAGUAAGAGUAAUACUUUUUACCGCCUCAGUAUUUAAACUUUUUUAUCUCAGAAAGAAAAUUCCUAAAUUGCUUUAUAAAAAAGGAUCUUAAAAUAUUUAAGUGCAACAGAUGAUAAUUUUUGUUUGAAAAUUUGCAAAGCUCGGUCAUCUGUCGCAACAAAUGACAUAAUCUGUUUGAUAUUUUACAAUAGAUGCUUAAUAUGUUGUAACAGAUUACCUAAUCUAUUUGAUUUAAUCCAAUAGAAAAGACAUCUAUUGUAACAGGUUGAACAUUUGUUUAUAUAUAAUUUCAAUUGACUUCAUAUGUUAGACUAAUGCCUUGAUUGAAUAAUCUAGGACAAGGGUAAGUUCUUAUAGGGUCAACUACAUAUUCAAUUGAGUCUUUUGGAAGUUGCAUGAUGAGACGGUAUUGCGUUCUCGCAACUAGAGCCAUCGAUCGAUCACUCUGAGACGAACCGAUUCUUACUACCUUAUAUGUUCAACUAAUACCUUAAUUGAUUAAUCUAGGAUUAGGAUACUAAUACCUUGAUUGAAUAAUUUAAUACUAUGGGUGAGUUCUCAUAGGGUCAACUACAACUUUAAUUGAGUCUUUUGGCAGUUGCAUGAUGAGAUAGUAUUGCAUUUUCCCCAACCAGAGUCAUCGAUCGAUUACUCUGAGUCGAACUGAUUCUUACUACCUCAUAUAAUUAACUAAUACCUCAAUUGAUUAAUCUAGGACUAGGGGUGAGUUCUCAUAAUCAACUAAAACAAAUGACAAUGCCUAUUUGAUGGUUUACAACAGAUGGGUAAUCUAUUAUGACAUGACUUAAUCCAUUUAAAAUUUACAAAAGAUGGGUAAUCUAUUGCAAUAGAUGACUUAAUCUAUUUGAUAAUUUACAACAGAUUCAUAAUCUGUUGUAAUAAAUGACACAAUCUGUUUGAUAAUUUACAACAGAUUCGUAAUCUGUUGUAACAAAUGACAUACUGUUUGAUAAUUUACAACAGAUUCGUAAUCUGUUGUAACAAAUGACAUAAUUUGUUUGAUAUUUUACAAUAGAUGCGUAAUAUAUUGCAACAGAUUACCUAAUUUAUUUGAUUUAAUCUAACAGAAAAUACAUCUAUUGCAACAGGUUGAACAUUUAUUUAUAUAUAGUUUCAAUUGACUUCAUAUGUUAGACUAAUACCUUGAUUGAAUAAUCUAGGACUAGGGGUGAGUUCUCAUAGGGUCAACUCCAGCUUCAAUUGAGUCUUUUGGUAAUUGCAUGAUGAGAUGGUAUUGCGUUCCUCCUGACCAGAGUUGUAGAUCGAUCACUCUUAGCCGAACCGAUUCUUACUACCUCAUAUGUUCAACUAAUACCUCAAUUGAUUAAUCUAGGACAAGGGCACUAAUACCUUAACUGAAUAAUCUGGGACAAGGGGUGAGUUCUCAUAGGGUCAACUACAGCUUUAAUCAAGUCUUUUGGUAAUUGCAUAAAGAUACAGUAUUGCUUUCCUCCUGACCAGAGUCGUCAAUCGAUCACUCUGAGUCGAACUGAUUCUUACUACCUCAUAUGUUCAACUAAUACCUUAAUUGAUUAAUCUAGGACUAGGGGUGAGUUCUCAUAAUGUCAACUACAAUAGAUGGCCUAUUUGAUGGUUUACAACAGAUGGGUAAUCUAUUGCGACAUAUGACUUAAUCCAUUUGAUAAUUUACAACAGAUGGGUAUUCUGUUGCAACAUAUGACUUAAUCUGUUUGAUAAUUUACAACAGAUUCAUAAUCUGUUGCAAUAUGUUAAAAAUUUAUUUUUUAUAUAAUUUCAAUUGAGUUCAUAUAUUAGACUAAUAAUACCUAAACUGAUUAAUCUAGGACCAGGGGUGAGUUUAAGAAGUCUUUAACAGAGCUUCAUGAUCGGACUUACAUUAUCGAAAAUCUUUAUCACAAAAAAUUGUAGAAGAUGGCUCGACAUUGUCAAGCUCAGUUGGAAAAAAUAAAAAAAAAAUGAAGAAAAGAAAGACCAAAUGCAAAUAAUUUGAAGAAUUUGGAUAUAUAAAAGAAGAUGAUGAUGAAGAAGAAGAUUUGAAAAUUUAGGGUUAAAUUUUAGGAGAAAGAUGAAUAUAUAANNNNNNNNNNNNNNNNNNNNNNNNNNNNNNNNNNNNGGGGGGGGAGGGGGAAAAAUGACCGUUGGGGGCCAAAUGACGGCAAGUCAGCAUAAAGUGCCAAAAUGAUACAUUUGAUGCCUAUUUUAUUAUACGUGUUUAAAAUGAUUACUGUCUACUUGAUGCCUAUUUUAUUUUAGGUGUUUGAACUGAACACCGUCGAAGGGUUUUGCCUUUUUUAUUUCAAUACACUUUAACUUUUUUACACGUAGUGGAAAUUUUUUAUGUCCAACGAAAGUUGAACUUUUAUAAUGCAACAGAUUCUCCAUCCGUUGUAACAGUUAUUCUACCUGUUCUGACAUAUAGUUUAUCUGUUGCAAUAUGUUGGUCAUCCGUUGCAUUAUCUCGAUGUUUCUAUUUAAGUCCAUCUAUUGCAACAACGAGAAGACCUAUUUGAUAAAUUUCAACAGAUUACCUACCUGUUGCAAUAUAUGUCUAAAUCUGUUCGAUUUUUUCCAAUAGAUAUGUCGUCUGUUCCAGCAGAUACAUUAUCUGUUGUAAUAUUUGAAUCUAGUAUUCCUUUUCAAUUAAUAAGUUCAAAUCUAAGGAAAAAAUAAAAUUCAUAUACAAAAUAAAAUAAAUCGAAGCCUUUAGAAAUUAACUGAAAUAAUUUAAUGAAUAAAUGAAAUGUAAAAAAAAAUUGUUAUAGGUACAGAUCUCAAUAAAUACAUCAACAAAAAUUUAAGUAUGAUGCCAAGGAUUACUUUGACAGGCUCAAGCUAUAAAGAUCUACUUAGUAUGAACAAGUUGUUCUUCAUCCGGUGCUAUGAAAUUCAGCUUUGCUUAUCGUGGAUCUUUUUUGUUGCUUAUGUAUGAUUUCUGCGCUUUCUGUUCUUCGUAUUUUCAUUAAAAGAGUAGCAUAUUGUCAAUGCUCUUCAGCAGUAGCUUCUAUAUCCACCCGGAAAGCCAGAAUUAGUCAAUACUAAUCAUGGAGAUACAACAAAAUGGAGAAGGAUAGCUCAUCUAUUCUAGCAAAUUAAAUAGGUCUUUCUCCUAUUUUAAAUUAUCCCAAAUAGAUUAUAUUUCAAUUGCAACAAUGGAUCAACUGUUGGGACAAAUUUCUACAUGAGGAAGACUUGUAUGAUAAUUUCCAACGGAUGAACCAACCGUUGCAACAUAUAAAUCAUCUAUUGCAGCAGAUAGGUCAUUUGUUGGUACAAAUAAAAGUGGUACGAAGAGCUGUUUGAUUUGCUAAAACAGACGAGACAUAUGUUGCAAUAGAUACUUUAUCUGGUGCAACAAGUUAGUCAACUGUUGCAAUAGAUGUAUAUAUCUGUUUGAUAAUUUUUAGCAGAUAUGUAAUCUGUUGAAACAGAUAUGUGUUGUUUGUUUUGUUAGUUGGAAGACAUAUAUAUUCACCUUCUUCAACUUGUGCUGCUCUAAUUUGUACAUUGUAUGUUGCUCAGUGCAACACACAGACAGAGGAGUUGGAGUUUUGCUUUUUUGAUGCUUGAUAAUGCCUUAGAAAUCACUCUCCUUUUUCUUUUACCCCUAAUCUCUAGUGGAGCGGAUGGAAAUAAAAUCCUCUUUGAAGGAAUGAGACCCCUCUUAGAUGUCAAUUCCUUUACAGAAGCUGUUAAUUCAUUAAUAGCAUUAAUCACUACAUUAUGUUUUGCCCUGCAGUCUUGAUCCUUGGACAGGAAACUCCUUCCUGGUAGUUCACUUGUUGUCUCAAAUAAGGAAUGGCUUCAAACACCCAAGCCUAUAAAAUAACGCCAAUAAAUCAAAAUCAUUAUUGAGUAAAAAAAACAAUGAUAUCAUUAUAAAAGAAAGAAACAUUUACUAUGAAAGCCCAUGGGAAGCCAUAUAAGUUGACUGUCUUUGGCGCUAAUGGAGUCAAUAAAUAUUUGACUGUCAUUUUGAAGCUUUCAUAACCCCAAGGAUAGCUGUUAAAUAUCUCAAGAUCCUCGAAGAGCUUUAUUAAAUUGAGGCUUCUAUUUUUGUUAACGUCUCUCGCCCGAAGAAUAUUAUGUACAAAUCAAACCAAGCACAAUGACUGCUUGUGCUUCUUUGAAAGUCUUUUACCUUUCAAUGCUUCUAUUAGAUUUUUAUUUUUAAAUCUUGGACCAAUAAUGGACAUCAGAUCAUCACAAUCACACAACUUGCCUUUGACUUUUUUGGGUGUGCGGUAUGCUUUUUUUGGUUUAGAAUAGGUAUAACUUGAGAAGGAGGAUAACAUUUUAGCCCAGUAAUUAUGGAAAACUCCUUCCAACCAAAACAAAUAGGCAUGCCACAGUAAUUUAUCCAUACCUCAUCCAUUUUAUCUUUGUUUUCAUACAUAAACCUACGCUUGAGAAGUUCAUAUACAAUUUUUAUUUGGAAACGAGCAUUGUUGUCCUUCGGCAAAAUAAGAUAUUUUUCAAAGCAGCUGUCCCUGAAAUAAGCAUCCAAUUUUUGUUCUCAAAGUAUUUUUCUGAAGGCGUCGAAAGAUUUUUCCAUGGCUGACUUAACCACGAAAUCACCCGUUAAAUCUAUGGCACCAAUGCACUGCAUUCUUACAGAUAACAAUCAAUGCUGAAGGCUUUGACCAACUCUGCAGUGGAAGGGCUAUUAGCAUUUCCAUCAUCUCUUUUGAAACAUUCCUCCUCCCCGUGUUCAUCAUAUUCUUCUCCCGAUUGAGAUAAUGCUUGUAAAGCAAGCUCAUAGAGUGGUGGAUCUAGCCUAGCUGCUUCACUUGUUCCUUUACUUGGACUUGAUUCGGUUUCUAUUUUUUUGGAAACUAUAUUAUCUAAAAUUAAUAGGAACAUUAAAAAUAUAUUAUAGUUGAUUAAUACAUCAUUAAAAAAGAAUAGCAGUAAAUAAAAUAAGCAAAACAGUGAAAUAACUGUUGCAAUAGAUCACGGAUCUGUUGCACCAGGUAGUAUAUCUGUUGCAGCAUAUAACCAACCUGUUGCAGCGUAUGAGUAAUCUGUUGCAAUAAUACAAAACAUAUCACUCAUCUUUUAAGAUAGAUGAAUGGUUUGUGCCACAGAUCACACAUCUGUUGCAGCAUCAUCUAUUGCAACAUAUGAGUGAUUUGUUGGAAUAGUUGAAUAACCUGUAGCAAUGAUUGAGUAAUCUAUUGUGACAAAAAAAUAUAUCACUCAUCUGUUGAGAAAAUGAAUGAUCUGUGCAACAGAUCAUACAUCUGUUAUGACAUCAUCUAUUACAAUAUAUGACCUGUCGAAACAUUUAACUAACCUACCUGCAGCAACGGUUGAGUAAUUUGUUGCAACAUACAAAAUAUAUCACUCAUCUGUUGAGAAAGAUGAAUGGUCUAUGCAACAGAUUACACAUCUGUUGCAUUACAUGGGUGAUCUGUUGGAAUAGUUAUCAACGAUCAUUAUUGUUUAGAUUUCUUCAAACAUGGGGUCGUCUAUCACAGCAGAUGAAUGAUCAGUUGGAAAAAUUAAGUCUUGGAUAUUCCCUGUUGGAAGAGUUGAUAGGAUUUUAUCCAACAAGAGGUUCAUCUGUUGCAUCGGAUCAUUAAUCUGAUGGUUCCUCCAUUGCAUUAGAUGGUUAAUUAGUUGCAUCAAAUUUUUUAUCCGAUGCUUAAUCUGUUGCAUCAGAUGAUUAAUAUGUUGCAUCAGAAAUGUAAUCUGAUGGUUCCUCUAAUGCAUCAAAUGGUUAAUUUGUUGCUUCAUAUGACAAAUCUGUUGCAUCAGAUGGUUAAUAUGUUGCACCAGAUGGAUAAUCUAUUGGAGAAAAUAAAAAAUAGUAGCACGAUUUUGUUCAACAAAAAAACUGCAAUAUCACCAUUUUUACCAAGAACAAGAACAGAAAAAUCAACUCAAAUUAUUGUUUUGUUUUUACAAACACAAACAAUAAAAAUCAAACUUCAAAAAAAUGCAACAAACAACAAAAUAACAUAAUUCACUUCAAAAAGAGAAGAGAAGAAAUACUAGAAAUUAGGGUUUUAUUCAGACCGCAUUUCAAAUUAAUGCAACAAAUAUUGAAAUUGUUAACCAAUACUAUAAGAGAAGUUGGCUCAAGUUCCUCGUUUUCUUUAAAACUAAAAAGGCCAAAAAUUUUUACCUACGAAAGAAGAAAAGGAACGAUGAUGAAUUCGAAGCUGUUGUGGCCGGAGAGCAAGGCUGUACGUUAAUUGAAACAAAGAAUUCAAAGCUGUUAUUGUUGGAGAAAAAGACAGUCACAUCAAUUAAAGGUUGAAGUUGAAAAGGAACUCGAAGCUCAACUAUUUUUCGUUGGAUGUUGAAGUCACCGAGGAUUGAAAAGAAAAAUUUAACAGAACUGUUGGUUGGGAGAGAGUCGAAAGAAGCUGUCGAGAGAGAGUGUGUGGUUCAUUUGGAUUGAGGAGGGGUGUGGGUUUGGUUGAUUUAUAUUUUUAAAAAGAUUUGAAAGUUUUGAAAAUAUUAAUCAAGUCCACAAUUAACUUAAUCAAGUUUCCUAAUUAUGUUUGACCCUUUAAGUUGGUCAAUGUCACCAAUCCUUCAUUGAAGACUUAAAAGACACCUUUCCUUCAAUUUUCUCGACUAAGUUGCCAUAAAACGUGUCGAUUUUAUGGUGACAAAAAAUGUUUUCAAUAAAAAUAAAAAUAAUAUAGUUUUAGUGGUGAUACAAUCAUUGAGUCACCACGACAAAUGAUAGUUUUUGUGAUAUUCAUUUGUAUGUCACCACAAAAAGAGUGUUUAAUGAUGAUUAUUGUAUGUUGGUAGAUUUACAUGUAUUGAUCCCAAAUUUAGGUGGCUUUGUACAUUUGAUCCUAAAUAAAAAAUCCUUAGUUAAAUUACCGUUAUUGCUCUACUGCCAUAUCAAAAGAACUAUUUUGCCCCAUAACUCAUCUUUAUUCUCUCUAAUGCCUGUGAAUGCAUCUCUCCUCUCCAACGCUCCGCUCUUUCUUGUUACUGCUCUUUUUCUUCAUUGCACUUCUCUCUUUCUUUAUUACUAUCUCUUUUAAAUCUUCAAACUUGCGAUAUACAGAGAAAGAUGGACAAACUUGUGGUAAUUUUUCAUCUUCAUGAUAUUAUAAUUUGUGAAUUUUGUAUAUUUUUGAUAAAUUUUACUUAAAUAGGAGUAUUUGGGUUUGUAAUUAGCUUUGAAUUGAAGUCAUUAUUUUAUUUAAAAAUGGGAGAAUCUCUAACCUGCAAAGCAUGAUAGAAAAAUGGUUUGUACAAUUAGCUUUUUUUUAUUGAAAAAAUAAUAGUGUUCUUGAUGUUUGUAAAUGUACAGAGUGUUCUUGUUAGUAUACAUUUAUGUUUAAAAUUGAAAAAUUAUUCUAUGCUUUUUUUUUGUAGUCGUGUGUUGAGAGAGUGUCUCAGUGGAUGUUGCUUUCAAUUCUUCAAGACUUUUGCCUUCAAACUUAAUUGAUAUCAUAGUUUAUGUAAGUUUCUACUAAAUUCAUUUUAUCAUUCACAUGUAUUUUACAUCAAUGCCUAUUGGUAUACUAAAAAAAUUACAACUUCACUUUUUCUAUAUUUUACUAAUGAAGAAUUCUCUGUCAUUCUUUCUUUCUUUAAAUAUGUUUAUUGAGAGCUAAUUCUUGCUUCUAGGGAAAUAAUUAUAAAGCAUCUAUCAAAUCUUUACAGAACAAGGUAGUCUCGGCUAGUAUCCCUAAGGGCUAGUUGUUUCUUUGUGGGAUAAGUUUUGCCUCUAGGGUAAGAGUUAUUGAACAUCUGUUUAAUUAAUAAAAAAUAUAGCAGGAUCAAUACUUGCCCAUGAGGCAUAACUUAUUUUUAUGGGGGCUAAGUCUUUGCGCCUAUGUCAAGAUUUAUAGAUCAUCUACUCCUUAGUAAUUUUAUGUACAAGUGAUGAAUGUUGAAGGAAAAUAUGUCAAUAAUUGAGAUUCUCUCGUAAGUUUGUUUGAACGCUUUAAUGAAAUGACUUGUUUUAAUUUUGUAAAUUGGAAUGACUUGAGAAUUAGUUCAAAAUGAGGUACGAUUAGGAUUAUUUGUCAGAUUAGUUUCAAAGUGUUUGCGUUAGUACAGUGACAACUUGUUUGCCUGUUUUGUGCAUGUGUUUAUGUGUGUCCCAGAUACUUUGCUACCAAAGGUGUUAGUGUGUUACUUUAUUUAUUUUGUCCUUUUUUAUUUUGGUCUAAAAUCAUCUCUAUGAGAUUCUAGCUUGGCUAGAGAAAUGUUUGAAAUCAUACUCUAUGUUUGGGUAUUAAAAGCUUAUGGGUAAAUUUAUAAUAUUUGCCUAAUUCUGAGAAGUAAUCUUGCUUAGAUAGGACUUUGAAAAGCAGUCAAGUACAUUUUCUUUGAUCAAAUAUGUAUGUACAUGGUAUCAUAAUACAUGUAUAAAUUUGCAUUUACCUCUAUGGUGUACUACUGUAAUCAAUUGUGUUAUCAAUCUUUGAUGUUUAUGAUUUGUACAAAGUGGGUCUGGCUUUGUUCUCCUCUGAAGUAUUCUAUUUUUUCUAAAGGUACUCAAUUUAAAAAUGAUAAGGUGGCCAUUACAAUAUUUUGAAUAUUUCUUGUCAAGAUCUGGUAAGGCUAUUUCCUGUUUGGUCAAAGACCGUUUCCGAUAAGAUUUUAAGUUGUGAGGGAGGUAAAUUUAAUCAAUGUAGAAAUGUCGUUAAAGAAUUUUGUGUUAGGAAUAAUGCUAAACUUAUUAGUCAGCUUUGUUAUUCUUUUGCUUUUAUAUUAUGAAUGUUUGAUGUCGUUCGAGCCUUGCCAAUCCCAAAUUUGAUAGAUUAACAUCAAGGAAACAAUCUUCGAAAUUUAGAGAUUGUGUGUAACUUGUGUCCUAAUUAUAGUAAAUCAUGUAAAUCUAUAUAUAAAAAAUUCAUACAUGAUAUAAUCAAGUUUUCAAAAUAUUAUCAUUCUUUUUCAAGCUUGAAAUAGUAAUCUCCAAGUCUUAAAUUUUCAAUAGUUUGUUAAGUUAAUACAGACUAAGCUAAUAUCAACUCUUGUUUAUUGCGUAUAAGUUAUUUUGGAGGCUAAAAGUAUUGCCUCUAGGAAAAGAGUUCUCAAUCAUCUGACAAAUUAUUACAAACUAUGCUAUUGUCAAAUCUUACCCAUGGGGCACAAUUUAUUCUUUUGUGAUCUAAAAGUCUUACCUCUUGAAAAUGAGUUAUAGAUUAUCUACCAAAUCAUUAAAGACUAAGACAGUGUCAACUCUUGCCCAUGGACUUGUUUCUUUGUUGUCUAAGUCUUGCCUCUAGGGCAAGAGUUAUAGAUCAUCUGUCAAAUUAGUAUAGUCUAAAGCAAUGUCAACUCUUGUCCAUGGGGCACAACUUAUUCUUUGUGAUCUAAAAGUCUUGCCGCUUAGGUAAGAGUUAUAUAUCAUUUACUAAAUCAUUAAAGACUAUUCUAGUGUCAAAUCUUACUCAUGAGGCAUAACUUUUAUCUGGAUGGACUUUGUGUCACUCUUUUUUUAUUUAAUAUUCAAUAUAUCUUUAUUAUUUUACUAUUCAAAUCAUAAUUCAAUGUUGGAUUUCUAACUUACUUUUGUAAUCUUUCUUUUUCUUUUGCAAUUUUCAUGCAGAGAGCUUCAUCUUCUAUUAAGACUCUUCUUUAGAUGGGGUUAUGAGCCCUAUUAUGGUAAAUUUCACAUUAGAUUUAUUAUUCAGUAGAAACAACAUCAUUACAUAAAUUAUUGUGUUAAUUGUGUUUUUGACAUUAUUUUUUUUAUAUAGUCUCUAGAGUUCAAGUGUGAUGCUAUUGUGGAGCUUAUUGUAAUAUCCCGCAAAAUCAUGAGUUCAAAAUUCAGCUUCUUGAGAUCUUUAAAAGAUCCGACACUUAGAAUAUUUUAGCUAAGUGUUCAACACUUAGUCUCAUUUUAAUCAUUCAAACUUCGAGCAUUUAUUUGAUGACCUUUCCGACCUCCGUUUUGUGAUUUUUAAGUUGCGUUACAAUAGGGCAAGGUAAGAAUACAUCUCGGGUGAGUUUCGAAAUUUUUGAAAUCUGUUUAGGGCAUGUUUGGAUUUUGAAACAGUAGCAUCAUGCGAUUUGCAUGCGAUGCAUGCUCUAUCUCACAGGUCCUAGCAUGUGAUAGAGUAUGCGACGCAUGCUCCAGUCCAAAGAACUAGACCAUACGAUGCAUGCUCCAUAGCACGUUGCCAAAAUUUUCAGCUUCCAGCUCAGCGUUUUGAGGGAAAAAUGGACUUUUCCCCCACCCUAUAUAAGCUAAAAAUUAUGGAAUUUAGCCCCAAUUGAACCAGAAUAUACUCACUUCUCUCAAAAUCUUCUCAAGAACAAGCUAGGGUUUCUCAUAGAAGAUUCAAGUUCAAGAAUUCUCUCCGUCAAUCUUUGUAGAAUCACGAACUAAGGUAUGCGUUAUGUUUAUUUAUGGAUUUCUUUCAUCCAUAAAUCUCAAGAACCCUAUUUUUAAAUUAUGAAUCAUGUUAUUAUGUUGUGGGUUGUUUAAGGUUAUGUGAUUGUUGUUGUAUGAUUCCGAAGUUGGGAUCUUUAUGUGAAAUUAUGAAACUACGUUAGCAUAUAAAUUGAAAUCCAUGAAUUUGGUGGUCUAUGAUUUGUGAAAUUUUGAUGAUUUCACCUAUGCCUUAAGUUGUGCAUGUAAGGUGUUUGAUAAAAUGCCUAAGGGAUAGAAAUUAUUCCUUGUAGCUAAAUUGUGAUCCAAAUGACUAAUGCAUGCUUUCCCUUAUUAUCAAAAAUGACUUCCAUGAUAUUAUUGUGUAUUAUGGAUGCUUGAAUGAAUAAUUAUGGGACUAGUUAAUGAAAUUACGAUAUAUCGAUGUGUAUUCCCAUUCAUGUACAAGAUUAUGAUACCAUGUUCUUCUUAAAAUCCCUAACUUAUUGUAUUAUGGAUUGUUGAUGUUGGUCAUGUAUUCAAGAAAGUCAUUCUUUGUUAGUUUCCUUCUAUCGAGUCCUGGGGGUACUUGUACGCAAAAAAUAUAGCUUGUGCCUAGAGACAGUAUCAUGUUUUCACGAUAUCCUCAGUCAAGCCAUGAUCCAUAAAACUCAGUCAGUCAGGAAAACUCAGUAAUAUCAGAAAUCUCAGAUAACUCAGUAAAUCAGUAAUCUCAGUAGUAUUCUCCAGUCAACAGAACUCAUGAACUCAGUCCAGUCCAGUUCAGUUAAUCGUGUUCAGUAUCUAUUUAGAUGGGAGUAGAAAUUAGCAUCGAGUGAACCCAAGAAUGAGGGCACACACAGUCGGUUGAGGGUGUGAACCUUAGAAAUCAUCCUUGUGUUCCAAAAUUAUGCAACCAACAUAGGUUGAUACAUCAACACUGUUAGAUGAGGGUUGAUGAGGUGGAUAACACUGUCAGAUGAGGGUCCCACCAUUCUCUUUUGGGGACACUAUCAGAUGAGGGUCACCCAUAGCUUGUCCUUACCAGUGGCGCGGUAUUGACACCCUUCUAAUUGGGGUUACAGAUUGGACUCCAACUUAGCUAUAAUAGCUUACUAGGGGCAUGUCAAUUAGAUGACUACUUCCCACAGUUUCAGUAUUAAUCUCAGUAAAAGAACUCAGAUAGUUCUUUAGAUUUCAGGACUGUCAGAUACAAUCAACUCAGUACUGUAUGAACCUCAGCUAGUUCCAUUAGAACUUAGAUUUUCAGAUACAGUCACUCAGUAUCAGUUAUACCAGUCUCAGUAUCUCAUGAUAUCAGUAAUCAGACUCAGUAAUCAUGUUAUCACGAAUUCAGUUACAAUCUCUUAUUCAUGUAUGUGUUCUCCCAUUCAUGUUAUACAAUUAGUUAGUUUAUGUUCAUGUAUAUAAACCCUUGCAUUCAGCCUACCUCACAUGCAUACCAGUACAUUCAAUCGUACUGACGCAUUCGCGCUAUGGAGUUUUAUUCUAUACCAUAUGUUCAGAAGCACGAGCUCUAGAGCAUCAGUAAUAUUCAUGAACAUAGAUAGACUUAUGAACCAUGCUCAACAAAUAGAAGAGAAGAAGAUUAAGAUGAGGGAGAAGCAGAAUAAGAGAGCAAGGUUAGGUAGUUUUAACUUUGCUCAGCCUAAGUCAGACGAAGGAAAUUGUUCUCAGUUUCGUCCUAAGUCAUUGGUUCUAGAUCCUUUAUCAGCUAGUGGUCCAGCUCCUAAGUUCAGGGAUGGUGAUAGAUAUAGGGUGCCAGGCACUAAUAUCAGGGCAGUGUCAGUAAUGCCCAAACUAAUCCUCUUUGUCAGACUUAUGGUAAGAAUCACAAGGGAGCUUGCAGAGCUAGUAACAAUGUGUGUUUCAGAUGUGGCAAGCCAGGCCACUGAGUAAGAUAUUGUCCCCAGUCGAUUUAUCACGGUCAGCAUCAUCAUUCCUCAGCUUAGUUCGGUCGUCUAAAUCAGCAGGGUGCCACCUCCAGUGCUUCUAGUGGGCAACGCCCAAAUAGAUUUUAUGCUCUUCAGUCUCGAUAAGAUCAGGAAAGUUCUCCUGAUUUGGUUACUGGUACGUUACAGAUCUUUCACUUGCAUGUUUACGCUUUGCUAGAUCUAGGAGAUUCCAUGUGUUUUGUUACUCCUUAUAUAGCAGUUGAUUUUGGAGCCAGUCCCGAAAUUCUAGCAGAGCCCUUUUCAGUCUCUACCCUUGUGGGUAAAAUAAUCAUAGCCCAGAGGGUAUACAAGAACUAUCCGGUUAUGAUAUUUUAGAAAGUCACCUCAGUAGACUUAGUCGAAUUGGAGAUGACUGAUUUUGAUGUUAUUCUCAGCAUGGAUUGGCUUCAUAAAAUCUAUGCCACAGUCGACUGCAGAAACAUAGUAGUCCAGUUUUAGUUUCUGAAUAAAACCAUCUUAGAGUGGAGGAGUAGUACUUCAGCUUUUAGAAGUCAGCUUGUUUCCUACCUUUGGGAAAGGAAAAUGAUAUCUAAGGGAUAUGUCUAUCAUCUUGUUCAUGUUAAGGACUCUAGAUCCUAAACCCCCAGUCUUGAAUUAGUUCCAAUCGUGAAUGAAUGUUCAGAUGUCUUUCCCAAAGAUCUUCCAGGAAUUUCUCCCGAAAGGGAAAUAGACUUCGACAUUGACCUUCUUCAAGACACUCAGCCCAUAUCUAUUCCACCAUAUAGAAUGGCACCAGCAGAACUCAGAGAAUUGAAAGAACAGUUAAAGGGUCUCUUAGCUAAGGGAUUCAUCAGACCAAGCGUUUCCCCGUGGGAUGCACCAGUCUUAUUCAUGGACAAGAAAGAUGGUUCUCUCAGAAUGUGCAUUGAUUACUAUCAGCUCAAUAAAGUUACGGUCAAGAACAGGUAUCUACUUCCCAGAAUUGAUGACUUAUUUGACCAACUUCAGGUUGACAACUAUUUCUAUAAGAUACACCUUAGAUCAGGCUAUCAUCAGCUCAGAGUUAAAGAAUAUGACAUCCCAAAAAUAGCUUUUCAUACUUGGUAUGAUCACUUCAAAUUCUUAGUCAUGUCCUUUGGUCUUACUAAUUCCCCAGCGGCCUUCAUGGACUUGAUGAACCGGGUAUUCAAGAAGUACUUGGAUAUGUUCAUUAUAGUCUUUAUAGAUGACACCUUGUCUACUCCAGAAAUGAGCUUGAUUAUCCAGACUAUCUCAGGAUUGUUCUUCAGACUCUCCGGAAUCAUCAGUUAUCCUCAAAAUUUAGUAUGUCCGAAUUUUGGCUAAGGUCAGUUGCAUUCCUUAGUCAUAUCAAUUCUAGUUAUGGCAUUAGAGUAGAUCCUUAAAAGACCAAAGAAGUAAGGAACUGGCCUCGUCCUGCCUCUCCAUCAGAUAUCAGGAGUUUCUUGGGUUUGGCUAGCUAUUACAGGCUACAUAGUUUUAGAAUGCAAGGAUGACUUCUAAGGACCACACCCUUAUCUGAUAGUGAGAGUCCCCAACCUUGGGUUCACACGGUGCUAUAUCCUACUCCCAUCUGAUUAGACUUUGAACAUGAUUAACUGGACUGUACAUGGACUGAGUUACUGUAUUCCGUUGACUGAUGGAAUACUACUGAUAUCUGACAACUUACUGAGUUCAUGAGAUCAUGGAGAUCUCCUGAGUCAUAAUACCGUCUGAAGUCUAAAAAUCAUAGCCUGACUGAGAGUAUCAUGAAAACAUGACAUGGCUCUAGGCACACAACUAAUGUUUUGGGUACAAGUACCCCCAGGACUCGAUGGAAGGAAACUAACAUAGCAUGAAUUACUUGAACACAUGACUAACAUCAUAAUCCAUAAUUCAUUCAUCGAAGUAUUUUAUCAAACAUGUGAUAGGCAUAAACCUGUACAUACACGGGGAUUUCAUGAUAUCAUGCUAAUUGGGCAUUUUCCUUCAUCUAGGAAUUUAAUCAAACACACACUAGGAAUGGAAUAUGUGGACAACAUUAUACAAAAAUUAAACAUCAUGGUUCAAUUCCAAUUUCAUCAUUCAAGGGUUUAAUCAUAGGUUUGCAUGAAUCUAUAUCUAUAUUAUUCAACCCACAUAGUAUUUAUCACCCAAUCAUGGAAUAGGAUCUAAUUACUCAUUAUCAACAUGAACAAGAGCAGCCGAAUCAUGAAAUUCACAAAGAAAAUCCAUAACUUGAAUUUAGAAAAGGGAUUCUUGGGAUUCAUGGAUGAAAGGAGUCCAUAAAUAAACACUAUGCAUACCUAGGUUGAGUUUCUUAAUGUUCUUGAACUUGAGGGAUUUGAAUCUCUUAGUUCUUGAAGAGGAUUUGAAUUUUGUUCUUGGGAUUAAUCUUAGAGAGAAAAACCCUAGUUUUGUUGUUGUAAAAUAAUAGUGAACAAAGUGGCUGCAAUCGGAUAUAACUGGGUAUAUAUAUGCAGGUGGUAAAAGACCAAAAUACUCCUGUUAAAAAUAACUUUAAUUUACUAAAUAGGACCUACGACGGCUCGUAUGAUGGUCCGUCACUGGCUCGAUGAUUCGUUGUUCUGAUCGUCGCACGUGGACCAGAAUAGGGACUCACUGCCUAAGUAGCGACGGCCUGGGCGAUGGUCCAUCGUAAGUCCAAAGGUCCGUCAACCUGUCCAUCGCACCUUAUCUAGAAGGUGGCCUCAUUUCCUUGGCUGAGAUGGUCAAGGCGACGGUCCGUCAACCUUGCCUUCACACCUGGGUGAUUCUAGCAGCUCUGAGUAAAAUCUCCAUAACUUCUUCGUCCGAUGUCAGAUUUGGACAACAUUGGUAUCGUUGGAAAGCUAACUCAAUUUCCCAUGUGAUAGAAAAUGAAAAUAUUAAAAAUAACAUGUGUAAAAAAAUGGAUUCGUAUUUCAAAGCGAGUUUUAACAUCAUUGAGAUGAUUUCAAGCUAAGAAAAGGCAUGGGUAUUAUAAUAUCUCCCCCUUGAGAACAUUCGUCCUAAAAUGAGACUAACUGAGAGGGAAAACAAUAAGCUGAACAUGAUAUGAAAAUGAAUAACUGCAACAUGAUCUCACAAUUGACAUGACUGACAAGCUGAACACAUAAUACUGAACAUGCAUAUCUGAUGCAUACGUAACUGAUUCAUGAAUGCAUAAUUGAGUGUUUUGAUGAACUAAGUUUUCUCACAAUGAGAAUGCAUGUCUGAUGCAUAAUUAGAUAAUUGAACUGAUAUAUGAAUGCAUGACUAAAUAUGUAAUGGUACCUGAUACCAAGUUUAUAAUGGGAACAUGAGCAUGAAAUUGAAUACCAAGUUUGUGAUGAACACUGAACAUGAAACUGAGUAAACUUAAGGAGGACUGUUACCUUGAGCUUGACCUGAAUCGGCAGGGAAGAGGUAAGGAUACUUGGUACGUAUUUCUGCUUCUGCUUUCCAAGUAGCUCCCUCAAUGGACUGAUUUCUCCAAAGAACUUUAACUAGAGGGACUUCUUCAUUCCUCAAUCUAUGAGUUUGAUAGUCUAGGAUUUCAACUGGAAUCUCUUCAUAAGAGAGGCUGUUCUGAACAUCUAUGCUCAGAGUAGAGACUACAACCGCUGGGUCACCUUUGCACUUCUUGAGCAACAAGUCGUGGAAUACUAGAUAAACUAAGGCUAGAUCUGAAGGCAAUUCGAGCUCAUAAGCUACCUUGCCGAAUCGACUGAGAAUCUUGGAGGGACCGACAUAUUGGGGAUUGAGCUUUCCCUUAUUGCCGAAUAUCUUUACUCCCUUCAUGGGAGAGAUCUUUAAAUAGACAUAGUCACUAAUCUCAAACUCGAGAUCUAUUCUACGAACAUCUGCAUAAGACUUCUAUCGGCUCUGAGCAGCCCAAAGUCUUUAUCUAAUCAACUGGACUUUUCUAAGGCUUCGAAUACCAAGUCAAGCCCUAUGACUAAGGCCUCACUAACUUUGAACCAACCGAUCAAAGAUCUACACCUCCUACCAUAGAGAGCUUCAAAUAAAGCCAUCUGAAUACAGGAAUGAUAGCUGUUGUUGUAUGCAAACUCAAUCAAAGGCAAGUGGUCAUCUCAACUACCCUUGAAAUCAAUUGCACAUGCCCUUAGCAUAUCUUCUAAAGUCUAAAUGGUCCUUUCUUCCUGACCAUCUAUCUGAGGAUGAAAGGCUAUACUAAGAUGAAACCAAAACUCUUUUGGAACACUUUACAGAAGUGAGAGGUAAACUGGGUACCUCCAUCUGAGAUAAUGAUAAUGGAACACCGUGUAAUCUAACUAACUCCCUGAUAUAGAGUUUGGCGUAAUCCUUGACUGAAUAAGAGGUAUGAACUGGAAAAAAAUAAGCUAAUUUGGUCAUUCUAUCUAUAAUGACUCAAACUAAAUCAUGCUGAUGACGAGUUCAAGGCAAACCCAUCACGAAGUCCAUGUUCACUUUUUCCCACUUCCCAGUAGGAAUAAUGAAAUCCUGCAUAGUACCACUAGGCUUUUGAUGCUCUAUCUUAACCUAAUGACAUGUAGAGCACUUAGCCACGAACUCUGCAACAUCUCACUUCAUCCCACUCCACCAAUAGAUCUCCCACAAGUUGCGGUACAUCUUAGUGUCCCCUGGAUGAAUAGAGUAGCGCGCACCAUGUGCUUCUGUGAGAAUUCGUCACCUUAAUUCAUCUACACCUGGAACACAGAGACGACCCUAACAACGAAGAACUCCAUCUCCCCCUUGGGAGAAAACCUCUAUUUUCUAAUUUUGAACUGACUCUUUCAACUUGACAAGGCUGGGAUCUCCAUCUUGUCUUUCUUUCACCUCUAAAACUAAAGAUGAUUCUGAACUACUCUGAACCCAUAUAUCACCCUCCUCUAUAUCAAAUAAGCAAACGCCUAGUCUGGCAAGCUGAUGGACUUUCUGAGCUAACUUUUUCUUAUAGUCCUUGACAUGAGAAACACUACCAUAGAGAGUCUACUAAGAAUGUCGGCCGCUACGUUGGCCUUGCCCGAAUGAUAAAGGAAACUUAUGUCAUAAUCUCUCAAGAGCUCUAACCAUCUUCUAUGAUGAAGAUUGAGAUCUUUCUGAGAAAAUACAUACUAAAGGCUCUUAUGGUAGGUGAACACAUCUACAUGAACACCGUACAGAUAAUUCCUCUAAAUCAUAAAGCCAAAGACUACGACUGCUAACUCAAGAUCAUAAGUAGGAUAAUUCUUCUCAUGGGGCUUAAGCUCUCUGGAGGCGUAGGCUAUGACCUUACCAUACUGUAUGAGGACACAACCCAAACCUACUCUGAAUGCAUCAGAAUAUACCACAAACCUAUCAAAACUAUCUGGAAGAGCUAAGAUCGGGGCUGAGGUGAGUCGAGUCUUUAACUCCUGAAAACUCUUCUCGCAAGGAUCUGACCACUGAAACUUGACUUUCUUCUGAGUCAAUCUGGAUAUAAGGGAUGCUAUAGAAGAGAAUCCCUCAACAAACCAUCUAUAAUAGCCAGCCAAACCCAAGAAACUCCUGAUAUCUGAUGGAGAGAUAGGGCGAGGCCAAUUUCUUACUACUUCGGUCUUUUAGGGAUCUACUCUUAUGCCAUCAUUAAAAAUAAUAUGACCAAGGAAUACUACUGACCUUAGCAAAAAUUCACACUUACUGAAUUUGGCGAAUAGCUGAUGAUCUCUUAGAGUCUGAAGUACUGUUCUGAGAUGGUCUGCAUGAUCACGCUCACUGCGGGAAUAGACUAGAAUUUCAUCUAUGAAGACUAUGAUGAACAUAUCCAAGUAAUGGUUGAAUAAGCGGUUCAUAAAGUCCGUAAAAGCUGCUGGGGCAUUGGCUGGACUAAAGGACAUAACUAUGAAUCCAAAGUGACCAUACCAAGUAUGGAAGGUUGUCUUUGGAAUAUCAUGUUCUCUAACUCUGAGCUGAUGAUAGCCGGAUCUGAGGUCUAUCUUAGAAAAGUAGCUAGCACCUUGAAGUUGGUCAAAAAAGUUAUCAAUUCUGGGAAGAGGAUGCUUGUUAUUGACCAUGACCUUAUUGAGUUGACGAUAAUAAAUACACAUUCUGAGAGAACCGUCUUUCUUGCACACGAAUAAGACUAGUGCACCCCACGGGGAAAUGCUGGGUCUGAUAAAUCCCUUAUCUAAAAGAUCCUUCAACUGUUCUUUCAAUUGUCUAAGCUCUAUUGGUGCCAUUCUAUAUGGAGGAAUAUAGAUAGGCCAAGUACCUGGCAGAAGAUCAAUACCGAAGUCUAUUUCCCUUUCGGGAGGAAUUCCUAGAAGAUCUUUGGGAAAAAUAUCUGAAUAUUCGCUUACUACUGGAACUGAUUCAAGACUGGGAGUUUUAGAACUGGAAUUUUCAAGAUAAACAAGAUGAUAGACACAUCCCUUAGAUAUCAAUUUCCUUGCCUGAAGGUAGGAAAUAAGCUGAUCUCUGAAAGCAGAUACACUACCCUUCCACCCAAGGACGGGUUCAUUCAAAAAUUGAAACUGGACUAUUCUAUUUCUGCAGUCGAUUGUGGCAUAGCAAGAAUAAAGCCAAUCCAUACCAAGAAUGACAUCAAAAUUAGUCAUCUCUAAUUCGACUAAGUCUGCUGAAGUGACUUUCUGAAAUAUCAUAAUCGGGCAGUUCUUGUAUACCUGCCAAGCUAUGAUGGUUUUACCCACUGGGGUAGAGACUAAAAAGGGCUCUGCUAAAAUUUUGGGACUGAUUCCAAAAUCAACUACUAUAUAAAGAGUAAUAAAAGAUAAAGAAGCUCCUGGAUCUAGUAAAGCGUAAACAUGCACAUAAAAGAUCUAUAAUAUACCAGUAACCACAUCAGGAGAAUUUUCCUGAUCCUAUCAGGACUAGAGAGCAUAGAGUCAAUUUGGGCGUUGCCCACUAGUAGCACUAGAGGUGGCACCCUGCUGAUUAGGGCGACCAGACUAAGGUGAAGAGCAGAGAUGACUCUGGUACCCUGACUAUGGGAAGUCUCUAACUCUAUGGCCUGGCUUGCCACAAUCGAAAUAGACAUCACUGCCAGCUCUGCACACACCCUUGUGGUUCUUACCAUAAGUCUGACAAAGUGGAUUAGUUCGGGAACUACCAACACUGCCCUGGGACGUAGAGCCUGGUGCUCUAUCUUUGUUACCCUCUCUAAACUUAGGAACUGGAGCACUGGCUGAAGAAGGAGCUGGAACUAAUGACUUAGGACGAAACUGAGAAUGAUUUUCUCUUACUUAUUUAGGCUGAGAAAAGUUGAAGCUACCUGUCUUCGCUAUCUUAUUCUGCUUCUCCCUCAUCCUAAUCUUUUGUUCCUCUAUUUGCUGAGCAUGUGUCAUAUGUCUGGACAAAGUUAUGUCACUAUUCAGUAUGGUGGAUCUGCACUCAUUAACCAUACUAUCAUUCACCCUUGAAACGAACUUACUCAUCUUGGCUCUACUGUCUGUAAGCACAUGAGGGGCAUAUCUAGAUAAUUAAGUAAACGAGAUGGAAUACUCUUUCAUCGUCAAGUUGCCCUGGAUGAGGUUGAUAAAUUCUAGCACCUUAACUUCCCUAAGCUCUUGGGGAGAAAAUCUGUCUAAGAAUGCAGUGACAAACUUCUUCCACUCUAUAGGACCUGCAUCAUCUGAACUUUCUGACUUCCACUAUUUGAACCAAGUAUGAGCCACAUCUUGCAACUAAUAUCCAUCUAGCUCAGCACUUUUAACAGUAGUCACCCUCAUGAUGUCUGUUACCUUUUACACCUGAUCUAGGAAUUAUUGAGGGUCCUCAUCUGUCUUAGAAUCGAGAAAGAAUAGAGGAUUCAUUCGGGUGAAGUCCCAAAUCCUGGUUGCUACUAAAUUGGCCAUUGGGUUGGCAAGAAUAAUAGCUGGCCAUUCAUUUUGAGCAGCAACUGACUGAGCAAGAGUAGUGAAUGCAGUCCUGAACUCUGCAUGAGAAACAUGAUCGACCAAAGGUUCUUCGGACUGAGGGGCUGACUGAUUCCUUCUCUUGGGAGGUAUAUUCUAGAAUAAAGAGAAGAAAUGGAUUAGACUGAGAGAUUGACUUGAGAUUAUUCUCACUGGCAUGACAUGAAUACUAAAAAAAUAAGAAACUAUUCCUAAAACAUCUUAUAACCUCCUGUACAUAAAUGUGGUGCACAACACACCUAUGUACAAGACUAUACUAGAUGCAGCUUUUAGACUUCCUAGGACUCUAUUGAACCUUAGGCUCUGAUACCAAGUUUGUAAUGCCCCGAUCCUGGUGCCUGGAAUGCUACACGAUACUCAUUACCCCGAAGGACCAUAAGAUAAUCUAUAAAUGAUAUCUGUAACUGUACAGUGCAUAAUAUAACAUAAUAAUUUGAAAACAUGUACUGAAAGUCCAUAAGGUUCAAUACUGAACAUAAUCUGAAUAAUAUAAUAUUUGAGUGGGGUAAUGGAAAAAUCCAAAACAAAAUUGAAAUAACUCUCUGAACAUAAUAGUCUGGAAAGCCUCUAACUGACUAAGCUAUUUGAGUAAGGAGAUGGGACAUGUCCCCAAGUAACCCCAACUAAUAAACUAAUUAAUGAGAUAAUAAAGAAAUAAAUAAUCAUGUCCUCAAAAGAUGAGGACUCACUUCUAAACUCUGACUGCUGAGACUGGAAUCUACUGCUGCUCUGGAGCUCGUAUCUCUGAACCUAUGGUAUAAAAUCACCAUAGCACAAAUGCGUCAGUACGACUGAAUGUACUGAUAUGCACGUGAGGUAGGCUAAAUGCAUGGGUUUAUAUGCAUGAACAAUAAUAAUAACAUACUAACUAUCAUGAGUGUAAGAAUACAUGCAUGAGACAUAAUAACUGACACUGACACCAUGAUGACAUGAUUAAUAAAUCUGAAUACUGAUGACAUGACAUACUGAUAACUAUUAUGGAUAAUAACAUGAGUGACUAUAUCUGAUAGUCCUGAAUCUGAUGGAACUAUCUGAGUUCCGUACAAGCUGAGUUUACUAUAUCUGACAGUCUUGAAUUUUGAAGAACUAUCUGAGUUCUAUUACUGAUACUGAUACUGAAACUGUAGGAGGUAGUUAUAUAAUCAACAUGCCCCUAAUACACCAUUAUGGAUGGGUUGGGGGUCCAAUCUGUAACCCCAAUUGGAAGGGUGUCGAUACCACACCACUGGUACGGACAAGCUGUGGGUGCCCCUUAUCUAAUAGUGUCCCCAACAGAGAACGACAAGGCCCUUAUCUGACAGUGCUUGUCCACUUCAUCAACCCUCAUCGGAUAGUGUUGAUGUCUCAACCUAUGCUAGAUACAUAGUUCUGGAAUGCAAGGAUGACUUCUAAGGACCACACCCUUAUCUGACAGUGUGUGUCCCCAUCCUUGGGUUCACACGGUGCUAAUUCCUACUCUCAUCUGAUUAGACUCUGAACAUGAUUAAUUGGACUGUACAUGGACUGAGUUACUACAUUCUUUUGACUAACGGAAUACUACUGAUAUCUAACAACUGACUGAGUUUAUGAGAUCAUAGAGAUUUCUUGAGUCAUAAUAUUGUCUGAAGUCUAAGAAUCAUAGCCUGACUGAGAGUAUCGUGAAAACAUAACAUUACUCUAGGCACACAGCUAAUGUUUUGGGUACAAGUACUCCUAGGACUUGAUGGAAGGAAACUGACAUAACAUGACUUACUUGAACACAUGACUAACAUCAUAAUCCAUAAUUCAUUCAUCGAAGCAUUUCAUCAAACAUGUGAUAGGCAUAAACCUGUACAUACAUAGGGAUUUUAUGAUAUCAUGCUAAUUGGGCAUUUUCCUUUAUUUAGGCAUUUAAUCAAACACACGGUAGGCAUGGAAUAUGUUGACAACAUUAUACAACAAUUAAACAUCAUGGAUUAAUUCUAAUUUCAUCAUUCAAGGGUUUAAUCAUAGGUUUGGAUGAAUCUAUAUCUAUAUUAUUCAACCCACAUAACAUUUAUCACCCAAUCAUGGAAUAGAAUCUAAUUACUCAUUGUCAACAUAAACAAGAGUAGCCAAAUCAUGAAAUUCACAAAGAAAAUCCAUAACUUGAAUUUAGAAAAGGGGUUCUUGGGAUUCAUAGAUGAAAGGAGUCCAUAAAUGAACACUAUGCAUACUUGGGUUGAGUUUCUUGAUGUUCUUUAACUUGAGGGAUUUGAAUCUAUUAGUUCUUGAAGAAGAUUUGGAUUUUGUUCUUGGGAUUAAUCUUAGAGAGAAAAACCCUAGUUUUGUUGUUGUAAAAUAAUAGUGAAAAAAGUGGCUGAAAUCGGAUAUAACUGGGUAUAUAUAUGCGGGUGGUAAAAGGCCAAAAUACCCUUGUUAAAAAUAGUUUUAAUUUGAUGAACGGGACCUGCGACGGUUCAUGCAACCUUCCAUCACUAGCUCAAUGGUCCAUCAUUCUGACCAUCGCAUGUGGACCAGAAUAGGGACUCACUGCGUAAGUAGCGAUGGCCUGUGAGAUCGUCUAUCGCAAGUCCGACGGUUCUUUAACCUGCCCAUCGCACCUUAUCCAGAAGGUGGCCUCACUUCCUUGGCUGUGAUAGUCAAGGCGACGGUCUGUCGCUAGAUCGACGAUCCGUCAACCUAGCCGUCACACCUGGGCGAUUCUGACAGCUCUGAGUAAAACAUUCAUAACUUCCUUGUCCGAUGUCGGAUUUGGAUGACAUUGGUAUCGUUGGAAAGAUAACUCAAUUUUCCACAUGAUAGAAACUAAAAAUCUUGAAAAUACCAUAUGUACAAAAAUGGAUUCAUUUUUCAAAGCAAGUUCUAACAUCCUUGAGAUUAUUUCAAGCCAAGAAAAGGCACGAGUAUUACAUCACUAUUUCUACCUAAAAGUGGGAAGAAGUGAACAUGGAAUUCAUGAUAGGUUGCUUUGAACUCUUCAUCAGCUUGAUUCACUUUGGGUCAUUAUAGACAAAAUGACCAAAUCAACUUAUUUCCUUUUAAUUCAUACCUCUUAUUCAGCCGAGGAUUAUGCUAAACUAUACAUCAGAGAGUUGGUCAGAUUGCAUGGUGUUCCAUUAUCCAUUAUUUUAGACAGAGGUAACCAGUUCACCUCUAACUUAUGGAAAUUAUUUCAAAAGGGUCUUGGUACCCAAGUUCAUCUGAGUACAGCCUUUCAUCCUCAGACGGAUGGUUAAGAAGAAAGAACUAUUUAGAAUCUAGAAGAUAUUCUUAGGGUGUGUGCAAUUGAUUUCAAGGGUAGUUGGGAUGACCACUUGCCUUUGAUUGAGUUUACAUACAAUAAUAGCCAUCACUCCAGUGUUAAUAUGGCUCUAUUUGAAGCUUUCUAUGGUAGGAGGUGCAGAUCUCUAGUUGGUUGGCUCAAAGUUUGUGAGGCCUCAGUCAUAGGUCCUGACUUGGUAUUCGAUGCCUUAGAGAAAGUCUAGCUAAUCAGAGAAAGAAUUUGGGAUGCUCAGAGCUGACAGAAGUCUUAUACAGAUGUGAGCAGAAUGGAUCUCAAGUUUGAGAUAAGUGAUUAUGUCUACCUAAAUAUCUCUCUCAUGAAGGGAGUGAAGAGAUUCUACAAGAAGGGUAAGCUCAAUCCCCGAUAUGUCGGUCCCUUUAAGAUUCUCAUUCAUUUUGGAAAGGUAGCUUAUAAGCUAGAGUUGCCUUCAGAUCUAGCCUCAGCUCGUCCAGUCUUCCAUGUCUCUUUGCUUAAGAAGAGCAUAGAUGACCCAACAGUUGUAGUCUCUAUUCAGAGCAUUAAUGUUCAGAACAACCUCUCUUAUGAGGAGAUUCCAGUCAAAAUACUAGAAUAUCAGAUUCAUAGACUGAGGAACAAAAAAGUCCCUUUAGUCAAAGUUCUUGGGAUAAAUCAGUCCGUUGAGAGAGCUACUAGGGAAGCAGAAGCAGACAUGCAUACCAAGUACCCUAACCUCUUCUCUGCUAACUCAGACCAAGCUUAAGGUAACAGUUCUCCUUAAUCUUAUUCAGUUUCAUGUUCAUAAUUCCUUUAUAAACUUGAUACUAAGUACCAUUACAUAUUUAGUCAUGCAUUCAUGUAUUACUUCAGUUAUAUAUGUAUAAUCAUUCAUCAGAUAUGCAUAUUCAGUAUGAUGCAUUUAGUUAUCAGUCAUGAAAUCAUAUUUCAGUUGUUCAUGUUCAGUAUAUAUGUCUAUUUAUCUUUUCUCCCUUCUCAGUCAGUUUCAUUUGAGGACUAAUAUUCCCAAGGGGGAGAUAUUGUAAUUACCUCAAAAUCAUGAGUUCAAAAUUCAACUUCUUGAGCUCUUAAAAUGAUCUGACACUUAUAAUAUUUUUUAGCUAAGUGUUCAAAACAGUCUUAUUUUAAGCAUACAAACUUUGAGGAUUUAUUUAAUGACCUUCCCGACCUCUAUUUUGUGAUUUUCAAGUUGCCUUACGACGAGGAAAGGUAAGAGUACAUCCCGGGUGAGUUUUGAAAAUUUUGGAGUCCGUUUAGGGCAUGUUUAGAUUUUGAAACAGUAGCAUUAUGUGAUUUUCAUGUGACGCAUUUCCAUCUCACAGGUCCUAUGUAAUACCUCGGGAAAUUUUUUGUUGAAAUUUUGUGCAUAAAUGUGUUGGGUUCUAUCUUCUAAAAUGAAUUAUAAAUUUUCCGUGUGGAAUGUCUUAGAUUAUGACCCACUAUUGCGUAGAGUAUCAAAUAAGCUUUCCAACGAUAUAUGGAUCAUCCAAAACUGACACUCGAGCGACGAGUUAUGAACAUUCCGAUCGAACCGUGAAUAGUAGUGAAUAGUAAAAUGUGCAAGAAAAAGUACUGAGGCCUGGCAUAUUUUUGCUCCAACUUUAAACUAUCAUAACUCCUUUUACAUAAUGAUCUGGGUGAUCUACUAUAUAUCAACGAAAAUAUCUACGAGUCCUCUUUUCAAUGAAAUUAGUUUCAUCCAAUUUAUCUAUCGGAGCAAAAAGUUAUGGUUGAUCUACUUCAGCCUCUCAAAAGCGAAUUUUUGGGUCAACAUCAAAUGAUCAUAACUCCUCGUACACAAUGAUCUGGGUGAGACUAUAUAUCAACGGAAAGAUAUAAGAGUCCUCUUUCUAAUGAAAUUGGUUUCAUCCAAUUUGGAUAUCAGAGUAAAACGUUAUGGUUGAUCUACUUCAGACUAUCAAAAUAGUCCACCAAAGGACAUAUUCGAGAAUUAUUUGAUUUUUAGGAUCUUUUUCGUCAUUUCUCCUCACCGAAAAUCCAUCCAAACGCUAUAUUAAAACCUAUUAGAAGCAUUAUAUGUUAUAUUUCAUCAAAUUCCCUCAAAAAGAAAACCCUAAGCUUCUACAUCCAACUUGAAGAACCUCCAAAGUUCACCAUUAAUUCUGCAAAUUUAUUCAAGAUUCCAAGUUCCUAGUUCAAGAACUNNNNNNNNNNNNNNNNNNNNNNNNNNNNNNNNNNNNNNNNNNNNNNNNNNNNNNNNNNNNNNNNNNNNNNNNNNNNNNNNNNNNNNNNNNNNNNNNNNNNNNNNNNNNNNNNNNNNNNNNNNNNNNNNNNNNNNNNNNNNNNNNNNNNNNNNNNNNNNNNNNNNNNNNNNNNNNNNNNNNNNNNNNNNNNNNNNNNNNNNNNNNNNNNNNNNNNNNNNNNNNNNNNNNNNNNNNNNNNNNNNNNNNNNNNNNNNNNNNNNNNNNNNNNNNNNNNNNNNNNNNNNNNNNNNNNNNNNNNNNNNNNNNNNNNNNNNNGUUGAUGUUGAAUAUUUGAGAUAUUUUAAAUGAUUUGACCUUUUAGUCUUAAUGGAGUUGUUUUGAACUCAAGUGUGAAAGAAAUCCACAACGUGGUUGAUUUUGAUAGAUGGGACGCAUGAUGGCUCCCGAUGUAUAUUUAUAUAUGACUGAAAUUAUUUUGUUGUGGAUUGUCUUUGAAAUGAUCUGAGCUAAGUUUGGGAGAAAUCUUUAGCAUCGAGUGGGAGGUAUAAAGUGAACUUACUUCCCUAGAACUACCCUAGAACUACGGGCCCCAUAGGAGUGAGCCUGAGGCUGAUUUAUAUAGUGAUCACUAGUUUAUAUGGAUUUGAUAUCGAUAGUCCUACUCCGAUGGCAAGGAUAGGACGGCUCUCCCCAACGUGGGUUGUACGUUGGACUCCAUGUAGCUUACAUGAUUUAUGUCGGUUAUAGGAUCUCCCAGUGUGUAUGUGUUUCCUUGUGUCUAUGCUGAAUGGUGAAUGAUUUGAAAGUAGAAUUGUGAAAGUUAUUCUUUCGAAAGAUUUAAAUGAUAUUUACAUUAUGAGAAUUGAUAUUCUUCAUGAACUGAAAGUGAUUGACAAAUUAUAUGAUGACUCACAUGUCUUAUUGUACUUAUUUCAUCCUCUCAUGAUUAUGAUGAUUUUCUUCGGGCUAUGUGAGUCUUUCAUAAAUCCUGCAUAUUUCUUAUAAAUAUUUAUGAUGAUGAUNNNNNNNNNNNNNNNNNNNNNNNNNNNNNNNNNNNNNNNNNNNNNNNNNNNNNNNNNNNNNNNNNNNNNNNNNNNNNNNNNNNNNNNNNNNNNNNNNNNNNNNNNNNNNNNNNNNNNNNNNNNNNNNNNNNNNNNNNNNNNNNNNNNNNNNNNNNNNNNNNNNNNNNNNNNNNNNNNNNNNNNNNNNNNNNNNNNNNNNNNNNNNNNNNNNNNNNNNNNNNNNNNNNNNNNNNNNNNNNNNNNNNNNNNNNNNNNNNNUUCUUAGAGGCUUGUCAGACUAGUAUAGAUGUUGGGAGUUAACUAAUAAGUCGUAUUUUGUUAUCUUUCUGAAAUUCUUUUAUUCUUGGAUGAUGAUUACUCUGUUAAUAUUUCAGGGUUAUUUAUGGAAACACUGUUGAUUUGUGUUGAACUGAAUGAAAAUGGCUCAAAGGGUUGGCUUGGGGCUACUCGUAGCCUCAAGUACCGUGUGACGCUCUAGGACCCAUUUUCUGGGGCGUUACAAACUUGGUAUCAGAGCCUAAGGUUUUAAGGUGUCCUAGGGAGUCUGACAAGCCGCGUUAAGUAAAGUCUUGAUCAUCGGUGUGUAGCACGCCAUAGCUAUGAGCAAGAGGCUACAAGACGUUUUAGGAAAAAGUAUGAUAUUUUCUAUCAGAAGUCUAUCGUGAUUAAAGUGUCUCUCUCUAUUAUUGAUUCGUGCUCUCCUCUUUCAGAAAUAUUCCUCCACAUCGAGCGAGAAGAAAUAAUGAUGGUCAGCAACCUCAACCCACUGACCCAUUGAUGAAAAUAUGUCUCAUGUUGAAUUUUGGGCAGCCUUUCAGGCGCUGGCCCAAGCUGUUACUGCAAAUAUUUAGGCCAACUCAGCCCCGAAUCCACAGCAGCAGGGAGGUGAUUCAGCUACUGCCAGGAUUUGUGACUUCGUGCAGAUGAAUUCGCCAAAAUUCUAUGGGUCCAAGUCGGAUGAGAUCCACGGUUGUUUUUAGAGGAGGUGCGGAAGAUUACUCAGGUGAUGCAUGUAUCUGAGGAACAUAGUGUGGAGUUAGUUGCGUAUAGGUUGAAAGACCUUGCUUAUGAUUGGGUUUUUGCUUGCAGGAAAGGUAGAGGUGAGGGAGCUGUCCCUACAACUUGGCAAGAGUUCCAGGAUGUAUUCCUGGAUAAGUUUUUCCCUUUGGAGAUAAGGGAGGCGAAGGUGGAAGAGUUUAUAAACCUGAGACAAGACUCUAUGACUGUUAGGGAGUACUGUCUAAAGUUCAAUCAGUUGGCUAAGUAUGCUCCUAAUUUAGUGGCUGAUAAUCGGGCUAGUAUGAGUAAGUUUGUGACUGGAGUAUCUAGCUAUGUGGUUAAGGAGUGUAGGUCUGCUAUACUGAAUAGUGAGAUGAAUCUUUCUAGGCUGAUGACUCAUGCCUAAUAGAUUGAGGCAGACAAGAUUAAGGAGAGAGAUAGAAUAAGAGUGAAUAAGAGAGCUAGGUCUGAGCAGCACAGACAGGGUCAGACUAAAUCGUAGGGAGGGAGUCUCCCUCAGUAUCAGGAUCGUUCAUCUAUGACAACACCGUCAUCUGCUAGUGCUCCCGUGCCUAGAGGUAGGCAGGAGCAAGGUAGCAGGUCAUAUGCAUCCAGGUCCCAGUACCGUGCUGGCAGUAAGCCAAAUUAUGCCCUAUGUCCUAAGUGUGGUAGGGCUCAUUCAGGUGAGUGUUGGGGUGAGAAGAGGGAUUGUUUCCGAUGUGGUGACAUGGGUCACAGAGUUAGAGAUUGUCCAUAAAAUGGACAAAGGCGUCGUGACUAUCGCCCUCAAACCUAGACUCAGACUAUUAGUGAUCUAGUUCCAGUGACUCGCCCAGCCCCAACUCAGGGCACCUCUUUUAGCAAUGCUGGCGGCAGCGCCAGAAUAGAUUCUAUGCUUUACCAUCCCGCCAGGAACAGGAGGACUCUCCCGAUGUUGUUACUGGUAUGCUUUAUAUAUUUCAGUUUGAUGUGUGUGCUUUGUUAGAUCCUGGAUCCAGUUUCUCAUAUGUUACACCUUUGAUUGCUGUUAAUUUUGAAAUGAGUCCUGAGAGUAUUCCUGAGCCUAUCCUAGUUUCUACCCCAGUGGGUGAUUCGAUUAUUACCCAAAAAGUGUAUAAAAAGUGUCCUGUUACCGUUCUUCGUAGAGUCUUUUUAGCUGAUCUGAUUGAGUUAGACAUGGUAGAUUUUGAUGUGAUUCUGGGUAUGGACUGGCUGUAUUCUUCUUAUACCUCUAUUGAUUGUCGGACCCGAGUGGUCAAGUUUCAAUUUCUGGGUGCAUUCGUGUUUGAGUGGUCUGGGUAUUCUGUGUCACCCAAGAGUCAUUUUAUCUCUUACCUCAAAGCUAGAGAGCUUAUUUCCAGGGGGUGUAUUUACCAUUUGGUUAGAGUCAAAGACACUAAGUGUGAGACUCCAACUCUUCAGUCUGUUAACGUCGUCAAUCAGUUUUCUGAUGUCUUUUCGGAUGAUCUCCCAGGGAUACCUCCUGAUAGAGAGAUAGAGUUCGGGAUUGAUAUUCUUCCUGAUACUCAGCCCAUUUCUAUUCUUCCUCUCCUGUGUUAUUUGUGAGAAAGAAAGAUGGCUCUUUGUGUAUGUGCAUUGAUUACCGCCAACCGGAUAAAGUCACCAUAAAAAAUAAUUACCCCCUUCCGAGAAUAGAUGAUUUGUUUGACAAUUGCAAGGUACAAGUUAUUUCUUAAAGAUAGACCUUCGUUCUGGCUAUCAUCAACUCAAAGUUAGGGAGUGUGACAUCCCAAAAACCAUUUUUCGAACUCGUUAUGGCCAUUUUGAGUUUCUUGUUAUGUCUUUCGGGUUAACUAAUGCCCCAGGAGCUUUCAUAAACUUUAUGAACCGAGUGUUCAGAUCAUAUCUGGAUAUGUUUGUCAUAGUGUUCAUCGAUGAUAUACUGGUGUACUCCUGUAGUGAGGAUGAACAUACUGAUCAUCUCCGAACUGUCUUGCAAACCCUUAGAGAUCACAAGUUAUUUGCCAAGUUUAGUAAGUGUGAGUUUUGGCUAAGGUCAGUUGCCUUUUUGGGUCAUAUCAUUUCUUCUGAGGGUAUUAGAGUUGAUCCCCAAAAGACCGAAGCUAUUCGAAAUUGGCCUAGACCUAUUUCUCAUAUUGAUAUCUGAAGUUUCUUGGGUUUAACUGGCUAUUACCUCCGUUUUGUUAAGGGUUUCUCCUCUAUAGCAUCUCCUAUGACUCGGUUGACCCAAAAGAAAGUGAAGUUCUUGUGGUUCGAAUCUUGUAAGAAGAGUUUUCAGGAGUUGAAGACUCGACUCACUUCAGCCCCUGUUUUGACUUUGCCUGAUGGUGUUGAUGGUUUUAUGGUGUACUAUGAUGCUUCGAGAGUUGGGUUGGGUUGCGUAUUGAUGCAGAAGGGUAAGGUGAUAGCUUAUGCUUCUAGACAGUUGAAACCCCAUGAGAAAAAUUACCCCACCCAUGACCUUGAGUUGGCUGCUGUUGUGUUUGCUUUGAAAAUAUGGAGACACUAUUUGUAUGGUGUCCAUGUUGAUGUUUUCACUGAUCAUAAGAGUCUGCAGUAUGUGUUUACCUAGAGAGAAUUGAAUCUUAGGCAGAGACNNNNNNNNNNNNNNNNNNNNNNNNNNNNNNNNNNNNNNNNNNNNNNNNNNNNNNNNNNNNNNNNNNNNNNNNNNNNNNNNNNNNNNNNNNNNNNNNNNNNNNNNNNNNNNNNNNNNNNNNNNNNNNNNNNNNNNNNNNNNNNNNNNNNNNNNNNNNNNNNNNNNNNNNNNNNNNNNNNNNNNNNNNNNNNNNNNNNNNNNNNNNNNNNNNNNNNNNNNNNNNNNNNNNNNNNNNNNNNNNNNNNNNNNNNNNNNNNNNNNNNNNNNNNNNNNNNNNNNNNNNNNNNNNNNNNNNNNNNNNNNNNNNNNNNNNNNNNNNNNNNNNNNNNNNNNNNNNNNNNNNNNNNNNNNNNNNNNNNNNNNNNNNNNNNNNNNNNNNNNNNNNNNNNNNNNNNNNNNNNNNNNNNNNNNNNNNNNNNNNNNNNNNNNNNNNNNNNNNNNNNNNNNNNNNNNNNNNNNNNNNNNNNNNNNNNNNNNNNNNNNNNNNNNNNNNNNNNNNNNNNNNNNNNNNNNNNNNNNNNNNNNNNNNNNNNNNNNNNNNNNNNNNNNNNNNNNNNNNNNNNNNNNNNNNNNNNNNNNNNNNNNNNNNNNNNNNNNNNNNNNNNNNNNNNNNNNNNNNNNNNNNNNNNNNNNNNNNNNNNNNNNNNNNNNNNNNNNNNNNNNNNNNNNNNNNNNNNNNNNNNNNNNNACCUGGAAGUGGGAAGAGAUAAAUAUGGACUUUGUGAUUGGUUUACCUCCUUCCCGACGCCAUCAUGAUUCUAUUUGGGUUGUGGUUGAUAGGUUGACUAAGUCUGCUCAUUUCUUGCCUGUUUAUACUUCAUAUACUGCUGAGAAUUAUGCUAGAUUGUAUAUCCGAGAGCUAGUCAGUCUGCAUGGAGUUCCCUUGUCUAUCAUUUCGGAUAGGGGUACUCAGUUCACUUUGCAAUUUUGGAAAGCUUUUCAGAAGGGUCUUGGUACCCAAGUGCUUUUGAGUUUUGCUUUUCAUCCGCAGACCGAUGGUCAGGCUGAGAGGACCAUCCAUACCUUAGAGGAUAUGUUGAGAGCUUGUGCACUUGACUUUAAGGAAAGUUGGGAUGAUCACUUACCGUUGAUAGAGUUUUCUUACAAUAACAGUUUCCACUCUUGUAUUGGCCUGGCUCCGUUUGAAGCCUUAUAUGGGAGAAAGUGUAGAUCACCCAUAGGUUGGUUCGAGGUGGGUGAAGCGGCUGUGAGUGGUCCUAAUUCGAUAUUUGAGGCUAUGAAAAAAGUUAAGUUGAUUCGGGAAAGGUUAAAAACUGCACAGAAUCGUCAGAAGUCAUAUGUGGAUGUUAAAAGGAGAGACCUUGAGUUUGAAGUUGGUAACCUAGUGUAUCUGAAAAUUUCACCCAUGAGGGGGGGUGAAGAGAUUCGAAAAGAAGGGGAAUCUUAGUCCCCGUUAUGUUGGUCCUUACAAAAUUCUUAGCGAUGUUGGUAAGGUAGCUUAUGAGGUCGAGUUGCCUUCCGAGUUGUCCUCUGUUCAUCCAAUAUUCCAUGUCUCCAUGCUUAGAAAGCAUAUUAGCGAUGCUGUGGUAGUGGAUUCUUCUGUUAGUGCUGACAUUCAAGAAAAUCUUUCUUUUGAUGAGAAUCCUGUUGAGAUUCUUGAUUUCAGUGUCCGAAGACUAAAGAACAAAGAAGUUUGCUUGGUCAAGGUGUUGUGGCGAAACCAAUUUGUUGAGGGUACAACUUGGGAAGCUGAGGCGGAUAUGCGAUCCAAUUACGCCCACCUAUUUUAUGCGAACUCCAAUCAAGCUGAAGGUACCAUUCUUUCCUAAAUCAUGCACUUUUGAUAAAAGUUACAGCAGUUCAGCUGUCAUUUAUUAUGUGUUCAGCUGUAGUUUCUUGAAUUUAUGCAUUCUAUGUUGCAUUCGGAGUGAGAAAUGAUGUGGUGAUGAGUCUAACGAAUGGUUUCAGCUGUAUUCUCUAUUCCCUAUCUAAUCGUGGCAGGUCUAGCGUCAUUCGAGGACGAAUGUUUCCAAGGGGAGGAUGAUGUAAUACCCCAGGAAAUUUUUUGUUGAAAUUUUAUGCGUAAACGUGUUGGGUUCUAUCUUCUAAAAUAAAUUAUAAAUUUUCCGUAUGGAAUGUAUUAGAUUAUGACCCUCCAUUGCAUAGAGUAUCUAAUAAGAUUUCCAACGAUAUGUGGAUCAUCCAAAACGGACACCCGAACGACGAGUUAUGAACAUUCCGAUCGAACCGUGAAUAGUAGUGAACAGUAAAACAUGCAAGAAAAAGUACUGAGGCCUAGCGUAUUUUUGCUCCAACUUUAAACGAUCAUAACUCCUUUUACAUAAUGAUCUGGGUGAUCUACUAUAUAUCAACAGAAAUAUCUGCGAGUCCUCUUUCCAAUGAAAUUAGUUUCAUCCAAUUUGUCUAUCGGAGCAAAAAGUUAUGGUCGAUCUACUUCAGCCUAUCGAAAGUAAAUUUUUAGGUCAACUUCAAAUGAUUAUAACUACUCGUACACAAUGAUCUGGGUGAGAUACUAUAUAUCAACGGAAAGAUAUGAGAGUCCUCUUUCUAAUGAAAUUGGUUUCAUCCAAUUUGGAUAUCGGAGUAAAACGUUAUGGUUGAUCUACUUCAGACUAUCAAAACGUCCACCAAAGGACACAUUAGAGAAUUAUUUAAUUUUUAGGGGCGUUUUGGUCAUUACCCUUCACCCAAAAUCCAUCCAAACCCUAUAUUAAAGCCUAUUAGAAGCAUUAUAUAUUAUAUUUCAUCAAAUUCCCUCAAAAAGAAAACCCUUAGCUUCUACAUCCAACUUCAAGAACCUCCAAAGUUCACCAUUAAUUCUGCAAAUUUAUUCAAGAUUCUAAGUUCCUAGUUCAAGAACUACAAGAACCAUCAUUCAAAGGCACGAUUAACAUCUCAAAAAUGAGUAUCGAUCUAAAGUUCAUCAUUCAAGGUAUGUGGGGUUUUUCAACAAGAACUCUCUUUCGUUCUUGUGCCCAAAAGUAAUUUUCUUUACAAAGGCAUGAUUUUGAUUUGAUUUUUUUUACGAAUUUGAAGCAUGAAGCCAUAUAUUAUGAUAAUUAUUAUGAAAUCUUGAUGUUUAUGAUUUUGAAAGAUGAAUUUACAUGUGUGGAGAUAUGAAGCAUGAAUCUUGAACGAUAUUUAUCAUGAUUUUGAUAUUUGGGUCGUGAAUCCCCAUUAGAAAUUGUGUUUUUUUUGAGAAAGUGUGUGUUAUAAGCACAUUGAUGUUGAAGAUUUGAGCUAUUUUGAAUGAUUUGACCUUUUUGUCUUAAUGGAGUUGUUUUGAACUCGAGUGUGAAAGAAAUCCACAACGUGGUUGAUUUUGAUAGAUGGGAAGCAUGAUGGCUCCCGAUGUAUAUUUAUAUAUUACCGAAAUUGUUUUGUUGUGGAUUGUCUUUGAAAUGAUCUGAUCCAAGUUUAGGAGAAAUAUUUAGCACUGAGCGGUAUGUAUAAAGCAACCUUACUUCCCUAGAACUACGUGCCCCCGUAGGAAUGAGCCUGAGACUGAUUUAUAUAGUGAUCAUUAGUUUGUGUGAAUUUGAUAUCGAUAGUCCUAAUCUGAUGGCAAGGAUAGAACGGAUCUCUCCAACGUGGGUUGUACGUUGGACUCCAUGUAGCUCACAUGGUUUAUGUCGGUUAUAGGAUCUCCCAGUGUGUGUGUGUUUCCUUGUGUCUAUGGUGAAUGGUGAAGUGAUUUGAAAGUGGAAUUGUGAAAUUUAUUCUUUCGAAAGAUUUAAAUGAUAUUUACAUUAUGAGAAUUGAUAUUCUUGAUGAACUGAAAGUGAUUGACAAAUUAUAUGAUGACUCACAUGUGUUAUUGUACUUAUUUCAUCCUCUCAUGAUUAUGAUGAUUUUCUUCGGGCUAUGUGAGUCUUUCAUACAUCCUGCAUAUUUCUUAUAAAUAUUUAUGAUGAUGAUAUUUAUACAACUACAUACACCCCCAUAUACUUGGUUCCUUUCCAUGGUACUAACCCACAUCUUCGGAUGUGGGCUGCAUUUUCUCAGAAUGUAGGUUCAGGUGCUCAGUUCCAGGUUUGACAGUGAUUCUUCGGGGCACGCUGUUCUACAUCCUCUAUUGUUGUGAGUCCUCAUGUUCCAAGAACGUGUUGUUUGAUAUUGGUUUCACGAAAUUAUUUACAUUUGAUAACUGAGUAUGAGUUAGUUGGGGCAUGUCUCAAUGGCUCGCUGGUUUUAUUGAUUUUCUUAGAGGCUUGUCAGACUAGUAUAGAUGUUGGGAGUUACUAAUAAGUCGUAUUUUGUUAUCUUUCUGAAAUUCUUUUAUUCUUUGAUGACGAUUGAUCUGUUGAUAUUUGAGGAUUAUUUAUGAAAACCCCAUUGAUUUAUGUUGAACUGAAUGAAAAUGGCUCAAAGGGUUAGCUUGGGGCUACUCAUAGCCUCAAGCACCGUGUGACGCUCCGGGACCCAUUUUCCGGGGCGUUACAUCCUAGCAUGCGAUAGAGCAUGUGAAGCAUGCUCUAGUCAAGAGAACUAGAGCAUGCGACACAUUCUCCAUAGCACGCUGCCAAAAUUUUUAGCUUCCACCUCAACAUUUGCCCAUCCUAUAUAAGCUCAAAAAUAUGGGAUUUACCCCAAUUGAACCAAAAUAUACUCACUUCUCUCGAAAUCCUCUCAAGAACAAGCUAGGGUUCCUCAUAGAAGAUUCAAGUUCAAAAAUUCUCUCAGUCAAUCUUCGUAGAAUCAUGAACUAAGGUAUGCGUUGUGUUGAUUUAUGAAUUCCUUUCAUCCAUAAAGCUCAAGAACCCUAUUUUUUGAUUAUGAAUCAUGUUAUUAGGUUGUGGGUUGUUUAAGGUUAUGUGAUUGUUGUAGUAUGAUUCCCAAGUUGGGAUCUUUAUGUGAAAUUAUGAAACUACGUUAGCAUAUGAAUUGAAAUCCAUGAAUUUGAUGGUCUAUGAUUUGUGAAAUUUUGAUGAUUUCACCUAUGCCUUAAGUUGUGCAUGUAAGGUGUUUGAUAAAAUGCCUAAGGAAUAAAAAUUAUUCCUUGUUGUGCAUGUAAGGUGUUUGACAAAUGCAUGCUUUCCCUUAUUAUAAAAUGCCUUAAGUUGUGUAUGUAAGGUGUUUGACAAAUACACGCUUUCCCUUAUUAUAAAAAAUGACUUCCAUGAUAUUGUUGUGUAUUAUGGAUGUUUGAAUGAAUAAUUAUGGGACUAGUUGAUGAAAUUACGAUAUGUUGAUGUGUAUUCCCAUUCAUGUACAACAUUAUGAUGAUCAUUUACUUCAUGAAAUCCCUAAGUUAUUGUAUUAUGGACUGUUGAUGUUGGUCAUGUAUUCAAGAAAGUCAUGCUUUGUCAGUUUCCUUCUAUCGAGUCCUGGGGGUACUUGUACCCAAAAAAUAUAGCUGUGUGCCUAGAGAUAGUGUCAUCCAUCCACUUGUUACUAUCCUUUAGCUGGAGCCACGAGUCUAUUGAAAAUAACCUCUCUAAUUCUUCGGAGGUAGUGGUAUGGACUGCAUACAUUUUACCCUCCCAAGACCCCAUUUUGUGGGAAUACACUGGGUUUGUUGUUGUUGUUGUUGUUUCCUAGAGCCAGUGUUAUGUUUUCAUGAUAUCCUCAGUCAAGCCAUGAUCCAUAGAAUUUAGUCAGUUAGGAAAACUCAGUAAUCUCAUAUAACUCAGUAAAUUAGUAAUCUCAGUAGUAUUCUGUCAGUCAAUGUAACUCAUGAACUCAAUCCAGUCCAGUUCAGUUAAUCAUGUUCAGUGUCUAUUUAGAUGAGAGUAGAAAUUAGCACCAAGUGAACCCAAAGAUGAGGACACACACUGUCAGUUGAGGGUGUGAUCUUUAAAAAUCAUCCUUGUAUUCCAGAACUAUGUAUCUAACAUAGGUUAAGGCAUCAAUACUGUCAGAUGAGGGUUGAUAAGGUGGAUAACACUGUUAGAUGAAGUUUCCACCGUUCUCUUUUAGGGACACCGUCAGAUGAGGGUCACCCACAACUUGUCCUUACCAGUGGUAUGAUAUUGACACCCUUCCAAUUGAGGUUACAGAUUGGAGCCUAACUUAGCUAUAAUAUCUUACCAGGGGCAUGUCGGUUAGAUGACUACUUCCCACAAUUUUAGUAUCAGUCUCAGUAAAAGAAUUCAGAUAGUUCUUCUGAUUUUAGAACUAUCAAAUACAGUCAAUUCAGUACAGUACGAAACACAACUAGUUCUAUCAGAACUUAGACCGUUAGAUACAGUCGCUCAGUAUUAGUUAUAUCAGUUAUACCAGUCUUAGUAUCUCAUGAUAUCAGUUAUCAGACUCAAUAAUUAUGUUAUCACAAAUUCAGUUACAGUCUCUUAUUCAUGCAUGUGUUCCCAUGUUCAUUUUAUAAAGUUAGUUAGUUUAUGUUCAUGCAUAUAAACCCUUACAUUCAUCCUACCUCACAUGCAUACCAAUACAUUCAAUCAUACUGACGUAUUCGCGCUAUGGUGUUUUAUUCUAUACCAUAGGUUCAGAAGCACGAGCUCCAGAGUAUCAGUAGCAUUCCAGUAUUCAACAGUCAGAGUUAGCAGUGAGUCCUCAUUCUUCGAGGACAUGAUUAUUAUUUUAUCAUUUCAGUAUUUAAUUACUUAGUUUAUUUCAGUAGUUGGAGUUAGUUGGGGAUAUAUCCCAUCAACUCCUUAUUCAGACAGUUAGAGGCUUUUCAGACUAUCAUAUUUCAGACAGUUUAUUUCAGUUGUUUUGGGUAUUUCAUACCCUACCCAGAUGUUAUGUUUUAUUAGAUUUGAACCUUAUGACCUUUCAGCCUUUAUUUUCGUAUUUAUUUAGUAUAGUAUGCAAGGUACAGGUACAGAUAUCAGUCAUGGGUUAGCUUGUGAUCCUUUGGGGUCAUGGGCACCAUGUAGCAUUCCGAGUAUCGGAUUUGGGGCGUUACACUUAUUUAGGGCUUAAAUAAAUUAUGUGAUGGACAAAGAGUUGGCAUUAAAAAUUUCAAGGGGUAGAUGAAAUACAGCAAAAAAUGUGCCUAUUCUAGAAGAUGAAGUCAAGUUUGAAAUUAGUUUUCAGAUUUGUGCCAAGCUUCAAAGUGGAGAAAUUGAUAUUUCAAUACCUCAAAAUAUUGAUGACUUGAUUUCUAGGAAAAGAAAGUGGUGCGAAGUAUCGGAUGAAAAUUAUGGUCCUAGUUUUACUCUAAUAACUCCAACGCCACCCGAUGUUUCUGAUCAUAUUUCUAUAAAACAUAAAUUUUGUACUACUGAAGAUGUGAAAAAUUCUUAAGAGGAUUUAAGUUUAUCUUUUGUUUUUUUUAUGACGUUUAAAGAUGGUUACUCAAGUUGUAAUUGACAGUGUUUACUUUCAACUAAUUUUCCACGAUCUUUGCUUAUCCUUUUGUAAAUUACUGCAUUAUUUUUUCUUAUUUUAUUUUUCUUAUUAGUUUAAUAUUUUCUUUUUUGACUUUUUGAUAUCAAAUUUCGAUCUUGAUCUUUUUUACUUGUGAGUUUAUUUUUUUUCAAGUUAAGUUUUAUAAAGAUCAUGAUAUAUUCUCUUUUUGAGUUAUCAACUUAUGUUAGAAUAUCUCAUAAGUUAGACAUAGUGAAAUGGUGUAAAUUAUUUCACAUACAUUAAUUUUUUAAAAAAAUCCUAAGAUACAUUUUGCCUCUAAGGAAAGAACUACGUAAUAUUCAAUUAGUUAGACUUAGUGAAAUAUUAUAAUUGUUUCCCUUGAAAUAUUCGUUAAAUUUUUAAAGCCUUUGACCUAUGUUUUGUCUAUAAGGCAACCGUUACUACAUGUUAUGUUUAUGGGUCUUAACUUUUACUUUAAACUCAUUGGCUAAGUCUUCUCUACAAGAUUCAUAGAGUAUCUCAUAAGUUAGACAUUGUAAAAUUAUGUAAAUUGAUGUCCAUGAGGCAUACGUCCCGGUAAUAGUUUUAUAAUAUUCAAUAAGUUAGAUUUUGUGAAAUAGCAUAAACCAUUGCCCAUUAAGUAUUUGUUAGUUUUUAUAAGUCUUGUGUUAUGUUUUUUAUGUAAGACAAAACUUACUACACAUUAUGCGUCUAAGCCGAGAAUUGUAUAAUAGCCAAUUAGUUAAACUUUGUAAAAUACACUAAAAUUUUAAAAGUCUUUCGACUAUGUUUUGCCUCUAUGACAAUAGUUACUACAAACCACAUAAGUUAAACAUUGUGAUAUUGGUGUAAACUUUUUUCCAUGAGGAAUUACUUGUUCUUUUGAAGUCUUCGGGCUAAUGUUUUGCUGAGUUAUAGAUCAUCUGCCAAAUUAGUACAUAUUAUGCUAGUGUCAAAUCUUGCCCAUGGGGCACAACUUGUUCUUUUGUGAUCUAAAAUUCUUGCCUCUUGGGCAAGCGUUAUAGAUCAUUUACUAAAUUAUUAAAUACUAAAGUAGUGUCAACUCUUGCUCAUGGACUUGUUUAUAGUCUUGCCUCUAGGUCAAGAGUUAUAGAUCAUAUGUCAAAUCAUUUCAGAUUAAGGUAAAGUCAACUCUUUCCCAUGGGGAACAACUUGUUCUUUUGUGAUUUAAAAGCCUUGCCCCUAGGGCAAGAGUUAUAAAUCAUCUUCCAAAUCAUUACAGACCAAGGCAAUGUCAAUUUUUGUCUAAUGGGCAUAACUUUUAUCUAGAUGGACUCUAUGUUGGACAUUGUAAAACUAGACAUCGUAAGUUACAUAUUAUAAAAUUAUGUCGAUACAAACUAAUAAUGUCUACUCUUACCCGCGUGACAUAACUUAUUUUGUUGUAUUUAAGUUUGUCUCUAAGGCAAGAGUUGCAGAACGUUAGCUAAUUUAAUAUAGAUUAAUAGGGUUAACGUUUGCCCAUGAGGCAAAAUUUGAGAUAUAUUAUUUUAUUAAAAAUUAAUUAUUUUUUUAAAUGACAUAAUUUAUUUGCACCAAGUUUAAGUUAAAAAUACAUUUUUCUACCAAGAAAAAAUUAAAAUUACAUUUACACUCUGCACAAAGUUCAAGGUAAGACAAAUUUCAUCUCAAAGACACACCAAAUUUCAUCUCAAAGCUCGAAUUGAUAUAGUACAUUUUGUACCAAAAAAAUAAAGUUAAAAAUAUAUUUUCCUACUGCACAAAGCUCAAGAUAGGACAAGUUUCAUCUCAAAGCUACAACAAAUUUUAUCUUAAUGCUUGGAGCUUCGGAUUUCUCUUCUUCUCUUUGGUGAAAUCGCAUUCUACGUUUAGGGUUUUUGAUUUUGUCCCUCAUCUCUCUGUAAUUUCUUCCUUAGCAUAGGUAAUUAUCGCUCACUUUUUCUUAAUCUCAUAGAAUGUAUUUAAACUAUUUAUUACAUAGCAAUUUUUUUGAGCUGAAAAUCACUCUUUUCUUUUCUUAAUCAUAUUCUAUAAUGCAUGGAUUAAUUUAAAAACUCUAUUUUUUUUGUCUAAAUCAGCUUGAUGAAAAUGAAUUUUUGUUGGUGAGAUUUGAGUUUUUGAUGGUUUCUGUACACACCGAGCUCAUUUUGGUUCAGUCAUUACGUCGCUUAGGUUUAUUUGUGAGAGUUGAAUUUCGGGUGUUUGUGUAGCCAUUGGGUUAAUUUUUUUGUCCGAUAAAUUUCAUUUUACAACUUGAUUCUUGUUUUAUUGUUAAUUUUUAAUUUGAAAGUUGUUUUUAUCUUUGUAACUCUGCAAAUUUUGUAAAGCAUGUCUAGCAAGAUAAAUUGUGUUGAGUACUUUAUUGAUCCUAAUGAUUGGUUUAAAUCAGACCCCCAUUGGAGAGGAGAUUCAAAUUAUCACAUAACUAUAACGAGCUUUUUGAAUGACAAUCAGUUGUCAUUGUUAGAAAAAGUUUUUUUUUGGUAAUUUCAUGCAAUUAGAUAAUCUAAAUCCAUCCGGUAUGCUUUUACAUUGCAUUCUUUUAUCGAAAGCAAUAUGUAACAAGAAGAAUUCGAUGAUAUUUUAUGUUCAGAAAAUUUACAUUGAGUUUACACUUGAUGUUUUUGGUCUUGUUACUGGGUUGUCAACUAAAAUUUCAAGUAAUAUAUUAGCAUCAGUUAAGGAAAAAGGAGGUGGUAGUCAUCUAUUGAACACUUACUUUGAUGGCGAAGAGAAAUUAAAAAUGGAGGACUUGAAAACUUUUAUUGAAACAAGAAAAAGUGAAGUCCAAAAUGAUUUAGACACUGUCAAGCUAGCUGAAAUCUAUAUUUUAGGAUGCGUGUUCUUGGGGGGAGUCUUGCCAAGGUCAUUUAUGCUAAUAUUAUUAUUAUAUUGGAGGAUGAAACUUUGUGUAGAGAGUUUGUAUGGGGUCAAUUAUCUUUCGAUGAAACUUUAAGUUCAUUGAAAAGCUCUUGAAACCAACGAAAACAACUAUCAGAGCAUCAUACCAUCUUGUUGGUUUUGCAUAUGCCUUUAUGGUAUGGACAUGAGAUAUUUUUUCCAAAUAUAGAGAAAAAAAUGUGCAAAUAGUCUCUGAAGAAAAAUAUCCUCUUAUAUUCCGUUAUGUGGCAUGUACUACUCCACAAUACACAACAAUGAUCAAGUUUAUUCACUCAAGCAAAUCAAAGUUUUCAGUAAGUAUCUACACUUAUUUUAUUUUUAUUUUAUUGAUUUAAUUAGUAUAUGUUUAUUGUAAUUCUUAGUUAUGUUAAUUUUUUUAGAUUAAUAGAAAGGUGUAGUUAAGGCAUUCUCACUGGAGCAUGAGCUGCCAAGUAAUAGUGAUAGUGAAGAAGGUUAGUGAAGAAAAUUGCUUACUUUUCAAUUGAUAUAUGUGACCUUAUACUGCUUGUGCUAUAUUAAUUAUUAGUCUUCUCAACAUCCGUUAAAUUGGUCAAGGAAAAUCUAUCAUACUUAUAUUCUAUUAUCUUACUGCAUCAAGGUGAAUGAGCAUUUUUGAAAUUGUCCUUUUGCACAUAUAAAAAAAGAUGCUCGUGGGAUCUUACACUAAUAAUAGCCAAGAUAAAGAUCCAUCUAACAUGCUCUAAUCAAUGACCUAGGUUCCUAGGAAGAAAUAUUUGGUAAUACAUGCGUCUAACUCCUAAUUAUUCUUCUUCAACUUUACCUUUUUUGACUAUCUACUUUAUUACGCAUGUUUUUUGUUCUCUUAUUGAUUCUUAUUCCUCAUAGAAUUAGAAGUGGCGAGCUGAAGAAGGAAACAAUGUAGGUCAUUCUGAUGAGAAAGAAGAAGCCGCAGAAGAAACAGUAAUUGGUUUGAGUCCUCAAAACAUGGAAGACAUGAGACAGGCAAAAAAUCAGGUAAUCCAGUCCUUAUAUUGUCAGUCCAUUAAGUAUUUGUAAAACACAAGGAUACUGAACCACAUUAUAAAGAUAUUCCUUUUCUUGUUUGAUUGGACCAUACGAAGCAUUUAGUUUUUUUGUUUAGUUUUACUUUGGUCCUUAUCUGAUCUCAUAGCUACUCUUUGCCAAUCUUGGAUUAGAAAUUGCAAAUUUUGCUACACAAAAUUUCUUGGAUAGACUAUCUUUAUAAAUAAUAUAGGGUUCCUUAUACUCUCUCAUGAACAAUACAACAUGUCUUUGAUUUUGAAAUUAAGUUUUAUGUUGGUAGUUCUACCCACAGAAGUUGCAAUCAGCUAUUCUACUUUGUUAUUAGUGACAAUAUUUUACUGAUCGUAGAAUCAUGAUAAAAUCUCAAAGAAAAACAAAAUUUAUGAAAAGAAGUGAGGUUAUAAUCCUUGUAUUAGUCCGGACUGCCCAUUUGCUUGAUCUCAGGAGAAAAAGCUCAAAGUUUCCAGAGAAAAUUCUUGUGGAGUGACAAGAGCAAUCUCUUACCUCCACACACAGAUAAAGGAGACGACAAAAAACACGAGUGAAAGUCAAGAUGAGUUCCAAAUUAGGAGCUUAGUUGUAGAUGAAAAAUAGCUAAAACCAAAAAAGGAAUUCCUUUCAGUGAUUUGGAUGCCUGGUUUAAAAAUUUGAAAUGUUACAGGGGUAAUUAUGAGAAAAUCAAUGACCUAGGUUCCUAGGAAGAAAGAUUUUGUAAUACAUGCAUCUAGCUCCCAAUUGUUCUUCUUCAACUUUACCUUUUUUGAUUGUCUGCUUUAUUACACAUGCUUUUUGUUCUCUCAUUGAUUCCUCUUCCUCAUAGGAAAAGAAUGAUGUACUACCUUAUCUUUUGGUAUAAGAGUUCUCAAAAUCUUCUCUCUAUUCUCAGCAGCAGGUAAACCGACCAUAAUUCUGCCCAAUAGAAAACCAAAUUUUGAAAACAUAUGUUAUGAUAAGUCUACCCAAUAGAAAAUCAUAAUUCUGCAACAUAAUCAUAAAUUAAAAAAGGUUGUGAUAUUUAUUAAUAUUCCCUUAAGGUCAAACUAUAAAUAGGAACCAUUGUACACAGUAAUAUAUCUCCAAAAAAAAUGCUUUUUAAUAAACCUUCAGAAGAUGAGGCAAGACUUCCUAACAAAGUCAUUUGGGUGAGCAACAUAUCUCCAACUACAAACGACUUCAUAUCACCAAGAAAAAAUUAUAAUUGUUCCACUAGUUUAUUUGUUUAAACUGACGCACAACUUGUUUAUGUUGUUUAAUAGAGCUUUGGUGGUAUUGAAGUUGAUGGGGACAUUAUUUAUGAAACUAAGAAUUGUGGUGAUGUUGAUUUAAUAAUCAAUAAUGUUAUUUCUAGUGUGUUUUUGAUCUCUUCUAGUGUGCCAACAUCUCCUAAUGUCAAAAGUACUCAAGCUGAGAGAUCUGUAAGUGUCUCGAAUUCCAAUUUACAUGCUUCUUUGCUUAAACUAAUUCACUAUAAUGUGUUUGUGAUUUUCAACAGGAGCUUGGUGUUAUUAGUGUUGAUACAGAAGACAUGAUUUCUGAUGUUGAUGGAACUAAGAAGUUUGUGAAUGUUAAUUUAACAAAUUGUAAUAUUGAGAUAUCUGUAAGAUCUAUAUUUUCAUUUCCUUUUAUUACCUUAUGGCUAUUUUUUCUAUCAAUUUUAGUUCUUUCUCUAUUUUCCAGCGUGAUGAACAGGAAAGUGCUUGUGUUUCUCCAUUAAAAAGUAAAGGGUCUCCACUAAAACUUAAAGUCUCUCCACUGAAAAAACAAACAUACAUUAGGAGGAAUAAGGACAACAAAUCAGCCAUAAGUGAUGUUACUUUCGAGUUGAAUUCCAGGCUAUCUUUCAUGGAAGCAUAAGUUAAGGACGCCACUCCUAAAAAAUCGGUUAGAAGAAAAUUUGUAGGACAGUUAGCCAAAUCUCCAUAUGUGGCAGAUUUUAAUUCGGGUGCAUCCCAAUCCAUUUUUUAUCAAAAGCAUCCUUUCAUAUGUGACAUUGAAGCAUUUGAUAACCUGUGAAGCUUUAACAUUGAUUUUUGGGCAUUCAUCGAGUGUGUAUUGAGUAAGUCAAAAUGGUAACACAUAUAUCUUUAAGCUUUUUAUUUUGUCAUUUUUGUAUUUAUGGUGACACAUAUAUUCUGACUGUAUUUAUUUUUCAUGUAUUUUAAGUGCUAAAUAUAUAUACAUUAAGGAAAAAGAUGUGUUGCCCGAAUGUUUAAUGUUUGGCUCUUAUGCUGUGGAUUCGAAGGAGUGGUUUUAUUCACUUACAACUUCUGGUCGACCUUUGAAUGACAGUAUUAUUUCUUGUUUUCCUAAUCUAUAUUUGUAAGUGUGCCUUCCUUGUUCUAUUCAACCUUAUUGUGCUUUAUAUCAUUUGUGAUUAUUCGUAAUGAGUGUGCUUUUGGUUUUUCCUUUGUUUUGUUCCUCCCUUUCUUCUAGUAGGUCAAACAUACUAACAAUAUUUCUUGUUUAGCUGUUUGUAAUGGUUACAUUUAUUCUGGCUCAUGGGAUAAGAGUUUGAAAGUGUGGAGAACUUCUGAUUUAAAGUGUUUACAAUCAAUUAAGACUCAUUAUAAUUCUAUAAAUGGAUUCAUGUGAGUCUUGUUUUUUGGUAAUUAAAGAUUUUAUUAACUAUCAGGGUAAACAUUACCAAGCAGGGUGUGCUUUUUGUCAUGCUAUUCAACUACUGUGCUAAUGUAGAAAAAACCUUACCUAUUUCACGCUUGCCAUUGUCAGGGCUAUCAUUUCCAUGUACCACAUUAUUGAUAUUGAUGAAAUUGCAUUUUGUCCAACUUUACAAUUCAAAUCUUUAUGUUAGUUAACCGAAACCAAGAAUAUUUUGUUGGUUCCUAACAUUCAUUGCAGUAAUCCUUUACCUACUUUAAAACCUUCAUUUGUAUACAAAUGUCGAGCAACAAAAUCAUUCUCAUAAGCCCUUAUGACAAGAUAAUCAUAACCCUAAACUCUUGCAAGAACGUCACAAGCCUUAAGCAAAUUUGUCGUAACUUUUUGCCUCCUGCAAUUUUUGUGUGUGUGUUAGCACAAAUGGAAAACAUAGAUCAUCUGUAGAUAUGUGUUAGCUAAACUAUAUGAUACUUCAAAGGACCAAAUAUUCAAAUUUUCUCUAUUUAUAUAGAGGUUUACUAGCUGGCAUUUGUUGCAUUUUUGUGGUCGUCAGAUCAUUUAUCGUCGCAUUUUUUGUGUCUCAAAACAGCUCAACAUUUCUUAGAUCAAAUUAUUGAUAUCAUACUGCACUAUGUCGCAUUUUUGUGUCUCAAAACAGCUCAACAUUUCUUAGAUAAAAUUAUUGAUAUCAUACUGCACUAUGUCAUUAUUUAACACUACUCCUUUAGGAAGUACAUUUAAGUCGAGUGAGUCCUGCUCUAGAUAAUGAUUUAUACUAGUGUAAUUUCUUACUUCACCGAUCUGAUGGAUGAUUUUAUGAUACCACUAUUUCUAAGUAUAGUGCUUCUAAAUUCUUUUUAGUAUAACUGGCAUGCUAUGUUGUUCAUAACACGCCUGAGUGAUUCACCAACUAUAUUCCACUGUUCUAAGUUGAAGACCUAAAAUAUUACACCAAUUUCUAAUUUCUAUAAACCUUACGAUAUUAAUUAAGUAAAGGAGCAUAACAAUUCUUCUUUCAAGCUCAAAAUAUCACAAUUAUCUGUCGGUAUUAAGAUAAAGGCACCCAACCCUGAUUUUUGUCACCCAAAAUACAUGUCUGUAGGACUUCGUUAUGACUCAAUGUCAACCUCACUAGAACUGAAGAUAUGAGCUUAUAUACAAAAUACACCCCCGUCUUACUUGAAUAAACUCCAUAUGUAUAGUACAUACCUUCUCUUGAGUUUUGUGCCCCACUAAAAUAUCGACCAUUCUAUGGUCUACAGCUAUAUACAACAAUUGAGCCCUUCUUCAUGAUAUUUUGUGGGUAACCAGAAGCAUCACAGUGGUAUGUAUAGUCAUAGUGGUAUGUAUAAUCACCAGGAGCUGGAUCCUUUUCAUUAUUCCAUGACGAUAAGUACACUUCUCUACCAGUUACAAAGUUCUUACCAAUCCUCAUGUCUGCUAAUAGUGUAUCAUGUAAUUACAAUGUACUUAGAUUUUUUUAAAUUUCUACUACUUUCCUUGUAAUUUGCAUUAAUUGGAAAUGAUAAAUUUUUUGAAUCUUGAGAAUGAUGCUUGUGGUAGUUUUAACUAUUGCACAAUGUGCAGUUAGCUCGAGAUCGAAGUUGUGUAGGUUUAAGUGUUCUAAUUAUUUGAGGGGUUUGAUCAUCUUACUUUGGUUACUUCUUUAUGUAAUGAAUGUGUUGUAAUGCUCUUAUUCAGUGUUCUUUUUAUUUUAUCUCAAUAUUUGGAUACAAUAAUCUAAUAUAUGAGGAAGAAGGCAAAAUAUGAACCUAAUAUUGUUGUAAAGUUCACUAUAACUGAUUUUGUAUUUAGAAACAAAAUUGAUGCUGUUUAUCAAGAUUUUUUGAAAAAUGGUAAAUUUUUUCUGUCAUCCUCGAGAAACAUGAGGCCGAGGAGUAUAUCAGAGGCUUCUAUUGUGAUGCAAACGUACCGUGGAACAAGGUUGACUGUGUGCUAUUUUAAAUUUAUGUUCCACGAAAAAAAUCUGAACUUGGACAUUAGAUUUUUUGUGCUUUUGACUUUAUUGAUUGGUGCAUAGAUGUAACACCCCAAAAAUUUGUCCCGAGAUGUCACACGAUGCUUAGGACCAUAAGUAAUCCCAAGCUAACCCUUAUACUGGCAUAACUCAUGAGCAACUAUUUGAAGUACAUAAAUCUGAAGAAAAUGUGGAAAAAUAAAUCUUAUUUGAACUUGGUCAAUACAAAUCUACUUUAAGAUUAAUACAACUCUGCUUAUACAAAACAAAACUAAAAUUAAAUACAUCAACUGUACUGACUGUCUAUGAAGCCUCUACUAUACUGACUAUAGAUAGCUAGGACGCGAUCUCAACUAUCACUAAUCAAUAUAUAUGAGUAAGAAAGUAAAUAAUUAUAAAUAAAUCUAAGUAAAGUCCCCAAAGUAGGAGGACUCAUCAUCUUGCUGGCUGGAAUCUGCAACAGUCUGAAUCUGAAUGUGCAUACUAAAACUUGUACCUACAUUAUAAGAUAAUGUAGCACAUAGACAUAUAUGUGGAUCAGUACUUUGAGGAUGUACUGAGUAUAUGAGGGUGAAUGCAUAAGUAAAAACAUAUCUUAUAAUCAUUAUUUAUAAAACAAUGCAUACUAAAUGUAUGUGACUCACAUAAGCUGAAAUAUCUGAAAUACUGAAAUAUGUAGCAAUAAGAAUCAAAACUUGCAUUAUAAAUCUAGUGAGCCACAACAUUUAGUUCUAAAAUCUAUGCAUGUAUUUUCUCUUUAAAUCAUGCUGUCUAAUUGUAGAAAGGACUCACUCUUAAAUUUGAAAUUUGAAAGCUGAAAUCUGUAACUAUGAUCUUUCUGUAAAGCAUAAUCUGAAAUAAAGUUAUGAGCCCUUACACUUAGUUUCUAAAAGCUUUUCUGUAGAUAUUUGCUAUUAGGCUUUAAGCUUCAAACCUUAGGGAAAAUACUUUAUCUUUUAUUCAAAAGCUUUAGGGAAAACUCUUUAAAACUAUUCUGUAAGGGAAAUACUUUUAAAAAUGUUUUGAAAAGCUUACUAUUAGGAAAAAAAAUACAUUAUCUAAAUGGAGGUUCUCUUAACCGACAUAAACUAUGUGAGCUACAUAGAGUCCAACGUCUUGGCCUCCUAAGGAAGACAAACCUCACAUUAAGGAGAGGUGUUAUACUCUUGGGAGUAUAACCUCAUCUUAAGUGAUCACUAUCUCUAUCUCUGUGGGCACUUUAAUCUCAAUCCUAUGGUGGCAUGUAGUUCUGUAUUAUGAGACCUUGGAAUCAUACCCAACUCGGUGCUAAAUACUACUCCCUUAAAUUUGCUAUGCUUGUCUCAUUGGAAAUCAACUUUAAAUAAUCUCAUGGUUUAUAAUGAAAACAAACUGUAUAUCUGUAAUUUGAAAUUAACUAUGAAAAGUGGAUUCCAAAACUCAACUAAGGAUCCGAAGAUCUUAUACUGCUUAUACAACUGAUAACAUGCAAAUCUCAAGGUGCUUAAAAGAACAAGUUCUUGAAAUAUCAAUACUCAAUCUUAGGGCUUAAAGCCCAUGCUUCAAACUCAUGUCUAAACAUCAUAUUGUUCAUGCUUGAUAAUGUAACAUUUAGAAAUUGAACUUCAAAUCUGGAAAUUUCAGCAAUAUGCAUGAAAAUAUGAACAUAAUCAUGAAAUUUAUCUUCAAAAUCUCUCAAAAACUCAUAAUCUUGUAAAUAGUAAUAAUGGGUAUGAAUCCCAAUUUAGAACUCAUGUAUAAACAUUCAAAAUCAUAGAAAGACAUCAUGCUUGUAAUGCCCCAAAAUCCCAUCCCGAGGCACCACACGGUGCUUAAGGCUACAAGUAGCCCCAAGCUGACCCUUUGAGCUUGUUACUGUCUUAAUCUCUCACUUUGGGAUAUCAAGUCAAAUGAUAAUACUGUAAUAUCAAAUCAAAAACUGAAUUAAUCCAAAAAACAUAAUCUGAAAUAUCAAACACUGGAAGUCUAAACACAACUGCUAGUCUAGUCUGACAAAGCUUCUACUACUCAAUCUGGAGAGCCAUUGGGAUAGACCCCACCUGAUCUGAAAGUAAUAACAACUAUAAAUCUGUGAAUAUGGUCCUCGAACCAUGAGGACUCACCAACUGUAUAAUGUGGACAAGACACUCGAGAAUCGAGAUCACUGCUAACACUGAGCACGUGAACCUACAUUAUAAGACAAUGUAACAUACAGACGUAUAUGUGGAUCAGUACUUUGGGAAUGUAUUUGAGUAUAUAGGGAUGUAUACAUUUACAUAAAAUGAUAUCAGCAUUCUUAAUAAAAUAAUACAUGCAGGUAUGAAUGAUUAACAUAGCUUGAAUACAACUGAAAUCCGAACAUAUCAUUCAUGAAGAUUAAAACAAGUAAUAAAAAUAUCGUUAGUCAUUAUACUUAUCUUAAAAAGAUAUGUUCUCCUCUUUAUCCUCAAAACUCAGAAACUCAAAAGAAUUUUUUAAACCAUACUUUCAAAACUCAUGCUUUUAUCUUAAGGAAAGUAAAAAUUCUUCAAAACUUAAGAACUUAGAAAAAAAUUCUUCAAAACUUAAGAACUUAGAACUUUAGAAACUUUAAGACUUGAGAACUCUGGGACUCUUAGGAUUAGGACUCUUUGGGACUCAGGAGUUUCUUCUAACCGACAUAAACCAUGUGAGCUACAUGGAGUCCAACGUCUUGCCAACGUUGGGGAGAGUUGUUCUAUCCUUGCCAUCGUAGUAGAACCUCAUCUUUAGUGAUCACUGUCUCAACCUCGGGACUAUAAAUCUUAGUACUACGGUGGCACGUAGUUCUAGGGUAUGAGUCCUUAGAAUCAUACCCAACUUGGUGCUAAAUACUACUCCCAUACUCAACUCAGAACUUUUAGGAAAUCCACCUCAAAAUAACUCAAGGGUCUAUAAUGAAGACUAAAACAUACUUCUCUUGAUUUAAAUCAUAAUUAAUGUGGAUUCCUCUCUUAACUCAAGCUCUAAACAAUCUUCUUAAAAAGCUUUCAAUCAUCUCAAUCAAGAUAAUGGAAAAUAACUCCUAAUAUGAAUCUCAUAAUUUUAACAUCUCAAAAUUUAUGUUUGAUAAGAGACAUUCAUAAUCAACUUAAAAUCUAGAAAUUUCAUCUAUAUAUACGAAAAUAUAAACAUGCUCAUGUGAUUCAACUUCUAAAACCAUGAAAAUCUCAUAAUCUCAUGAAUAGCAACAUAGGGUAUAAACCCACUUCAAAUUUUCAUAAGAAAACAUGUGAAAUCAUGCUACUUGAAUUUUAAUUUAUGGGAAACAUCAAAGUCUUGCAACUAAUGAUAAUGUGUGAAAAACCCUAACUCAACUUUAUAUAAAAUCUCAUAAAGUUCAGUAAAAUCUGUAUUUAAAAUAAAGCUUUAGGCACAAGGAUGCAAUGAUUAUCCUUGUUCAAACCCCACAUACCUUAGAUUUCUAAAUUAGAUGAACUAGCUUUCUUGAGACUCUUCUUCUUACUCUUGAGAGAGGGUUCUUGAAGCCUUUGACUUAGGGACCUUAAAUCUCAACUCAAUUUGUAGAGUCUAUGGUGAGUUCUUGAAUUUCUUGGAGAAGGAUUGGGAUUUUCUCUAAAGGGUUAUUCUUUGAUAGAAAACCCUAGUUUAGAUACUUUGGGUGAAUAAUAAAAUCAACUGCUUUGUUUUGGAUAUAUCUGAGUGAUAUAAGGGUGGGAAAAUACCAAAAAACCCUUUUAAAAAUGAAUUAAAAUCACUGAACGGGAUAUGCAAAGGUGGGGGUGCGACGGUCCAUAGAGGACCCAACGGUCCGUCGGUCCUGAACGUCGCACCUGGGCAAGAACUUGGUUCACUGUCUCAAAGGUGACGGCGUGGGCGACGGUCCAUCGUUAGCUCAACGAUCCAUCGGCCUGUCCGUCCUACUUAACAAGAAUAUGGUCUUUUUGCCUCACCUACGAUAGUCUGGGUGACGAUCCAUCUCUAUCUCGAUGGUCCGUUGGCCCUUUUUGUCGCACCUGGGCGGUUCAAACUGCCUUUUAUAAUUCGACCAUAACUUUCUAUUUUGACAUCAAAUUCUGACGAAUUUGAUAUCGAUGAAAAGCUUACACAAUUUCCCAUAAAACAAAAAGUUGAUAUUAGGGAAAUUCUAUAUGGUUUAAACACUACUCACUUUGGAAGUCAUUCCUUAACACUAUAGAGGUGAAAUCGAGCUUUCAGAAAGUUUGGGAUAUUACAAUGCUUCUUAAAAAUACUUUAGAAAUAUCAAUAUAAUAAUAUCAAGAAUUACAAUUAUCAUGCUUAAACUCAAUUGAAAAUCUGAAAUCAAUAUCUCAUAACAUACUCAUGGUAUUCAAAAUCAUAAAGAAGCAUUCUUUUACUUAAAACAAACAUGGAAUUUCGUAAUUAAAUCAUAUCAUGCUCAAAAUCAUCAAUAAGAUACUUUUGGGUACAAACCCAAUCUUAAAAUAUAAGAAAUUUGCUUAAAAAUAUAAUUUUGGGUACAAGGACGAAAGGAUUGUCCUUGUUCAUAACCCCACAUCCCUUAAUAGACUUGGUUGGAUGUAGAUAAUUUGGCUUUGAAACCCUAGGAGAUGAUAUUUAAUGCUUUCUUGAGAUUCUUGAAUGUGAUGCUUAACUCUUGGCUUCUUUCUUGAAGAGGAUGACUUGAAAUUUUAUGUUUCUUGGAUUGGAAACUUUGAAUUUGGAGCUUAACUUCUUGAUUCUUGAGAGAUGACACUUGUAUUUUUGUUCUUGGGAAUAUAGGAGGGAUUUUUAUUUGUUUAAUGACUUCUUAGGGUUAAAAGAGAGGAGUUUAUGUGAUUAAUAUCUCAUAAAAAUAUUUAGAAGUGAUUAGGGACGGUUUAGGGGUGUGAAAUGACUUCAACACCCCUGAUCUAGGUCAAAAUGGAGUUUUUUAGCACUUGACAAUGAAUUAGGCGACACCUAUCCAAUCGCCUAACUUAAGGUGGGGGAUGCCUUUUCAAUUGCCUAAGUUUGGUUGGGCGGUGCCUAACCAAUCUCAUACCCUUAUUGCCUCUCACGAAAAUGGGCAUAACUUUUCGCUCAGGUAUUGGAUUAAGGCAAAAUUGGUAUCGUUGGAAAUCUAUUACAAUUAUCUACAAUUUGGUGGGUCUUGAGAUGAAAAAUUCCAUGUAUAUAUAUAGUUAUACAUGUUUAAAUAAGACCCUUGUAGAAUCAAAUAUCAAACUUUGGAUGAAUUAAAGGAUCUUAGCUUAACUUGGCUCUAAAUGAUUUCUAUGAACAUUUUUCACCUCAAAAGCAAAUCAAACAUGAGGAUAAAUAUCAUGAAACUUUAUAUUCACAUGAGAAUCACUUGGAUUAUAACUUGUAUACGUAGGAGCGACGGUUCAUAGACUAGCUCAAAAAUGUGGGGUGUUACAAUAUAUGUACACGACUCCAACCAUACCAAGCGCAGUGAUAAAGUUAUUCAAAAAGUGAGAUUACCUCACCAAACACUGAUACCAUAUUUUCUACAAAAGGUCAAUUUCUAUCUUGAGAAGGGCAUUGACAAAUCUGAAAAUGACACUUCGCCAAAACAAAUGGUUGAUGAGCUGCCACAACAAACUCAAUGGUAUCUUAUUGCAUUCAUUUUUUAAAUGUUCAUUUAACUUAUUUUUUUUGUUGUUUUCCAUAUAUUCACAUAAUAGUUUCUUUUGUAUAAUAGUGAUUAUAGAGCAUUUAUUUGUGCCUUUACUGAAUAUUUCAUUCAUGGUAGAAAUAUUCCAAAAGAAGAUUUACAUUGGUUGUGUUCGCAUGAUGUAUGGAGAUUUGUUGUGGGAUUAUAGAAAGAGAAAACUAAAAGUUGGUAUAAAAGACAACACUACAAAAAUGUUGGCAGAUUAUUUGUAAAGGAAAAGAGGAAGAGGACGCACAAGGAGGAGGAGUUUAGUUUAGUUUUUAUUGAAAAUCACUGCACAUCAAGGAUUUUUAGCUAUUUUUAUGCGAUUAUGUAAAGUUUAAAUAAUUUUUUUUAAAAUUGAAUCAACUAUUUUUGAUGUAAUAACGUAAAGUAUACAAUGUAUAAUCACUGCCGAUUCAUUUGUUGGUAUCCUUAUAUAUUUAUGUUUUAUUAAUCGAAGAAUAUUUUUGCUUCUCUUUGUGGCAUGUUUUUCUCCUGAGGCAAGAGUUAUUGAGUAUCUUCUAAAUUAGUAAACAAUGUGGCAGAACCAAUUCAUGCCCGUGAGGUAUAACUUAUGUAGGAAAAAUAAUUUAUUUUAAAAUAAUUUAUUGUGUAUUUGAAAAAAGAAAAAGGAAAAAGAGUCAUAUUAUUUACUUGGAGAGAAAGAAAAGAAAGAAGAAAAGGAAAAAAGAAAAAAGGUCCACCGACUCUGCCUCCACCACCCCAACAAAGUGCUAUAAAUAACAUGUCUUUUCUUUUGCAAAAAAAAAAACACCAUAUACUUCCAACUAUCCAAUUUCUUUUUCCUUAGUUCCACUCUAAUUAUCAUCUUAUUGUUGUUUUUUGCUUUAAUAUUUUAACUUGUUGGUAUUUGUAUUAAUAAUUUUGUCGAUUUAUGUACCCUUUGGUUAAUUACAGAAGACUUAUUUAACUAAAAAUAUCCUCUAAUUGAUUAGGAAAGUGCUUGUUUAAUAUCGGAGAAACAUUUCACACUGCUGAAAUAGUUUCUUAGGACAAUGCCUAGGACGACUCUAAGUAUAAUUAAUCUAUUAACUUGUUAAAAAGUAGGUUAGAAUUCUGUUAUAAUUGCCAUAUUGAUUAUAGUGUUAUCACUGAGGUAGUAGUAAUAUUAUACGCUGUUUAUGUUAUUGUAUUGCUGAUACAAUUAAUAUAAUAUUUUGUGAACAUUUAAUAAUGUUGUUAUUAUUUUUUUUCCAUCAAUCCUUAACUCCUUAACUUGCCUAUCCAGAGUACCAUGCACUAGACAAAUAUGCUUCUUUCACUUAAAACUCAAGGGCACUACUAACUGCACACAAUACUUAAUAAACUUAGAAAAUAAUGCAACCUCAUAUCACCUUGGGCACACCUCUACCUCAUAUCUACAACAUCAUUCUUAAUCUCAAAUCAAUAAACUUAAAUUCUUGCAUUUACUAUUUCAAGCCUAUUGGUUCACCUCCAUAUAACUAGCAUUACUAACCAAGAAAUCGUUAUCCCCACCUUGCUCAUCAUCUACUAUUCAAACUUAGUAUCUCGUUCUAGCUAUGAUUAACCACAAUCUUAACAACUAUUCUUACAUGCCAAACAUCUAAAAAUACUAGUCCGCUAAAACCUCAUAACAAUAAUGAUUAAUCACAAUCCUAUGUUCUAUCUUAUUAUGAUUUGCUAGCACCUCCUUCUUCUACACCGUAUUACUAUUUACCCUUCUUAUGCAUCUAAACCCCUUCAUAUCUUUAGAAGUUUCAACUAAACUUCCUCUUGCAAUCUCAGGAAAGCCUAAAUUAACAACAGUCAUCCACCAAGUACUUUCAUCAAAACCUAUACUUUUCUAGCACAACAAAUACCAUCAAUAACUCUUUUCUUAUCUCAAGCAAACAACAAUCCACCUUAACUAAUAAUCUCCUUCUCUAACUUUCAUUAAACUAACAAACAAGGAUAUAUUACUUCAUUACUAACUCAAUCGUAAGCGAAAAUUCAGCUAUACAUAUAUUCAACAAAUCUCCCUUACCACCUUUCUUGUCACUACACCUCUAGACCCCUAGUUCCAACCAACAUAAGAAAAACAAGAUGAACAACAAAUUGCUAGUGAAUCUAAAUAGGCCUCAUACGGCUUCACUAGACUUUGAUUUCUUUUGUUUUGAAUAAGAAAAUGAGAUGAAUAACAAAGCAACUAUGCUAGUGAAUCGAAAUAGGCCUCACACGGCUUCACUAGACUUUGAUUUUCAAAAACACCAUGAUAACAAGAUUACUUAAUACAAGGGAUAGAAACUUGACACAUGAUAUUCAAUGAUCUAAGAAUACACAUCUUACUUUAUUUUAACUGAACAACUCAUACGAAUGAGGACAUAACUUUAAAUUUGAGGGACUUAUAACACACUAGAAAGCUCCUCUCAAACUGCUUUGUGAAACUUUUGAAACUUUUUGCUAGUAAGUCUGAGAGUAUUAUCAGGGGAAGAGAUUAGAACUUGCCAAUCAUGUUACCUCAAGAAUAGUACAUAGAUAGAGAAGUAUAGAUUAUCAUUAUGGAUUCUAUGAAGGAAUCUGAAAGCACAUCUGACUUGGGCUUAGUGCACAAUUUUUACAAACAUAAUAAAGAACUUCAAUAAUCAGAACUCAAAAGCAGUAAUGGGAUACUUUCUAGCCUUCUUAUAAUCCAAAUACUAUCUGUGGAGAAUUAAGAUUGACUGUUUCUGAUACCUUGAAAAUAAGGCAGAGAUGGCCUGAAUAGAGUAAGAUGAGAAUUUGUAUAAGUUUCAUGGAGAACCUUUCUAUAGCACGAUCUGAGACUUAAAAGAAUGGAGAUAUUUUCUAAAUACCUUGUAGCCUCUCGAAGAAAUAUACAAAUGUCUCUGUACCGUUCCACAAACCUCUACUAGACACGGAUUCACAGACACCCUAGGACUCUUGAAACCUGGAUCUGAUACCAAGUUUGUAACGCCUCAAAAUCGGGUCCCAAGAUGUCACACGGUGCCUAGGGUCACAAGUGACCCCAAGCUAACCCUUCUACUGGCAUAACUCAUAAGCAACUGAAUAAAAUGCUUAAAUCUAUAUAAAAUUAACAAAAACAUAAAACUUUUCUAAACUUGAUCAAUGCAAAUCUGAACUUUACAAGAUUACAAUUCUGCUUUUACAAAACAAAAGUAAAACUGAAUACAUUAACUCUACUGACUGUCUAUGAAGCCUCUACUAGUACUGACUAUAGGUAGCUGGGUCAUGACUCCUAACUAUCCCAACUCAAUACGACUGAAUAAAAAAAAUACAAUACUUCUCAAUAUGUAUAACUAACUCAAGCCCAUGAAUCAUAAGGACUUAUCACUUGCUGACUGGAAGCUGCGAACUGACUGAAUAUGGUAUAUACGCUACAACUUGUACCUACAUUAUGAGGAACUAUAGCACACAGACGAGUAUGUGAAUCAAUACUUUGGGAAUGUACUGAGUAUAUGGGGGUGUAUGAAAUUAAAUAAUCAAUAUCAUAAAUUCUUAUAGAAAAUAUGCAUGCUAGUAUAGAUGACUCACAUAGCUUGAAUUAAAACCAUCAUAAUCAUGAACAACAAAAUAGGUAAUGUAAAUCAAGUGAGUCAUUGCACUUUAUACAAAAUCUGCAUUCUUUUUUAUUCUCAAACUUGUAAGAUAGAUAAAGUCUUAAAACAACAUCUUUCAGAAUAUACACUUUAAUCUCAUGAAAACUAGGAACUUCUUUGGAAACUUAAAGAUUUUGACACUUGAGAACCUUAGAAAUCUUUGACUCAUAGCUUUUGAAAUACGUAUACUUUUAACUCAGAUAGACUGGGGGACUACUUUGGGAGUUUCUUCUAACCGACAUAAAUCAUGUGAGCUACAUGGAGUCCAAUGUCUUACCCAUAUUGGGGUGAGCUGUUCUAUCCUUUCCAUCGGAUAGAACCUUAAAGUUAGUUAUCACUAUCUUAACCCACUUGGGGUAAAUUAGAAACCUACUAGGGCACGUAGUUAUGGGGCAUGAGACCUCAGAAUUAAGCCUAACUCGGUGCUAAAUACUACUCCCUUACUUAGCUCAGAACUUAAGAAAAUCCACCUUAAAACAUUUCAACAAUAUGUGAUGGGAGCCAAAAUGCAUCUCCUUUAUCUCAAAAUCAAGGACGUGGAUUUCUUUCUUAACUUAGGAUCAAAACUCACUUCUUUAUUGAAAUCUUGAUAGACUUAUCAUGAAUAAUCUUUAAAGUCUCAAUAACAUGGAAAUAUAUGUACUCUUCUUGAAUCACUUUUAAAAAUAUCAAUAAGUCAUUAUCAAAGACUCACAAUUUCAUAAUAAGACUCAAUUCAUGACAACAAAUCUUGUAAAUUCUUGAAAACAGGAUAUCAAUAUAGGCAUGUGCAAUUUAUACCAUGAAUUCUCAAUUUAGAUCAUAAUUAAACAAGAUAAUCAUGCAAUUCAAGACUUGAAAAAUUCCAUAAUCUCAUAAACUUGAAAUAUAGCAAAAUAAUAUGAAUUCAUCUUGGAAAUACAAAAUUAUUUAAGAAAAACUAAAACUUUUGGGCACAAGAACGAAAGGGUGUUCUUGUUCAAACCCCACAUACCUUGAAAUCGAAGCUUUGGAUGAACUCUUAACUUUGGAUUGUUAUUCUUGAGAUUAAUGGGUGCUUCUCAUAGCCCUCGGAAUGGAGAAUCAGAAUCGUAAAAAAUUAUCAAAAACCUAUGAUUGAAUUUUGAGAUAUUGAAUUUUUAGGUCCCUAAUGAAUGUUCUUGGUGAUUUUGAGAGAAUAUAAACUUCUUUUAGUGUUUUGGGAGUUUAAUCCCAUGUUAUAGCGGAAUAGGGGUUGGAAAAUACCACUUUUGCCCUUAAAAAUGUGGAAAUAGAACCUGAAAAUUAUUAGCGUGUGACAGAGCGUGCGCCGCAUGCUUAUCGCAUGGUGCUACUGCCUCAGCCACUAAAAUGGCCAUAACUUUUUGCUCGGGUAUUGGAUUUUUGUGAAAUUGGUAUCAUUGGAAAUAUAAUUCAAUUAUAUACAAUUUGAUAGGUAUUGGGAUGAAAAAUUCCAUGUAUAUAAAGAGUUAUACAUGUUUGAAGUAGACCCUUAUAGAAUCGAAUGUCAAAUUUAGACGAAUCAAUUGAUCUUAGCUCAGCUUUGUUAUAGGUCAUUGCUAUGAAAAUUUUUCACCUCUAAACUACUCCAUAGACUAGGAUAAUGAUCAUGAAACUUAUAUUCACAUGAUAAUGACUUGGAUUAGAUCUUAUACGUGUAGAACGAUGGUAUUGUACGCGUAGAAUAUGCGUAGAACGAUCUUAUACUGCACAAAAAUAUAGGGUAUUACAGUUAUGGUAUUGCAGGUACUGUAGAAUACAGGUAUGAAAAUAAGGUUGGUUACAUGAAUAAUUCUAAUAAUAAAAUCUUCAUACAAAAUGCAUCUCAAAUCAAGAGAAUGUGUGAAAGAAACGACAAUCUUGCUAAGUCAAAAAUAAAUUCGACUAAAUGGAUGAUAUAAUUAUUGCGGUCAUUUUAGAAAUGAAUAUUAAGAUCAGUGUGAGAAAUUGGGUGGUAUAUUCUGGUGCUACUAGGCAUAUUUGUAUAAAUAAAUAAUUUUAUAUCAUAUACCCAAGUUAAGAAAGAAGAAUAAAUUAUUUAUAUCGGGACCUCGAGAACUAUUCAAGUUCUUGGAAAAGGCAAAGUUCUUAUUAAACUCACAUCUGGUAAAACUUUGGCAUUGAGUAAUAUAUUGUAUGUUCCUAAUAUGAUAAUUAAUUUGAUUUCUGUUGCAUUAUUAGGAAAAGCUGGAAUAAAGGUUAUAUUUGAAAUUAACGAGGUCAUAUUAACCAAAAAUGUUAUUCUUAUUGGAAAUGGACGUUGUAAUAUGGACUUUAUGUACUUGAUAUUAUCAAUGAUAAUGCAUCAUUUUUUUCUAAUAUGAUUGAGUCUAUAUCUUUAUGGAAUACAAGAUUAGGACAUGUUAAUAUGAAAUAUAUAAAGAAUGUGCAAUCACUUAGUUUAAUAUCUGGUUUAGAUUUAAGUAAUUUCAAUAAAUGUGAAAUAUGUGCUGAAGCUAAAAUUACUAAAAGGUCAUGUUUUUCAGUUAAUAGAGAAAUAGAAUUGUUAUCCUUGAUUCACACUGAUUUAGGUGAUUUAAAACAAACUAUGACUUGAGGUGGUGAAAGAUAUUAUGUGACCUUUAUUGAUGAUUUCUCUAGAUUUACUAAGUUGUAUUUGAUUAGAAAUAAAGAUGAUGCAUUUGAUGCUUUUGUGUCUUAUAAAUCUGAAGUUGAAAAUCAGCUUAGUAGAAAAAUCAAGAGAAUUAGAUCUGAUAGAGAUGGAGAAUACGUAUCAUUAAAUGCCUUUUGUGAAAAAUAAGGUAUUAUUCAUCAAGUAACUCUGCCUUAUUCCCCUGAGUCUAAUGGUGAACUUGAAAGGAAAAAUAAGGCAUCGAAAGAAAUGACGAAUUAUAUGUUAAUUAGCUCUAAUUCUCCUGAUAAUUUGUGGGGUGAAGCUAUUUUAUCUGCAUGUCAUUUAUAAAAUAGAAUUCCUCAUAAAAGAACUGGAAAAACCCCUUACGAAUUAUGGAAAUGUUAUAAACCUAAUUUGAAAUAUUUAAAAGUGUGGGGUUUCCUUGCUAAAGUUUUUCUUCCUGAACCUAAAAAGAGAAAAAUAGGUUCCAAAACUGUUGAUUGCAUGUUUAUUGGAUAUGCUGAACAUAGUUUUGCAUAUACAUUUCCUGUUUUGAAAAGUGAUGUGUUGGAUAGCAAUACUAUAAUUGAGACAAAGAAUGCUGAAUUCUUUGAAAGUGAAAACGAUUCUACCUCUAAUAUUGAGGAACUGAGAAGGAGUACAAGGCCUAGAAAAGAAUAUUUUCCAUAUGAAAAUGAUUUUCAAACUUUUCUUAUUAAUAAUGAACCAUCAAAUUAUUUUGAAGCUUUAUCUUUUUCUGAUGCUAAAUUUUGAAAAGAGGAAAUAAAAAUUGAACUUGAUUCAAUUAUGAAAAAUAAUACAUGGAUUUUAAUUGAUUUACCUCCUGGUGCAAAAUCGAUUGGUUGUAAAUGGAUUUUCAAAAAGAAACUUAAUUCGGAUGGAUCUUUAAAUAAAUAUAAAGCUUGGUUAGUAGAUAAAGGAUUUUCUCAAAAGAAAAAUAUUUAUUACUUUGAUACAUUUAUACCAGUAGCAAGAAUUGCUUCUAUUCGAAUAUUAAUUGCUUUAGCAUCAAUUCAUAAGUUGUUUAUCCAUCAAAUGAAUGUAAAAACAGCUUUCUUAAAUGGCGAUUUAGAAGAAGAAAUUUAUAUGGUUCAACCUGAAGGAUGUGUAAUUUUUGGACAAGAAAAUAAAGUUUUAAAAUUGAUUAAAUCUCUUUAUGGCCUUAAAGAAGCUCUUAAAUAAUGGCAUGAGAAAUUUGAUCAAGUCUUAAUAAAAGACAACUUUUCUUCUAUUGAAGUGGGUAAAUGUGUUUAUACAUUUAUCUUUGGAUAAAUGUGAUCAAGUCUUAUAUUUGGUACAUGUUUAAAUAUUGUGGAACGUACCAAAUUAUUUUUGUCUACUAACUUUGAUAUGAAAGAUCUAGGUGAAGUGAAUAUAAUCCUGGGAAUUAAAGUUAUAAGAAGUGAAGAUGGUAUAAUGUUGUCACAAGAACAUUAUGUGGAAAGGCAUUUUAACAAGUUUGAAUGUUGGAUGGUAACUCCUGUAGUCACUCCUUAUGAUGCUAAUUCUAAAUUAAAAAAGAAUUAUGGUAACCCAGUUGCUCAGUCUAAGUAUGCACAGAUCAUUGGGAGUUAAAUGCAUUAAAUGAAUUUUCUAGGCCUGAUAUAGCCUAUGCUGUGUGUAGAUUGAGUAGAUAUACUCAUAAUCCCAAUAAUGAGCAUUGGUCUGCAUUAACACGAUAGAUGAAAUAUUUGAAAGAAACCAUGAAUUUUGGUAUCUUGUAUAGCAGAUUUCCUUUUACUUUGGAAGGGUAUUAUGAUGCAAAUUAGAUCUCUAAUUCAGACGAGACAAAAUUCACUAGUGGUUAUGUGUUCACGCUUGGUGGAGGUGUAGUAUCAUGGAGAUCAACUAAGUAGAUGAUCAUUGCUAGAUCAAUUAUGGAAUCAGAGUUUGCGGCUCUGGAGUUAGCUGGUACUGAGACUGAAUAGCUAAGAAAUUUAUUAGCGAAUAUUCCUUUUAAAAAGGAUGAUCUGUUUCCUUAUAGCCCUUUAAACAAGGAUGAUCUGUUGCCUGAUAUCCCUUUGAAAAGGGAUGAUCUGUUGUCUAAUAUCCCUUUGAAAAAGGAUGAUCCGUUGUCAAAUAUUCCUUUGAAAAAGGAUGAUCUAUUUUCUACAAUCCCUUUAAAAAAGAUGAUUUGAUGCCUCCUGUGUAUAUAUUGUGAUUAUCAAGCCGCUAAUGCUAUUGUGAAGAAUAAAUCUUAUAGUUGUAAGAGCAAACAUAUGAAAUUGAGGCAUAAUAUUGUUAAGCAGCUGCUGAGAGAUGGAAUAAUUUCCAUUGAUUAUGUGAAGUCAGAAUCGAAUUCAUCCAAUUCACUAACUAAAUCCGUGGGAAGAAAAUUAAUUCUUCAAACCUCAAAAGAGAUAGGUUUAAGGUCAAUAUGAUUGUCAAUAGAGAUGGUAACUAUAAUACCUCAAACUUUUCUUAAGCUUAAUUUCUCCUCGAGAAGGUUAAGGAAUGACUUACUAAGUGAGUAUCAUUUUAACCAUAAUGAAUUUCCCUAAUUUCGGCUUUUUAUCACAUGGAAAAUUUAAUAAUCUUUCCGUCGAUAUAAGACUCACCCAAAUCCGAUACCCGGGCAAGAAGUUAUGGCUAAUUUAAGUCCUAGUCAUAAAACACCGUCAUUUUAAUGCUUGGUGCAUCGCGGAGGUGGUCUAUUUAACAAUUGUCAAAUUCCAGUGAAGCACUGUGAUAGUGGCGCGUCCCGCUGAAGUUCUAGGUCCCAGCCAGUGGGACAAAACGAUGGCACCGCAUCGCGGUGACCCCCAGAAUCCCGUUUGGAAAUUUCCAGUGAGCUACCGCAAUAGUGGCAUGUCGCGAUGGCCCAUGAAUUCGGGUUUUCUAGUUCAAUUUUUUCAGAUUCGUGCAGAAGUUAAAAAGGGCACUUUGAACUUUUUUCAAUCCCCUUAAAUAGUACAAACACCAAAUUGAAGUCAUUUACAAGUAUUCUAUGAAGUUUUCCUUAAGUUUUCUCUCAAAAAGAAAACCCUAAGUACUUAAAAUCUCUUCCAAGAAUCUCAAGAAUCCACCAUAGCUUUCACAAAUUGAGUUGGGAUUUGAGGUUCCCAAGACAAAGGCUUCAAGAACCCUCACUCAAAGUAAGAAAAUAGAGUCUUAAGGAAGCUUCUUCAUCUACAAGUCAGAAUCUAAAAUAUGUGGGGUUUGAAUAAGAACACCCUUUAGUUCUUGUUCCGAAAAGAUUUAGUUUUCUAAAAGAAUUGCGUAAUUUCAAGAUGAAUUCAUAUUAUUUUUUCUAUAUUUCAAGUUUACAAGAUUAUGGAAUUGUUCAAGUUUUGAAUUGCAUGAUUUUCUUGUUUAAGCAUGAUCCAAGUUGAGAGUUCAUGAUAUAAAUUACAUAUUUCUAUGUUGAUACUAUAUUUUCGAGAAUUUACAAGAUUUGUGGUCAGGAAUUGAGCCUUAUUGUGAAAUUAUGAGCCUUUGAGAGUGAAUGAUUGUUACUCUUUAAGGUAUUACAAGAAGUGUACUUAUAUUUUCAUGUUAUUGAAGUUAUAAAGUUUAUUCGUGAUAAGUUUACCAAGAUUUCAAGAAAAGAAUUGAGUUUUGGUCCUAAGCUAAGAAAGAAAUCCACAUCUUUUGAUUUGAGAUAAAAAGGGAAGCAUGUUGGCUCUCACUACAUAUUGUUGAAUUGUUUAAGAUGGAUUUUCUUAAAGCUCUAAGCUAAGUAAGGGAGUAGUACUUAGCACCGAGUUGGGUUUGAUUCUGAGGCCUCAUGUCCUAGAACUAUGUGCCCUCGUAGGUUUCUAAAUUACCCCAAGUUUUUUAAGCUAUUGAUCACUAAAAAGUAAAAAUUCUACUCUGAUGGAAAGGAUAGAACAAAUCUCUCCACAUGGGCAAGACGUUGGACUCCAUGUAGCUCACAUGGUUUAUGUCGGUUAGAAGAAACUCCCAGGUGUCCCAAAGUAUCUUAAGUUUUUCUAAAGUUUCAAGUCGUAAAGUUUUAAGGUACCAAGCUCUUGAGUUUUCAAGAAGUUUUACCCUCCUAAGGCUAAAAGCAUGAGUUCUAAAAGUAUAAGCAUUUCAAAAGUUGAUAUUUUAAGAUCUCAUCUGGUUUACAAGUUUGAGAACAAAGAAAGAAUACAGGUUUAGAAUAAAGUGAAAUGACUCACGUGAUUUAUAUUAUCUGUUUUCCAUCUAAAAUUUAUGAGGAUUUUAUUCAAGCGAUGUGAGUCAUCUAUUAUAACACGUAUGUUUUUUAUAAAUACUUGUGAUAUUGACUAUUUAAUUGCAUACACCCUCAUAUACUCAGUAUAUUCCCAAAGUACUGAUCCACAUACUUGUUUGUGUGCUACAUUUUCUCGUAAUGUAGGUUCAGGUGCUCAAUCCCAGCCUCAUCGUGAUUUUUGAGUACUUUAUCUACAUUCCAGCAGUGGUGAGUCCUCAUGCUUCGAGGACCGUUUAUCUUCAGACAUUUAGUUUAUUUAGUAGUUGUUUAUCCCUUAUCAGUUGAGUAUUAGUCAGUUGGGGACCUGUCCCAAUGACUCUCUAAUUCUUGAGUAGUAGAGGCUUUGUCAAACUAGUUAUCAGAUGUUUAGUAUGUUGAGAUUUCCAGUAUUAUGGUUGUUUGGCCAGAGUAUUUUGUUCUUAUUUCUUAUCAUAUGAUAUGACAGUAACAAUGUUUUAUUUAUUUCACCUCUAAGUAAGUUAUUAUACGAAGUAGUAGGCUCAAAGGGUUAGCUUGGGGCUACUUGUAGCCUUAUGCACUGUGUGACGUCUCGGAACCCAGUUUCGGGGAGUUACAGUAACCCAACCUAUGUUAUUGGAGAUCCCAUGAAGUAGGUUCAUAUGGGUAAUAAAAACUCGAUUUGAGUCUGUGCACUUAUUGAGAGUGCUUGAACUGCUACUAAAAUGGAGGGAUGAGUUGUUGACUCUUAAUGAAUUCAUAGUCCUUAUUGAUGGUGUAUUUAAAGCAGUGUACACUUGAUAAAUUCACCUACAUGAGAAGUGGAAUGAGGCCGUUCCUAUGAGACUUUUGGACUUAGGCUCUAGUGCUCUCAUGAAUACCAAGCGCGCGUAUGGCCUAUUGGUGAAAAACCGCAUUGAACAACAAAAUUACGGUCAAAAUGUGAUUGAUAAAAUCUCUGGCUUACAACAAGAAUUAUUCGGUUCAUAUAAAUAUUAUAUGUCACCAAUAAUUUUAUAAGUUAAACUUUAUUUGUCUAAGUUUGGUUCAUAGUCCAAAAGACACCAAACCUACUGCAUUUUGUCCAUACAAGUACAACAAGUUAAAAUGUUUUUUAUAUAAAUUAUUUUAAAAUAAUGUGUGGAUUGUAGAAAAAAUAAUUUAUUUCAAAAUAAUUUAUUGUGUAUUUGGAAAAGGGAAAAAGAGCCAUAUUAUUUACUUGGAGAGAAAGAAAAGAAAGGAGAAAAGGAAAAAGAAAAAAGAUCCACCGCCUCUGCUUCCACUGCCCCAACAGUAUAAAUAACAUGUAUUUUCUUUUGCAAAAAAAAAAAAAAAAAAACAACAACAUAUACUUCCAACUAUCCAAUUUCUUUUUCCUUAGUUCCAUUCUAAUUAUCAUCUUAUUGUUGUUUUCUUCUUUAAUAUUUUAACUUGUUGGUAUUUGUAUUUAUAAUUUUGUUGAUUUCUUUACCCUUUGGUUAAUUAGGAAAGACUUAUUUAACUCAAAAUAUCCUCUAAUUAAUCAGGGAAGUGCUUGUUUAAUUCUGAAAAAUAUUUCACACUGCUAAAAUAGUUUCUUAGGACAGUGCCUAGCACGACUCAAGUAUAAUUAAUCUAUUUCUUAAAAAGUAGUUAGAUUUCUAUUAUAAUUUCCACAUUGAUUAUAAUAUUAUCACUGAGGUAGUAGUAAUAUUAUACACUGUUUAUGUUAUUGUAUUGCUAAUAUUAUUAAUAUAAUAUUUUGUGAACAGUUAAUAAUAUUGUUAUUAUUUUUUUUCAUUGUUCCCCAACAACUUGUUCUAUGGGGGUUCUCUUAUCAUUACUUAUGUGGGACUGCUACAUGAGUAUUUUGAUCAUUGUGAAUUUUACAAUCACAUUGUAUUCGAUUAAAUGGCAUAAAAUAAGAAACAAUUUAGACCUUGUAAUCUAAGGGUUAUCUACUCCUCCUCGGUAGUUGGUUCUCCACUUUUAUUUAUUUGGUUAGAUGCUUGAUUUGUUGAUUGGUAUCAUCUUUUUUUUUACUCGCAAUUGAAUCCUCCCCCAUGUUUUCUUUUGGUAAUUUUUAAUCUCUAUUGCUUUUGUUCUUGGCUUUUAAUAUUUUAGUUUUUGGUCUGGAAUAUUGAUUCUCACAUGGUUGUAAGAUUUUAAUAUUCCUAUAAAUAUAUUAUGUAUGGUAGGGGAAGAAUGUUCUUUGGUAAAUUAUGAGUUGAACCACCAUUACAACAUAAUUACCGUUAACAUUUAGCUUUUAGUUAGUUAGAAAUCGAAAAGGCCAACUAAUUCAUCUAAUUUUCAUUUUUAUGUUUCCUUCAAGAAAACCUUGAACUGAUUAAGCGUUCUCAUCUUUGCAAUUAAGUUAAUAGCCUCUUGGGCAAAAGUUAUAGAUCAUCACCCAAAUAAUUAAAAGUGUCGACUCUCACCCAUAUUGUUCCUUUGAUGUCUAAGUCCUCUAGGGCAAGGGUUAUAGAUCAUCUGCCAAAACAUUAUAAACUAUGCUAGUGUCAACUCUUGUCCAUAGGGAAUAACUUGUUCCUUUGGGGUCUAAACAUCUUGCCUCUUGGCAAAGAUUUAUAGAUUAUAUACCAAAUCAUUACACACUAAUAUAGUAUCAACGCUUGGCCAUGGGGCAUAACUUGUUCGUUUGUUGUAUUAAUUUUUGCCUAUAGGACAAGAGCUGUUGAUCAUCGGCCAAGUCAUUACACACUAAGAUAGUGUACACUCUUGCCAAUAGGGCAUAAUUGGUUUCUUAGAGACUUAAGUCUUGCCUCUAGGAAAAUGUUAUAGAUCAUCUGUCAAAUCAUUGAAGAGUAAGCUAGUAUCAACUCUCGCCCAUAGGGCAUAACUAGUUUUGCAUCUUGCCUUUAAGGCAAAUUUUAAAGUGUAUCUCGUGGAAUUAUUUACAUUACAUAUCUUGGGGUGUAGUUCUUCCCCAAUUCCUGUUAAUAUGAUAUAUUUUUACCCAUCAAUAUAUAAAAAAAAUUAACAUGCAGUAACUUUCAUAAACAAUCAAUAAGAAGGUAUUAAGUACUUCACCACAAGUUAAAACUUUGAAUAAAUAAGUAGACAUUCGUGCAACUUGUUUUGUUUAAAGUCAAAAGUACUUAUUUCUAGCUAAAAUAAGGGAUCAAAGAAUCCAAUUAUAACUGCUAUUUUGAUCCAUCUUCUCGAAUAAAAAGUAAAACUAAUUAUGUAUUUUUAUUUUUCUUUCUGUAUAUUCUUGCGUAUGGAUGAAGUAUUGGAGUGUAGUGACAAUUUGAUCUGUUGUGACCGAUUCUUUUGCAUCUCAAACAUUUGUAAUUGUUUCUUGAAGAUUAUGUUCUACAAGGAUAUCUGAUUGUUUGUCUUCUCCCUAGGAGAACCUUUAUAUUCGGGGGUUUUGUGAUUAGAUCCUUUAUACUAUCUGGAAAUAUUCAUGAUGUUGUGCUUUCAACUGGUAGGAUUUCUCCCUAGUAUAUUUGUAUCCAAGAUUGUCUUGAGAACCAAAGAGAACAAUAGCUAGACUUGUUCAUAUUUCUACUGUUUAUCGCUACAAUUGUAUUGGUGUAUGGUAUCUCAUCUGUUUAGAAUACCAAGCAUUGAAAAGUCAUAUUCUUCAAGUCUACAAUAUAUUCAACUCUUUCUUCUCUUACAGCAAAUCUUGUUGCAUCAAUAGGGUUUACCUGCAAAUAAAAUGACAAAUAAAUGACAACUUAUAUUUAUUGUAAUCUUGAAAGCUAUGUCCAUGAAAGCUCAAGAACAAAAAUAAGCCACAAUGAAAUCACAGAUAUGAACAUAUCACUUUCUAGUGAUUUAGUAUAACAGAGACUAAUUAAGAGUUUAGUUUAACUCAGCAACAAAAAUUAUUCAGUGACAUUCUCUACAGUCAAUUCACAGAAUCUGGGUUCCCAUCAUUAACUCACUUCUACAUAAUAAAGUCAUAUGAACGUCCAUACAUAAAUAGAGACAUUGAUUCGAGAAAUCAAGUGAUAUCAUUGAUGACAUCAAUAAGAUUAAGAUAUAUAAAAUAUAACAAGUAUAAAAGAAAUUCUAGCUCUAUUACAGCGAGACAUACAAAUAUAUAUGUUAUAUACGUGGUCAUGUAUGUAAAAUGCAGGAAUAAGGAGUCAUCUGGUCAUAGAUUACUGUUUGGGUAACAGAUUAACUUGAUGCAGAUUAACUUGGUACUCUUGCCAAAAUGGAUGCUUUGUAUAUUUUUAGAAACUUUUCAUCUUAUUUCUUAGUGGAUCGGGUCAUUUGUUGGGCCUGUCCGAUCAAAGUAAAAUUAUGGAUCUGCUUUGAUUUUUGCAACAUAAAUAAAAUGGUCCAAUUGGACCAAAAUUUAUUUUAAAAAAACUUGAUAAAGGUUAUACUUUUGCAAAGAUCAUUUUUUUAAUAGUAUGUAGAGGUUAUUCUUCUUAAUUAUUUACUAAUUUUUCUUUGUAUUUCCCUAUUACCAAAAUACAAGUUCUACCAAACCCUCAGUAUUCUUUUAAGUAUACAUAUUGAGAGGCAAAUCAGUUGCCAUAACUACUUCUAAUUGAUCCACGGCUAAAAAAAAAAACUUACAACUCAACAAGUAGUAAAAUGUUGACUUAAAAUGACUUAGAAACAGAAGAACACACCAAUUUAAAUCUGCAUUUCAUGUGGAUAAAUAAAUGGUUCAAAUGCAACAAAUAGUAGUUCUUCUCCUGGAACAUUUAAAGAAAGAAAUGUGUCUUUGUAAGACUAAAAGUCUUUGCAGAAAUUAUUUACUUUCAAUUUCAAGGAUCCACUUUCGUCCAAUGUGUGAUGUCAUGAAACAUGCCUUGUGUGUCUAUUUUUUUUAUAAAACCAACUUUGUAACUUGUUCUAAAUGCGAUCAAUAAGUCCCAUUAUUGGUAGUUGUCGUGUUUUUCUCAGUACCGCAUUCAUGGACUCUACGUUGUUAGUCAUGAGCAUACUGUGCCUUCUAUUUGUAUGAAAUGAAUGUGCCCAUCUUUUUGGUUGUUCUUCUUUCAAGUAGUUUGCAGCAAAUUUGUCAACUUUUUCUAUCUCAUCCAUUAAAGUAUAAAAUUCAGUGCAUUUGUAUGUUAUCUGCAUUGUAGAAGAGUGAAGAACUACAUCUGAGAAGUAUCUUUCUAUUAAAAUUUUCUCAGUAUGAUAAAUGCAUAUUCCAUGCUGACACUCUGUAUAGACAUUUGCAUUUGCAAUGGCUGUGUGGUGAUCUGAUAAAAUAGACAAUUGUUCACGUACCCCAAUUAUAUUUCUUAACUGAUUGAAGAACCAGUUAUAAGAGUCAUUAGUUUUUGAGUCUGAAAUUAAAAAGCCAAAGGAAAUAUGUUAUUGUUUCCAUCCUUUGACACUACUAUCAUUAGGAUACCACAAUAUUUUUACUUCAAAAAUGUUGCAUCUAUCAUUAUUACCGGUCUACAGUUGGUCCAUCCAAUGAUUGAAGCACUAUAAGCAAAAAAUACAUACUGAAACCUAUGUUGAGCAGAAGAAUAUUAGUAACAUUUUGCAUUUGAUGUUUAUAAUCACUACAAGAGUAUUUUAAUCUAAGUCUUGUCUAUGAGGUAAGAUUUGCAUAUAUGUUAAUAAUCUAAGUAGUGCAAUUAAGGAAUAACCUUUUGCCUCUUAGGCAAAAGUUUUUAAUUUCGACAGUAUAGCAUGUGUACCUGUUCUCAUCGUCCCUCAUGACGUUUGUGUACGUUCCCAGGUUAUUUUAUUUCAUCUUGUGAAGAUACGAUGGCAACCUGUUGUAGUUCUUUAAAGGUGUUCCUCUUAUCACCCGUAUAAACAUGUUGUAUUGUUCGCCAUCCUUUGUUGUAGGAUAUGAUUAUUCCGUAUUUCCUUUUCAUUUCAUCUACCACAAAGUUUGGUGUGAUUACAUUACUAGAGUCACGCACAAACUCUAGUAUGUAGUCACAUAUGACCUUCACUGUUGCAUUCUUAUGGUUGAAGGUUAUGAAAUCAACUGGCAACUGUGAUCCUUUUCAUAUGUUGUAACCUGAAAGAGAAAAGAUUCGACAAUCUUCAAGGCAUGAAACUACCGCAUGUAGUUGUCGUCCCAACAUCUCAGUGAAUAUCUUGUUGUGCUAGAUUUCAUAACCUUAAACUGGAUGUUGUGUGUAAUUCCAAUAUGUUACAUGCACUUCACCAUAUUUUUUUUUAUCAAGGAAAAUCGACUUGACAUUUACCUCAUUUAGAGAGGCAUUUCAUCUUAGAAAACUAGUUUUGAUAUCGAUUAUCCUCUUCUUCUUUUUGCCGUUCCCUUUUAAUCUUGGAUUGCUGCCCCCAUUUGUUCAGUUAUUUCAAUCUCCAAUAUUGGUUUAAUAACCAUUAUCUUAUUAUUUGUGUAAAUACUUUCAAUUGAUUUCCCUAUAUUAUAUUUCUCAAUACCCAUUUCUUUUUCAUCCAUUGCAAGCACAAACCUAAUGAAAAAUGAAACAACAAAAGCUUAGUAAUAGUUUAAUUUAGAAUAUACAUAUUUAGUAAGUAAAUUCAUUAAAAAUUAAGGUAGUUGUAAUACCCCAGGAAAUUUUUCGUUGAAAUUUUGUGCGUAAACGUGUUGGGUUCUAUCUUCUAGAAUGAAUUAUAAAUUUUCUGUGCAGAAUGUCUUAGAUUAUGACCCACCAUUCUGUAGAGUAUCAAAUAAUCUCUCCAACGAUAUGUGGAUCAUCCAAAACGGAUACCCGAGCGACAAGUUAUGAACAUUCCGAUCGAACCGUGAAUAGUAGUGAACAGUAAAACGUGCAGGAAAAAGUACUGAGGCCUGGCGUAUUUUUGCUCCAAAUUUAAAUGAUCAUAACUCCUUGUAAAUAAUGAUCCGGGUGAUCUACUAUAUAUCAACGGAAAUAUCUGCGAGUCUUCUUUCCAAUGAAAUUAGUUUCAUCCAAUUUGUCUAUUGGAGCAAAAAGUUAUGGUCGAUCUACUUCAGCCUAUCAAAAGUGAAUUUUUGGGUCAACUUCAAAUGAUCAUAAAUCCUCAUACACAAUGAUCUAGGUGAGAUACUAUAUAUCAAUGGAAAGAUAUGAGAGUCCUCUUUCUAAUAAAAUUGUUUUCAUCCAAAUUGGAUAUCGGAGUAAAACAUUAUGGUUGAUCUACUUCAGACUAUCAAAACAGUCCACCAAAGGAUAGAUUCGAGAAUUAUUUGAUUUUUAGGGGCGUUUUGGUCAUUCCCCCUCACCCAAAAUCCGUCCAAACCCUAUAUUAAAGCCUAUUAGAAGCAUUAUAUAUUAUAUUACAUCAAAUUCCCUCAAAAAGAAAACCCUAAGCUCCUACAUCCAACUUCAAGAACCUCCAAAGUUCACCAUUAAUUCUGCAAAUUUAUUCAAGAUUCCAAGUUUCUAGUUCAAGAACUCCAAGAACCAUCAUUCAAAGGCACGAUUAACAUCUCAAAAAUGAGUAUCGAUCUAAANNNNNNNNNNNNNNNNNNNNNNNNNNNNNNNNNNNNNNNNNNNNNNNNNNNNNNNNNNNNNNNNNNNNNNNNNNNNNNNNNNNNNNNNNNNNNNNNNNNNNNNNNNNNNNNNNNNNNNNNNNNNNNNNNNNNNNNNNNNNNNNNNNNNNNNNNNNNNNNNNNNNNNNNNNNNNNNNNNNNNNNNNNNNNNNNNNNNNNNNNNNNNNNNNNNNNNNNNNNNNNNNNNNNNNNNNNNNNNNNNNNNNNNNNNNNNNNNNNNNNNNNNNNNNNNNNNNNNNNNNNNNNNNNNNNNNNNNNNNNNNNNNNNNNNNNNNNNNNNNNNNNNNNNNNNNNNNNNNNNNNNNNNNNNNNNNNNNNNNNNNNNNNNNNNNNNNNNNNNNNNNNNNNNNNNNNNNNNNNNNNNNNNNNNNNNNNNNNNNNNNNNNNNNNNNNNNNNNNNNNNNNNNNNNNNNNNNNNNNNNNNNNNNNNNNNNNNNNNNNNNNNNNNNNNNNNNNNNNNNNNNNNNNNNNNNNNNNNNNNNNNNNNNNNNNNNNNNNNNNNNNNNNNNNNNNNNNNNNNNNNNNNNNNNNNNNNNNNNNNNNNNNNNNNNNNNNNNNNNNNNNNNNNNNNNNNNNNNNNNNNNNNNNNNNNNNNNNNNNNNNNNNNNNNNNNNNNNNNNNNNNNNNNNNNNNNNNNNNNNNNNNNNNNNNNNNNNNNNNNNNNNNNNNNNNNNNNNNNNNNNNNNNNNNNNNNNNNNNNNNNNNNNNNNNNNNNNNNNNNNNNNNNNNNNNNNNNNNNNNNNNNNNNNNNNNNNNNNNNNNNNNNNNNNNNNNNNNNNNNNNNNNNNNNNNNNUGAGAAUUGAUAUUCUUGAUGAACUGAAAGUGUUUGAUAAAUUAUAUGAUGACUCACAUGUGUUAUUAUACUUAUUUCAUCCUCUCAUGAUUAUGACGAUUUUCUUCGGGCUAUGUGAGUCUUUCAUACAUCCUGCAUAUUUCUUAUAAAUAUUUAUGAUGAUGAUGUUUAUAAAACUACAUAAACACCCCCAUAUACUCGAUUCCUUUCCAUGGUACUGACCCACAUCUUCAGAUGUGGCCUGCAUUUUCUUGAAAUAUAGGUUCAGGUGCUCAGUUCCAGGUUCUACAGUGAUUCUUCGUGCAUGCUGUUCUACAUCCUUUGUUGUGGUGAGUCCUCAUGUUCCGAGGACAUGAUGUCUGAUGUUGGUUUCACGGAAUUGUUUACAUUUGAUAACUGAGUAUGAUUCAGUUGGGGUAUGUCUCAAUGGCUCGCUGGUUUUAUUGAUUUUCUUAAAGGCUUGUCAGACUAGUAUAGAUGUUGGGAGUUGACUAAUAAGUUGUAUUUUGUUAUCUUUCUGAAAUUCUUUUAUUCUAGGAUGAUGAUUACUCUGUUGAUAUUUGAGGGUUAUUUAUGGAAACCCCGUUGAUUUGUGUUGAACUGAAUGAAAAUGGCUCAAAGGGUUAGCUUAGGGCUACUUGUAGCCUCAAGCACCAUGUGACGCUCUGGGACCCAUUUUCCGGGGCGUUACAGCAGUGUAAACUAUUGUCCAUGUAGCAUAACUUGUUCCUUUCGUGUCUAAGUGUCACAAUCCAAACUGGGGCCCUGACCGCGACGAGCAUAUCGAACCAUGAAGGCCCGGGCGCCCUUUCUAUCUAGCAAUCAUGAACACCAUUCAUAUACAAUAAGGAAAAGAAUGCGGAAAAGUAUUACAACGAAAUCAUGGUCAACUUUUAUUUCAAACUUCUCAAUACUGAAAUGAGUUCAUAAAUAUCAAUAACAUCUAAAACUAGUUUGCAAAAUCUCUGCAAACUGAAAUGACAUCUGUCUGAUAUAUGAGACAAGACCCUAGUUGGACCAUGAAUCAAAAUGAAAUACCAAUAACAAGUUCUAAUACAGGCCUUCCGAAGUAAGGGAGGCUCACCAGCUACAAACUUUUGAUAAGUCAAUUUACUGCUUAACAGGAUUCCAGGACUGUGUCUUAAAAUCCUGAAAUAUAAGAGGGUCAAUAAAGAUGUACUGGUACGCGUAACAAUCCAAAAAAAACAAAAUAUGUAUUUUUAUAAAACAUAGGUGAGAGCAUUUCAUAAAUCACAUAUCAUCUUGAAAUAGUUGAAAACACAUGGGCAUAAUCUGAGACCUUUAAAACACAUUCUGUAAUUCAUGACUCUACUCUUUAUCUUACUUCUGAGCUAGAUGGUACACCCUACAAAUCUACAAUUCCAUGGGCUAUAUGAAAUCCGCCUUUAAAUUGGCGGUCAAACCCCCAACCCAAGUUUACCGCAAGGGUUAGAGUAUCUGCUUAUUUACUAUGCCCCAGGGCCGUCACCAGCAUACAAUUUCCCUUUUCAGUAUCAUAAACCCGUGUUGGCAAAUCAUGAUUUUGGGCAAUGAGUAGUUUGAAUCGUGCCUUCUUCGGGUAACCAUCUAACUCUCUUAAGCCCAGUUUUAAAUUCUUUAAACCAUAUCUUCUUUGAAAAGUUAUUUCUUUCUCAAUAUUUUCGGGCACAUCAAAAUAGGGUAUCGUCAUACCCAGACUUGAAAAUCAUGUCACAACAUAUCUACUGCCCUUAUCUUAUUUCAAAAGAUGUUUAUUGACCACCCAAAAGAUCCACCAUUUGAACAAAAGUUCAUAUUUCAAAACAAUUGAAAAAUUAAACCAUUCUCAAUAUUUAUUCUGCUGUGGUCACCCUCUUUCAAUCACUUCAAAACCAUUCUAAAUAAGAAUCAUGAUCAUUAUACAAUAUGUAAAAACACUCUUUCCUUUCUUCAUGAAAACAACCAGUACAAUUCAUCCAUAAUAAUCCAUCAUCAGGCCCAAGCUUUCAACAGUUUGUAAAUUCAAUUCAUAUUAUGUAAAUCCAAUGAAAUUUGUAGUAAAAAAGGAAAUCACAAGUCUCAUGCUCUCAUUUACUUCUCAAUAUUUUACAAAACAAGUAAAAACAACCUCUCAUUUUCUCAUAAAGUAAUACAAUUGUACAUACCAAUUCAUCAACAGAUCCCAACCUUUAGCAAUUCAUAAAAUCAAUUUACGACAUGUAAAACUGGAGGGAUUUUCAUAUUAAAAGAGGGAAUUUUAGAUCCCAUGCUCUCAUUUAAUUUCACAAUUCUAAUAUCACAAGAUCACAUGAAAUAGUUCAAGUUUUAAGCACAAAUUUACAAUGUCUAUAAUACUUCAUCAAAUCAUAGGAUUUCCAACACAUAUUCACCAAGAUCUCGAAACCAAUUUUCAUAUGUAUACAUAUAACUUGUUAAAUCAAGUUUAAAAAAUGUAAAUCGAAGCCCAUGAGGUUUAGGAUAGUCCCACGUACCUUAGAUUAUUUAGUUUAAAAGAUGGAACCUGGAUCUUGAUUUGUUUCUUGGAAUUCUUGAUCUUAGGGAUGAGUUCUUGAUCUUUGGGGCCUUAGGGUUUUCUUGAAGAGAAAAGGUUGAAUAAUCUUGUAUCUAAUGCUCUUUGGGGCUCUAAUUAUCUGUUAUGGAUGAGUUAGGGUGGAGGAAAGGACCCUUUUGCCCUUAAAAAUGCAAAAACAGAACCUAAAAAAUAGCUGGGGGCGAUGGAGCGUGCGUCGCGGGCAUAUUGACUCAGCUUACUGCCUCUUCACGAAAACAGCUGUAACUUUUUGGUCGGUUAUCGGAUUUUGGUGAAAUUGGUAUCGUUGAAAAGAUAAUUCAAUUACCUACAAUUUAGUGGGUCUUGAGAUAAAAAAUUCUAUGAGUAUCAAAAUUUAUAUACAUUUAAAGUAGACCCUUGUAGAAUCAAAUAUCAAAAUUUGGAUGAAUGAAAGAUUCUUAGCUCAACUUUGCUCUAAGUGAUUUCUAUGAACACUUUUCACCUCAUAAUCACUUCAUAUACUAGGAUAAAGAUCAUGACUCAUGAAUUUAAAUAUAAACCAUAGAAUUAGAGCUUAUGCAUGUAGGAACGAUGGUUCGAUUUUUAGCUCGAAAAUGCACUCUCCGUAGUGAGAGUGGUGUUGUAAUUUUAAGGUGGUAUAUAAUCACUUCAAAAAGAUUUAGGAGGAUAAAUAAUUAUCCGUAAAGUUUAAGUGCUGAAGUAAGUUGUGGAGACAAGUUCGGGGGAGGGGGGAGGGGGAGAGGGGGGUUGAUGUAUUAUCUCUCUGAUUAUUCAUGCUAAUAAUCGAUUUAUCUUCACAAACCUCGAUUUUCUCUCAACUUCUCAUGAAUUUGCUCUCUUCCUACUUCAUGUUAAACAUUUAGUUAGUAUCACUAGAAUCAUGUUAUUAUGUGGAAUUAUCAAUAUUGAUAUUUAAUAGUUUCUUUUAUUUUCAAAGUAAUUAUCUUAUUGCGAAAAUCAAGAUAUCCCGCAAAAUUUUACAAGUAGUGAAAGAUAUUAUAAAAUAAAGCGCGACAUGAUUAUUUUUCACAAUACAUUGUACUUAGGUAUUGUCACUCUCUUCAUUUGUAGGAUAAUACAUAUCUCAAUCUUUUAUUCAGUAUGGGAAGAUGAUUAUGUAUAUUCAAUCUCUUUAAUUCUUAUCUUAUUAAGCUUUUCCUUGAGAAAAAUAAUCUUAUAUUGAUUUAAUUUAUUUUUGCUACAUCUCCUUUGUAUUUACGACUACAUUUGAAGAUGACGAGAUUGAUGACAUGAAUAGACUAUACGAAAAUAGAUUAAAACUUGCAUGUGAUGUGGGAUUAUAAAUUAAAAUAAUUUUAAAGAAAAUUACACUUUUGACGUUCCGAUAGUUAUAUCUUUACAACUUUUGUUAAGUUAAAUCAAUAAUUAUGUAAAAAGUCGACAGUAAAGUUUUAAUGAAAAAUAUAUAUUAGUCUUAAAUAUUGCUUGAUGUCGAAAGGUAAAUAACUUUUUCACGUGUAGGAAAAAAUUUAAUUUACUAAUGAAGAUAAAAAUUGUUAACAAGUAGAAUUUCUCUCAACAAUUUUUAAACCAUCCCAAUUUGAUAAAUAGUAUAUGACAAAUUUAAACCAAUGUUAAAGUGUACAGCAUCAGCUGUUGCAUUCUAGUUUGACUAAGCCUUUAGUAGCUUAAUUUUAGCAUUUAGUUAAGAUUUGUUAUUUUUCAGUUUUUCCCUGUUUCUAGUACUGCAGAUAUGUUCAUUAAAUUUAGGAGAACUUGUUUAGUGGAACUAAAGUAGUGGUUUAGUGGGAUAGUGACUCUUUAAGAUAUGUAAGCCUAUAUAAGGCCACUAAUCUAUUGAAUAAAAUUAGUUUAGCCACAUUCUCUGCAAACGUUUUCAGGCUUUUCUGUUCUCUACUUUCUUCAUGUUGUUUGUUCUGUACCAUUAUUAAACUACCUGGAAGUUGAGUUCAUCAUUUGGUAUCAGAGCCAGAUUUAAAGGUGAGAAAGAGAAGCCACGCAGAACAUUUAUCAGUUGUUGGUGGCAACAACCAUCUUCUUGAACAUAAUAGUUCUUUUACAGAAAAUAAAAUGACUGAUUUUCAAGCCAUAGGUGGAGUGAAGAAACUCAACCAUCAGAAUUACAAAACGUGGAUGAAAUGUAUGACCUCCUACAUGGAAGGUCAAAAUCUUUGGGAGGUCAUUAAUGAAAGCGAAGUCAAACCCAGGGUAGAAGAACCGAAUGGCGCUUUGAGGAAACGGAAGAUUAAAGCUGGAAAAGAAUUAUUUGCCCUCAAAACCACCAUCAAAGAAGAUGUAUUAGAACAUAUACGAGAUGCUGAAACACCAAAGGAGGCUUGGGACACGCUAGUUGCACUCUUUUCAAAGAAGAAUGACACACAGCUAUAACUUUUAGAAAGUGAAUUGUUGUAGAUAGCUCAAAAUGAUAUGAGAAUUGCACAAUACUUUCACAAAGUAAAGUCGAUAUGUCGUGAAAUUUCAGAAUUGGAACCAACAACUCCAAUCGGGGAAACCAGGACGAAAAGGAUAAUCAUUCAUGGUUUGAUAUCUGAAUACAGAAACUUCGUUACUGCAGUACAGGGAUGGAAAAAUCAACCAUCACUUGUGGAGUUUGAGAAUUUGCUUGCUGGCUAAGAAGCCAUGGCAAAAGUAAAUGAGUGCAGUUUCACAAAAAGGCGAGGAGGAAGCGCUCUACGUCAACAAAAACAAAGGUAACUCCAAGCAGUACAAUGCAGGUGGAUCGAAAAGAAAUGAUGAUAAGGCAAAAAGCCAUCAAGGAGAGGGAAGUUUUCGUCUAGGGGGAGCUUCAAAGAAUCAAUGGGGCAAAAACAAGAGGUUUGAAGGGAAGUGCCACAACUGUGGAAAGAAGGGCCAUAAAGCCAAGUUUUGUUGGUUCAAUAAAAGUUCCAUUGAAAGUAAUGUUGCUGCCACUUCCAGUCCAAAGGAAAAUAGUGAAGAUGACUGGGAUGCUGAAGCAUUCUUUGCUCUUGAACAAGAGGAGUUAGCUUUUACUGUAACAACCUCUAAACAAAUUGACUAUGAUAAUGACUAGAUUGUUGAUUCUGGAUGCUCAAACCAUAUGACUGGCGACAAAUAGAAGCUGCAAAAUUUGUCCGAGUACAAGGGACCAUGAGGUGGUGACAGCUGAUGACACAAAAUUACCGAUAGCUCACAUCGGUAAGGCUGUAGUGUCUCAAAUAAUUGUGUUGAUCUGAUACUGCUCCAAAAUGUUUAUCAUGUACCAGUUAUGAAGAAAAAUCUUCUUUCAGUAGCACAAUUAACAUCUUCGGGUCACUUUGUUCUGUUUGGUCCGCAAGAUGUAAGGAUAUUUCAUGAUCUUGAGAUUAAAAAAGAGCCAAUAAUGAAGGGAAAAACUGAAAAAUAACAAAUCCUAACUGAAUGCUAAAAUUAAGCUACUAAAGACUUAGUCAAACUAGAAUGCAACAGCUGAUGUUGUACACUUUAACACUCCCUCUCGACAUCAGCUCCUGUCUUAACCAUGCCCAGCUGUUGACAUAAACUUUCAAAUUUAUUCACACUAAAGCCUUUUGUGAACAUGUCAGCGAUUUGCUUGGUUGAAAAUUCUAUUUUUCAUGCAAGAACUAAGCAUGUGGAAAUACAUUACCAAUUCAUCAGAGAAAAGGUGUUGCAAGGAGAGAUUGACUUGAAGCAUAUUAAAACCGGCAGCAAAUUGCAGAUGUGUUCACAAAAGGCUUAAGUGUGAAUAAAUUUGAAAGUAUAUGUCAACAGCUGGGCAUGGUUAAGACAGGAGCUGAUGUCGAGAGGGAGUGUUAGAGUGUACAACAUCAGCUGUUGCAUUCAAGUUUGACUAAGUCUUUAGUAGCUUAAUUUUAGCAUUCAGUUAGGAUUUGUUAUUUUUCAACUUUUCCCUAUUUCUAGUACUGCAGAUGCGUUCCUUAAGUUUAGGAGAACUUGUUUAGUGGAACUAAAGUAGUGGUUUAGUGGGAUAGUGACUCUUUAAGAUAUGUAAGCCUAUAUAAGACCACUAAUCUAUUGAAUAAAAUUAGCUCAGCUACAUUCUCUACAAAUGUUUUCAGGCUUUUCUGUUCUCUGCUUUCUUCCCUGUUAUUUGUUCUGUACCAUUAUUAAACUACCUGGAAGUUGAGUUCAUCAUACUUCAACUAGAAUUUCAUUUGUUGCUAGAACUAUUUUAUGCAAUUUUGGGUGGUUCACACUUUCUUUAUGAUGCUUAUUUAUUGCCCAUGAAGUGUUAAAACAUUCUUUACAGGAAGACCUUGCUGACGACUUCGCUAAAAGAUGCUAUUUACUCAGCAAAUAUGGAAAGGAUGUAUGUUGGCAAAGCCGAACUCCAAAUGUACGGUACAAGCUAGAGAUUGUUACAUGACAAUUUAUUUGAGAAAAUUGGGACAACUCUCAAAAUAGAAAUCAUGUCUUACUGUUAUCUAUUUGGCUUUAGUAUGUGAGAUCCAUUAAUGGUACUUUUAUACGUAAACUCCUAAUUCAUGAAAAUCAUAAACUCUUGGAUGUUGUCUACCUAGAAGCUUUCUUUACACCUAACAAAGCAUCACAAGCAAUCAAACGACAGAAAACUAUAUAAUACAUUCGAAACUUUUCAUAAGUAGCUCGAGGACGAUCUUAUAUUAUGGUAAUGUUUUAUUAGUCUCUUUAGCUUUUAAACUAUUACAGGAUUUUUACAAUUUCGUGUUGGAUUCAAAAAUAUAUGAACCAAUCUCUUUUACACUUCCUGAGGAAAUCAUAGGCAUUUGCAAUGAAGAUAUACACAAUACCUACCAUUUGUAAGAUAUUUAAAAUAUUUAAAUUAAUUGCUUUGCAAUUUCAAGUGAAAAAUGGAUAUAUUAAAGUUUCUUUGAGAGAAAAAUAAUUUUGACCAUAUGACAAAUUAAUGAUCAAUCAUUUUACUUGGAGAUUAAUUAACAUGUAUACUUGGAGAACACAUAAAGUAAAUACUUAUUACCAAAAUAAAUAAAUUAAUUUACUAAUUGCUUUUAUCUUUAACCCACUAAAAUUGGCAAAAUCAUGGCCAAAUUAUUUUACUUGAUGCCAAAGGAAAAUAAAGAAAAGAACACGUGAUUCUUUCCUGCCAAGGAAAUGUAUAUUUCCACCGCCUCUGGCUAUAAAUAGCCAAUCAAUUCUCUGCAAUUGAACACACACAUAUAGAUAUCUUCUACUUCCUUUCACUGCUAACUUUUGUUAUCCUAUUUUAUUUUACCUUUAUUUUAUAAUAAAUUUUAAUAUUUCUUCUCUAAAUUAAGAUUUAUUAAAUUUAUAAUUAAUUUUGUUGAUUCUUAUAUUCUCUGAUUAAUAAGGAAAGAUUUAUAUAAUUCUUGAAUAUCCUCUAAUUAAUCAGGAAAGUACUUAUUUAAUCAUGGAGAAAUGUUUCACAUUGCAAAAAUACUUUCUUAGGACAGGGCCUAGCACGACUCAAGUAUAAUUAAUAUAUUACUUAAUAUCAUAUCGUUAUAAUAUUUGUUUAAUAUUCAAUAUUAUUAACUUAUCAAUAAUUAAUUAUAUUAUUGUUACUGUUAUUAUAUUAAUUAUAAUAUUAUUAUUGAAGUAGUAAUAUUAUUAUACACUAUUAUAUUAUUGUAUUGUUAUUAUUAUAUUAAUAUUUUUUUAACAGUUUAAAUAUUAUUGUUAUUGAUAUUUCUAUUACUGUUUUCCAACAAUCUAAGAAACUAUGGCAUAUAAUAUUUGUCCUAAGACCGUCAAUAAAACUGAUAUUGGUGUUGCUAUGGUUGUUUCCAUUCUAGUCAGUUUGUCAGAAGAUUAUGAUACUGCAAAAUUCAGGUAUGAAAAUAAACUUGUUAACAUGCCAAAUGUUAGUAAUAAAAUCUCAAUGCAAAAGAAUAUGUGAAAGAAAUGAAAAUUCCGCUAAGUCAAUAAUAAAUUUGACUAAAACGGAUGAUAUAAUUGUUGUGGUCAUUUCAGAAAUGAACAUUGAGACCAACGUGAGAAAUUAAGUGGUAAAUUCUGGUGCUACUAGGCACAUUUGUAUAAAUAAAAAUGAUUUUGUAUCAUUCACCCAAGUUGAGAAAGAAGAAGAAAUUGUUUAUCUUAGAACCUCGAGAACAAUUCAAGUUCUUGGAAAAGGCAAAGUUCUUCUCAAACUCACAUAUGGUAAAACUUUGGCAUUGACUAAUGUGUUGCAUGUUCCUAAUAUCAAAAUUAAUUUGAUUUCUGUGGCAUUAUUAGAAAAAGUUGGAAUAAAGGUUAUAUUUGAAAACAAUGAGGUCAUAUUAACUAAAAAUAAUAUUUUUACUGAAAAUGGACAUUGUAAUCAUGGAUUAUAUAUGCUUAAUACUCAUAAUGAUAUUACUACUUCUACGCAUUUGACUGAGUCUAUUUCUUUAUGGCAUGCUAGAUUGGGACAUGUUAAUUUCUCUUAUAUAAAGAAUAUGCAAUCACUUGGUUUGAUAUCUGGUUUAAACUCAAAUAAUUAUGAUAAAUGUGAAAUAUGUAUUGAAACUAAAAUUACUAAAAAGCCAUGUUUUUCAGUUAAUAGAGAAACUGAAUUAUUAUCUUUGAUCCACACUCAUUUGGGUGAUUUAAAACAAACUAUGACUAGAGGUGGAAAAAGAUAUUAUGCGACUUUUAUUGAUGAUUUCUCUAGAUUUACCAAGUUGUAUUUACUUAGAAAUAAAGAUGAUGUAUUUGAUACUUUUGUGUCUUAUAAAACUGAAGUUGAAAAUCAACUUAGUAGAAAAAUCAAGAGAAUUAGAUCUGAUAGAGGUGGAGAAUAUGUGUCUUUAAAUGCACUUUGUGAAAAAGAAGAAAUCAUUCAUGAAGUAACUCCGCCUUAUUCACCUGAGUCUAAUGGUGUAGCUGAAAGAAAAAAUAGGACAUUAAAAGAAAUGAUGAACUCCUUGUUAAUUAUCUCUAAUGCACCUGAUAAUUUGUGGGGUGAAGCUAUUUUAUCUGCAUGUCACUUGCAAAAUAGAAUUCCACAUAAAAGAACUGGCAAAACUCCUUAUGAAUUGUGGAAAGGUUAUAAGCCUAAUUUGAAAUAUUUAAAAGUACGGGGGUGCCUUGUUAAAGUUCUUUUGCCUGAUCCUAAAAAAAAAAAAGGUUCUAAAAUUGUUGAUUGCAUGCUUAUUGGAUAUACUAAAUAUAGUGUUGCAUAUAGAUUUCUUAUUUUGGAAAGUAAUGUACUUGAUAGCAAUACUAUAAUUGAGACAAAGAAUGCUGAAUUCUUUGAAAAUAUUUUUUCACUUUGUAAUAAAGUAUCUCCUGCACCCGCGAAAUCUACCUCUAACAUUGAGGAACUGAAGAGUAAAAGGUCUAGAAAGAAAUAUUUUUCUUAUGAAAAUGACUUUCAAACUUUUUUUGUCGAUAAUGAACCAUUGAAUUAUUUUGAAGCUAUAUCUUCUUCUGAUGUUAAAUUUUGAAAAGAGGCAAUAAAAGUUGAAAUUAAUUCUAUCAUGAAAAAUAAUACAUGGGUUUUAACUAAUUUACCUCUAGGUACAAAACCUAUUGGUUGUGAAUGGAUUUUAAAAAAAAAAUAAAAAUUUAAUCCUGAUGGAUCUACAUAUAAAUAUAAAGCUCGUUUAGUAGCUAAAGAAUUUGCUCAAAAGUAAAAUAUUGAUUAUUUUGAUACAUUUGCACUAGUGACAAGAAUUUCUUCUAUUUGAAUAUUAAUUACUUUGGCAUCGAUUCAUAAGUUUUUUAUCUAUCAAAUCAAUGUAAAAACAACUUUUUUUAAAUGGUGAUUUAGAAGAAAAAAUUUAUAUGGUUCAACUUGAAGCAUGUGUAGUUCCUGGAUAAGAAAAUAAAGUUUGUAAAUUAAUUAAAUCUCUUUAUGACCUUAAACAAGCUCCUAAAUAGUGGCAUGAGAAAUUUGAUCAAGUUUUAAUAAAAGAUAAAUUUUCUUCUAUUGAAGUGGAUAAAUGUGUUUAUACUAAAGUAGUAGACAAUGAUUAUAUGAUAAUUUGCUUAUAUAUAGAUGACAUGCUUAUAUUUGGUACAUGUUUAAAUAUAGUAGAACGUACCAAAUUAUUCUUAUCUACUAACUUUGAUAUGAAAGAUCUGGGUGAAGUUAAUAUGAUAUUGGAAGUUAAGUUAUAAGGAUUGAUGAUGGAAUAAUGUUAACACAAGAACAUUAUGUUGAAAGAAUUUUUAAGAAGUUUGAAUGUUGGGAGGUAACUCUUGUAGCCACUCCUUAUGAUGCUAACUUUAAAUUGAAAAAGAAUAAUGGUGAUCCAGCUGUCCAGUCUAAAUAUGCACAAAUUAUUAGGAGUCUAAUGCACUUGAUGAAUUUUACUAGGCCUGAUAUAACGUAUGCUGUGUGUAGACUGAGUAGAUAUAUGCACAACCCCAAUAAAGAGCAUUGGUUUGCAUUAGUGAGAUUAAUGAACUACGUAAAAGGAACCAUGAAUUAUGGUAUUCUAUAUAGUGGAUUUCCUUCUACUUUAGAAGGAUAUUGUGAUGCAAAUUGGAUCUCUGAUUCAGUGAGACGAAAUGCACUAGUGGUUAUGUGUUCACUUUAGGUGGUGGUGCAGUAUCGUGGAAAUUAGCUAAACAGACGAUUAUUGCUAGAUCAACUAUGGAAUCAGAGUUUGUAGCUCUAGAGUUAGCUGGUACUGAGGUUGAAUGGCUAAGAAAUUUCUUAGCGAAUAUCCCUUUUAAAAAGAAUGAUCUGUUACCUCAAAGCCCUUCUAAGAAGGAUGAUUUGUCGCCUAAUAUCUCUUUCAAAAAAGGAUGAUCUAUUGUCUAAUAUCCCUUUAAACAAGGAUGAUCUAGUGCCUCCCGUGUUUAUACACUAUGAUUGUCAAGCCGCAAUUGCUAUUGCGAAGAAUAAAUCUUACAGUUCUAAGAGUAGAUACAUAGAAUUGAGGCAUAAUGUUGUUAAGCAGCUACUGAGAGAUGAAAUAAUUUCCAUUGAUUAUGUGAAGUCAGAAUUGAAUUUGACCGAUUCACUGACUAAACCUGUGGGAAGAAAAUUAAUUCUUCAAACCUCAAAAGAGAUGGGAUUAAAGCCAAUAUGAUUGUCAAUAGAGAUGGUAAUCCAACCUAUGUGAUUGGAGAUCCCAUGAAGUAGGUUCAUAUGGGUAAUAACAAGUCUAUAUUGACACUGCACACUUAUUGAGAGUGAUUAAACUGCUACUAAAAUUGAUGGAUGAUUUAUUAACUCUUAAUGAAUUCAUAACCCUUACGGGUGGUGUAUUCAAAGCAGUGUACACUUGAUGAAUUCACCUAUAUGAGAAGUGGAAUGAGACCGUUCCUAUGAGACUUUGGCCUAGUCUCUAGAGCUCUCAUGAAUACCAGACACGCGCAUGACCAAUUGGUGCAAAACCGCGUUGAACAAUAAAAUUACGGUCAAAAUAUGAUUGAUAAAAUCUCUGACUUACAACAAGAAUUAUUCGGUUCAUAGAAAUAUUAUAUUACAUAGAUAAUUCUGUAAGUUAAAUUUUAUCGAUAUUCAUAGUUCGAAAGACACCAAACCUAUUACAUUUUGUCCAUAUAAAUCUAACAAGUUUUAACCUUUUAUUAUAAAUAUUUUAAAAUAUAUGAGGGAUUGUAAGAUAUUAUAAAAUAUUUAAAUUAAUUGAUUUGCAAUUUCAAGUGAAAAAUGAAUAUAUUAAAGUUUCUUUGAGAGAAAAAUAAUUUUGACCAAAUAACAAAUUAAUAGCCAAUCAUUUUACUUGGAGAUUAAUUAACAUGUGUAUUUUAUUUAUAGAUUAAUUAACAUGUGUACUUGGAGAACACAUAAAGUAAAUACUUAUUGCCAAAAUAAAUAAAUUGAUUUAUUAAUUUUUUUUAAUCUUUCACCCACUAAAAUUGGCAAAAUGAUGGCCAAAUAUUUUUACUUGAUGCCAAAGGAAAAUAAAUAAAAGAAUAUGGGAUUCUUUAUUGCCAAGGAAAUGUGUAUUUCCACCGCCUCUACAUGGCUAUAAAUAGCCAAUCAAUUCUCUGCAAUUGAACACACAUAUAGAUAUCUUCUACUUCCUUCCUAUUUUACUUUGCCUUUAUUUUAUAAUAAUUUUAAUAUUUCUUCUCUAAAUUAAGAUUUGUUGGAUUUAUAAUUAAUUUUGUUGAAUUUUGUAUCCCCUGAUUAAUUAGGGAAGACUUAUAUAAUUUUUGAAUAUUCUUUAAUUAAUCAGGGAAGUACUUGUUUAAUCGUGAGAAAAUAUUUUACAUUGCGAAAAUAGUUUUUUAGGACAGUGCCUAGCACGACUCAAGUAUAAUUAAUAUAUUACUUAAUAUCUGUAACACCCCGUUUUUCGGGCUAAAACAAAAACCAUCAUUUCUAUGCGUAGAUGAUCCAAAAGUCAUAAAUUUUAACGCCCGUAAAAGUCGUGCAUUUGUUAGCCCCUCGUAGUGUGCUCUUAGACUUGAAAACUUAAAAAUAUUCUAAGUGUCAAAGAGACUUAGUCUUAUUUUUAGUUCUUAAUCUUUGAGAAUUUUAUUUUCAAUCUUCCCGACCACCGUUUCUUGAUUUCUAAGUUGCGCUAUGAUCGGGGGAGUCUAAAGUACACAUUGGGUGAGUUUCAGAAUUUUCGGACCUCGUUUAGGGCAUGUUUGGAUGCCCAAAACAGUGGCAUCACGCGAUUAGCCCGCGUCGCAUGGUCCACAACACCGCGAUAUAGCAUGCGGCGCAUGGUCCACAACACCGCGAUAUAGCAUGCUCCGCAUGCUCUAGUUUGGUGGGAUAGAGCAUGCGACACAUGCUCUGCUUGCACGUGCCUGGAAAUUUCAGCCUUUAAACUCCGUCUCAUUAAGGGCAUUUUGGGUAUUUUCUAUUUCUUUUACAGCCUUAACAUGAAAUUAAAGCCCUAAUCCACCUCAUUAUUGAUAUUUCUCUCAAAAACCACCAAGAACACUCUCUAGGGUUUCAAACUCAUAAUUCAAAUAACUCAAGAUUUAACCGUAGUUUUUCAAUAAUUCUUCAAGAUUCGAAAUCCCCAUUGUGAGGGCUACAAGAUGCAUCCACCAAUCGUAUGUAUAGCAUCCCAAAAGUUAGAGUUCAUAUCACGACCCGAACCGAGGCCCUAGCCAUAAACAUUCCCGAACUGUGAAGGCCCGGGACGCCCUCUGUCUAUCUGGUAAUCAUGCAUAACAUUCAUAUAAUAAAAGAUAAUGCAGAAAUAGAAAUCUAAUACGAAAACAUGGUCAAUCUGAAUGUGAUCAUAAUACUGAAAACUGAAAUCCAAAAUAUAUCUGGAUAAUAAUAAUGUCAGGCUCAGUCUACAAAUCUCUACUAUGAACUAAAUAAAACUGUCUGAAAACUGGGACAAGGCCCCCAGUAGACCAAAACAUGACUAAAUAUAAAUAUCUGGAAGUAAACAGGCCUUCUGGAAUAUAGAAGGCUCACCAAUGCACAAUCUGAUCAGUGAUCUGAAAUAUCUACUAUUUACUUGGACCUCUAGACUGAGCCUCAGAACCUAGAAGGAUGGGGGGUCAGCAAAAAUGUACUGGAAUGCGAAGCAAUUCAAAAUAGUGUAUUUGUAUACGUAUAAAGUAGAUGAGAGCAAUUUAACAAAACAUCAUGCAUAAAAUAGUUUCGAAAACACAUGGGCAUCAUUUUGAACAUUCUGAGACAUUCUUGUCAAAACAGUUUCUGAUCUUUGUAUUACUUCUGAGUUAGGUGGCACUCCCCUACAAUUCUGAUAUUCUAUGGGUUGUAUGGAAUCCGUCAUUGACUCAGCGGGGAAGCCUCCAAUCCGAGUGUGCCGCAAGGAUUGGAGUCUCUGAUUCUAAUACACCACACGGCUCUAGGCCAGCGUAAUAUAUAAACCCGGAUCGAUAAAUUAUGAUUUUGGGCAAUGAGUUGUCUGAACUCAUGCCUUCUUCGGGGAACCACCUAAGCUCUCUUUAUGCCCUAUUUUAGCCUUUUCUGAACAUGCAUCAUUCUGAAGUUCUAAAACAUGCAAAUCUGAUAAAGUCUGAUUUCUGUAUUAGUCUGUGUCUGUUAUGGCAUUUUCUGAGUUGGUGUCAUCACACCAAGACUUGAAAGUUCUAUUUCUGAGUCAUAAUGCAAUAAGCAUGAUUUCUUACAUAAAAAUAUAAUUUCAGACCACCCAACCAUGUAAUUUGCAUAAGAGAUUUUAUAUUCCGAAACUCAAAUCAAAACCAUGCAAAAACUUUCAUCAAAUAGAUGGUGAUCAUGUGCUUUUGCCAAAACCAUGCACUCUUUCAUUAUAUGUAUAUUCAACAUCCAUCAACGUAAACAAUCCUCUCUCUUUUGAAAACAAAAUUCAUAAUCCAAAAUUAUCAUUUAAGACUUUUCAUAACAUGCUUUUCAAGAUGUGUUUUGAAACAAUCCAUAUCAUAUGAAGCAUGGAAAAAAUUACAUCAAGAGAGGGAUUUAAUAUAUAUCAUGCUCUCAAUUCAUAUUUCAAAACUUGAACACUUACAUACAGUAUAUAUAACAUUCAAAUCACUUUGAGGGAAAGCCAAAAGGCCAAAACAAUAUCCUUAAAGCUUCUAAAACAUGAAUAUCUACAUAAAUUUCAAAACCCCUUUCUUAAAACAUGAUUUCUAUGCCCAUGAGAAUUUAAAAAAAUCCCGCGUACCUCUAUUUAAGAAAUUGAUGGAUGAUCCUUGAAGCCUACGAUGUGGGGAUUCCAAAUCUCCAAUUAUCUUCCAAAACCAACGGUUGAAUCUUGAGUUAUUUGGGAUUUUUUUGUUUGAAACCCUAAGGGGUGUUCUUGAGAGAAAAUUUAAGAAAGGAUUAUAUUUUGAUAAAUUGAGGGCUAAAUCUGGUGUUAUAGAUGAAAUUUGAGUGAGGUGAAAUUACUAAAAUGCCCCUAAGAAAACAAACAAAGUCGAAACUGUCCCUCAGUUGACAAGCUCACAGGCUGAAGUAAAACGGGUAUAACUCCUUACUCAGAUGUUGGAUUUGGAUGAAACUAGUUGCAUUAGAAAGAAUACUCGAAGAGCUUUCAUUUUAUAGGUAGCAUCUCUCCCAGUUCAUUAUAUUCAGAGAGUUAUGAUCGUUUGAAGUUGACACUAAAAUGCUGAAAAUUGGGCAAUAGGCUAUGCGUUUUGCUACUGUUUUGAAAUCCAAACGCAGUCUUAUACGUUUCAAAAAAUUCCAAAACUUAUCCGAGAUGUACUAUGAGCUUGCCCGAUCAUAACGCAACUUAAAAAUAUAAAAACGGAUGUCGAAAAGGUUGAAAAGUUGUAUUCCAAAGUUUGCCAGCUAAAAUGACUCUAAGUCCUCAUUAUACUUAGAAAAAUUUUCAAGUUUUUUUUUUCAAGUCUAAGAGCACUCUAUUAAAGGCUAAUCCAUGCACGACUUUUACGGGGUGUUACAGUUCAUUCAAAAUCUUCUAAUUUAAGUUACACGGGGUUUUUCUCAAAUCUCAUGGGCAUAGAAAUCAUGAUUUUUAGAAAAGGGUUUUUAGGUUUAUGAAUACAUUCAUGUUUUAGAAAUCUUGACGGUAUUAUUUUGGUCUUUUGACCUUCCCCCAAAUUGAUUUGAAACUAUAUAUAUAUAUAUAUAUAUGUAAGCAUGUGUUUUAAGGUUGAUGAUUGAAUUGAGAGCAUGAUUCAUGAAAAAUUCCUCUCGUGUGAUAAUUUUCAUUUAUUUAUGAUAUACUAUGAAAUCAUUUGAAAGCAUCUUGAAAAGCAUGUUAUGAAAUGUCUUGAAUGAUGUUAUAUUUGAAUUAUGAUUUCGAUUUCAGAAGAGAGAGGGUUGUUUGUGUUGAUGAAUGUUGAAAAUAUUCAUAUAAUGAAAGAGUGCAUGAUUUUGCCAAAAGCACAUGACCACCAUAUGUUUGAAUAAUCUCAACAUAGUUUUGACUUGUGUUUUUCGGAACAUGAAAUCCUUGAUACUUUUGCACGUUUGGGUGGUAUGAACUGUGUGUUUUAAUGAAAGAAUUAUGCAUGAUAUAAAAUGUCUUGAAUGAUGUUCUAUUUGAAUUAUGAUUUCAAUUUCAGAAGAGAGAGGGUUUUUUGUGUUGAUGAAUGUUGAAAAUAUUCAUAUAAUGAAAGAGUGCAUGAUUUUACCAAAAGCACAUGACCACCAUAUGUUUGAAUAAUCUCAGCAUAGUUUUGACGUGUUUUUCGAAACAUGAAAUCCUUGAUACUGUUUGCACGUUUGGGUGGUUCGAACAGUAUUUUAAUGAACGAAUUAUGCAUGAUACAUUAUGGCUCAGAAAUAGGACUUGCAAGUUUUGGUGUGACGACACCAAUUCAGAUUAUGCCAUGAUAAUUCAGAACAGAAUAGAAUGCAUGUUUGAAGUUAGAUUUUUCAGAUGUUGAAACUAGAAUAAUGCAUGAUUCAGAACAGGAUAAAAUUGGGCAUAAGGAGAGAUUAGGUGGUUCCCCAAAGAGGCAUGAGUUCAGACAGCUCAUUUUCUAAAAUCGUGAUUUGUCGAUUCUGAUAUAUUAUUAUACGCCGGCCUAGUGCCCUGUGGCGUAUUAGACUUAGACACUCCAACCCUUGCGGCACACUUGGGUUGGGGGCUUCCCCGCCGAGUCAAUGACGAAUUCCAUAUAGUCCAUGGAAUAUCAGACUUGUAAGGGAGUGCCACCUAACUCAGAAGUAAUACAAAGAUAAGACAUUGUAUUGACAAGAAUGAUUUAUGAUUUUCAGAAAGUGCCCAUGUGUUUUAGAACUAUUUCAUGCAUGAUAUUUUGACAAAUUGCUCUCCAACUAUUUUACUUAUAUAAAAACUUUAUUUUGGAUUACUUUGUGUACCAGUACAUCUGUAUUGAUCCCCUUCCCUUCAGGUUCUGAGACACAGUCUAGGGGUCCUGAUAAGCAGUAGAUUUCAUCAGACAGGAGUGAAAAGUACCAUUUGGUGAGCCUUUCAUAUUUCAGAAGGCCUAAUUUCUUUCACACAGUUAUUAUUUAUUAUGGUUUUGGUCUACUGAGGGCCUUGUCCCAGUUUUCAGACAGUUGUUAUUUGAUCAUGUAGUAGAGAUUUCGCAGACGAUUUUUCAGAUGGUGUUUAGUUGAUAUUGGAUUUUAUUCCUCAUUGUUAAACUAGAUUUAGAUUAUGACUAUGUUUCCAUAACAGAUUUUAUUUCCGCAUUUUCUAUUUAUAUAUGAAUGGUGUAUAAGAUUAAAAGUUAGAAGGGCUCUCGGGCCUUCAUGGUUCGGGAUGUCUUUCACGGCCAGGGCCCUGAUUCGGGUCGUGACAAUAUCAUAUCGUUAUAAUAUUUGUUUAAUAUUCAGUAUUAUUAAUUUAUCAAUAAUUAAUUAUAUUAUUGUUACUGUUAUUAUAUUAAAUAUAAAAUUAUUAUUGAAGUAAUAAUAUUAUUAUACACUGUCAUAUUAUUGUACUGUUAUUAUUAUAUUAAUAUUUUAUUAACAGUUUAAAUAUUAUUGUUAUUGAUAUUUCUAUUACUGUUUCCCAACACAAUUUACAUUGAUGUUAAUAUCGCCAUUGAUCAAAAGAGUUGUAAAAAAGAAAAUGAGAAUUAUCCCAAAAAUGUGUUUAGUAAGUUUAUUUCUUAAUUGUUUAAAUUAUAUCACAUUUAUCUACUUAUCUUAAUAAUCAUUUUCUUGAUUUUGAGAUGAGAGGCAUGCAUCAUUUACGUAUACCUUGCAUGAAGAUUUUAUUACUUCAAGAAGCAAUGAUAUUAUUUGAUGUACAUGCAUAUUCUUAAAUCACUGGUUCAAUAUGAAACUUCUUCUUUCUUUUUUCUAUGUUUUUUUUCUUAAAAAAAAUAUGGACAUUCCUUGAAGGAGAUUUUUUUUUUUGUUUUUUUGUUUUUUUGUUUUUUUUUUAAAAUAGAUGUUUACAUGUUAAUUUCAUUUGUGCAAUUCAAGGUACAUGAACAUGGGUUGGUACUACAAGACUCUUCAAAAAUUCUACUUAAGUUUUUUUUUUUUUAAAACCUUUUGUUGUUUCCAAGUUCAAUUGAUCUCUCUCUAUAUUACUAAUAUAUACAAGUGUUGAACAGCUGAUCAAAGAAGGCACCUGGAAGCUGGCAGGUGGAGGUUGUCCUGCCAGCUUCCAAGGGUUAUUUCCGUCAUUUCGGCCAACUUCUCAAGGGCUAUUUCUAUCAUUUUGCCUGCCAGCUUAAUCUAAAGGAUAUUUUUAUCAUUUUAGUAAUCAACUUUAUACGUGUUACACCCUUGUGAGAACACCAAGAUAGCAGACAUGUUUCCAUUCAGUCGAAAUUAAUUGCCACUUCUUCGUUUCCACCGCUUCUUUUUGAGAUCUUGAUUUCAAGUACUGUGAGUUGAAAAUCUCUUUUAACUUUUAUAUCCCGUAGGAUUGUUCGAUUGAUGUGUUGUUUCUUGUGUCCAUAAAAUAGGAGUUCCCGAGUAUUUUUCGUCACUUCAGCUUCGUACCCCCAAAUUGUUGCUUCUUGAGUACCAGUUGUUGCUCCUUCUUUUGAUCAUGAAAUCUAUUAGUUUGUGAUUUGAUGAUUUCGUGUUUUUAUUGUGUUCUCCAAAGACUUUCUGGUAGUUCAGCAGUUGUUUGCCAACAAUGAUUUAUGACUGAUUAAUUCAAGUUAUGUGCUAUGCGUUUGCUUUCAUUUUGCUCACGUUGACUUAAAUAAAACUCCCACGGAAUAUUUCUUGCAAGAUUUUAUCAAAAUUUAACAGAACACAAAUCCGUUAGUUUUCGUAUUAAUUGUAGUUGCUUAUACCAAUUUUUACAUGCAUGUAUUGUCAACAAUUAUUGGGUCUUGUAAAAUCCCUGAAGCAGGCAGAAGGAGGUUGUCCUGCCAGCUUGCCCAACUGCUACUUUCGUCAUUCUGAGUGAACUUUAUAUGUAUAAAAUUAUUGUUACGCAUUUUUCUAUAUUGUUAGAUGUUUUGCCUAAAAGUGUAUUUAUAAAUUUGAUCUAUCACAAUUGUUGGAACAUGUUAUAUAUGCAUUGCAUAUUUGCAUAUUAUACGUCUAAUCUGACAUUUUAGUUAUUUUUGGACUCCCAGAUCAGUAUUCAGAUUGAUGAGCUUGAAAGGGUUCCGGGUUGACACUAUACCAUUUGAAGAGUCAUUUGGAGGUAUGUGUUGCUUCUUGAUCACCCCUUACUAAUUUGUCUCCUCUGUAGUAACUCUUAAUUCCCCCUAUACUUUUCCGAAGUAUAGACUUGUAGGUUCUUGUCCUUUGAAUUUUUGUUUUUACAUUUCAAUUAUCUUUUUAUCUUAUUAUGAUUACUACUUAUGCUGAUUUGUCAAGUUGUUUAACAGUUUUUUGCUAUGAAUGUAUGUUUUUCUGUUAUUUGUUUUUUUACACUGCUUGAGAUUGUUUUUUCUUGAGCUGAGGAUCUACGAAAAACUUCUAUACCUCUAAGAUAAUGAUAAAAUCUGCGUACACUCUACUCUCUAUUUUAUUUGAUUACAAUGGGUAUGUUGUUGGAACAUGGCUGCAAGAUCAUUGGACCUUUUGUAUUUGCUAACCGUUAAAGCAUUUCUUAAAGAUCUGGGAAAGUGUUAACACACGUCAAUUAGAAGGACCAAAAUAAAUUUAAGAAUUUGACUUAAAUAAUGUUAUUUAUGUCGAUAGCUACUGAAGCAAAGAUACUAAUUCCUCUCCUCUAUUUUCCUUUGAAUGAAAUUAUUCCAUAUGGGUUGAUUAUUGGUAAAUAUAACAAUGCUUUUCAAAGGAAAAACAUAAUGAUGAUGGCGAAAACAUCUUACAGCUGCCUAUUCUUGAACUUCUCUUCUGAUUUUUUGAUAAUGCCUCCAUGUGUAAGCAAGAAAACAAUGAUUAAUCAAAGUAGCCACUUCUUAAGCCACGUAUCAUUUUUGUUGGUACUGUUUUUCUCCUUUGUUUCUUUACAUUUUUUCUUUAUCCAUUUGCUUCAACUAUUAGAAAAAGCUAUAAGUCAAUUUCCUGGAACUGUUACAUCUACAAAUUCUUCAACUUUUCUCUUGUGUUUCUCCAUAUUUUUCCCAUAUCCAUUUGCUUCGACUAUUUCCAAAAGGUACAAGUGCAACACAAAAGUCUUCUCUGUUUUUUAUCUUACUCAUAAAGGCCUCUUUCAAUUUACUGAUCUUUUUGAUUACUAAGAUCCUUCUUCUCCUUAGGUGUGUUCGUAGUUGUUACUGUUAGUUUGCUUUGUGAUUUGUUUUACACAUUUCAAUUUACCCUUCAAUUUUUCCUUCAAUUUUGCAAUUUACCUUUGUUCUCUGUUGCCAAUUCCUCGAAUUCUAUUAAGGUAAUUGCUUCAUUUGUUAGUCGUUAUUCUGUAUCUUCGACUUUGACUGACUGCAUAACUUUGUUGUCAUGUCUGUGCCUGUAUGGUUUGGUUGUUUGCAGAGAUUUGCAUAAUAUAUCAAAUAUAUUUAUGUGAAAAAUAGAGAAUAGGGCAGAAAGAAGAGAUCUGCCAUGGUAGAAAAGUAGGAAAAAAUUGAUCCAAAUCCACAGGAGGUUGAGUUAAAGAAAAACGAAACCUCAAUAACAAAAUACUAAUUUAAUGUAGAUGGAGGGUCUUCUAUUUUAAUACUACUCCCAACUUGCCACCCACUUUUUGUUAGUAUUAUUUUUUAUUGGUUAUGUAUCUAAAAAUUACUAAAUGAAAGUUGGUAUAAAUGACUCUGAAAAAUUACAUAAAAUAUUUAAAGAUUCAACAAAAAGUUUAAUUAAUUCUUUAAAAUUUAUCUAUAUCAAAUUGAGAUUGGAAAAUAACAUAUGUUAGGCUUCUUUAUGUAUAUAUAGUAGAUGUCGAAUCCCUGCGGUUAGUUCGUACAUUAUUCUGCUUAAACAAGGUGGUCAGUGCGAUUAGUUUAUCAAUCUUAAUGCUUGUGAUUAUUCUUUAGAGAUAGAAGAUGGUAUCUAAUUAAAUACGGUUUCUUUUUUUUCUUACGUAUCUGUGCCCUUUUCUGUACCCUUUUCUGUAUGUUUGUUACUGAGUUAUCCUUUUCUGAAUUACGAACAUUUGUUUAAUGUUUGAAUGUCACUUCUAUUUGUUGGAAUUCUUGAUUUUAAAAUUACAUUUUUAUAUCGAUGCUGCAAGUUGCAUAGUUGAAAUUGCUUACACUGUUUACUACAUAGAUGACGAUAAACAAAGAGUCUUCAUCGCAAUCUUGUUCUUCCGAAAAAAGAAAACGCAAUUGUUCAGCAGAGAGAGCUUUUAAAAUCAAGCUAAGGCGACAUGAGUGAUAUACACCGUUGUCGCUCGACAAAAAAGAGCAGCUUUUAUUCCAACGUUGCAAACAAAAACUUGAAUCAAAAAAUACAUGUCUGUCGGCUGCACUGAUCGGUGAAGCAUUACGCCCUCGGAUAAAUGUUACAUUAGGUAGACAAAAAACUCUAACAAUACGAGAGCCAUCUUUUUCUACCCAAAAAAGUUAGAUACCUCCGAAAAUUGGUAAUCUAAAUAUUGCACUGUUUGUAAUUUUUAUAAAAUAUAUAUGAGUAAUAUUGAAUAAGAUAUUUUUUUGUUACAGCAGCAGAUACAUCUAACACUAACAAAGCAACAAUAGACUUUGACAAAGGAAAGAAUAUAACUGAAUUUCUCUAUCUUUGAAACUAGUGCGUAAUUAUUAGUAACUUUCCAAAAUUUUACCUAUCAAGGAGUAUAUGUCUUAUUAAGGUGAUUACUGUUUAGGUUCAACAUCAGAUCCCUCCUCUAAACAACAUACUGUUGGAUUUCCCCAAGAGACAGUUGUAACAACACAAGAGUCAUCUUUUAUUACCAAAAAAGGUCAAAUAUCUCAUGAAUUUGUAAUUUGAGUAUUAUGUUAUUUAUGAUUUUAUAUGUACAGAGAUUGUUAAUGUUGACUAUGAUUUUCAUUCUUCAACAGCCGCUGCAUCUCAAGUAAAGAAUUUAGAAAUAGUGAAAGACUCCAACAAAAGAAAAAAUACAACUGGUCACUUCUCCAUAUUCGAAAUCGGUUUGUAAUCAUUAAGAUAUCAUUUAGUUUUAAUUUAGCAAAAUAAAUAUCAUGCUAAUUGAAUUGAUCAUUCAUUAGGUUCAACAUCAAAUGUUUCUACUGAACGGAAUCAUCCAAUAAUAUCAGUUGUCGCAAAAAAAGGUAUGUCUUCUUCCUAGAGUCGGUUUGUGCUUGCAAUUCUUCUGUGAAAAAUCAUAUGCUAAAUUGUCAUAAUUCAUACACACAGGUUCUAGAUCAAAAAUUAAAGGUUGUUGGAAUUAUAAACAAUUACCCAAUAAUGCAAGCGUUUUAAAAGCAACGUCAAAUUGUAAAUAUUGUCGAACCAAAAGAUUUGAAUAUGAAUCCCCGGGAUUUUGUUGUAGCAAUGAUUCAAUUGAGUUAACAUCACAUCAAAUUCCUAAUGAACUAUUAAAUCUUUACUCAGGUGAUACUGAAGAAUCUAAACAUUUUCGCACUUACCUUAGAAUUUAUAAUAACUUGUUUGCAUUCACGUCACUUGGAGUCAAUUAUGGCAAAGUGUUGGCUAAAAGAAAUGAUGGUAUUUAUACAUUCAAAGUACAAGGACAAAUGUAUCACUUCAUUAAUGAUUUGAUUUCGUUAAAUGGACAACCAAGAAAUCUACAACUAUAUUUUUAUGAUGAUAACACUGAGAUGUUGAAUCGAAUGGCUUCUUCAAGUGUGCUUAACCGAACAGUUAUUGAGAAAUUAAUGAACAUUUUAAAGAUAAAUCCUUAUUGUAUUUUCUUGAAAUCUCUUCUUCACAUUCGUGAAUUAUUAAAUUUUUAUAUCGCAUUGAGAUGUGGGUCUGGUUUAGAUCAACGAGUAUAUAACCUACCGAUUGUAUCUGAAGUGGCAGGAUUGUGGUUAAAUGAUGAAACAAGUAACAAUAAUUCAGCACCUCAUAUUCGAAUUUCUAUGCAUAAUAACAAAAGCCAAAUAGUUAAUUAUUAUUAUGGUUGUUAUGAUCCUUUGCAAUAUCCUCUUUUAUUUUCAUAUGGACAAAAUGGAUGGCAUUGUGGUAUUCAAAAGGUUAUACUUUCUGAAAAUAAAUUCACAAAACGAAAAAAAUCUUAUUAUGAAAAUGAACAUCUUCCAAGCUUAUCUAACAUGUGUUCAAUUGAUGGGCUACUUGAUAUGGAAGCCGACGUUCUACAAAAAGGAAAUUAAAAAAAAAUACUGUUUCAUGUCGUGAAUACUAUUGUUAUAAACUUCAAAUGCGAGACGAUGAAGAAAAUAAAAUUUUACACGUAGAUAGAUUAUUUCAACAAUACUCGGUUGAUGAAUUUAUAAAGGUUGAAACUCAAAGAUUAGAUUUUGCAUCUUUUAAUCAAGAAUUAUUUCGCACUGAUAUGUUACAAGAACUUUUUGAUAUAUUAAUACUUGGUGAAAGAGAAGCUUCAAAAAUAGGAAAAAAAUAAUUUCUUCCAGUAAGUUUUAUCGGUGGUCCGAGAGAUAUGCGCUGUCGUUACAUGAAUGUUAUUGCGUUAGUUCAACAUUUUGGAAAACCAGAUAUAUUCCUUACUAUGACUUGCAAUCCUUCUUGGCCAAAAAUAAAAAAACAUUUACUAUCAAUAGAUGAAACUCAAAAUAGACCUGAUUUGAUUAGUCGUGUGUUCAAAGCGGAAGUGGAAGAAAUGAAGACAGAUAUACUAAAACGGCACAUAUUUGGACAAGUUACUGCUUUUAUGUACACUAUAGAAUUUCAAAAGCGAGGUCUUCCACAUGCUCAUUUUCUUAUAAUACUUAUUGAGGAUUAUAAAUUACUAACAACCGAAGCAUAUGACAAAUUUAUUUCUGCCAAACUACCUGAUCCUGAUGUUUACCCUUACUUGUAUGAACUUGUUAUUAAACAUAUGAUGCAUGGUCCCCGCGGUCAUUUGAAUCCAACAAACUCAUGUAUGAAGAAAAAUGGACAGUGCAAAUUUAAGUAUUCUAAAACUUUUGCUAAUGAAACAACAAAAGGAAACAACUCAUACCCAAUUUAUAGAAGACGAAAUACGGGUAAAGUUGUGAAAGUUAGAAAAUAAUUUUUGGAUAAUUCAUGGAUUGUUGCUUACAAUCCUUAUCUACUAUGCAAAUACAACUGUCAUAUAAAUGUUGAAGUUUGCUCUGAUAUUAAAGUUGUCAAAUAUAUAUACAAAUACAUUUGUAAAGGACAUGAUAAAAUUUCAUUUCACGUACAUGAAAAUAAUACAAAUAUUGAAUUAGAUGAAAUAAAAGAAUAUCAAUCUGCUAGAUAGGUAUCGCCACCAGAAGCUAUGUGGCGUUUAUAUGCCUUUCAUAUUAAUGAAAUGAGCCCAAGUGUCUACCACCUUCAACUACAUCUUCAAGAACAACAAUUUAUCUAUUUUAAAAAAACUGACAAUAUUAUUAGCAUCGUGAAAAAUCCUAUGGUCAAAAAGACAAUUUUGACAAAAAUUUUCAUGAUGAACGCUACAAAUAAAGAUGCUAAAGAGCUUAAUUUGUUACAUAAAGAUUUUUCACAAUACUUCGUAUGGUCACCUACUUACAGAAUGUGGACCAAAUGAAUACAAGGCAAAGUUAUCGACCGUGUUGUAACAGCUCAUCCAACUGAAGGAGAAAGAUAUUAUUUUCGAUUAUUACUAAUGAAUGUAAAAGCCCCAAAAUCUUAUGAUGAUCUUCUGAAAGUAAAUAAUGUACAUUACAAGACAUUUAGAGAAUCUGCAGGAAAAAAAAAGGCUUAUUACAUUGUGAUAAUAAUUUGAUUGAAUGUAUGUUAGAGGCUACGUCCUAUCAAAUGCCUUAUAGUUUACGAUGAUUAUUUGCUACAAUAUUAGUAUAUUGUAAUCCUGAAAAUCCGAAAGAAUUAUUGGAACAAUUUAAAGAUUCAAUGUUCGAAGACUUUAAAAAUCUACAAAACAUUUUACAAAAAGAUAUACAUUUUGUUGUCCUAAACAACAUUAAUGAUAUAUUACAUUCUAUGGGACGCGAUAUUAAUGAGUUCAACCUUGUUUCAGAAACUAUCACGUCUUCAAAGGUAACAAAAGAAGCAAAGGAAGUGAACUUCGAAAAAAAUAUCAUUGUAAGUGAUGAAGAAUUAUUAUUACAUCAAAAAUUAAACAUAGAACAAAAAAAGGCAUAUGACAUAGUCCUUCAAAGAAUAUUAGCAAAUAAAGCAGGAGCAUUUUUCAUAGACGGUCUUGGUGGAAGUGGUAAGAUAUUCUUAUAUCGUGCCUUAUUAGCAACUAUCAGAUCUAAAGGAUUUAUAGCAUUAGCAACAACAACUUCUGGCAUUGCUGCUUCAAUCCUUCCAGGAGGAAGAACAGCACAUUCGCGCUUUAAGAUUCCAAUCAAUGUUGACGAAAAAUUCUCUUGUAAUAUCAGCAAGCAAAGCUCACUUGCAUCUUUGAUUCAUGGUGUGAAAUUAAUAGUAUGGGAUGAAGUAUCAAUGGCAAAAAAGAAUAUGAUUGAAGCAUUUGAUUCUCAUUUAAAAGAUAUAAUGGAUUCAAAUAUAUUAUUUGGUGCAAAAGUUGUCGUUCUUGGAGGAGAUUUUAGACAAACUCUACCCGUAGUUCGAAGUGGCAAAAAAGAAGACUUCAUUCGAGAAAGCAUUUUGAAUUCACAAAUAUGGAACCAACUUAAGAAACUUCGAUUAUCAGAGAAUAUGCGUGCUAAAACUGAUCCCUCUUUCUGUGAAUAUCUGAUGCGCAUAGGAAAUGGACAAGAAAAAACUAACAUGAAUGACAAAAUAAUUAUUUCAAGAUGUUUCAUUGUUCCACAUACUACUGAAAAAGAAUCUUUAGAUCUUUUAUUUAAAACAAUAUAUCCUAAUUUUCAUACUUCUUUUCAAAACUCAACUUUUUUAACUUCUCGUGUAAUUUUAACAACAAAAAAUGAUUUUGUUGAUGAGUUAAAUGCUAGACUUAUAGCUCAAUUGCCUAAAAAUGCUAAGACAUUUGUCGCAAUUGAUGAAACUAUUGAACCAAGUGAUCAAACUGAGUUUGAAGAUUUCUUACAUUCACUAAACCCUCCAGGUCUACUUCCUUACAAAUUAACCUUGAAAGAGAAUUGUCCUAUUAUGUUAUUGAGAAAUUUAAAUUCUUGUGAAGGUCAAUGCAAUGAUACACGUUUAAUAUGUUGUGAUUUUAAGAGUCAUGUUAUAACUGCUAAAAUUGUCAGUGGUGAUUUUAAAGAUUCACAUGUAUUUAUACCAAGAAUACCAUUAUUAUCUUCAAAUGAUGAAAAAUUACCCAUCCCAUUUAAAAGAACACAAUUUCCAAUACGAUUAUGUUUUGCUAUGACAAUAAAGAAAGCUCAAGGACAAACAUUAGAUUAUGUUGGAAUUUAUUUACGUGAGCCUGUCUUUUCUCAUGGCCAAUUGUAUGUCGCUCUAUCGAGGGCGAAAAGUUCAGACAAUAUAAAAAUAUUAAUUCGACCACCUACAGCUGAUAACAAUGGUGAUCAAUCUAGAUACAAUAUAGUGUAUCAUGAAAUUAUCUCUAAAGCUUUUCUUUAACUUUAUGUCCUAUCUGACUAAAUGAUUGCGAUAAUACAUCCAAAAAAAACCACAUUUUAUAUCAAAAGCAGGAAGUUCAUGGACGUGUCACGCACGACUUCUCGGUAAGUUCUUACAUAUUUAAACCAUCACUAUAAACUGUUAUUUUCGUAUUUAAUUAUCAGCAAGCUCAAUGGAACUAAUUCAUUAGACCAUUGGAUCUGUAUGAAUCGUUUCCCUGCUACUGUUAUUCAACGGGAUAAAACUCAGCAGGUAUUGAUAAUUUCUCUGUAAUCCUGGUACGUUAAUCUCGUGAGACAUAUAGUUCCAAUUUGGCUAUUUAUACUCCACUUAAAAUAAUGUACCUGCGAUCUUUUUUUUGACGAGCAUCACGCACAAUCUUGAAUUGAAUUUCCUUUAAGAUGUAGAUGAAAAUAUCAGUGUCACUAUUAUUGGGCCCGCGCAACGGCAUCUAGUAUAUAUAUGUAUUACACAUGUCUGAUUUCGUACUUAAUUUAAAUGCAAAAAUAGAUAGUUUAUUUGCUAUUUAGAUUUGAUUGCAAAUACUUAUGUUUAUGUUGGUUUCAUGUCUCUUUAGUAAUUUUAAUUUUGUUUUUUAUGUAGGAAUAUUUUCAAUAUGUAUUUUUAUGUGUUUAAGUGUAUUUUUAAAGAGUUUUUAAGUGUAUUUUUUUAAUAGUGCUUUUCUCAAAUAAGUAUUUUUGGGAAGAAGCUAUGUUUUCAGCUGAUGAAAAGCUGUUUUUUCUACUCUGGAAAAACACUUAUUUUCUUUCAAACGUUUGGCUAAAUACUUCAUUUAAAAAAAAAAAAAUAUUUUCUUAAUAUUAUUAAGCUUGGCCAAAUAGGCUAUAGAUCAGAUGAAAAUUUAAUAAAAAAAUCAUUAGAAACAUAUAAUAAUACUAAACUGUGUAUAUUUCGAUAGACCAAAAUAAGAAAUAAAUUAGAAAUGUCGAGUUAUGUAGGAUGUAAGUUCGACCACACAGUGAACUUAAAGAGUGAGUAUUACAUUUUUAAAAAAUUACAAAUAAAAGACAUAAAAAUUUUAUAUUUAUCACACUCAACUUGUUACUUGCGAUCGUUCAAAAUGAAAAAGGAAUGAAUAAUUCUACUAAUGUACUAUCAAAAUGAAAAGGCAAUAGAUAAUUCUACUAAUAUAAUCAUCAUUUUGUAAGUUUAUUUAUAUAUAAUAGUUUUUCGUACAUUUAUACACUAAUUAGGAAAACAGUUAUUCUACUGUAACAAAAAGUUUUGAUUUGUGCGUAAACAAGACGGAACAUCUUAGAGUCAGGGAUAUAUAUAAAUAAACUUUAUGAACGGUAAGAAAAAACUAAUUAUAAGAAAAUCUUAUAGCUAUACUAUUUUAUGCAAAGUAUUUUCUGUCAUUUACUUUGAGUAUCAUUUUCACAUCGUUAUGUUGUGAUAAUGUCCCUAUUCCUGGAGUAUAAAAAGGAUAUCUUAUUUGAAAAAAUGGACAGUAAUAAAACAAUACCAACAUAUAUACAAUAUUAAAUGUUAGUAUGCAAUAAGAACGAUCCAAAAAAUUGAAAAUAAUAUCUCAACUAUGUCACAAAUAAUUAAAAUAAAUAUGUUUCUACUAUCUAUCUUUGCUUUUUUGUUUUAAAAAAUAAUCCGCGCAUUGCGCGAGAAUGAGUACUAGUAUUGCUAAUAUCAUGGUUUACUAUGCAUUAGUUACAUACCGUUUAACUAAUACAUGCAUAGAUUGGAAGUCCUAACAAAUAAAGGUUAAAAUUAUACCAUAACUUAUACAUCCCACUAAACGACCCAUUGAUGACAAUAUUACAGUUUGAAUUUUACAUGAACAUAUAUAGCUAAGCUGACUCUUCAUAGCUUUAUCAGUUCAUCAACAAACAACAACAGAUAAAAAUAUGAUUUAUUUUCCAUAUUCUGCAAUAAUAUGAAGAUAGUAAGAUUCUAAGUUGCGUGGAUUGUUCAGUUUCGAUGCUCCACCCGUGUUCUCCAAAAAUGUACUAUUUUUUGAGAAUUUAACACGCAUUCAUUGACAAUUUUGAAGAGUCCGACCAACAUAGAUAGGAUCAUCACUGUUCUGUUCAUAAUUAUUUGGCAAGUGUUGGCUCAAUAGAAAAUUCUUUUCCAAUAAGAACUGAUAAACCUGUCAUCUCCAAAACACCACAUGCACUUCUAUCAAUUUUUGUUCCAAUUUUAGUGGCCAAAUUAUAUUCAGUUAUUUUUCUCACCCCCUUUUUCAGUCCAAGAAAAGUCACUUUGUGUAUUGUCCAAUUCUUACUCAAAGCAAACUCUUCAUUCAUAACCUUUGAUCUGAGAUAUAACUUAUUAUUCACAACAUUAGCGUGAAAUUUCACAAGGCUCCAUUUUCCUCCCUCUCCUCCCAUUUCAACGUCUUCGGCAUCGUCCAAGAAAACUUCUCCUGAACUAUUUCCCCAGUUGUUGAUGGCAACAAGUAGUUCAAAUGGAGUUGCCCUUGCUGCUCUUGUCGUCAUUGCUUCUCCUUGCAUUGCCACAAUGUUUCCCUCUUGGAGGUGCACAUUGAUAUGAUCAGGAGGCGCCUCUAGGCUGAUGUAGCUACCGGACUUCAUGUUCACAUAUUUUGAAUAGUUGAACAUGUUGAACCAGGUACCGGAUGGAAAAUAUGCAUCAACUGAAACCGCACCAGCUGUCAGUACUGGUGAUAUCAUUAGCCCCUUACCGACGAGAAACUGAG
rnacentral:lncRNA from 1 species